CGUUUUAUUUGGUGGGGGUGAAGUUUUGAUACAGGAAUUGCUCGGUUUGAAAUAUUUAGAGGUAUUGGAGUUGACCUUGGGAAGUUAUCAUGCUCUCCAAAUUCUUUUGAGCUCAAAUAAGUUAAAAAGUUGUAUUCGAUCUCUUUUCCUCGAGUUGACCGGAGAUACAGCGUCAAUUAUUGAUGCUACGGCUUUCGCAGAUCUAAACCACCUCAAUGAAUUAUGGAUUGAUAAUGGUAUUGAGUUGGAAGAGUUGAAGAUUGAUUAUACGGAGAUAGUACGAAAAAGGCGGGAACCUUUUGUUUUCCGCAGCCUUCACCAUGUUAUUAUACGAAGCUGCCAGAAGUUGAAAGAUUCGACAUUCCUCGUUUUUGCUCCAAACCUCAAGUCUCUCAAUCUAGACGGUUGCGAUGCUAUGGAAGAAAUAAUCAGCUUCGGAAAAUUUGCUGAGACUCCUGAGAUGAUGGGACAUGUAAGCCAUUUUGAAAAUCUCCAAAUUCUUCAUUUAUCGCAAUUGCCAGCUUUGAAGAGCAUCUACUGGAAGCCAUUGCCUUUCACUCAUCUCAAAGAAAUGGCUGUAAGAGGGUGUGAUCAGCUUAGAAAGCUUCCACUCGAUUCCAACAGUGCAACAGAGCGUAAAUUUGUUAUUCGUGGAUACAUACUCUGGUGGAACCGACUUCAAUGGGAGGAUGAAGCCACUCAAAUUGCUUUUCGUUCCUGUUUCCAACCUGAUUCCUGAGCGGUGGUCGCAAAAUUUGAUUUCUGGUGAGUGCGUUUGUCUUUUAAAAGAAGAAUUUAAAAGAAAUUUAUUCUUGUCGUUUUCUUUUUGGGGCAUCGAAUUGAUGCUCUAGUUUUUUACUUUUUGUUGUCAAAUUAUGCCCUUUUUUUUUUUUUACAAAUUGAAACUUUAUUUAUUACUUCUUAGGAUUUAAUUUCCUGUCAAUAGACGAACGAGAAGAACAUACGACUUAAACCAAUUGAUACUUUAUUUAUGUGCGUUGUAUGUAAUAAAUAUUAAGUAUAUUAGCUGUCUUUCCUGAAAAUCAAAUGACAAUAAAUUUUUUAAAGUUUUGAUUUUCUAUGGUCAAUUCCACCUUUUGCAAUUUCUUCUAUUCUAACAAAAACCAAAUUCUUUGUUCAAGUAUUUUCGUUUGGGUAUUAAUAAUUCUCCACCGAAAGAGUGAACUCUUGGAUGCUGCUCAAGGGUCUCUAAUCAAUCGCCGGAAGCAAUUGAGAGGGCGCCGAGACCUAAUCGGACCUAGGCCCAAGUUUGGUCUUAAAGCCUGGGCUUGAGCCUGACAAUUAAAUUAAAACAUUAAUUGAUUGAAUUGUCGUGUAAUUGAUUUAUGGGGGAUGAAACAUCAACAUGCUUGAAAAUACACUAAUCUUAGCAUCAUCGGUUAAUAAUUUUUAGAUUUAUGGGUAAUCAAUAGUUAAGAUUAGUUGUCAUUAAUACUAAAUAUUUUUUACUUUUUUUGUCUCUUUUAGAGGAUCUUCUAGAACAAUGCAUCCACAACAAAAUUUAAUAUUUUACAUAAUAAACAAAAUAUAAAUGUUAAAUUUAAGAAACUGCAUUGCAUUUCAGCUGAAGCUGACUUUAAUAUUUAGGGUAGAAAAACAAUAAAAUCCUUAAUGUGUUUAAUUUCUAUCACUUGUGUCAUUAAAAUUUUCUAGUCACCCCAACCAAUUGCAUCUCAACCCACUUUUUUUGGAUGAUUUUAUUUUUACACUAUUAUUUUCAACAUAUCAUGAUGUAUUCGUCAAAAGCUGGAAAUGACUGUUGCCCGUCAAAAUUCACAUUUAUUCCUUAACGAUAAAGUUUUAAUAUAAUUUUGAAGUUAUAACUCAAAAAUAUAUUGUGUAAUAAUAAGAAAAAUGACCUAAAUGGUAAAAGUGAGAAAUAAUAAGAUCGAAGUACUAUUCUCCAUCCAAUGUUAAAUGGGGCAAUGCCAUUCUCUGGUUCUCUUCUUUAAAUGCGUGAUGUGCGUGCUCUGUUUUAUUUUUACACUAUUGUAGCACAUAAGUUGCAAAAUAUAACAUAAAAUUUGAAAAAUGUGUAGUUUUUGUUCCUUUUUUCUUAAAAAUGGGAAAAAGAAUGUAAUUUUGUUUAAAUUACUGUUGUGAUAACAAUUAUUAUUUUAUUGAUUAAUUGGCAGAGAAUCGUUAUGGUUUCGUAUGGUUGUUUUUUUUUUUUUUUUUUUCGUAUGGUUGUUAUGGUAUCGUUAUGGUUUCGUAUGGUUGUUAAAACAUUGGAAAGUCCACUACAUCAUCCGUUAAUAACUUUCAAAUUUAUGGUUAAUCAAUAGUUGAGAUUUAUUAUCAUUAAUGCUAAGUAUUUUUUAAUAUUUUUCUCUCUCCUAGAGGAUCAUCCACAGCAAAAAUUUAAUAUUGUAAAUAGUAAACAAAAUAUAAACGUGAAAUCUAAGAAACUGCAUUGCAUUUCAGCUGAAGCUAACUUUAAUAUUUAAUGGGGAAAAAUAAUUAAGUACUUAAUGUACUUUAUUUACCCAUAUAUAUGGCUAAUUUUUUAAGAUAAAGGGGAAGGAUGAUGCUCAAAAAUAUAAAUUAUAAAAUUAAUUGAACUCUCAAGUAAGUUUAAAGUUCAUUAUUUUUAAUUACAUGUUUAUAAUUUAUUUUUAUUUCGUAUUAAUCUAUAGAUCUAAAUCCACUUUGGAUUCAUAUACAUAUAUACACAUGUUUAUAAUAACACAAAGGCUAUCAAUCUCCACCACCAACAAUUUUAUACCCAUUUGCCAAGCCAAAAUCAGACCCUGGUACAAACCUCAAAGCUCUGCAAUUGUUACCGAGCAAAUACCAAUAUUCAUGCAGAACCCACCAUGCCAUCUACCAGUAGCAUCUCUAAUCAACCCCUCUGCACUCGCCAAACCGGAUCCCUUCCUAGCACCAUCAGAGUUUAAUUUAUAAUAUGGCCAUCGAGGAGGCAACCAACCAAACAUUUUUUGGACUCUCAGUCCUCUAUCACUUUGAAAAGCCUCACAAGUACGAAUUAUCUCCUCAGCUCGUACCCUGAUAUCCCGAACCAUGCUUUCUGCAUUCACAACUUUAUCUUAAAAAAGCAACUGAUUCCUUGCCACCCAUAUACACCAGAUGGCUACCCCAAAUAUGCAACUCCAUUCUUGAUUGCUACCAUGAUUACCCAUACCUUGAAUAUUGGCAAAAAUCCAGUCACGGGUUGGCAACGUGAAAAAAUCAGCAGUCUCAUGACCUGUUAACAACAUAUUCCAGAUUCUCCUAGAAGUGGCACAGUCACGAAGAGCAUGGGCCGUAUCCUCUGCAGCAUAACCACAGCGCAUGCAUAUCAUAUCCACCCCAAUAUGUCUCCUAUAAAGCUCGGCUUUGCAUUUAAUCCUGUCCUUUGCAGCAAGCCAAAGGAACGUCCGGAUUCUGUGAGGACCUCUCCAUUUCCAGAUACUUUUCCAUCUCACCUCCUCAUCCUGAACCAAAUUUCCAAGAAGCAGGUUAUAAGCUGUUCUUGCCGUAAACAUUCCUGAAUUUGAUGAUCCCCAAUAAAACUGAUCAGCCUCACUAUCCGGGGAAGGAGGCUUAAUAGCUGCAAUCAUUAACACCACAUUAUGAGGGAGGAGAAACCCAAAACGGCCCCAAUUCCAUGAACCAUCAACACUAAUGGCGUCAACCACCCAAUCAUGUAAAAUAGCUUCAGGAAUAGGUGCCACUGCAAGAUGAACAACCGGCCCAACAUCCGCAACCCAAGAUCCUGCCAGAAACGAAUUCGCUUGCCGUCCCUCACAUUCCAUCGAAGCCCCUGCAACACCUUUGGCCAAAUCCGACCAAUAGCCUUCCACAAGUAUGAGCCAUAUUUUGUAGGCAAGGAAGUUGACAUAGUGUUCGGAUCAAAGCCAUACUUCGAGCAUAGAACCUGUGCCCAGUAGCUAUUACUAUUGACCAGCAAGCCCCAACCAAGUUUCAUUAAUAAUGCUUCAUUCAUAAGCGUUAAAUUCUUCAAACCUAGACCUCCUGAUAAUUUCGGACGACACACAUCAGCCAUUAAUCAGAUGAAGCUUCUUAACUUCCGAGUUACCACUCCAAAUAAAUCUGCGGCAAUGUUGCUCAAUUUUGGUUAUAAUUGCUGUAGGCAGUCUCGUUGUUUGCAUUGAAUAAAUCGGCAACGCCUGCAGCACAGACUGCGUGAGAGUGAUUCUACCAGCCAAAGAUAAAAAUUUAGCACUCCAACCAUUUAGUUUACGCUCCACCUUCUCUAAUAUGCCAUGAUACGUUGCUUUACUAACCCUCGAGUGCAAAAGCGGCAUACCCAAAUAAUUACCCAAGUUCGUAGUCAUAGAGAACCCAAGAGUUGUGCCAAUAUUACGCACAUUACACGGAUUAACAUUCUUAGAAAAGAAAACUUGAGAUUUCUAUUUAUUGACCUUUGCCCCCGAGCUCACGUAAAACGUAUUGAGAACAUCAUUGAUCACAGCCGCUUGAGUGCAAGAAGCUUCAGCAAAAAGUAAUAAAUCAUCAACAAAAAAUACAUGAGUGAUAGGGGUACCUCGCUUAGAAAGCUGAAUUGGCCUCCAAGUGCCAGUAUUAAUGGCACGAUGAAUUCCGUGGCUAAGUCUCUCGAUACACAGGACAAAAAUAUACGGAGAAAUAGGGCCGCCUUGUCUAAUCCCCUGUGAGUGAACGAACUCCUCAGUACAUUCCCCAUUCCACAGAAUCUGCAUAGAGGCUGAAGUGAUACAAUCCAUUGUGAUACGAAUAAGGUCUGACGGAAUCCCCGCUUCACAGAGAGUUUCAAAGAUGAAAUCCCAACUUAGUCUAUCAUAAGCUUUCUCCAGAUCCACUUUAAUUAGCAUAUGGCCAAUCUUUCCUGACUUUUGACGCAUGGUAUGAAUUACUUCCUGAGCAAUAAUAAUAUUCUCUGUUAUGUGCCUUCCAGGGACAAAACUAGUUUGCAUUGGCCCUAUCAAUUCAGGAAGAAUGCCCUUUAAUUUAUUCGCCACAAUCUUCGUAAUUGUUUUAUAAAUGUCAGGACAAAGACUUAUAGGUCGAUAUAAUCGGAGGCUAUCCGGAUGCUCAACUUUCGGAAUAAGCACAAUUAGAAUUUAUUAAUCUCACUAGGUAUUUGUUGUCCCUUGAAAAUCCCCUGCACCAAAUUACAAACCGAAACUCCCACAGUAUCCCAUUGUGUCUGAUAAAAUACAACAUGCAAACCGUCAACUCCCGGAGCCUUAAGUGGAUGCAUACUAAAAUUUGCCUCCCUAAUAUCAUCCUCACAUACUCCCGCAUUAAGCUUGCCAAGAUUAAUCUCAUCAACUUUAGGAAACAUACUCACCAGAGGGUAAGGGAUAUGCUCCCCAGGCUCUUUUGUAUAGAGAUCCUUAAAAAAUGUUACAUCAUGAGCUUUGAUAAUAUCCACAUCCUCAAUCCAAUUGCCAUGCUCAUCUUUAAGCAUCACUAUUUGGUUCUGUCUUCUCCUCUGAAUUGUCUGGCGAUGAAAAUACUUAGUAUUUCGAUCCCCAAAUUCAACCCAAUCACGCCUAGAUUUUUGAAACCACAAAAUCUCCUCCUGACUCAAAAUACUCUCCAACUCCCGCUUGAGAGUCACCUCGAGAUCCAUCAGGUGUCUAGAUCUGUGCCACUCCAGAGCACGUUGAAUUCCGGCCAAUCUUGCUAAUAUGUUAUUCUUCCGUUUGUGUAUGUAUCCAAAGACCUCCUUGUUCCAUUUCCGCACCUCCGUAAUAAAAUGGCCAGCCGGGUUGACAUAAUCUCCACUCUCUCACCACGUUUCAGAAACAAAAGUUUUUAACCUACUGUUAGUGAGCCAAGACGCCAAGAAUCGGAACGGUUUAGCACCACUAGCUUGCCGACUUACCCUCUCAAAUUUAAUUAGAAUAGGGCGAUGGUCCGAGUCAAGUUUAGGCAGAUACAUGACUUGUGAAUUGGCAAAUUUCUGAACCCACUCAUCAUUACAAAAACUUCUAUCUAGGCGCUUUAGUAAGUUUCCUCUCUCCCAAGUGAAUUUCGGCCCACUGAAGUCAAGAUCACAAAACUGAUUCCGAUGAAACCAAUCACUAAACCGAUGACAAACACCAUUUGAGCGAGGCGAACCGCCCCUCCUCUCUGAGGGAUGUAAAAUGGUAUUGAAAUCACCUCCAAGGAGCCAAGGCCCCAACACAUUGCGAGCCACUACUUUAAGGUCCUUCCAUAGAAGGUUUCUAAUAUGUUUAUUUGGACUUGCAUAAACUGCAGUAGCCCAAGAGAUGAAACUAAUGUCGUUAGCUAUACGAAAAUGAAUGAACUGUUUAUGAUUUAUGAUCACCUUCACUUUAACACAAUCUUUCCACAUUAACCAAAUACCUCUGGAGAAACCUUCAGCCUCAAUUCUAUGCGACCUCUCAAAACCACUUCGAAUAAUAAACUCAUCAGCCUUUUUCCCGCUUAUCCUUGGUUCAAACAGUGCCAUCAUGGAAGGAUUAUACUUCUGAAUUAGGGCUUUGAAAGUCCUUCGAAACGCAGGGGCAAAUGCACCUUGGCAAUUCUAAAACAUAAUUGAGAAACUCAUUAAACAAAAAUAUUAGAGAACAGAAACCAAACCCCUUACUAACGAAGGGUGUGAGCUUGAAGCUCCAACUCCAUAUCUGUCUCUUUCUCUAGAGAUCCUCCAGAUUCUGAAUCAUCUCGGGAUCCGUCAACACCACCUCGAGCCACAUAAGUGCUUCAUUCUGAGUCCUCAUCUCCACCAACUCCAUUCCAACCCCCAUUAUCAGGUGGUUCACCCAGGGGAUUGUUUCUAUUAUCCUUUGUCAUAUCGGCAAAAAGAGGGUUCGCUCUAGCAAACUGAGUCAGCAUGUCCGUACCAUCAGGGGGAUUAGCAAAGGAGUACACCGAAUGUUUAAGAGGGUCAAGGGAAGUACUUGCGAGGUGGGGCUGGUUGUCUCUGGUCUUGACUGACUGCUGUUGUAUUGAGGCAAGGGUUGGGUUAAUAAUGUGCAUGGCUGGUGAUAAGAUCUUGUUUUGGUCUGCAUGGUUUGCAUGGGGAGGGCUGGAACGUAACUGGACCAGACUAGGGCUGGGAGGAUGAGCAACGUUUCCACGGUUUGAUCGUUGGCUAUGUUUACGUAAGGAAUAUCUAUGGUUAGGUUGCAUGAGCUGAUUGCUAUUUUGGUUUUCAUCUUGCAAGUCAAGGUUGCUCUCAAGUGCAUGAUUGCUAGGAAUCCUUUCACUGAUUUCUCGCUCAUUAUCCAUAUUAUCUUCAGAGUUGAGGAGCGAAAAGCGGGAACCAGAUCGAGCAUUACCAUUAUGGGUUUGAUUAUAAUCUCCUUGAAUCGUACCUUCCUUAGCCUUCUGUGGCCUACCUUUUUUAGCAACAAUCAUCCAAGGACCAAAAAUCGAAUUCUUCGGGUUUUCAACGGUUGCAAGAUCCACCGUCACUCCCGUCACUUCGCCCUCCGGUUGAUGUACUCCGUCGCAGCCUUGCCCUCUCGGCACCUCCUGCUUUCGUCGACAGGUAUCAACUGUGUGCCCAUACUUUCCACACUCAAAACAUAUAGUAGGGAGCCCCUCAUAUUCAAUCCUUUGAAUCUUGCCAUUCAACUGAAAUUGUGAGACUAAAGGCUUGUUCAGACAAAUUUCAACAGCAACUCAAGCAAAUUUUCCACGUUUUGCAGCCUUAGUAUUGUAAUCUAUCCUUAUGACACGACCAACAACUUCCCCCAGUAUUCGAAGAACCCUUUUAUGAUAGUAAUGCAAUGGCAUGCCAGGAAGUCUGAUCCACGCCACUACUGUUUCAAUCUUAUAAGAUAAACAAUCAAAGGAUGGAGACCACUUUUGAACAGUUAAGUAAUGCCCAAAAAUAGUCCAAGGGCCUUGCGUGAGAGCAAAGUCCACAUCCUCUUCUGUUCCGAAGCGUACAAGAUAAUAAUCAUUCUCUAAGUCAAUGACUGUAAACCCUCAUUCCACUCUCCACAAGGAUUCCAGUUUAAUACAUAAUGAUCUAUAGCCAAUUGAUCUCCCUAACAGUUUCACAAUCACUGUGUUUUUCCAUGGCCGAACCAGCUGUUCCUGCAUCUUCUGUGAAAACACAACCGAAGGAAUACAUCCAUCUGUUUCAAUGAUUACGUCCUCAUCCGCAACAUCUAGGUCAUCCACACCUUCAUUCAUCUCAGCAGCCCCUGACUGAUCUUUCAUUAAACUAUCCCUAAAGGACAUAACCGGCAGAUUAUGUUCAUCAGAUCCCUGUUCCCUGAAGCGUGCCUUCUUAGUCGUGCGGUCUUCCUCCAGCAGGGGAGGGGUCGCUUUCAUCAAAUUAGGGUUUAGUUCCAUCAGAGACAACUUCCGUCUUUAUCGGAGCUUCCUCCUUUUUUUCCCCUAUUCGCACCUUUCUAAUACUCUUUCAAAAUCGUAAAAUCUUUAAAUUUUACCCCUCAUCUUAACUUAAGAAAACUAAUCACUUAUUUUAUUUAACAAAGAAGAGAUUUUUUUCCCGUAAAUUUCCCAAUUAUUUCUCUCCCUCUCGCUCCCGUAAGUUAUACAACUUGAAGUGAAAUAUGAGUGGUCUGAUUCUAGCUUAAAUAAUUUAUUGUGACAUGCUAUCUAAGGACAAUACAUUACCUAGCUCUACAUAUUUUAUUUAACCUCUGGCUCACCCUGUGCAAACUUGCCUUUCCCCUGCAAGAGAAGAUUAAUCAAUCUAUCAAGUCUCAAAUUCAAUUUGGAAUAUGACCAUCGUACGCUCUUGUUCUUCCCUCUUUACGAGUGCAUUCCCCCCAACCUCAAGCUCCCUCUCUCGUCUUCAAUGUCACUGCUUAUAUCCUUAUGUUGUUCUAGUUUGAAAUAGUGGCUUCCACUAUUUCAGGGCCCCCAAAAUUCCAGAAACAUACUAUUCAUCACGAUGACAAAAUUUUUGGCAGGCAGGUGCUUCCUGACUUUCACACGGUAAUUCUCAAAUUCUGAUUUCACCAUAUUUUAAUUACUGAUUAGCAUAUAUUCAAGUGCUCUCCAUUAUAAUAGAAGCCGCCUCACCCGUGAUUCCAAACUUUAUCUUUUUCCCUUUUUUAAAUUAAUGCAAGUAGCCGCUGUCCUUUUUAUUAAUUAAUUAAUUCGGCCGCCCACAUUUCUUUUCCUAAUGUCUUCUACUGUCGAUUUUCUUUUAUUUUCUCUUUAUUCUUAAAAUAUGCUUAUAAUAAUAAAAUAUAAAAAUUAAAAUUAAAAUUAACAUAUCAAAAUAUAAUUUAACAGAAAAUUAAGAUAAAAAAUGAAAAAAAAUAUAAAUUAUGAGCAUAUCAAUUAAUAAAUGAAAAAUAAUUAUUUUUAUUUUUAUUAAAUAUAUAUUUUUCAGUAUUAAUCAAUUAUUUGAAUAACUAAAAUUAUUUAAAAAUAAAUAAAUUAUUCUUUAAAAAUAACUUUUUAUAACACUCACUAUGCUGGUUGUAGGGUAGACGCUUUGGGGACUGAAGCUGGUAACUUCUACAAGUAGUCUUUUUUUUUUUUUUUUUUGAUUACAUGAGACUAUUGCUCAGAUUACAACUCAUAUUACAUGAGACUAUAACUGAUAUUUACAAAUCAGACUAUUACUGGGACCAACUUACAUCAAUGCUAAUGGAGCUCUGCCCAGAUUUUUAACCCUCACAAAUAUUCAAGGGAUGUCUACUCCUCACUCAUGGGUAAGGGAGAAGACUACCUUCACUCAAUUAAUUGAGGAAGGAAAUACACCCACAAUACUUUUGUGGGGGUUCGAACUGCUGCCCUCCAACUUGGAGGGCAGCAGCCCUGGCCACUCGGGCUGAGCCGAGUGGUUUACAAGUAGUCUUAAGUUGACUGGCAACAACUAUAUUGGCAUUUAGAAAUAAUGUACUGCAACCAUAUUGGUAUGUUCAAAUGUUCUUACUAUUGUAUUGGUGUGUCAAUAUUAUCUCUAACUGCCUUAUAGAUAAAAAAAUAAUCUAAAUUUACAAUUUAACAUAAAAUAAAAUAAUUGGUAGAAAAACAAUUAUGGUUCAUUUACUUAUCAGUAAUCAGAAUAGAUUGGAAUCGAAAUGAGCUGUAUUACCGUUGAUGUGUUUAUGAUGUCCUCGAAUUGGAAUGAAUUAUUUUAAGUUACUAAAAUAUCCUUGGUUUGUUAUUCUAAUUAUUAUUAUUUAAUAUUUGUCAUAUCAUUAAAAAGAAAUAAUAAUGAUGAUAAUAUUAUCAUUAUUGUUUGUUACAUUAUUAUUAUUCAAAAAAAUUAUUGUUAAUAACAAUAAUUACUUUAUUUCAAUAAUAAUAAUGAUAAAAUUAAUAAUAACAAACAUGACAACAACAACAAUUAUUUAUUAUGCCAAAAAUAACAAUAAUAAUAAGAAUAAUCAUCAUCAUCAUUUUUUCCCAAAAAAGCAUUAUCAUCAUCAUUUCAAAAAAAAAAAAUCAUCAUUAUCAUCAUCAUUUUUGUAGUGGCUGCCUAUCGGCUGCUGCUUUCAUGUGAGAUUGACUUGCGACGCUUCAACGGCUAUUAUUUCUGGCAAUGUCAGGUGUUACUGUUUCAAUUUAGGAAGAAGAUGUUUCGGUGUGCUAACGAUGGGAGAUGUUGUGGCUGCGAUUCGGGGAGCUACUAGUUUAUUGCACAAAUGACGGCAGGUGCUGCUGCUUGAUGCGAGGUCAAUGGCAAGUUGUCAGCAGUUCGACUUUGGUAUGGGCGCUGCUGGUUCGAUUUUAGGUGUUGUCUAAUUUCAUUUUCAGGAUUUUAAUUUUAUUUUUUCUUUUAUAUUUUCAUUAAUUAAUCAGGGCAAAGUUUGAUUUUAGAAUUUGGAAUGAAGGUUUUUUUGUUAAUCAUGGAAAUGAGAUUCUGAUUGUCGAGAAUUAACUUACACAAGCAACUGCAAAUUAAGUGAAAACAAAAAGUUUUUUCUCUUUGUGUGAUUAAAACAUGAAAUGUACCAUAAAUAAAUAGGUAAAAAAAUAAAUCAACACAAUCCAAAACAGUAAACCAAUUACAAGAGGCACAUAUUUUUAUGUGAAACACCGAAAACAAAAAAAAUCAUAGCACCCUAGUCUGAUAUAAUCUUCUAUUAUAUUAAUGGGAUUAUAGCACAAAUUCUUCCCUAUAUAACACUAGAAGUUAACAAUAUCAAGAAUCUCAAUAAUCUUGACUUACAAUACAACCUAAUAUGUCUCUCUAAUAAGUAGAUAUCUAAAAUAACAGUCUCUAAUAAAUAAGUAUCUCAAAUAACAGUCUAUAAUAAGUAGGUAUCUCAAAUAAUAGUCAAUAAGAUGGUAAAAUAAAAAUUAAAACUAGUAGGAUUGAAUAAGGCGAUGCUAUCAACUUAUCUUCUAAAUUUGAGAAAAAUAAUUAAAUUCACUUUUUCGAUUGUCCGACAAAAGAUGGAAACCCUUGCCCCAAAACCAAAGGAAUCACCAUUGUUCUCUCUCUCUCUCUCUCUCUCUCUCUCUCGUUCUUUUCUUCUACUUUUCUUAAUGUUAGCCGCCACUUGCUUUUAUUCUUUAUAGCAUUUAAAAAGCUACUUUUAAUGGUAAAUUUCAUUUAAAUCCAAAACUUAGUGAUAAUUGCACACCAAAUAAUUCUUUUUGGACUAUGGACUUUUGGGCUUCCAAAUAAGAUGAAUACAACAAAUCUCCCCCUUUAGAUCAUAAAGCCUGCUCUCUGCAUAUACUUUUUCAGCUUUUCCUUGAAUAAUGACUUUGUUAUCAUACAUAAUCCAUUCUCCGUUGUGUAAAUUUUCUCAAGCUGUAACUGUUGCUUCUCAAGCACGUCUCGUAUCUAAUGAUAUCUCACAUCAAUAUACUUAGAUUUCGAAUGGUAUAUCAAAUUCUUUGAACGGCACUCUGGCUGUCGCAGUACAUAACGUAGCUGUCUCGUUUUACACCCAGCUCUUAUAAGAAAUUCUUCAUCCAUAAUAUUUUUUUGCAACCUUCAAUAAUUGUAAUAUCAUUUGCUUUAGUGGUAGAAAAGGCAACUUAUUACUAAAGUUUAGAUUGCGAUGAGACUGCUCCCCCUACAAAAGUGAGCAAACAUCCUAGUAGGAAUUUUUCAGAAUCAACAUCUUCUGCCAUAUCUACACACUUGUAACACAGGUUUGUCACCACCAAAAUAUAAACAUGCUCUGGAAAUGCCUCUAAGAUAUCUGAGAAUGUCCAGUGCUCUUUUAUAAUAAAUACAAACAUAAUGAAUUUAUAAAACAUUUAGAGUAUUUUGAAUAUUAUAUAAAAUAAUUUUAAUAUAAUGCAUGAGAUAUAUUUUAUUAAUUUAAAAUGCUAUUUAACCUAAAGAUUUAUUUAAGAUAAAUUAAUAAUUAAGUUUUUUAAAUUAUUUCAAAUAUUAAAAAUUUGUAAUAUUAUUAGUCUAUUAGAUAGAUUAAAUUAUUUAUGUUAUUUUUUAUUUAUUAAAAAAUUUUAAAGUCAAUAUUUUUAAUUACUAUUCGAAGGAUAUAAUGAUUAAAAAAAUCUUAAUAUUUUUUAUUAAAAAUUUAAAAAUUUACAUGACCAUUUUUAUAAAUAUUUAGGGUAUAUAUGAGCCACGGUGGAAAAGCUUUAUUUAAUAUUAUUGAUUUAAAUAAUAUCUCAUAAAAAAUGUACUGAGAAGAAAUUUCGGUGGGUAUUUUAGUCUUUUCAGCAAUCACGUGAUUAGCCUUUGGCCUUGAAACGUCGGUCAGAAAAGUUUUAAACUGCUUAAUUGUUUUUCACUUUUAACGUUAGUGGCUGCUUAUAUUUUAUUAAAAAUUAAUGCUAACAAGAAAAAACCCCUCAAUGAAUGAGGGUGAGAUUGCUAAAAAUUACGACAGGUGAUAUUAGGUGAUAUUUUAUUAUUAUUAUUAUUAUUAUUAUUAUUGGGGGAUAAAUCCUCACCAAAGUGAGGAGAUUUUAUCAAAAUCAAAAUAAAAAUAUAACAAGAACUGAAAGUCGGGCAGCCUAAAAGCUAGAUGAACUAAAAGUCCGGCGCCUAAAAACAACCUUAUGCAAAAGAGAAGCAACAUGAGACCGAUCAAGUAAAAGAAUCCACCGCAACACCUAAAUUGGCCAAAUUAUCUAUUGGUAUUACAAGUUUCUUGUUAUAAAAGUGUAGAAUGAAGUAGGUGACGUAGUUUUAAGUUACAGCUGCAUGCCCAAUCGCAAUAUCAAAUAAUGCUUAAAGUAGUUGCCUAGGCCCGCCACAAUUUAUAUUAACUCUUAAAUUUAUAAAUAAUUAAAUUUUUAAAAGUUUGGAUUUAUAUUAAAAAAUCUUCAUAUAAAUAAAUAAUAUAUGCACUUUUACAACACAGUCUUUAAAUUUAAAUUUUUCUAGAAAAAUCUUCUGUAUAUCUUUUCUAUUAAAAAAAUUUCCAUAUAACUAAAUAAUAUACCUAAUUUAAUUGGACCCAGCACAACGUACAUGCAUAGAAUACAUUCCGAAAAGCCAUGCUAUUCGGAAAUUGACGAAUGAAAAGUGAGGAGGCAGCAGUCAAUGCUAUUUCGGCUUGGCCCAAAAUUGAUUUAUCAGUUUGACGUGUGCCAGGUGUUUGAGGGAAAUACUUCGACGAGACCAGACGUGAUGAGCAGAUAUUGGGUAGUAGAGUUCUGCGAACAGGUGUGUUCUGUAAGAGCCUGGUAGCAGAGGAGCAGCAGCAAGAAUAUUUUGCUCGUCCACGAAUAUGCCAUUCAUGAGGAUGAACUCCCGUUAGAGGCAUAAGGCCAUUCCUGUUAGGAGUCGAGGCGAGGAGACCCGGUCAACGACAGUUGGCAAGACGUGCGUUCCUAUCCGAGAAUCAAGGCACGAAGUCCAUCUCCAUUCGCCCACAAUGACUACAAUGGGGCAUCCACAUCCGAGGGUGGGGAGAAUAAUGGGCGUGGACUACGGAAGAUCGGGAUUCAGAGGAAGCCUAUAAAAAGGUAGCCAGCGAAGGUAAAAGGGUUAGACUUUUUGCUAUUAGAACUAAGAAAAGAAAGUUCCGAGAACUGAGAUUAAAAAGAAGCCAUAAGAUUCGUGGCAAACAUUUCCAGAACCCCUAUUUCUGACUUGAGCGUCGGAGGGUUUGCGCCGGGAAAACAAACGGCGUACUCUGACCUGUCUGUGUGCGCAGGAACCUCUGGAGAAGAAGCGUUACGAGGAGAGAUCCUGGUCGUGGUAAAGUUGAUCGAGCAGAGACCUUGGUCGUAGAACAAGGACAACCAGAAUCUCGCAUCAACACCAGGAAUGAAGAACUGGAAUAUCACCGUCAAGCAAGCAACCUGUGGAGCAAUACCAUAGAAUGCACAAUCCGGCUUUGCAAGGUGACACUGGAGGCUUUUUGAAAAUUGCUUCACGCUCACUUGCACAGAUUGAGCAUCCCCUCUGGAUAUUGCCCUCUCUGAUCGAGUCUGAGCACUCAAAUUUCAGUCCUCAGAUGGAGCUACAGCUUUCUCUCCAAUAACCAACAAUUUUCUAAACUCAGCACCUAGUAUGAUCAGAGUUGUUGAUAUUUGUAAAUGGAGAUCCCCAUAUUUGCAAAUGGAGACAUUUAACAAAUCACCAACAUGCUUCAUUCAGUCUACGAAAUUCUGCAGCUUAUUCAAAUCCGGAACCUGAACCAGAGUCGGAGGUAAAUCUUGAGCCAUAUCUAAAGCAGUCUGAAGUUCAAGUACUUGAGCCCUAGACAAUGGUUUUGAAAUUGGAACAUCUUGGAUUACUGCAGACUUGUACCCCUUGGUUUCAAAAGUGAGGAAAGGCAUUGCUCGAGUACAGUUUGGAGGCAGCUUCUUCACCAAUUUUAUUUGGAAGCAAUUGGCAGCGGAUCCAGCUGCACCAAUUUCAGAGCAAAUACUGACACUACUUCGAACAGCACGCUGAAGAAGAGAUGUCUAUGGCAAAGGCAAUGCAGUCCUCAUUUUGACUUGAGAUGCGGUAAUCAUCAAAGAGAGUUUCCUUGUGAAACUGGGCAACGCAUUGAAUCCCUUCACCACUGAGAAGGUUGUGGAGGAAGUAAGCUUUCUCUCUAGUGAGGAAGAGGUGGCGUACCUUCAGGGCAGGUAGAAAUCUCUUUUCUAAGAGAUUUACUCCAUUCUCUGUGAGAAAUGCUUUGAACUUCAUCCUUCUGUCUGUAUCCUCACUUAUCAGGAAAAUAGUUGAAAGCGCUACAAGGAGAGAGAAGGAAAGUAUUAAGAUAUAUAGACAAGAAAAAUAUUAGAUGCCGAUCUUACAAACUAAUACUCCAAACACUAUCCUAGAAAGCUAAAAACUGAAGGAUGGCUUGAAAUUUGAAAAGAACACAUGCUUUUCCUCCUUAACUUGGGAAAAUGUUUAAUAUAGUGCACCUUACAGAAGCAUUUAAGCAAUUAGAAAUUUGCACAAAAACAUCAAGAAGACUAAACAAAUCAGAUGCAGUGUAUUUGUCCAAGCACAAAUUGCAUUUUGUCCUCAACUUUAAUAUUUAUUGAUGAGAAUCAAUACAGGUCCCUCAUUUGUUAUAGAAAGCUUUCUUGUAGUCUCACCAGUAAAUUCACAGGUCUAUAAUCAUCUUGCAAAGUUAAGGGCAUUUCUUUCGAUCUAAAGUCUUUGCAUCACCACCUCAUCACACGCCAAGCCAAUAUUCCAUUUACCUCUACAACAAAAAGUUUUAAGUAAACAAUCCUAAUGCACGCAGCCAAAUAAAAUGCAGUAAGAAUAUUCAACUUAAAAAUCCGAAAGCCAUCCCGGUGAAUUGCCUUCUUAGGUGAAGUUCCAUGCUUUACUACGCUCGAUAGAACCGAGCAAAAGCUUCCAUACAACAGAUUUUGAAAAUGAUGAUGCCAAUAGAUACUCAUUCAAUCCAUUGAAAAUCCAAAGGUUCAUUGUUCAUUGAAUUUUACAGAGUUUUGGUCAUCCAUUAGCUCAGACCUAAUCCCAAACAAAAAACGAGUGAAAAUUAGAUCACGAGCAGCUAAUUGUAAAUUCCAACUUAACUCUUCAUCUCCUUUGUAAACAAGAAACAAAAUGGAGACACGCAAAAUGAAUAUGGAGAAAAUUUGAACUCAAAUGAAAUGAGGGAACGAAAGCAAACAAAUGGCAUGCACAAAAAAACCAAGCCUCAAUCAAAAACUAAUUAACCAUUAAGAAAAAAAUUGGUCAGAGAAUGAACUCCAAAUUCAGGAGUCAAGCAAGAAACUUUCAUCAUUUCAGAAGCUCCUGUACAAAUUAAUAAGUUAUGCUCUUUGGAAGCAAACCUAAAUUCCAAGAGAAACAGAACUCAAAAAAUUUGCAAUUAUACGCAAAGGAAGUGAAGCACAUCAUUCUAUCACACAAACGAAUUGUAUAACAAGAUAUCAACACAUCGAAUCAGAAGAACUCAAUUCAAAUUUGUCACAAAAAUCAAAAUUAGAAGAUUUCACAUUUCGAGAGGAACAAGCGACAGGUCAGAUGCAAAAUUUUCAGCCACAACAUGCCACAAUUAACGGUUUAUUUCCAUGGAUUUAGAGAGCUGACUGACCUUUUGGCUUUUGGAAUUGAGAAGAUCGCGCGCCAAAAUGGAAGAGGGAAAGCGAAAGUGCGGGUUUUAAUAGGGUAUUGGAUUAGCAAAUUUAAUUAGUUUGCGAGGGUAAAAUAGGAAAGAGAUAUCACUAUUAACCUUUUUUUUAUAAGAAAAAAGAAUAAUAAAGAAUAUUUUAUUGUCAUUUGCAGCCUUUAAUUUUUUUUAAAUACUAUUAGAAAAAUACGACAACAAAGAAAUGCUCUUUUUUUUUUUUUUUUUUUUAAAGGUAAAAUCAAUUAUUUAGCUCCUUAUAUGUAAUCAAACUCCAUUUCUUACUGUAAGUCAUAUCCAACGGACCAACAAAGUAAUUUUUUUUUUUCAUUCAUUUUUGCAGAAAUUUAAUAACUUAAAAAUAUUGAAAGCUAUUGUAAAUUUUUUUAUUAUCAACCUCAUAAUUUAAUUUUUUUGGGGAAGAAUUGAAUUUUUUUUUAAUUUCCAAGAAUUUCAUUCUCUAGUUUUUCCAUUAAUAGUACUUAUCUUCAUACCCAUCUUAAUUAAAAUCUGUAGUUUUAUUCAAGAGUCAUGCUAUUCAUUCACUCGGACCAAAGGCUUUCCGCAGCAAUAUUAUUAUUUAAAUCACAACAAAGGGGAAAUCAAAUACGUCAUACAGAGGCUUAAAGCUCAAUCUACAAAAUCUAGAGCUCUGAACUACAUAAAUUACACUUGAUGAUCCUCUACAAGAUGAAGCUUGUUCAAUAUCUCAUCCAAAGCUUGUAAAGUAACCUUGUAACGAUCUUGAGAUUGCCUGCCUUCCUCGACGACCUGCACCAUGCGUUUGUACAAAUCAUCAUACCUGUGCACCGGAUUUUUAAUAUCAACGCCACUGCAGCUGUGAUCAAGAACAUAAGAGCGUUUAACAUCUUUUCUCCAUCGAGAAAGAAUGUAGUGAGAUGGGAUCUCCUCCAUGCCACUCUGGUUUAGAACACAAAGAAUGUGUCUGCAUAAAUAUCCUCUGAAAUUGAACAACCCACAAACGCAAAGCACCUCCAAGUCGGAGGCAUUGUACAAAACAUCGAAAGCCCUUGAAUCUUUCUCGUUGCUACCAACCUCAAAUUCUUCCUUCACUAUGUAUGUUAUGAUGAAACAAAAACAAACGUUAUGCCUGUAAUCGUGCAUUUCCAAAUAAACACACAUUUUAGGUAAUUCUGAAAUUUACCACGAUCUCCCAUGAAUCCGAACUUGUAGCUUGUUAUGGAGCUUCAACAGAGUUGCUGCUACUUUGGUCUAGCUUUUGAAUUCCGCUUUCUUUUCCUUAGCUCAAGAUCGCGGCUUCUCUCAGCAAUUUACUGUGCACACACACGGGAGACAAGCGAGAGAGAGAGGUGCACUGCACUCAUGCCACUGAUUUUUUGAACAGUAAACUUCCAAUGGGCUGAAGUUACUUAAAUACAGCGGUUGAGCGCAGGGACCCCUCAUGUGUUAGUCUAAAAUUGCCCAUCCCAUUAUGGGCGAAAAUAACACAAUUAAGGAUAUACUUGUCCAUAAUAUACUACUGUACAGGGUAUGUCAAAAUUAGACUCAUUAACACUAUAUUUGAUCACUUAAUAAAUGAGUCUAUCAAAAUUGCUCAACAAUAUUUGACUGUAAUCACGUAUUAAUUAGGUAAAAUAUAAAAAAAUACUGAGAAUGAUUUAUGUUAGUCCACAUAAUGUGAGAAAUAAAUCUAACAAUCUCCCACUUGGACGACAGAAAUCACUCUAAUGAUAAAUUUAAAAUAAAAUAAUAUUUUGAAAACAACCGAAUUAAUCAAUAUGUGACUAUAACAAAAGGUCAAAUACAAGCAAUCACCCAAAACAUAAAUAAGUCCAAAAUGUGCCAUAAAUAUCAAAUCAUAUGUGCACCGACAGGAUGCUCCAUAUAACAAGACACCUAUAAACACGUGACCAUGUAGUAGUAUACAAGUAUAAUUAUGGAAAUAACAUGACAAUGUGAUCAACAUGCUCAUUUCCACAAAGCCCACAUGUCUAGCAAAAUGAGAUGAAAACAAUAUGUCUCCUAGACCAUCGCUUCUUUAUAACCAUAAUGAGACUCUAACAAAAUGUCUCGAGAAGCGAGCUUCCAUUUUUCAUCAUAAUGAGACUAAUACCAAGAUGUCUCAUGGAAGUCGUGCUUUCUUAUGAUUAUAAUGAGACUGAAUCAAAAUGUCUCAAGAAAGCACACUGAAGCUAAGUCAUAAUGCUUCAGUUUUUAAUGUCCAUAUUGAGACUGAGCAAAAAUGUCUCGGACCAUAAUAUCCUCAUUCUAUACAUAAUGCCAUACGCAACCAAAUGUGUACACAAUAUAUGGCAUAUCAAUAUCACAUAACAACAUGCAUGCAUGAUAACAAAACGAGUAAUACAUAAUCUCAUUUAAGUUGCAACUCAUAAUACAAACCAGAACUCCCACUGACUCAGCAUAUAUAAGUGGAUUCACAUAAUCUCAUAUGUGUUACAUGCUCCCUAAAUACUUUUGGAGCUAAAGCUUUAGUAAGUGGAUCGGCUAACAUGAGUUCUGUAGGGAUAUACUCUACUGAUACACAAGAUAGAGCAAUUUUCUCUCUCACAAACAAAUAUUUAAUAUCAAUGUGCUUGGAACGUGAGGAACUCCCUGUGUUGUGAGAAAAAGAAACAGCCGCAGAAUUAUCACAGUAUAUCUUUAAUGGCCUUGGAACGGCCAAUAUACAAUCUAGCCCUGUGGUAAAAUUCUGCAUCCAUAAAGCAUGACGUGUAGCCUCAAAACAGGCUACAUAUUCUGCUUCCAUUGUUGAAGAAGCUAUAAGUGUCUGCUUGACACUUUUCCAUGAUAUAGCUCCUCCUGCCAUCAUAAAGAUGUAACCAGAUGUGGAUUUCUUGUCUUCCAAGCACCCUGUGAAAUCAGCAUCAGAAUAUCCAACUAUAUUCAAAUAGUCAGAUUGCUGAUAUGUCAAUACAAAAUCUUUAGUGGCUUGCAAAUAUCUGAGUACUUUCUUUGCAGCCUUCCAGUGUUCCCCACAACUGAUGCAUACAGGACUGUUUGCAUUCUAGCUUUGUCUACAUCAUUAUCGGGACACUAAGACUUGAAAAUUUUGUCACCUUUCGGAAUUGGAGCUUUCCCAGGAGCACAAGACUGCAAAUUGAACCUUUUCAAAAUACGAUCAAUGUAAGUCUUUUGAGACAAACCUAGAAUUCCUCUAGAUCUGUCACGAAGAAUCUCUAGCCCUAAUACAUAAUGGGCUUCACCAAGAUCCUUCAUAUCAAAGCUAUAUGACAACAUUUGUUUUGUCUCAAGUAACAAAUUAGUGUCAUUAGCAGCGAGCAAGAUAUCAUCCACAUAAAGCACCAAAAUGAUAUACUUGCUCCCACUGACUCUCAAGUAUAUACACUGAUCAACAGCAUUCUCCUGGAACCCAUAAGAGGUGACAAUAUCGUGAAAGUUCAAAUACCACUGUCUGGAUGCCGGUUUAAGUCUAUAAAUGGACCUUUUAAGCUUACACACCAUGUUUUCUCUAUCAGUCUCAACAAAACCAUCAGGUUGCACCAUGUACACAUCUUCAGAUAAGCUUCCAUUGAGAAAAGCUGUCUUCACAUCCAUCUGAUGCAAUUCUAAAUUGAAAUGAGCUACCAAUGCCAUGAUAAUACAAAAAGAGUCUUUGGUAGAAACAUGAGAGUACGUUUCAGUGUAGUCAAUGCCUUCUCUUUGACUGAAACCCUUAGCCACAAGCCUAGCCUUGUACCUCUCUACCUGACCUCUGGCAUCUCUCUUGGUUUUGAAAACCCAUUUGCAACCAAUUGGUCUGCAUCCAUCUGGCAACUCAACUAAAGCCCAAACCCCAUUAUGAUACAUAGAUGCCAUCUCAUCAUGCAUCGCAUGUAUCCAAGAUGAUGAUUCUGAACAACUGAUGGCCUCUUGAAAGGUAAUAGGAUCAGAUGAUGAGUCAGCAUCAAAAUCAUGUUCCUGCAAGUAAACAACAUAAUCAUCAGAAAUUGCAGGUCUCCUUAUCCUCUCUGAUCUCCUCAAUUGCACAUCAGUAACAUCAUCCGCUACAAUCAUAGGCUCCAUAUCAUGAUGAAGUUCAGGAUCAACUGAAGAAACAUCAAUGUGUGAUAAUCCCAUCGCAGAAGUCGGAAAAGAUGGAAUAGGCAAAACCACACGUUCUUCUCUUAAUGUAAGACUGCGAGGCUCAAAACUCACACCAUUGUGAUCAUCCUCAAAAUAAAUGGCACGAUCAGACUCAAUGAUUCUAGUAGUGUGGGAAGGACAAUAAAAUCUAGAACCUCUUGAGCCUAUACAAUAGCCAAUAAAAUGACCACUAAUGGUUUUCGGAUCAAGUUUCCUUGAUUGUGGAUUAUAGGGCCUCACUUCUGCUCUGCAUCCCCAUACAUGGAAAUGACGAAGACUCGGUCUCUUCUCUGACCACAACUCAUAAGGAGUUUUGGGCACCGACUUACUAGGUACCUGAUUCAAAAUGUAAGCUGCAAUUCUUAAGGUUUCACCCCACAGAAAAUCUAGUAAGGUGGAGUUACUCAGCAUACACCGCACCAUGUCAAGAAGGGUACGAUUUCUCCUUUCUGCAAUUCCAUUAUGUUCAGGAGUCCCGGGCAUUGUAUACUGGGCUUCUAUUCCAUAUUCCUGAAGAAAUCGAGCAAAAGGUCCAGGAUUACGCCCAGUUUCAUCAUAUCGCCCAUAGUACUCACCACCUCUGUCUAAUCUUACUACUUUAAUUUUCUUGCCCUUUUGGAGUUCAACAUUAGCCUUAAAGGCUUGAAACACAGAUAAAGAUUCAGACUUUUCAGCAAGAAGUUCAACAUGACCAUAACGAGAAAAGUCAUCGAUGAACGUGAUGAAGUACUUAUAACCUCCAAUAGCAAUAGGAGUAAAUGGCCCACAGAUGUCUGUAUGUACCAACUCCAGCACCUGUUGACUCCUCUGAGUUCUCUCUUUUCUGGUUUUGGCAGUAAGUUUGCCUUUGAUACAAUCAACACAAGUGCCAAAAUCAGAGAAAUCUAAAUUAUGUAGAAUGUCAUCUUUAAUGAGCCUCUCCAUCCUCUGUUUAGAAAUGUGACCUAACUGUUUAUGCCACAACAUAGAGGAAUUUUCAUCAACCCUGGCACGAUUAGAGCUAACAACAUGCACAACAUGAGCAUUGGAUGAUGAUUCAACAGCACGAGAAAAUAAAUCAAUCAUAUAUAAGCCAUCAUAUAGAGUGCCAGAACCAACUAACUCUGAAUUGCGGAAUAAGUAAACUUUUCUAUCACCAAAAUGAAAAGUAUAGCCACAUCUAUCCAAAAUAGAUACAGAUAUCAAGUUUCUCCUAAUAGAAGGAAUAUAAGCCGUAUCUAACAGAUCCAAAAAAUAGCCUGUGGCUAGAUGUAGUCUGACAACUCCUAUGCUUUCAACUUUGGCUGUCACUACAUUGCCCAUGUGAACUAUUAACUCCCCUUCAUUGGGCUCCCUCCUGCUUCUGAAUUCCUGUAAGGAAUUCGUUAUAUUAAUGGUUGCACCAGUAUCCAACCACCAAGUAUCAGAAGGAACAUAAACUAAAUUAGAUUCAAAGCCUACAAAAGCUACAGGAAUACCUUUCUUUUCCAACCAUGCUUUGAAUCCUCUGCAUUCAGCUUUCUUGUGCCCAGGUUUCUUACAAAAGUGGCACUUUCCCUUAAAGCUCUCAGAGGUGGAACCAGAAAUGGUAGAAGAAUUACCACGUGAAGUUUUCUUGCCAAAUUUUUUCUUCUUGAAAAACUUAUUGCUGCCCUUUAAAGAGCCUUUCUUCACACUUCCACUCUCUUGAGUAGUUGCCACCAUGACAGUGUGAGAUUUCCCCUUCUUCAAUGAUUCCUCUUCUUGAACCACAUAAGCAGUCAACUCAGUGAUAUUCCAAGUGUCUCUCUGAGUAUUGUAUUGGCUUCUCAAAUUGCCAAAUUGUGGUGGAAGAGAUUCAAGGAUUUGGAAGACCAGGUAGUCAUCAGGCAGAGUGACAUCCAUGUCCUUUAACUUCUUAUGGUAACUAGUCAUCUUAAGGAUGUGCUCUCUGACCCCAGAAACACCAUCAUACUGGGUAUUAGCAAGCAGCCUCAGAUAGUUACCCUUUUCUGCCUUAUCUACCUUCUUAAAAGUUCUUCCAACAGCUGCCAAGUAAUCUUUGGCCUUAUCACAUGCAGGGAUGCUAUCUCUAGUUGUUCUAUCAAUAGUGUAUUUCAUUGUAUCCAGACAGUGUCUAUUGGAUUCAUCCCAAGCUGCCCACUCUGCUUUUUCAGCAGUAGUGCUCUUAUCUGUGGGCUUGGCUGGUUCAUCAACUCUUAAUGCCAAGUCUCUAUUCAAUGUAGACAGAUAAAACAAAAUGGACUCACGCCAGUCCUCAAAAUUUGUCCCAGUUAAAUUCUUGAGGGAGGCUACUUGGAGAAAGGAGAGAAUAUCUAGAGCUGAGGAAGCAAUAACAAAAGAAUUAUCAUGCUAUAAUUAAUUACUCCUCAUUUUAAGUUUCUCCAAAAGCAACACAAUAUGUUAGGCAUCCUUUAACAAUAUAGGAGUGCACUAACCUAAAGAUAAAGCAGACAAGUUGAAUAUAACACCAACAUUGACCUAUUACCGACAGGGUAAUGAAGCCACUCAGUAGAAAAUACUCAACAAAUCUCUUUAUCUUCCCAAGUAUCCUACCAAGUAGUGAUUUGCCGACAGGGCAGUAUCAUCACCCGUAUGGAUCUUAGUAAUAACAAUAAUAAUUCAUCGCUAAAUUCAUAAUCAAUAAUGACAAAUGGGCAUCUAAUUGCAAAACACCAAAUAAUUUAUCAUGAUUGGCCCUACAAACUCACUCUAAAUUGUAGUUUCGCAUCAUAUAUAUAUUUCAUACAUUAACAAAAUUGAGGCUAAAUAAACUUUGUCAAAAUGUAAUUAAAGUUUCCACCAAGAUAUUCAAUCAAAUAAAAUAUCUACAUGCCUCAAUACAAUAUAUGAAUAUUAUGCCCAUGCAAUUCAACAAUGAUGGAUUAUUCUUAAAUUUAAAAUUCUGAAAAAAUCGCCAAAAUUUAACGGAUUUUGGACUAAACUGCCGAAUUUUCAGAAUUAUGAUUACUGUUUUAAAUAUUAAAAAUAUUGGCCCAAACUGUAAAUAAAAUAAAAUAAAAUGUUGGGCCAUAAUAUAAUUUACCAAAAUUUAAGGGACCAAACUGAUCUUUCACAAAGUUGACCCUCGGUCAAGGACCAUUUCGAAAAAUUUGCAAAUAUUUUCGGCUAUAGUGACAUUUCAUAAAGUUUAGGGAUCCAAACAAAAUUGUCCCACAAUGUCAUCUUCAACCUCGGGAUGUCUCAACAGUGUAGCUACAGUAACCUCAUUCAUACCAUCCCAAUUUUGGCCACCAAAAAUUACGAAAAAAUUAUAUCUUUACUCCAAAAUCAUCACUCAUGCAUUAUUUAACAACGAUUUGAUCACAUAUGCCCAAAUUCGAACAAUCCGAAAAAUCCGAAAUUAAAGGAAAAAUUCCAUGAGUGAGAUUUCACCAACAAAACAACUAUGGUUUACAAGAAAAUGCAUAACCAUAAGCUCUGAUACCAAUUGAUGAAACAAAAACAAACGUUAUGCCUGUAAUCGUGCAUUUCCAAAUAAACACACAUUUUAGGUAAUUUCGAAAUUUACCACGAUCUCCCAUGAAUCCGAACUUGCAGCUUGUUAUGGAGCUUCAACAGAGUUGCUGCUACUUUGGUCUAGCUUCUGAAUUCCGCUUUCUUUUCCUUAGCUCAAGAUCGCGGCUUCUCUCAGCAAUUUACUGUGCACACACACGGGAGACAAGCGAGAGAGAGAGGUGCACUGCACUCAUGCCACUGAUUUUUUGAACAGUAAACUUCCAAUAGGCUGAAGUUACUUAAAUACGACGGUUGAGCGCAGGGACCCCUCAUGUGUUAGUCUAAAAUUGCCCAUCCCAUUAUGGGCGAAAAUAACACAAUUAAGGAUAUACUUGUCCAUAAUAUACUACUGUACAGGGUAUGUCAAAAUUAGACUCAUUAACACCAUAUUUGAUCACUUAAUAAAUGAGUCUGUCAAAAUUGCUCAACAAUAUUUGACUGUAGUCACGUAUUAAUUCGGUAAAAUAUAAAAAAAUACUGAGAAUGAUUUAUGUCAGUCCACAUAAUGUGAGAAAUAAAUCUAACAUGUUAUAGGUCCAUCAGCACUGACAUGUUUUGUGCUAUAGCAAGAGUACAUAGCCUCCACCUCCGUCUGAAACUUCCUUAACAUUUCAUUUGUGUACAGUUUUGAGAGUUGAAAUUCAUAGUAACAUCUUGGUUUCUGGAUACAACUUGAAUUUCUUGAAUCCAUAUCUGCCAAGGCUUCUAGUUGAUAAUUCGCCUGCAGUGCUUGAUCAUACUUGUCUAAGUAUUCUUUCAAAGGAGUAUUCUUAUCAAGAUAUCUUUCAAAGUAUGAAGUAGAAACCUCACUCUGCAGGAAUGAAAACACUCCUGAUAAAAAUGUUUCCUUCAAAUAAACAGGAGCCCAACUUUUACGAUCCUCAUAUAAACCUCACUCUGCAGGAAUGAAAACACUACAAUUUUUUUUGUGAUAAUUUUUUUUUCUACACUUGCAUGUGAAUUACUUUUCUUUAAGCUCCUGAAUAUUUAAGACGGAUCAUGGAAGAGAUGAGAGUUUAAUAAGAUGAUCAAAAUAUGUAACAAAAAAAUUUUAGAAAUGAAAAAUAUGUUAGAGUCAAAGCAAAACUCUGAAAAUAGAGAUAUUCAUUAAUUUAGAAGAGAUGCAAGCAAAAGAUAUUCCAAAAAAAAAAAGCAAUAUGCCCCUUUGGAGGGCAAACUUGUCAGUUUCAAAAAAGUACAUGCUUUGGAUUGAUAGUCGUAGGAUAUUUGUUUUGUCACUGUGUAUUAGUUGGAGAAGUCAAGCCUUGUGAAGAAUGUUAUGAAAGAGCAAAGGAUAUUCUUGAUAGAGCUCUAUUUGAUUAUGUAUUCAGUGAAUGGAUGUGUUGUUGGAAGAUAUGUGAGUGCAUUAGUUGAUUUGUGUCUGUCAAUGUGCUUUUAAUGAUUUUUCCACUUGUUUGUUGUAAAAGAUGAUUGUAAAUUGAAAUGAACUUGAUGUUGUAAAAUAUUUUGCUUAGUGGAAUUUCACCUAAGUAUUCAUUUUUUAUUAAACCUCGUUAACACAAUUCUUAAUUAAUGGUGUGUUUACUUCAUGAAAUAGGGAAUGAAAAUGGAGAAAUGAAAAUGAAACUCAUGUUUAUUUGGCAAAAUGUAAUUUGAGAAUGAGAAUAAAAUGUAUGGGUCCCAUAUAAUUUGAGAAUAAGGAAUGAGAAUCUCAUUCUCAUGGAAGGUUGGGAAUGAAAAUAAGAGAAUGAGAAUAGAAUAUAUAUUUACUUUUAUAUCUUUCUACUUUUUUCAUAUUUCCCAAAUUACCUUCAUUCAAAUCACAAUUAAUUUAUUAUUUUAAAUGUCAUUAAUAAUAAUUAUUAUUAUUAUCAUUAUUUUUAAAUUUUAUUAACUUUAUUAUUUUAGUUAUUAUUAAUUAUUUUUAUUAAUAUUAUCAUUAUUAACAAUAAAAAUAAUAAUUAAUGUAUCAUUAUUAACAAUAUUAUCAUUAUUGUUGUUGUUGUUGUUGUUAUUAUUUUUAUUAAUAAUAAUAAUAAUAAUAAUAAUAAUAAUAAUAAUAAUAAUAAAAAUAACAAUAAUUAAUAUUAACUAAAAUAAUAAAGUUAAUAAAAUUUAAAAAUAAUAAUAAUGCAAUUUUCAUUAUCUAGAUACAUGUAUAAAUAUUAUUAUAAAAAUAAUAUUAAUUAAAAUAAUAAUAAUAAAUGUUAAUAAUGAUAAUACUAAUAAAAAUAAUAUUAAUAGUAAUUAAUAAUAACUAAAAUAAUAAAGCUAAUAAAAUAUAAUAAUAAUAAUAUUAAUAAUAAUAAUAAAUGUUAAUAAUGAUAAUAUCAAUAAAAAUAAUAAUAACAAUAAUUAAUAGUAACUAAAAUAAUAAAGUUAAUAAAUUUUAAUAAUAAUAAUAAUAAAUGUUAAUAAUGAUAACAUUAAUAAAAAUAAUAAAUUUUAAUAAUGAUAACAUUAAUAAAAAUAAUAAUAACUAAAAUAACAAAGUUAAUAAAAUUUAAUAAUAAUAAUAAAUGUUAAUAAUGAUUACAUUAAUAAAAAUAAUAAUAACUAAAAUAAUAAAGUUAAUACAAUUUAAUAAUAAUAAUAAUAAUUGUUAAUAAUGAUAAUAUUAAUAAAAAUAACAAUAACAAUAAUUAAUAACAACUAAAAUAAUAAAGUUAAUAAAAUUUAAUAAUAAUAAUAAAUGUUAAUAAUGAUAAUAUUAAUAAAAAUAAUAUUAACAAUAAUUAAUAUAACUAAAAUAAUAAGUUAAUAAAAUUUAAUAAUAAUAAUAAUAAUAAUAUAGUUAAUAAUGAUUGUUAACUUUAUUAUUUUAGUUAUUAUUAAUUAUUUUUAAUAUUAUUUUUAUAAUAAUAAUAAUAAUAAUAAUAAUAAUAAUAAUAAUAAUAAUAAUAAUAAUAAUAAUAAUAAUAAUAACAAUAACAAUAACAAUAACAACAACAACAACAACAACAACAACAAUACACGACUUGGAUUAGGAUAGAAGGAAACUUAAAUGCUAGAGAAAAAGAUAGCUAUAUCCCAAGAUUUAAAAAAAUAGUCAUGUAGAUUUUUAAGAUUUCAGUAAGCGAUUGAAAUUUUCUUUUGACAAAUAAUAUCCUUUAUCUCUAUUAACAAAAAACAAAGACUCAAAUAUUUUAUAAUAAAUAAAAAUAUAAUAUUAAAAUAUAUGCAAUAAUAUAGACAUUUUAAAUAAUUUCAAUCCAAAAAAAUAGUUAUUUUUUACAAUCUAUUAAACAUAUUUUAUUGAAUUAAUAUAAGUUUUCUAUAAAAUAGGAACAUAAUAUUAAAUAAAUUUACAAAAAUUUAAAGAAUUUUGAAUGUAAAAUAAUUUUAAUAUAUUAAUACGUGAGAUUUUUUAUUAUUGUAAAAAUUAUUUAACCCAAAUCUUUUUUAAAAUCUUUACAAUAAGUAUAAAUAUGUUAUUUACAUUCAAAAAUAUUUAAAUAUUAUUAACCUACAAUUAUAUUUGCAUUUAUUAGAAAUUUUUAUAGUCAAAUAUUUUGCACUUCUACAUUAUUAGAAUUAUUGCACACAAAGAAAGAAACAUAUAAGCUUUAUAGCUUUAUAAAUUUUUUUUCUUUUACAUUUGGAAACAGAGAUGAUGAUUGAUUAUAAGGAUGAAAAAAAGGACAAAAAAUAUUAAUGAUUAACGAAAUCUCUAUGCAAAUUAAUUUUAGUAGGAAAAGAGUGAGAUAAAUGAUUUCUUUUACAGCUAGAAACAGAGAUGAUGAUUAUUAUAAGGUUAAAAAAAAAGAUAAAGAAUAUUAAUUAUUAAUGGAAUCUAUAUGCAAAUUGAUUUUAGUAGGAAAAAAGUGAGUUAAAUGAUUUAGACAUUCAUAGUGUGUUUAUUUUUUGGAUUGAUGAAUAAGAAUUAUUGACAACGCUAACUUCAUCUUCAUUGUUCGUUAUCCAACAACAACAAUUGUCGCCGAUAAUGAUACCUCCAAUGAUGAUGAUGAUUUUAUUAUUAUUAUUAUUAUUAUUAUGGAUAAAAAAUAUUUUAAUUAAUUAAUAUAUUAAUGUUAAUAUUAUUAUUAUUAAGAUUAAUAAUAAUUACUAAUAAUAAUAAAAUUUUGAAUAAAAAUAAUCACAAUAAUUAAAAUAAAAAUUAAUAAUUAUGACAAUAGUUAAUUAAUGUCUUUUUAGUAAUUUGUAAUAAUGUAACUCAUUUUGAUUUUGAUUGUUAUAAUUCAAGUAAACAAAUUAUUAUGAUUCAUAUUCUCCAUUCUCAUUUCAGCUCACUUUGAUUUCAAUUCAUUUUGAUUUCUGUUUAAUAAACGCGCCAUUAGUGAUAUAGUAAUAUUUCAUAUAGAGAAAAGUAAAAACUAUACCUAAGGUUAAGGGAAAUGACUUCAAACCUCUCUUUUGACCAUAAUACAUUUUGUCCUAAAUUUAAAGACUUUGAAUCUAAAAUUUUACAAUAAAUAAAAAUAAAUUCCUAAAAUAAAUAUACUAUCAAUAUUUAAAAUAUGUUUUAAUAUUUUAUAAUCUAUCAGACACAUUUUAUUAAAUUAAAGUAAAUUUUAUAAUAAAUACAAACGUACUAUUAAAAUGAAUAUAUAAAAAAUUUAGAGUAUGUUGAAUACUAUAUAUGCGUAAGACAUAUUUUAUUAAUUUAAAAGCUAUUUUACUUUAAAAAAUUAUUUAUGAUAAAUUAAUAAUUACAUUUUAAAAUUAUUUCAAAAUUUAAAUUUUUUUAAUAUUAUUAAUCUUUUGGAUAGAUUAAAUUGUUUUAAAAUGCCUUAAUUGUUUUUACUUUUAACGUUACUAGCCUUUCUUAUAUUUUAGGGAAAUUUACAAAAAUAAUCAUAAAACUUUUUCUAUUUUCACAAUUAACCCUCUAAACUUUUUUCUAUCAACAUUAGCCAAACACACACUUUUUUUCUUAAAUUACCCUUGUGUUUGCUAACCAACCUGUCGCACAUAGUUUAGUGCGAUAGGCACCUGUCGCACGAAGUUAUGUGCGACAGGCACCUGUCGCACCAAGCUAUAAAUACCCAAAAAGUAAAGUUUUUGACCAAAGCCCCGUUGUCACGGCAAGGUCAAUGGAUCAGAAGCGGGGAUCCUUGCACUGGAGCUGCCAUCGAUGAUUCCAUUGUCUUCGAUAACCCCGAUUACAAUCCCUUCAUAAAAUGUGACUGCUCUUCCCAAAAUGGCACUGUGUGCCACAUUACCUAGUUGUAAAUUUUUUUUUUUUAAUGGGGGUACACUUGCAAGAAUUGUUUGAUCAUAUCUGUAUAUCUUUCUUUUCAUGCUUGCUUAUUAUUGUUUUUUCUUUCUUUUUGAAACUUUCGUUUAUAGGAAAGUUUAUGCGCUGAAUGUGAUUGGUGUGAUACCAGAUGAACUAUGGAAUCUGACUUCCCUCUCCAAUCUGUAUGUUUUCAUUUUUUUUCCCUUAAGUGCAGACAUCACAUAUUUUAAAAUGCAAAUUCGAGAGUAAUAUUGAUUCGCAUGGCUGACCUUGAAUAACUUGACAAUUUUCCACCUUGUAACAGGAACCUGGGCCAGAAUAUUGGUGGGAGAAUAGGAAAUAGAAAUUUAGGGUUUUUGACCUAACCUUUAAUUUCAACUUUUGACUCCAGGAAGCCGCCAGCGACAAGUGAAUAAGUUGGGAGUGAAUUCGGCGAGGAGAGAGAGAGAGAGAGGAGAGAGAGGAAGAGGAGGAAGGAGAGGGAGAGUUAUGGGAGGGGUAUUUUCGGUACUAGAGAUUAUUAUUGGCUAAUGUUGAUAGAAAAAAAAUUGAGAGGUUAGUUGUGAAAAUAACAAAUUUUUUUAGGUUAUUUGUGUAAAUUUUCCUAUAUUUUAUUGCAAGUUAAUGCUAACAAGAAAAAGCUAGAUCAUAUUCCACAAAAGCAAAAGUGACAAAACAACCAACUGGAUUCUUUUAUUAAUCUACAAAUUAAAAUGGACUUUUUUUUUAUAAACUACGUAUGAAAGUGGAAUCUUUUGAAUAUAAGUGGGGUAGGCUUCCUUUCAAAAAAAGAAAGAAAGUGGGGUAGGCUCUUUUAUUAAAGAUAAGGAUUGAGUAGUCAAGACGAUUAGGGUCUUUUAUUAAACUACAAAUUUUAUAGUUUUAUAAAUUGGUGGCCCUUUGAAAAUUUAACUACAAGUCUGCAAGUACCAAUCAGAGAAAAGUCAUCAUUCACAAUCUUCCAAGAGAAACAGGGGAUAUACAAAGAUUAAGACAUGUGCAUUCCCUUUCAUGUUCUUAAUAAUUGAAGGCAACUUGUUCAUUACAUGCAUACUUUUCAAAUGUGGAGCCCCAGCUAAUGUCGCUACUUUAAUUUGGAAUUAAAUUAGGGGAACAUUAUACGCUUACUUUUAUGUUUAUCUAAACUCCGUAAAUUUUAGAUAGAUUAUGGCGUAAAUAAGAAUAUAACAAUAACAAAAGAGUUAGAAAGCAUAGUAAAGAUCUUGCAGAAAUAUAAAUAUUAGUGCUCAAUUACAUAACAUAGAACAUCCGAAUUGAAUAGUGAUUAUCAGGACUGUGUUACUUGCACUCCCAUUUAUAGAAAAUCUUGGUUCUGUUCCAUUAAAGUUUUUAUCUUCAAAAUCUUGUAAAGUUUUAACAAUCACAAAAGGCUCAGCUUGCUUGAUCUAUAUUUGUAUGAUAUGAAUCCAAAUUUAUAGAAAAUCUUACUUUUUUUACUAUUAUUUUUUUUUAAAUUUAAAAUUAUUAUUCUAAUUUAUAAAUUUAUCUUUUUUUAAAAAAAAUAGAGGGCUUGAACCUAGCUAGCUCGUGCAUUUUUUCCUAAACUCUUAUGCAAGCCCUCAUGUGCGGUCCAAAACCCGUGAGAAUGAGCCCAGGCUUGCUCCGACUUUUUGGCCAUGGAUAAUGAUGAUGAUGAUGAUGAUUAUUAUUAUUAUUAUUAUUAUUAUUAUUAUUAAUGAUAAAAAGUAUUAUAAUUAAUUAAUAUAUUAUUGUUAAUAUUGUUAUUAAUAAUAAAAUUUUUUUUAAUAAAAAUAAUCACAAUACUUAAAAUACAAAUUCAUAAUUAUAACAAUAGUUAAUUAAAGUCUUUUUAGCAAUUUGUAAUAAUCUAACUCAUUAUAAUUUUGAUUAUUACAGUUUAAGUAAAUAACUUAUUAUGAUUCUUAUUCUUCAUUUACACUUCAGUUCAUUCUGAUUUCAAUUUAUUCUGUUUUCCGUUUAAUAAAUGCAGUAUUAGUGCUCUAGUAAUAUUUCAUAUAGAGAAAAGUAAAAGCUAUACCUAAGGUUGAGGGAAAAGACUUCAAAACUCUCUUUUGAUUAUAAAACCUUUUGUCUUAAUUAACUUAAAGAUUUUGAAUCUAAUAUUUUAUAAUAAAUAAAAAUAUAUUCCUAAAAUAAAUAUAAUAAUAUCUAUUUUAAAAUAAAUAUCAAUAUUUAAAAUAUGUUUUAAUAUUUUAUGAUCUAUCAAACAUAUUUUAUUAUAUUAAAGUAAAUUUUAUAAUAAAUACAAACAUAAUGAAUUUAUAAAACAUUUAAAGUAUUUUGAAUAUUAUAUAAAAUAAUUUUAAUAUAAUGCAUGAGAUAUAUUUUAUUAAUUUAAAAUGCUAUUUAACCUAAAGAUUUAUUUAAGAUAAAUUAAUAAUUAAAUUUUUUAAAUUAUUUCAAAUAUUAAAAAUUUGUAAUAUUAUUAGUCUAUUAGAUAAAUUAAAUUAUUUAUAUUAUUUUGUAUCUAUUAAAAAAAAUUUAAAGUCAAUCUUUUUAAUUACUAUUGGAAGGAUAUAAUGAUUAAAAAAAUCUUAGUAUUUUUUAUUAAAAAUUUAAAAAUUUACAUGACCAUUUCUAUAAAUAUUUAGGUCUUGUUUGGUAUGUCAGAUUGGAUUGAAUUGGAUCUGAUCGGAUUAGAUAAGAUAGGAUUUGAUUGGAUAAUACUGGAUUAUAUAUAAUAUUAUGUUGUGUUUAUUAUGCCAUGAGAUUAGCUAGUAACUAAUAAUAUGUCUUAUAUAUUAAUUUAUUAAAAUCAUCGUAGAUUUACUUUAAAAUGACAUAUAAUAUAAUAUAACUUAAAUCAAUAAUUAUUGGUAAAUUUAUAAAAAAAAAAUACAAAAUCUUCCCUUAAGUUUUUUUUAAUAUUUAACAUGUUAUAAUUUCUAAUCCCAUGAAUAGUAGAGGAUAAAGUUUUAUCUUAGAAAAAGUAAUCCCAAGGGUCCCAUUGGGAUGAAAUUUUACCUUUACUGGAAUUAAGUGGUGGGCCCAUUAUUGUUACCUUUACUUUUUUUACACCAAACAUGAUAUAAAGAUUAUUUUACACUAAAAUUAUCCAAUCCCAUGAUAUAUAACUAGGGAUGGCAAAAAUUCCCAUGGGGACGGGUACCCUCGGGGAUUUUUCCCAUUCGGGGAGGGUAUGGGGAUAAUUUCAUAUCCAAUUUCUUAUUCGGGGAGGGGAUGGAGAAAUUUUUUUACCCAAUUUCUUAUUCGGGGAGGGGACGGGGAUGAGGUGGAAUCCCCAUCCCCUACCCAUUUCCCCAUUUUAAUUUUUAAUUUUAUUUUUUAAAAUUACUAGUAAAUAAAUUAUAAAAUUUAAAUUAUAAAAUUAUAAAUAUUGGUAAAAAUAAAAAAAUAUCAAAAUAUUUAUAUUAUUAAACUUUUGGGCCUAAUUAACUAAUUAAAGUCCUAAAUUUUUAUUUAGGAAAUUAAAAAGACCGAGUAGAUUCUAUUAGCCCAAAAUUUUUUUAAUUUUAAUAUUCUUUAAAUAUUUUAAACUUAAAUCUAUUUUUUAUUUAUUUUUAGAUGUUAUAAUUGCCCACAGCGAAUCACAAUUUUAAUAUCUAAUAUAAUCUAAUAUAAUAUUUGCUCUUGAUUUGCUCCGAUUUAACUAUUGUGUUGUAAAGGGAAUAGUCCACAUUUAUAAAGUGCCCACGCCACCAUUGAAAAAGUUAAUUUUGAAUCUAAAUUCGAUUUUAUUUGUAACAAAUUUGUAUUAGACUAUUAAUUUGUUCAUGAUAGUUUGUAAAAGAAGUUUGUAUCCCUUGCAUGCAACGUUACUUACUAAUUUAAUGUAUGUGACUUUUGUAAUGGAUAUUAAUGUAAGAUAUAUUUCGAACUUUACUUUUAUUUGAAUUUUUUAUUUUAAUAUGAUUAACUCAAAAUCGAAAACAAAAAAAAAUGUAUUAGUUAUUCGGGGAUCGGGGACCAUCGGGGAUCCCCUGUUAUUAUUGGGGGAGGGGAUAAAGAUUCUCUCAAGUAAUUCUGACGGGGACGGGAAGGGGACGAGGACAUACACAAAAUAUCGGGGAUGGAUACAGAGAGAUUGGUCCCCUCCCCUCCCCUCCCCAUUGCCAUCCCUAUAUAUAACUAAAACCAAACAGUCACUUAGGGUAUAUAUGAGCCACGGUGGAGAAGCUUUAUUUAAUAUUAUUGAUUUAAAUAAUAUCUCAUUAAAAAUGUACUGAGAAGAAAUUUCGGUGGGUAUUUUAGUCUUUUCAGCAAUCACAUGAUCAGCCUUUGGCCUUGAAACGUCGGUCAGAAAUAGAAUGAUUUAUUCUAACAAGAAAAAACUAGGUAAUAUUCCACAAAAGCAAAAGUGACAAAACAACCAGCUGAAUUCUUUUAGUAAACUACAAAUUAAAAUAGAUUUUUUCGAUAAACUACAAAUUAAAGUGGAUUCUUUUGAAUGCAAGUGGGACAGACGAUUAGGCUAAAAAUUAGUCAAGAAUCUAAUAGUCUUUUUCAAAUUCUUGUUUUAUUAUUUUUCAAAACCAGUUUUUGGUAAUUACAAUCGGGUCAUUAAUCAUUAUUCAGAGUUAUUGUUUCCUUCAAAAGUUAGUGGCUCAUGUUUGCAAGUGUGAAUGUGCGAUGCUCUUUUUCCAAAGCGCAAUGACAGUGGGUCCCGAAUCGGACGUCCCUAAAUCUUUUUAAAAUUUUUGCCGUAUAACGAACAGAGGUCAUUACUAAAAUUUCUCUUCCACAGCCUACAGCAGCUUCAGUUUAUCAAACUCAAUCAAUUUUCUUUCUUAACAAAAUUCCAAAGAUGUGUAGCAUUUUUCAGAUCACAUGCGAUGGUGCUCUUUUCAAUCGUUGCUUGGAUUGCUUUCUUGGAAAAGCAGCAUACAUACGUAACCUCCAAGAUAAUCUUGUAGCCUUGGAGACUGAAUUGGGAAAUCUAAUCGCAAUAAAGAACGAUCUGAUGAGGAGGGUUGACGAUGAUGAACGGAAACAAAUGAUAAGGCUGGAAAGAGUGCAACGGUGGAUUUCGAGGGUGGAUGCUGUUAAAACUGAAGCUGAUCAAUUUAUAGGAGACCGCUCUCAAGAAAUUGAAAAAUUAUGUGUUGGAGGCUACUGUUCCAAGAACUGCAGGUCAAGCUACAAGUUCGGAAAACAAGUGGCUAAAAAGCUACAAGAUGUGAAGACUUUAAUCGCCGAGGGAGUUUUUGAGGCGGUGGCUACUGAGGCGGUGCCCGAGAGAGCUCCGGAACCUGUAGCAGAUAAAAGACCCAUUGAGCCAACAAUAGUAGGCUUGCAAUCACAGCUUGAACAAGUUUGGAGAUGUCUUGUAGAAGAAUCAGUGGGAAUCAUUGGCCUAUAUGGUAUGGGCGGUGUUGGUAAAACCACUCUAUUGACCCGUAUCAACAAUAAAUUUCUUGAGAGUCAAAACAACUUUGAUUGUGUAAUUUGGGUCGUAGUUUCAAAAGACCUGCGACUUGAAAAAAUUCAAGAAGAUAUUGGGAAGAAGAUAGGUCUAUCUGAUGAUUCAUGGAAGAAUAAAAGUUUUGAAGAGAAAGCUGUGGACAUCCUGCGGAGAUUAGGAGAGAAGAGAUUUGUAUUGUUGUUAGAUGAUUUAUGGGAGCGGGUUGAUUUAACAGAAGUGGGCGUUCCACUUCCCAGCCCACAAAAUACUACAUCAAAAGUCGUAUUCACGACCCGUUUCAUUGAUGUUUGUGGUAGCAUGGAAAGUCACAGGAAGUUUAAAGUGGCAUGCUUAUCAGAAGAGGAUGCUUGGGAGCUGUUUCGAGAAAAAGUAGGGCAAGAAACUCUUGAGAGUGAUCAUGAGAUCGUUGAGCUAGCCCAAACUGUGGCCAAAGAGUGUGAUGGUUUGCCACUCGCACUUAUUACUAUUGGUCGAGCUAUGGCCUACAGAAAGAAAGCGGAGCAGUGGAGACGUGCAAUUGAAAUAUUAAGAAGAUCAGCUUCAGAGUUUGCAGAUUUGGGAGAAAAGGUGUACUCUCUUUUAAAAUUCAGCUAUGAUAGUUUGCAGAAUGAUACGGUUAGAUCUUGUUUCUUGUAUUGUUGUUUAUAUCCUGAAGAUUAUGGCAUUCUUAAAUGGGACUUGAUUGAUUGUUGGAUUGGUGAGGAAUUUUUUGGGGAAUCUGACAGGUUUGGUGCAGAAAACCGAGGAUAUGACAUUUUGGACACUCUUGUUCGUGCAUGUUUAUUAGAAGAGGUGGAAGAUGAUAAAGUAAAAAUGCAUGACGUUAUUCGUGAUAUGGCUCGAUGGAUAGCUUGUGAAAUUGAGAAGGAGAAGAGAAACUUUUUGGUUUGUGCAGGUGCUGGAUUAAAAGAGUCACCGGAUGUUAAAGGAUGGGAAAAUGUGAGAAGAUUGUCAUUGAUGCAAAACCAAAUUAAAACUCUGUCAGAGGUUCCCACAUGCCCUCAUCUCCAUACUUUAUUUCUUGCCUCUAAUAUGGAGUUGGAGAUGAUCGCGGAUGGCUUCUUCCAAUUUAUGCCUUCUCUCAAAGUUUUGAAGAUGUCACGCUGUGGGCAAUUCGAAGGUUUUCAGUUACCUAUUGGGAUGUCAGAGUUGGGUUCGUCACUAGAACUUCUUGAUAUUUCAUAUACCACCAUAACAGAGUUACCAGAAGAGUUAAAGUUGUUGGUAAAUCUGAAAUGUUUGAAUUUGAGUUGGACAUCUAGGUUAAAUAAAAUUCCACGGCAACUAAUAUCAAAUUCUUCAAGGUUAGGUGUGUUGAGAAUGUUUGCUACUGGCUAUGGAUAUUUUCAUGAAGCACCAGAAGACAGCGUUUUAUUUGGUGGGGGUGAAGUUUUGAUACAGGAAUUGCUCGGUUUGAAAUAUUUAGAGGUAUUGGAGUUGACCUUGGGAAGUUAUCAUGCUCUCCAAAUUCUUUUGAGCUCAAAUAAGUUAAAAAGUUGUAUUCGAUCUCUUUUCCUACAGUUGACCGGAGAUACAGCGUUAAUUAUUGAUGCUACGGCUUUCGCAGAUCUAAAACACCUCAAUGAAUUAUAUAUUUCUGAAGGUAUUGAGUUGGAAGAAUUGAAGAUUGAUUAUAUGGAGAUAGUACAAAAAAGGCGGGAACCUUUUGUUUUCCGCAGCCUUCACCGUGUUACUAUGGAGGUGUGUUUUGAAUUGAAAGAUGUGACAUUCCUCGUUUUUGCUCCAAACCUCAAGUCUCUUUCGCUAUGGAAUUGCCAUGCUAUGGAAGAAAUAAUCAGCGUCGGAAAAUUUUCUGAGACUCCUGAGAUGAUGGGACAUAUAAGCCCUUUUGAAAAUCUCCAAACUCUUGAUCUAUCAGAUUUGCCAGCUUUGAAUAGCAUCUACUGGAAGCCAUUGCCUUUCACUCAUCUGAAAGAAAUGGCGGUAAGUGGGUGUGAUCAGCUUGAAAAGCUUCCACUCGAUUCCAACAGUGCAAAGGAGCGUAAAUUUGUUAUUCGUGGAGAAGAAGACUGGUGGAACCGACUUCAAUGGGAGGAUGAAGCCACUCAAAUUGCUUUUCGUUCCUGUUUCCAACCUCGUUCCUGAGCGGUGGUCGCAAAAUUUGAUUUCUGGUGAGUGCGUUUGUCUUUUAAAAGAAGAAUUUAAAAGAAAUUUAUUCUUGUCGUUUUCUUCUCUGUUUUUAUUUCAGUUUCUCUCUCUCUCUCUCUCUGUCUUCUGCAAAUCACAAUUAAAUGUUGAAUUAAUGGAAUUAAUGCUUCAUAAAUUUGCCGGCAAAUUUAUAUCUUCUUAGCGAUUUAAUUUCCUGUCAAAAGACGAACGAGAAGAAUUGAUGCUCUGGUUUUUGACUUUUUGUUGUCAAAUUUUACUCUGUUUUUUCAAAUUGAUGCUUCAAUAUUUGAAUCAAAUUAAUGCUCACGUAAAUUUGUCUAGUUGCCGUAAAAGAUAUAAUUAGACUGAAAUACACACUUUUAGAAUCAAUAGAAUUAAACAGAGAAAACAUUAAGUAUAAUAGCCAUCUUCACAUAAAACACAUGAUUAACAUUAAGUUAAAAUUUUGAAGUUUUGAUUUUCUAUGGUCAAUCAUACCCUUUAUAAUUUCUUCUGUUCUAACCACAAUAAAAUUUUUGGUUCCAGGAUUUUUAUUUGGGGUAUUAAUAAUAGUCCACCAAAAGAGUGAACAGUUGGAUGCUGCUCUAAGGGUCUCUAAUCAAUAGCUGGAAGCAAUUGAGAAGGCGGUCGCUACUGUGUACAAAGCCAUGCAGUAUUUGUUAUUCAUCUUAGUAAUUAUGAAGCUUUGGUAAAAUUUUCAUGAUUUUGUAUGAAUAUCGUUGUUCCAUUGAGUUGUAUAUGAAUUCAAAUGUAAAAUAUUCUUUGGUUUUCAAUUUUGAAUUCAAUUUCUUUUUCUUAAGCAUGUUGUGCAGAAAUGAUUUCUAUUAAAUCAUUUUUGAUAAAUUAUUUAAAUUAAACAACUGGAAUAAGAACUGUAAGGAUUUAUCGUAAGCAGACUAAUAUGAUAAUUCUGAAACUAUCAUUUUUUUUUUCAAUUUGUUGCAGGGAAAGCCAAAUUUUGCGUUUUUCAGUUUUAUCUGAUAUGGAAUUUAUUUCAAUUUGUUAUUUUUAUGAAGAAAAAUUGAAAUUUUAUUAAAUAGGUGACAUAAUAAUAAAUGGAUGCUUGUAAAAAUUGAGAUUAUUGAUAUAAUUAAUAAAUAGAUUGGAUUGAAGUGAGUUUAAUUUUGAGAAGAUAAUAAGACGACGCGACACAACUACAACCAACCAGUCAACCCAAAUUGCCACCUUUUACUAUCUUCUUUGUGUUAUUUCUCUAAAACUUUAUGCCUUCUCUUACACUUUUAAAUCUUAAGUGUUUGAACUGGAGUACACAAAUUAUCUCUCUAUGAUUCCAAAACAACCAAUUUGUUACUUGGUAAAUCUUAAUCAAUGGGAGGAAGCAAUUGAGAAGGCGGCCGCUACUGUGUACAAAGCCAUGCAGUAUUUGCUAUUCAUCUUAAUAAUUGUUAAGCUUUGGUAAAAUUUUCAAAAUAAGUUGACAUAUUAUUUUGAGAUUUGGUUCAUGAUUUUGCAUGAAUAUCGUUGUUCCGUUUGAGUUGGAUGUGAAUUCAAACCUAAAUAUUCUUUGGUUUUCAAUUUUGAAUUCAAUUUCUUUUCCUCAAGCAUGUUAUGCAGAAAUGAUUUUUACGAAAUCAUUUUUGAUGAAUUAUUUAAAUUAAACAAUUGGAAUAAGAAUUGUAAUGAUUUAUCAUAAGCAUGCUAAUAUGAUAACUUGUUUUACGAACGAUUAGUUAAUCAAUUAAUAUUAAAUUGUAUAUUAGUCAAUUAGAUAUGUGUUAUAUUUGUCAUAUUCUAAAAAUUAUUUAUUUAUAUUUCAAAUAAAUUUGACCAGAGGUUACGUAGGUAAUACUACAUAAUUUCUAAAGGAAUGUAAAAAUUUAAAAUUUUAUUAAAUAGGUGACUCAACCAUAAAUGGAUUUCUGCAAGAAUUGAGAUUCUUGAGAUAAUUAUUACAUGGGGAAUUUUGGUUAGUUCAAUUUUGACAUGGUAAGAAGACGACACGGCGCAGAAAACCCAAAUUGCCACUUCUAGUGAUAGUAAUAAAAGAUACUUGUUUGAAAAGUAAUUAUAAACUAUCUUCUUUGUGUUAUUUCUCAAAACUUUUGUGGCACAAAUGUUACUUCCCUGGAGAAAAGUACGAAAUACCCCCUUUCACGUCGGCAGAAGCAAAGCAAAGCUAUGAGAGCAUCUCCAAAAGCCUAUAUAAAUUUUACUCUUCAAAUACCUAUUUGCUUACUUAUGUGGCAAAUAAAAGGGUGAAAAAAUAUGAUAUUCUCCAAAAGACUCUUCAAAUAGAAAAAAAGUUAAUAUUAUUUUAAUCAUAUAAUUAGUUUUUUAAAGGAAAAGUCAAUAGCAAUUAAAGCACUCCUCUCUCUUUCUUCAAUAAAAAAUAAUAAAAUAUAAAUUGAAGAGGGAGAAAUUAACUCUCCAAAUUUGAAGAGAGAGAAUUAAUUCUUAUUUGAAGAAUCUUAAUUGAAGUAUCUUUUGGAGCUUUAAAUAUUGAUGUGGCUCUUCAAAUAAGUAAUAAAAUCUUAUUUGAAGAGCCUUUUGGUGAUGCUCUGAGCUAUCUCUGUAUACUUGAAAUGCCAUUGCUAAACGAUUCUCGAUGAUUGGUGCCACUAGGCGAAGUGUUGUCGCCGAUUUGCAUGAUUUAUUAGUUGUCCAGAUGCCAGAGAAACCAUGGUGGCAUUGAAGUUGCCCAGAUGGUUAGUUUUCUGAUCAUUUUUUUAUUCAAUUAUUCAUUUUUUUAGAAAAAUGUAAGAAAUAUGUAGAAAUGUUGACAGCUACGAUUUUGAAACUUUGCCUAAAAUUGUUAUCAUCACUUAUUUAAAGAGAAAUCCUAGAAACAUGACAUGAUUAGCAGCCUAAUUCAAAAUUAGACGUGAUUACAACAAGAGAAAAGUGGAGAGAACUUGAUAGUCGAGUGCAUUUAGAAUUUAAUUUUUCUUUUAGCUGCCAAUCAUUAAAUUUUUUAUUUCAGAAAAUUAUACCUAGAAUAUUUCAAGGAUAUACUAUGAAGAUUAUGAAGGUUUGAUUACAUGUCAUUAUCAAUUGCCCCAAUCAUUUGUAGUAAAUUAAUUGAUCAUUUUGAUGCAAAUGAUUCCCUACUAAAAAAUUCAAGUCAAAGCGGAAUUGCAUAGUAGUUAGUCGCGCUUGCACUUCAAAUUAAGUAUUGUAUUUUCUGCCUGGUUUGGUUGAUUAAAGUGUGUGCAUUUGCUUUUGAACGUUGUAGUAUAGAAAUCGAAACAUUUGUUUUUCGCUAAGCCCAGAAGCAAAGUUCUUUGUACUGUACUCAUCACUUCUCUUCGUUCUCUUUGUUGAAAUUUUAUCCAAACAGAGGUUUCUUCGAAUUUGUGCCUUCUCUUACACUUUAAAAUCUAUCAAAGAACCGUUACCUGAGAAGAUUGCCAUCAGGAAUUUCUAAAUUGAUUUCACUAUAAUACCUUAAUCUUUCAGAUACUUCCGUCACUGGGUUGCCAAAAGUGCUAAAAGCCUUGGUAAAUCCUACGUGUUUGAACUGGAGUACAAAAGUUAUCUCUCCACAAUUCCAAAACAACUGAUUUGUUACUUUUCAAUUCUACACGUUCUGCGAACAUUCAGUUGUGGUUAUCUUGCUGAAAUACCAGAAAAUAGGGUUCUAUUUGGCGGUAGUGGAUUCUUGGUUGGGGAAUUGCUUAGUUUAAAACGUUUAGAUGUAUUAAGCAUCACCUUAAAAGGUUUUUCUUCUGUCCUAACAGUUUCAAAGCUGUACAAAAUGUUUGGAGCUUAUAGACUGUGAUGAUUCAAAGUCGUUUGCCUUGGCAGAGUUGAAGCAUCUUGUAAAACUAGGUUUUUCAAAUUGUGGAAAUUUGGAAGAUAAAUUACAUUUAUAAACUGUGGAUCACCCUUUAUAAGUAUUAGGCUUAUCCCAUACUCGAGCAAUGUGGAAUACCUUUAUAAGCAUUAAGCCUCUCCCAUACAAUUUCUGUACAUGACUCUUCUUUUUUUUUUUUUUUUUUUUUUUUUUUUAAGAUCGUUAAAAGUGGUUGAUGAUCCGUUUUGUAAUAUCAUAGAGGGAUCAUGAAUUCCUUUUCUUUUCUGUGGCUAGGCAACACUUUUGGCCAAAGUAAGGAAAUCUAUUUUAGGUAAUGUAAAAACCAGUUGUGGGAUGUAAUAGUUUAUUAUGCACUGACAAUAACUUUUUGUAUAAUUGUCAGUUUAAUGAAUAUGAGAGGAACUCUGUUGGCAAAUUCAACCAUGAUAGAUGCUAAAUUAUACCAGUUGCCUUAACUAAUUUUUCUCAACACUGGUAUUGAACAGGAAAAUGAAUAUGCAAUUUGUAUUUGUGCCAUUGUGGAGAAUUUGGAUAUUCUUAUUUUUAGUAACAAGGAGAGUAUUUGCCUCAUCUUUAAACAAUGAAUCUUUGAGAAAUGAGGAGUGGGUGAUUGGCAGUGUCAGAGUGUCUUCAUGUAAAUGUUCAUUUAUUUGUAUUUUGAACUAUUAUUAGAAUCUUUAUAUGCCAAAUUAGUAGUACAAAUGUUCAGAUGAUUUUUCCUGUUGAUCAUUUCAUUCUUGAGAGCCAUGUACAAUACUAGGAUACCAGAGAAACCAAGGUAGCAUUGAAGUUGCCCCAGUGGCUAGUUUUCCGAUCAUUUUUAAUUUAUUCAAAUUUUUAUGUUUUAGAAAAAUGUAAGAAAUAUGUAGAAAUGUUGAUAGCUAUGAUUUUGAAACUUUGCCUAAAAUUGUUAUCAUCACUUAUUGUUUCUUAUUUAAAGAGAAAUCCUAGAAACGUGACAUGAUUAUUCCAUACUUGUUUUAAUAUUAUUUAUUAGCAGCCUAAUUCAAAAUUAGACGUGAUUAUUUGUUACUUUUAAUGCUACAUGUUCUGGGAAUAUUCAGUUGUGGUUAUCUUGUUGAAAUACCAGAAAAUAGCGUUCUAUUUGGUGGUAGUGGAUUCUUGGUUGGUUUAAAUGUAUUUAAGCAUCACCUUAAAAGGUUUUUCUGCUGUCCAAAAACUUACGAGCUCCCAAAAGUUUCAAAGCUGUGCACAACCUUUGGAGCUUAUAGACUGUAGUGAUUCAAAGUUGUUUGCCUGCGCAGAGUUGAAGCAUCUUGAAAAACUAGGUUUUUCAAAUUGUGGAAAUUGGAAGAGUUUAAGUUCUGCUGUGUCGAGGAUGGAAAGGCUCGAGAAUGUUUUUGUGUGAACAGCCUCCAACGAGUUAAGAUAAAGGCUUGUCAUAAAUUGAGGGAAGUGACAUGGCUUGUAUUUGCUCCGUGUCUUGAGGUUAUUCAAAUAGACAAAUGUAUGGGGAUGGAAGUAAUAAUCAGUGCAAGGAAAUUGGUUGAAUUUCCAGAGAUGAUGGCAGAUCUAAACCCUUUUGCAAACAAUAUCUUGGCCCACGAGUUCUACCAAAAUUAAAAAGCAUCUAUUGGAAUCAGUAGCCCUCUCUACAUGUCAGGCGAAUUUUGUAUCUGAAUGCCCAAUUCUCAAGAAGCUUCCACUUGGUUUUAACAAUGCAAAGGAAUCUAAAACUAUCAUUAGGGGAGAAGAACAUUGGUCGAAUGAGCUGCAAUGGGAGGACAAAGUGACCCUCAAUGUUCUUCUUCCUUGUUUCGGAUCCAUUUGAGGGCAUCAACAUGGAUUGAUAUGAUGCAAUGGGAGGACUUCAUUUUGUUUCGGCCAGAAAUGUUUGUUUCGAUCGAAGACUUGAACCAUUUUCAUUGAACCUGAUUAUGAUGCUUUACGUUAUGCAUGUUCCUCUUAAUCAAGAAAAGUUGAGGUGAUGAUUUUAUAUUUCUAUAUUGUAAGUUGAAAUAAUAAUUGGUCUGCUUGUUUCUGUAGCUUGAUAACAUGAAUUUUCCUUCUCAAGUUAAUUUAAUCAAUAAAGUAAUUCUUCAAAGAAAAUAUGCCCAUUCUAUAAUCAUUUUCUUAACUAACAUGUUUUUUUCUUCACUCUUCAGAGCAUGUUGAAACUAAUUGAUCGCUCGGCAGAGACUUUGGGUGAGAAGACAAAAUUUCUUGGUAAAUCCUCUGAAAAGUUAUGCAUAAUUCCGGAGUAUUAAAUAACCAAUGGUCAUAAUUUUUGUACAGGACUCUUUUCUUGUGGAGAUGAUUAAAAGUGGCUGAUGAUCCAGUUUGUAUAUCAUAGAGGUAGCAUCAAUUCCUUUUCUUUUCAGUGGCUAGGCAACACUUUCAGGGCAAAGUAAGGAAAUCUAUUUUAGGCAAUGUGAAAACCAAUGGUAGGAUGUAAUAGUUUAACAUGCACUGACAAUAACUUUUUGUAUAAUUGUCAGUUGAACGAAUACAAGAGGAACUCUGUUGACAAUUCAUCCAAGAUAGAUGCUAAAAUUCAUCCAGUUGCCUUAACUAAUUUUUCUUAACACUGGUAUUGAAGAGGAAAAUGAAUAUGCAAUUUGUAUAUUGUGCCAUGUGGAGAAUUUGGAUAUUCUUAUCUAAGUAACAAGGAGAGUAUUUGCCUCAUCUUUAGACAAUGAAUCUUUGAGAAAUUAGGAGUGGGUGAUUGGCAGUGUCUUCAUGUAAAUGUUCAUUUGUUUGUAUUUUGAGCUAUUAUGAGAAUCUUUUAUAUGCCAAAUUAGUAAUGCAAAUGUUCAGAUUAUUUUUUCUGUUGAUCGUGCAUUUGUGUCUGCUCACAACCAUUGUAUAUCACUUCAUUCUGAUGCGCAAGUCUCUGUAGUUUAGAAGAAAAGAAAUAAUAAUGAUAUAUUAUUGCUUGAUUCAUGAUUAUUAAAUGAUUAUGGCUUUAAAAAACCUACAAAUUCCUUCUGUUGAUAUAUGAAUGUACCAAGUUUGCUAUAUCUUAGAUUACCAUUUCCAAGAUAACAAGUUCAAUUUUUUUCUUUAUCCUUUUCCAUCACAGUUGCAUUUUAAGUGUAAGAUUUGUUAUUAAUACCUGGUUUCUCGUCAUUAUGAUUUCAUAAACAGUGUAUGGGUAUGUGCUCUACUUUUGGAGGGCCUCCACGUGAAAGAAAAUUGCAACAAUUGAAUUCUUCCGGAUGGUAUGGUAUUUAAUUUAUUUUCUCAACCUCUUGUAAGACUAAUAUAUUUUCCUUCAGUAGAUACGGCAUGGUGGGAAGGGUUUUUUAUUGAAAGAAUUCUGAUAUUUCUUAGACUUUGUUUUGGAAGGGGGUGCAGGGGUUUCUCAUCCAUAUAUGGUUACUUGAUUAGCUUUUGACUGUAUUGCCUCAAACGUGCAAAGGAAGAUCCAAAUACAAAUGAAGGAGAAUUGUUUAGACACCCAGAAGAUGGAAAUGAACUACAGAAGGAAGUUUUUGCUGCUUUAUUUAGUGCUCCUGAGAAAUCUGAUGAAUUUCCUGAAAUUACGGUGAAGACCAAGUGUGAGGUCCAAAGCAUUAGGAAAGGUGGUGAGUGAACUGCCGGAGGAAUUGGUACAGAAUACAAGGCUAAUGUGGUGGACUUGCAGCAAGAUAACCGGAACAGUACGUGCUCUUAUAUUAACUAUAUUGACUGGAUUUGCUAGUGUGUGCAUUUUCGUGUGUAUACUUUUGUAUUUAUGCAUAUUAAUGUGUGUAGGAUUCUUGAUUUCUGCCACUUACUGGAGAACUAAUGGAAAGCUUUAUACUGGUAUAUCUGCAAUAACUAAUGGAAACUAUGAUAUUAAUAUUAUCUCUCGCUUGGAGAACUGCGUAACAGAUAUACUUUGUGGCUCUGGAAUACUAAAGAUUCUGCAAUAACUAAUGGAAACUAUGAUAUGAAUAUUUUCUCUCACCUGGAGAACUUUGUAACAGUUACACUUUGGGGCUUGGAAUGUCUAAAGAAUUUUGUCUGCUUCAGUUAGAUCAAAUAUCUUUUAGUUACAUACAUUAUAGAAAAGAUAAAGUUCUCUGAAUCUGAAAGACUUAAAAUUUUGCAUAUUUCUUGAAAGGGAAUAUCUGUAGAUACUAGUUCAUGCAUUGUGGUAGCAUCAAUGUUAAAGAAAAACAGCAGUAAGUUAUUAUAUAGAAUUAGGUUCACUUGCUUUAAAUCCUGGUCUGGUCAACCAUAUGAACCUGUAAGUGGUUCUGUAGAAAUAUAUAUAUACGGGGAGAAGGUAGCUAAAUUUUCCUUUCAUUUAUGGGUUUGGUCAUUUUUUCCCCUUAUUUAUGUUUUCUCACACAUUUUUUAUAUGCCCCAAACAUGCAAUUUUGUAUGUGUCAAUUGCCUUUUAAGUUUUAAAAACCAUAAAGUAAGAAUACAGUUUCUUGUCAGGCUAUUGAUGCAUUUGCUCGGGGGAUCAUGCUCGAGCAGGAAAACUUCUAGAACAGGUAAGGUUUCCAUCUACAGCCAUUUAUUGACAACAUAUAUAUUUUCAUUCAGCAAGCACUGUUAGCAUUCAAGAUGCUGGCAGAUUCACUUGAUUCUUAUUAGUUUGUUUAGUAGCAAAGCAUAUAACCUGUAUUUUAAAGCUAAGUUGUGCUAUUGAUUAUGUUAACUUUAUUGUUCACAUAAAGUGAUAUAGAGGAAAUAAUCAAUGUAGGAAAAUUAGGUGAAGAGAUGAUGUCAAAUCUUGAACCUCUUACAAAACUCCAAGUUCUUUACUGGAAGAAACUACCAAAUUCGAACAGCAUCUACUGGAAGGCCUUGCCAUUCCCUGAUGUAUGCAGAAUUUUUGUAUUUAAAUGCCCAGAGCUUAAGAAGCUGCCACUGGAUCUUGAAAGGGCAGGCCAAGGUAAAAUUCUUAUCAAGGGAAAGAAAGAUGGGUGGAAACAACUUCAAUGGGAGGAUCAAGUAACUCAGAAUGCAUUGCUUCCAUUUUUAAAAUCAACUCAGAAGUGAUUGAAGGGGGCGUCAUCAACAUGGAUGGAGAGAUUCUGGAGCAGAUCAGCGGGGUUUAGUACGACCUGUGGUGGUUUCUUUGUUGUGACUUUUUUCCCUUUCAUUUUUUCACUUCCUGUCAUAUUAUCAUUUCUUUGUCUCUGUUUCUAUUGCUGGUGUUGCUGCAUGCUUGCCGUCCUUGACAAAGUUAGCUAGUUUUUUUUUUUUGUUUAUUAAAUUUUGUAUGUUCGGUCGGGACAGUCACACAGUACUACUUGUUCUAUAUGGGGGUGAUGUGAAUCAACUUUUCAAUUAUAUAUUCUGUGGUAAUUGUGAAUUCAAUUUCAUUUGUCUCCUGCAAAUUAUGAAGAAAGUGCAGGGUUAGAAUGUGGAACUUUUCACUGGCAAAUACUUUGUAAAAGCUUCGGAGUGAAACAGGAAAUGCACUUGCAACUAAGGACAAAUUGGUGGCCAGCUAAUGCAUUCAUUUUAUGUACAUUCAUCAUUUUAAUUAUUAAAGAUAAGUGGUUCGUUGCUUUUGUUGUAGAUAAAAUUCAGACGACCUCAAUUGUGAGAUGACAAUAUUUAAAAUAUCUCUUAAAUUAUUAUAAAUUUAAUUUAUCUUAAUUUUAUUUAAAAGAUAAAAGAAAAAUGUGGUAUAUGGAUAAAAAAAUUUUAUCUUAAUAAAAUGAAAUAAAUUAAAUUACAAUAAUUUAAAAUAUUUAAAAAUAUUAUUUGAUAAGAGAUUAAUAUGAAAUUAAUCGUUUUUACUUUUUGAACGUGAAAGGACAAGAAAAAAGAAAGCAAGUGUCACUGCUUUUUAUUUUAUUUGAAAUUGGAGUUAUCCCAUAUACUUUACUACUUUAGCUCUAAGAUUACAAUGUUUUUAGGCAACACUUUUAUUUUUCUCUUUCCCCCUUUUUUUGUACAUGCAUGUGGAUUAUUUUUCUCUAAGCUCCUUAAUAUUUAAGACAAAUCAUAAAAGCGAUUGAAGUAUAACAAGAUGAUCAAAUAUUUAACUAAAAAAAGAAAAAGAAAUAAAACACUGAAAAUGGAGACGUUGAUUAAUUUAGAAGAGAUCCAAGCAAAAGAUAUUCCCAAAAAGAAAAAAAAGAAGAAGCAAUGUAUCCCUUUAGAGGGCAAACUUAUUAGUUUUAAAAAAGUACACGCUUUGGAUUGAUGGUUGCAGGAUAUUUGUUUUUGACACCUAUAUUAGUUGGAAAAGUCGACCGUAGUGGAGAAUGUUAUGAAAGAGAGCAAAGGAUAUUUUUAACAGUGCUCUAUUUGAUUAUACGCAUUCAUUGAAUGGAAGAUAUAUGACUGCGUUAGUUCAUCCAUGUCUGUCAAUUCGUUUUUUAUGGUUUUUUUUUUCCAGUUGUUUGUUGUAAUAGAUUGAUUGUAAAUUGAUAUUAACUUGAUGUUGUAAUAUGUUCGCUUUUGUGGAAUUAAAUUUGAAUAUUCAAGAUUAUUCAAGUCUUAUCUAGUAUGUUUUCAAUUGUGUUGUCGAUAAUUUUGCAUUCGAAUAAGUUUCACCUAAAAUAUUAGCAUGAGUAGUAGUCCUUGAGACUUUGGUCAAAAUUAUUGUUAUUGUUUGUUUUAGAGGAAAUUUUUUUAUUAAAGCCUCGUUAACACUAUUACUUAUUAAGAUUAUAAGUUAGUGUCGGUGCAGGAUUUGCAGCAACAAAUCUUGUCUAGCCACGUGUCAAAAGUAUAAAUAAAUCAAGGGAAAGCACAUGACAUGUUGAGCUGGCAAAACGGGUCAUCGAGUCAUGUUCGUGUCGUGUCAAAUUUAGGUCGACCCAAACCCGACCCAUUUAAUAAUCGUGUCAAAAUAUUGAGACCCAAACCUGACACGAAAAAAUAAUCGGGUUACCCAAUAACCCGCUUAAUAUCUAUAUAUUAAACAAAAGUUACAUCAAAUAUUUACACUUUGUCAUACAUAUGUAUGCACAUACAUACAUACAUACAUACAUACAUACAUACAUACAUACAUACUUUAUCACUAUUAUAAAAUAUACAUAUCUACUAAAAUAUUACACACACUAUUAAGGUUUUAAUUAUAUAUAUGUAAAUAAUAUUGUAUAUCAAUAUUAUAAAAUAUACAUGUCUACCAAUAUUUUAUACAUUUAAACUAUUAAAGCUCUAAAUGUAUUUAAAAUUUUAUAAAUAAAAUAUUGUGUCUAUAUUCAUCCUUUUAAAAGAAAAAAAAUUAUCUCUAAUAUUUGAGUUUUGAUGACAAGAAUCUGUAAAUUAUUUUAAAAUAAAAAAUAUAAUCGGGUCAUUAAUCGGGUAAAUGGGUCAAGAAUUUUAACCCUAACCCGACACGGAAAAAAAUCGUGUUGACCCGGACCCGACCCAUUUAAUAAUCAUGUUAAAUUCGACGACCCAUACCCAUUUGUUAGUGUUGUGUUCGUGUCGGAUAAUCGGGUCGUGUCAAAUUUUGCCAACUAUAAUGACAUGGAUUAGGAUCCAAUAAAAAGGAAAAGGAUAACUGUAUCCUAAAGUUUCAAUAAGAGAUACUAAGAUAUCUUUUGACUAAUGUUAUUUUUUGACUUUAUUAAUAAAAGAUCCAAUAGUUUAUAACAAAUAAAAAUAUAGUAUUAAGCUAAAUGUGAUAAUUUACACAUUUUACAUAAUUACAAUAAAAAAUAUAUUUUAAUGUUUUACAAUCUAUCAGACAUAUUUUAUUAAAUUAAUAAGAUUUUUCUUACAAAUAGCAACAUAAUAUUAAAAUAAAUUUAUAAAGAUUUAAAUGUAAAAUAAUUUUAGUAUAAUUAAUACGUGGGAUAUAUUUUGUAAAUUAUAAAAUUACUUAACCCAAUGAUUUUUAAAAAUCUUUAAAAUAAAUAAAAAUAAAUUAUUCACAUUUUGAUGUAAAUAUUUAAAACAUUUUUAUACAUUUGUCCACAAUUAUUUAUGUUAUAUUUGUAUUUAUUAGAAAUUUUGAAAGUCAAAUGUUUUUCACCUCUAUCUUAUUAGAAUUAUUGCACACAGAGAAAGAGCCAUAUAUGCUUUAUAGCUUUAAAAUCGGUUUGUUUUAUAGCUGGGAACAGAGAUGAUCAUUAUUAUAAGGAUUAAAAAAAGAUAAAGAAUAUUAAUGAUUAACGAAAUCUUUAUGGAAAUUGAAUUUAGUAAGAAAAAAAUUGAGCUGAUUUUAGUGGUAUAGUAAUAUUUUAUAUAGAGAAAAGUAAAAGUUGCACCCCGAAAUGUUCAAAACUCUUUUUUAAUUAUAAUAUUAUUUUUCCUAGAUAACUUAAAAAUUUGACUCUAAUAUUUUAUAAUAAAUAAAAACAUAUAAUCCUAAAAUAAUUAAAAUAAUAUAUAUUUUAAAAUAAUCUCAAUAUUUAAAAUAUAUUUUAACAUUUUAUAGUCUAUCAGAUAUAUUUUAUUUUUUAAAGUAAAUUUUAUAAUAAAUACAAACAUACUAUUAAAAUAGAUAUAUAAAAUUUUUAAAGUAUUUUGAAUAUUAUAUAAAAUAACUUUAAUAUUGUUAAUGCGUGAGAUGCAUUUUAUUAAUUAAAAAUUCUAUUUAACCCAAAGAUUUAUUUAUAAUAAAUUAAUAAUCAUAUUUUUAAAAUUAUUUUAAAUAUUAAAAAAUAUUUUAAUAUUACUAACUAUUAGACAGACUAAACUAUUUAUAUUAUUUUCUAUUUAUUAUAAAAUUUCAAAGUUAAUCUUUUUUAACUAGUAUUCAAAAGAUAUUAUGAUCAAAACAGAAUUUUUGUGUUUUUAUGAAAAAUUUAGAGUUUACAUCUAUUUUUUCAAAUAUUCGGGGUGUAAAUGUUUUUCCCCUUUUAUAUAUACGAACGGUGGUGAGAAAGCAUGAUUUAACGUUAUUUAUUUAAAUAAAAUCUCAGUUAAAAAUGUAAAGAGAAGAAAUUUCUGUUGGUAUUUUAGUCUUUUACCAAUUAUCAUGAUUAGGCCUUGGCCUUGAAACAUUAAUUGUUUCACUUUUAGCGCUAGUGUCGUUGAAAGUUGUCAAGAAAAAGCAAGACCAUAUUCCACAAAAGCAAAAGUAACGUAGGCUCUUUUAUAAAAGGCAAAGAAAGUAUAAAGUAGUCAAGAAUCGAAUAUCCUGUCGUCUACUCUUUUUUAAAUUCUUCUUUUAUUAUCUUUUAGAAUAGUUUUUGGUAAUUACAAUCAUUAUUCAGAGUUAUUGUUAUCUUCCGGGGCAGUCUCUGUUCAUCGAAGUCGUUACCUUUUUUUUAUGGAUCAGUUCCAGUGCUAAGCAGUAAUUUUCUUAGAACUCGGAUCUUUAAUUCGAGUUUAUGUGUGAAUUAAUAAUAAAAAAUUUUCAUUACACGCAAUUUAAGCUACGAAUUACUUUUUUGCAAAGUUGAAUAUGAAAUUGGAGAAAUUAAGUAAUUUAGAAUGUUGGUAAAAAUUGACAAACAUAUCUCUAAUUACAGUAAAACCUCUCUAUAGUCAUAACAUUAUAACAAAAUUAAUUUUAUUACUAUGUUGAGGUAAUAUAGGUUUAGUUACAAAAUUAUUGUUUUAAUAUGGUUAGUGUCAAGUGAUAUAAAGGUUAAAUAUGCAGUACAAUGAUAAUUAAAUAAUGAAGCGUGUCAAUUCUAAUGUAUAUAUAUUAAUGAUAUAGAUAGACAUAGUUUCAAAAAACUAAUUAAUGUAUAUUUAUGUAGUGUUAUGAAUAUGGAAAGUCAAGCCUACACUUUACAUUAUCCUUAGUUUUUUCUCUUAGUUAAAUUCUACAAAUAUUGUACAAUGAUUGGGCAAGAACUCUAAAUUAAGAAUAAAUUAUUGUCACAAAUAAUUUUACAAAAUAUUUUAUUUCGUCUUAAACCUUUAAUAUAAGUAAACAUAUAUAUAUAUAUAUAUAUAUAUAUAUAUACCAGAAGGAAAUAGGAUCGAAGGAUGGGUGUGUAUUGAAGAUGCUUCUUUAUUGAUUGCUUUAAUGAAAUAAUUGGAUCGCGGUUGUUCAGAUUUUAUAUAAGAUUACCAGCUUUAGAUUAAGUAGAUUUGUUUUAGAGCAUACAAUGAUCAAACAAAUUUGAACGCGGUUGGUCAAAUUUUUAGAAUAUUUAAAGUACGUGGCGUUGUUAGACCAGAUCGAUCGCAGAAGUUAAUCUGCCUUUGGACCCAGAUCUGACUUAGAACAGAUCAAUAGUCCGCACGUUCGGGUUUCCAGCCUAUAUACUUUAAUAUAUUUACCAGAUAAAAUUAAGUUGCUUUAAACGUGGUUGUUUCUUUUUAUUGGGCUAAUUCCAGAUUUAAAUUAGAUUCUUUAAGGGGCUUGGGUACAUACACAGUACCAGAUCCGGAUCCCGGAAAUGGUGCUCUGAAGGAAUGGAGGAAGAAGAGAAGAUUUACAACUGAGGAUCGAGAUCCGGUCUCUUUGCCUCAGAGGAACGUACAAAUUUUAUGGCAGAUCUGAUAAAGACCAGUCUGCUUUGCAUGCUUUGAAAAGAAAAUUGCUUUAAAAAUAAAUUGCUUUAAUGUAAAUAUGCAUGAAAUUAAAUUGCAGAAAAGUAAAUUGCGAAAAUUUAAAUUACAUCGAAAUUAAAUAACUGAAAUUUAAACAUACAUCUUUGCUUUGAUAGUCUUGGUCUUUACAAUUUUCAAAUCUUUCCUGAAGGGAAGAUUGAAAGACGGGAAGAUUACAAGACAGGAAUGGUUUCCUUGAUGUCUUGAUCCAGACUUCCCAAGAGAGAGAGAGAGAGAGAGAGAGAUCUAGAGAGAAGGAGGAGAAGAAGAGAAAAAUGAAAAACCUGAGGAGUCUGAGUCUUCCUCUUGGUUUAUAUACAAAAUUUUGUAAACUGUUCACUGUAGCGGAGCUUUGAGUGCACAGUAAUCUUUGGAAUUUUGCACUGUUCACUGUAGCGGAGUUUUGAGUGCACAGUAAUCUUUGGAUCGUAGCUUUGAAUAGUAGGCUGACCGUAGCUUUGAACAGUAGACUACUUUGUACAAAAAUUGAAAUACAUAAUGAAAUACAACACGGGUGAAGAGACAUGUGCGCUCUCACUUGUGUCCAAGGGACCACCCGAGAGAAAAUUACUCUUUUCUUUUUUUUUUUUUUUUUUUUUUUUUUUUUUAAGUAAAUAACCAAAUAAUUAUUUACAAUGCUUUAUAGGAGAAAAAAUGCCGAAACAAUCAUCUUCAUUUUCGUCUCCAAGAGAAAUGAAGGGCUCUUCAUCUUCAUCAUCGUCUUCGUCUUCAGAGGUGUCAGCUACUGAUGACUUUGAACGGGAGGCGAGGAGCUGUUCCAUUGCUUUGAAGUAUUCCUCUUCUGUCUUGGCACUUGCCAAAAGAGACUGGGCUUUGGAUUUUUGGGUUAAGAAGGUCUGUUGGGCUUUAGAGGCUUCUAGGGUUGGUUGGAGAAGGUUUUUAGAGGAGAGCCAAUCUUUGAUCAUGUUAACAGUCAGUUUGGACUGUUCAUCAAAUUUUGACCACCAUUUGACUUUAAAGGUUCUUUGAAGGAUGACUUGGGAAUCUUGAGUAUGAAAACGGAGGUUCCACAUCCAGACCCAUGGUAGGAAGAAGUUUGUACAAAAACAGAGAAAGGGGGGAAAUCUUUUCUCUGAGUCAGAGGGCAUAUAGUGGGCUUUAAAGAGGUUUAGGCAAUUUAUGGCAUUUGGAGUGAGGAUUUGAGGUAUUGGGCCAAAGAAAUUCCACCAAUGAUGGAACCAGUUUGGAAGGCUUUGGACGGUUAUUUUAGGGUUAAAGAAAAAUAACCAAGAAUGGGAUUUUUUAGGGUUUUGAAUAAAAAAAGGUGUUAUACCAUGCUUGUUGGUAAUCCCAGUAGGAGAAAGUCCGACAAUGUGGUAAACGGGUUUCAAAGUUUAAAGGAAAGGUUUUGAAAUUGUGGAGUAGGUCGCCCCACUGGUUCGGGCUCAAAACUUUUAGAAUCGUGGCCGUGGAAUAGGCCGGUUCAGAAUGGGUUUUAUCAAGAAAGAAAUGUUUGAAUUUAACUGAUUCAGUUAUUUCUAAAAUGCUUUGAUAAUAAGACUGGGGUUUUGUCAAAUCCCAUGGUUUGAAAAAACCAGCCUUUGGGAAAAAACUUUGAAAUGCUUUGAAAAGGAUCAGUAUGGUAAAAUCCAUCUUCCAUAGAAAGAAUAUUUUGAAAAUGGGUUUUAUCAAACCAAUCGGAGGUUUUCUUUGAAGGUGUUGGCUGAGAAAGCACAAUUUGGGAAGAUGAGCUUUCGGCAGAGACAACAACAUUUUGAGAGGAGGGUUUUGUAAUUUCUUUAGAUGUGGAUAUGCUCUUAAUUUCUUUUUGAGGAGAAUUUUGGCUCUGGGAAAGGUUUUGUAGAGCGAGCAUGAGCUCGGGAGAUUUUGUAAUGGAACUCAUCCAAUGCUUUACUUGAUCAUCAGAAGAGAUGGGUUUGUAUUGGGCUUCAUGUUCUUCAACCAAUUCAAUCCAUGAUUUGAUGGGUAGGGCAGAAGAAAGUAAUUUUUCUUUAGAAGGGGUUGACUGGGGUUCUUUGGAAGGUUCUUGAGAUCCGGAACUUUGAGAACAGCUUUACCUUUGUCUUCUUUACGCGCAUUAUCUGUUUUGAAGAAAUUCUCUGGUUAGAAAAUCAGGAACAGAAUUUUUUAUCACCUUUAAUGAAUUCUAUAUCAAAAUCAAAAACACUCAAAAUAGCUUGCCAACGUGCAAAAUUUGUUUUGAUGCAAUGUUUUGAACAUCCUUUUCUAAAACAUGUUUUGCAGCUUUGCAAUCAAUUCUAAGUAAAAAUUUUUGAUUUAAUAAAUCACUUUGAAAUUUUGUAAUGCAUAAAACAAUGGAAAGAAUUUCUUUUUUAAUAGUAGAAUAAUUUUUCUGACAAUCAUUCCAAUGUGCAGAAACAUAUUGUACUAUCUGUUCUCUAUCAUUUUCUUUUUGUUUUUAAUAUACCUCCAUAUCCUAAAUCAGAUGCAUCAGUUUCAACAAUUUUAGGGAAUGCAGGAUUUGCAAGAUAUAGACAUGGGAUGCUUUUAACAGAACUCUUAUUAAUUUAACAGCUUUAGUAUGUUCAUCUGUCCAUGGAGCAGGUUUUUUCUUUAAACGAUCAUGCAAAGGUUUAGACAACCUAUUGAUAUUGGGACAGAAAUCAAGAACAUAAUUUAGGCUACCAAGAAAUCUUUGUAAUUGAGUUUUGUCAAGAAUUUUAUCAGGGAAUUUAUCAGCAAAUAAAAGUGAUCUUUCAAUAGGGGUGAUUGUUCCUUUUGAAAUAUAGUGACCAAGAAAUCUGAUUUUCGUUUGAAAUAAUGAAAUCUUUGAACUAGAAAGGGCUAGUCCAGCCUUUUUUGUAGCAAAAUAAAAAGUCUUUAAAUGUUUGAAAUGUUGAUCGAUUGAAUUUGAAAAUAUCAAAACAUCAUCAAUAUAAACAAUGCAAAAAUCAGAAUAAGGAUUAUAAAUAUCAUUCAUAAUUCUUUGAAAUUCUGAGGGUGCAUUCUUUAAACCAAAGGGCAUAACAGUCCAUUCGUAUUGUCCAAAUGGAACAGUGAAAGCGGUUUUGUAACGGUCAUUUGGAUGAAUUUGAAUUUGCCAAAAACCCGAUUUCAUGUCGAAUUUUGAAAAAAUAAAGGCAGAACAGAGUUUUUGGAGUAAAUCUUUUUUAUUAGGUAUAGGAUACCUAAUCCAUUUUAAAGCUUUAUUCAAAGGUUUGUAGUUUAUAACUAGUCUUGGAGUGCCUCUUUCAAUUUCGGAGUUUUUUGUUAACAUAAAAAGCAGCACAAGACCAAGGAGACCUGGAUUUUACAAUGAGUCCUUAGACUCCAAGUCUUUGAUUUCAUUUUUACAAUGUUUUUCUAAAUCCAUAUUCAUUUGAAUUGGACGAGCUUUGGUCGGAAUCUGUUUUUCAUCAAAAAGAUUUUCAUAAGGCAGAUCUACUAAAUGUUGUUUUCUAUUCCAAAAAGCAGAAGGUAGAUCAGCACAAAUUUUCUUUUUCAAUAAGAGUUUUGAAAUCAGAAAUUUUUCUUUUAAUGAAAUCACUUUGUAAUUGGCUUUCAACUCUUUGUAAGUUCAAAUCUUUUUGUAAAAAACAUUAGAUCACACUGUUUUGAUUUAAGUAAAUUGUUUAUUCUAUUUUGAUAAAUAGAACAGGCUUUAACAAUAUUUAAAUUUCUUGUUUUAGGUUUUCAAUAAAAGGGAAAACAAGUUUCUUGUUUUUUGCUUUGAAAGAUAUACUAUAUCAUAAUUGACAGUAUACGGAGUUAUGAGAUUUAUAAAAGGAGUUCCCAAAAUAAUGGCAUGAUGAAUAUCAUUUGUGAGAACAAAGGAAGUUUUAAAAUCAAAACCAUCAUUAUAGAUCGAGGCUUCAACCUUGGAACUGACAUUCAAUUUUGAAUUAUUGGCGGCAGAAAGCCUUUCUUUUGUUUUUUCAUGAAAUCUUUUGGGGACGAUAUCUUCUCUAAUGCAAUUUAAAUCGGCGCCAGUAUCAAAAAGGGCAAUGGCGUCCAUCGCAAAAUCAUCAGAAAAGAUUAGAGUGACUUUAAUCAAAUACUUUCUUGUGGUGAUUUGUUUUAGAACAAAUAGAAAAUCAUUGGGUACAGACUCAAUAUUUUCUACUUUAAUAUCAUCACCAUCAAUAUCAGGACUAGAUUCAUUGUCUGAAUUAUCCUGUAAUUGCUUUUGUAAAAGAAGUUGAAUAAUAUCAGAAUCACUUUUUUGUUUUUCUUUUAAAUCUCUGAUUUCACUUUUGAUUUCUUUUAUCUCUUUCUGAAGAUCUUGGAUAUUAGGAAUCAUCUUUUUUGUUUUCUUCUUAUCCAAAAUUUGAGUAAGAUCAUAAGAAUUCUUUUUAACAAUUGGGACUCUAGAAGUCUCGGCUUUAUUAAAAUCCAAUGUUUUCAAAAGUUUAUCAAGGUAUUCCUUUUGAAGAUUUGGAUCAGAAAUAUGUUUUACAAGUUCAAGAAAAGUUUCUUGGUCUUUAGUCAAAACAUUGAUUUUCUUUAAAAAUGAAUCAGAUUCAGAUUCACUACUGCUAGAUGCAGAGUCAUCUGAGUCAAAAAGCUCAUCAACUUGGUAAGGGUCACUGUCUCCCGACAUGGAAGACUCAGAAUCAGAAGAUUCGACAAGAAGAGGGGCUAUUUUAGAAAGGAUGUCCUCAUUGAGGUCAAGUUCUUGGAGUCUUUUGUUCAUUCUGCAAAAUUUUGCAGUAUGACCUUUCAUACCACAUUUGAAACAUGUGGCCUCCUUGAAGUUGAAUGGGGUAUUAGGUUUGGCUUUGAAAUCUUUCUUUUUAGAGAAACUAUGUCUCUUAUAAGGCUUCGAAGGUUUCUUAUAAGGAAGUUUUCUAAAAUCACGNAUUUUUUAGGGUUUUGAAUAAAAAAGGUGUUAUACCAUGCUUGUUGGUAAUCCCAGUAGGAGAAAGUCCGACAAUGUGGUAAACGGGUUUCAAAGUUUAAAGGAAAGGUUUUGAAAUUGUGGAGUAGGUCGCCCCACUGGUUCGGGCUCAAAACUUUUAGAAUCGUGGCCGUGGAAUAGGCCGGUUCAGAAUGGGUUUUAUCAAGAAAGAAAUGUUUGAAUUUAACUGAUUCAGUUAUUUCUAAAAUGCUUUGAUAAUAAGACUGGGGUUUUGUCAAAUCCCAUGGUUUGAAAAACCAGCCUUUGGGAAAAAACUUUGAAAUGCUUUGAAAAGGAUCAGUAUGGUAAAAUCCAUCUUCCAUAGAAAGAAUAUUUUGAAAAUGGGUUUUAUCAAACCAAUCGGAGGUUUUCUUUGAAGGUGUUGGCUGAGAAAGCACAAUUUGGGAAGAUGAGCUUUCGGCAGAGACAACAACAUUUUGAGAGGAGGGUUUUGUAAUUUCUUUAGAUGUGGAUAUGCUCUUAAUUUCUUUUUGAGGAGAAUUUUGGCUCUGGGAAAGGUUUUGUAGAGCGAGCAUGAGCUCGGGAGAUUUUGUAAUGGAACUCAUCCAAUGCUUUACUUGAUCAUCAGAAGAGAUGGGUUUGUAUUGGGCUUCAUGUUCUUCAACCAAUUCAAUCCAUGAUUUGAUGGUAGGGCAGAAAGUAAUUUUUCUUUAGAAGGGGUUGACUGGGGUUCUUUGGAAGGUUCUUGAGAUCCGGAACUUUUGAGACAGCUUUACCUUUGUCUUUCUUUAGCGGCAUUAUCUGUUUUGAAGAAAUUCUCUGGUUAGAAAAUCAGGAACAGAAUUUUAUCACCUUUAAUGAAUUCUAUAUCAAAAUCAAAAACACUCAAAAUAGCUUGCCAACGUGCAAAAAUUUGUUUUGAUGCAAUGUUUUGAACAUCCUUUUCUAAAACAUGUUUUGCAGCUUUGCAAUCAAUUCUAAGUAAAAAUUUUUGAUUUAAUAAAUCACUUUGAAAUUUUGUAAUGCAUAAAACAAUGGAAAGAAUUUCUUUUUUAAUAGUAGAAUAAUUUUUCUGACAAUCAUUCCAAUGUGCAGAAACAUAUUGUACUAUCUGUUCUCUAUCAUUUUCUUUUUGUUUUAAUAUACCUCCAUAUCCUAAAUCAGAUGCAUCAGUUUCAACAAUUUUAGGGAAUGCAGGAUUUGCAAGAUAUAGACAUGGGAUGCUUUUAACAGAACUCUUUAUUAAUUUAACAGCUUUAGUAUGUUCAUCUGUCCAUGGAGCAGGUUUUUUCUUUAAACGAUCAUGCAAAGGUUUAGACAACCUAUUGAUAUUGGGACAGAAAUCAAGAACAAAAAUUUAGGCUACCAAGAAAUCUUUGUAAUUGAGUUUUGUCAAGGAUUUUAUCAGGGAAUUUAUCAGCAAAUAAAAGUGAUCUUUCAAUAGGGGUGAUUGUUCCUUUUGAAAUAUAGUGACCAAGAAAUCUGAUUUUCGUUUGAAAUAAUGAAAUCUUUGAACUAGAAAGGGCUAGUCCAGCCUUUUUUGUAGCAAAAUAAAAAGUCUUUAAAUGUUUGAAAUGUUGAUCGAUUGAAUUUGAAAUAUCAAAACAUCAUCAAUAUAAACAAUGCAAAAAUCAGAAUAAGGAUUAUAAAUAUCAUUCAUAAUUCUUUGAAAUUCUGAGGGUGCAUUCUUUAAACCAAAGGGCAUAACAGUCCAUUCGUAUUGUCCAAAUGGAACAGUGAAAGCGGUUUUGUAACGGUCAUUUGGAUGAAUUUGAAUUUGCCAAAAACCCGAUUUCAUGUCGAAUUUUGAAAAAAUAAAGGCAGAACAGAGUUUUUGGAGUAAAUCUUUUUUAUUAGGUAUAGGAUACCUAAUCCAUUUUAAAGCUUUAUUCAAAGGUUUGUAGUUUAUAACUAGUCUUGGAGUGCCUCUUUCAAUUUCGGAGUUUUUGUUAACAUAAAAAGCAGCACAAGACCAAGGAGACCUGGAUUUUACAAUGAGUCCUUUAGACUCCAAGUCUUUGAUUUCAUUUUUACAAUGUUUUUCUAAAUCCAUAUUCAUUUGAAUUGGACGAGCUUUGGUCGGAAUCUGUUUUUCAUCAAAAGAAUUUUCAUAAGGCAGGUCUACUAAAUGUUGUUUUCUAUUCCAAAAAGCAGAAGGUAGAUCAGCACAAAUUUCUUUUUCAAUAAGAGUUUUGAAAUCAGAAAUUUUUCUUUUAAUGAAAUCACUUUGUAAUUGGCUUUCAACUCUUUGUAAGUUCAAAUCUUUUUGUAAAAACAUUAGAUCACACUGUUUUGAUUUAAGUAAAUUGUUUAUUCUAUUUUGAUAAAUAGAACAGGCUUUAACAAUAUUUAAAUUUCUUGUUUUAGGUUUUUCAAUAAAAGGGAAAACAAGUUUCUUGUUUUUUGCUUUGAAAGAUAUACUAUCAUAAUUGACAGUAUACGGAGUUAUGAGAUUUAUAAAAGGAGUUCCCAAAAUAAUGGCAUGAUGAAUAUCAUUUGUGAGAACAAAGGAAGUUUUAAAAUCAAAACCAUCAUUAUAGAUCGAGGCUUCAACCUUGGAACUGACAUUCAAUUUUGAAUUAUUGGCGGCAGAAAGCCUUUCUUUUGUUUUUUUCAUGAAAUCUUUUGGGGACGAUAUCUUCUCUAAUGCAAUUUAAAUCGGCGCCAGUAUCAAAAAGGGCAAUGGCGUCCAUCGCAAAAUCAUCAGAAAAGAUUAGAGUGACUUUAAUCAAAUACUUCUUGUGGUGAUUUGUUUUAGAACAAAUAGAAAAUCAUUGGGUACAGACUCAAUAUUUUCUACUUUAAUAUCAUCACCAUCAAUAUCAGGACUGGAUUCAUUGUCUGAAUUAUCCUGUAAUUGCUUUUGUAAAAGAAGUUGAAUAAUAUCAGAAUCACUUUUUUGUUUUUCUUUUAAAUCUCUGAUUUCACUUUUGAUUUCUUUUAUCUCUUUCUGAAGAUCUUGGAUAUUAGGAAUCAUCUUUUUUGUUUUCUUCUUAUCCAAAAUUUGAGUAAGAUCAUAAGAAUUCUUUUUAAUAAUUGGGACUCUAGAAGUCUCGGCUUUAUUAAAAUCCAAUGUUUUCAAAAGUUUAUCAAGGUAUUCCUUUUGAAGAUUUGGAUCAGAAAUAUGCUUUACAAGUUCAAGAAAAGUUUCUUGGUCUUUAGUCAAAACAUUGAUUUUCUUUAAAAAUGAAUCAGAUUCAGAAUCACUACUGCUAGAUGCAGAGUCAUCUGAGUCAAAAAGCUCAUCAACUUGGUAAGGGUCACUGUCUCCCGACAUGGAAGACUCAGAAUCAGAAGAUUCGACAAGAAGAGGGGCUAUUUUAGAAAGGAUGUCCUCAUUGAGGUCAAGUUCUUGGAGUCUUUUGUUCAUUCUGCAAAAUUUUGCAGUAUGACCUUUCAUACCACAUUUGAAACAUGUGGCCUCCUUGAAGUUGAAUGGGGUAUUAGGUUUGGCUUUGAAAUCUUUCUUUUUAGAGAAACUAUGUCUCUUAUAAGGCUUCGAAGGUUUCUUAUAAGGAAGUUUUCUAAAAUCACGGAAGGGUUUUCUAAAAUGUUUAGAUUUGUAAUGUUUCUUACGAGGUUUUGUAGAACACUCUCCAUUACAAUCUUUGGAAGUUUUAAAGGGGUCAUAAUUGAAUUGCUUACAGAAACCGCCUAAUUCCUGUUUAGACUUCUUAAGCUCCCACUUAAGACGUUUCUGUAAUUUCAAAUCUUGACAAAUCUUUAAACCUUCUUUGUUGACAAAACUGACUAGUUCACCAUAGGUGAGCUCGUCAUAAGGAAUACGGUUAUCGUAAAGGGCUUUGAUGGAAUUUCUUACCUUUUCACCUAAAAGGGUAGGUAAUCCAGCAAGAAAUUUUUCUUUCCAAGUAAUAUGAUUUGCAUCAUCCCUUAGAAAUAGUCUGGUAAGGAAAGAGGUUUUGUAACUCUGAAAUUCACUAAGUUUUCUACAUCUCAAAUUAUGUAGUAACUCAGCGUUUUAUCACGAAGGUGAGAAGGGUCACCGAUGAAAUGGAGGGAAAUGGUUAGAAUAAGAGUAGCAACAGCAUCCUGGAUAGGGUUGUUGAACUCAUCAAGAAUAGAGGCUCCAUUUUCAUCUUUUUGGACGGAAUUUAGAAUGUCAAAUUGUUGCUGAUUAGUGAGAAGAUGAUCCCACCAACUUUUAGUUGACCAGUAAAACCAGCAAUUAGGAUUUCCGAUAUGGCACGAUCAGAAGUUCCUGCUGGGUUUUAUAAGCAUUAGCUGCCAUUGUCAUUUGUUGCAACAAUCCAAGGAUAUUGUACUCAGACAUGCCGUCAAUAUUCCACUCAUAGACUGAAGAUGCAUUAUAACGGGGAUUGAUUUUAAUGCACUAGGUCUAUUAUCUAUUGCUAGAUCUGGUGGGGUCUUGACAGUGGGAAGGGCUAAUUCCCAGUGGAUUUUGUUGGCUUUAGGAGUAGAAGGGUUCUUCUUUGAAAGCUUCUAAGUCAGAAGAGGCUAUAGAACUCUGGUCAUCUAGAUCCAAUACUCCAAUCUUGCUAGAUUGGGGGGUAUCGGGGGCUAUCUGGAGUUUGCUAGACGAGGAAGAAGCAGCUUCUAUCCUCUCUAGUUGUUCUCUAAUGGCUUUAGCAAAAUCUGAUUUUGACUCUUGAACAAGCCCUUUGGCGUAGUUUUCGAAACCCUGAAAAGGUUUGAAAAUAGGUUCCUUAAGCUUUUUGUCAGAAUCCGAUUUUGAAGGAAUAGACAUAGGAAUAGGAGAAACAGAUAUAGGAGAUUUUUGAAAUUGGUUUUUCUAUACGAGCCAAUUGCUUUCCAAUUGUAUUUAAGUUAGUAUUACAGAAAUUAUUCUGUUGUAUAAUACUACUUAAAUUCGCAUCAGAAUCAUUUGGUCUUGGGAUUUUUGUAAGGGGAUGCUUUAAUCUCAAUAGGAGGUUCACCAUGAUCUAUGGUUAUACUCCUAAGAGGUGGAUGAUCAGACUCUAUAAUCCUAUCAUUAUCAGAAAGUUUCCAUUCAGGAAUUUUCUUUCUAAUAGUUAUAGGGUUUGACUCUUUAAAAGGAUAAUCAAUAUUGGUUCUCAGAAGAAUAUAUUUCGAACCAAUCAAAAAACAAUAUAUGAACUUUAUGAAAAUUCACAAAUUCAUAAUAAGUUUGUUGGAUUUCUUUUCUUUGGUUUAAAAAAUGUUUAAAAAAACCAAGUUCUUUUUUCUUUAUUUAUUUCUGAAUAAAAAUCGUUAUGCAGAAAGGCUUUAUCUAAUUCAAAUUCUUUUUCAAUGACAUUAAUGACAUUUUCUGUGACAGCAGAAAACGUAGGAGAUGUUGGAGGAGAAGGUUCCUUCUCUUCCUGUCUUUGCACAUGUUGACUACUAGUGUAUAUAGGAUGAGGAACACUUGUGGCAUAGUCAACGGAACGGAUGGGAGGAGCCUAGGUAUAUCCGAAGUGGAAAAACCUAGGUUGGCUCUGAUAUGGGAGAUUUAUAACAGAAGGUACUUUUGUAAACUUCCUUUCUAGUGAAGGAAUGCUUGGGCUCGAUUCUUUUUCAGAAAAUCUAUGUGAGGUAGACCUUCUGAAUGAUAAGUUUGACUUUACCAUCGGAAUACUGGGGUCACAUUUUGUAACUCUGUAUUUGGCUCAGUUGUUUCGGAAUCCGCCGGGUGGGGCGGCUCCUUCGAGGAUCCAUUCAUCUGGAAGAUGGAUAUCUUUCCAUUGGAUCGAUUUUGGAAUGACCAUGUUGGCUUUAGACAAAUCAGUCUGCAAGAGAAGGGUCUCAUCUCUCUUCGACUGGUAUUUAUGCUGUGUGCUAAAUGCAGAAAUCAUGGCUUUAUAGGAAAUUUUAAAAAUUAAUGCAACUGGGAUGGAUCCCUUAAUCAUGUGAUAAUUAUGGGUUUGGAUUUGUAAAAUCAUGCUCUUUAAAAAUAUUUUUGUCUUUAAGAGAAAUUGUUAUAUUUGGAUAACAAUCAAAAGAUAUGGGACCUUUACAUAGACUAGAUUCGAUACUACUUAGUAAAGAAUCAUCAAAAGAGAUGAAUCGCCCAUCUCUAAGAACAGCAAGGAUAGAGGUAUCCAAGCCUUCUUUGUCAAAGGUUUUAUUCCUACUUGGAUUAAACCAAUGUGAAUAUAUUUGAAAUUCUUUUCUUUUAAUUUCUUUAAAGAUUUUUCUGAAAAACAAAUAAAUUGUUUCAAAAGGCUCCGAAAGAGUUAUGUCUCUUUCUUCAGUUUUUAUAAUAUAAUCAUGUUUUAAAAGAUCAAGCAUUUUUGUUUUUGUAAAUCUUUUCUUUGGAAAUUUUUGGAAGUUCCCAACAAUCAAUUGCUUUAUCAAAGUUUUCAAUAACGAAUUCUUCUGAACUCACAACAUGCUUUGAAUCACUAGUCUUCCCGGAAGAAGAGCUAGAAAAGGACGAUGUUCUACAGUGUAGAGGGUUCAUGGGUAAAAACCUAUGAUCUAUUUAGUGGUUUUUGAAAGAAUGGCUACAGGUAUGGUUUUACAGCCCUAAACGGAAAACUUAUCCUUAGACGGACUUACUACCAGUAAAAAUUCACCACAAAAACAAAAACUUCAAAAUAAAACACAGUUUUCAAAACACAAAACUCUAAACUGCUUUACACAAUCCUCCCCUUGGCUCUGAUACCAGAAGGAAAUAGAAUCGAAGGAUGGGUGUGUAUUGAAGAUGCUUCUUUAUUGAUUGCUUUAAUGAAAUAAUUGGAUCGCGGUUGUUCAGAUUUUAUAUAAGAUUACCAGCUUUAGAUUAAGUAGAUUUGUUUUUUAGAGCAUACAAUGAUCAAAACAAAUUUGAACGCGGUUGGUCAAAUUUUUAGAAUAUUUAAAGUACUGGCGUUGUUAGACCAGAUCGAUCGCAGAAGUUAAUCUGCCUUUGGACCCAGAUCUGACUUAGAACAGAUCAAUUAGUCCGCACGUUCGGGUUUCCAGCCUAUAUACUUUAAUAUAUUUACCAGAUAAAAUUAAGUUGGCUUUAAACGUGGUUGUUUCUUUUUAUUGGGCUAAUUCCAGAUUUAAAUUAGAUUCUUUAAGGGGCUUGGGUACAUACACAGUACCAGAUCCGGAUCCCGGAAAUGGUGCUCUGAAGGAAUGGAGGAAGAAGAGAAGAUUUACAACUGAGGAUCGAGAUCCGGUCUCUUUGCCUCAGAGGAACGUACAAAUUUUAUGGCAGAUCUGAUAAAGACCAGUCUGCUUUGCAUGCUUUGAAAAGAAAAUUGCUUUAAAAAUAAAUUGCUUUAAUGUAAAUAUGCAUGAAAUUAAAUUGCAGAAAAGUAAAUUGCGAAAAUUUAAAUUACAUCGAAAUUAAAUAACUGAAAUUUAAACAUACAUCUUUGCUUUGAUAGUCUUGGUCUUUACAAUUUUCAAAUCUUUCCUGAAGGGAAGAUUGAAAGACGGGAAGAUUACAAGACAGGAAUGGUUUCCUUGAUGUCUUGGACUGUUCAUCAAAUUUUGACCACCAUUUGACUUUAAAGGUUCUUUGAAGGAUGACUUGGGAAUCUUGAGUAUGAAAACGGAGGUUCCACAUCCAGACCCAUGGUAGGAAGAAGUUUGUACAAAAACAGAGAAAGGGGGGAAAUCUUUUCUCUGAGUCAGAGGGCAUAUAGUGGGCUUUAAAGAGGUUUAGGCAAUUUAUGGCAUUUGGAGUGAGGAUUUGAGGUAUUGGGCCAAAGAAAUUCCACCAAUGAUGGAACCAGUUUGGAAGGCUUUGGACGGUUAUUUUAGGGUUAAAGAAAAAUAACCAAGAAUGGGAUUUUUUAGGGUUUUGAAUAAAAAAGGUGUUAUACCAUGCUUGUUGGUAAUCCCAGUAGGAGAAAGUCCGACAAUGUGGUAAACGGGUUUCAAAGUUUAAAGGAAAGGUUUUGAAAUUGUGGAGUAGGUCGCCCCACUGGUUCGGGCUCAAAACUUUUAGAAUCGUGGCCGUGGAAUAGGCCGGUUCAGAAUGGGUUUUAUCAAGAAAGAAAUGUUUGAAUUUAACUGAUUCAGUUAUUUCUAAAAUGCUUUGAUAAUAAGACUGGGGUUUUGUCAAAUCCCAUGGUUUGAAAAACCAGCCUUUGGGAAAAAACUUUGAAAUGCUUUGAAAAGGAUCAGUAUGGUAAAAUCCAUCUUCCAUAGAAAGAAUAUUUUGAAAAUGGGUUUUAUCAAACCAAUCGGAGGUUUUCUUUGAAGGUGUUGGCUGAGAAAGCACAAUUUGGGAAGAUGAGCUUUCGGCAGAGACAACAACAUUUUGAGAGGAGGGUUUUGUAAUUUCUUUAGAUGUGGAUAUGCUCUUAAUUUCUUUUUGAGGAGAAUUUUGGCUCUGGGAAAGGUUUUGUAGAGCGAGCAUGAGCUCGGGAGAUUUUGUAAUGGAACUCAUCCAAUGCUUUACUUGAUCAUCAGAAGAGAUGGGUUUGUAUUGGGCUUCAUGUUCUUCAACCAAUUCAAUCCAUGAUUUGAUGGGUAGGGCAGAAGAAAGUAAUUUUUCUUUAGAAGGGGUUGACUGGGGUUCUUUGGAAGGUUCUUGAGAUCCGGAACUUUUGAGAACAGCUUUACCUUUGUCUUUCUUUAGCGGCAUUAUCUGUUUUGAAGAAAUUCUCUGGUUAGAAAAUCAGGAACAGAAUUUUUAUCACCUUUAAUGAAUUCUAUAUCAAAAUCAAAAACACUCAAAAUAGCUUGCCAACGUGCAAAAAUUUGUUUUGAUGCAAUGUUUUGAACAUCCUUUUCUAAAACAUGUUUUGCAGCUUUGCAAUCAAUUCUAAGUAAAAAUUUUUGAUUUAAUAAAUCACUUUGAAAUUUUGUAAUGCAUAAAACAAUGGAAAGAAUUUCUUUUUUAAUAGUAGAAUAAUUUUUCUGACAAUCAUUCCAAUGUGCAGAAACAUAUUGUACUAUCUGUUCUCUAUCAUUUUCUUUUUGUUUUAAUAUACCUCCAUAUCCUAAAUCAGAUGCAUCAGUUUCAACAAUUUUAGGGAAUGCAGGAUUUGCAAGAUAUAGACAUGGGAUGCUUUUAACAGAACUCUUUAUUAAUUUAACAGCUUUAGUAUGUUCAUCUGUCCAUGGAGCAGGUUUUUUCUUUAAACGAUCAUGCAAAGGUUUAGACAACCUAUUGAUAUUGGGACAGAAAUCAAGAACAUAAUUUAGGCUACCAAGAAAUCUUUGUAAUUGAGUUUUGUCAAGGAUUUUAUCAGGGAAUUUAUCAGCAAAUAAAAGUGAUCUUUCAAUAGGGGUGAUUGUUCCUUUUGAAAUAUAGUGACCAAGAAAUCUGAUUUUCGUUUGAAAUAAUGAAAUCUUUGAACUAGAAAGGGCUAGUCCAGCCUUUUUUGUAGCAAAAUAAAAAGUCUUUAAAUGUUUGAAAUGUUGAUCGAUUGAAUUUGAAAAUAUCAAAACAUCAUCAAUAUAAACAAUGCAAAAAUCAGAAUAAGGAUUAUAAAUAUCAUUCAUAAUUCUUUGAAAUUCUGAGGGUGCAUUCUUUAAACCAAAGGGCAUAACAGUCCAUUCGUAUUGUCCAAAUGGAACAGUGAAAGCGGUUUUGUAACGGUCAUUUGGAUGAAUUUGAAUUUGCCAAAAACCCGAUUUCAUGUCGAAUUUUGAAAAAAUAAAGGCAGAACAGAGUUUUUGGAGUAAAUCUUUUUUAUUAGGUAUAGGAUACCUAAUCCAUUUUAAAGCUUUAUUCAAAGGUUUGUAGUUUAUAACUAGUCUUGGAGUGCCUCUUUCAAUUUCGGAGUUUUUGUUAACAUAAAAAGCAGCACAAGACCAAGGAGACCUGGAUUUUACAAUGAGUCCUUUAGACUCCAAGUCUUUGAUUUCAUUUUUACAAUGUUUUUCUAAAUCCAUAUUCAUUUGAAUUGGACGAGCUUUGGUCGGAAUCUGUUUUUCAUCAAAAGAAUUUUCAUAAGGCAGGUCUACUAAAUGUUGUUUUCUAUUCCAAAAAGCAGAAGGUAGAUCAGCACAAAUUUCUUUUUCAAUAAGAGUUUUGAAAUCAGAAAUUUUUCUUUUAAUGAAAUCACUUUGUAAUUGGCUUUCAACUCUUUGUAAGUUCAAAUCUUUUUGUAAAAACAUUAGAUCACACUGUUUUGAUUUAAGUAAAUUGUUUAUUCUAUUUUGAUAAAUAGAACAGGCUUUAACAAUAUUUAAAUUUCUUGUUUUAGGUUUUUCAAUAAAAGGGAAAACAAGUUUCUUGUUUUUUGCUUUGAAAGAUAUACUAUCAUAAUUGACAGUAUACGGAGUUAUGAGAUUUAUAAAAGGAGUUCCCAAAAUAAUGGCAUGAUGAAUAUCAUUUGUGAGAACAAAGGAAGUUUUAAAAUCAAAACCAUCAUUAUAGAUCGAGGCUUCAACCUUGGAACUGACAUUCAAUUUUGAAUUAUUGGCGGCAGAAAGCCUUUCUUUUGUUUUUUCAUGAAAUCUUUUGGGGACGAUAUCUUCUCUAAUGCAAUUUAAAUCGGCGCCAGUAUCAAAAAGGGCAAUGGCGUCCAUCGCAAAAUCAUCAGAAAAGAUUAGAGUGACUUUAAUCAAAUACUUUCUUGUGGUGAUUUGUUUUAGAACAAAUAGAAAAUCAUUGGGUACAGACUCAAUAUUUUCUACUUUAAUAUCAUCACCAUCAAUAUCAGGACUGGAUUCAUUGUCUGAAUUAUCCUGUAAUUGCUUUUGUAAAAGAAGUUGAAUAAUAUCAGAAUCACUUUUUUUGUUUUUCUUUUAAAUCUCUGAUUUCACUUUUGAUUUCUUUUAUCUCUUUCUGAAGAUCUUGGAUAUUAGGAAUCAUCUUUUUUGUUUUCUUCUUAUCCAAAAUUUGAGUAAGAUCAUAAGAAUUCUUUUUAAUAAUUGGGACUCUAGAAGUCUCGGCUUUAUUAAAAUCCAAUGUUUUCAAAAGUUUAUCAAGGUAUUCCUUUUGAAGAUUUGGAUCAGAAAUAUGCUUUACAAGUUCAAGAAAAGUUUCUUGGUCUUUAGUCAAAACAUUGAUUUUCUUUAAAAAUGAAUCAGAUUCAGAAUCACUACUGCUAGAUGCAGAGUCAUCUGAGUCAAAAAGCUCAUCAACUUGGUAAGGGUCACUGUCUCCCGACAUGGAAGACUCAGAAUCAGAAGAUUCGACAAGAAGAGGGGCUAUUUUAGAAAGGAUGUCCUCAUUGAGGUCAAGUUCUUGGAGUCUUUUGUUCAUUCUGCAAAAUUUUGCAGUAUGACCUUUCAUACCACAUUUGAAACAUGUGGCCUCCUUGAAGUUGAAUGGGGUAUUAGGUUUGGCUUUGAAAUCUUUCUUUUUAGAGAAACUAUGUCUCUUAUAAGGCUUCGAAGGUUUCUUAUAAGGAAGUUUUCUAAAAUCACGGAAGGGUUUUCUAAAAUGUUUAGAUUUGUAAUGUUUCUUACGAGGUUUUGUAGAACACUCUCCAUUACAAUCUUUGGAAGUUUUAAAGGGGUCAUAAUUGAAUUGCUUACAGAAACCGCCUAAUUCCUGUUUAGACUUCUUAAGCUCCCACUUAAGACGUUUCUGUAAUUUCAAAUCUUGACAAAUCUUUAAACCUUCUUUGUUGACAAAACUGACUAGUUCACCAUAGGUGAGCUCGUCAUAAGGAAUACGGUUAUCGUAAAGGGCUUUGAUGGAAUUUCUUACCUUUUCACCUAAAAGGGUAGGUAAUCCAGCAAGAAAUUUUUCUUUCCAAGUAAUAUGAUUUGCAUCAUCCCUUAGAAAUAGUCUGGUAAGGAAAGAGGUUUUGUAACUCUGAAAUUCACUAAGUUUUCUACAUCUCAAAUUAUGUAGUAACUCAGCGUUUUUAUCACGAAGGUGAGAAGGGUCACCGAUGAAAUGGAGGGAAAUGGUUAGAAUAAGAGUAGCAACAGCAUCCUGGAUAGGGUUGUUGAACUCAUCAAGAAUAGAGGCUCCAUUUUCAUCUUUUUGGACGGAAUUUAGAAUGUCAAAUUGUUGCUGAUUAGUGAGAAGAUGAUCCCACCAACCUUUUAGUUGACCAGUAAAACCAGCAAUUAGGAUUUCCGAUAUGGCACGAUCAGAAGUUCCUGCUUGGGUUUUAUAAGCAUUAGCUGCCAUUGUCAUUUGUUGCAACAAUCCAAGGAUAUUGUACUCAGACAUGCCGUCAAUAUUCCACUCAUAGACUGAAGAUGCAUUAUAACGGGAUUGAUUUAAUGCACUAGGUCUAUUAUCUAUUGCUAGAUCUGGUGGGGUCUUGACAGUGGGAAGGGCUAAUUCCCAGUGGAUUUUGUUGGCUUUAGGAGUAGAAGGUUCUUCUUUGAAAGCUUCUAAGUCAGAAGAGGCUAUAGAACUCUGGUCAUCUAGAUCCAAUACUCCAAUCUUGCUAGAUUGGGGGGUAUCGGGGGCUAUCUGGAGUUUGCUAGACGAGGAAGAAGCAGCUUCUAUCCUCUCUAGUUGUUCUCUAAUGGCUUUAGCAAAAUCUGAUUUUGACUCUUGAACAAGCCUUUGGCUAGUUUUCGAAACCUGAAAAGGUUUGAAAAUAGGUUCCUUAAGCUUUUUGUCAGAAUCCGAUUUUGAAGGAAUAGACAUAGGAAUAGGAGAAACAGAUAUAGGAGAUUUUUGAAAUUGGUUUUCUAUACGAGCCAAUUGCUUUCCAAUUGUAUUUAAGUUAGUAUUACAGAAAUUAUUCUGUUGUAUAAUACUACUUAAAUUCGCAUCAGAAUCAUUUGGUCUUGGGAUUUUGUAAGGGGAUGCUUUAAUCUCAAUAGGAGGUUCACCAUGAUCUAUGGUUAUACUCCUAAGAGGUGGAUGAUCAGACUCUAUAAUCCUAUCAUUAUCAGAAAGUUUCCAUUCAGGAAUUUUCUUUCUAAUAGUUAUAGGGUUUGACUCUUUAAAAGGAUAAUCAAUAUUGUUCUCAGAAGAAUAUAUUUCGAACCAAUCAAAAAACAAUAUAUGAACUUUAUGAAAAUUCACAAAUUCAUAAUAAGUUUGUUGGAUUUCUUUUCUUUGGUUUAAAAAAUGUUUAAAAAACCAAGUUCUUUUUUCUUUAUUUAUUUCUGAAUAAAAAUCGUUAUGCAGAAAGGCUUUAUCUAAUUCAAAUUCUUUUUCAAUGACAUUAAUGACAUUUUCUGUGACAGCAGAAAACGUAGGAGAUGUUGGAGGAGAAGGUUCCUUCUCUUCCUGUCUUUGCACAUGUUGACUACUAGUGUAUAUAGGAUGAGGAACACUUGUGGCAUAGUCAACGGAACGGAUGGAGGAGCUAGGUAUAUCCGAAGUGGAAAACCUAGGUUGGCUCUGAUAUGGGAGAUUUAUAACAGAAGGUACUUUUGUAAACUUCCUUUCUAGUGAAGGAAUGCUUGGGCUCGAUUCUUUUUCAGAAAAUCUAUGUGAGGUAGACCUUCUGAAUGAUAGUUUGACUUUACCAUCGGAAUACUGGGUCACAUUUUGUAACUCUGUAUUUGGCUCAAGUUGUUUCGGAAUCGCCGGUGGGGCGGCUCCUUCGAGGAUCCAUUCAUCUGGAAGAUGGAUAUCUUUCCAUUGGAUCGAUUUUGGAAUGACCAUGUUGGCUUUAGACAAAUCAGUCUGCAAGAGAAGGGUCUCAUCUCUCUUCGACUGGUAUUUAUGCUGUGUGCUAAAUGCAGAAAUCAUGGCUUUAUAGGAAAUUUUAAAAAUUAAUGCAACUGGGAUGGAUCCCUUAAUCAUGUGAUAAUUAUGGGUUUGGAUUUGUAAAAUCAUGCUCUUUAAAAUAUUUUUGUCUUUAAGAGAAAUUGUUAUAUUUGGAUAACAAUCAAAAGAUAUGGGACCUUUACAUAGACUAGAUUCGAUACUACUUAGUAAAGAAUCAUCAAAAGAGAUGAAUCGCCCAUCUCUAAGAACAGCAAGGAUAGAGGUAUCCAAGCCUUCUUUGGUCAAAGGUUUUAUUCCUACUUGGAUUAAACCAAUGUGAAUAUAUUUGAAAUUCUUUUCUUUUAAUUUCUUUAAAGAUUUUUCUGAAAACAAAUAAAUUGUUUCAAAAGGCUCCGAAAGAGUUAUGUCUCUUUCUUCAGUUUUUAUAAUAUAAUCAUGUUUUAAAAGAUCAAGCAUUUUUGUUUUGUAAAUCUUUUCUUUGGAAAUUUUUGGAAGUUCCCAACAAUCAAUUGCUUUAUCAAAGUUCUCAAUAACGAAUUCUUCUGAACUCACAACAUGCUUUGAAUCACUAGUCUUCCCGGAAGAAGAGCUAGAAAAGGACGAUGUUCUACAGUGUAGAGGAUUCAUGGGUAAAAACCUAUGAUCUAUUAAUGGUUUUGAANNNNNNNNNNNNNNNNNNNNNNNNNNNNNNNNNNNNNNNNNNNNNNNNNNNNNNNNNNNNNNNNNNNNNNNNNNNNNNNNNNNNNNNNNNNNNNNNNNNNNNNNNNNNNNNNNNNNNNNNNNNNNNNNNNNNNNNNNNNNNNNNNNNNNNNNNNNNNNNNNNNNNNNNNNNNNNNNNNNNNNNNNNNNNNNNNNNNNNNNNNNNNNNNNNNNNNNNNNNNNNNNNNNNNNNNNNNNNNNNNNNNNNNNNNNNNNNNNNNNNNNNNNNNNNNNNNNNNNNNNNNNNNNNNNNNNNNNNNNNNNNNNNNNNNNNNNNNNNNNNNNNNNNNNNNNNNNNNNNNNNNNNNNNNNNNNNNNNNNNNNNNNNNNNNNNNNNNNNNNNNNNNNNNNNNNNNNNNNNNNNNNNNNNNNNNNNNNNNNNNNNNNNNNNNNNNNNNNNNNNNNNNNNNNNNNNNNNNNNNNNNNNNNNNNNNNNNNNNNNNNNNNNNNNNNNNNNNNNNNNNNNNNNNNNNNNNNNNNNNNNNNNNNNNNNNNNNNNNNNNNNNNNNNNNNNNNNNNNNNNNNNNNNNNNNNNNNNNNNNNNNNNNNNNNNNNNNNNNNNNNNNNNNNNNNNNNNNNNNNNNNNNNNNNNNNNNNNNNNNNNNNNNNNNNNNNNNNNNNNNNNNNNNNNNNNNNNNNNNNNNNNNNNNNNNNNNNNNNNNNNNNNNNNNNNNNNNNNNNNNNNNNNNNNNNNNNNNNNNNNNNNNNNNNNNNNNNNNNNNNNNNNNNNNNNNNNNNNNNNNNNNNNNNNNNNNNNNNNNNNNNNNNNNNNNNNNNNNNNNNNNNNNNNNNNNNNNNNNNNNNNNNNNNNNNNNNNNNNNNNNNNNNNNNNNNNNNNNNNNNNNNNNNNNNNNNNNNNNNNNNNNNNNNNNNNNNNNNNNNNNNNNNNNNNNNNNNNNNNNNNNNNNNNNNNNNNNNNNNNNNNNNNNNNNNNNNNNNNNNNNNNNNNNNNNNNNNNNNNNNNNNNNNNNNNNNNNNNNNNNNNNNNNNNNNNNNNNNNNNNAAUAGCUUGCCAACGUGCAAAAAUCUGUUUUGAUGCAAUGUUUUGAACAUCCUUUUCUAAAACAUGUUUUGCAGCUUUGCAAUCAAUUCUAAGUAAAAAUUUUUGAUUUAAUAAAUCACUUUGAAAUUUUGUAAUGCAUAAAACAAUGGAAAGAAUUUCUUUUUUAAUAGUAGAAUAAUUUUUCUGACAAUCAUUCCAAUGUGCAGAAACAUAUUGUACUAUCUGUUCUCUAUCAUUUUCUUUUUGUUUUAAUAUACCUCCAUAUCCUAAAUCAGAUGCAUCAGUUUCAACAAUUUUAGGGAAUGCAGGAUUUGCAAGAUAUAGACAUGGGAUGCUUUUAACAGAACUCUUUAUUAAUUUAACAGCUUUAGUAUGUUCAUCUGUCCAUGGAGCAGGUUUUUUCUUUAAACGAUCAUGCAAAGGUUUAGACAACCUAUUGAUAUUGGGACAGAAAUCAAGAACAUAAUUUAGGCUACCAAGAAAUCUUUGUAAUUGAGUUUUGUCAAGAAUUUUAUCAGGGAAUUUAUCAGCAAAUAAAAGUGAUCUUUCAAUAGGGGUGAUUGUUCCUUUUGAAAUAUAGUGACCAAGAAAUCUGAUUUUCGUUUGAAAUAAUGAAAUCUUUGAACUAGAAAGGGCUAGUCCAGCCUUUUUUGUAGCAAAAUAAAAAGUCUUUAAAUGUUUGAAAUGUUGAUCGAUUGAAUUUGAAAAUAUCAAAACAUCAUCAAUAUAAACAAUGCAAAAAUCAGAAUAAGGAUUAUAAAUAUCAUUCAUAAUUCUUUGAAAUUCUGAGGGUGCAUUCUUUAAACCAAAGGGCAUAACAGUCCAUUCGUAUUGUCCAAAUGGAACAGUGAAAGCGGUUUUGUAACGGUCAUUUGGAUGAAUUUGAAUUUGCCAAAAACCCGAUUUCAUGUCGAAUUUUGAAAAAAUAAAGGCAGAACAGAGUUUUUGGAGUAAAUCUUUUUUAUUAGGUAUAGGAUACCUAAUCCAUUUUAAAGCUUUAUUCAAAGGUUUGUAGUUUAUAACUAGUCUUGGAGUGCCUCUUUCAAUUUCGGAGUUUUUGUUAACAUAAAAAGCAGCACAAGACCAAGGAGACCUGGAUUUUACAAUGAGUCCUUUAGACUCCAAGUCUUUGAUUUCAUUUUUACAAUGUUUUUCUAAAUCCAUAUUCAUUUGAAUUGGACGAGCUUUGGUCGGAAUCUGUUUUUCAUCAAAAGAAUUUUCAUAAGGCAGGUCUACUAAAUGUUGUUUUCUAUUCCAAAAAGCAGAAGGUAGAUCAGCACAAAUUUCUUUUUCAAUAAGAGUUUUGAAAUCAGAAAUUUUUCUUUUAAUGAAAUCACUUUGUAAUUGGCUUUCAACUCUUUGUAAGUUUCAAAUCUUUUUGUAAAAACAUUAGAUCACACUGUUUUUGAUUUAAGUAAAUUGUUUAUUCUAUUUUGAUAAAUAGAACAGGCUUUAACAAUAUUUAAAUUUCUUGUUUUAGGUUUUCAAUAAAAGGGAAAACAAGUUUCUUGUUUUUUGCUUUGAAAGAUAUACUAUCAUAAUUGACAGUAUACGGAGUUAUGAGAUUUAUAAAAGGAGUUCCCAAAAUAAUGGCAUGAUGAAUAUCAUUUGUGAGAACAAAGGAAGUUUUAAAAUCAAAACCAUCAUUAUAGAUCGAGGCUUCAACCUUGGAACUGACAUUCAAUUUUGAAUUAUUGGCGGCAGAAAGCCUUUCUUUUGUUUUUUCAUGAAAUCUUUUGGGGACGAUAUCUUCUCUAAUGCAAUUUAAAUCGGCGCCAGUAUCAAAAAGGGCAAUGGCGUCCAUCGCAAAAUCAUCAGAAAAGAUUAGAGUGACUUUAAUCAAAUACUUUCUUGUGGUGAUUUGUUUUAGAACAAAUAGAAAAUCAUUGGGUACAGACUCAAUAUUUUCUACUUUAAUAUCAUCACCAUCAAUAUCAGGACUGGAUUCAUUGUCUGAAUUAUCCUGUAAUUGCUUUUGUAAAAGAAGUUGAAUAAUAUCAGAAUCACUUUUUUGUUUUUCUUUUAAAUCUCUGAUUUCACUUUUGAUUUCUUUUAUCUCUUUCUGAAGAUCUUGGAUAUUAGGAAUCAUCUUUUUUGUUUUCUUCUUAUCCAAAAUUUGAGUAAGAUCAUAAGAAUUCUUUUUAAUAAUUGGGACUCUAGAAGUCUCGGCUUUAUUAAAAUCCAAUGUUUUCAAAAGUUUAUCAAGGUAUUCCUUUUGAAGAUUUGGAUCAGAAAUAUGCUUUACAAGUUCAAGAAAAGUUUCUUGGUCUUUAGUCAAAACAUUGAUUUUCUUUAAAAAUGAAUCAGAUUCAGAAUCACUACUGCUAGAUGCAGAGUCAUCUGAGUCAAAAAGCUCAUCAACUUGGUAAGGGUCACUGUCUCCCGACAUGGAAGACUCAGAAUCAGAAGAUUCGACAAGAAGAGGGGCUAUUUUAGAAAGGAUGUCCUCAUUGAGGUCAAGUUCUUGGAGUCUUUUGUUCAUUCUGCAAAAUUUUGCAGUAUGACCUUUCAUACCACAUUUGAAACAUGUGGCCUCCUUGAAGUUGAAUGGGGUAUUAGGUUUGGCUUUGAAAUCUUUCUUUUUAGAGAAACUAUGUCUCUUAUAAGGCUUCGAAGGUUUCUUAUAAGGAAGUUUUCUAAAAUCACGGAAGGGUUUUCUAAAAUGUUUAGAUUUGUAAUGUUUCUUACGAGGUUUUGUAGAACACUCUCCAUUACAAUCUUUGGAAGUUUUAAAGGGGUCAUAAUUGAAUUGCUUACAGAAACCGCCUAAUUCCUGUUUAGACUUCUUAAGCUCCCACUUAAGACGUUUCUGUAAUUUCAAAUCUUGACAAAUCUUUAAACCUUCUUUGUUGACAAAACUGACUAGUUCACCAUAGGUGAGCUCGUCAUAAGGAAUACGGUUAUCGUAAAGGGCUUUGAUGGAAUUUCUUACCUUUUCACCUAAAAGGGUAGGUAAUCCAGCAAGAAAUUUUUCUUUCCAAGUAAUAUGAUUUGCAUCAUCCCUUAGAAAUAGUCUGGUAAGGAAAGAGGUUUUGUAACUCUGAAAUUCACUAAGUUUUCUACAUCUCAAAUUAUGUAGUAACUCAGCGUUUUUAUCACGAAGGUGAGAAGGGUCACCGAUGAAAUGGAGGGAAAUGGUUAGAAUAAGAGUAGCAACAGCAUCCUGGAUAGGGUUGUUGAACUCAUCAAGAAUAGAGGCUCCAUUUUCAUCUUUUUGGACGGAAUUUAGAAUGUCAAAUUGUUGCUGAUUAGUGAGAAGAUGAUCCCACCAACCUUUUAGUUGACCAGUAAAACCAGCAAUUAGGAUUUCCGAUAUGGCACGAUCAGAAGUUCCUGCUUGGGUUUUAUAAAGCAUUAGCUGCCAUUGUCAUUUGUUGCAACAAUCCAAGGAUAUUGUACUCAGACAUGCCGUCAAUAUUCCACUCAUAGACUGAAGAUGCAUUAUAACGGGAUUGAUUUAAUGCACUAGGUCUAUUAUCUAUUGCUAGAUCUGGUGGGGUCUUGACAGUGGGAAGGGCUAAUUCCCAGUGGAUUUUGUUGGCUUUAGGAGUAGAAGGUUCUUCUUUGAAAGCUUCUAAGUCAGAAGAGGCUAUAGAACUCUGGUCAUCUAGAUCCAAAUACUCCAAUCUUGCUAGAUUGGGGGGUAUCGGGGCUAUCUGGAGUUUGCUAGACGAGGAAGAAGCAGCUUCUAUCCUCUCUAGUUGUUCUCUAAUGGCUUUAGCAAAAUCUGAUUUUGACUCUUGAACAAGCCUUUGGCUAGUUUUCGAAACCUGAAAAGGUUUGAAAAUAGGUUCCUUAAGCUUUUUGUCAGAAUCCGAUUUUGAAGGAAUAGACAUAGGAAUAGGAGAAACAGAUAUAGGAGAUUUUUGAAAUUGGUUUUCUAUACGAGCCAAUUGCUUUCCAAUUGUAUUUAAGUUAGUAUUACAGAAAUUAUUCUGUUGUAUAAUACUACUUAAAUUCGCAUCAGAAUCAUUUGGUCUUGGGAUUUUGUAAGGGGAUGCUUUAAUCUCAAUAGGAGGUUCACCAUGAUCUAUGGUUAUACUCCUAAGAGGUGGAUGAUCAGACUCUAUAAUCCUAUCAUUAUCAGAAAGUUUCCAUUCAGGAAUUUUCUUUCUAAUAGUUAUAGGGUUUGACUCUUUAAAAGGAUAAUCAAUAUUGUUCUCAGAAGAAUAUAUUUCGAACCAAUCAAAAAACAAUAUAUGAACUUUAUGAAAAUUCACAAAUUCAUAAUAAGUUUGUUGGAUUUCUUUUCUUUGGUUUAAAAAAUGUUUAAAAAAACCAAGUUCUUUUUUCUUUAUUUAUUUCUGAAUAAAAAUCGUUAUGCAGAAAGGCUUUAUUCUAAUUCAAAUUCUUUUUCAAUGACAUUAAUGACAUUUUCUGUGACAGCAGAAAACGUAGGAGAUGUUGGAGGAGAAGGUUCCUUCUCUUCCUGUCUUUGCACAUGUUGACUACUAGUGUAUAUAGGAUGAGGAACACUUGUGGCAUAGUCAACGGAACGGAUGGAGGAGCUAGGUAUAUCCGAAGUGGAAAACCUAGGUUGGCUCUGAUAUGGGAGAUUUAUAACAGAAGGUACUUUUGUAAACUUCCUUUCUAGUGAAGGAAUGCUUGGGCUCGAUUCUUUUUCAGAAAAUCUAUGUGAGGUAGACCUUCUGAAUGAUAGUUUGACUUUACCAUCGGAAUACUGGGUCACAUUUUGUAACUCUGUAUUUGGCUCAAGUUGUUUCGGAAUCGCCGGUGGGGCGGCUCCUUCGAGGAUCCAUUCAUCUGGAAGAUGGAUAUCUUUCCAUUGGAUCGAUUUUGGAAUGACCAUGUUGGCUUUAGACAAAUCAGUCUGCAAGAGAAGGGUCUCAUCUCUCUUCGACUGGUAUUUAUGCUGUGUGCUAAAUGCAGAAAUCAUGGCUUUAUAGGAAAUUUUAAAAAUUAAUGCAACUGGGAUGGAUCCCUUAAUCAUGUGAUAAUUAUGGGUUUGGAUUUGUAAAAUCAUGCUCUUUAAAAUAUUUUUGUCUUUAAGAGAAAUUGUUAUAUUUGGAUAACAAUCAAAAGAUAUGGGACCUUUACAUAGACUAGAUUCGAUACUACUUAGUAAAGAAUCAUCAAAAGAGAUGAAUCGCCCAUCUCUAAGAACAGCAAGGAUAGAGGUAUCCAAGCCUUCUUUGGUCAAAGGUUUUAUUCCUACUUGGAUUAAACCAAUGUGAAUAUAUUUGAAAUUCUUUUCUUUUAAUUUCUUUAAAGAUUUUUUCUGAAAACAAAUAAAUUGUUUCAAAAGGCUCCGAAAGAGUUAUGUCUCUUUCUUCAGUUUUUUAUAAUAUAAUCAUGUUUUAAAAGAUCAAGCAUUUUUGUUUUGUAAAUCUUUUCUUUGGAAAUUUUUGGAAGUUCCCAACAAUCAAUUGCUUUAUCAAAGUUUUCAAUAACGAAUUCUUCUGAACUCACAACAUGCUUUGAAUCACUAGUCUUCCCGGAAGAAGAGCUAGAAAAGGACGAUGUUCUACAGUGUAGAGGGUUCAUGGGUAAAAACCUAUGAUCUAUUUAGUGGUUUUGAAAGAAUGGCUACAGGUAUGGUUUUACAGCCCUAAACGGAAAACUUAUCCUUAGACGGGACUUACUACCAGUAAAAAUUCACCACAAAAACAAAACUUCAAAAUAAAACACAAGUUUUCAAAACACAAAACUCUAAACUGCUUUACACAAUCCUCCCCUUGGCUCUGAUACCAGAAGGAAAUAGAAUCGAAGGAUGGGUGUGUAUUGAAGAUGCUUCUUUAUUGAUUGCUUUAAUGAAAUAAUUGGAUCGCGGUUGUUCAGAUUUUAUAUAAGAUUACCAGCUUUAGAUUAAGUAGAUUUGUUUUAGAGCAUACAAUGAUCAAACAAAUUUGAACGCGGUUGGUCAAAUUUUUAGAAUAUUUAAAGUACGUGGCGUUGUUAGACCAGAUCGAUCGCAGAAGUUAAUCUGCCUUUGGACCCAGAUCUGACUUAGAACAGAUCAAUAGUCCGCACGUUCGGGUUUCCAGCCUAUAUACUUUAAUAUAUUUACCAGAUAAAAUUAAGUUGCUUUAAACGUGGUUGUUUCUUUUUAUUGGGCUAAUUCCAGAUUUAAAUUAGAUUCUUUAAGGGGCUUGGGUACAUACACAGUACCAGAUCCGGAUCCCGGAAAUGGUGCUCUGAAGGAAUGGAGGAAGAAGAGAAGAUUUACAACUGAGGAUCGAGAUCCGGUCUCUUUGCCUCAGAGGAACGUACAAAUUUUAUGGCAGAUCUGAUAAAGACCAGUCUGCUUUGCAUGCUUUGAAAAGAAAAUUGCUUUAAAAAUAAAUUGCUUUAAUGUAAAUAUGCAUGAAAUUAAAUUGCAGAAAAGUAAAUUGCGAAAAUUUAAAUUACAUCGAAAUUAAAUAACUGAAAUUUAAACAUACAUCUUUGCUUUGAUAGUCUUGGUCUUUACAAUUUUCAAAUCUUUCCUGAAGGGAAGAUUGAAAGACGGGAAGAUUACAAGACAGGAAUGGUUUCCUUGAUGUCUUGGACUGUUCAUCAAAUUUUGACCACCAUUUGACUUUAAAGGUUCUUUGAAGGAUGACUUGGGAAUCUUGAGUAUGAAAACGGAGGUUCCACAUCCAGACCCAUGGUAGGAAGAAGUUUGUACAAAAACAGAGAAAGGGGGGAAAUCUUUUCUCUGAGUCAGAGGGCAUAUAGUGGGCUUUAAAGAGGUUUAGGCAAUUUAUGGCAUUUGGAGUGAGGAUUUGAGGUAUUGGGCCAAAGAAAUUCCACCAAUGAUGGAACCAGUUUGGAAGGCUUUGGACGGUUAUUUUAGGGUUAAAGAAAAAUAACCAAGAAUGGGAUUUUUUAGGGUUUUGAAUAAAAAAGGUGUUAUACCAUGCUUGUUGGUAAUCCCAGUAGGAGAAAGUCCGACAAUGUGGUAAACGGGUUUCAAAGUUUAAAGGAAAGGUUUUGAAAUUGUGGAGUAGGUCGCCCCACUGGUUCGGGCUCAAAACUUUUAGAAUCGUGGCCGUGGAAUAGGCCGGUUCAGAAUGGGUUUUAUCAAGAAAGAAAUGUUUGAAUUUAACUGAUUCAGUUAUUUCUAAAAUGCUUUGAUAAUAAGACUGGGGUUUUGUCAAAUCCCAUGGUUUGAAAAACCAGCCUUUGGGAAAAAACUUUGAAAUGCUUUGAAAAGGAUCAGUAUGGUAAAAUCCAUCUUCCAUAGAAAGAAUAUUUUGAAAAUGGGUUUUAUCAAACCAAUCGGAGGUUUUCUUUGAAGGUGUUGGCUGAGAAAGCACAAUUUGGGAAGAUGAGCUUUCGGCAGAGACAACAACAUUUUGAGAGGAGGGUUUUGUAAUUUCUUUAGAUGUGGAUAUGCUCUUAAUUUCUUUUUGAGGAGAAUUUUGGCUCUGGGAAAGGUUUUGUAGAGCGAGCAUGAGCUCGGGAGAUUUUGUAAUGGAACUCAUCCAAUGCUUUAUUUGAUCAUCAGAAGAGAUGGGUUUGUAUUGGGCUUCAUGUUCUUCAACCAAUUCAAUCCAUGAUUUGAUGGGUAGGGCAGAAGAAAGUAAUUUUUCUUUAGAAGGGGUUGACUGGGGUUCUUUGGAAGGUUCUUGAGAUCCGGAACUUUUGAGAACAGCUUUACCUUUGUCUUUCUUUAGCGGCAUUAUCUGUUUUGAAGAAAUUCUCUGGUUAGAAAAUCAGGAACAGAAUUUUUAUCACCUUUAAUGAAUUCUAUAUCAAAAUCAAAAACACUCAAAAUAGCUUGCCAACGUGCAAAAAUUUGUUUUGAUGCAAUGUUUUGAACAUCCUUUUCUAAAACAUGUUUUGCAGCUUUGCAAUCAAUUCUAAGUAAAAAUUUUUGAUUUAAUAAAUCACUUUGAAAUUUUGUAAUGCAUAAAACAAUGGAAAGAAUUUCUUUUUUAAUAGUAGAAUAAUUUUUCUGACAAUCAUUCCAAUGUGCAGAAACAUAUUGUACUAUCUGUUCUCUAUCAUUUUCUUUUUGUUUUAAUAUACCUCCAUAUCCUAAAUCAGAUGCAUCAGUUUCAACAAUUUUAGGGAAUGCAGGGUUUGCAAGAUAUAGACAUGGGAUGCUUUUAACAGAACUCUUUAUUAAUUUAACAGCUUUAGUAUGUUCAUCUGUCCAUGGAGCAGGUUUUUUCUUUAAACGAUCAUGCAAAGGUUUAGACAACCUAUUGAUAUUGGGACAGAAAUCAAGAACAUAAUUUAGGCUACCAAGAAAUCUUUGUAAUUGAGUUUUGUCAAGGAUUUUAUCAGGGAAUUUAUCAGCAAAUAAAAGUGAUCUUUCAAUAGGGGUGAUUGUUCCUUUUGAAAUAUAGUGACCAAGAAAUCUGAUUUUCGUUUGAAAUAAUGAAAUCUUUGAACUAGAAAGGGCUAGUCCAGCCUUUUUUGUAGCAAAAUAAAAAGUCUUUAAAUGUUUGAAAUGUUGAUCGAUUGAAUUUGAAAAUAUCAAAACAUCAUCAAUAUAAACAAUGCAAAAAUCAGAAUAAGGAUUAUAAAUAUCAUUCAUAAUUCUUUGAAAUUCUGAGGGUGCAUUCUUUAAACCAAAGGGCAUAACAGUCCAUUCGUAUUGUCCAAAUGGAACAGUGAAAGCGGUUUUGUAACGGUCAUUUGGAUGAAUUUGAAUUUGCCAAAAACCCGAUUUCAUGUCGAAUUUUGAAAAAAUAAAGGCAGAACAGAGUUUUUGGAGUAAAUCUUUUUUAUUAGGUAUAGGAUACCUAAUCCAUUUUAAAGCUUUAUUCAAAGGUUUGUAGUUUAUAACUAGUCUUGGAGUGCCUCUUUCAAUUUCGGAGUUUUUGUUAACAUAAAAAGCAGCACAAGACCAAGGAGACCUGGAUUUUACAAUGAGUCCUUUAGACUCCAAGUCUUUGAUUUCAUUUUUACAAUGUUUUUCUAAAUCCAUAUUCAUUUGAAUUGGACGAGCUUUGGUCGGAAUCUGUUUUUCAUCAAAAGAAUUUUCAUAAGGCAGGUCUACUAAAUGUUGUUUUCUAUUCCAAAAAGCAGAAGGUAGAUCAGCACAAAUUUCUUUUUCAAUAAGAGUUUUGAAAUCAGAAAUUUUUCUUUUAAUGAAAUCACUUUGUAAUUGGCUUUCAACUCUUUGUAAGUUCAAAUCUUUUUGUAAAAACAUUAGAUCACACUGUUUUGAUUUAAGUAAAUUGUUUAUUCUAUUUUGAUAAAUAGAACAGGCUUUAACAAUAUUUAAAUUUCUUGUUUUAGGUUUUUCAAUAAAAGGGAAAACAAGUUUCUUGUUUUUUUGCUUUGAAAGAUAUACUAUCAUAAUUGACAGUAUACGGAGUUAUGAGAUUUAUAAAAGGAGUUCCCAAAAUAAUGGCAUGAUGAAUAUCAUUUGUGAGAACAAAGGAAGUUUUAAAAUCAAAACCAUCAUUAUAGAUCGAGGCUUCAACCUUGGAACUGACAUUCAAUUUUGAAUUAUUGGCGGCAGAAAGCCUUUCUUUUGUUUUUUCAUGAAAUCUUUUGGGGACGAUAUCUUCUCUAAUGCAAUUUAAAUCGGCGCCAGUAUCAAAAAGGGCAAUGGCGUCCAUCGCAAAAUCAUCAGAAAAGAUUAGAGUGACUUUAAUCAAAUACUUUCUUGUGGUGAUUUGUUUUAGAACAAAUAGAAAAUCAUUGGGUACAGACUCAAUAUUUUCUACUUUAAUAUCAUCACCAUCAAUAUCAGGACUGGAUUCAUUGUCUGAAUUAUCCUGUAAUUGCUUUUGUAAAAGAAGUUGAAUAAUAUCAGAAUCACUUUUUUGUUUUUCUUUUAAAUCUCUGAUUUCACUUUUGAUUUCUUUUAUCUCUUUCUGAAGAUCUUGGAUAUUAGGAAUCAUCUUUUUUGUUUUCUUCUUAUCCAAAAUUUGAGUAAGAUCAUAAGAAUUCUUUUUAAUAAUUGGGACUCUAGAAGUCUCGGCUUUAUUAAAAUCCAAUGUUUUCAAAAGUUUAUCAAGGUAUUCCUUUUGAAGAUUUGGAUCAGAAAUAUGCUUUACAAGUUCAAGAAAAGUUUCUUGGUCUUUAGUCAAAACAUUGAUUUUCUUUAAAAAUGAAUCAGAUUCAGAAUCACUACUGCUAGAUGCAGAGUCAUCUGAGUCAAAAAGCUCAUCAACUUGGUAAGGGUCACUGUCUCCUGACAUGGAAGACUCAGAAUCAGAAGAUUCGACAAGAAGAGGGGCUAUUUUAGAAAGGAUGUCCUCAUUGAGGUCAAGUUCUUGGAGUCUUUUGUUCAUUCUGCAAAAUUUUGCAGUAUGACCUUUCAUACCACAUUUGAAACAUGUGGCCUCCUUGAAGUUGAAUGGGGUAUUAGGUUUGGCUUUGAAAUCUUUCUUUUUAGAGAAACUAUGUCUCUUAUAAGGCUUCGAAGGUUUCUUAUAAGGAAGUUUUCUAAAAUCACGGAAGGGUUUUCUAAAAUGUUUAGAUUUGUAAUGUUUCUUACGAGGUUUUGUAGAACACUCUCCAUUACAAUCUUUGGAAGUUUUAAAGGGGUCAUAAUUGAAUUGCUUACAGAAACCGCCUAAUUCCUGUUUAGACUUCUUAAGCUCCCACUUAAGACGUUUCUGUAAUUUCAAAUCUUGACAAAUCUUUAAACCUUCUUUGUUGACAAAACUGACUAGUUCACCAUAGGUGAGCUCGUCAUAAGGAAUACGGUUAUCGUAAAGGGCUUUGAUGGAAUUUCUUACCUUUUCACCUAAAAAGGUAGGUAAUCCAGCAAGAAAUUUUUCUUUCCAAGUAAUAUGAUUUGCAUCAUCCCUUAGAAAUAGUCUGGUAAGGAAAGAGGUUUUGUAACUCUGAAAUUCACUAAGUUUUCUACAUCUCAAAUUAUGUAGUAACUCAGCGUUUUUAUCACGAAGGUGAGAAGGGUCACCGAUGAAAUGGAGGGAAAUGGUUAGAAUAAGAGUAGCAACAGCAUCCUGGAUAGGGUUGUUGAACUCAUCAAGAAUAGAGGCUCCAUUUUCAUCUUUUUGGACGGAAUUUAGAAUGUCAAAUUGUUGCUGAUUAGUGAGAAGAUGAUCCCACCAACCUUUUAGUUGACCAGUAAAACCAGCAAUUAGGAUUUCCGAUAUGGCACGAUCAGAAGUUCCUGCUUGGGUUUUAUAAGCAUUAGCUGCCAUUGUCAUUUGUUGCAACAAUCCAAGGAUAUUGUACUCAGACAUGCCGUCAAUAUUCCACUCAUAGACUGAAGAUGCAUUAUAACGGGAUUGAUUUAAUGCACUAGGUCUAUUAUCUAUUGCUAGAUCUGGUGGGGUCUUGACAGUGGGAAGGGCUAAUUCCCAGUGGAUUUUGUUGGCUUUAGGAGUAGAAGGUUCUUCUUUGAAAGCUUCUAAGUCAGAAGAGGCUAUAGAACUCUGGUCAUCUAGAUCCAAUACUCCAAUCUUGCUAGAUUGGGGGGUAUCGGGGGCUAUCUGGAGUUUGCUAGACGAGGAAGAAGCAGCUUCUAUCCUCUCUAGUUGUUCUCUAAUGGCUUUAGCAAAAUCUGAUUUUGACUCUUGAACAAGCCUUUGGCUAGUUUUCGAAACCUGAAAAGGUUUGAAAAUAGGUUCCUUAAGCUUUUUGUCAGAAUCCGAUUUUGAAGGAAUAGACAUAGGAAUAGGAGAAACAGAUAUAGGAGAUUUUUGAAAUUGGUUUUCUAUACGAGCCAAUUGCUUUCCAAUUGUAUUUAAGUUAGUAUUACAGAAAUUAUUCUGUUGUAUAAUACUACUUAAAUUCGCAUCAGAAUCAUUUGGUCUUGGGAUUUUGUAAGGGGAUGCUUUAAUCUCAAUAGGAGGUUCACCAUGAUCUAUGGUUAUACUCCUAAGAGGUGGAUGAUCAGACUCUAUAAUCCUAUCAUUAUCAGAAAGUUUCCAUUCAGGAAUUUUCUUUCUAAUAGUUAUAGGGUUUGACUCUUUAAAAGGAUAAUCAAUAUUGUUCUCAGAAGAAUAUAUUUCGAACCAAUCAAAAAACAAUAUAUGAACUUUAUGAAAAUUCACAAAUUCAUAAUAAGUUUGUUGGAUUUCUUUUCUUUGGUUUAAAAAAUGUUUAAAAAACCAAGUUCUUUUUUCUUUAUUUAUUUCUGAAUAAAAAUCGUUAUGCAGAAAGGCUUUAUCUAAUUCAAAUUCUUUUUCAAUGACAUUAAUGACAUUUUCUGUGACAGCAGAAAACGUAGGAGAUGUUGGAGGAGAAGGUUCCUUCUCUUUCUGUCUUUGCACAUGUUGACUACUAGUGUAUAUAGGAUGAGGAACACUUGUGGCAUAGUCAACGGAACGGAUGGAGGAGCUAGGUAUAUCCGAAGUGGAAAACCUAGGUUGGCUCUGAUAUGGGAGAUUUAUAACAGAAGGUACUUUUGUAAACUUCCUUUCUAGUGAAGGAAUGCUUGGGCUCGAUUCUUUUUCAGAAAAUCUAUGUGAGGUAGACCUUCUGAAUGAUAGUUUGACUUUACCAUCGGAAUACUGGGUCACAUUUUGUAACUCUGUAUUUGGCUCAAGUUGUUUCGGAAUCGCCGGUGGGGCGGCUCCUUCGAGGAUCCAUUCAUCUGGAAGAUGGAUAUCUUUCCAUUGGAUCGAUUUUGGAAUGACCAUGUUGGCUUUAGACAAAUCAGUCUGCAAGAGAAGGGUCUCAUCUCUCUUCGACUGGUAUUUAUGCUGUGUGCUAAAUGCAGAAAUCAUGGCUUUAUAGGAAAUUUUAAAAAUUAAUGCAACUGGGAUGGAUCCCUUAAUCAUGUGAUAAUUAUGGGUUUGGAUUUGUAAAAUCAUGCUCUUUAAAAUAUUUUUGUCUUUAAGAGAAAUUGUUAUAUUUGGAUAACAAUCAAAAGAUAUGGGACCUUUACAUAGACUAGAUUCGAUACUACUUAGUAAAGAAUCAUCAAAAGAGAUGAAUCGCCCAUCUCUAAGAACAGCAAGGAUAGAGGUAUCCAAGCCUUCUUUGGUCAAAGGUUUUAUUCCUACUUGGAUUAAACCAAUGUGAAUAUAUUUGAAAUUCUUUUCUUUUAAUUUCUUUAAAGAUUUUUCUGAAAACAAAUAAAUUGUUUCAAAAGGCUCCGAAAGAGUUAUGUCUCUUUCUUCAGUUUUUAUAAUAUAAUCAUGUUUUAAAAGAUCAAGCAUUUUUGUUUUGUAAAUCUUUUCUUUGGAAAUUUUUGGAAGUUCCCAACAAUCAAUUGCUUUAUCAAAGUUUUCAAUAACGAAUUCUUCUGAACUCACAACAUGCUUUGAAUCACUAGUCUUCCCGGAAGAAGAGCUAGAAAAGGACGAUGUUCUACAGUGUAGAGGGUUCAUGGGUAAAAACCUAUGAUCUAUUUAGUGGUUUUGAAAGAAUGGCUACAGGUAUGGUUUUACAGCCCUAAACGGAAAACUUAUCCUUAGACGGGACUUACUGUUGAGUGUUAGAAAAUGCAUAUUUAUAAAGGAGAAAACCGUCAUUUUACAUUUCAAGUCUUACUAACAACCCUUACUUUUAUGUAUUUAACCUUCUUGUGAUGUAAUUACGUGUGUGUUAUUUUAAUUAAGUAUUUUAUGUAUUUUAGGGGCAUUAUAGUCAUUUCACAAUAAAGGAGAGAUCAGACGGCAAAACGGACAUCACUUUUGAACUCAGGACGGUCGAAAACCUUAGGAGGAGCAUAAAAGGAAAAAUGGUACUAUUCACGUAUACGGUACUGUCUACAUUACUGUUCACGACACUGUUCACAUAGACGGAUCGAUGACGUGGCAUUGACCGAUGAUGUGGCAUUGACUGAUGAGGUGUCACGAUCCUGUUGGACUAAAAUUCUUAUGUACUGUUGACGGUGACGUGGCAGCAUAUCAGUGGACGAAAAAUCUCGCGUACGGUGCAUGCAUCACACAGGAUUAUUUUCAACCAAACCGUGUUACUGUUCAUCCGGGUCAAACCGUGUUACUGUUCAUCCGCGUGGUCAAACCGUGGACUGUUGACUGAUGACGUGGCGCAAUCCUGAGCGUCCAAACUGUUUUUAAUCCGAUGGCCAUGAUUUACUCCAUGUAUCUAUAAAAAGGGGGCCUCCCCCCCCUAAUUUGAUAUCUCUGAAUCCAUUUUUGGGAUCCAUUUUCUGUAAUUCCUUCUCCAUCUUGUAUUUUCUUCGUAUUUUAAUAAAUUCCCAUUUUGCCCCUAGUUCAAUUAUGAGUAGCUAAUUUCCUUUCAAGCUUGGGUUGAAGGUGAAGUCUCAACAUGUGUCAUGGGCUUUAUUUGGUAAAUUUAUUUUCUUUUCCCCUCUAGUUUUUGUGGAUGAUUUGACUUAUCGUCGACAAAUAAUACUGAUCUUGUCUAGAUACCGCCUUGGUUACACCGGCUCUCUAGUAUAAGGUUAUUAUUAUUUGGCACGAUAAGCCCUUAGCACCAUGUUGAUUAGAGCGUGGUUCAUGAUGUGUGGAUUCCCCCAUCAUGAUUUAAUUGGCAUUAAUACGGAUUAUUUAGCCCAUGAUGCAUGUUGAUACGGAUCCGAAUACCCAAGUACGUCAUUUCAAAUAGAAUUAUCUUCAAUUUAUUCUCGCCAUUGCAAUUCUAAUUUUAGAAUUUAUUCUCGCCAUUUUAAUUUAAGUUUUAGCAUAUUCCAAAUCAUUUCCACCAUAAAUCCAACCACCCAUUUUGCAAAAUUAAUUCUACACAUAAUUAAAAUCCACCUCCUCGUGGGAUCGACACUCGUCACCAUUGAUCUAUACUACAAUAGAUUCGUGCGCUUGCGAGUACAUUAAAAUUUGCACAACAAGUUUUUGGCGCCGUUGCCGGGGAGGUAAGUAAUUUUAAUUCAUAGAAUUAAUUUUUGUGAAUAAUUUCUUUUAUUUGUUUUCUUGUAUUUUUUUUUCUUAUUAAAAAAGAAAAAAGAAAAAAAAGAGUAAAUCUACAUUUAAAGGUUAGUAUUUCUUUUCUUUUUCUCUUCUUUAAAAUUCUGUAAUUUAAUUUUCAAUUUAUUUUUUCUUUGUAAUUUUUGUUUAUUUUAUUAAUUUAAUUUUUAGUUAAUUUAUUUCACGUAUUUGUUUUUGUGUAUUUUUAUAGAAAGGUUGUAAUAGCGCAAUAAGGUUAGUAUCGUAAUUUCUCCCUCUUCUUUAUUUUUAUUUGUUUUGUUCCCAUCUUUAUUUUUUUGUUUUGUUUGCAUCUUUAUUUUUAUUUUUAUUUUAUUUUGCAUGCAUGGUCGUAGGUCAUUAUUACCUAAUCUUGAACCUAUAGACCUUGAAUUAGAAAAAACACUUCGCACACAAAAGCACAUUAAAAAUAAAUUUGGAAUGGAUUUACAAGCACCACAGGAGAGGCCAUUUAAGGACUAUUUUAGUCCCUUAGCUAAUUUGAGCACAUCAUGCAUUAGAUACCCAAAUGUAGCUGCUGGGAGCUUUGAACUAAAACCUAGUGUGCUAAAUUGUCUCCCCACAUUCUAUGGCUUAGAAAAUGAGGACCCAUAUAAUCAUCUGAAUGAUUUUCAUACCAUUUGUCAAACUUUUAAAUAUGAAAAUUUUUCAGACGAUGAUGUUAAACUCAGAUUAUUCCCAUUUUCUUUAAAGGAUAGAGCUCGUUCAUGGUUAAAUACUUUGCCUGCUAAUAGCAUUGCAUCAUGGGAACAAAUGGUUACAAAAUUUCUAAAUAAAUAUUUCCCAGUGCAUAAAACCAAUUCUAUUCGCAGGGAAAUUUCAGAGUUUACACAAAGAGAGGACGAGCAGUUUUUCGAAACAUGGGAGCGAUUCAAUGGGCUACUCUUGAAGUGUCCACAUCAUGGGUACGAGAAAUGGCACCAAUGCCAAUACUUUUUGGAGGGAUUACUACCAAAUGUGCAAGAAUGGCUAAUGGCAACAAGUGGAGGAGAGCUAAUGUCAAAAAGCGCAACAGAGAUUUGGGAAUUCUUCCAGCGACAAGCGGAUAAUUCCCAACAACGGAGUCGAUCACUCAGGAAUACUAGAAGAAUUAAGGGAGUAAAUGAGGUUCAAAUUGGCGAGUCAACUUCGGGAAUCAAAGAAGUCAAGGAGAUGGUUGAAGGUCUUGCUCGACAAAUAGCAUCGUUAUCGACUGCUAAAUCAACAGAACCACAUGACCAUGACUCAUACUCCGAUCAAGCCAAUGCCAUAGGUGUAAUGAGAAAGCCAUCUAAUUACAACCCAUACUCCAACACAUAUAACCCUGGAUGGAGAGACCACCCCAAUUUUUCAUGGUCUCAAGGAUUCCAACAGAAUGGACCAGCAGCUCCAGCUCCACAAAUUCCUCAAGUUCCUCAAGCCUCUCAGCCACCAUUCAGACCAUACAAUCAGAACCAGAACUACUCUCAACCCAGACCAUGGGAGGAUUCAUUCCAGAAUCUCAAGAAUCUUACUCACUCCACGAUUGAGCAACAGAACCGCACCAUUGAUGGACUACGAAAUGAGUUGAGAGCAGGCUUCAACUCACAAGCUCAAUCAGUUUCAAGCCUCGAGAAGAUGGUGGGACAACUUGCUUCUUCAGUUCAGACCUUGGCAAUGACUGUUGAGAAAGGAAAAUUUCCAAGUCAACCAGUGCCUAAUCCUAAAGGAGUGCAUGAAGCAAGUACCAGUUCACCACAACAGCAUGGAGAGGUCAAAGCAGUCAUGACCUUGCGAAAAGGAAAGGAAGUCGACAAUAAAGUGGAGAUGCCGGUGACAAAAGAAAAUCAAAUUGUACCUGUAAAUGCUGAGGACUCACCACCGGAGGAAAAAGAAGAAACCAACCCACGAGAAUACGUUCCCAAAGCUCCAUUUCCUCAGAGGUUAGUGAAAGGAAAGAAGGGAAAAAUCCACAGGUGAGAUUCUCGAAAUCUUCAAACAGGUAAGUGUUAACAUCCCUUUACUUGAUGCUAUAAAGCAAGUUCCAUCUUAUGCCAAGUUUCUUAAAGACCUUUGUACUAAAAAGAGAAAUAUGCAUGUUCAAAAGAAGGCAUUUUUAACAGAAAACGUUAGUUCUAUACUCCAACAUAAAAUUCCUUUAAAAUGCAAAGACCCAGGCUCCCCCACUAUCUCAUGUAGUAUAGGGAACCACACAAUUGAGAAUGCUUUGUUGGAUUUAGGAGCUAGUGUAAAUUUGUUGCCUUACUCUGUAUUCGUGAAACUUGGACUGGGAGAAUUACACCCAACUCCAGUGGUGUUACAACUUGCAGAUCGGUCCACAAAAAUACCUCGUGGUAUUGUGGAGGACGUGCUUAUCCAGGUAGACAAGUUUUAUUUUCCUGUUGAUUUCAUUGUAAUUGACACUCAACCAAUACAGGACUCAAGGAAGCACAUCCCCAUUAUUCUAGGCCGACCUUUCUUGGCAACUGCAGAUGCUCAUAUUCAAUGUAGGACCGGAAAUAUGCAAUUGUCCUUCGGCAACAUGACUAUGGAGCUAAACAUCUUCAACAUUGCCAAACAACCUCACAGUGCAGAUGAUGGAAUUGUUGAUGUGGAUUUAAUAGAAACCAUAGUUGAUAAUACUUUUCUUUCAAACCUUAGUGAUGAUCCUUUACAAACAUGCUUAACUCACUUUGGUUUGGAUUUUGAUAUUGAUAGAUCGGUCGAAGAGGUCAACGCCCUACUUGACUCAGCACCAUCCAUGGACACUAAUAAAUGGAAGUCAAGAGUUGAACAACUAGCACUAUCAGAGAAGAAACUCAUUCCAUCAUCAGAAUCACCACCGAAACUCGAGCUCAAACCAUUACCCAACACUCUGGAAUAUGCAUUUUUGGGAGAAGAAAGUACUCUGCCGGUAAUCAUCUCAUCAUCCCUAAAUGACGAACAAAAAGGUAAGUUGUUGGAUGUGUUAAAAGAGCACAAAGGGGCAUUAGGAUGGACCAUAGCAGACAUAAAAGGUAUAAACCCAGUAGACUGCAUGCAUUACAUUCACCUUGAUGAAAAUGCUAAAACUACUAGGGAGAUGCAACGUCGGUUAAAUCCUAACAUGAAAGAAGUUAGAACUGAAGUCCUUAAGCUAUUAGAUGCAGGUAUCAUUUACCCAAUUUCUGAUAGUUCAUGGGUCAGUCCUGUACAAGUCGUCCCCAAAAAGUCAGGAGUCACAGUAGUUACCAAUGCUGAUAAUGAAUUGAUACCAACUAGAGUAACUACAGGAUGGCGUGUAUGCAUUGAUUAUAGAAAGUUGAAUUCUGUCACACGUAAAGACCAUUUUCCUUUACCAUUUAUUGAUCAAAUGCUUGAUAGAUUAGCAGGCCAUGAAUUUUAUUGCUUUCUAGAUGGUUAUUCAGGAUAUAAUCAGAUUCCCAUAGCACCAAAAGAUCAGGAGAAAACUACUUUCACUUGCCCUUUUGGCACUUUUGCAUAUAGGAGAAUGCCAUUUGGAUUAUGUAAUGCACCUGCUACAUUCCAACGAUGCAUGUUGAGCAUUUUUUCUGAUAUGGUUGAACGAUUCCUUGAAGUCUUUAUGGAUGAUUUUUCUAUCUUUGGUGACUCGUUUGAUCAAUGUUUACAUCAUCUAACGCUAGUUCUGCAGAGAUGUACCGAGAAGAGCUUAGUCUUAAAUUGGGAGAAGUGCCAUUUUAUGGUAAAACAAGGUAUUGUUCUCGGUCACAUCAUUUCAAGCAAAGGUAUUGAGGUUGACAAAGCCAAGGUGGAUCUAAUUUCUAAUCUUCCUCCACCUAAAACAGUCAGAGAAGUAAGAUCUUUCCUUGGGCAUGCUGGUUUCUAUAGACGUUUCAUUAAAGAUUUUAGCAAAGUUUCUAGACCCUUAUGCAAUUUACUUGCUAAGGAUGUACCUUUUAUCUUUAAUGAUUCAUGUCUCAUGGCGUUUGAAAAAUUAAAGCAGUUGUUGACAUCAUCACCCAUCAUUCAGGCCCCAAACUGGAACUUACCAUUUGAGCUCAUGUGUGAUGCAUCUGAUUAUGCAGUAGGAGCAGUAUUAGGACAAAGAGUUGAUCGAAUUCCCCACGUUAUUUACUAUGCUAGUAUGACAUUGAAUGAUGCACAGUUGAAUUAUUCAACUACUGAAAAAGAAAUGCUAGCAGUAGUGUUUGCAUUAGAGAAAUUUCGAUCUUAUCUCAUUGGUUGUAAAAUAAUUAUAUUCACAGAUCAUGCUGCUCUUAAAUAUCUUCUCACAAAGAAAGAUGCAAAAGCUAGACUAAUUCGUUGGGUGUUACUUUUGCAGGAAUUUGACUUGGAAUUCAAAGAUAAGAAAGGCACAGAGAAUGUUGUAGCUGACCAUCUCUCUCGCCUCCAUUUUGAUAUAAUUAUGGAACCAUUACCAUUGAAUGAGUCAUUUCCAGAUGAACAAUUAAUGAAUGUGGAAGUAUUACCUUGGUAUGCUGAUAUAGUUAAUUAUCUUGUUACAGGUAAACUUCCAGAGCAUUGGACCAAGCAAGACAAGGCUAAAUUCUUUGCGGAAAUAAAGAAUUUCUUUUGGGAUGACCCGUAUUUGUUCAAGUAUUGUGCAGAUCAAAUUGUUAGGCGAUGUGUCCCAGAAAGUGAAAUUCAAAAUAUCCUUUCAUUCUGCCAUGAACAAGCGUGUGGAGACCAUUUUAGUGCUAAGAAAACAGCUACAAAAGUUUUACAAUGUGGUUUCUAUUGGCCAACUAUAUUUCGAGACGCUUACACUUUCUGUUCUUCAUGUGAUAGGUGUCAACGAAUGGGGAGCAUUACACGAAGGAACAUGAUGCCACUAAAUCCAAUUUUAGUGGUUGAGAUUUUUGACGUAUGGGGUAUCGACUUCAUGGGACCCUUUCCCCCUUCUUUUGGCCAUCAAUACAUAUUGGUUGGUGUUGACUACGUAUCGAAAUGGGUGGAAGCAAUUCCAUGCAGAACCAAUGAUCACAAAGUGGUGAUAGGAUUUUUGAAAAGCAACAUUGUUUCACGCUUUGGAUUCCCUCGAGCGAUAAUCAGUGAUGGUGGUGCCCACUUUUGUAACAAAGCAUUCAAGGCUCUUUUGACAAAGUAUUCAAUCACACACAAAGUGGCGACCCCGUAUCAUCCGCAAACCAGUGGCCAAGUUGAGAUCUCCAAUCGAGAAAUAAAGCACAUAUUAGAAAAGACGGUGAGACCAGACAGAAAAGAUUGGUCAUUAAGACUUGAUGAUGCAUUAUGGCAUAUAGAACGGCUUUCAAGACCCCGAUUGGGAUGUCACCCUACAGGCUAGUGUAUGGAAAAGCUUGCCACCUACCUGUGGAACUCGAGCAUCGUGCAUAUUGGGCCAUCAAGAAAUUCAACUUUGACAUGCAGCAAGCCAGCUCAGAAAGAAGAUUACAGCUGGCAGAACUUGAAGAAAUUCGCAAUGAUGCAUACGAAAAAUGCCAAGAUUUACAAGCAACGAAUGAAAGUCUUCCAUGAUAAGCAAAUUAUGAGAAAAUCGUUCACUCCAGGUCAGAAAGUGCUUUUAUUCAAUUCUCGCUUGCACCUAUUCCCAGGUAAGUUACGCUCUCGUUGGUCUGGCCCAUUUAUUGUACAUACUAUUUUUCCACAUGGGGCAAUUGAAAUUAAGGACCCAAAGAACGGUGUCACGUUUAAAGUUAAUGGUCAAAGAUUAAAGCCAUAUCUAGAGUACCAACCACAUGGAGAAAACAUCGAAAUAAAUUUGAGUGACCCACCAAAUUUGAAUUGAUUUUUUUUUCUUUUCGUUGAUUUGAUUUUUCUUUAUUUCUUUUUAUUAUUAUUCUUUUGCUAAUUGAAAUUGUUUUUGCAUAAGUGUGUUUAUUUUACCAUUAAGUUUUUCUCUUAUCAUUUUUAAUCAUGAGUCUCCUACUUAGACCGUUCCUCCUGAACAUUCUUAAACCACUUCAACGUGUCAAAACUCAUCUCAAAAGGCAGAUUCAAUUUUGUAAAACACAAACGCAUUUGGGCUCUACAACCACCAGAGUUAGUAGCAUAUGUUGAGGGUUUAGAACGCCAACUCAGAGACAUUGAGAGAAGUGUUUACGACAUCCAGUUGGAGCUUGAGGUAAAUUCAAUAAGAGGACGAUUUUAAUUUUCUUUGUGUGUUUUAAUUUGUUUUUCUGUUUGUGUGCUUUAGUUUGUUACCCCGGUGAAGUGGCGGAUAACGGUACUCCGUGACAAUCAAGUCGGUUACUUCAGUUUCCCACAAUAACUGACAUUCUGAGGCGAAAGUAUGGACAGAAAUGAGAUUCUAGCGAAGCUUCACAAGCGAUUCCCUUCACUUCCUCAGAAUGCCCUCCUUACGAUCUAUAAAGCUCGGACCGAACGCAUGCGAUUACUCAUGAAGAAUAACAUACCUGCUGACAUCUGUUGGUUAAUUGAGGCUAAAGUACGAUCAGCAGGUGAGUUACCUCCUAAAUUUAUUGCAUACAUGCCUGGUUGUGGUAAAGGAAAUUAUGCAAGAAAACGACGAGCUCGAAGAAUUUCUGUUGCUUGUCAUAAAUGUGCCAGAAUGAGUUGCGAUAGAAACCCAUGUUCUUUAGGAAUGGUGUCUGAUAACAGGGAAGAUAAGAUUCAAUUCAUUAGGGAUGGCUUGAAUAAGGAGUCAUUGGAUGAUAUCCUUUUGUCUCUUGAAACGCAUCAUAGUGGAUAUGUGCAAGGAGCGAUUCUCCAGUUAUGGCCAUUAUUCCAAAAAGAGCAUACACGAUAUAGUCUUGGGAAUCUGACUAUAAACGACCCUGUUUGCCAGUUUAUAAGAAAACUGGAUGGGAAGCCGAUCCUCGACCCAUAGAGGGCGUUCAAGCCGUUUCUGGACGUAAAACCAGAGGAAGAUGUGAGCCACAGUCGCAACUACGUGUAAAUAUCCUUUUACUUUACUGUUAUUUUAUUUCAUUUCACUGUUGUUUUAUUGUUUGCAUUAUUGUCUUUAAUAAUUUUAUUACUGUUUGCUUUUUCCUUUUUACUGUUUCCUUUUUGACUCGCGAGCCACGUGCUUUACGCGUUAUUUGACACUGACAUGUUACCUCAUUCACAGCUGUGAUCCACUGUCACCAAGAUUCUUAAAUGUGAUUUAUCUUUUGUCAAGCACUCACAAAUUUUUUGAGAAGUAUCACAAUGGCAGCUACUCCCAAUAGACAAUUCAAGAACAUUUGUGUGCUUUCUGGAUUUACCUAUGGCAAACAUAAAGAGUUCGUGAGGCAGCCAUAGAUCUUGGUCGAAGCAUAGCAGCGAGAAAAUUACAUUUGGUGUAUGGAGGAGGUAACCGAGGGUUAUCAAAAAUGGUCUCAGAAGCAGCUUUUAUCAGAGGAAGUCAAGUGUUAGGCAUCAUCCAAGAGUCCUAAAACAUUGGGCAGUUCGUCUGACUCAUCAACUGGAGAAGAGUUAGUCGUCUCAGGUAUGCAAGAAAGAAUAACUGAAAUGCUUAAUCAUGCUGAUGCUUUUAUUUUCCUUCCAGGAGAUCUUGCAACACUAGAGGCACUUAUGACACUAGCAUCUUGGGCCCAUCUGCACAUCCACCAGAAACCCAUCGGUUUGUUAAAUGUCAAUAACUUUUAUGAUGGCUUUAUCGCAUUUCUUAACCAUGCAAUAAAAAACUAUUUCAUUCCUUCUAAUGUGAAAAAACUCUUUAUUUGUGCUCACACUGCUAAUGAGCUACUUGAUAUGUUACAAGCUUAUAAACCGGAGCCAGACCCCUGGACCUUUGUGUUGGAGCGACCAAAUAAUGAUGGUAACAGUAGCCGCAGUAAGAAGUACAAAUUAGAUUUAACUCUCCGCCUGUAAAUAUUUUCUUCUGUGUUGCACCACCCAGGUGAUGUCUUCUAAACUCUACUUCUUUCCUUUAAAACAUUGAGGACAAUGUUUCGUUCUGGUUGGGGGGAGGGAAUAGUCGACAAUUGUGGAAUCUUGGUUAAGUUUUUUACUGAUUUUUUGUUGUAGAAACUAACUGUUGCUAACGUUUUGUGUUGAAGAUGGCUGAAUAUGGAGUGUAGUUACUCUAGAAACGCAUCUUCAUCGUUUAAAAAAAAAAAAAAAAAUCUGUUUUCUUCCUCUUUCUCCUUUAUAAAUAUGUAGUUUCAAAUUUUUGAGUCGAAGAUGGCUGAAUAUGGAGUGUAGUGCCUCUAGAACGCACUUCUUAGUUUAAAAAAAAAAAAAAAAAAUUCUUUUUUCUAAUUAAUUUUUCUACAUCAUUUUCACAUUUCUGCAUGCAUAUUUUCCUUUCAUGUUUAGAAUAGGUUGGGGGGUAGAAUGUUGUUUAAAAAAAAAAAAAAAAUUGUGUUAUUUGUUUAACAUUGGAUGACAUGAUUAAUUUCAAAUUUUAGUAUUUGUAUUAUCUUUGGUCUUAAGUGAUGUUACGCUAUGUUUGCUACUUUACAUGUUGAUGUCGGAGACAAAUAUGAGUUGCUUGAAGGAAUGAACAUGUCAUAAAUAAGUGCCAAGUGAGUUGUUGAGCCUAUCAUUUAUUUUAUUUGAAAUUGGAGUUAUCCCAUAUACUUUACUACUUUAGCUCUAAGAUUACAAUGUUUUUAGGCAACACUUUUAUUUUUCUCUUUCCCCCUUUUUUUGUACAUGCAUGUGGAUUAUUUUUCUCUAAGCUCCUUAAUAUUUAAGACAAAUCAUAAAAGCGAUUGAAGUAUAACAAGAUGAUCAAAUAUUUAACUAAAAAAAGAAAAAGAAAUAAAACACUGAAAAUGGAGACGUUGAUUAAUUUAGAAGAGAUCCAAGCAAAAGAUAUUCCCAAAAAGAAAAAAAGAAGAAGCAAUGUAUCCCUUUAGAGGGCAAACUUAUUAGUUUUAAAAAAGUACACGCUUUGGAUUGAUGGUUGCAGGAUAUUUGUUUUUGACACCUAUAUUAGUUGGAAAAGUCGACCGUAGUGGAGAAUGUUAUGAAAGAGAGCAAAGGAUAUUUUUAACAGUGCUCUAUUUGAUUAUACGCAUUCAUUGAAUGGAAGAUAUAUGACUGCGUUAGUUCAUCCAUGUCUGUCAAUUCGUUUUUUAUGGUUUUUUUUUUCCAGUUGUUUGUUGUAAUAGAUUGAUUGUAAAUUGAUAUUAACUUGAUGUUGUAAUAUGUUCGCUUUUGUGGAAUUAAAUUUGAAUAUUCAAGAUAUUCAAGUCUUAUCUAGUAUGUUUUCAAUUGUGUUGUCGAUAAUUUUGCAUUCGAAUAAGUUUCACCUAAAAUAUUAGCAUGAGUAGUAGUCCUUGAGACUUUGGUCAAAAUUAUUGUUAUUGUUUGUUUUAGAGGAAAUUUUUUAUUAAAGCCUCGUUAACACUAUUACUUAUUAAGAUUAUAAGUUAGUGUCGGUGCAGGAUUUGCAGCAACAAAUCUUGUCUAGCCACGUGUCAAAAGUAUAAAUAAAUCAAGGGAAAGCACAUGACAUGUUGAGCUGGCAAAACGGUCAUCGAGUCAUGUUCGUGUCGUGUCAAAUUUAGGUCGACCCAAACCCGACCCAUUUAAUAAUCGUGUCAAAAUAUUGAGACCCAAACCUGACACGAAAAAAUAAUCGGGUUACCCAAUAACCCGCUUAAUAUCUAUAUAUUAAACAAAAGUUACAUCAAAUAUUUACACUUUGUCAUACAUAUGUAUGCACAUACAUACAUACAUACAUACAUACAUACAUACAUACAUACAUACUUUAUCACUAUUAUAAAAUAUACAUAUCUACUAAAAUAUUACACACACUAUUAAGGUUUUAAUUAUAUAUAUGUAAAUAAUAUUGUAUAUCAAUAUUAUAAAAUAUACAUGUCUACCAAUAUUUUAUACAUUUAAACUAUUAAAGCUCUAAAUGUAUUUAAAAUUUUAUAAAUAAAAUAUUGUGUCUAUAUUCAUCCUUUUAAAGAAAAAAAAUUAUCUCUAAUAUUUGAGUUUUGAUGACAAGAAUCUGUAAAUUAUUUUAAAAUAAAAAAUAUAAUCGGGUCAUUAAUCGGGUAAAUGGGUCAAGAAUUUUAACCCUAACCCGACACGGAAAAAAUCGUGUUGACCCGGACCCGACCCAUUUAAUAAUCAUGUUAAAUUCGACGACCCAUACCCAUUGUUAGUGUGUGUUGUGUUCGUGUCGGAUAAUCGGGUCGUGUCAAAUUUUGCCAACUAUAAUGACAUGGAUUAGGAUCCAAUAAAAAGGAAAAGGAUAACUGUAUCCUAAAGUUUCAAUAAGAGAUACUAAGAUAUCUUUUGACUAAUGUUAUUUUUUGACUUUAUUAAUAAAAGAUCCAAUAGUUUAUAACAAAUAAAAAUAUAGUAUUAAGCUAAAUGUGAUAAUUUACACAUUUUACAUAAUUACAAUAAAAAAUAUAUUUUAAUGUUUUACAAUCUAUCAGACAUAUUUUAUUAAAUUAAUAAGAUUUUUCUUACAAAUAGCAACAUAAUAUUAAAAUAAAUUUAUAAAGAUUUAAAUGUAAAAUAAUUUUAGUAUAAUUAAUACGUGGGAUAUAUUUUGUAAAUUAUAAAUUACUUAACCCAAUGAUUUUUAAAAAUCUUUAAAAUAAAUAAAAAUAAAUUAUUCACAUUUUGAUGUAAAUAUUUAAAACAUUUUUAUACAUUUGUCCACAAUUAUUUAUGUUAUAUUUGUAUUUAUUAGAAAUUUUGAAAGUCAAAUGUUUUUCACCUCUAUCUUAUUAGAAUUAUUGCACACAGAGAAGAGCCAUAUAUGCUUUAUAGCUUAAAAUCGGUUUGUUUAUAGCUGGGAACAGAGAUGAUCAUUAUUAUAAGGAUUAAAAAAAGAUAAAGAAUAUUAAUGAUUAACGAAAUCUUUAUGGAAAUUGAAUUUAGUAAGAAAAAAAUUGAGCUGAUUUUAGUGGUAUAGUAAUAUUUUAUAUAGAGAAAAGUAAAAGUUGCACCCCGAAAUGUUCAAAACUCUUUUUUAAUUAUAAUAUUAUUUUUCCUAGAUAACUUAAAAAUUUGACUCUAAUAUUUUAUAAUAAAUAAAAACAUAUAAUCCUAAAAUAAUUAAAAUAAUAUAUAUUUUAAAAUAAUCUCAAUAUUUAAAAUAUAUUUUAACAUUUUAUAGUCUAUCAGAUAUAUUUUAUUUUUUAAAGUAAAUUUUAUAAUAAAUACAAACAUACUAUUAAAAUAGAUAUAUAAAAUUUUUAAAGUAUUUUGAAUAUUAUAUAAAAUAACUUUAAUAUUGUUAAUGCGUGAGAUGCAUUUUAUUAAUUAAAAAUUCUAUUUAACCCAAAGAUUUAUUUAUAAUAAAUUAAUAAUCAUAUUUUUAAAAUUAUUUUAAAUAUUAAAAAUAUUUUAAUAUUACUAACUAUUAGACAGACUAAACUAUUUAUAUUAUUUUCUAUUAUUAUAAAAUUUCAAAGUUAAUCUUUUUUAACUAGUAUUCAAAAGAUAUUAUGAUCAAAACAGAAUUUUUGUGUUUUUAUGAAAAAUUUAGAGUUUACAUCUAUUUUUUCAAAUAUUCGGGGUGUAAAUGUUUUUCCCUUUUAUAUAUACGAACGGUGGUGAGAAAGCAUGAUUUAACGUUAUUUAUUUAAAUAAAAUCUCAGUUAAAAAUGUAAAGAGAAGAAAUUUCUGUUGGUAUUUUAGUCUUUUACCAAUUAUCAUGAUUAGGCCUUGGCCUUGAAACAUUAAUUGUUUCACUUUUAGCGCUAGUGUCGUUGAAAGUUGUCAAAAAAAGCAAGACCAUAUUCCACAAAAGCAAAAGUAACGUAGGCUCUUUAUAAAAGGCAAAGAAAGUAUAAAGUAGUCAAGAAUCGAAUAUCCUGUCGUCUACUCUUUUUUAAAUUCUUCUUUUAUUAUCUUUUAGAAUAGUUUUUGGUAAUUACAAUCAUUAUUCAGAGUUAUUGUUAUCUUCCGGGGCAGUCUCUGUUCAUCGAAGUCGUUACCUUUUUUUUAUGGAUCAGUUCCAGUGCUAAGCAGUAAUUUUCUUAGAACUCGGAUCUUUAAUUCGAGUUUAUGUGUGAAUUAAUAAUAAAAAAUUUUCAUUACACGCAAUUUAAGCUACGAAUUACUUUUUGCAAAGUUGAAUAUGAAAUUGGAGAAAUUAAGUAAUUUAGAAUGUUGGUAAAAAUUGACAAACAUAUCUCUAAUUACAGUAAAACCUCUCUAUAGUCAUAACAUUAUAACAAAAUUAAUUUUAUUACUAUGUUGAGGUAAUAUAGGUUUAGUUACAAAUUAUUGUUUUAAUAUGGUUAGUGUCAAGUGAUAUAAAGGUUAAAUAUGCAGUACAAUGAUAAUUAAAUAAUGAAGCGUGUCAAUUCUAAUGUAUAUAUAUUAAUGAUAUAGAUAGACAUAGUUUCAAAAAACUAAUUAAUGUAUAUUUAUGUAGUGUUAUGAAUAUGGAAAGUCAAGCCUACACUUUACAUUAUCCUUAGUUUUUUCUCUUAGUUAAAUUCUACAAAUAUUGUACAAUGAUUGGGCAAGAACUCUAAAUUAAGAAUAAAUUAUUGUCACAAAUAAUUUUACAAAAUAUUUUAUUUCGUCUUAAACCUUUAAUAUAAGUAAACAUUAUAUAUAUAUAAUAUAUAUAUAUAUAUACCAGAAGGAAAUAGGAUCGAAGGAUGGGUGUGUAUUGAAGAUGCUUCUUUAUUGAUUGCUUUAAUGAAAUAAUUGGAUCGCGGUUGUUCAGAUUUUAUAUAAGAUUACCAGCUUUAGAUUAAGUAGAUUUGUUUUAGAGCAUACAAUGAUCAAACAAAUUUGAACGCGGUUGGUCAAAUUUUUAGAAUAUUUAAAGUACGUGGCGUUGUUAGACCAGAUCGAUCGCAGAAGUUAAUCUGCCUUUGGACCCAGAUCUGACUUAGAACAGAUCAAUAGUCCGCACUUCGGUUUCCAGCCUAUAUACUUUAAUAUAUUUACCAGAUAAAAUUAAGUUGUUUUUCUUUUUAAUUUUUAAUUUUACAUACACAGUACCAGAUCCGGAUCCCGGAAAUGGUGCUCUGAAGGAAUGGAGGAAGAAGAGAAGAUUUACAACUGAGGAUCGAGAUCCGGUCUCUUUGCCUCAGAGGAACGUACAAAUUUUAUGGCAGAUCUGAUAAAGACCAGUCUGCUUUGCAUGCUUUGAAAAGAAAAUUGCUUUAAAAAUAAAUUGCUUUAAUGUAAAUAUGCAUGAAAUUAAAUUGCAGAAAAGUAAAUUGCGAAAAAUUUAAAUUACAUCGAAAUUAAAUAACUGAAAUUUAAACAUACAUCUUUGCUUUGAUAGUCUUGGUCUUUACAAUUUUCAAAUCUUUCCUGAAGGGAAGAUUGAAAGACGGGAAGAUUACAAGACAGGAAUGGUUUCCUUGAUGUCUUGAUUUCCCAAGAGAGAGAGAGAGAGAGAGAGAGAUCUAGAGAGAAGGAGGAGAAGAAGAGAAAAAUGAAAAACCUGAGGAGUCUGAGUCUUCCUCUUGGUUUAUAUACAAAAUUUUGUAAACUGUUCACUGUAGCGGAGCUUUGUGCUUUUGCACUGUUUGUAGCGGAGUUUUGAGUGCACAGUAAUCUUUGGAUCGUAGCUUUGAAUAGUAGGCUGACCGUAGCUUUUGAACUACUUUGUAAAAAUUGAAAUACAUAAUGAAAUACAACACGGUGAAGAGACAUGUGCGCUCUUUGUCCAAGGGACCACCCGAGAGAAAUUACUCUUUUCUUUUUUUUUUUUUUUUUUUUUUUUUUAAGUAAUAACCAAAUAAUUAUUUACAAUGCUUUAUAGGGAAAAAAUGCCGAAACAAUCAUCUUCAUUUUCGUCUCCAAGAGAAAUGAAGGGCUCUUCAUCUUCAUCAUCGUCUUCGUCUUCAGAGGUGUCAGCUACUGAUGACUUUGAACGGGAGGCGAGGAGCUGUUCCAUUGCUUUGAAGUAUUCCUCUUCUGUCUUGGCACUUGCCAAAAGAGACUGGGCUUUGGAUUUUUGGGUUAAGAAGGUCUGUUGGGCUUUAGAGGCUUCUAGGGUUGGUUGGAGAAGGUUUUUAGAGAGAGCCAAUCUUUGAUCAUGUUAACAGUCAGUUUGGACUGUUCAUCAAAUUUGACCACCAUUUGACUUUAAAGGUUCUUUGAAGGAUGACUUGGGAAUCUUGAGUAUGAAAACGGAGGUUCCACAUCCAGACCCAUGGUAGGAAGAAGUUUGUACAAAAACAGAGAAAAGGGGGAAAUCUUUUCUCUGAGUCAGGGUAUAGUGGGCUUUAAAGAGGUUUAGGCAAUUUAUGGCAUUUGGAGUGAGGAUUUGAGGUAUUAAAGAAAUUGAUACCAGUUGGAAGGCUUUGGACGGUUUUUAGGUUAAAGAAAAAUAACCAAGAAUGGGAUUUUUUAGGGUUUUGAAUAAAAAAGGUGUUAUACCAUGCUUGUUGGUAAUCCCAGUAGGAGAAAGUCCGACAAUGUGGUAAACGGGUUUCAAAGUUUAAAGGAAAGGUUUUGAAAUUGUGGAGUAGGUCGCCCACUGGUUGGCUCAAAACUUUUAGAAUCGUGAAUAGGCCGGUUCAGAAUGGGUUUUAUCAAGAAAGAAAUGUUUGAAUUUAACUGAUUCAGUUAUUUCUAAAAUGCUUUGAUAAUAAGACUGGGGUUUUGUCAAAUCCCAUGGUUUGAAAAACCAGCCUUUGGGAAAAAACUUUGAAAUGCUUUGAAAAGGAUCAGUAUGGUAAAAUCCAUCUUCCAUAGAAAGAAUAUUUUGAAAAUGGGUUUUAUCAAACCAAUCGGAGGUUUUCUUUGAAAGGUGUUGGCUGAGAAAGCACAAUUUGGGAAGAUGAGCUUUCGGCAGAGACAACAACAUUUUGAGAGGAGGGUUUUGUAAUUUCUUUAGAUGUGGAUAUGCUCUUAAUUCUUUUUGAGGAGAAUUUUGGCUCUGGGAAAGGUUUUGUAGAGCGAGCAUGAGCUCGGGAGAUUUUGUAAUGGAACUCAUCCAAUGCUUUACUUGAUCAUCAGAAGAGAUGGGUUUGUAUUGGGCUUCAUGUUCUUCAACCAAUUCAAUCCAUGAUUUGAUGGUAGGGCAGAAGAAAGUAAUUUUUCUUUAGAAGGGUUGACUGGGGUUCUUUGGAAGGUUCUUGAGAUCCGGAACUUUUGAGAACAGCUUUACCUUUGUCUUUCUUUAGCGGCAUUAUCUGUUUUGAAGAAAUUCUCUGGUUAGAAAAUCAGGAACAGAAUUUUUAUCACCUUUAAUGAAUUCUUAUUCAAAAUCAAAAACACUCAAAAAUAGCUUGCCAACGUGCAAAAAUUUGUUUUGAUGCAAUGUUUUGAACAUCCUUUCUAAAACAUGUUUUGCAGCUUUGCAAUCAAUUCUAAGUAAAAAUUUUUGAUUUAAUAAAUCACUUUGAAAUUUUGUAAUGCAUAAAACAAUGGAAAGAAUUUCUUUUUAUAGUAGAAUAAUUUUUCUGACAAUCAUUCCAAUGUGCAGAAACAUAUUGUACUAUCUGUUCUCUAUCAUUUUCUUUUUGUUUUAAUAUACCUCCAUAUCCUAAAUCAGAUGCAUCAGUUUCAACAAUUUUAGGGAAUGCAGGAUUUGCAAGAUAUAGACAUGGGAUGCUUUUAACAGAACUCUUUAUUAAUUUAACAGCUUUAGUAUGUUCAUCUGUCCAUGGAGCAGGUUUUUUCUUUAAACGAUCAUGCAAAGGUUUAGACAACCUAUUGAUAUUGGGACAGAAAUCAAGAACAUAAUUUAGGCUACCAAGAAAUCUUUGUAAUGAGUUUUGUCAAGGAUUUUAUCAGGGAAUUUAUCAGCAAAUAAAAGUGAUCUUUCAAUAGGGGUGAUUGUUCCUUUUGAAAUAUGUGACCAAGAAAUCUUUUUUUUUGAAAUAAUGAAAUCUUUGAACUAGAAAGGGCUAGUCCAGCCUUUUUUGUAGCAAAAUAAAAAGUCUUUAAAUGUUUGAAAUGUUGAUCGAUUGAAUUUGAAAAUAUCAAACAUCAUCAAUAUAAACAAUGCAAAAAUCAGAAUAAGGAUUAUAAAUAUCAUUCAUAAUUCUUUGAAAUUCUGAGGGUGCAUUCUUUAAACCAAAGGGCAUAACAGUCCAUUCGUAUUGUCCAAAUGGAACAGUGAAAGCGGUUUUGUAACGGUCAUUUGGAUGAAUUUGAAUUUGCCAAAAAACCCGAUUUCAUGUCGAUUUUGAAAAAAUAAAGGCAGAACAGAGUUUUUGGAGUAAAUCUUUUUUAUUAGGUAUAGGAUACCUAAUCCAUUUUAAAGCUUUAUUCAAAGGUUUGUAGUUUAUAACUAGUCUUGGAGUGCCUCUUUCAAUUUCGGAGUUUUGUUAACAUAAAAAGCAGCACAAGACCAAGGAGACCUGGAUUUUACAAUGAGUCCUUUAGACUCCAAGUCUUUGAUUUCAUUUUUACAAUGUUUUUCUAAAUCCAUAUUCAUUUGAAUUGGACGAGCUUUGGUCGGAAUCUGUUUUUCAUCAAAAGAAUUUUCAUAAGGCAGGUCUACUAAAUGUUGUUUUCUAUUCCAAAAAGCAGAAGGUAGAUCAGCACAAAUUUCUUUUUCAAUAAGAGUUUUGAAAUCAGAAAUUUUUCUUUUAAUGAAAUCACUUUGUAAUUGGCUUUCAACUCUUUGUAAGUUCAAAUCUUUUUGUAAAAACAUUAGAUCACACUGUUUUGAUUUAAGUAAAUUGUUUGAUAAAUAGAACAGGCUUUAACAAUAUUUAAUUUCUUUUUAGGUUUUUCAAUAAAAGGGAAACAAGUUUCUUCUUGUUUUUUGCUUUGAAAGAUAUACUAUCAUAAUUGACAGUAUACGGAGUUAUGAGAUUUAUAAAAGGAGUUCCCAAAUAAUGGCAUGAUGAAUAUCAUUUGUGAGAACAAAGGAAGUUUUAAAAUCAAAACCAUCAUUAUAGAUCGAGGCUUCAACCUUGGAACUGACAUUCAAUUUUGAAUUAUUGGCGGCAGAAAGCCUUUCUUUUGUUUUUUCAUGAAAUCUUUUGGGGACGAUAUCUUCUCUAAUGCAAUUUAAAUCGGCGCCAGUAUCAAAAGGGCAAUGGCAUCCAUCGCAAAAUCAUCAGAAAAGAUUAGAGUGACUUUAAUCAAAUACUUUCUUGUGGUGAUUUGUUUUAGAACAAAUAGAAAAUCAUUGGGUACAGACUCAAUAUUUUCUACUUUAAUAUCAUCACCAUCAAUAUCAGGACUGGAUUCAUUGUCUGAAUUAUCCUGUAAUUGCUUUUGUAAAAGAAGUUGAAUAAUAUCAGAAUCACUUUUUUGUUUUUCUUUUAAAUCUCUGAUUUCACUUUUGAUUUCUUUUUAUCUCUUUCUGAAGAUCUUGGAUAUUAGGAAAUCUUUUUUGUUUUCUUCUUAUCCAAAAUUUGAGUAAGAUCAUAAGAAUUCUUUUUAAUAAUUGGGACUCUAGAAGUCUCGGCUUUAUUAAAAUCCAAUGUUUUCAAAAAGUUUAUCAAGGUAUUCCUUUUGAAGAUUUGGAUCAGAAAUAUGCUUUACAAGUUCAAGAAAAGUUUCUUGGUCUUUAGUCAAAACAUUGAUUUUCUUUAAAAAUGAAUCAGAUUCAGAAUCACUACUGCUAGAUGCAGAGUCAUCUGAGUCAAAAAGCUCAUCAACUUGGUAAGGGUCACUGUCUCCCGACAUGGAAGACUCAGAAUCAGAAGAUUCGACAGAAGAGGGGCUAUUUUAGAAAGGAUGUCCUCAUUGAGGUCAAGUUCUUGGAGUCUUUUGUUCAUUCUGCAAAAUUUUGCAGUAUGACCUUUCAUACCACAUUUGAAACAUGUGGCCUCCUUGAAGUUGAAUGGGGUAUUAGGUUUGGCUUUGAAAUCUUUCUUUUUAGAGAAACUAUGUCUCUUAUAAGGCUUCGAAGGUUUCUUAUAAGGAAGUUUUCUAAAAUCACGAAGGGUUUCUAAAAUGUUUAGAUUUGUAAUGUUUCUUUACGAGGUUUUGUAGAACACUCUCCAUUACAAUCUUUGGAAGUUUUAAAGGGGUCAUAAUUGAAUUGCUUACAGAAACCGCCUAAUUCCUGUUUAGACUUCUUAAGCUCCCACUUAAGACGUUUCUGUAAUUUCAAAUCUUGACAAAUCUUUAAACCUUCUUUGUUGACAAAACUGACUAGUUCACCAUAGGUGAGCUCGUCAUAAGGAAUACGGUUAUCGUAAAGGGCUUUGAUGGAAUUUCUUACCUUUUCACCUAAAAGGGUAGGUAAUCCAGCAAAAAUUUUCUUUCCAAGUAAUAUGAUUUGCAUCAUCCCUUAGAAAUAGUCUGGUAAGGAAAGAGGUUUUGUAACUCUGAAAUUCACUAAGUUUUCUACAUCUCAAAUUAUGUAGUAACUCAGCGUUUUUAUCACGAAGGUGAGAAGGGUCACCGAUGAAAUGGAGGGAAAUGGUUAGAAUAAGAGUAGCAACAGCAUCCUGGAUAGGGUUGUUGAACUCAUCAAGAAUAGAGGCUCCAUUUUCAUCUUUUGGACGGAAUUUAGAAUGUCAAAUUGUUGCUGAUUAGUGAGAAGAUGAUCCCACCAACCUUUUAGUUGACCAGUAAAACCAGCAAUUAGGAUUUCCGAUAUGGCACGAUCAGAAGUUCCUGCUUGGGUUUUAUAAGCAUUAGCUGCCAUUGUCAUUUGUUGCAACAAUCCAAGGAUAUUGUACUCAGACAUGCCGUCAAUAUUCCACUCAUAGACUGAAGAUGCAUUAUAACGGGAUUGAUUUAAUGCACUAGGUCUAUUAUCUAUUGCUAGAUCUGGUGGGGUCUUGACAGUGGGAAGGGCUAAUUCCAGUGGAUUUUGUUGGCUUUAGGAGUAGAAGGUUCUUCUUUGAAAGCUUCUAAGUCAGAAGAGGCUAGAACUCUGGUCAUCUAGAUCCAAUACUCCAAUCUUGCUAGAUUGGGGGGUAUCGGGGGCUAUCUGGAGUUUGCUAGACGAGGAAGAAGCAGCUUCUAUCCUCUCUAGUUGUUCUCUAAUGGCUUUAGCAAAAUCUGAUUUUGACUCUUGAACAAGCCUUUGGCUAGUUUUCGAAACCUGAAAAGGUUUGAAAAUAGGUUCCUUAAGCUUUUUGUCAGAAUCCGAUUUUGAAGGAAUAGACAUAGGAAUAGGAGAAACAGAUAUAUAGGAGAUUUUUGAAAUUGGUUUUUCUAUACGAGCCAAUUGCUUUCCAAUUGUAUUUAAGUUAGUAUUACAGAAAUUAUUCUGUUGUAUAAUACUACUUAAAUUCGCAUCAGAAUCAUUUGGUCUUGGGAUUUUGUAAGGGGAUGCUUUAAUCUCAAUAGGAGGUUCACCAUGAUCUAUGGUUAUACUCCUAAGAGGUGGAUGAUCAGACUCUAUAUCCUAUCAUUAUCAGAAAGUUUCCAUUCAGGAAUUUUCUUUCUAAUAGUUAUAGGGUUUGACUCUUUAAAAGGAUAAUCAAUAUUGUUCUCAGAAGAAUAUAUUUCGAACCAAUCAAAAAACAAUAUAUGAACUUUAUGAAAAUUCACAAAUUCAUAAUAAGUUUGUUGGAUUUCUUUUCUUUGGUUUAAAAAAUGUUUAAAAAACCAAGUUCUUUUUUCUUUAUUUAUUUCUGAAUAAAAAUCGUUAUGCAGAAAGGCUUUAUCUAAUUCAAAUUCUUUUUCAAUGACAUUAAUGACAUUUUCUGUGACAGCAGAAAACGUAGGAGAUGUUGGAGGAGAAGGUUCCUUCUCUUCCUGUCUUUGCACAUGUUGACUACUAGUGUAUAUAGGAUGAGGAACACUUGUGGCAUAGUCAACGGAACGGAUGGAGGAGCUAGGUAUAUCCGAAGUGGAAAACCUAGGUUGGCUCUGAUAUGGGAGAUUUAUAACAGAAGGUACUUUUGUAAACUUCCUUUCUAGUGAAGGAAUGCUUGGGCUCGAUUCUUUUUCAGAAAAUCUAUGUGAGGUAGACCUUCUGAAUGAUAGUUUGACUUUACCAUCGGAAUACUGGGUCACAUUUUGUAACUCUGUAUUUGGCUCAAGUUGUUUCGGAAUCGCCGGUGGGGCGGCUCCUUCGAGGAUCCAUUCAUCUGGAAGAUGGAUAUCUUUCCAUUGGAUCGAUUUUGGAAUGACCAUGUUGGCUUUAGACAAAUCAGUCUGCAAGAGAAGGGUCUCAUCUCUCUUCGACUGGUAUUUAUGCUGGGUGUGCUAAAUGCAGAAAUCAUGGCUUUAUAGGAAAUUUUAAAAAUUAAUGCAACUGGGAUGGAUCCCUUAAUCAUGUGAUAAUUAUGGGUUUUGGAUUUGUAAAAUCAUGCUCUUUAAAAUAUUUUUGUCUUUAAGAGAAAUUGUUAUAUUGUUAAAGCAGUGCCAAGGGGAGGUUUUUGGCACUCCCUUUUGGCUUAAGGCGCUUACCACUCGCCCUUAAAAGCUUAAGCUGUUAGGGAAGGCGCUACUUUUAUACGGUUAAGCGCCACCCGGACCAAACCAGGUAACGUCUCCACGUUAUGCCACGACAUCGUGACCCCAUCUCGGCCCCACAAGCGCGGGGUAGGUGUAUAGGAGUCACCACAAGGGUGCGGGCCCCAGUUCCAGUACUGGGAUAAUAUAUUAAGCCAUUCCUCCCCCCGAGUUUCGAACCCUGGCUGGCUCUGAUACAACUUAAGGCGCUUACCACUCGCCCUAAAAGCUUAAGCUGUUAGGGGAAGGCGCUACUUUAUACUUAAGCGCCACCCGGACCAAACCAGGUAACGUCUCCACGUUAUGCCACGACAUCGUGACCCCUUCAGAUUUUAUAUAAGAUUACCAGCUUUAGAUUAAGUAGAUUUGUUUUAGAGCAUACAAUGAUCAAACAAAUUUGAACGCGGUUGGUCAAUUUUUAGAAUAUUUAAAGUACGUGGCGUUGUUAGACCAGAUCGAUCGCAGAAGUUAAUCUGCCUUUGGACCCAGAUCUGACUUAGAACAGAUCAAUAGUCCGCACGUUCGGGUUUCCAGCCUAUAUACUUUAAUAUAUUUACCAGAUAAAAUUAGUUGCUUUAAACGUGGUUGUUUCUUUUUUAUUGGGCUAAUUCCAGAUUUAAAUUAGAUUCUUUAAGGGGCUUGGGUACAUACACAGUACCAGAUCCGGAUCCCGGAAAUGGUGCUCUGAAGGAAUGGAGGAAGAAGAGAAGAUUUACAACUGAGGAUCGAGAUCCGGUCUCUUUGCCUCAGAGGAACGUACAAAUUUAUGGCAGAUCUGAUAAAGACCAGUCUGCUUUGCAUGCUUGAAAAGAAAAUUGCUUUAAAAAAUAAAUUGCUUUAAUGUAAAUAUGCAUGAAAUUAAAUUGCAGAAAAGUAAAUUGGCGAAAAUUUAAAUUACAUCGAAAUUAAAUAACUGAAAUUUAAACAUACAUCUUUGCUUUGAUAGUCUUGGUCUUUACAAUUUUCAAAUCUUUCCUGAAGGGAAGAUUGAAAGACGGGAAGAUUACAAGACAGGAAUGGUUUCCUUGAUGUCUUGAUCCAGACUUCCCAAGAGAGAGAGAGAGAGAGAGAGAGAUCUAGAGAGAAGGAGGAGAAGAAGAGAAAAAUGAAAAACCUGAGGAGUCUGAGUCUUCCUCUUGGUUUAUAUACAAAAUUUUGUAAACUGUUCACUGUAGCGGAGCUUUGAGUGCACAGUAAUCUUUGGAAUUUUGCACUGUUCACUGUAGCGGAGUUUUGAGUGCACAGUAAUCUUUGGAUCGUAGCUUUGAAUAGUAGGCUGACCGUAGCUUUGAACAGUAGACUACUUUGUACAAAAAUUGAAAUACAUAAUGAAAUACAACACGGGUGAAGAGACAUGUGCGCUCUCACUUGUGUCCAAGGGACCACCCGAGAGAAAAUUACUCUUUUUUUUUUUUUUUUUUUUUUUUUUUUUUUUUUUUAAAGUAAAUAACCAAAAUAAUUAUUUACAAUGCUUUAUAGGAGAAAAAAUGCCGAAACAAUCAUCUUCAUUUUCGUCUCCAAGAGAAAUGAAGGGCUCUUCAUCUUCAUCAUCGUCUUCGUCUUCAGAGGUGUCAGCUACUGAUGACUUUGAACGGGAGGCGAGGAGCUGUUCCAUUGCUUUGAAGUAUUCCUCUUCUGUCUUGGCACUUGCCAAAAGAGACUGGGCUUUGGAAUUUUUUGGGUUAAGAAGGUCUGUUGGGCUUUAGAGCUUUUAGGGUUGGUUGGAGAAGGUUUUUAGAGGAGAGCCAAUCUUUGAUCAUGUUAACAGUCAGUUUGGACUGUUCAUCAAAUUUUGACCACCAUUUGACUUUAAAGGUUCUUUGAAGGAUGACUUGGGAAUCUUGAGUAUGAAAACGGAGGUUCCACAUCCAGACCCAUGGUAGGAAGAAGUUUGUACAAAAACAGAGAAAGGGGGAAAUCUUUUCUCUGAGUCAGAGGCAUAUAGUGGGCUUUAAAGAGGUUUAGGCAAUUUAUGGCAUUUGGAGUGAGGAUUUGAGGUAUUGGGCCAAAGAAAUUCCACCAAUGAUGGAACCAGUUUGGAAGGCUUUGGACGGUUAUUUUAGGGUUAAAGAAAAAUAACCAAGAAUGGGAUUUUUUUAGGGUUUUGAAUAAAAAAGGUGUUAUACCAUGCUUGUUGGUAAUCCCAGUAGGAGAAAGUCCGACAAUGUGGUAAACGGGUUUCAAAGUUUAAAGGAAAGGUUUUGAAAUUGUGGAGUAGGUCGCCCCACUGGUUCGGGCUCAAAACUUUUAGAAUCGUGGCCGUGGAAUAGGCCGGUUCAGAAUGGGUUUUAUCAAGAAAGAAAUGUUUGAAUUUAACUGAUUCAGUUAUUUCUAAAAUGCUUUGAUAAUAAGACUGGGGUUUUGUCAAAUCCCAUGGUUUUGAAAAACCAGCCUUUGGGAAAAACUUUGAAAUGCUUUGAAAAGGAUCAGUAUGGUAAAAUCCAUCUUCCAUAGAAAGAAUAUUUUGAAAAUGGGUUUUAUCAAACCAAUCGGAGGUUUUCUUUGAAGGUGUUGGCUGAGAAAGCACAAUUUGGGAAGAUGAGCUUUCGGCAGAGACAACAACAUUUUGAGAGGAGGGUUUUGUAAUUUCUUUAGAUGUGGAUAUGCUCUUAAUUUCUUUUUGAGGAGAAUUUUGGCUCUGGGAAAGGUUUUGUAGAGCGAGCAUGAGCUCGGGAGAUUUUGUAAUGGAACUCAUCCAAUGCUUUACUUGAUCAUCAGAAGAGAUGGGUUUGUAUUGGGCUUCAUGUUCUUCAACCAAUUCAAUCCAUGAUUUGAUGGUAGGGCAGAAGAAAGUAAUUUUUCUUUAGAAGGGGUUGACUGGGUUCUUUUGGAAGGUUCUUGAGAUCCGGAACUUUUGAGAACAGCUUUACCUUUGUCUUUCUUUAGCGCAUUAUCUGUUUUGAAGAAAUUCUCUGGUUAGAAAAUCAGGAACAGAAUUUUUUAUCACCUUUAAUGAAUUCUAUAUCAAAAUAAAAAACACUCAAAUAGCUUGCCAACGUGCAAAAAUUUGUUUUGAUGCAAUGUUUGAACAUCCUUUUCUAAAACAUGUUUUGCAGCUUUGCAAUCAAUUCUAAGUAAAAUUUUGAUUUAAUAAUCACUUUGAAAUUUUGUAAUGCAUAAAACAAUGGAAAGAAUUUCUUUUUUAAUAGUAGAAUAAUUUUUUCUGACAAUCAUUCCAAUGUGCAGAAACAUAUUGUACUAUCUGUUCUCUAUCAUUUUCUUUUUGUUUUAAUAUACCUCCAUAUCCUAAAUCAGAUGCAUCAGUUUCAACAAUUUUUAGGGAAUGCAGGAUUUGCAAGAUAUAGACAUGGGAUGCUUUUAACAGAACUCUUUAUUAAUUUAACAGCUUUAGUAUGUUCAUCUGUCCAUGGAGCAGGUUUUUCUUUAAACGAUCAUGCAAAGGUUUAGACAACCUAUUGAUAUUGGGAACAGAAAUCAAGAACAUAAUUUAGGCUACCAAGAAAUCUUUGUAAUUGAGUUUUGUCAAGGAUUUUAUCAGGGAAUUUAUCAGCAAAUAAAAGUGAUCUUUCAAUAGGGGUGAUUGUUCCUUUUGAAAUAUAGUGACCAAGAAAUCUGAUUUUCGUUUGAAAUAAUGAAAUCUUUGAACUAGAAAGGGCUAGUCCAGCCUUUUUUUGUAGCAAAAUAAAAAGUCUUUAAAUGUUUGAAAUGUUGAUCGAUUGAAUUUGAAAAUAUCAAAACAUCAUCAAUAUAAACAAUGCAAAAAUCAGAAUAAGGAUUAUAAAUAUCAUUCAUAAUUCUUUGAAAUUCUGAGGGUGCAUUCUUUAAACCAAAGGGCAUAACAGUCCAUUCGUAUUGUCCAAAUGGAACAGUGAAAGCGGUUUUGUAACGGUCAUUUGGAUGAAUUUGAAUUUGCCAAAAACCCGAUUUCAUGUCGAAUUUUGAAAAAAUAAAGGCAGAACAGAGUUUUUGGAGUAAAUCUUUUUUAUUAGGUAUAGGAUACCUAAUCCAUUUUAAAGCUUUAUUCAAAGGUUUGUAGUUUAUAACUAGUCUUGGAGUGCCUCUUUCAAUUUCGGAGUUUUUGUUAACAUAAAAAGCAGCACAAGACCAAGGAGACCUGGAUUUUACAAUGAGUCCUUUAGACUCCAAGUCUUUGAUUUCAUUUUUACAAUGUUUUUCUAAAUCCAUAUUCAUUUGAAUUGGACGAGCUUUGGUCGGAAUCUGUUUUUCAUCAAAAGAAUUUUCAUAAGGCAGGUCUACUAAAUGUUGUUUUCUAUUCCAAAAAGCAGAAGGUAGAUCAGCACAAAUUUCUUUUUCAAUAAGAGUUUUGAAAAUCAGAAAUUUUUCUUUUAAUGAAAUCACUUUGUAAUUGGCUUUCAACUCUUUGUAAGUUCAAAAUCUUUUUGUAAAACAUUAGAUCACACUGUUUUGAUUUAAGUAAAUUGUUUAUUCUAUUUUGAUAAAUAGAACAGGCUUUAACAAUAUUUAAAUUUCUUGUUUUAGGUUUUUCAAUAAAAGGGGAAAACAAGUUUCUUGUUUUUUGCUUUGAAAGAUAUACUAUCAUAAUUGACAGUAUACGGAGUUAUGAGAUUUAUAAAAGGAGUUCCCAAAAUAAUGGCAUGAUGAAUAUCAUUUGUGAGAACAAAGGAAGUUUUAAAAAUCAAAACCAUCAUUAUAGAUCGAGGCUUCAACCUUGGAACUGACAUCAAUUUUGAAUUAUUGGCGGCAGAAAGCCUUUCUUUUGUUUUUUCAUGAAAUCUUUUGGGGACGAUAUCUUCUCUAAUGCAAUUUAAAUCGGCGCCAGUAUCAAAAAGGGCAAUGGCGUCCAUCGCAAAAUCAUCAGAAAAGAUUAGAGUGACUUUAAUCAAAUACUUUCUUGUGGUGAUUUGUUUUAGAACAAAUAGAAAAUCAUUGGGUACAGACUCAAUAUUUUCUACUUAAUAUCAUCACCAUCAAUAUCAGGACUGGAUUCAUUGUCUGAAUUAUCCUGUAAUUGCUUUUGUAAAAGAAGUUGAAUAAUAUCAGAAUCACUUUUUUUGUUUUUCUUUUAAAUCUCUGAUUUCACUUUUGAUUUCUUUUAUCUCUUUCUGAAGAUCUUGGAUAUUAGGAAUCAUCUUUUUUGUUUUCUUCUUAUCCAAAAUUUGAGUAAGAUCAUAAGAAUUCUUUUUAAUAAUUGGGACUCUAGAAGUCUCGCUUUAUUAAAAUCCAAUGUUUUCAAAAGUUUAUCAAGGUAUUCCUUUUGAAGAUUUGGAUCAGAAAUAUGCUUUACAAGUUCAAGAAAAGUUUCUUGGUCUUUAGUCAAAACAUUGAUUUUCUUUAAAAAUGAAUCAGAUUCAGAAUCACUACUGCUAGAUGCAGAGUCAUCUGAGUCAAAAAGCUCAUCAACUUGGUAAGGGUCACUGUCUCCCGACAUGGAAGAUCAGAAUCAGAAGAUUCGACAAGAAGAGGGGCUAUUUUAGAAAGGAUGUCCUCAUUGAGGUCAAGUUCUUGGAGUCUUUUGUUCAUUCUGCAAAAUUUUGCAGUAUGACCUUUCAUACCACAUUUGAAACAUGUGGCCUCCUUGAAGUUGAAUGGGGUAUUAGGUUUGGCUUUGAAAUCUUUCUUUUUAGAGAAACUAUGUCUCUUAUAAGGCUUCGAAGGUUUCUUAUAAGGAAGUUUUCUAAAAUCACGGAAGGGUUUUCUAAAAUGUUUAGAUUUGUAAUGUUUCUUACGAGGUUUUUGUAGAACACUCUCCAUUACAAUCUUUGGAAGUUUUAAAGGGGUCAUAAUUGAAUUGCUUACAGAAACCGCCUAAUUCCUGUUUAGACUUUCUUAAGCUCCCACUUAAGACGUUUCUGUAAUUUCAAAUCUUGACAAAAUCUUUAAACCUUCUUUGUUGACAAAACUGACUAGUUCACCAUAGGUGAGCUCGUCAUAAGGAAUACGGUUAUCGUAAAGGGCUUUGAUGGAAUUUCUUACCUUUUCACCUAAAAGGGUAGGUAAUCCAGCAAGAAAUUUUUCUUUCCAAGUAAUAUGAUUUGCAUCAUCCCUUAGAAAUAGUCUGGUAAGGAAAGAGGUUUUGUAACUCUGAAAUUCACUAAGUUUUCUACAUCUCAAAUUAUGUAGUAACUCAGCGUUUUUAUCACGAAGGUGAGAAGGGUCACCGAUGAAAUGGAGGGAAAUGGUUAGAAUAAGAGUAGCAACAGCAUCCUGGAUAGGGUUGUUGAACUCAUCAAGAAUAGAGGCUCCAUUUUCAUCUUUUUGGACGGAAUUUAGAAUGUCAAAUUGUUGCUGAUUAGUGAGAAGAUGAUCCCACCAACCUUUAGUUGACCAGUAAAACCAGCAAUUAGGAUUUCCGAUAUGGCACGAUCAGAAGUUCCUGCUUGGGUUUUAUAAGCAUUAGCUGCCAUUGUCAUUUGUUGCAACAAUCCAAGGAUAUUGUACUCAGACAUGCCCGUCAAUAUUCCACUCAUAGACUGAAGAUGCAUUAUAACGGGAUUGAUUUAAUGCACUAGGUCUAUUAUCUAUUGCUAGAUCUGGUGGGGUCUUGACAGUGGGAAGGGCUAAUUCCCAGUGGAUUUUGUUGGCUUUAGGAGUAGAAGGUUCUUCUUUGAAAGCUUCUAAGUCAGAAGAGGCUAUAGAACUCUGGUCAUCUAGAUCAAUACUCCAAUCUUGCUAGAUUGGGGGGUAUCGGGGGCUAUCUGGAGUUUGCUAGACGAGGAAGAAGCAGCUUCUAUCCUCUCUAGUUGUUCUCUAAUGGCUUUAGCAAAUCUGAUUUUGACUCUUGAACAAGCCUUUGGCUAGUUUUCGAAACCUGAAAAGGUUUGAAAAUAGGUUCCUUAAGCUUUUUGUCAGAAUCCGAUUUUGAAGGAAUAGACAUAGGAAUAGGAGAAACAGAUAUAGGAGAUUUUUGAAAUUGGUUUUCUAUACGAGCCAAUUGCUUUCCAAUUGUAUUUAAGUUAGUAUUACAGAAAUUAUUCUGUUGUAUAAUACUACUUAAAUUCGCAUCAGAAUCAUUUGGUCUUGGGAUUUUUGUAAGGGGAUGCUUUAAUCUCAAUAGGAGGUUCACCAUGAUCUAUGGUUAUACUCCUAAGAGGUGGAUGAUCAGACUCUAUAAUCCUAUCAUUAUCAGAAAGUUUCCAUUCAGGAAUUUUCUUUCUAAUAGUUAUAGGGUUUGACUCUUUAAAAGGAUAAUCAAUAUUGUUCUCAGAAGAAUAUAUUUCGAACCAAUCAAAAAACAAUAUAUGAACUUUAUGAAAAUUCACAAAUUCAUAAUAAGUUUGUUGGAUUUCUUUUCUUUGGUUUAAAAAAUGUUUAAAAAACCAAGUUUCUUUUUUCUUUAUUUAUUUCUGAAUAAAAAUCGUUAUGCAGAAAGGCUUUAUCUAAUUCAAAUUCUUUUUUCAAUGACAUUAAUGACAUUUUCUGUGACAGCAGAAAACGUAGGAGAUGUUGGAGGAGAAGGUUCCUUCUCUUCCUGUCUUUGCACAUGUUGACUACUAGUGUAUAUAGGAUGAGGAACACUUGUGGCAUAGUCAACGGAACGGAUGGAGGAGCUAGGUAUAUCCGAAGUGGAAAACCUAGGUUGGCUCUGAUAUGGGAGAUUUAUAACAGAAGGUACUUUUGUAAACUUCCUUUCUAGUGAAGGAAUGCUUGGGCCUCGAUUCUUUUUCAGAAAAUCUAUGUGAGGUAGACCUUCUGAAUGAUAGUUUGACUUUACCAUCGGAAUACUGGGUCACAUUUUGUAACUCUGUAUUUGGCUCAAGUUGUUUCGGAAUCGCCGGUGGGGCGGCUCCUUCGAGGAUCCAUUCAUCUGGAAGAUGGAUAUCUUUCCAUUGGAUCGAUUUUGGAAUGACCAUGUUGGCUUUAGACAAAUCAGUCUGCAAGAGAAGGGUCUCAUCUCUCUUCGACUGGUAUUUAUGCUGUGUGCUAAUGCAGAAAUCAUGGCUUUAUAGGAAAUUUUUAAAAAUUAAUGCAACUGGGAUGGAUCCCUUAAUCAUGUGAUAAUUAUGGGUUUGGAUUUGUAAAAUCAUGCUCUUUAAAAUAUUUUUGUCUUUAAGAGAAAUUGUUAUAUUUGGAUAACAAUCAAAAGAUAUGGGACUUUACAUAGACUAGAUUCGAUACUACUUAGUAAAGAAUCAUCAAAAGAGAUGAAUCGCCCAUCUCUAAGAACAGCAAGGAUAGAGGUAUCCAAGCCUUCUUUGGUCAAAGGUUUUAUUCCUACUUGGAUUAAACCAAUGUGAAUAUAUUUGAAAUUCUUUUCUUUUAAUUUCUUUAAAGAUUUUUCUGAAAACAAAUAAAUUGUUUCAAAAGGCUCCGAAAGAGUUAUGUCUCUUUCUUCAGUUUUUAUAAUAUAAUCAUGUUUUAAAAGAUCAAGCAUUUUUGUUUUGUAAAUCUUUUCUUUGGAAAUUUUUGGAAGUUCCCAACAAUCAAUUGCUUUAUCAAAGUUUUCAAUAACGAAUUCUUCUGAACUCACAACAUGCUUUGAAUCACUAGUCUUCCCGGAAGAAGAGCUAGAAAAGGACGAUGUUCUACAGUGUAGAGGGUUCAUGGGUAAAAACCUAUGAUCUAUUUAGUGGUUUUGAAAGAAUGGCUACAGGUAUGGUUUUACAGCCCUAAACGGAAAACUUAUCCUUAGACGGGACUUACUACCAGUAAAAAUUCACCACAAAAACAAAACUUCAAAAUAAAAACACAAGUUUUCAAAACACAAAACUCUAAACUGCUUUACACAAUCCUCCCCUUGGCUCUGAUACCAGAAGGAAAUAGAUCGAAGGAUGGGUGUGUAUUGAAGAUGCUUCUUUAUUGAUUGCUUUAAUGAAAUAAUUGGAUCGCGGUUGUUCAGAUUUUAUAUAAGAUUACCAGCUUUAGAUUAAGUAGAUUUGUUUUAGAGCAUACAAUGAUCAAACAAAUUUGAACGCGGUUGGUCAAAUUUUAGAAUAUUUAAAGUACGUGGCGUUGUUAGACCAGAUCGAUCGCAGAAGUUAAUCUGCCUUUGGACCCAGAUCUGACUUAGAACAGAUCAAUAGUCCGCACGUUCGGGUUUCCAGCCUAUAUACUUUAAUAUAUUUACCAGAUAAAAUUAAGUUGCUUUAAACGUGGUUGUUUCUUUUUAUUGGGCUAAUUCCAGAUUUAAAUUAGAUUCUUUAAGGGGCUUGGGUACAUACACAGUACCAGAUCCGGAUCCCGGAAAUGGUGCUCUGAAGGAAUGGAGGAAGAAGAGAAGAUUUACAACUGAGGAUCGAGAUCCGGUCUCUUUGCCUCAGAGGAACGUACAAAUUUUAUGGCAGAUCUGAUAAAGACCAGUCUGCUUUGCAUGCUUUGAAAAGAAAAUUGCUUUAAAAAUAAAUUGCUUUAAUGUAAAUAUGCAUGAAAUUAAAUUGCAGAAAAGUAAAUUGCGAAAAUUUAAAUUACAUCGAAAUUAAAUAACUGAAAUUUAAACAUACAUCUUUGCUUUGAUAGUCUUGGUCUUUACAAUUUUCAAAUCUUUCCUGAAGGGAAGAUUGAAAGACGGGAAGAUUACAAGACAGGAAUGGUUUCCUUGAUGUCUUGGACUGUUCAUCAAAUUUUGACCACCAUUUGACUUUAAAGGUUCUUUGAAGGAUGACUUGGGAAUCUUGAGUAUGAAAACGGAGGUUCCACAUCCAGACCCAUGGUAGGAAGAAGUUUGUACAAAAACAGAGAAAGGGGGGAAAUCUUUUCUCUGAGUCAGAGGGCAUAUAGUGGGCUUUAAAGAGGUUUAGGCAAUUUAUGGCAUUUGGAGUGAGGAUUUGAGGUAUUGGGCCAAAGAAAUUCCACCAAUGAUGGAACCAGUUUGGAAGGCUUUGGACGGUUAUUUUAGGGUUAAAGAAAAAUAACCAAGAAUGGGAUUUUUUAGGGUUUUGAAUAAAAAAGGUGUUAUACCAUGCUUGUUGGUAAUCCCAGUAGGAGAAAGUCCGACAAUGUGGUAAACGGGUUUCAAAGUUUAAAGGAAAGGUUUUGAAAUUGUGGAGUAGGUCGCCCCACUGGUUCGGGCUCAAAACUUUUAGAAUCGUGGCCGUGGAAUAGGCCGGUUCAGAAUGGGUUUUAUCAAGAAAGAAAUGUUUGAAUUUAACUGAUUCAGUUAUUUCUAAAAUGCUUUGAUAAUAAGACUGGGGUUUUGUCAAAUCCCAUGGUUUGAAAAACCAGCCUUUGGGAAAAAACUUUGAAAUGCUUUGAAAAGGAUCAGUAUGGUAAAAUCCAUCUUCCAUAGAAAGAAUAUUUUGAAAAUGGGUUUUAUCAAACCAAUCGGAGGUUUUCUUUGAAGGUGUUGGCUGAGAAAGCACAAUUUGGGAAGAUGAGCUUUCGGCAGAGACAACAACAUUUUGAGAGGAGGGUUUUGUAAUUUCUUUAGAUGUGGAUAUGCUCUUAAUUUUUUUUGAGGAGAAUUUUGGCUCUGGGAAAGGUUUUGUAGAGCGAGCAUGAGCUCGGGAGAUUUUGUAAUGGAACUCAUCCAAUGCUUUAUUGAUCAUCAGAAGAGAUGGGUUUGUAUUGGGCUUCAUGUUCUUCAACCAAUUCAAUCCAUGAUUUGAUGGGUAGGGCAGAAGAAAGUAAUUUUUUUAGAAGGGGUUGACUGGGGUUCUUUGGAAGGUUCUUGAGAUCCGGAACUUUUGAGAACAGCUUUACCUUUGUCUUUCUUUAGCGGCAUUAUCUGUUUUGAAGAAAUUCUCUGGUUAGAAAAUCAGGAACAGAAUUUUUAUCACCUUUAAUGAAUUCUAUAUCAAAAUCAAAAACACUCAAAAUAGCUUGCCAACGUGCAAAAAUUUGUUUUGAUGCAAUGUUUUGAACAUCCUUUUCUAAAACAUGUUUUGCAGCUUUGCAAUCAAUUCUAAGUAAAAAUUUUUGAUUUAAUAAAUCACUUUGAAAUUUUGUAAUGCAUAAAACAAUGGAAAGAAUUUCUUUUUUAAUAGUAGAAUAAUUUUUCUGACAAUCAUUCCAAUGUGCAGAAACAUAUUGUACUAUCUGUUCUCUAUCAUUUUCUUUUUGUUUUAAUAUACCUCCAUAUCCUAAAUCAGAUGCAUCAGUUUCAACAAUUUUAGGAAUGCAGGGUUUGCAAGAUAUAGACAUGGGAUGCUUUUAACAGAACUCUUUAUUAAUUUAACAGCUUUAGUAUGUUCAUCUGUCCAUGGAGCAGGUUUUUUCUUUAAACGAUCAUGCAAAGGUUUAGACAACCUAUUGAUAUUGGGACAGAAAUCAAGAACAUAAUUUAGGCUACCAAGAAAUCUUUGUAAUUGAGUUUUGUCAAGGAUUUUAUCAGGGAAUUUAUCAGCAAAUAAAAGUGAUCUUUCAAUAGGGGUGAUUGUUCCUUUUGAAAUAUAGUGACCAAGAAAUCUGAUUUUCGUUUGAAAUAAUGAAAUCUUUGAACUAGAAAGGGCUAGUCCAGCCUUUUUUGUAGCAAAAUAAAAAGUCUUUAAAUGUUUGAAAUGUUGAUCGAUUGAAUUUGAAAAUAUCAAAACAUCAUCAAUAUAAACAAUGCAAAAAUCAGAAUAAGGAUUAUAAAUAUCAUUCAUAAUUCUUUGAAAUUCUGAGGGUGCAUUCUUUAAACCAAAGGGCAUAACAGUCCAUUCGUAUUGUCCAAAUGGAACAGUGAAAGCGGUUUUGUAACGGUCAUUUGGAUGAAUUUGAAUUUGCCAAAAACCCGAUUUCAUGUCGAAUUUUGAAAAAAUAAAGGCAGAACAGAGUUUUUGGAGUAAAUCUUUUUUAUUAGGUAUAGGAUACCUAAUCCAUUUUAAAGCUUUAUUCAAAGGUUUGUAGUUUAUAACUAGUUUGGAGUGCCUCUUUCAAUUUCGGAGUUUUUGUUAACAUAAAAAGCAGCACAAGACCAAGGAGACCUGGAUUUUACAAUGAGUCCUUUAGACUCCAAGUCUUUGAUUUCAUUUUUACAAUGUUUUUCUAAAUCCAUAUUCAUUUGAAUUGGACGAGCUUUGGUCGGAAUCUGUUUUUCAUCAAAAGAAUUUUCAUAAGGCAGGUCUACUAAAUGUUGUUUUAUUCCAAAAAGCAGAAGGUAGAUCAGCACAAAUUUCUUUUUCAAUAAGAGUUUUGAAAUCAGAAAUUUUUCUUUUAAUGAAAUCACUUUGUAAUUGGCUUUCAACUCUUUGUAAGUUCAAAUCUUUUUUGUAAAAAAUUAGAUCACACUGUUUUGAUUUAAGUAAAUUGUUUAUUCUAUUUUGAUAAAUAGAACAGGCUUUAACAAUAUUUAAAUUUCUUGUUUUAGGUUUUUCAAUAAAAGGGAAAAAAGUUUCUUGUUUUUUGCUUUGAAAGAUAUACUAUCAUAAUUGACAGUAUACGGAGUUAUGAGAUUUAUAAAAGGAGUUCCCAAAAUAAUGGCAUGAUGAAUAUCAUUUGUGAGAACAAAGGAAGUUUUAAAAUCAAAACCAUCAUUAUAGAUCGAGGCUUCAACCUUGGAACUGACAUUCAAUUUUGAAUUAUUGGCGGCAGAAAGCCUUUCUUUUGUUUUUUCAUGAAAUCUUUUGGGGACGAUAUCUUCUCUAAUGCAAUUUAAAUCGGCGCCAGUAUCAAAAAGGGCAAUGGCGUCCAUCGCAAAAUCAUCAGAAAAGAUUAGAGUGACUUUAAUCAAAUACUUUCUUGUGGUGAUUUGUUUUAGAACAAAUAGAAAAUCAUUGGGUACAGACUCAAUAUUUUCUACUUUAAUAUCAUCACCAUCAAUAUCAGGACUGGAUUCAUUGUCUGAAUUAUCCUGUAAUUGCUUUUGUAAAAGAAGUUGAAUAAUAUCAGAAUCACUUUUUUGUUUUUCUUUUAAAUCUCUGAUUUCACUUUUGAUUUCUUUUAUCUCUUUCUGAAGAUCUUGGAUAUUAGGAAUCAUCUUUUUUGUUUCUUCUUAUCCAAAAUUUGAGUAAGAUCAUAAGAAUUCUUUUUAAUAAUUGGGACUCUAGAAGUCUCGGCUUUAUUAAAAUCCAAUGUUUUCAAAAGUUUAUCAAGGUAUUCCUUUUGAAGAUUUGGAUCAGAAAUAUGCUUUACAAGUUCAAGAAAAGUUUCUUGGUCUUUAGUCAAAACAUUGAUUUUCUUUAAAAUGAAUCAGAUUCAGAAUCACUACUGCUAGAUGCAGAGUCAUCUGAGUCAAAAAGCUCAUCAACUUGGUAAGGGUCACUGUCUCCCGACAUGGAAGACUCAGAAUCAGAAGAUUCGACAAGAAGAGGGGCUAUUUUAGAAAGGAUGUCCUCAUUGAGGUCAAGUUCUUGGAGUCUUUUGUUCAUUCUGCAAAAUUUUGCAGUAUGACCUUUCAUACCACAUUUGAAACAUGUGGCCUCCUUGAAGUUGAAUGGGGUAUUAGGUUUGGCUUUGAAAUCUUUCUUUUUAGAGAAACUAUGUCUCUUAUAAGGCUUCGAAGGUUUCUUAUAAGGAAGUUUUCUAAAAUCACGGAAGGGUUUUCUAAAAUGUUUAGAUUUGUAAUGUUUCUUACGAGGUUUUGUAGAACACUCUCCAUUACAAUCUUUGGAAGUUUUAAAGGGGUCAUAAUUGAAUUGCUUACAGAAACCGCCUAAUUCCUGUUUAGACUUCUUAAGCUCCCACUUAAGACGUUUCUGUAAUUUCAAAUCUUGACAAAUCUUUAAACCUUCUUUGUUGACAAAACUGACUAGUUCACCAUAGGUGAGCUCGUCAUAAGGAAUACGGUUAUCGUAAAGGGCUUUGAUGGAAUUUCUUACCUUUUCACCUAAAAGGGUAGGUAAUCCAGCAAGAAAUUUUUCUUUCCAAGUAAUAUGAUUUGCAUCAUCCUAGAAUAGUCUGGUAAGGAAAGAGGUUUUGUAACUCUGAAAUUCACUAAGUUUUCUACAUCUCAAAUUAUGUAGUAACUCAGCGUUUUUAUCACGAAGGUGAGAAGGGUCACCGAUGAAAUGGAGGGAAAUGGUUAGAAUAAGAGUAGCAACAGCAUCCUGGAUAGGGUUGUUGAACUCAUCAAGAAUAGAGGCUCCAUUUUCAUCUUUUUGGACGGAAUUUAGAAUGUCAAAUUGUUGCUGAUUAGUGAGAAGAUGAUCCCACCAACCUUUUAGUUGACCAGUAAAACCAGCAAUUAGGAUUUCCGAUAUGGCACGAUCAGAAGUUCCUGCUUGGGUUUUAUAAGCAUUAGCUGCCAUUGUCAUUUGUUGCAACAAUCCAAGGAUAUUGUACUCAGACAUGCCGUCAAUAUUCCACUCAUAGACUGAAGAUGCAUUAUAACGGGAUUGAUUUAAUGCACUAGGUCUAUUAUCUAUUGCUAGAUCUGGUGGGGUCUUGACAGUGGGAAGGGCUAAUUCCCAGUGGAUUUUGUUGGCUUUAGGAGUAGAAGGUUCUUCUUUGAAAGCUUCUAAGUCAGAAGAGGCUAUAGAACUCUGGUCAUCUAGAUCCAAUACUCCAAUCUUGCUAGAUUGGGGGUAUCGGGGGCUAUCUGGAGUUUGCUAGACGAGGAAGAAGCAGCUUCUAUCCUCUCUAGUUGUUCUCUAAUGGCUUUAGCAAAAUCUGAUUUUGACUCUUGAACAAGCCUUUGGCUAGUUUUCGAAACCUGAAAAGGUUUGAAAAUAGGUUCCUUAAGCUUUUUGUCAGAAUCCGAUUUUGAAGGAAUAGACAUAGGAAUAGGAGAAACAGAUAUAGGAGAUUUUUGAAAUUGGUUUUCUAUACGAGCCAAUUGCUUUCCAAUUGUAUUUAAGUUAGUAUUACAGAAAUUAUUCUGUUGUAUAAUACUACUUAAAUUCGCAUCAGAAUCAUUUGGUCUUGGGAUUUUGUAAGGGGANNNNNNNNNNNNNNNNNNNNNNNNNNNNNNNNNNNNNNNNNNNNNNNNNNNNNNNNNNNNNNNNNNNNNNNNNNNNNNNNNNNNNNNNNNNNNNNNNNNNNNNNNNNNNNNNNNNNNNNNNNNNNNNNNNNNNNNNNNNNNNNNNNNNNNNNNNNNNNNNNNNNNNNNNNNNNNNNNNNNNNNNNNNNNNNNNNNNNNNNNNNNNNNNNNNNNNNNNNNNNNNNNNNNNNNNNNNNNNNNNUCAUAAAGUUCAUAUAUUGUUUUUUGAUUGGUUCGAAAUAUAUUCUUCUGAAAACAAUAUUGAUUAUCCUUUUAAAGAGUCAAACCCUAUAACUAUUAGAAAGAAAAUUCCUGAAUGGAAACUUUCUGAUAAUGAUAGGAUCAUAGAGUCUGAUCAUCCACCUCUUAGGAGUAUAACCAUAGAUCAUGGUGAACCUCCUACUGAGAUUAAAGCUUCCCCUUACAAAAUCCCAAGACCAAAUGAUUCUGAUGCGAAUUUAAGUAGUAUUAUACACAGAAUAAUUUCUGUAAUACUAACUUAAAUACAAUUGGAAAAGCAAUUGGCUCGUAUAGAAAACCAAUUUCAAAAAUCUACUAUAUCUGUUUCUCCUAUUCCAAUGUCUAUUCCUUCAAAAUCGGAUUCUGACAAAAAGCUUAAGGAACCUAUUUUCAAACCUUUUCAGGUCUCGAAAACUAGCCAAAAGCUUGUUCAAGAGUCAAAAUCAGAUUUUGCUAAAGCCAUUAGAGAACAAUUAGAUAGGAUAGAAGCUGCUUCUUCCUCGUCUAGCAAACUCCAGAUAGCCCCCGAUACCCCCAAUCUAGCAAGAUUGGAGUAUUGGAUCUAGAUGACCAAAGUUCUAUAGCCUCUUCUGACUUAGAAGCUUUCAAAGAGAACCUUCUACUCCUAAAGCCAACAAAUCCACUGGGAUUAGCCCUUCCCACUGUCAAGACCCCCACCAGAUCUAGCAAUAGAUAAUAGACCUAGUGCAUUAAAUCAAUCCCGAUAUAAUGCAUCUUCAGUCUAUGAGUGGAAUAUUGACGGCAUGUCUGAGUACAAUAUCCUCGGAUUGUUGCAACAAAUGACGAUGGCAGCUAAUGCUUAUAAAACCCAAGCAGGAACUUCUGAUCGUGCCAUAUCGGAAAUCCUAAUUGCUGGUUUUACUGGUCAACUAAAAGGUUGGUGGGAUCAUCUUCUCACUAAUCAGCAACAAUUUUGACAUUCUAAAUUCCGUCCAAAAAGAUGAAAAUGGAGCCUCUAUUCUUGAUGAGUUCAACAACCCUAUCCAGGAUGCUGUUGCUACUCUUAUUCUAACCAUUUCCCCUCCAUUUCAUCGGUGACCCUUCUCACCUUCGUGAUAAAAAUGCUGAGUUACUACAUAAUUUGAGAUGUAGAAAACUUAGUGAAUUUCAGAGUUACAAAACCUCUUUCCUUACCAGACUAUUUCUAAAGGGAUGAUGCAAAUCAUAUUACUUGGAAAGAGAAAUUUCUUGCUGGAUUACCUACCCUUUUAGGUGAAAAGGUAAGAAAUUCCAUCAAAGCCCUUUACGAUAACCGUAUUCCUUAUGAACGAGCUCACCUAUGGUGAACUUGUCAGUUUUGUCAACAAAGAAGGUUUUAAAGAUUUGUCAAGAUUUGAAAUUACAGAAACGUCUUAAGUGGGAGCUUAAGAAGUCUAAACAGGAAUUAGGCGGUUUCUGUAAGCAAUUCAAUUAUGACCCCUUUAAAACUUCCAAAGAUUGUAAUGGAGAGUGUUCUACAAAACCUUCGUAAGAAACAUUACAAAUCUAAACAUUUUAAGAAAAACCCUUUCGUGAUUUUAGAAACUUCCUUAUAAGAAACCUUCGAAGCCUUAUAAGAAACAUAGUUUUCUCUAAAAAGAAAGAUUUCAAGCCAAACCUAAUACCCCUUUCAACUUCAAGGAGGCCACAUGUUUCAAAUGUGGUAUGAAAGGUCAUACUGCAAAAUUUUGCAGAAUGAACAAAAGACUCCAAGAACUUGACCUCAAUGAGGACAUCCUUUCUAAAAUAGCCCCUCUUCUUGUCGAAUCUUCUGAUUCUGAGUCUUCCAUGUCGGGGAGACAGUGACCCUUACCAAGUUGAUGAGCUUUUUGACUCAGAUGACUCUGCAUCUAGCAGUAGUGAAUCUGAAUCUGAUUCAUUUUUAAAGAAAAUCAAUGUUUUGACUAAAGACCAAGAAACUUUUCUUGAACUUGUAAACAUAUUUCUGAUCCAAAUCUUCAAAAGGAAUACCUUGAUAAACUUUUGAAAACAUUGGAUUUUAAUAAAGCCGAGACUUCUAGAGUCCCAAUUGUUAAAAAGAAUUCUUAUGAUCUUACUCAAAUUUUGGAUAAGAAGAAAACAAAAAAGAUGAUUCCUAAUAUCCAAGAUCUUCAGAAAGAGAUAAAAGAAAUCAAAAGUGAAAUCAGAGAUUUAAAAGAAAAAACAAAAAGGUGAUUCUGAUAUUAUUCAACUUCUUUUACAAAAGCAAUUACAGGAUAAUUCAGACAAUGAAUCUAGUCCUGAUAUUGAUGGUGAUGAUAUUAAAGUAGAAAAUAUUGAGUCUGUACCCAAUGAUUUUCUAUUUGUUCUAAAACAAAUCACCACAAGAAAGUAUUUUGAUUAAAGUCACUCUAAUCUUUUCUGAUGAUUUUGCGAUGGAUGCCAUUGCCCUUUUUGAUACUGGCGCCGAUUUAAAUUGCAUUAGAGAAGAUAUCGUCCCCAAAGAUUUCAUGAAAAAACAAAAGAAAGGCUUUCUGCCGCCAAUAAUUCAAAAUUGAAUGUCAGUUCCAAGGUUGAAGCCUCAAUCUAUAAUGAUGAUUUUGAUUUUAAAACUUCCUUUGUUCUCACAAAUGAUAUUCAUCAUGCCAUUAUUUUGGGAACUCCUUUUAUAAAUCUCAUAACUCCGUAUACUGUCAAUUAUGAUAGUAUAUCUUUCAAAGCAAAAAACAAGAAACUUGUUUUCCCUUUUAUUGAAAAGCCUAAAACAAGAAAUUUGAAUAUUGUUAAAGCCUGUUCUAUUUAUCAAAAUAGAAUAAACAAUUUACUUAAAUCAAAACAGUGUGAUCUAAUGUUUUUACAAAAAGAUUUGAACUUACAAAGAGUUGAAAGCCAAUUACAAAGUGAUUUCAUUAAAAGAAAAAUUUCUGAUUUCAAAACUCUUAUUGAAAAAGAAAUUUGUGCUGAUCUACCUUCUGCUUUUUGGAAUAGAAAACAACAUUUAGUAGAUCUGCCUUAUGAAAAUUCUUUGAUGAAAAACAGAUUCCGACCAAAGCUCGUCCAAUUCAAAUGAAUAUGGAUUUAGAAAAACAUUGUAAAAAUGAAAUCAAAGACUUGGAGUCUAAAGGACUCAUUGUAAAAUCCAGGUCUCCUUGGUCUUGUGCUGCUUUUUAUGUUAACAAAAACUCCGAAAUUGAAAGAGGCACUCCAAGACUAGUUAUAAACUACAAACCUUUGAAUAAAGCUUUAAAAUGGAUUAGGUAUCCUAUACCUAAUAAAAAAGAUUUACUCCAAAAACUCUGUUCUGCCUUUAUUUUUUCAAAAUUCGACAUGAAAUCGGGUUUUUGGCAAAUUCAAAUUCAUCCAAAUGACCGUUACAAAACCGCUUUCACUGUUCCAUUUGGACAAUACGAAUGGACUGUUAUGCCCUUUGGUUUAAAGAAUGCACCCUCAGAAUUUCAAAGAAUUAUGAAUGAUAUUUAUAAUCCUUAUUCUGAUUUUUGCAUUGUUUAUAUUGAUGAUGUUUUGAUAUUUUCAAAUUCAAUCGAUCAAACAUUUCAAACAUUUAAAGACUUUUUAUUUUGCUACAAAAAAGGCUGGACUAGCCCUUUCUAGUUCAAAGAUUUCAUUAUUUCAAACGAAAAUCAGAUUUCUUGGUCACUAUAUUUCAAAAGGAACAAUCACCCCUAUUGAAAGAUCACUUUUAUUUGCUGAUAAAUUCCCUGAUAAAAUUCUUGACAAAACUCAAUUACAAAGAUUUCUUGGUAGCCUAAAUUAUGUUCUUGAUUUCUGUCCCAAUAUCAAUAGGUUGUCUAAACCUUUGCAUGAUCGUUUAAAGAAAAAACCUUCUCCAUGGACAGAUGAACAUACUAAAGCUGUUAAAUUAAUUAAGAGUUCUGUUAAAAGCAUCCCAUGUCUAUAUCUUGCAAAUCCUGCAUUCCCUAAAAUUGUUGAAACUGAUGCAUCUGAUUUAGGAUAUGGAGGUAUAUUAAAACAAAAAGAAAAUGAUAGAGAACAGAUAGUACAAUAUGUUUCUGCACAUUGGAAUGAUUGUCAGAAAAAUUAUUCUACUAUUAAAAAAGAAAUUCUUUCCAUUGUUUUAUGCAUUACAAAAUUUCAAAGUGAUUUAUUAAAUCAAAAAUUUUUACUUAGAAUUGACUGCAAAGCUGCAAAACAUGUUUUAGAAAAGGAUGUUCAAAACAUUGCAUCAAAACAGAUUUUUGCACGUUGGCAAGCUAUUUUGAGUGUUUUUGAUUUUGAUAUAGAAUUCAUUAAAGGUGACAAAAAUUCUGUUCCUGAUUUUCUAACCAGAGAAUUUCUUCAAAACAGAUAAUGCCGCUAAAGAAAGACAAAGGUAAAGCUGUUCUCAAAGUUCCGGAUCUCAGAACCUUCCAAAGAACCCCAGUCAACCCUUCUAAAGAAAAAUUACUUUCUUCUGCCUUACCCAUCAAAUCAUGGAUUGAAUUGGUUGAAGAACAUGAAGCCCAUUACAAACCCAUCUCUUCUGAUGAUCAAGUAAAGCAUUGGAUGAGUUCCAUUACAAAAUCUCCCGAGCUCAUGCUCGCCCUACAAAACCUUUCCCAGAGCCAAAAUUCUCCUAAAAAAGAGAUUGAGAGCAUAUCCAUAUCUAAAGAAAUUACAAAACCCUCCUCUCAAAAUGUUGUUGUCUCUGCCGAAAGCUCAUCUUCCCAAAUUGUGCUUUCUCAGCCAACACCUUCAAAGAAAACCUCCGAUUGGUUUGAUAAAACCCAUUUUCAAAAUAUUCUUUCUAUGGAAGAUGGAUUUUACCAUACUGAUCCUUUUCAAAGCAUUUCAAAGUUUUUUCCCAAAGGCUGGUUUUUCAAACCAUGGGAUUUGACAAAACCCCAGUCUUAUUAUCAAAGCAUUUUAGAAAUAACUGAAUCAGUUAAUUCAAACAUUUCUUUCUUGAUAAAACCCAUUCUGAACCGGCCUAUUCCACGGCCACGAUUCUAAAAGUUUUGAGCCCGAACCAGUGGGGCGACCUACUCCACAAUUUCAAAACCUUUCCUUUAAACUUUGAAACCCGUUUACCACAUUGUCGGACUUUCUCCUACUGGGAUUACCAACAAGCAUGGUAUAACACCUUUUUUAUUCAAAACCCUAAAAAAAUCCCAUUCUUGGUUAUUUUUCUUUAACCCUAAAAAUAACCGUCCAAAGCCUUCCAAACUGGUUCCAUCAUUGGUGGAAUUUCUUUGGCCCAAUACCUCAAAUCCUCACUCCAAAUGCCAUAAAUUGCCUAAACCUCUUUAAAGCCCACUACACGCCCUCUGACUCAGAGAAAAGAUUUCCCCCCUUUCUCUGUUUUUGUACAAACUUCUUCCUACCAUGGGUCUGGAUGUGGAACCUCCGUUUUCAUACUCAAGAUUCCCAAGUCAUCCUUCAAAGAACCUUUAAAGUCAAAUGGUGGUCAAAGUUUGAUGAACAGUCCAAACUGACUGUUAACAUGAUCAAAGACUGGCUCUCCUCUAAAAACCUUCUCCAACCAACCCUAGAAGCCUCUAAAGCCCAACAGACCUUCUUAACCCAAAAUCCAAAGCCCAGUCUCUUUUGGCAAGUGCCAAGACAGAAGAUGAAUACUUCAAAGCAAUGGAACAGCUCCUCGCCUCCCGUUCAAAGUCAUCAGUAGCCGACACCUCUGAAGACGAAGACGAUGAUGAAGAUGAAGAGCCCUUCAUUUCUCUUGGAGACGAAAAUGAAGAUGAUUGUUUCGGCAUUUUUUCUCCUAUAAAGCAUUGUAAAUAAUUAUUUGGUUAUUUACUUAAAAAAAAAAAAAAAAAAAAAAAAAAAAAAAAAAAAAAAAAAAAAAAAAAAAAAAAAAAAAAAUUCUCUCGGGUGGUCCCUUGGACACAAGUGAGAGCGCACAUGUCUCUUCACCCGUGUUGUAUUUCAUUAUGUAUUUCAAUUUUUGUACAAAGUAGUCUACUGUUCAAAGCUACGGUCAGCCUACUAUUCAAAGCUACGAUCCAAAGAUUACUGUGCACUCAAAACUCCGCUACAGUGAACAGUGCAAAGUUCCAAAGAUUACUGUGCACUCAAAGCUCCGCUACAGUGAACAGUUUACAAAGUUUUGUAUAUAAACCAAGAGGAAGACUCAGACUCCUCAGGUUUUUCAUUUUCUCUUCUUCUCCUCCUUCUCUCUAGAUCUCUCUCUCUCUCUCUCUCUCUCUCUCUCUCUCUGGGAAGUCUGGAUCAAGACAUCAAGGAAACCAUUCCUGUCUUGUAAUCUUCCCGUCUUUCAAUCUUCCCUUCAGGAAAGAUUUGAAAAUUGUAAAGACCAAGACUAUCAAAGCAAAGAUGUAUGUUUAAAUUUCAGUUAUUUAAUUUCGAUGUAAUUUAAAUUUCCGCAAUUUACUUUAAAGCAAUUUACUUUUCUGCAAUUUAAUUUCAUGCACAUUUACAUUAAAGCAAUUUAUUUAUAAAGCAAUUUUCUUUUCAAAGCAUGCAAAGCAGACUGGUCUUUAUCAGAUCUGCCAUAAAAUUUGUACGUUCCUCUGAGGCAAAGAGACCGGAUCUCGAUCCUCAGUUGUAAAUCUUCUCUUCUUCCUCCAUUCCUUCAGAGCACCAUUUCCGGGAUCCGGAUCUGGUACUGUGUAUGUACCCAAGCCCCUUAACGAAUCUAAUUUAACUCUGGAAUUAGCCCAAUAAAAAGAAACAACCACGUUUAAAGCAACUUAAUUUUUAUCUGGUAAAUAUAUUAAAGUAUAUAGGCUGGAAACCCGAACGUGCGGACUAUUGAUCUGUUCUAAGUCAGAUCUGGUCCAAAGGCAGAUUAACUUCUGCGAUCGAUCUGGUCUAACAACGCCACGUACUUUAAAUAUUCUAAAAUUUGACCAACCGCGUUCAAAUUUGUUUGAUCAUUGUAUGCUCUAAAACAAAUCUACUUAAUCUAAAGCUGGUAAUCUUAUAUAAAAUCGGAACAACCGCGAUCCAAUUAUUUUAUUAAAGCAAUCAAUAAAGAAACAUUUUGAAAACACACCCAUCCUUCGAUCCUAUUUCCUUCUGGUAUCAGAGAUUAAAGCUUAGAGCUUUACCGUAUUCCUUAUGACGACAAAUUAAAAUUUUGUAUCAGUGGCAUAGGUGAGCUCGUCAUAAGGAAUACGGUUAUCGUAAAGGGCUUUGAUGGAAUUUCUUACCUUUUCACCUAAAAGGGUAGGUAAUCCAGCAAGAAAUUUCUCUUUCCAAGUAAUAUGAUUUGCAUCAUCCCUUAGAAAUAGUCUGGUAAGGAAAGAGGUUUUGUAACUCUGAAAUUCACUAAGUUUUCUACAUCACAAAGCUUACCAGAAGGUCUCAUCAGUCUGCAAGACAAAUCAGUCUGAAAUUUUGUAAUGCAUAAAACAAUGGAAAGAAUUUCUUUUUUAAUAGUAGAAUAAUUUUUCUGACAAUCAUUCCAAUGUGCAGAAACAUAUUGUACUAUCUGUUCUCUAUCAUUUUCUUUUUGUUUUAAUAUACCUCCAUAUCCUAAAUCAGAUGCAUCAGUUUCAACAAUUUUAGGGAAUGCAGGAUUUGCAAGAUAUAGACAUGGGAUGCUUUUAACAGAACUCUUAAUUAAUUUAACAGCUUUAGUAUGUUCAUCUGUCCAUGGAGAAGGUUUUUUCUUUAAACGAUCAUGCAAAGGUUUAGACAACCUAUUGAUAUUGGGACAGAAAUCAAGAACAUAAUUUAGGCUACCAAGAAAUCUUUGUAAUUGAGUUUUGUCAAGAAUUUUAUCAGGGAAUUUAUCAGCAAAUAAAAGUGAUCUUUCAAUAGGGGUGAUUGUUCCUUUUGAAAUAUAGUGACCAAGAAAUCUGAUUUUCGUUUGAAAUAAUGAAAUCUUUGAACUAGAAAGGGCUAGUCCAGCCUUUUUUGUAGCAAAAUAAAAAGUCUUUAAAUGUUUGAAAUGUUGAUCGAUUGAAUUUGAAAAUAUCAAAACAUCAUCAAUAUAAACAAUGCAAAAAUCAGAAUAAGGAUUAUAAAUAUCAUUCAUAAUUCUUUGAAAUUCUGAGGGUGCAUUCUUUAAACCAAAGGGCAUAACAGUCCAUUCGUAUUGUCCAAAUGGAACAGUGAAAGCGGUUUUGUAACGGUCAUUUGGAUGAAUUUGAAUUUGCCAAAAACCCGAUUUCAUGUCGAAUUUUGAAAAAAUAAAGGCAGAACAGAGUUUUUGGAGUAAAUCUUUUUAUUAGGUAUAGGAUACCUAAUCCAUUUUAAAGCUUUAUUCAAAGGUUUGUAGUUUAUAACUAGUCUUGGAGUGCCUCUUUCAAUUUCGGAGUUUUUGUUAACAUAAAAAGCAGCACAAGACCAAGGAGACCUGGAUUUUACAAUGAGUCCUUUAGACUCCAAGUCUUUGAUUUCAUUUUUACAAUGUUUUUCUAAAUCCAUAUUCAUUUGAAUUGGACGAGCUUUUGGUCGGAAUCUGUUUUUCAUCAAAAGAAUUUUCAUAAGGCAGAUCUACUAAAUGUUGUUUUCUAUUCCAAAAAGCAGAAGGUAGAUCAGCACAAAUUUCUUUUUCAAUAAGAGUUUUGAAAUCAGAAAUUUUCUUUAAUGAAAUCACUUUGUAAUUGGCUUUCAACUCUUUGUAAGUUCAAAUCUUUUUGUAAAAACAUUAGAUCACACUGUUUUGAUUUAAGUAAAUUGUUUAUUCUAUUUUGAUAAAUAGAACAGGCUUUAACAAUAUUCAAAUUUCUUGUUUUAGGCUUUUCAAUAAAAGGGAAAACAAGUUUCUUGUUUUUUGCUUUGAAAGAUAUACUAUCAUAAUUGACAGUAUACGGAGUUAUGAGAUUUAUAAAAGGAGUUCCCAAAAUAAUGGCAUGAUGAAUAUCAUUUGUGAGAACAAAGGAAGUUUUAAAAUCAAAAUCAUCAUUAUAGAUUGAGGCUUCAACCUUGGAACUGACAUUCAAUUUUGAAUUAUUGGCGGCAGAAAGCCUUUCUUUUGUUUUUUCAUGAAAUCUUUUGGGGACGAUAUCUUCUCUAAUGCAAUUUAAAUCGGCGCCAGUAUCAAAAAGGGCAAUGGCAUCCAUCGCAAAAUCAUCAGAAAAGAUUAGAGUGACUUUAAUCAAAUACUUUCUUGUGGUGAUUUGUUUUAGAACAAAUAGAAAAUCAUUGGGUACAGACUCAAUAUUUUCUACUUUAAUAUCAUCACCAUCAAUAUCAGGACUAGAUUCAUUGUCUGAAUUAUCCUGUAAUUGCUUUUGUAAAAGAAGUUGAAUAAUAUCAGAAUCACCUUUUUGUUUUUCUUUUAAAUCUCUGAUUUCACUUUUGAUUUCUUUUAUCUCUUUCUGAAGAUCUUGGAUAUUAGGAAUCAUCUUUUUUGUUUUCUUCUUAUCCAAAAUUUGAGUAAGAUCAUAAGAAUUCUUUUUAACAAUUGGGACUCUAGAAGUCUCGGCUUUAUUAAAAUCCAAUGUUUUCAAAAGUUUAUCAAGGUAUUCCUUUUGAAGAUUUGGAUCAGAAAUAUGUUUUACAAGUUCAAGAAAAGUUUCUUGGUCUUUAGUCAAAACAUUGAUUUUCUUUAAAAAUGAAUCAGAUUCAGAUUCACUACUGCUAGAUGCAGAGUCAUCUGAGUCAAAAAGCUCAUCAACUUGGUAAGGGUCACUGUCUCCCGACAUGGAAGACUCAGAAUCAGAAGAUUCGACAAGAAGAGGGGCUAUUUUAGAAAGGAUGUCCUCAUUGAGGUCAAGUUCUUGGAGUCUUUUGUUCAUUCUGCAAAAUUUUGCAGUAUGACCUUUCAUACCACAUUUGAAACAUGUGGCCUCCUUGAAGUUGAAAGGGGUAUUAGGUUUGGCUUUGAAAUCUUUCUUUUUAGAGAAACUAUGUUUCUUAUAAGGCUUCGAAGGUUUCUUAUAAGGAAGUUUUCUAAAAUCACGAAAGGGUUUUCUAAAAUGUUUAGAUUUGUAAUGUUUCUUACGAGGUUUUGUAGAACACUCUCCAUUACAAUCUUUGGAAGUUUUAAAGGGGUCAUAAUUGAAUUGCUUACAGAAACCGCCUAAUUCCUGUUUAGACUUCUUAAGCUCCCACUUAAGACGUUUCUGUAAUUUCAAAUCUUGACAAAUCUUUAAACCUUCUUUGUUGACAAAACUGACAAGUUCACCAUAGGUGAGCUCGUCAUAAGGAAUACGGUUAUCGUAAAGGGCUUUGAUGGAAUUUCUUACCUUUUCACCUAAAAGGGUAGGUAAUCCAGCAAGAAAUUUCUCUUUCCAAGUAAUAUGAUUUGCAUCAUCCCUUAGAAAUAGUCUGGUAAGGAAAGAGGUUUUGUAACUCUGAAAUUCACUAAGUUUUCUACAUCUCAAAUUAUGUAGUAACUCAGCAUUUUUAUCACGAAGGUGAGAAGGGUCACCGAUGAAAUGGAGGGAAAUGGUUAGAAUAAGAGUAGCAACAGCAUCCUGGAUAGGGUUGUUGAACUCAUCAAGAAUAGAGGCUCCAUUUUCAUCUUUUUGGACGGAAUUUAGAAUGUCAAAUUGUUGCUGAUUAGUGAGAAGAUGAUCCCACCAACCUUUUAGUUGACCAGUAAAACCAGCAAUUAGGAUUUCCGAUAUGGCACGAUCAGAAGUUCCUGCUUGGGUUUUAUAAGCAUUAGCUGCCAUCGUCAUUUGUUGCAACAAUCCGAGGAUAUUGUACUCAGACAUGCCGUCAAUAUUCCACUCAUAGACUGAAGAUGCAUUAUAUCGGGAUUGAUUUAAUGCACUAGGUCUAUUAUCUAUUGCUAGAUCUGGUGGGUCUUGACAGUGGGAAGGGCUAAUUCCCAGUGGAUUUUGUUGGCUUUAGGAGUAGAAGGUUCUUCUUUGAAAGCUUCUAAGUCAGAAGAGGCUAUAGAACUUUGGUCAUCUAGAUCCAAUACUCCAAUCUUGCUAGAUUGGGGGGUAUCGGGGGCUAUCUGGAGUUUGCUAGACGAGGAAGAAGCAGCUUCUAUCCUAUCUAAUUGUUCUAAAAUUUGACCAGAAGGAAAUAGGAUCGAAGGAUGGGUGUGUUUUCAAAAUGUUUCUUUAUUGAUUGCUUUAAUAAAAUAAUUGGAUCGCGGUUGUUCCGAUUUUAUAUAAGAUUACCAGCUUUAGAUUAAGUAGAUUUGUUUUAGAGCAUACAAUGAUCAAACAAAUUUGAACGCGGUUGGUCAAAUUUUAGAAUAUUUAAAGUACGUGGCGUUGUUAGACCAGAUCGAUCGCAGAAGUUAAUCUGCCUUUGGACCCAGAUCUGACUUAGAACAGAUCAAUAGUCCGCACGUUCGGGUUUCCAGCCUAUAUACUUUAAUAUAUUUACCAGAUAAAAUUAAGUUGCUUUAAACGUGGUUGUUUCUUUUUAUUGGGCUAAUUCCAGAGUUAAAUUAGAUUCGUUAAGGGGCUUGGGUACAUACACAGUACCAGAUCCGGAUCCCGGAAAUGGUGCUCUGAAGGAAUGGAGGAAGAAGAGAAGAUUUACAACUGAGGAUCGAGAUCCGGUCUCUUUGCCUCAGAGGAACGUACAAAUUUUAUGGCAGAUCUGAUAAAGACCAGUCUGCUUUGCAUGCUUUGAAAAGAAAAUUGCUUUAUAAAUAAAUUGCUUUAAUGUAAAUGUGCAUGAAAUUAAAUUGCAGAAAAGUAAAUUGCUUUAAAGUAAAUUGCGGAAAUUUAAAUUACAUCGAAAUUAAAUAACUGAAAUUUAAACAUACAUCUUUGCUUUGAUAGUCUUGGUCUUUACAAUUUUCAAAUCUUUCCUGAAGGGAAGAUUGAAAGACGGGAAGAUUACAAGACAGGAAUGGUUUCCUUGAUGUCUUGAUCCAGACUUCCCAAGAGAGAGAGAGAGAGAGAGAGAGAGAGAGAGAUCUAGAGAGAAGGAGGAGAAGAAGAGAAAAUGAAAAACCUGAGGAGUCUGAGUCUUCCUCUUGGUUUAUAUACAAAACUUUGUAAACUGUUCACUGUAGCGGAGCUUUGAGUGCACAGUAAUCUUUGGAACUUUGCACUGUUCACUGUAGCGGAGUUUUGAGUGCACAGUAAUCUUUGGAUCGUAGCUUUGAAUAGUAGGCUGACCGUAGCUUUGAACAGUAGACUACUUUGUACAAAAAUUGAAAUACAUAAUGAAAUACAACACGGGUGAAGAGACAUGUGCGCUCUCACUUGUGUCCAAGGGACCACCCGAGAGAAUUUUUUUUUUUUUUUUUUUUUUUUUUUUUUUUUUUUUUUUUUUUUUUUUUUUUUUUUUAAGUAAAUAACCAAAUAAUUAUUUACAAUGCUUUAUAGGAGAAAAAAUGCCGAAACAAUCAUCUUCAUUUUCGUCUCCAAGAGAAAUGAAGGGCUCUUCAUCUUCAUCAUCGUCUUCGUCUUCAGAGGUGUCGGCUACUGAUGACUUUGAACGGGAGGCGAGGAGCUGUUCCAUUGCUUUGAAGUAUUCAUCUUCUGUCUUGGCACUUGCCAAAAGAGACUGGGCUUUGGAUUUUUGGGUUAAGAAGGUCUGUUGGGCUUUAGAGGCUUCUAGGGUUGGUUGGAGAAGGUUUUUAGAGGAGAGCCAGUCUUUGAUCAUGUUAACAGUCAGUUUGGACUGUUCAUCAAACUUUGACCACCAUUUGACUUUAAAGGUUCUUUGAAGGAUGACUUGGGAAUCUUGAGUAUGAAAACGGAGGUUCCACAUCCAGACCCAUGGUAGGAAGAAGUUUGUACAAAAACAGAGAAAGGGGGGAAAUCUUUUCUCUGAGUCAGAGGGCGUGUAGUGGGCUUUAAAGAGGUUUAGGCAAUUUAUGGCAUUUGGAGUGAGGAUUUGAGGUAUUGGGCCAAAGAAAUUCCACCAAUGAUGGAACCAGUUUGGAAGGCUUUGGACGGUUAUUUUAGGGUUAAAGAAAAAUAACCAAGAAUGGGAUUUUUUAGGGUUUUGAAUAAAAAAGGUGUUAUACCAUGCUUGUUGGUAAUCCCAGUAGGAGAAAGUCCGACAAUGUGGUAAACGGGUUUCAAAGUUUAAAGGAAAGGUUUUGAAAUUGUGGAGUAGGUCGCCCCACUGGUUCGGGCUCAAAACUUUUAGAAUCGUGGCCGUGGAAUAGGCCGGUUCAGAAUGGGUUUUAUCAAGAAAGAAAUGUUUGAAUUUAACUGAUUCAGUUAUUUCUAAAAUGCUUUGAUAAUAAGACUGGGGUUUUGUCAAAUCCCAUGGUUUGAAAAACCAGCCUUUGGGAAAAAACUUUGAAAUGCUUUGAAAAGGAUCAGUAUGGUAAAAUCCAUCUUCCAUAGAAAGAAUAUUUUGAAAAUGGGUUUUAUCAAACCAAUCGGAGGUUUUCUUUGAAGGUGUUGGCUGAGAAAGCACAAUUUGGGAAGAUGAGCUUUCGGCAGAGACAACAACAUUUUGAGAGGAGGGUUUUGUAAUUUCUUUAGAUAUGGAUAUGCUCUCAAUCUCUUUUUUAGGAGAAUUUUGGCUCUGGGAAAGGUUUUGUAGGGCGAGCAUGAGCUCGGGAGAUUUUGUAAUGGAACUCAUCCAAUGCUUUACUUGAUCAUCAGAAGAGAUGGGUUUGUAAUGGGCUUCAUGUUCUUCAACCAAUUCAAUCCAUGAUUUGAUGGGUAAGGCAGAAGAAAGUAAUUUUUCUUUAGAAGGGGUUGACUGGGGUUCUUUGGAAGGUUCUUGAGAUCCGGAACUUUUGAGAACAGCUUUACCUUUGUCUUUCUUUAGCGGCAUUAUCUGUUUUGAAGAAAUUCUCUGGUUAGAAAAUCAGGAACAGAAUUUUUGUCACCUUUAAUGAAUUCUAUAUCAAAAUCAAAAACACUCAAAAUAGCUUGCCAACGUGCAAAAAAUCUGUUUUGAUGCAAUGUUUUGAACAUCCUUUUCUAAAACAUGUUUUGCAGCUUUGCAGUCAAUUCUAAGUAAAAAUUUUUGAUUUAAUAAAUCACUUUGAAAUUUUGUAAUGCAUAAAACAAUGGAAAGAAUUUCUUUUUUAAUAGUAGAAUAAUUUUUCUGACAAUCAUUCCAAUGUGCAGAAACAUAUUGUACUAUCUGUUCUCUAUCAUUUUCUUUUUGUUUUAAUAUACCUCCAUAUCCUAAAUCAGAUGCAUCAGUUUCAACAAUUUUAGGGAAUGCAGGAUUUGCAAGAUAUAGACAUGGGAUGCUUUUAACAGAACUCUUAAUUAAUUUAACAGCUUUAGUAUGUUCAUCUGUCCAUGGAGAAGGUUUUUUCUUUAAACGAUCAUGCAAAGGUUUAGACAACCUAUUGAUAUUGGGACAGAAAUCAAGAACAUAAUUUAGGCUACCAAGAAAUCUUUGUAAUUGAGUUUUGUCAAGAAUUUUAUCAGGGAAUUUAUCAGCAAAUAAAAGUGAUCUUUCAAUAGGGGUGAUUGUUCCUUUUGAAAUAUAGUGACCAAGAAAUCUGAUUUUCGUUUGAAAUAAUGAAAUCUUUGAACUAGAAAGGGCUAGUCCAGCCUUUUUUGUAGCAAAAUAAAAAGUCUUUAAAUGUUUGAAAUGUUGAUCGAUUGAAUUUGAAAAUAUCAAAACAUCAUCAAUAUAAACAAUGCAAAAAUCAGAAUAAGGAUUAUAAAUAUCAUUCAUAAUUCUUUGAAAUUCUGAGGGUGCAUUCUUUAAACCAAAGGGCAUAACAGUCCAUUCGUAUUGUCCAAAUGGAACAGUGAAAGCGGUUUUGUAACGGUCAUUUGGAUGAAUUUGAAUUUGCCAAAAACCCGAUUUCAUGUCGAAUUUUGAAAAAAUAAAGGCAGAACAGAGUUUUUGGAGUAAAUCUUUUUUAUUAGGUAUAGGAUACCUAAUCCAUUUUAAAGCUUUAUUCAAAGGUUUGUAGUUUAUAAACUAGUCUUGGAGUGCCUCUUUCAAUUUCGGAGUUUUUGUUAACAUAAAAAGCAGCACAAGACCAAGGAGACCUGGAUUUUCAAUGAGUCCUUUAGACUCCAAGUCUUUGAUUUCAUUUUUACAAUGUUUUUCUAAAUCCAUAUUCAUUUGAAUUGGACGAGCUUUGGUCGGAAUCUGUUUUUCAUCAAAAGAAUUUUCAUAAGGCAGAUCUACUAAAUGUUGUUUUCUAUUCCAAAAAGCAGAAGGUAGAUCAGCACAAAUUUCUUUUUCAAUAAGAGUUUUGAAAUCAGAAAUUUUUCUUUUAAUGAAAUCACUUUGUAAUUGGCUUUCAACUCUUUGUAAGUUCAAAUCUUUUGUAAAAACAUUAGAUCACACUGUUUUGAUUUAAGUAAAUUGUUUAUUCUAUUUUGAUAAAUAGAACAGGCUUUAACAAUAUUCAAAUUUCUUGUUUUAGGCUUUUCAAUAAAAGGGGAAAACAAGUUUCUUGUUUUUUGCUUUGAAAGAUAUACUAUCAUAAUUGACAGUAUACGGAGUUAUGAGAUUUAUAAAAGGAGUUCCCAAAAUAAUGGCAUGAUGAAUAUCAUUUGUGAGAACAAAGGAAGUUUUAAAAUCAAAAUCAUCAUUAUAGAUUGAGGCUUUCAACCUUGGAACUGACAUUCAAUUUUGAAUUAUUGGCGGCAGAAAGCCUUUCUUUUGUUUUUUUCAUGAAAUCUUUUGGGGACGAUAUCUUCUCUAAUGCAAUUUAAAUCGGCGCCAGUAUCAAAAAGGGCAAUGGCAUCCAUCGCAAAAUCAUCAGAAAGAUUAGAGUGACUUUAAUCAAAUACUUUCUUGUGGUGAUUUGUUUUAGAACAAAUAGAAAAUCAUUGGGUACAGACUCAAUAUUUUCUACUUUAAUAUCAUCACCAUCAAUAUCAGGACUAGAUUCAUUGUCUGAAUUAUCCUGUAAUUGCUUUUGUAAAAGAAGUUGAAUAAUAUCAGAAUCACCUUUUUUGUUUUUCUUUUAAAUCUCUGAUUUCACUUUUGAUUUCUUUUAUCUCUUUCUGAAGAUCUUGGAUAUUAGGAAUCAUCUUUUUUGUUUUCUUCUUAUCCAAAAUUUGAGUAAGAUCAUAAGAAUUCUUUUUAACAAUUGGGACUCUAGAAGUCUCGGCUUUAUUAAAAUCCAAUGUUUUCAAAAGUUUAUCAAGGUAUUCCUUUUGAAGAUUUGGAUCAGAAAUAUGUUUUACAAGUUCAAGAAAAGUUUCUUGGUCUUUAGUCAAAACAUUGAUUUUCUUUAAAAAUGAAUCAGAUUCAGAUUCACUACUGCUAGAUGCAGAGUCAUCUGAGUCAAAAAGCUCAUCAACUUGGUAAGGGUCACUGUCUCCCGACAUGGAAGACUCAGAAUCAGAAGAUUCGACAAGAAGAGGGGCUAUUUUAGAAAGGAUGUCCUCAUUGAGGUCAAGUUCUUGGAGUCUUUUGUUCAUUCUGCAAAAUUUUUGCAGUAUGACCUUUCAUACCACAUUUGAAACAUGUGGCCUCCUUGAAGUUGAAAGGGGUAUUAGGUUUGGCUUUGAAAUCUUUCUUUUUAGAGAAACUAUGUUUCUUAUAAGGCUUCGAAGGUUUCUUAUAAGGAAGUUUUCUAAAAUCACGAAAGGGUUUUCUAAAAUGUUUAGAUUUGUAAUGUUUCUUACGAGGUUUUGUAGAACACUCUCCAUUACAAUCUUUGGAAGUUUUAAAGGGUCAUAAUUGAAUUGCUUACAGAAACCGCCUAAUUCCUGUUUAGACUUCUUAAGCUCCCACUUAAGACGUUUCCUGUAAUUUCAAAUCUUGACAAAUCUUUAAACCUUCUUGUUGACAAAAACUGACAAGUUCACCAUAGGUGAGCUCGUCAUAAGGAAUACGGUUAUCGUAAAGGGCUUUGAUGGAAUUUCUUACCUUUUCACCUAAAAGGGUAGGUAAUCCAGCAAGAAAUUUCUCUUUCCAAGUAAUAUGAUUUGCAUCAUCCCUUAGAAAUAGUCUGGUAAGGAAAGAGGUUUUGUAACUCUGAAAUUCACUAAGUUUUUCUACAUCUCAAAUUAUGUAGUAACUCAGCAUUUUUAUCACGAAGGUGAGAAGGGUCACCGAUGAAAUGGAGGGAAAUGGUUAGAAUAAGAGUAGCAACUAGCAUCCUGGAUAGGGUUGUUGAACUCAUCAAGAAAUAGAGGCUCCAUUUUCAUCUUUUUGGACGGAAUUUAGAAUGUCAAAUUGUGCUGCUGAUUAGUGAGAAGAUGAUCCCACCAACCUUUUAGUUGACCAGUAAAACCAGCAAUUAGGAUUUCCGAUAUGGCACGAUCAGAAGUUCCUGCUUGGGUUUUAUAUAAGCAUUAGCUGCCAUCGUCAUUUGUUGCAACAAUCCGAGGAUAUUGUACUCAGACAUGCCCGUCAAUAUUCCACUCAUAGACUGAAGAUGCAUUAUAUCGGGAUUGAUUUAAUGCACCUAGGUCUAUUAUCUAUUGCUAGAUCUGGUGGGGUCUUGACAGUGGGAAGGCUAAUUCCCAGUGGAUUUGUUGGCUUUAGGAGUAGAAGGUUCUUCUUUGAAAGCUUCUAAGUCAGAAGAGGCUAUAGAACUUGGUCAUCUAGAUCCAAUACUCCAAUCUUGCUAGAUUGGGGGGUAUCGGGGGCUAUCUGGAGUUUGCUAGACGAGGAAGAAGCAGCUUCUAUCCUAUCUAAUUGUUCUCUAAUGGCUUUAGCAAAAUCUGAUUUUGACUCUUUGAACAAGCUUUUGGCUAGUUUUCGAGAACCUGAAAAGGUUUGAAAAUAGGUUCCUUAAGCUUUUUGUCAGAAUCCGAUUUUGAAGGAAUAGACAUAGGAAUAGGAGAAACAGAUAUAGGAGAUUUUUGAAAUUGGUUUUCUAUACGAGCCAAUUGCUUUCCAAUUGUAUUUAAGUUAGUAUUACAGAAAUUAUUCUGUUGUAUAAUACUACUUAAAUUCGCAUCAGAAUCAUUUGGUCUUGGGAUUUUGUAAGGGGAUGCUUUAAUCUCAAUAGGAGGUUCACCAUGAUCUAUGGUUAUACUCCUAAGAGGUGGAUGAUCAGACUCUAUAAUCCUAUCAUUAUCAGAAAGUUUCCAUUCAGGAAUUUUCUUUCUAAUAGUUAUAGGGUUUGACUCUUUAAAAGGAUAAUCAAUAUUGUUCUCAGAAGAAUAUAUUUCGAACCAAUCAAAAAACAAUAUAUGAACUUUAUGAAAAUUCACAAAUUCAUAAUAAGUUUGUUGGAUUUCUUUUCUUUGGUUUAAAAAAUGUUUAAAAAAACCAAGUUCUUUUUUCUUUAUUUAUUUCUGAAUAAAAAUCGUUAUGCAGAAAGGCUUUAUCUAAUUCAAAUUCUUUUUCAAUGACAUUAAUGACAUUUUCUGUGACAGCAGAAAACGUAGGAGAUGUUGGAGGAGAAGGUUCCUUCUCUUCCUGUCUUUGCACAUGUUGACUACUAGUGUAUAUAGGAUGAGGAACACUUGUGGCAUAGUCAACGGAACGGAUGGAGGAGCUAGGUAUAUCCGAAGUGGAAAACCUAGGUUGGCUCUGAUAUGGGAGAUUUAUAACAGAAGGUACUUUUGUAAACUUCCUUUCUAGUGAAGGAAUGCUUGGGCUCGAUUCUUUUUCAGAAAAUCUAUGUGAGGUAGACCUUCUGAAUGAUAGUUUGACUUUACCAUCGGAAUACUGGGUCACAUUUUGUAACUCUGUAUUUGGCUCAAGUUGUUUCGGAAUCGCCGGUGGGGCGGCUCCUUCGAGGAUCCAUUCAUCUGGAAGAUGGAUAUCUUUCCAUUGGAUCGAUUUUGGAAUGACAUGUUGGCUUUAGACAAAUCAGUCUGCAAGAGAAGGGUCUCAUCUCUCUUCGACUGGUAUUUAUGCUGUGUGCUAAAUGCAGAAAUCAUGGCUUUAUAGGAAAUUUUAAAAAUUAAUGCAACUGGGAUGGAUCCCUUAAUCAUGUGAUAAUUAUGGGUUUGGAUUUGUAAAAUCAUGCUCUUUAAAAUAUUUUUGUCUUUAAGAGAAAUUGUUAUAUUUGGAUAACAAUCAAAAGAUAUGGGACCUUUACAUAGACUAGAUUCGAUACUACUUAGUAAAGAAUCAAAAGAGAUGAAUCGCCCAUCUCUAAGAACAGCAAGGAUAGAGGUAUCCAAGCCUUCUUUGGUCAAAGGUUUUAUUCCUACUUGGAUUAAACCAAUGUGAAUAUAUUUGAAAUCUUUUCUUUUAAUUUCUUUAAAGAUUUUUCUGAAAACAAAUAAAUUGUUUCAAAAGGCUCCGAAAGAGUUAUGUCUCUUUCUUCAGUUUUUAUAAUAUAAUCAUGUUUUAAAAGAUCAAGCAUUUUUGUUUUGUAAAUCUUUUCUUUGGAAAUUUUUGGAAGUUCCCAACAAUCAAUUGCUUUAUCAAAGUUUUCAAUAACGAAUUCUUCUGAACUCACAACAUGCUUUGAAUCACUAGUCUUCCCGGAAGAAGAGCUAGAAAAGGACGAUGUUCUACAGUGUAGAGGGUUCAUGGGUAAAAACCUAUGAUCUAUUAGUGGUUUUGAAAGAAUGGCUACAGGUAUGGUUUUACAGCCCUAAACGGAAAACUUAUCCUUAGACGGGACUUACUACCAGUAAAAAUUCACCACAAAAACAAAACUUCAAAAUAAAACACAAGUUUUCAAAACACAAACUCUAAACUGCUUUACACAAUCCUCCCUUGGCUCUGAUACCAGAAGGAAAUAGAUCGAAGGAUGGGUGUGUAUUGAAGAUGCUUCUUUAUUGAUUGCUUUAAUGAAAUAAUUGGAUCGCGGUUGUUCAGAUUUUAUAUAAGAUUACCAGCUUUAGAUUAAGUAGAUUUGUUUUAGAGCAUACAAUGAUCAAACAAAUUUGAACGCGGUUGGUCAAAUUUUUAGAAUAUUUAAAGUACGUGGCGUUGUAGACCAGAUCGAUCGCAGAAGUUAAUCUGCCUUUGGACCCAGAUCUGACUUAGAACAGAUCAAUAGUCCGCACGUUCGGGUUUCCAGCCUAUAUACUUUAAUAUAUUUACCAGAUAAAAUUAAGUUGCUUUAAACGUGGUUGUUUCUUUUUAUUGGGCUAAUUCCAGAUUUAAAUUAGAUUCUUUAAGGGGCUUGGGUACAUACACAGUACCAGAUCCGGAUCCCGGAAAUGGUGCUCUGAAGGAAUGGAGGAAGAAGAGAAGAUUUACAACUGAGGAUCGAGAUCCGGUCUCUUUGCCUCAGAGGAACGUACAAAUUUUAUGGCAGAUCUGAUAAAGACCAGUCUGCUUUGCAUGCUUUGAAAAGAAAAUUGCUUUAAAAAUAAAUUGCUUUAAUGUAAAUAUGCAUGAAAUUAAAUUGCAGAAAAGUAAAUUGCGAAAAUUUAAAUUACAUCGAAAUUAAAUAACUGAAAUUUAAACAUACAUCUUUGCUUUGAUAGUCUUGGUCUUUACAAUUUUCAAAUCUUUCCUGAAGGGAAGAUUGAAAGACGGGAAGAUUACAAGACAGGAAUGGUUUCCUUGAUGUCUUGGACUGUUCAUCAAAUUUGACCACCAUUUGACUUUAAAGGUUCUUUGAAGGAUGACUUGGGAAUCUUGAGUAUGAAAACGGAGGUUCCACAUCCAGACCCAUGGUAGGAAGAAGUUUGUACAAAAACAGAGAAAGGGGGGGAAAUCUUUUCUCUGAGUCAGAGGGCAUAUAGUGGGCUUUAAAGAGGUUUAGGCAAUUUAUGGCAUUUGGAGUGAGGAUUUGAGGUAUUGGGCCAAAGAAAUUCCACCAAUGAUGGAACCAGUUUGGAAGGCUUUGGACGGUUAUUUUAGGGUUAAAGAAAAAUAACCAAGAAUGGGAUUUUUUAGGGUUUUGAAUAAAAAAGGUGUUAUACCAUGCUUGUUGGUAAUCCCAGUAGGAGAAAGUCCGACAAUGUGGUAAACGGGUUUCAAAGUUUAAAGGAAAGGUUUUGAAAUUGUGGAGUAGGUCGCCCCACUGGUUCGGGCUCAAAACUUUUAGAAUCGUGGCCGUGGAAUAGGCCGGUUCAGAAUGGGUUUUAUCAAGAAAGAAAUGUUUGAAUUUAACUGAUUCAGUUAUUUCUAAAAUGCUUUGAUAAUAAGACUGGGGUUUUGUCAAAUCCCAUGGUUUGAAAAACCAGCCUUUGGGAAAAAACUUUGAAAUGCUUUGAAAAGGAUCAGUAUGGUAAAAUCCAUCUUCCAUAGAAAGAAUAUUUUGAAAAUGGGUUUUAUCAAACCAAUCGGAGGUUUUCUUUGAAGGUGUUGGCUGAGAAAGCACAAUUUGGGAAGAUGAGCUUUCGGCAGAGACAACAACAUUUUGAGAGGAGGGUUUUGUAAUUUCUUUAGAUGUGGAUAUGCUCUUAAUUUCUUUUUGAGGAGAAUUUUGGCUCUGGGAAAGGUUUUGUAGAGCGAGCAUGAGCUCGGGAGAUUUUGUAAUGGAACUCAUCCAAUGCUUUAUUUGAUCAUCAGAAGAGAUGGGUUUGUAUUGGGCUUCAUGUUCUUCAACCAAUUCAAUCCAUGAUUUGAUGGGUAGGGCAGAAGAAAGUAAUUUUUCUUAGAAGGGGUUGACUGGGGUUCUUUGGAAGGUUCUUGAGAUCCGGAACUUUUGAGAACAGCUUUACCUUUGUCUUUCUUUAGCGGCAUUAUCUGUUUUGAAGAAAUUCUCUGGUUAGAAAAUCAGGAACAGAAUUUUAUCACCUUUAAUGAAUUCUAUAUCAAAUCAAAAACACUCAAAAUAGCUUGCCAACGUGCAAAAAUUUGUUUUGAUGCAAUGUUUUGAACAUCCUUUUCUAAAACAUGUUUUGCAGCUUUGCAAUCAAUUCUAAGUAAAAAUUUUUGAUUUAAUAAAUCACUUUGAAAUUUUGUAAUGCAUAAAACAAUGGAAAGAAUUUCUUUUUUAAUAGUAGAAUAAUUUUUCUGACAAUCAUUCCAAUGUGCAGAAACAUAUUGUACUAUCUGUUCUCUAUCAUUUUCUUUUUGUUUUAAUAUACCUCCAUAUCCUAAAUCAGAUGCAUCAGUUUCAACAAUUUUAGGGAAUGCAGGAUUUGCAAGAUAUAGACAUGGGAUGCUUUUAACAGAACUCUUUAUUAAUUUAACAGCUUUAGUAUGUUCAUCUGUCCAUGGAGCAGGUUUUUUUUUAAACGAUCAUGCAAAGGUUUAGACAACCUAUUGAUAUUGGGACAGAAAUCAAGAACAUAAUUUAGGCUACCAAGAAAUCUUUGUAAUUGAGUUUUGUCAAGGAUUUUAUCAGGGAAUUUAUCAGCAAAAAAAGUGAUCUUUCAAUAGGGGUGAUUGUUCCUUUUGAAAUAUAGUGACCAAGAAAUCUGAUUUUCGUUUGAAAUAAUGAAAUCUUUGAACUAGAAAGGGCUAGUCCAGCCUUUUUUGUAGCAAAAUAAAAAGUCUUUAAAUGUUUGAAAUGUUGAUCGAUUGAAUUUGAAAAUAUCAAAACAUCAUCAAUAUAAACAAUGCAAAAAUCAGAAUAAGGAUUAUAAAUAUCAUUCAUAAUUCUUUGAAAUUCUGAGGGUGCAUUCUUUAAACCAAAGGGCAUAACAGUCCAUUCGUAUUGUCCAAAUGGAACAGUGAAAGCGGUUUUGUAACGGUCAUUUGGAUGAAUUUGAAUUUGCCAAAAACCCGAUUUCAUGUCGAAUUUUGAAAAAAUAAAGGCAGAACAGAGUUUUUGGAGUAAAUCUUUUUUAUUAGGUAUAGGAUACCUAAUCCAUUUUAAAGCUUUAUUCAAAGGUUUGUAGUUUAUAACUAGUCUUGGAGUGCCUCUUUCAAUUUCGGAGUUUUUGUUAACAUAAAAAGCAGCACAAGACCAAGGAGACCUGGAUUUUACAAUGAGUCCUUUAGACUCCAAGUCUUUGAUUUCAUUUUUACAAUGUUUUUCUAAAUCCAUAUUCAUUUGAAUUGGACGAGCUUUGGUCGGAAUCUGUUUUUCAUCAAAAGAAUUUUCAUAAGGCAGGUCUACUAAAUGUUGUUUUCUAUUCCAAAAAGCAGAAGGUAGAUCAGCACAAAUUUCUUUUUCAAUAAGAGUUUUGAAAUCAGAAAUUUUUCUUUUAAUGAAAUCACUUUGUAAUUGGCUUUCAACUCUUUGUAAGUUCAAAUCUUUUUGUAAAAACAUUAGAUCACACUGUUUUGAUUUAAGUAAAUUGUUUAUUCUAUUUUGAUAAAUAGAACAGGCUUUAACAAUAUUUAAAUUUCUUGUUUUAGGUUUUCAAUAAAAGGGAAAACAAGUUUCUUGUUUUUUGCUUUGAAAGAUAUACUAUCAUAAUUGACAGUAUACGGAGUUAUGAGAUUUAUAAAAGGAGUUCCCAAAAUAAUGGCAUGAUGAAUAUCAUUUGUGAGAACAAAGGAAGUUUUAAAAUCAAAACCAUCAUUAUAGAUCGAGGCUUCAACCUUGGAACUGACAUUCAAUUUUGAAUUAUUGGCGGCAGAAAGCCUUUCUUUUGUUUUUUCAUGAAAUCUUUUGGGGACGAUAUCUUCUCUAAUGCAAUUUAAAUCGGCGCCAGUAUCAAAAAGGGCAAUGGCGUCCAUCGCAAAAUCAUCAGAAAAGAUUAGAGUGACUUUAAUCAAAUACUUUCUUGUGGUGAUUUGUUUUAGAACAAAUAGAAAAUCAUUGGGUACAGACUCAAUAUUUUUCUACUUUAAUAUCAUCACCAUCAAUAUCAGGACUGGAUUCAUUGUCUGAAUUAUCCUGUAAUUGCUUUUGUAAAAGAAGUUGAAUAAUAUCAGAAUCACUUUUUUGUUUUUCUUUUAAAUCUCUGAUUUCACUUUUGAUUUCUUUUAUCUCUUUCUGAAGAUCUUGGAUAUUAGGAAUCAUCUUUUUUGUUUUCUUCUUAUCCAAAAUUUGAGUAAGAUCAUAAGAAUUCUUUUUAAUAAUUGGGACUCUAGAAGUCUCGGCUUUAUUAAAAUCCAAUGUUUUCAAAAGUUUAUCAAGGUAUUCCUUUUGAAGAUUUGGAUCAGAAAUAUGCUUUACAAGUUCAAGAAAAGUUUCUUGGUCUUUAGUCAAAACAUUGAUUUUCUUUAAAAAUGAAUCAGAUUCAGAAUCACUACUGCUAGAUGCAGAGUCAUCUGAGUCAAAAAGCUCAUCAACUUGGUAAGGGUCACUGUCUCCCGACAUGGAAGACUCAGAAUCAGAAGAUUCGACAAGAAGAGGGGCUAUUUUAGAAAGGAUGUCCUCAUUGAGGUCAAGUUCUUGGAGUCUUUUGUUCAUUCUGCAAAAUUUUGCAGUAUGACCUUUCAUACCACAUUUGAAACAUGUGGCCUCCUUGAAGUUGAAUGGGGUAUUAGGUUUGGCUUUGAAAUCUUUCUUUUUAGAGAAACUAUGUCUCUUAUAAGGCUUCGAAGGUUUCUUAUAAGGAAGUUUUCUAAAAUCACGGAAGGGUUUUCUAAAAUGUUUAGAUUUGUAAUGUUUCUUACGAGGUUUUGUAGAACACUCUCCAUUACAAUCUUUGGAAGUUUUAAAGGGGUCAUAAUUGAAUUGCUUACAGAAACCGCCUAAUUCCUGUUUAGACUUCUUAAGCUCCCACUUAAGACGUUUCUGUAAUUUCAAAUCUUGACAAAUCUUUAAACCUUCUUUGUUGACAAAACUGACUAGUUCACCAUAGGUGAGCUCGUCAUAAGGAAUACGGUUAUCGUAAAGGGCUUUGAUGGAAUUUCUUACCUUUUCACCUAAAAGGGUAGGUAAUCCAGCAAGAAAUUUUUCUUUCCAAGUAAUAUGAUUUGCAUCAUCCCUUAGAAAUAGUCUGGUAAGGAAAGAGGUUUUGUAACUCUGAAAUUCACUAAGUUUUCUACAUCUCAAAUUAUGUAGUAACUCAGCGUUUUUAUCACGAAGGUGAGAAGGGUCACCGAUGAAAUGGAGGGAAAUGGUUUAGAAUAAGAGUAGCAACAGCAUCCUGGAUAGGGUUGUUGAACUCAUCAAGAAUAGAGGCUCCAUUUUCAUCUUUUUGGACGGAAUUUAGAAUGUCAAAUUGUUGCUGAUUAGUGAGAAGAUGAUCCACCAACCUUUUAGUUGACCAGUAAAACCAGCAAUUAGGAUUUCCGAUAUGGCACGAUCAGAAGUUCCUGCUUGGGUUUUAUAAGCAUUAGCUGCCAUUGUCAUUUGUUGCAACAAUCCAAGGAUAUUGUACUCAGACAUGCCGUCAAUAUUCCACUCAUAGACUGAAGAUGCAUUAUAACGGGAUUGAUUUAAUGCACUAGGUCUAUUAUCUAUUGCUAGAUCUGGUGGGGUCUUGACAGUGGGAAGGGCUAAUUCCCAGUGGAUUUUGUUGGCUUUAGGAGUAGAAGGUUCUUUUUGAAAGCUUCUAAGUCAGAAGAGGCUAUAGAACUCUGGUCAUCUAGAUCCAAUACUCCAAUCUUGCUAGAUUGGGGGGUAUCGGGGGCUAUCUGGAGUUUGCUAGACGAGGAAGAAGCAGCUUCUAUCCUCUCUAGUUGUUCUCUAAUGGCUUUAGCAAAAUCUGAUUUUGACUCUUGAACAAGCCUUUGGCUAGUUUUCGAAACCUGAAAAGGUUUGAAAAUAGGUUCCUUAAGCUUUUUGUCAGAAUCCGAUUUUGAAGGAAUAGACAUAGGAAUAGGAGAAACAGAUAUAGGAGAUUUUUGAAAUUGGUUUUCUAUACGAGCCAAUUGCUUUCCAAUUGUAUUUAAGUUAGUAUUACAGAAAUUAUUCUGUUGUAUAAUACUACUUAAAUUCGCAUCAGAAUCAUUUGGUCUUGGGAUUUUGUAAGGGGAUGCUUUAAUCUCAAUAGGAGGUUCACCAUGAUCUAUGGUUAUACUCCUAAGAGGUGGAUGAUCAGACUCUAUAAUCCUAUCAUUAUCAGAAAGUUUCCAUUCAGGAAUUUUCUUUCUAAUAGUUAUAGGGUUUGACUCUUUAAAAGGAUAAUCAAUAUUGUUCUCAGAAGAAUAUAUUUCGAACCAAUCAAAAAACAAUAUAUGAACUUUAUGAAAAUUCACAAAUUCAUAAUAAGUUGUUGGAUUUCUUUUCUUUGGUUUAAAAAAUGUUUAAAAAACCAAGUUCUUUUUUCUUUAUUUAUUUCUGAAUAAAAAUCGUUAUGCAGAAAGGCUUUAUCUAAUUCAAAUUCUUUUUCAAUGACAUUAAUGACAUUUUCUGUGACAGCAGAAAACGUAGGAGAUGUUGGAGGAGAAGGUUUCUCUUCCUGUCUUUGCACAUGUUGACUACUAGUGUAUAUAGGAUGAGGAACACUUGUGGCAUAGUCAACGGAACGGAUGGAGGAGCUAGGUAUAUCCGAAGUGGAAAACCUAGGUUGGCUCUGAUAUGGGAGAUUUAUAACAGAAGGUACUUUUGUAAACUUCCUUUCUAGUGAAGGAAUGCUUGGGCUCGAUUCUUUUUCAGAAAAUCUAUGUGAGGUAGACCUUCUGAAUGAUAGUUUGACUUUACCAUCGGAAUACUGGGUCACAUUUUGUAACUCUGUAUUUGGCUCAAGUUGUUUCGGAAUCGCCGGUGGGGCGGCUCCUUCGAGGAUCCAUUCAUCUGGAAGAUGGAUAUCUUUCCAUUGGAUCGAUUUUGGAAUGACCAUGUUGGCUUAGACAAAUCAGUCUGCAAGAGAAGGGUCUCAUCUCUCUUCGACUGGUAUUUAUGCUGUGUGCUAAAUGCAGAAAUCAUGGCUUUAUAGGAAAUUUUAAAAAAUUAAUGCAACUGGGAUGGAUCCCUUAAUCAUGUGAUAAUUAUGGGUUUGGAUUUGUAAAAUCAUGCUCUUUAAAAUAUUUUUGUCUUUAAGAGAAAUUGUUAUAUUUGGAUAACAACAAAAGAUAUGGGACCUUUACAUAGACUAGAUUCGAUACUACUUAGUAAAGAAUCAUCAAAAGAGAUGAAUCGCCCAUCUCUAAGAACAGCAAGGAUAGAGGUAUCCAAGCCUUCUUUGGUCAAAGGUUUUAUUCCUACUUGGAUUAAACCAAUGUGAAUAUAUUUGAAAUUUCUUUUAAUUUCUUUAAAGAUUUUUCUGAAAACAAAUAAAUUGUUUCAAAAGGCUCCGAAAGAGUUAUGUCUCUUUCUUCAGUUUUUAUAAUAUAAUCAUGUUUUAAAAGAUCAAGCAUUUUUUGUUUUGUAAAUCUUUUCUUUGGAAAUUUUUGGAAGUUCCCAACAAUCAAUUGCUUUAUCAAAGUUUCAAUAACGAAUUCUUCUGAACUCACAACAUGCUUUGAAUCACUAGUCUUCCCGGAAGAAGAGCUAGAAAAGGACGAUGUUCUACAGUGUAGAGGGUUCAUGGGUAAAAACCUAUGAUCUAUUUAGUGGUUUUGAAAGAAUGGCUACAGGUAUGGUUUUACAGCCCUAAACGGAAAACUUAUCCUUAGACGGGACUUACUACCAGUAAAAAUUCACCACAAAAACAAAACUUCAAAAUAAAACAAGUUUUCAAAACACAAAACUCUAAACUGCUUUACACAAUCCUCCCCUUGGCUCUGAUACCAGAAGGAAAUAGAAUCGAAGGAUGGGUGUGUAUUGAAGAUGCUUCUUUAUUGAUUGCUUUAAUGAAAUAAUUGGAUCGCGGUUGUUCAGAUUUUAUAUAAGAUUACCAGCUUUAGAUUAAGUAGAUUUGUUUUAGAGCAUACAAUGAUCAAACAAAUUUGAACGCGGUUGGUCAAAUUUUUAGAAUAUUUAAAGUACGUGGCGUUGUUAGACCAGAUCGAUCGCAGAAGUUAAUCUGCCUUUGGACCCAGAUCUGACUUAGAACAGAUCAAUAGUCCGCACGUUCGGGUUUCCAGCCUAUAUACUUUAAUAUAUUUACCAGAUAAAAUUAAGUUGCUUUAAACGUGGUUGUUUCUUUUUAUUGGGCUAAUUCCAGAUUUAAAUUAGAUUCUUUAAGGGGCUUGGGUACAUACACAGUACCAGAUCCGGAUCCCGGAAAUGGUGCUCUGAAGGAAUGGAGGAAGAAGAGAAGAUUUACAACUGAGGAUCGAGAUCCGGUCUCUUUGCCUCAGAGGAACGUACAAAUUUUAUGGCAGAUCUGAUAAAGACCAGUCUGCUUUGCAUGCUUUGAAAAGAAAAUUGCUUUAAAAUAAAUUGCUUUAAUGUAAAUAUGCAUGAAAUUAAAAUUGCAGAAAAGUAAAUUGCGAAAAUUAAAUUACAUCGAAAUUAAAUAACUGAAAUUUAAACAUACAUCUUUGCUUUGAUAGUCUUGGUCUUUACAAUUUUCAAAUCUUUCCUGAAGGGAAGAUUGAAAGACGGGAAGAUUACAAGACAGGAAUGGUUUCCUUGAUGUCUUGGACUGUUCAAAUUUUGACCACCAUUUGACUUUAAAGGUUCUUUGAAGGAUGACUUGGAAUCUUGAGUAUGAAAACGGAGGUUCCACAUCCAGACCCAUGGUAGGAAGAAGUUUGUACAAAAACAGAGAAAGGGGGGAAAUCUUUUCUCUGAGUCAGAGGGCAUAUAGUGGGCUUUAAAGAGGUUUAGGCAAUUUAUGGCAUUUGGAGUGAGGAUUGAGGUAUUGGGCCAAAGAAAUUCCACCAAUGAUGGAACCAGUUUGGAAGGCUUUGGACGGUUAUUUUAGGGUUAAAGAAAAAUAACCAAGAAUGGGAUUUUUUAGGGUUUGAAUAAAAAAGGUGUUAUACCAUGCUUGUUGGUAAUCCCAGUAGGAGAAAGUCCGACAAUGUGGUAAAACGGGUUUCAAAGUUUAAAGGAAAGGUUUUGAAAUUGUGGAGUAGGUCGCCCCACUGGUUCGGGCUCAAAACUUUUAGAAUCGUGGCCGUGGAAUAGGCCGGUUCAGAAUGGGUUUUAUCAAGAAAGAAAUGUUUGAAUUUAACUGAUUCAGUUAUUUCUAAAAUGCUUUGAUAAUAAGACUGGGGUUUUGUCAAAUCCCAUGGUUUGAAAAACCAGCCUUUGGGAAAAAACUUUGAAAUGCUUUGAAAAGGAUCAGUAUGGAAAAUCCAUCUUCCAUAGAAAGAAUAUUUUGAAAAUGGGUUUUAUCAAACCAAUCGGAGGUUUUCUUGAAGGUGUUGGCUGAGAAAGCACAAUUUGGGAAGAUGAGCUUUCGGCAGAGACAACAACAUUUUGAGAGGAGGGUUUUGUAAUUUCUUUAGAUGUGGAUAUGCUCUUAAUUUCUUUUUGAGGAGAAUUUUGGCUCUGGGAAAGGUUUUGUAGAGCGAGCAUGAGCUCGGGAGAUUUUGUAAUGGAACUCAUCCAAUGCUUUAUUUGAUCAUCAGAAGAGAUGGGUUUGUAUUGGGCUUCAUGUUCUUCAACCAAUUCAAUCCAUGAUUUGAUGGGUAGGGCAGAAGAAAGUAAUUUUUCUUUAGAAGGGGUUGACUGGGUUCUUUGGAAGGUUCUUGAGAUCCGGAACUUUUGAGAACAGCUUUACCUUUGUCUUUCUUUAGCGGCAUUAUCUGUUUUGAAGAAAUUCUCUGGUUAGAAAAUCAGGAACAGAAUUUUUAUCACCUUUAAUGAAUUCUAUAUCAAAAUCAAAAACACUCAAAAAUAGCUUGCCAACGUGCAAAAAUUUGUUUUGAUGCAAUGUUUUGAACAUCCUUUUCUAAAACAUGUUUUGCAGCUUUGCAAUCAAUUCUAAGUAAAAAUUUUUGAUUUAAUAAAUCACUUUGAAAUUUUGUAAUGCAUAAAACAAUGGAAAGAAUUUCUUUUUUAAUAGUAGAAUAAUUUUUCUGACAAUCAUUCCAAUGUGCAGAAACAUAUUGUACUAUCUGUUCUCUAUCAUUUUCUUUUUGUUUUAAUAUACCUCCAUAUCCUAAAUCAGAUGCAUCAGUUUCAACAAUUUUAGGGAAUGCAGGGUUUGCAAGAUAUAGACAUGGGAUGCUUUUAACAGAACUCUUUAUUAAUUUAACAGCUUUAGUAUGUUCAUCUGUCCAUGGAGCAGGUUUUUUCUUUAAACGAUCAUGCAAAGGUUUAGACAACCUAUUGAUAUUGGGACAGAAAUCAAGAACAUAAAUUUAGGCUACCAAGAAAUCUUUGUAAUUGAGUUUUGUCAAGGAUUUUAUCAGGAAUUUAUCAGCAAAUAAAAGUGAUCUUUCAAUAGGGGUGAUUGUUCCUUUUGAAAUAUAGUGACCAAGAAAUCUGAUUUUCGUUUGAAAUAAUGAAAUCUUUGAACUAGAAAGGGCUAGUCCAGCCUUUUUUGUAGCAAAAUAAAAAGUCUUUAAAUGUUUGAAAUGUUGAUCGAUUGAAUUUGAAAAUAUCAAAACAUCAAUAUAAACAAUGCAAAAAUCAGAAUAAGGAUUAUAAAUAUCAUUCAUAAUUCUUUGAAAUUCUGAGGGUGCAUUCUUUAAACCAAAGGGCAUAACAGUCCAUUCGUAUUGUCCAAAUGGAACAGUGAAAGCGGUUUGUAACGGUCAUUUGGAUGAAUUUGAAUUUGCCAAAACCCGAUUUCAUGUCGAAUUUUUGAAAAAAUAAAGGCAGAACAGAGUUUUUGGAGUAAAUCUUUUUUAUUAGGUAUAGGAUACCUAAUCCAUUUUAAAGCUUUAUUCAAAGGUUUGUAGUUUAUAACUAGUCUUGGAGUGCCUCUUUCAAUUUCGGAGUUUUUGUUAACAUAAAAAGCAGCACAAGACCAAGGAGACCUGGAUUUACAAUGAGUCCUUUAGACUCCAAGUCUUUGAUUUCAUUUUUUACAAUGUUUUUCUAAAUCCAUAUUCAUUUGAAUUGGACGAGCUUUGGUCGGAAUCUGUUUUUCAAAAAGAAUUUUCAUAAGGCAGGUCUACUAAAUGUUGUUUUUAUUCCAAAAAGCAGAAGGUAGAUCAGCACAAAUUUCUUUUUCAAUAAGAGUUUUGAAAUCAGAAAUUUUUCUUUUUAAUGAAAUCACUUUGUAAUUGGCUUUCAACUCUUUGUAAGUUCAAAUCUUUUUGUAAAAACAUUAGAUCACACUGUUUUGAUUUAAGUAAAUUGUUUAUUCUAUUUUGAUAAAUAGAACAGGCUUUAACAAUAUUNNNNNNNNNNNNNNNNNNNNNNNNNNNNNNNNNNNNNNNNNNNNNNNNNNNNNNNNNNNNNNNNNNNNNNNNNNNNNNNNNNNNNNNNNNNNNNNNNNNNNNNNNNNNNNNNNNNNNNNNNNNNNNNNNNNNNNNNNNNNNNNNNNNNNNNNNNNNNNNNNNNNNNNNNNNNNNNNNNNNNNNNNNNNNNNNNNNNNNNNNNNNNNNNNNNNNNNNNNNNNNNNNNNNNNNNNNNNNNNNNNNNNNNNNNNNNNNNNNNNNNNNNNNNNNNNNNNNNNNNNNNNNNNNNNNNNNNNNNNNNNNNNNNNNNNNNNNNNNNNNNNNNNNNNNNNNNNNNNNNNNNNNNNNNNNNNNNNNNNNNNNNNNNNNNNNNNNNNNNNNNNNNNNNNNNNNNNNNNNNNNNNNNNNNNNNNNNNNNNNNNNNNNNNNNNNNNNNNNNNNNNNNNNNNNNNNNNNNNNNNNNNNNNNNNNNNNNNNNNNNNNNNNNNNNNNNNNNNNNNNNNNNNNNNNNNNNNNNNNNNNNNNNNNNNNNNNNNNNNNNNNNNNNNNNNNNNNNNNNNNNNNNNNNNNNNNNNNNNNNNNNNNNNNNNNNNNNNNNNNNNNNNNNNNNNNNNNNNNNNNNNNNNUUUUACAAUGUUUUCUAAAUCCAUAUUCAUUUGAAUUGGACGAGCUUUGGUCGGAAUCUGUUUUUCAUCAAAAGAAUUUUCAUAAGGCAGGUCUACUAAAUGUGUUUUCUAUUCCAAAAAGCAGAAGGUAGAUCAGCACAAAUUUCUUUUUCAAUAAGAGUUUUGAAAUCAGAAAUUUUUCUUUUAAUGAAAUCACUUUGUAAUUGGCUUUCAACUCUUUGUAAGUUCAAAUCUUUUUGUAAAACAUUAGAUCACACUGUUUUGAUUUAAGUAAAUUGUUUAUUCUAUUUUGAUAAAUAGAACAGGCUUUAACAAUAUUUAAAUUUCUUGUUUUAGGUUUUUCAAUAAAAGGGAAAACAAGUUUCUUGUUUUUUGCUUUGAAAGAUAUACUAUCAUAAUUGACAGUAUACGGAGUUAUGAGAUUUAUAAAAGGAGUUCCCAAAAUAAUGGCAUGAUGAAUAUCAUUUGUGAGAACAAAGGAAGUUUUAAAAUCAAAACCAUCAUUAUAGAUCGAGGCUUCAACCUUGGAACUGACAUUCAAUUUUUGAAUUAUUGGCGGCAGAAAGCCUUUCUUUUGUUUUUUCAUGAAAUCUUUUGGGGACGAUAUCUUCUCUAAUGCAAUUUAAAUCGGCGCCAGUAUCAAAAAGGGCAAUGGCGUCCAUCGCAAAAUCAUCAGAAAAGAUUAGAGUGACUUUAAUCAAAUACUUUCUUGUGGUGAUUUGUUUUAGAACAAAUAGAAAAUCAUUGGGUACAGACUCAAUAUUUUCUACUUUAAUAUCAUCACCAUCAAUAUCAGGACUGGAUUCAUUGUCUGAAUUAUCCUGUAAUUGCUUUUGUAAAAGAAGUUGAAUAAUAUCAGAAUCACUUUUUGUUUUUCUUUUAAAUCUCUGAUUUCACUUUUGAUUUCUUUUAUCUCUUUCUGAAGAUCUUGGAUAUUAGGAAUCAUCUUUUUUGUUUUCUUCUUAUCCAAAAUUUGAGUAAGAUCAUAAGAAUUCUUUUUAAUAAUUGGGACUCUAGAAGUCUCGGCUUUAUUAAAAUCCAAUUUUCAAAAGUUUAUCAAGGUAUUCCUUUUGAAGAUUUGGAUCAGAAAUAUGCUUUACAAGUUCAAGAAAAGUUUCUUGGUCUUUAGUCAAAACAUUGAUUUUCUUUAAAAAUGAAUCAGAUUCAGAAUCACUACUGCUAGAUGCAGAGUCAUCUGAGUCAAAAAGCUCAUCAACUUGGUAAGGGUCACUGUCUCCUGACAUGGAAGACUCAGAAUCAGAAGAUUCGACAAGAAGAGGGGCUAUUUUAGAAAGGAUGUCCUCAUUGAGGUCAAGUUCUUGGAGUCUUUUGUUCAUUCUGCAAAAUUUUGCAGUAUGACCUUUCAUACCACAUUUGAAACAUGUGGCCUCCUUGAAGUUGAAUGGGGUAUUAGGUUUGGCUUUGAAAUCUUUCUUUUUUAGAGAAACUAUGUCUCUUAUAAGGCUUCGAAGGUUUCUUAUAAGGAAGUUUUCUAAAAUCACGGAAGGGUUUUCUAAAAUGUUUAGAUUUGUAAUGUUUCUUACGAGGUUUUGUAGAACACUCUCCAUUACAAUCUUUGGAAGUUUUAAAGGGGUCAUAAUUGAAUUGCUUACAGAAACCGCCUAAUUCCUGUUUAGACUUCUUAAGCUCCCACUUAAGACGUUUCUGUAAUUUCAAAUCUUGACAAAUCUUUAAACCUUCUUUGUUGACAAAACUGACUAGUUCACCAUAGGUGAGCUCGUCAUAAGGAAUACGGUUAUCGUAAAGGGCUUUGAUGGAAUUUCUUACCUUUUCACCUAAAAAGGUAGGUAAUCCAGCAAGAAAUUUUUCUUUCCAAGUAAUAUGAUUUGCAUCAUCCCUUAGAAAUAGUCUGGUAAGGAAAGAGGUUUUGUAACUCUGAAAUUCACUAAGUUUUCUACAUCUCAAAUUAUGUAGUAACUCAGCGUUUUUAUCACGAAGGUGAGAAGGGUCACCGAUGAAAUGGAGGGAAAUGGUUAGAAUAAGAGUAGCAACAGCAUCCUGGAUAGGGUUGUUGAACUCAUCAAGAAUAGAGGCUCCAUUUUCAUCUUUUUGACGGAAUUUAGAAUGUCAAAUUGUUGCUGAUUAGUGAGAAGAUGAUCCCACCAACUUUUAGUUGACCAGUAAAACAGCAAUUAGGAUUUCCGAUAUGCACGAUCAGAAGUUCCUGCUUGGUUUUAUAAGCAUUAGCUGCCAUUGUCAUUUGUUGCAACAAUCCAAGGAUAUUGUACUCAGACAUGCCGUCAAUAUUCCACUCAUAGACUGAAGAUGCAUUAUAACGGGAUUGAUUUAAUGCACUAGGUCUAUUAUCUAUUGCUAGAUCUGGUGGGGUCUUGACAGUGGGAAGGGCUAAUUCCCAGUGGAUUUUGUUGGCUUUAGGAGUUAGAAGGUUCUUCUUUGAAAGCUUCUAAGUCAGAAGAGGCUAUAGAACUCUGGUCAUCUAGAUCCAAUACUCCAAUCUUGCUAGAUUGGGGGGUAUCGGGGGCUAUCUGGAGUUUGCUAGACGAGGAAGAAGCAGCUUCUAUCCUCUCUAGUUGUUCUCUAAUGGCUUUAGCAAAAUCUGAUUUUGACUCUUGAACAAGCCUUUGGCUAGUUUUCGAAACCUGAAAAGGUUUUGAAAAUAGGUUCCUUAAGCUUUUUGUCAGAAUCCGAUUUUGAAGGAAUAGACAUAGGAAUAGGAGAAACAGAAUAUAGAGAUUUUUGAAAUGGUUUUCUAUACGAGCCAAUUGCUUUCCAAUUGUAUUUAAGUUAGUAUUACAGAAAUUAUUCUGUUGUAUAAUACUACUUAAAUUCGCAUCAGAAUCAUUUGGUCUUGGAUUUUGUAAGGGGAUGCUUUAAUCUCAAUAGGAGGUUCACCAUGAUCUAUGGUUAUACUCCUAAGAGGUGGAUGAUCAGACUCUAUAAUCCUAUCAUUAUCAGAAAGUUUCCAUUCAGGAAUUUUCUUUCUAAUAGUUAUAGGGUUUGACUCUUUAAAAGGAUAAUCAAUAUUGUUCUCAGAAGAAUAUAUUUCGAACCAAUCAAAAAACAAUAUAUGAACUUUAUGAAAAUUCACAAAUUCAUAAUAAGUUUGUUGGAUUCUUUUUCUUGGUUUAAAAAUGUUUAAAAAACCAAGUUCUUUUUUCUUUAUUUAUUUCUGAAUAAAAAUCGUUAUGCAGAAAGGCUUUAUCUAAUUCAAAUUCUUUUUCAAUGACAUUAAUGACAUUUUCUGUGACAGCAGAAAACGUAGGAGAUGUUGGAGGAGAAGGUUCCUUCUCUUUCUGUCUUUGCACAUGUUGACUACUAGUGUAUAUAGGAUGAGGAACACUUGUGGCAUAGUCAACGGAACGGAUGGAGGAGCUAGGUAUAUCCGAAGUGGAAAACCUAGGUUGGCUCUGAUAUGGGAGAUUUAUAACAGAAGGUACUUUUGUAAACUUCCUUUCUAGUGAAGGAAUGCUUGGGCUCGAUUCUUUUUCAGAAAAUCUAUGUGAGGUAGACCUUCUGAAUGAUAGUUUGACUUUACCAUCGGAAUACUGGGUCACAUUUUGUAACUCUGUAUUUGGCUCAAGUUGUUUCGGAAUCGCCGGUGGGGCGGCUCCUUCGAGGAUCCAUUCAUCUGGAAGAUGGAUAUCUUUCCAUUGGAUCGAUUUUGGAAUGACCAUGUUGGCUUUAGACAAAUCAGUCUGCAAGAGAAGGGUCUCAUCUCUCUUCGACUGGUAUUUAUGCUGUGUGCUAAAUGCAGAAAUCAAUCGGCUUUAUAGGAAAUUUUAAAAUUAAUGCAACUGGGAUGGAUCCCUUAAUCAUGUGAUAAUUAUGGGUUUGGAUUUGUAAAAUCAUGCUCUUUAAAAUAUUUUUGUCUUUAAGAGAAAUUGUUAUAUUUGGAUAACAAUCAAAAGAUAUGGGACCUUUACAUAGACUAGAUUCGAUACUACUUAGUAAAGAAUCAUCAAAAGAGAUGAAUCGCCCAUCUCUAAGAACAGCAAGGAUAGAGGUAUCCAAGCCUUCUUUGGUCAAAGGUUUUAUUCCUACUUGGAUUAAACCAAUGUGAAUAUAUUUGAAAUUCUUUUCUUUUAAUUUCUUUAAAGAUUUUUCUGAAAACAAAUAAAUUGUUUCAAAAGGCUCCGAAAGAGUUAUGUCUCUUUCUUCAGUUUUUAUAAUAUAUCAUGUUUUAAAAGAUCAAGCAUUUUUGUUUUGUAAAUCUUUUCUUUGGAAAUUUUUGGAAGUUCCCAACAAUCAAUUGCUUUAUCAAAGUUUUUCAAUAACGAAUUCUUUCUGAACUCACAACAUGCUUUGAAUCACUAGUCUUCCCGGGAAGAAGAGCUAGAAAAGGACGAUGUUCUACAGUGUAGAGGGUUCAUGGGUAAAAAACCUAUGAUCUAUUUAGUGGUUUUGAAAGAAUGGCUACAGGUAUGGUUUUACAGCCCUAAACGGAAAACUAUCCUUAGACGGGACUUACUGUUGAGUGUUAGAAAAUGCAUAUUUAUAAAGGAGAAAACCGUCAUUUUACAUUCAAGUCUUACUAACAACCCUUACUUUUAUGUAUUUAACCUUCUUGUGAUGUAAUUACGUGUGUGUUAUUUUAAUUAAGUAUUUUAUGUAUUUUAGGGGCAUUAUAGUCAUUUCACAAUAAAGGAGAGAUCAGACGGCAAAACGGACAUCACUUUUGAACUCAGGACGGUCGAAAACCUUAGGAGGAGCAUAAAAGGAAAAAUGGUACUAUUCACGUAUACGGUACUGUCUACAUUACUGUUCACGACACUGUUCACAUAGACGGAUCGAUGACGUGGCAUUGACCGAUGAUGUGGCAUUGACUGAUGAGGUGUCACGAUCCUGUUGGACUAAAAUUCUUAUGUACUGUUGACGGUGACGUGGCAGCAUAUCAGUGGACGAAAAAUCUCGCGUACGGUGCAUGCAUCACACAGGAUUAUUUUCAACCAAACCGUGUUACUGUUCAUCCGGGUCAAACCGUGUUACUGUUCAUCCGCGUGGUCAAACCGUGGACUGUUGACUGAUGACGUGGCGCAAUCCUGAGCGUCCAAACUGUUUUUAAUCCGAUGGCCAUGAUUUACUCCAUGUAUCUAUAAAAAGGGGGCCUCCCCCCCCUAAUUUGAUAUCUCUGAAUCCAUUUUUGGGAUCCAUUUUCUGUAAUUCCUUCUCCAUCUUGUAUUUUCUUCGUAUUUUAAUAAAUUCCCAUUUUGCCCCUAGUUCAAUUAUGAGUAGCUAAUUUCCUUUCAAGCUUGGGUUGAAGGUGAAGUCUCAACAUGUGUCAUGGGCUUUAUUUGGUAAAUUUAUUUUCUUUUCCCCUCUAGUUUUUGUGGAUGAUUUGACUUAUCGUCGACAAAUAAUACUGAUCUUGUCUAGAUACCGCCUUGGUUACACCGGCUCUCUAGUAUAAGGUUAUUAUUAUUUGGCACGAUAAGCCCUUAGCACCAUGUUGAUUAGAGCGUGGUUCAUGAUGUGUGGAUUCCCCCAUCAUGAUUUAAUUGGCAUUAAUACGGAUUAUUUAGCCCAUGAUGCAUGUUGAUACGGAUCCGAAUACCCAAGUACGUCAUUUCAAAUAGAAUUAUCUUCAAUUUAUUCUCGCCAUUGCAAUUCUAAUUUUAGAAUUUAUUCUCGCCAUUUUAAUUUAAGUUUUAGCAUAUUCCAAAUCAUUUCCACCAUAAAUCCAACCACCCAUUUUGCAAAAUUAAUUCUACACAUAAUUAAAAUCCACCUCCUCGUGGGAUCGACACUCGUCACCAUUGAUCUAUACUACAAUAGAUUCGUGCGCUUGCGAGUACAUUAAAAUUUGCACAACAAGUUUUUGGCGCCGUUGCCGGGGAGGUAAGUAAUUUUAAUUCAUAGAAUUAAUUUUUGUGAAUAAUUUCUUUUAUUUGUUUUCUUGUAUUUUUUUUUUCUUAUUAAAAAAGAAAAAAGAAAAAAAGAGUAAAUCUACAUUUAAAGGUUAGUAUUUCUUUUCUUUUUCUCUUCUUUAAAAUUCUGUAAUUUAAUUUUCAAUUUAUUUUUUCUUUGUAAUUUUUGUUUAUUUUAUUAAUUUAAUUUUUAGUUAAUUUAUUUCACGUAUUUGUUUUUGUGUAUUUUUAUAGAAAGGUUGUAAUAGCGCAAUAAGGUUAGUAUCGUAAUUUCUCCCUCUUCUUUAUUUUUAUUUGUUUUGUUCCCAUCUUUAUUUUUUUUGUUUUGUUUGCAUCUUUAUUUUUAUUUUAUUUUAUUUUGCAUGCAUGGUCGUAGGUCAUUAUUACCUAAUCUUGAACCUAUAGACCUUGAAUUAGAAAAAACACUUCGCACACAAAAGCACAUUAAAAAUAAAUUUGGAAUGGAUUUACAAGCACCACAGGAGAGGCCAUUUAAGGACUAUUUAGUCCCUUAGCUAAUUUGAGCACAUCAUGCAUUAGAUACCCAAAUGUAGCUGCUGGGAGCUUUGAACUAAAACCUAGUGUGCUAAAUUGUCUCCCCACAUUCUAUGGCUUAGAAAAUGAGGACCCAUAUAAUCAUCUGAAUGAUUUUCAUACCAUUUGUCAAACUUUUAAAUAUGAAAAUUUUUCAGACGAUGAUGUUAAACUCAGAUUAUUCCCAUUUUCUUUAAAGGAUAGAGCUCGUUCAUGGUUAAAUACUUUGCCUGCUAAUAGCAUUGCAUCAUGGGAACAAAUGGUUACAAAAUUUCUAAAUAAAUAUUUCCCAGUGCAUAAAACCAAUUCUAUUCGCAGGGAAAUUUCAGAGUUUACACAAAGAGAGGACGAGCAGUUUUUCGAAACAUGGGAGCGAUUCAAUGGGCUACUCUUGAAGUGUCCACAUCAUGGGUACGAGAAAUGGCACCAAUGCCAAUACUUUUUGGAGGGAUUACUACCAAAUGUGCAAGAAUGGCUAAUGGCAACAAGUGGAGGAGAGCUAAUGUCAAAAAGCGCAACAGAGAUUUGGGAAUUCUUCCAGCGACAAGCGGAUAAUUCCCAACAACGGAGUCGAUCACUCAGGAAUACUAGAAGAAUUAAGGGAGUAAAUGAGGUUCAAAUUGGCGAGUCAACUUCGGGAAUCAAAGAAGUCAAGGAGAUGGUUGAAGGUCUUGCUCGACAAAUAGCAUCGUUAUCGACUGCUAAAUCAACAGAACCACAUGACCAUGACUCAUACUCCGAUCAAGCCAAUGCCAUAGGUGUAAUGAGAAAGCCAUCUAAUUACAACCCAUACUCCAACACAUAUAACCCUGGAUGGAGAGACCACCCCAAUUUUUCAUGGUCUCAAGGAUUCCAACAGAAUGGACCAGCAGCUCCAGCUCCACAAAUUCCUCAAGUUCCUCAAGCCUCUCAGCCACCAUUCAGACCAUACAAUCAGAACCAGAACUACUCUCAACCCAGACCAUGGGAGGAUUCAUUCCAGAAUCUCAAGAAUCUUACUCACUCCACGAUUGAGCAACAGAACCGCACCAUUGAUGGACUACGAAAUGAGUUGAGAGCAGGCUUCAACUCACAAGCUCAAUCAGUUUCAAGCCUCGAGAAGAUGGUGGGACAACUUGCUUCUUCAGUUCAGACCUUGGCAAUGACUGUUGAGAAAGGAAAAUUUCCAAGUCAACCAGUGCCUAAUCCUAAAGGAGUGCAUGAAGCAAGUACCAGUUCACCACAACAGCAUGGAGAGGUCAAAGCAGUCAUGACCUUGCGAAAAGGAAAGGAAGUCGACAAUAAAGUGGAGAUGCCGGUGACAAAAGAAAAUCAAAUUGUACCUGUAAAUGCUGAGGACUCACCACCGGAGGAAAAAGAAGAAACCAACCCACGAGAAUACGUUCCCAAAGCUCCAUUUCCUCAGAGGUUAGUGAAAGGAAAGAAGGGAAAAUCCACAGGUGAGAUUCUCGAAAUCUUCAAACAGGUAAGUGUUAACAUCCCUUUACUUGAUGCUAUAAAGCAAGUUCCAUCUUAUGCCAAGUUUCUUAAAGACCUUUGUACUAAAAAGAGAAAUAUGCAUGUUCAAAAGAAGGCAUUUUUAACAGAAAACGUUAGUUCUAUACUCCAACAUAAAAUUCCUUUAAAAUGCAAAGACCCAGGCUCCCCCACUAUCUCAUGUAGUAUAGGGAACCACACAAUUGAGAAUGCUUUGUUGGAUUUAGGAGCUAGUGUAAAUUUGUUGCCUUACUCUGUAUUCGUGAAACUUGGACUGGGAGAAUUACACCCAACUCCAGUGGUGUUACAACUUGCAGAUCGGUCCACAAAAAUACCUCGUGGUAUUGUGGAGGACGUGCUUAUCCAGGUAGACAAGUUUUAUUUUCCUGUUGAUUUCAUUGUAAUUGACACUCAACCAAUACAGGACUCAAGGAAGCACAUCCCCAUUAUUCUAGGCCGACCUUUCUUGGCAACUGCAGAUGCUCAUAUUCAAUGUAGGACCGGAAAUAUGCAAUUGUCCUUCGGCAACAUGACUAUGGAGCUAAACAUCUUCAACAUUGCCAAACAACCUCACAGUGCAGAUGAUGGAAUUGUUGAUGUGGAUUUAAUAGAAACCAUAGUUGAUAAUACUUUUCUUUCAAACCUUAGUGAUGAUCCUUUACAAACAUGCUUAACUCACUUUGGUUUGGAUUUUGAUAUUGAUAGAUCGGUCGAAGAGGUCAACGCCCUACUUGACUCAGCACCAUCCAUGGACACUAAUAAAUGGAAGUCAAGAGUUGAACAACUAGCACUAUCAGAGAAGAAACUCAUUCCAUCAUCAGAAUCACCACCGAAACUCGAGCUCAAACCAUUACCCAACACUCUGGAAUAUGCAUUUUUGGGAGAAGAAAGUACUCUGCCGGUAAUCAUCUCAUCAUCCCUAAAUGACGAACAAAAAGGUAAGUUGUUGGAUGUGUUAAAAGAGCACAAAGGGGCAUUAGGAUGGACCAUAGCAGACAUAAAAGGUAUAAACCCAGUAGACUGCAUGCAUUACAUUCACCUUGAUGAAAAUGCUAAAACUACUAGGGAGAUGCAACGUCGGUUAAAUCCUAACAUGAAAGAAGUUAGAACUGAAGUCCUUAAGCUAUUAGAUGCAGGUAUCAUUUACCCAAUUUCUGAUAGUUCAUGGGUCAGUCCUGUACAAGUCGUCCCCAAAAAGUCAGGAGUCACAGUAGUUACCAAUGCUGAUAAUGAAUUGAUACCAACUAGAGUAACUACAGGAUGGCGUGUAUGCAUUGAUUAUAGAAAGUUGAAUUCUGUCACACGUAAAGACCAUUUUCCUUUACCAUUUAUUGAUCAAAUGCUUGAUAGAUUAGCAGGCCAUGAAUUUUAUUGCUUUCUAGAUGGUUAUUCAGGAUAUAAUCAGAUUCCCAUAGCACCAAAAGAUCAGGAGAAAACUACUUUCACUUGCCCUUUUGGCACUUUUGCAUAUAGGAGAAUGCCAUUUGGAUUAUGUAAUGCACCUGCUACAUUCCAACGAUGCAUGUUGAGCAUUUUUUCUGAUAUGGUUGAACGAUUCCUUGAAGUCUUUAUGGAUGAUUUUUCUAUCUUUGGUGACUCGUUUGAUCAAUGUUUACAUCAUCUAACGCUAGUUCUGCAGAGAUGUACCGAGAAGAGCUUAGUCUUAAAUUGGGAGAAGUGCCAUUUUAUGGUAAAACAAGGUAUUGUUCUCGGUCACAUCAUUUCAAGCAAAGGUAUUGAGGUUGACAAAGCCAAGGUGGAUCUAAUUUCUAAUCUUCCUCCACCUAAAACAGUCAGAGAAGUAAGAUCUUUCCUUGGGCAUGCUGGUUUCUAUAGACGUUUCAUUAAAGAUUUUAGCAAAGUUUCUAGACCCUUAUGCAAUUUACUUGCUAAGGAUGUACCUUUUAUCUUUAAUGAUUCAUGUCUCAUGGCGUUUGAAAAAUUAAAGCAGUUGUUGACAUCAUCACCCAUCAUUCAGGCCCCAAACUGGAACUUACCAUUUGAGCUCAUGUGUGAUGCAUCUGAUUAUGCAGUAGGAGCAGUAUUAGGACAAAGAGUUGAUCGAAUUCCCCACGUUAUUUACUAUGCUAGUAUGACAUUGAAUGAUGCACAGUUGAAUUAUUCAACUACUGAAAAAGAAAUGCUAGCAGUAGUGUUUGCAUUAGAGAAAUUUCGAUCUUAUCUCAUUGGUUGUAAAAUAAUUAUAUUCACAGAUCAUGCUGCUCUUAAAUAUCUUCUCACAAAGAAAGAUGCAAAAGCUAGACUAAUUCGUUGGGUGUUACUUUUGCAGGAAUUUGACUUGGAAUUCAAAGAUAAGAAAGGCACAGAGAAUGUUGUAGCUGACCAUCUCUCUCGCCUCCAUUUUGAUAUAAUUAUGGAACCAUUACCAUUGAAUGAGUCAUUUCCAGAUGAACAAUUAAUGAAUGUGGAAGUAUUACCUUGGUAUGCUGAUAUAGUUAAUUAUCUUGUUACAGGUAAACUUCCAGAGCAUUGGACCAAGCAAGACAAGGCUAAAUUCUUUGCGGAAAUAAAGAAUUUCUUUUGGGAUGACCCGUAUUUGUUCAAGUAUUGUGCAGAUCAAAUUGUUAGGCGAUGUGUCCCAGAAAGUGAAAUUCAAAAUAUCCUUUCAUUCUGCCAUGAACAAGCGUGUGGAGACCAUUUUAGUGCUAAGAAAACAGCUACAAAAGUUUUACAAUGUGGUUUCUAUUGGCCAACUAUAUUUCGAGACGCUUACACUUUCUGUUCUUCAUGUGAUAGGUGUCAACGAAUGGGGAGCAUUACACGAAGGAACAUGAUGCCACUAAAUCCAAUUUUAGUGGUUGAGAUUUUUGACGUAUGGGGUAUCGACUUCAUGGGACCCUUUCCCCCUUCUUUUGGCCAUCAAUACAUAUUGGUUGGUGUUGACUACGUAUCGAAAUGGGUGGAAGCAAUUCCAUGCAGAACCAAUGAUCACAAAGUGGUGAUAGGAUUUUUGAAAAGCAACAUUGUUUCACGCUUUGGAUUCCCUCGAGCGAUAAUCAGUGAUGGUGGUGCCCACUUUUGUAACAAAGCAUUCAAGGCUCUUUUGACAAAGUAUUCAAUCACACACAAAGUGGCGACCCCGUAUCAUCCGCAAACCAGUGGCCAAGUUGAGAUCUCCAAUCGAGAAAUAAAGCACAUAUUAGAAAAGACGGUGAGACCAGACAGAAAAGAUUGGUCAUUAAGACUUGAUGAUGCAUUAUGGGCAUAUAGAACGGCUUUCAAGACCCCGAUUGGGAUGUCACCCUACAGGCUAGUGUAUGGAAAAGCUUGCCACCUACCUGUGGAACUCGAGCAUCGUGCAUAUUGGGCCAUCAAGAAAUUCAACUUUGACAUGCAGCAAGCCAGCUCAGAAAGAAGAUUACAGCUGGCAGAACUUGAAGAAAUUCGCAAUGAUGCAUACGAAAAUGCCAAGAUUUACAAGCAACGAAUGAAAGUCUUCCAUGAUAAGCAAAUUAUGAGAAAAUCGUUCACUCCAGGUCAGAAAGUGCUUUUAUUCAAUUCUCGCUUGCACCUAUUCCCAGGUAAGUUACGCUCUCGUUGGUCUGGCCCAUUUAUUGUACAUACUAUUUUUCCACAUGGGGCAAUUGAAAUUAAGGACCCAAAGAACGGUGUCACGUUUAAAGUUAAUGGUCAAAGAUUAAAGCCAUAUCUAGAGUACCAACCACAUGGAGAAAACAUCGAAAUAAAUUUGAGUGACCCACCAAAUUUGAAUUGAUUUUUUUUUCUUUUCGUUGAUUUGAUUUUUCUUUAUUUCUUUUUAUUAUUAUUCUUUUGCUAAUUGAAAUUGUUUUUGCAUAAGUGUGUUUAUUUUACCAUUAAGUUUUCUCUUAUCAUUUUUAAUCAUGAGUCUCCUACUUAGACCGUUCCUCCUGAACAUUCUUAAACCACUUCAACGUGUCAAAACUCAUCUCAAAAGGCAGAUUCAAUUUUGUAAAACACAACGCAUUUGGGCUCUACAACCACCAGAGUUAGUAGCAUAUGUUGAGGGUUUAGAACGCCAACUCAGAGACAUUGAGAGAAGUGUUUACGACAUCCAGUUGGAGCUUGAGGUAAAUUCAAUAAGAGGACGAUUUUAAUUUUCUUUGUGUGUUUUAAUUUGUUUUUCUGUUUGUGUGCUUUAGUUUGUUACCCCGGUGAAGUGGCGGAUAACGGUACUCCGUGACAAUCAAGUCGGUUACUUCAGUUUCCCACAAUAACUGACAUUCUGAGGCGAAAGUAUGGACAGAAAUGAGAUUCUAGCGAAGCUUCACAAGCGAUUCCCUUCACUUCCUCAGAAUGCCCUCCUUACGAUCUAUAAAGCUCGGACCGAACGCAUGCGAUUACUCAUGAAGAAUAACAUACCUGCUGACAUCUGUUGGUUAAUUGAGGCUAAAGUACGAUCAGCAGGUGAGUUACCUCCUAAAUUUAUUGCAUACAUGCCUGGUUGUGGUAAAGGAAAUUAUGCAAGAAAACGACGAGCUCGAAGAAUUUCUGUUGCUUGUCAUAAAUGUGCCAGAAUGAGUUGCGAUAGAAACCCAUGUUCUUUAGGAAUGGUGUCUGAUAACAGGGAAGAUAAGAUUCAAUUCAUUAGGGAUGGCUUGAAUAAGGAGUCAUUGGAUGAUAUCCUUUUGUCUCUUGAAACGCAUCAUAGUGGAUAUGUGCAAGGAGCGAUUCUCCAGUUAUGGCCAUUAUUCCAAAAAGAGCAUACACGAUAUAGUCUUGGGAAUCUGACUAUAAACGACCCUGUUUGCCAGUUUAUAAGAAAACUGGAUGGGAAGCCGAUCCUCGACCCAUAGAGGGCGUUCAAGCCGUUUCUGGACGUAAAACCAGAGGAAGAUGUGAGCCACAGUCGCAACUACGUGUAAAUAUCCUUUUACUUUACUGUUAUUUUAUUUCAUUUCACUGUUGUUUUAUUGUUUGCAUUAUUGUCUUUAAUAAUUUUAUUACUGUUUGCUUUUUCCUUUUUACUGUUUCCUUUUUGACUCGCGAGCCACGUGCUUUACGCGUUAUUUGACACUGAUAUGUUACCUCAUUCACAGCUGUGAUCUAAUGUCACCAAGAUUCUUAAAUGUGAUUUAUCUUUUGUCAAGCACUCACAAAUUGUUUUUGAGAAGUAUCACAAUGGCAGCUACUCCCAAUAGACAAUUCAAGAACAUUUGUGUGCUUUCUGGAUUUACCUAUGGCAAACAUAAAGAGUUCGUGGAGGCAGCCAUAGAUCUUGGUCGAAGCAUAGCAGCGAGAAAAUUACAUUUGGUGUAUGGAGGAGGUAACCGAGGGUUAUCAAAAAUGGUCUCAGAAGCAGCUUUUAUCAGAGGAAGUCAAGUGUUAGGCAUCAUCCCAAGAGUCCUAAAACCAUUGGGCAGUUCGUCUGACUCAUCAACUGGAGAAGAGUUAGUCGUCUCAGGUAUGCAAGAAAGAAUAACUGAAAUGCUUAAUCAUGCUGAUGCUUUUAUUUUCCUUCCAGGAGAUCUUGCAACACUAGAGGCACUUAUGACACUAGCAUCUUGGGCCCAUCUGCACAUCCACCAGAAACCCAUCGGUUUGUUAAAUGUCAAUAACUUUUAUGAUGGCUUUAUCGCAUUUCUUAACCAUGCAAUAAAAAAACUAUUUCAUUCCUUCUAAUGUGAAAAAACUCUUUAUUUGUGCUCACACUGCUAAUGAGCUACUUGAUAUGUUACAAGCUUAUAAACCGGAGCCAGACCCCUGGACCUUUGUGUUGGAGCGACCAAAUAAUGAUGGUAACAGUAGCCGCAGUAAGAAGUACAAAUUAGAUUUAACUCUCCGCCUGUAAAUAUUUUCUUCUGUGUUGCACCACCCAGGUGAUGUCUUCUAAACUCUACUUCUUUCCUUUAAAACAUUGAGGACAAUGUUUCAUUCUGGUUGGGGGGAGGGAAUAGUCGACAAUUGUGGAAUCUUGGUUAAGUUUUUACUGAUUUUUUGUUGUAGAAACUAACUGUUGCUAACGUUUUGUGUUGAAGAUGGCUGAAUAUGGAGUGUAGUUACUCUAGAAACGCAUCUUCAUCGUUUAAAAAAAAAAAAAAAAAUCUGUUUUCUUCCUCUUUCUCCUUUAUAAAUAUGUAGUUUCAAAUUUUUGAGUUGAAGAUGGCUGAAUAUGGAGUGUAGUGCCUCUAGAAACGCACCUUCUUAGUUUAAACAAAAAAAAAAAAAAAAUUCUUUUUCUAAUUAAUUUUUCUACAUCAUUUUCACAUUUCUGCAUGCAUAUUUUCCUUUCAUGUUUAGAAUAGGUUGGGGGGUAGAAUGUUGUUUAAAAAAAAAAAAAAAAAAAUUGUGUUAUUUGUCUUAACAUUGGAUGACAUGAUUAAUUUCAAAUUUUAGUAUUUGUAUUAUCUUUGGUCUUAAGUGAUGUUACGCUAUGUUUGCUACUUUACAUGUUGAUGUCGGAGACAAAUAUGAGUUGCUUGAAGGAAUGAACAUGUCAUAAAUAAGUGCCAAGUGAGUUGUUGAGCCUAUCAUUUUCUUGGAGAGUAACCCUUUUGCCUAUUUUCUAUACAGCUUAGCAGUUUAUUAUUUUAUACACGAUCUCUAGAUUUCUUUUGAGUUAACCCUUUAAAAAAAAAAUGGUAAAAUUAAAAAAAAAGAAAAAAGAAAAAAUGUGUGUUACUACAUUGGGAGGCCCAUCUAACUAGUAGAUAUGGAUAAUUAUUUAGAGCCCUAAAAGACGAUGGAAAGGCCAUCUUUGAACCGUUUGAGCCUUUCUAGCCAUCCCUGUUAUUAAAUAUCCAUAGUUACCCCUUUUGAGCCUUUAAAAAAAAAAAAAAAAAAAAAAAAAAAAAAAAAAAACCUUUUCUUUGUCAACUUAUCAUCUUGACCCACUCCGAUUUGGAGUAUUACCCGAUGUCUUAUAAGUUCCAUCACCUAUUUAUGUUUGAGAAAAUGUAAAUAAUUAUGUUGUUCAGUGAAGUUAUGCCAAAUAAAAGCAAAAAAAAAAAAAAAAAAACAAACAAACAAAAACAAAAGUUGUUGUUUCAAAAGAAUAAAAAUAACAAUAAUAGGUGAAAUCCACCUUGCAAGUUCCAAAAAAAAAAAAAAAAAAAAAAAAAAAAAAAUUCUGCAUUUUUCUCAAACAUACACUUUGUUUUCCUUAUUUCCUUUCUUUGUUAGCCAUAUCCCUAGCCUACGUUACGUCCUAAUAAAAGUCCUUCUUGAUUUUAGGGAACUAUAGUUUGAAGUAGAAGCUAGUUAUAUGGGCUAAAAAGAUGUAGUGAUGCAUAAUAAAAAAAAAAAAAAAGAUAAAUAAAGUGGGUUGACUAACAUUUUAUUUGACUUGAGAUCAUAUUAUUUCUAAGCUGAGGGCAUAUUUAUUUCAUCUUGGUGAGAGCAUGUGAUAUCAUUUCUUUAUUAUUUUCUCUCUCAAUUACCAUUCAUUAGAGUGACUAUGUUUAUUGGGUUUUAAUUUCUUUGUGAGAGUGUCACUACUUCCAGUGAGAUUUUGGGGUUUGACAUGUCAUUCUUGAAAGUAGCUAUAACAAAGUCUACUGGGCUAAUUCAUGUGGAUGGUUGAUGUGGGUGUGAUGUUGCUUUAGACUGGAGAUAAUGCCUAUACUUUUAUUUGAUUGCUAUCAUUAAUCUAAUUGAAUAAACACGAGUGUUUCUAAAAAAAAAAAAAAAAAAAAAAAAUCAUUUUGAAUUUGAAUUUUGUUUUCGCUUUAUUUGCUAGGGACUAGCAAUAAGCUGGUUGGGGGGUGUGUUGAGUGUUAGAAAAUGCAUAUUUAUAAAGGAGAAAACCGUCAUUUUACAUUUCAAGUCUUACUAACAACCCUUACUUUUAUGUAUUUAACCUUCUUGUGAUGUAAUUACGUGUGUGUUAUUUUAAUUAAGUAUUUUAUGUAUUUUAGGGGCAUUAUAGUCAUUUCACAAUAAAGGAGAGAUCAGACGGCAAAACGGACAUCACUUUUGAACUCAGGACGGUCGAAAACCUUAGGAGGAGCAUAAAAGGAAAAAUGGUACUAUUCACGUAUACGGUACUGUCUACGUUACUGUUCACGACACUGUUCACAUAGACGGAUCGAUGACGUGGCAUUGACCGAUGAUGUGGCAUUGACUGAUGAGGUGUCACGAUCCUGUUGGACUAAAAUUCUUAUGUACUGUUGACGGUGACGUGGCAGCAUAUCAGUGGACGAAAAAUCUCGCGUACGGUGCAUGCAUCACACAGGAUUAUUUUCAACCAAACCGUGUUACUGUUCAUCCGGGUCAAACCGUGUUACUGUUCAUCCGCGUGGUCAAACCGUGGACUGUUGACUGAUGACGUGGCGCAAUCCUGAGCGUCCAAACUGUUUUUAAUCCGAUGGCCAUGAUUUACUCCAUGUAUCUAUAAAAAGGGGGCCUCCCCCCCCUAAUUUGAUAUCUCUGAAUCCAUUUUUGGGAUCCAUUUUCUGUAAUUCCUUCUCCAUCUUGUAUUUUCUUCGUAUUUUAAUAAAUUCCCAUUUUGCCCCUAGUUCAAUUAUGAGUAGCUAAUUUCCUUUCAAGCUUGGGUUGAAGGUGAAGUCUCAACAUGUGUCAUGGGCUUUAUUUGGUAAAUUUAUUUUCUUUUCCCCUCUAGUUUUUGUGGAUGAUUUGACUUAUCGUCGACAAAUAAUACUGAUCUUGUCUAGAUACCGCCUUGGUUACACCGGCUCUCUAGUAUAAGGUUAUUAUUAUUUGGCACGAUAAGCCCUUAGCACCAUGUUGAUUAGAGCGUGGUUCAUGAUGUGUGGAUUCCCCCAUCAUGAUUUAAUUGGCAUUAAUACGGAUUAUUUAGCCCAUGAUGCAUGUUGAUACGGAUCCGAAUACCCAAGUACGUCAUUUCAAAUAGAAUUAUCUUCAAUUUAUUCUCGCCAUUGCAAUUCUAAUUUUAGAAUUUAUUCUCGCCAUUUUAAUUUAAGUUUUAGCAUAUUCCAAAUCAUUUCCACCAUAAAUCCAACCACCCAUUUUGCAAAAUUAAUUCUACACAUAAUUAAAAUCCACCUCCUCGUGGGAUCGACACUCGUCACCAUUGAUCUAUACUACAAUAGAUUCGUGCGCUUGCGAGUACAUUAAAAUUUGCGCAACACUUACUACCAGUAAAAAUUCACCACAAAAACAAAACUUCAAAAUAAAACACAAGUUUUCAAAACACAAAACUCUAAACUGCUUUACACAAUCCUCCCCUUGGCUCUGAUACCAGAAGGAAAUAGGAUCGAAGGAUGGGUGUGUAUUGAAGAUGCUUCUUUAUUGAUUGCUUUAAUGAAAUAAUUGGAUCGCGGUUGUUCAGAUUUUAUAUAAGAUUACCAGCUUUAGAUUAAGUAGAUUUGUUUUAGAGCAUACAAUGAUCAAACAAAUUUGAACGCGGUUGGUCAAAUUUUUAGAAUAUUUAAAGUAUAUAGGCUGGAAACCCGAACGUGCGGACUAUUGAUCUGUUCUAAGUCAGAUCUGGGUCCAAAGGCAGAUUAACUUCUGCGAUCGAUCUGGUCUAACAACGCCACGUAAACCCAUAAUUAUCACAUGAUUAAGGGAUCCAUCCCAGUUGCAUUAAUUUUUAAAAUUUCCUAUAAAGCCAUGAUUUCUGCAUUUAGCACACAGCAUAAAUACCAGUCGAAGAGAGAUGAGACCCUUCUCUUGCAGACUGAUUUGUCUAAAGCCAACAUGGUCAUUCCAAAAUCGAUCCAAUGGAAAGAUAUCCAUCUUCCAGAUGAAUGGAUCCUCGAAGGAGCCGCCCCACCGGCGAUUGUAGAUUUGUUUUAGAGCAUACAAUGAUCAAACAAAUUUGAACGCGGUUGGUCAAAUUUUUAGAAUAUUUAAAGUACGUGGCGUUGUUAGACCAGAUCGAUCGCAGAAGUUAAUCUGCCUUUGGACCCAGAUCUGACUUAGAACAGAUCAAUAGUCCGCACGUUCGGGUUUCCAGCCUAUAUACUUUAAUAUAUUUACCAGAUAAAAUUAAGUUGCUUUAAACGUGGUUGUUUCUUUUUAUUGGGCUAAUUCCAGAUUUAAAUUAGAUUCUUUAAGGGGCUUGGGUACAUACACAGUACCAGAUCCGGAUCCCGGAAAUGGUGCUCUGAAGGAAUGGAGGAAGAAGAGAAGAUUUACAACUGAGGAUCGAGAUCCGGUCUCUUUGCCUCAGAGGAACGUACAAAUUUUAUGGCAGAUCUGAUAAAGACCAGUCUGCUUUGCAUGCUUUGAAAAGAAAAUUGCUUUAAAAAUAAAUUGCUUUAAUGUAAAUAUGCAUGAAAUUAAAUUGCAGAAAAGUAAAUUGCGAAAAUUUAAAUUACAUCGAAAUUAAAUAACUGAAAUUUAAACAUACAUCUUUGCUUUGAUAGUCUUGGUCUUUACAAUUUUCAAAUCUUUCCUGAAGGGAAGAUUGAAAGACGGGAAGAUUACAAGACAGGAAUGGUUUCCUUGAUGUCUUGGACUGUUCAUCAAAUUUUGACCACCAUUUGACUUUAAAGGUUCUUUGAAGGAUGACUUGGGAAUCUUGAGUAUGAAAACGGAGGUUCCACAUCCAGACCCAUGGUAGGAAGAAGUUUGUACAAAAACAGAGAAAGGGGGGAAAUCUUUUCUCUGAGUCAGAGGGCAUAUAGUGGGCUUUAAAGAGGUUUAGGCAAUUUAUGGCAUUUGGAGUGAGGAUUUGAGGUAUUGGGCCAAAGAAAUUCCACCAAUGAUGGAACCAGUUUGGAAGGCUUUGGACGGUUAUUUUAGGGUUAAAGAAAAAUAACCAAGAAUGGGAUUUUUUAGGGUUUUGAAUAAAAAAAGGUGUUAUACCAUGCUUGUUGGUAAUCCCAGUAGGAGAAAGUCCGACAAUGUGGUAAACGGGUUUCAAAGUUUAAAGGAAAGGUUUUGAAAUUGUGGAGUAGGUCGCCCCACUGGUUCGGGCUCAAAACUUUUAGAAUCGUGGCCGUGGAAUAGGCCGGUUCAGAAUGGGUUUUAUCAAGAAAGAAAUGUUUGAAUUUAACUGAUUCAGUUAUUUCUAAAAUGCUUUGAUAAUAAGACUGGGGUUUUGUCAAAUCCCAUGGUUUGAAAAACCAGCCUUUGGGAAAAAACUUUGAAAUGCUUUGAAAAGGAUCAGUAUGGUAAAAUCCAUCUUCCAUAGAAAGAAUAUUUUGAAAAUGGGUUUUAUCAAACCAAUCGGAGGUUUUCUUUGAAGGUGUUGGCUGAGAAAGCACAAUUUGGGAAGAUGAGCUUUCGGCAGAGACAACAACAUUUUGAGAGGAGGGUUUUGUAAUUUCUUUAGAUGUGGAUAUGCUCUUAAUUUCUUUUUGAGGAGAAUUUUGGCUCUGGGAAAGGUUUUGUAGAGCGAGCAUGAGCUCGGGAGAUUUUGUAAUGGAACUCAUCCAAUGCUUUACUUGAUCAUCAGAAGAGAUGGGUUUGUAUUGGGCUUCAUGUUCUUCAACCAAUUCAAUCCAUGAUUUGAUGGGUAGGGCAGAAGAAAGUAAUUUUUCUUUAGAAGGGGUUGACUGGGGUUCUUUGGAAGGUUCUUGAGAUCCGGAACUUUUGAGAACAGCUUUACCUUUGUCUUUCUUUAGCGGCAUUAUCUGUUUUGAAGAAAUUCUCUGGUUAGAAAAUCAGGAACAAAAUUUUUAUCACCUUUAAUGAAUUCUAUAUCAAAAUCAAAAACACUCAAAAUAGCUUGCCAACGUGCAAAAAUUUGUUUUGAUGCAAUGUUUUGAACAUCCUUUUCUAAAACAUGUUUUGCAGCUUUGCAAUCAAUUCUAAGUAAAAAUUUUUGAUUUAAUAAAUCACUUUGAAAUUUUGUAAUGCAUAAAACAAUGGAAAGAAUUUCUUUUUUAAUAGUAGAAUAAUUUUUCUGACAAUCAUUCCAAUGUGCAGAAACAUAUUGUACUAUCUGUUCUCUAUCAUUUUCUUUUUGUUUUAAUAUACCUCCAUAUCCUAAAUCAGAUGCAUCAGUUUCAACAAUUUUAGGGAAUGCAGGAUUUGCAAGAUAUAGACAUGGGAUGCUUUUAACAGAACUCUUUAUUAAUUUAACAGCUUUAGUAUGUUCAUCUGUCCAUGGAGCAGGUUUUUUCUUUAAACGAUCAUGCAAAGGUUUAGACAACCUAUUGAUAUUGGGACAGAAAUCAAGAACAUAAUUUAGGCUACCAAGAAAUCUUUGUAAUUGAGUUUUGUCAAGGAUUUUAUCAGGGAAUUUAUCAGCAAAUAAAAGUGAUCUUUCAAUAGGGGUGAUUGUUCCUUUUGAAAUAUAGUGACCAAGAAAUCUGAUUUUCGUUUGAAAUAAUGAAAUCUUUGAACUAGAAAGGGCUAGUCCAGCCUUUUUUGUAGCAAAAUAAAAAGUCUUUAAAUGUUUGAAAUGUUGAUCGAUUGAAUUUGAAAAUAUCAAAACAUCAUCAAUAUAAACAAUGCAAAAAUCAGAAUAAGGAUUAUAAAUAUCAUUCAUAAUUCUUUGAAAUUCUGAGGGUGCAUUCUUUAAACCAAAGGGCAUAACAGUCCAUUCGUAUUGUCCAAAUGGAACAGUGAAAGCGGUUUUGUAACGGUCAUUUGGAUGAAUUUGAAUUUGCCAAAAACCCGAUUUCAUGUCGAAUUUUGAAAAAAAUAAAGGCAGAACAGAGUUUUUGGAGUAAAUCUUUUUUAUUAGGUAUAGGAUACCUAAUCCAUUUUAAAGCUUUAUUCAAAGGUUUGUAGUUUAUAACUAGUCUUGGAGUGCCUCUUUCAAUUUCGGAGUUUUUGUUAACAUAAAAAGCAGCACAAGACCAAGGAGACCUGGAUUUUACAAUGAGUCCUUUAGACUCCAAGUCUUUGAUUUCAUUUUUACAAUGUUUUUCUAAAUCCAUAUUCAUUUGAAUUGGACGAGCUUUGGUCGGAAUCUGUUUUUCAUCAAAAGAAUUUUCAUAAGGCAGGUCUACUAAAUGUUGUUUUCUAUUCCAAAAAGCAGAAGGUAGAUCAGCACAAAUUUCUUUUUCAAUAAGAGUUUUGAAAUCAGAAAUUUUUCUUUUAAUGAAAUCACUUUGUAAUUGGCUUUCAACUCUUUGUAAGUUCAAAUCUUUUUGUAAAAACAUUAGAUCACACUGUUUUGAUUUAAGUAAAUUGUUUAUUCUAUUUUGAUAAAUAGAACAGGCUUUAACAAUAUUUAAAUUUCUUGUUUUAGGUUUUUCAAUAAAAGGGAAAACAAGUUUCUUGUUUUUUGCUUUGAAAGAUAUACUAUCAUAAUUGACAGUAUACGGAGUUAUGAGAUUUAUAAAAGGAGUUCCCAAAAUAAUGGCAUGAUGAAUAUCAUUUGUGAGAACAAAGGAAGUUUUAAAAUCAAAACCAUCAUUAUAGAUCGAGGCUUCAACCUUGGAACUGACAUUCAAUUUUGAAUUAUUGGCGGCAGAAAGCCUUUCUUUUGUUUUUUCAUGAAAUCUUUUGGGGACGAUAUCUUCUCUAAUGCAAUUUAAAUCGGCGCCAGUAUCAAAAAGGGCAAUGGCGUCCAUCGCAAAAUCAUCAGAAAAGAUUAGAGUGACUUUAAUCAAAUACUUUCUUGUGGUGAUUUGUUUUAGAACAAAUAGAAAAUCAUUGGGUACAGACUCAAUAUUUUCUACUUUAAUAUCAUCACCAUCAAUAUCAGGACUGGAUUCAUUGUCUGAAUUAUCCUGUAAUUGCUUUUGUAAAAGAAGUUGAAUAAUAUCAGAAUCACUUUUUUGUUUUUCUUUUAAAUCUCUGAUUUCACUUUUGAUUUCUUUUAUCUCUUUCUGAAGAUCUUGGAUAUUAGGAAUCAUCUUUUUUGUUUUCUUCUUAUCCAAAAUUUGAGUAAGAUCAUAAGAAUUCUUUUUAAUAAUUGGGACUCUAGAAGUCUCGGCUUUAUUAAAAUCCAAUGUUUUCAAAAGUUUAUCAAGGUAUUCCUUUUGAAGAUUUGGAUCAGAAAUAUGCUUUACAAGUUCAAGAAAAGUUUCUUGGUCUUUAGUCAAAACAUUGAUUUUCUUUAAAAAUGAAUCAGAUUCAGAAUCACUACUGCUAGAUGCAGAGUCAUCUGAGUCAAAAAGCUCAUCAACUUGGUAAGGGUCACUGUCUCCCGACAUGGAAGACUCAGAAUCAGAAGAUUCGACAAGAAGAGGGGCUAUUUUAGAAAGGAUGUCCUCAUUGAGGUCAAGUUCUUGGAGUCUUUUGUUCAUUCUGCAAAAUUUUGCAGUAUGACCUUUCAUACCACAUUUGAAACAUGUGGCCUCCUUGAAGUUGAAUGGGGUAUUAGGUUUGGCUUUGAAAUCUUUCUUUUUAGAGAAACUAUGUCUCUUAUAAGGCUUCGAAGGUUUCUUAUAAGGAAGUUUUCUAAAAUCACGGAAGGGUUUUCUAAAAUGUUUAGAUUUGUAAUGUUUCUUACGAGGUUUUGUAGAACACACUCCAUUACAAUCUUUGGAAGUUUUAAAGGGGUCAUAAUUGAAUUGCUUACAGAAACCGCCUAAUUCCUGUUUAGACUUCUUAAGCUCCCACUUAAGACGUUUCUGUAAUUUCAAAUCUUGACAAAUCUUUAAACCUUCUUUGUUGACAAAACUGACUAGUUCACCAUAGGUGAGCUCGUCAUAAGGAAUACGGUUAUCGUAAAGGGCUUUGAUGGAAUUUCUUACCUUUUCACCUAAAAGGGUAGGUAAUCCAGCAAGAAAUUUUUCUUUCCAAGUAAUAUGAUUUGCAUCAUCCCUUAGAAAUAGUCUGGUAAGGAAAGAGGUUUUGUAACUCUGAAAUUCACUAAGUUUUCUACAUCUCAAAUUAUGUAGUAACUCAGCGUUUUUAUCACGAAGGUGAGAAGGGUCACCGAUGAAAUGGAGGGAAAUGGUUAGAAUAAGAGUAGCAACAGCAUCCUGGAUAGGGUUGUUGAACUCAUCAAGAAUAGAGGCUCCAUUUUCAUCUUUUUGGACGGAAUUUAGAAUGUCAAAUUGUUGCUGAUUAGUGAGAAGAUGAUCCCACCAACCUUUUAGUUGACCAGUAAAACCAGCAAUUAGGAUUUCUGAUAUGGCACGAUCAGAAGUUCCUGCUUGGGUUUUAUAAGCAUUAGCUGCCAUUGUCAUUUGUUGCAACAAUCCAAGGAUAUUGUACUCAGACAUGCCGUCAAUAUUCCACUCAUAGACUGAAGAUGCAUUAUAACGGGAUUGAUUUAAUGCACUAGGUCUAUUAUCUAUUGCUAGAUCUGGUGGGGUCUUGACAGUGGGAAGGGCUAAUUCCCAGUGGAUUUUGUUGGCUUUAGGAGUAGAAGGUUCUUCUUUGAAAGCUUCUAAGUCAGAAGAGGCUAUAGAACUCUGGUCAUCUAGAUCCAAUACUCCAAUCUUGCUAGAUUGGGGGGUAUCGGGGGCUAUCUGGAGUUUGCUAGACGAGGAAGAAGCAGCUUCUAUCCUCUCUAGUUGUUCUCUAAUGGCUUUAGCAAAAUCUGAUUUUGACUCUUGAACAAGCCUUUGGCUAGUUUUCGAAACCUGAAAAGGUUUGAAAAUAGGUUCCUUAAGCUUUUUGUCAGAAUCCGAUUUUGAAGGAAUAGACAUAGGAAUAGGAGAAACAGAUAUAGGAGAUUUUUGAAAUUGGUUUUCUAUACGAGCCAAUUGCUUUCCAAUUGUAUUUAAGUUAGUAUUACAGAAAUUAUUCUGUUGUAUAAUACUACUUAAAUUCGCAUCAGAAUCAUUUGGUCUUGGGAUUUUGUAAGGGGAUGCUUUAAUCUCAAUAGGAGGUUCACCAUGAUCUAUGGUUAUACUCCUAAGAGGUGGAUGAUCAGACUCUAUAAUCCUAUCAUUAUCAGAAAGUUUCCAUUCAGGAAUUUUCUUUCUAAUAGUUAUAGGGUUUGACUCUUUAAAAGGAUAAUCAAUAUUGUUCUCAGAAGAAUAUAUUUCGAACCAAUCAAAAAACAAUAUAUGAACUUUAUGAAAAUUCACAAAUUCAUAAUAAGUUUGUUGGAUUUCUUUUCUUUGGUUUAAAAAAUGUUUAAAAAACCAAGUUCUUUUUUCUUUAUUUAUUUCUGAAUAAAAAUCGUUAUGCAGAAAGGCUUUAUCUAAUUCAAAUUCUUUUUCAAUGACAUUAAUGACAUUUUCUGUGACAGCAGAAAACGUAGGAGAUGUUGGAGGAGAAGGUUCCUUCUCUUCCUGUCUUUGCACAUGUUGACUACUAGUGUAUAUAGGAUGAGGAACACUUGUGGCAUAGUCAACGGAACGGAUGGAGGAGCUAGGUAUAUCGAAGUGGAAAACCUAGGUUGGCUCUGAUAUGGGAGAUUUAUAACAGAAGGUACUUUUGUAAACUUCCUUUCUAGUGAAGGAAUGCUUGGGCUCGAUUCUUUUUCAGAAAAUCUAUGUGAGGUAGACCUUCUGAAUGAUAGUUUGACUUUACCAUCGGAAUACUGGGUCACAUUUUUGUAACUCUGUAUUUGGCUCAAGUUGUUUCGGAAUCGCUGGUGGGCGGCUCCUUCGAGGAUCCAUUCAUCUGGAAGAUGGAUAUCUUUCCAUUGGAUCGAUUUUGGAAUGACCAUGUUGGCUUUAGACAAAUCAGUCUGCAAGAGAAGGGUCUCAUCUCUCUUCGACUGGUAUUUAUGCUGUGUGCUAAAUGCAGAAAUCAUGGCUUUAUAGGAAUUUUAAAAAUUAAUGCAACUGGGAUGGAUCCCUUAAUCAUGUGAUAAUUAUGGGUUUGGAUUUGUAAAAUCAUGCUCUUUAAAAUAUUUUUGUCUUUAAGAGAAAUUGUUAUAUUUGGAUAACAAUCAAAAGAUAUGGGACCUUUACAUAGACUAGAUUCGAUACUACUUAGUAAAGAAUCAUCAAAAGAGAUGAAUCGCCCAUCUCUAAGAACAGCAAGGAUAGAGGUAUCCAAGCCUUCUUUGGUCAAAGGUUUUAUUCCUACUUGGAUUAAACCAAUGUGAAUAUAUUUGAAAUUNAAAUGCUUUGAUAAUAAGACUGGGUUUUGUCAAAUCCCAUGGUUUGAAAAACCAGCCUUUGGGAAAAAACUUUGAAAUGCUUUGAAAAGGAUCAGUAUGGUAAAAUCAUCUUCCAUAGAAAGAAUAUUUUGAAAAUGGGUUUUAUCAAACCAAUCGGAGGUUUUUUUUGAAGGUGUUGGCUGAGAAAGCACAAUUUGGGAAGAUGAGCUUUCGGCAGAGACAACAACAUUUUGAGAGGAGGGUUUUGUAAUUUCUUUAGAUGUGGAUAUGCUCUUAAUUUCUUUUUGAGGAGAAUUUUGGCUCUGGGAAAGGUUUUGUAGAGCGAGCAUGAGCUCGGGAGAUUUUGUAAUGGAACUCAUCCAAUGCUUUACUUGAUCAUCAGAAGAGAUGGGUUUGUAUUGGGCUUCAUGUUCUUCAACCAAUUCAAUCCAUGAUUUGAUGGGUAGGGCAGAAGAAAGUAAUUUUUCUUUAGAAGGGGUUGACUGGGGUUCUUUGGAAGGUUCUUGAGAUCCGGAACUUUUGAGAACAGCUUUACCUUUGUCUUUCUUUAGCGGCAUUAUCUGUUUUGAAGAAAUUCUCUGGUUAGAAAAUCAGGAACAGAAAUUUUUAUCACCUUUAAUGAAUUCUAUAUCAAAAUCAAAAACACUCAAAAUAGCUUGCCAACGUGCAAAAAUUUGUUUUGAUGCAAUGUUUUGAACAUCCUUUUCUAAAACAUGUUUUGCAGCUUUGCAAUCAAUUCUAAGUAAAAAUUUUUGAUUUAAUAAAUCACUUUGAAAUUUUGUAAUGCAUAAAACAAUGGAAAGAAUUUCUUUUAAUAGUAGAAUAAUUUUUCUGACAAUCAUUCCAAUGUGCAGAAACAUAUUGUACUAUCUGUUCUCUAUCAUUUUCUUUUUGUUUUAAUAUACCUCCAUAUCCUAAAUCAGAUGCAUCAGUUUCAACAAUUUUAGGGAAUGCAGGAUUUGCAAGAUAUAGACAUGGGAUGCUUUUAACAGAACUCUUUAUUAAUUUAACAGCUUUAGUAUGUUCAUCUGUCCAUGGAGCAGGUUUUUUCUUUAAACGAUCAUGCAAAGGUUUAGACAACCUAUUGAUAUUGGGACAGAAAUCAAGAACAUAAUUUAGGCUACCAAGAAAUCUUUGUAAUUGAGUUUUGUCAAGGAUUUUAUCAGGGAAUUUAUCAGCAAAUAAAAGUGAUCUUUCAAUAGGGGUGAUUGUUCCUUUUGAAAUAUAGUGACCAAGAAAUCUGAUUUUUCGUUUGAAAUAAUGAAAUCUUUGAACUAGAAAGGGCUAGUCCAGCCUUUUUUGUAGCAAAAUAAAAAGUCUUUAAAUGUUUGAAAUGUGAUCGAUUGAAUUUGAAAAUAUCAAAACAUCAUCAAUAUAAAACAAUGCAAAAAUCAGAAUAAGGAUUAUAAAUAUCAUUCAUAAUUCUUUGAAAUUCUGAGGGUGCAUUCUUUAAACCAAAGGGCAUAACAGUCCAUUCGUAUUGUCCAAAUGGAACAGUGAAAGCGGUUUGUAACGGUCAUUUGGAUGAAUUUGAAUUUGCCAAAAACCCGAUUUCAUGUCGAAUUUUGAAAAAAUAAAGGCAGAACAGAGUUUUUGGAGUAAAUCUUUUUUAUUAGGUAUAGGAUACCUAAUCCAUUUUAAAGCUUUAUUCAAAGGUUUGUAGUUUAUAACUAGUCUUGGAGUGCCUCUUUCAAUUUUCGGAAGUUUUUGUUAACAUAAAAAGCAGCACAAGACCAAGGAGACCUGGAUUUUACAAUGAGUCCUUUAGACCCAAGUCUUUGAUUUCAUUUUUACAAUGUUUUUCUAAAUCCAUAUUCAUUUGAAUUGGACGAGCUUUGGUCGGAAUCUGUUUUUCAUCAAAAGAAUUUUCAUAAGGCAGGUCUACUAAAUGUUGUUUUCUAUUCCAAAAAGCAGAAGGUAGAUCAGCACAAAUUUCUUUUCAAUAAGAGUUUUUGAAAUCAGAAAUUUUCUUUUAAUGAAAUCACUUUGUAAUUGGCUUUCAACUCUUUGUAAGUUCAAAUCUUUUUGUAAAAACAUUAGAUCACACUGUUUGAUUUAAGUAAAAUUGUUUAUUCUAUUUUGAUAAAUAGAACAGGCUUUAACAAUAUUUAAAUUUCUUGUUUUAGGUUUUUCAAUAAAAGGGAAAACAAGUUUCUUGUUUUUGCUUUGAAAAGAUAUACUAUCAUAAUUGACAGUAUAAACGGAGUUAUGAGAUUUAUAAAAGGAGUUCCCAAAAUAAUGGCAUGAUGAAUAUCAUUUGUGAGAACAAAGGAAGUUUUAAAAUCAAAACCAUCAUUAUAGAUCGAGGCUUCAACCUUGGAACUGACAUUCAAUUUUGAAUUAUUGGCGGCAGAAAGCCUUUCUUUGUUUUUCAUGAAAUCUUUUGGGGACGAUAUCUUCUCUAAUGCAAUUUAAAAUCGGCGCCAGUAUCAAAAAGGGCAUGGCGUCAUCGCAAAAUCAUCAGAAAAGAUUAGAGUGACUUUAAUCAAAUACUUUCUUGUGGUGAUUUGUUUUAGAACAAAUAGAAAAUCAUUGGGUACAGACUCAAUAUUUUCUACUUUAAUAUCAUCACCAUCAAUAUCAGGACUGGAUUCAUUGUCUGAAUUAUCCUGUAAUUGCUUUUGUAAAAGAAGUUGAAUAAUAUCAGAAUCACUUUUUUUUGUUUUUUCUUUAAAUCUCUGAUUUCACUUUGAUUUCUUUUAUCUCUUUCUGAAGAUCUUGGAUAUUAGGAAUCAUCUUUUUUGUUUUCUUCUUAUCCAAAAUUGAGUAAGAUCAUAAGAAUUCUUUUUAAUAAUUGGGACUCUAGAAGUCUCGGCUUUAUUAAAAUCCAAUGUUUUCAAAAGUUUAUCAAGGUAUUCCUUUGAAGAUUUGGAUCAGAAAUAUGCUUUACAAAGUUCAAGAAAAGUUUCUUGGUCUUUAGUCAAAACAUUGAUUUUCUUUAAAAAUGAAUCAGAUUCAGAAUCACUACUGCUAGAUGCAGAGUCAUCUGAGUCAAAAAAGCUCAUCAACUGGUAAGGGUCACUGUCUCCCGACAUGGAAGACUCAGAAUCAGAAGAUUCGACAAGAAGAGGGGCUAUUUUAGAAAGGAUGUCCUCAUUGAGGUCAAGUUCUUGGAGUCUUUUGUUCAUUCUGCAAAAUUUUGCAGUAUGACCUUUCAUACCACAUUUGAAACAUGUGGCCUCCUUGAAGUUGAAUGGGGUAUUAGGUUUGGCUUUGAAAUCUUUCUUUUUAGAGAAACUAUGUCUCUUAUAAGGCUUCGAAGGUUUCUUAUAAGGAAGUUUUCUAAAAUCACGGAAGGGUUUUCUAAAAUGUUUAGAUUUUGUAAUGUUUCUUACGAGGUUUUGUAGAACACACUCCAUUACAAUCUUUGGAAGUUUUAAAGGGUCAUAAUUGAAUUGCUUACAGAAACCGCCUAAUUCCUGUUUAGACUUCUUAAGCUCCCACUUAAGACGUUUCUGUAAUUUCAAAAUCUUGACAAAUCUUUAAACCUUCUUUGUUGACAAAACUGACUAGUUCACCAUAGGUGAGCUCGUCAUAAGGAAUACGGUUAUCGUAAAGGGCUUUGAUGGAAUUUCUUACCUUUUCAACCUAAAAGGGUAGGUAAUCCAGCAAGAAAUUUUUCUUUCCAAGUAAUAUGAUUUGCAUCAUCCCUUAGAAAUAGUCUGUAAGGAAAGAGGUUUUGUAACUCUGAAAUUCACUAAGUUUUCUACAUCUCAAAUUAUGUAGUAACUUCAGCGUUUUUAUCACGAAGGUGAGAAGGGUCACCGAUGAAAUGGAGGGAAAUGGUUAGAAUAAGAGUAGCAACAGCAUCCUGGAUAGGGUUGUUGAACUCAUCAAGAAUAGAGGCUCCAUUUUCAUCUUUUUGGACGGAAUUUAGAAUGUCAAAUUGUUGCUGAUUAGUGAGAAGAUGAUCCACCAACCUUUUAGUUGACCAGUAAAACCAGCAAUUAGGAUUUCUGAUAUGGCACGAUCAGAAGUUCCUGCUUGGGUUUUAUAAGCAUUAGCUGCCAUUGUCAUUUGUUGCAACAAUCCAAGGAUAUUGUACUCAGACAUGCGUCAAUAUUCCACUCAUAGACUGAAGAUGCAUUAUAACGGGAUUGAUUUAAUGCACUAGGUCUAUUAUCUAUUGCUAGAUCUGGUGGGGUCUUGACAGUGGGAAGGGCUAAUUCCCAGUGGAUUUUGUUGGCUUUAGGAGUAGAAGGUUCUUCUUUGAAAGCUUCUAAGUCAGAAGAGGCUAUAGAACUCUGGUCAUCUAGAUCCAAUACUCCAAUCUUGCUAGAUUGGGGGGUAUCGGGGGCUAUCUGGAGUUUGCUAGACGAGGAAGAAGCAGCUUCUAUCCUCUCUAGUUGUUCUCUAAUGGCUUUAGCAAAAUCUGAUUUUGACUCUUGAACAAGCCUUUGGCUAGUUUUCGAAACCUGAAAAGGUUUGAAAAUAGGUUCCUUAAGCUUUUUGUCAGAAUCCGAUUUUGAAGGAAUAGACAUAGGAAUAGGAGAAACAGAUAUAGGAGAUUUUUGAAAUUGGUUUUCUAUACGAGCCAAUUGCUUUCCAAUUGUAUUUAAGUUAGUAUUACAGAAAUUAUUCUGUUGUAUAAUACUACUUAAAUUCGCAUCAGAAUCAUUUGGUCUUGGGAUUUUGUAAGGGGAUGCUUUAAUCUCAAUAGGAGGUUCACCAUGAUCUAAUGGUUAUACUCCUAAGAGGUGGAUGAUCAGACUCUAUAAUCCUAUCAUUAUCAGAAAGUUUCCAUUCAGGAAUUUUCUUUCUAAUAGUUAUAGGGUUUGACUCUUUAAAAGGAUAAUCAUAUUGUUCUCAGAAGAAUAUAUUUCGAACCAAUCAAAAAACAAUAUAUGAACUUUAUGAAAAUUCACAAAUUCAUAAUAAGUUUGUUGGAUUUCUUUUCUUUGGUUUAAAAAAUGUUUAAAAAACCAAGUUCUUUUUUCUUUAUUUAUUUCUGAAUAAAAAUCGUUAUGCAGAAAGGCUUUAUCUAAUUCAAAUUCUUUUUCAAUGACAUUAAUGACAUUUUCUGUGACAGCAGAAAACGUAGGAGAUGUUGGAGGAGAAGGUUCCUUCUCUUCCUGUCUUUGCACAUGUUGACUACUAGUGUAUAUAGGAUGAGGAACACUUGUGGCAUAGUCAACGGAACGGAUGGAGGAGCUAGGUAUAUCCGAAGUGGAAAACCUAGGUUGGCUCUGAUAUGGGAGAUUUAUAACAGAAGGUACUUUUGUAAACUUCCUUUCUAGUGAAGGAAUGCUUGGGCUCGAUUCUUUUUCAGAAAAUCUAUGUGAGGUAGACCUUCUGAAUGAUAGUUUGACUUUACCAUCGGAAUACUGGGUCACAUUUUUGUAACUCUGUAUUUGGCUCAAGUUGUUUCGGAAUCGCUGGUGGGGCGGCUCCUUCGAGGAUCCAUUCAUCUGGAAGAUGGAUAUCUUUUCCAUUGGAUCGAUUUUGGAAUGACCAUGUUGGCUUUAGACAAAUCAGUCUGCAAGAGAAGGGUCUCAUCUCUCUUCGACUGGUAUUUAUGCUGUGUGCUAAAUGCAGAAAUCAUGGCUUUAUAGGAAAUUUAAAAAUUAAUGCAACUGGGAUGGAUCCCUUAAUCAUGUGAUAAUUAUGGGUUUGGAUUUGUAAAAUCAUGCUCUUUAAAAUAUUUUUGUCUUUAAGAGAAAUUGUUAUAUUUGGAUAACAAUCAAAAGAUAUGGGACCUUUACAUAGACUAGAUUCGAUACUACUUAGUAAAGAAUCAUCAAAAGAGAUGAAUCGCCCAUCUCUAAGAACAGCAAGGAUAGAGGUAUCCAAGCCUUCUUUGGUCAAAGGUUUUAUUCCUACUUGGAUUAAACCAAUGUGAAUAUAUUUGAAAUUCUUUUCUUUUAAUUUCUUUAAAGAUUUUUUCUGAAAACAAAUAAAUUGUUUCAAAAGGCUCCGAAAGAGUUAUGUCUCUUUCUUCAGUUUUUAUAAUAUAAUCAUGUUUUAAAAGAUCAAGCAUUUUGUUUUGUAAAUCUUUUCUUUGGAAAUUUUUGGAAGUUCCCAACAAUCAAUUGCUUUAUCAAAGUUUUCAAUAACGAAUUCUUCUGAACUCACAACAUGCUUUGAAUCACUAGUCUUCCCGGAAGAAGAGCUAGAAAAAGACGAUGUUCUACAGUGUAGAGGGUUCAUGGGUAAAAACCUAUGAUCUAUUUAGUGGUUUUGAAAGAAUGGCUACAGGUAUGGUUUUACAGCCCUAAACGGAAAACUUAUCCUUAGACGGACUUUACUACCAGUAAAAAUUCACCACAAAAACAAAACUUCAAAAUAAAACACAAGUUUUCAAAACACAAAACUCUAAACUGCUUUACACAAUCCUCCCCUUGGCUCUGAUACCAGAAGGAAAUAGGAUCGAAGGAUGGGUGUGUAUUGAAGAUGCUUCUUUAUUGAUUGCUUUAAUGAAAUAAUUGGAUCGCGGUUGUUCAGAUUUUAUAUAAGAUUACCAGCUUUAGAUUAAGUAGAUUUGUUUUAGAGCAUACAAUGAUCAAACAAAUUUGAACGCGGUUGGUCAAAUUUUUAGAAUAUUUAAAGUACGUGCGUUGUUAGACCAGAUCGAUCGCAGAAGUUAAUCUGCCUUUGGACCCAGAUCUGACUUAGAACAGAUCAAUAGUCCGCACGUUCGGGUUUCCAGCCUAUAUACUUUAAUAUAUUUACCAGAUAAAAUUAAGUUGCUUUAAACGUGGUUGUUUCUUUUUAUUGGGCUAAUUCCAGAUUUAAAUUAGAUUCUUUAAGGGGCUUGGGUACAUACACAGUACCAGAUCCGGAUCCGGAAAUGGUGCUCUGAAGGAAUGGAGGAAGAAGAGAAGAUUUACAACUGAGGAUCGAGAUCCGGUCUCUUUGCCUCAGAGGAACGUACAAAUUUUAUGGCAGAUCUGAUAAAGACCAGUCUGCUUUGCAUGCUUUGAAAAGAAAAUUGCUUUAAAAAUAAAUUGCUUUAAUGUAAAUAUGCAUGAAAUUAAAUUGCAGAAAAGUAAAUUGCGAAAAUUUAAAUUACAUCGAAAUUAAAUAACUGAAAUUUAAACAUACAUCUUUGCUUUGAUAGUCUUGGUCUUUACAAUUUUCAAAUCUUUCCUGAAGGGAAGAUUGAAAGACGGGAAGAUUACAAGACAGGAAUGGUUUCCUUGAUGUCUUGGACUGUUCAUCAAAUUUUGACCACCAUUUGACUUUAAAGGUUCUUUGAAGGAUGACUUGGGAAUCUUGAGUAUGAAAACGGAGGUUCCACAUCCAGACCCAUGGUAGGAAGAAGUUUGUACAAAAACAGAGAAAGGGGGGAAAUCUUUUCUCUGAGUCAGAGGGCAUAUAGUGGGCUUUAAAGAGGUUUAGGCAAUUUAUGGCAUUUGGAGUGAGGAUUUGAGGUAUUGGGCCAAAGAAAUUCCACCAAUGAUGGAACCAGUUUGGAAGGCUUUGGACGGUUAUUUUAGGGUUAAAGAAAAAUAACCAAGAAUGGGAUUUUUUAGGGUUUUGAAUAAAAAAGGUGUUAUACCAUGCUUGUUGGUAAUCCCAGUAGGAGAAAGUCCGACAAUGUGGUAAACGGGUUUCAAAGUUUAAAGGAAAGAUUUUGAAAUUGUGGAGUAGGUCGCCCCACUGUUCGGGCUCAAAACUUUUAGAAUCGUGGCCGUGGAAUAGGCCGGUUCAGAAUGGGUUUUAUCAAGAAAGAAAUGUUUGAAUUUAACUGAUUCAGUUAUUUCUAAAAUGCUUUGAUAAUAAGACUGGGGUUUUGUCAAAUCCCAUGGUUUGAAAAACCAGCCUUUGGGAAAAAACUUUGAAAUGCUUUGAAAAGGAUCAGUAUGGUAAAAUCCAUCUUCCAUAGAAAGAAUAUUUUGAAAAUGGGUUUUAUCAAACCAAUCGGAGGUUUUCUUUGAAGGUGUUGGCUGAGAAAGCACAAUUUGGGAAGAUGAGCUUUCGGCAGAGACAACAACAUUUUGAGAGGAGGGUUUUGUAAUUUCUUUAGAUGUGGAUAUGCUCUUAAUUUCUUUUUUAGGAGAAUUUUGGCUCUGGGAAAGGUUUUGUAGAGCGAGCAUGAGCUCGGGAGAUUUUGUAAUGGAACUCAUCCAAUGCUUUACUUGAUCAUCAGAAGAGAUGGGUUUGUAUUGGGCUUCAUGUUCUUCAACCAAUUCAAUCCAUGAUUUGAUGGGUAGGGCAGAAGAAAGUAAUUUUUCUUUAGAAGGGGUUGACUGGGGUUCUUUGGAAGGUUCUUGAGAUCCGGAACUUUUGAGAACAGCUUUACCUUUGUCUUUCUUUAGCGGCAUUAUCUGUUUUGAAGAAAUUCUCUGGUUAGAAAAUCAGGAACAGAAUUUUUAUCACCUUUAAUGAAUUCUAUAUCAAAAUCAAAAACACUCAAAAUAGCUUGCCAACGUGCAAAAAUUUGUUUUGAUGCAAUGUUUUGAACAUCCUUUUCUAAAACAUGUUUUGCAGCUUUGCAAUCAAUUCUAAGUAAAAAUUUUUGAUUUAAUAAAUCACUUUGAAAUUUUGUAAUGCAUAAAACAAUGGAAAGAAUUUCUUUUUUAAUAGUAGAAUAAUUUUUCUGACAAUCAUUCCAAUGUGCAGAAACAUAUUGUACUAUCUGUUCUCUAUCAUUUUCUUUUUGUUUUAAUAUACCUCCAUAUCCUAAAUCAGAUGCAUCAGUUUCAACAAUUUUAGGGAAUGCAGGAUUUGCAAGAUAUAGACAUGGGAUGCUUUUAACAGAACUCUUUAUUAAUUUAACAGCUUUAGUAUGUUCAUCUGUCCAUGGAGCAGGUUUUUUCUUUAAACGAUCAUGCAAAGGUUUAGACAACCUAUUGAUAUUGGGACAGAAAUCAAGAACAUAAUUUAGGCUACCAAGAAAUCUUUGUAAUUGAGUUUUGUCAAGGAUUUUAUCAGGGAAUUUAUCAGCAAAUAAAAGUGAUCUUUCAAUAGGGGUGAUUGUUCCUUUUGAAAUAUAGUGACCAAGAAAUCUGAUUUUCGUUUGAAAUAAUGAAAUCUUUGAACUAGAAAGGGCUAGUCCAGCCUUUUUUGUAGCAAAAUAAAAAGUCUUUAAAUGUUUGAAAUGUUGAUCGAUUGAAUUUGAAAAUAUCAAAACAUCAUCAAUAUAAACAAUGCAAAAAUCAGAAUAAGGAUUAUAAAUAUCAUUCAUAAUUCUUUGAAAUUCUGAGGGUGCAUUCUUUAAACCAAAGGGCAUAACAGUCCAUUCGUAUUGUCCAAAUGGAACAGUGAAAGCGGUUUUGUAACGGUCAUUUGGAUGAAUUUGAAUUUGCCAAAAACCCGAUUUCAUGUCGAAUUUUGAAAAAAUAAAGGCAGAACAGAGUUUUUGGAGUAAAUCUUUUUUAUUAGGUAUAGGAUACCUAAUCCAUUUUAAAGCUUUAUUCAAAGGUUUGUAGUUUAUAACUAGUCUUGGAGUGCCUCUUUCAAUUUCGAAGUUUUUGUUAACAUAAAAAGCAGCACAAGACCAAGGAGACCUGGAUUUUACAAUGAGUCCUUUAGACUCCAAGUCUUUGAUUUCAUUUUUACAAUGUUUUUCUAAAUCCAUAUUCAUUUGAAUUGGACGAGCUUUGGUCGGAAUCUGUUUUUCAUCAAAAGAAUUUUCAUAAGGCAGGUCUACUAAAUGUUGUUUUCUAUUCCAAAAAGCAGAAGGUAGAUCAGCACAAAUUUCUUUUUCAAUAAGAGUUUUGAAAUCAGAAAAUUUUCUUUUAAUGAAAUCACUUUGUAAUUGGCUUUCAACUCUUUGUAAGUUCAAAUCUUUUUGUAAAAACAUUAGAUCACACUGUUUUGAUUUAAGUAAAUUGUUUAUUCUAUUUUGAUAAAUAGAACAGGCUUUAACAAUAUUUAAAUUUCUUGUUUUAGGUUUUUCAAUAAAAGGGAAAACAAGUUUCUUGUUUUUUGCUUUGAAAGAUAUACUAUCAUAAUUGACAGUAUACGGAGUUAUGAGAUUUAUAAAAGGAGUUCCCAAAAUAAUGGCAUGAUGAAUAUCAUUUGUGAGAACAAAGGAAGUUUUAAAAUCAAAACCAUCAUUAUAGAUCGAGGCUUCAACCUUGGAACUGACAUUCAAUUUUGAAUUAUUGGCGGCAGAAAGCCUUUCUUUUGUUUUUUCAUGAAAUCUUUUGGGGACGAUAUCUUCUCUAAUGCAAUUUAAAUCGGCGCCAGUAUCAAAAAGGGCAAUGGCGUCCAUCGCAAAAUCAUCAGAAAAGAUUAGAGUGACUUUAAUCAAAUACUUUCUUGUGGUGAUUUGUUUUAGAACAAAUAGAAAAUCAUUGGGUACAGACUCAAUAUUUUCUACUUUAAUAUCAUCACCAUCAAUAUCAGGACUGGAUUCAUUGUCUGAAUUAUCCUGUAAUUGCUUUUGUAAAAGAAGUUGAAUAAUAUCAGAAUCACUUUUUUGUUUUUCUUUUAAAUCUCUGAUUUCACUUUUGAUUUCUUUUAUCUCUUUCUGAAGAUCUUGGAUAUUAGGAAUCAUCUUUUUUGUUUUCUUCUUAUCCAAAAUUUGAGUAAGAUCAUAAGAAUUCUUUUUAAUAAUUGGGACUCUAGAAGUCUCGGCUUUAUUAAAAUCCAAUGUUUUCAAAAGUUUAUCAAGGUAUUCCUUUUGAAGAUUUGGAUCAGAAAUAUGCUUUACAAGUUCAAGAAAAGUUUCUUGGUCUUUAGUCAAAACAUUGAUUUUCUUUAAAAAUGAAUCAGAUUCAGAAUCACUACUGCUAGAUGCAGAGUCAUCUGAGUCAAAAAGCUCAUCAACUUGGUAAGGGUCACUGUCUCCCGACAUGGAAGACUCAGAAUCAGAAGAUUCGACAAGAAGAGGGGCUAUUUUAGAAAGGAUGUCCUCAUUGAGGUCAAGUUCUUGGAGUCUUUUGUUCAUUCUGCAAAAUUUUGCAGUAUGACCUUUCAUACCACAUUUGAAACAUGUGGCCUCCUUGAAGUUGAAUGGGGUAUUAGGUUUGGCUUUGAAAUCUUUCUUUUUAGAGAAACUAUGUCUCUUAUAAGGCUUCGAAGGUUUCUUAUAAGGAAGUUUUCUAAAAUCACGGAAGGGUUUUCUAAAAUGUUUAGAUUUGUAAUGUUUCUUACGAGGUUUUGUAGAACACUCUCCAUUACAAUCUUUGGAAGUUUUAAAGGGGUCAUAAUUGAAUUGCUUACAGAAACCGCCUAAUUCCUGUUUAGACUUCUUAAGCUCCCACUUAAGACGUUUCUGUAAUUUCAAAUCUUGACAAAUCUUUAAAACCUUCUUUGUUGACAAAACUGACUAGUUCACCAUAGGUGAGCUCGUCAUAAGGAAUACGGUUAUCGUAAAGGGCUUUGAUGGAAUUUCUUACCUUUUCACCUAAAAGGGUAGGUAAUCCAGCAAGAAAUUUUUCUUUCCAAGUAAUAUGAUUUGCAUCAUCCCUUAGAAAUAGUCUGGUAAGGAAAGAGGUUUUGUAACUCUGAAAUUCACUAAGUUUUCUACAUCUCAAAUUAUGUAGUAACUCAGCGUUUUUAUCACGAAGGUGAGAAGGGUCACCGAUGAAAUGGAGGGAAAUGGUUAGAAUAAGAGUAGCAACAGCAUCCUGGAUAGGGUUGUUGAACUCAUCAAGAAUAGAGGCUCCAUUUUCAUCUUUUUGGACGGAAUUUAGAAUGUCAAAUUGUUGCUGAUUAGUGAGAAGAUGAUCCCACCAACCUUUUAGUUGACCAGUAAAACCAGCAAUUAGGAUUUCCGAUAUGGCACGAUCAGAAGUUCCUGCUUGGGUUUUAUAAGCAUUAGCUGCCAUUGUCAUUUGUUGCAACAAUCCAAGGAUAUUGUACUCAGACAUGCCGUCAAUAUUCCACUCAUAGACUGAAGAUGCAUUAUAACGGGAUUGAUUUAAUGCACUAGGUCUAUUAUCUAUUGCUAGAUCUGGUGGGGUCUUGACAGUGGGAAGGGCUAAUUCCCAGUGGAUUUUGUUGGCUUUAGGAGUAGAAGGUUCUUCUUUGAAAGCUUCUAAGUCAGAAGAGGCUAUAGAACUCUGGUCAUCUAGAUCCAAUACUCCAAUCUUGCUAGAUUGGGGGGUAUCGGGGGCUAUCUGGAGUUUGCUAGACGAGGAAGAAGCAGCUUCUAUCCUCUCUAGUUGUUCUCUAAUGGCUUUAGCAAAAUCUGAUUUUGACUCUUGAACAAGCCUUUGGCUAGUUUUCGAAACCUGAAAAGGUUUGAAAAUAGGUUCCUUAAGCUUUUUGUCAGAAUCCGAUUUUGAAGGAAUAGACAUAGGAAUAGGAGAAACAGAUAUAGGAGAUUUUUGAAAUUGGUUUUCUAUACGAGCCAAUUGCUUUCCAAUUGUAUUUAAGUUAGUAUUACAGAAAUUAUUCUGUUGUAUAAUACUACUUAAAUUCGCAUCAGAAUCAUUUGGUCUUGGGAUUUUGUAAGGGGAUGCUUUAAUCUCAAUAGGAGGUUCACCAUGAUCUAUGGUUAUACUCCUAAGAGGUGGAUGAUCAGACUCUAUAAUCCUAUCAUUAUCAGAAAGUUUCCAUUCAGGAAUUUUCUUUCUAAUAGUUAUAGGGUUUGACUCUUUAAAAGGAUAAUCAAUAUUGUUCUCAGAAGAAUAUAUUUCGAACCAAUCAAAAAACAAUAUAUGAACUUUAUGAAAAUUCACAAAUUCAUAAUAAGUUUGUUGGAUUUCUUUUCUUUGGUUUAAAAAAUGUUUAAAAAACCAAGUUCUUUUUUUCUUUAUUUAUUUCUGAAUAAAAAUCGUUAUGCAGAAAGGCUUUAUCUAAUUCAAAUUCUUUUUCAAUGACAUUAAUGACAUUUUCUGUGACAGCAGAAAACGUAGGAGAUGUUGGAGGAGAAGGUUCCUUCUCUUCCUGUCUUUGCACAUGUUGACUACUAGUGUAUAUAGGAUGAGGAACACUUGUGGCAUAGUCAACGGAACGGAUGGAGGAGCUAGGUAUAUCCGAAGUGGAAAACCUAGGUUGGCUCUGAUAUGGGAGAUUUAUAACAGAAGGUACUUUUGUAAACUUCCUUUCUAGUGAAGGAAUGCUUGGGCUCGAUUCUUUUUCAGAAAAUCUAUGUGAGGUAGACCUUCUGAAUGAUAGUUUGACUUUACCAUCGGAAUACUGGGUCACAUUUUGUAACUCUGUAUUUGGCUCAAGUUGUUUCGGAAUCGCCGGUGGGGCGGCUCCUUCGAGGAUCCAUUCAUCUGGAAGAUGGAUAUCUUUCCAUUGGAUCGAUUUUGGAAUGACCAUGUUGGCUUUAGACAAAUCAGUCUGCAAGAGAAGGGUCUCAUCUCUCUUCGACUGGUAUUUAUGCUGUGUGCUAAAUGCAGAAAUCAUGGCUUUAUAGGAAAUUUUAAAAAUUAAUGCAACUGGGAUGGAUCCCUUAAUCAUGUGAUAAUUAUGGGUUUGGAUUUGUAAAAUCAUGCUCUUUAAAAUAUUUUUGUCUUUAAGAGAAAUUGUUAUAUUUGGAUAACAAUCAAAAGAUAUGGGACCUUUACAUAGACUAGAUUCGAUACUACUUAGUAAAGAAUCAUCAAAAGAGAUGAAUCGCCCAUCUCUAAGAACAGCAAGGAUAGAGGUAUCCAAACCUUCUUUGGUCAAAGGUUUUAUUCCUACUUGGAUUAAACCAAUGUGAAUAUAUUUGAAAUUCUUUUCUUUUAAUUUCUUUAAAGAUUUUUCUGAAAACAAAUAAAUUGUUUCAAAAGGCUCCGAAAGAGUUAUGUCUCUUUCUUCAGUUUUUAUAAUAUAAUCAUGUUUUAAAAGAUCAAGCAUUUUUGUUUUGUAAAUCUUUUCUUUGGAAAUUUUUGGAAGUUCCCAACAAUCAAUUGCUUUAUCAAAGUUUUCAAUAACGAAUUCUUCUGAACUCACAACAUGCUUUGAAUCACUAGUCUUCCCGGAAGAAGAGCUAGAAAAGGACGAUGUUCUACAGUGUAGAGGGUUCAUGGGUAAAAACCUAUGAUCUAUUUAGUGGUUUUGAAAGAAUGGCUACAGGUAUGGUUUUACAGCCCUAAACGGAAAACUUAUCCUUAGACGGGACUUACUACCAGUAAAAAUUCACCACAAAAACAAAACUUCAAAAUAAAACACAAGUUUUCAAAGCCAAGGGGAGGAUUGUGUAAAGCAGUUUAGAGUUUUGUGUUUUGAAAACUUGUGUUUUAUUUUGAAGUUUUGUUUUUGUGGUGAAUUUUUACUGGUAGUAAGUCCCGUCUAAGGAUAAGUUUUCCGUUUAGGGCUGUAAAACCAUACCUGUAGCCAUUCUUUCAAAACCACUAAAUAGAUCAUAGGUUUUUACCCAUGAACCCUCUACACUGUAGAACAUCGUCCUUUUCUAGCUCUUCUUCCGGGAAGACUAGUGAUUCAAAGCAUGUUGUGAGUUCAGAAGAAUUCGUUAUUGAAAACUUUGAUAAAGCAAUUGAUUGUUGGGAACUUCCAAAAAUUUCCAAAGAAAAGAUUUACAAAACAAAAAUGCUUGAUCUUUUAAAACAUGAUUAUAUUAUAAAAAACUGAAGAAAGAGACAUAACUCUUUCGGAGCCUUUUGAAACAAUUUAUUUGUUUUCAGAAAAAUCUUUAAAGAAAUUAAAAGAAAAGAAUUUCAAAUAUAUUCACAUUGGUUUAAUCCAAGUAGGAAUAAAACCUUUGACCAAAGAAGGCUUGGAUACCUCUAUCCUUGCUGUUCUUAGAGAUGGGCGAUUCAUCUCUUUUGAUGAUUCUUUACUAAGUAGUAUCGAAUCUAGUCUAUGUAAAGGUCCCAUAUCUUUUGAUUGUUAUCCAAAUAUAACAAUUUCUCUUAAAGACAAAAAUAUUUUAAAGAGCAUGAUUUUACAAAUCCAAACCCAUAAUUAUCACAUGAUUAAGGGAUCCAUCCCAGUUGCAUUAAUUUUUAAAAUUUCCUAUAAAGCCAUGAUUUCUGCAUUUAGCACACAGCAUAAAUACCAGUCGAAGAGAGAUGAGACCCUUCUCUUGCAGACUGAUUUGUCUAAAGCCAACAUGGUCAUUCCAAAAUCGAUCCAAUGGAAAGAUAUCCAUCUUCCAGAUGAAUGGAUCCUCGAAGGAGCCGCCCCACCGGCGAUUCCGAAACAACUUGAGCCAAAUACAGAGUUACAAAAUGUGACCCAGUAUUCCGAUGGUAAAGUCAAACUAUCAUUCAGAAGGUCUACCUCACAUAGAUUUUCUGAAAAAGAAUCGAGCCCAAGCAUUCCUUCACUAGAAAGGAAGUUUACAAAAGUACCUUCUGUUAUAAAUCUCCCAUAUCAGAGCCAACCUAGGUUUUCCACUUCGGAUAUACCUAGCUCCUCCAUCCGUUCCGUUGACUAUGCCACAAGUGUUCCUCAUCCUAUAUACACUAGUAGUCAACAUGUGCAAAGACAGGAAGAGAAGGAACCUUCUCCUCCAACAUCUCCUACGUUUUCUGCUGUCACAGAAAAUGUCAUUAAUGUCAUUGAAAAAGAAUUUGAAUUAGAUAAAGCCUUUCUGCAUAACGAUUUUUAUUCAGAAAUAAAUAAAGAAAAAAGAACUUGGUUUUUUAAACAUUUUUUAAACCAAAGAAAAGAAAUCCAACAAACUUAUUAUGAAUUUGUGAAUUUUCAUAAAGUUCAUAUAUUGUUUUUUGAUUGGUUCGAAAUAUAUUCUUCUGAGAACAAUAUUGAUUAUCCUUUUAAAGAGUCAAACCCUAUAACUAUUAGAAAGAAAAUUCCUGAAUGGAAACUUUCUGAUAAUGAUAGGAUUAUAGAGUCUGAUCAUCCACCUCUUAGGAGUAUAACCAUAGAUCAUGGUGAACCUCCUAUUGAGAUUAAAGCAUCCCCUUACAAAAUCCCAAGACCAAAUGAUUCUGAUGCGAAUUUAAGUAGUAUUAUACAACAGAAUAAUUUCUGUAAUACUAACUUAAAUACAAUUGGAAAGCAAUUGGCUCGUAUAGAAAACCAAUUUCAAAAAUCUCCUAUAUCUGUUUCUCCUAUUCCUAUGUCUAUUCCUUCAAAAUCGGAUUCUGACAAAAAGCUUAAGGAACCUAUUUUCAAACCUUUUCAGGUUUCGAAAACUAGCCAAAGGCUUGUUCAAGAGUCAAAAUCAGAUUUUGCUAAAGCCAUUAGAGAACAACUAGAGAGGAUAGAAGCUGCUUCUUCCUCGUCUAGCAAACUCCAGAUAGCCCCCGAUACCCCCCAAUCUAGCAAGAUUGGAGUAUUGGAUCUAGAUGACCAGAGUUCUAUAGCCUCUUCUGACUUAGAAGCUUUCAAAGAAGAACCUUCUACUCCUAAAGCCAACAAAAUCCACUGGGAAUUAGCCCUUCCCACUGUCAAGACUCCACCAGAUCUAGCAAUAGAUAAUAGACCUAGUGCAUUAAAUCAAUCCCGUUAUAAUGCAUCUUCAGUCUAUGAGUGGAAUAUUGACGGCAUGUCUGAGUACAAUAUCCUUGGAUUGUUGCAACAAAUGACAAUGGCAGCUAAUGCUUAUAAAACCCAAGCAGGAACUUCUGAUCGUGCCAUAUCGGAAAUCCUAAUUGCUGGUUUUACUGGUCAACUAAAAGGUUGGUGGGAUCAUCUUCUCACUAAUCAGCAACAAUUUGACAUUCUAAAUUCCGUCCAAAAAGAUGAAAAUGGAGCCUCUAUUCUUGAUGAGUUCAACAACCCUAUCCAGGAUGCUGUUGCUACUCUUAUUCUAACCAUUUCCCUCCAUUUCAUCGGUGACCCUUCUCACCUUCGUGAUAAAAACGCUGAGUUACUACAUAAUUUGAGAUGUAGAAAACUUAGUGAAUUUCAGAGUUACAAAACCUCUUUCCUUACCAGACUAUUUCUAAGGGAUGAUGCAAAUCAUAUUACUUGGAAAGAAAAAUUUCUUGCUGGAUUACCUACCCUUUUAGGUGAAAAGGUAAGAAAUUCCAUCAAAGCCCUUUACGAUAACCGUAUUCCUUAUGACGAGCUCACCUAUGGUGAACUAGUCAGUUUUGUCAACAAAGAAGGUUUAAAGAUUUGUCAAGAUUUGAAAUUACAGAAACGUCUUAAGUGGGAGCUUAAGAAGUCUAAACAGGAAUUAGGCGGUUUCUGUAAGCAAUUCAAUUAUGACCCCUUUAAAACUUCCAAAGAUUGUAAUGGAGAGUGUUCUACAAAACCUCGUAAGAAACAUUACAAAUCUAAACAUUUUAGAAAACCCUUCCGUGAUUUUAGAAAACUUCCUUAUAAGAAACCUUCGAAGCCUUAUAAGAGACAUAGUUUCUCUAAAAAGAAAGAUUUCAAAGCCAAACCUAAUACCCCAUUCAACUUCAAGGAGGCCACAUGUUUCAAAUGUGGUAUGAAAGGUCAUACUGCAAAAUUUUGCAGAAUGAACAAAAGACUCCAAGAACUUGACCUCAAUGAGGACAUCCUUUCUAAAAUAGCCCCUCUUCUUGUCGAAUCUUCUGAUUCUGAGUCUUCCAUGUCGGGAGACAGUGACCCUUACCAAGUUGAUGAGCUUUUUGACUCAGAUGACUCUGCAUCUAGCAGUAGUGAUUCUGAAUCUGAUUCAUUUUUAAAGAAAAUCAAUGUUUUGACUAAAGACCAAGAAACUUUUCUUGAACUUGUAAAGCAUAUUUCUGAUCCAAAUCUUCAAAAGGAAUACCUUGAUAAACUUUUGAAAACAUUGGAUUUUAAUAAAGCCGAGACUUCUAGAGUCCCAAUUAUUAAAAAGAAUUCUUAUGAUCUUACUCAAAUUUUGGAUAAGAAGAAAACAAAAAAGAUGAUUCCUAAUAUCCAAGAUCUUCAGAAAGAGAUAAAAGAAAUCAAAAGUGAAAUCAGAGAUUUAAAAGAAAAACAAAAAAAGUGAUUCUGAUAUUAUUCAACUUCUUUACAAAAGCAAUUACAGGAUAAUUCAGACAAUGAAUCCAGUCCUGAUAUUGAUGGUGAUGAUAUUAAAGUAGAAAAUAUUGAGUCUGUACCCAAUGAUUUUCUAUUUGUUCUAAAACAAAUCACCACAAGAAAGUAUUUGAUUAAAGUCACUCUAAUCUUUUCUGAUGAUUUUGCGAUGGACGCCAUUGCCCUUUUUGAUACUGGCGCCGAUUUAAAUUGCAUUAGAGAAGAUAUCGUCCCCAAAAGAUUUCAUGAAAAAACAAAAGAAAGGCUUUCUGCCGCCAAUAAUUCAAAAUUGAAUGUCAGUUCCAAGGUUGAAGCCUCGAUCUAUAAUGAUGGUUUUGAUUUUAAAACUUCCUUUGUUCUCACAAAUGAUAUUCAUCAUGCCAUUAUUUUGGGAACUCCUUUUAUAAAUCUCAUAACUCCGUAUACUGUCAAUUAUGAUAGUAUAUCUUUCAAAGCAAAAAACAAGAAACUUGUUUUCCCUUUUAUUGAAAAACCUAAAACAAGAAAUUUAAAUAUUGUUAAAGCCUGUUCUAUUUAUCAAAAUAGAAUAAACAUUUACUUAAAUCAAAACAGUGUGAUCUAAUGUUUUUACAAAAAGAUUUGAACUUACAAGAGUUGAAAGCCAAUUACAAAGUGAUUUCAUUAAAAGAAAAAUUUCUGAUUUCAAAAACUCUUAUUGAAAAAAGAAAUUUGUGCUGAUCUACCUCUGCUUUUUGGAAUAGAAAACAACAUUUAGUAGACCUGCCUUAUGAAAAUUCUUUUGAUGAAAAACAGAUUCCGACCAAAAGCUCGUCCAAUUCAAAUGAAUAUGGAUUUAGAAAAACAUUGUAAAAAUGAAAUCAAAGACUUGGAGUCUAAAGGACUCAUUGUAAAAUCCAGGUCUCCUUGGUCUUGUGCUGCUUUUUAUGUUAACAAAAACUUCGAAAUUGAAAGAGGCACUCCAAGACUAGUUAUAAACUACAAACCUUUGAAUAAAGCUUUAAAAUGGAUUAGGUAUCCUAUAUCUAAUAAAAAAGAUUUACUCCAAAAACUCUGUUCUGCCUUUAUUUUUUCAAAAUUCGACAUGAAAUCGGGUUUUUGGCAAAUUCAAAUUCAUCCAAAUGACCGUUACAAAACCGCUUUCACUGUUCCAUUUGGACAAUACGAAUGGACUGUUAUGCCCUUUGGUUUAAAGAAUGCACCCUCAGAAUUUCAAAGAAUUAUGAAUGAUAUUUAUAAUCAUUAUUCUGAUUUUUGCAUUGUUUAUAUUGAUGAUGUUUUGAUAUUUUCAAAUUCAAUCGAUCAACAUUUCAAACAUUUAAAGACUUUUUAUUUUGCUACAAAAAAAGGCUGGACUAGCCCUUUCUAGUUCAAAAGAUUUCAUUAUUUCAAACGAAAAUCAGAUUUCUUGGUCACUAUAUUUCAAAAGGAACAAUCACCCCUAUUGAAAGAUCACUUUUAUUUGCUGAUAAAUUCCCUGAUAAAAUCCUUGACAAAACUCAAUUACAAAGAUUUCUUGGUAGCCUAAAUUAUGUUCUUGAUUUCUGUCCCAAUAUCAAUAGGUUGUCUAAACCUUUGCAUGAUCGUUUAAAGAAAAAACCUGCUCCAUGGACAGAUGAACAUACUAAAGCUGUUAAAUUAAUAAAGAGUUCUGUUAAAAGCAUCCCAUGUCUAUAUCUUGCAAACCCUGCAUUCCCUAAAAUUGUUGAAACUGAUGCAUCUGAUUUAGGAUAUGGAGGUAUAUUAAAACAAAAAGAAAAUGAUAGAGAACAGAUAGUACAAUAUGUUUCUGCACAUUGGAAUGAUUGUCAGAAAAAUUAUUCUACUAUUAAAAAAGAAAUUCUUUCCAUUGUUUUAUGCAUUACAAAAUUUCAAAGUGAUUUAUUAAAUCAAAAUUUUUACUUAGAAUUGAUUGCAAAGCUGCAAAACAUGUUUUAGAAAAGGAUGUUCAAAACAUUGCAUCAAAACAAAUUUUUGCACGUUGGCAAGCUAUUUUGAGUGUUUUUUGAUUUUGAUAUAGAAUUCAUUAAAGGUGAUAAAAAUUCUGUUCCUGAUUUUCUAACCAGAGAAUUUCUUCAAAACAGAUAAUGCCGCUAAAGAAAGACAAAGGUAAAGCUGUUCUCAAAAGUUCCGGAUCUCAAGAACCUUCCAAAGAACCCCAGUCAACCCCUUCUAAAGAAAAAUUACUUUCUUCUGCCCUACCCAUCAAAUCAUGGAUUGAAUUGGUUGAAGAACAUGAAGCCCAUUACAAACCCAUCUCUUCUGAUGAUCAAGUAAAGCAUUGGAUGAGUUCCAUUACAAAAUCUCCCGAGCUCAUGCUCGCUCUACAAAACCUUUCCCAGAGCCAAAAUUCUCCUCAAAAAGAAAUUAAGAGCAUAUCCACAUCUAAAGAAAUUACAAAAACCCUCCUCUCAAAAUGUUGUUGUCUCUGCCGAAAGCUCAUCUUCCCAAAUUGUGCUUUCUCAGCCAACACCUUCAAAGAAAACCUCCGAUUGGUUUGAUAAAACCCAUUUUCAAAAUAUUCUUUCUAUGGAAGAUGGAUUUUACCAUACUGAUCCUUUUCAAAGCAUUUCAAAGUUUUUUUCCCAAAGGCUGGUUUUUUCAAAACCAUGGGAUUUUGACAAAACCCCAGUCUUAUUAUCAAAGCAUUUUUAGAAAUAACUGAAUCAGUUAAAUUCAAACAUUUCUUUCUUGAUAAAAACCCAUUCUGAACCGGCCUAUUCCACGGCCACGAUUCUAAAAGUUUUUGAGCCCGAACCAGUGGGCGACCUACUCCACAAUUUCAAAACCUUUCCUUUAAACUUUGAAAACCCGUUUACCACAUUGUCGGACUUUCUCCUACUGGGAUUACCAACAAGCAUGGUAUAACACCUUUUUUAUUCAAAACCCUAAAAAAUCCCAUUCUUGGUUAUUUUUUCUUUAACCCUAAAAUAACCGUCCAAAGCCUUCCAAACUGGUUUCCAUCAUUGGUGGAAUUUCUUUGGCCCAAUACCUUCAAAUCCUCACUCCAAAUGCCAAUAAAUUGCCUAAACCUCUUUAAAGCCCACUAUAUGCCCUCUGACUCAGAGAAAAGAUUUCCCCCCUUUCUCUGUUUUUGUACAAACUUCUUCCUACCAUGGGUCUGGGAUGUGGAACCUCCGUUUUCAUACUCAAGAUUCCCAAAGUCAUCCUUCAAAGAACCUUUAAAGUCAAAUGGUGGUCAAAAUUUGAUGAACAGUCCAAAACUGACUGUUAACAUGAUCAAAGAUUGGCUCUCCUCUAAAAAACCUUCUCCAACCAACCCUAGAAGCCUCUAAAGCCCAACAGACCUUCUUAACCCAAAAAAUCCAAAGCCCAGUCUCUUUUGGCAAGUGCCAAGACAGAAGAAGGAAUACUUCAAAGCAAUGGAACAGCUCCUCGCCUCCCGUUCAAAGUCAUCAGUAGCUGACACCUCUGAGACGAAGACGAUGAUGAAGAUGAAGAGCCCUUCAUUUCUCUUGGAGACGAAAAUGAAGAUGAUUGUUUUCGGCAUUUUUUCUCCUAUAAAGCAUUGUAAAUAAUUAUUUGGUUAUUUACUUAAAAAAAAAAAAAAAAAAAAAAAAAAAAGAAAAGAGUAAUUUUCUCUCGGGUGGUCCCUUGGACACAAGUGAGAGCGCACAUGUCUCUUCACCCGUGUUGUAUUUCAUUAUGUAUUUCAAUUUUUGUACAAAGUAGUCUACUGUUCAAAGCUACGGUCAGCCUACUAUUCAAAGCUACGAUCCAAAGAUUACUGUGCACUCAAACUCCGCUACAGUGAACAGUGCAAAAUUCCAAAGAUUACUGUGCACUCAAAGCUCCGCUACAGUGAACAGUUUUACAAAAUUUUGUAUAUAAACCAAGAGGAAGACUCAGACUCCUCAGGUUUUUUCAUUUUUCUCUUCUUCUCCUCCUUCUCUCUAGAUCUCUCUCUCUCUCUCUCUCUCUCUUGGGAAGUCUGGAUCAAAGACAUCAAGGAAACCAUUCCUGUCUUGUAAUCUUCCCGUCUUUCAAUCUUCCCUUCAGGAAAGAUUUGAAAUUGUAAAGACCAAGACUAUCAAAGCAAAGAUGUAUGUUUAAAUUUCAGUUAUUUAAUUUCGAUGUAAUUUAAAUUUUCGCAAUUUACUUUUCUGCAAUUUAAUUUCAUGCAUAUUUACAUUAAAGCAAUUUAUUUUUAAAGCAAUUUUUCUUUUCAAAGCAUGCAAAGCAGACUGGUCUUUAUCAGAUCUGCCAUAAAAUUUGUACGUUCCUCUGAGGCAAAGAGACCGGAUCUCGAUCCUCAGUUGUAAAUCUUCUCUUCUUCCUCCAUUCCUUCAGAGCACCAUUUCCGGGAUCCGGAUCUGGUACUGUGUAUGUACCCAAGCCCCUUAAAGAAUCUAAUUUAAAUCUGGAAUUAGCCCAAUAAAAAGAAACAACCACGUUUAAAGCAACUUAAUUUUUAUCUGGUAAAUAUAUUAAAGUAUAUAGGCUGGAAACCCGAACGUGCGGACUAUUGAUCUGUUCUAAGUCAGAUCUGGGUCCAAAGGCAGAUUAACUUCUGCGAUCCGAUCUGGUCUAACAACGCCACGUACUUUAAAUAUUCUAAAAAUUUGACCAAACCGCGUUCAAAUUUGUUUGAUCAUUGUAUGCUCUAAAAACAAAUCUACUUAAUCUAAAGCUGGUAAUCUUAUAUAAAAUCUGAACAACCGCGAUCCAAUUAUUUCAUUAAAGCAAUCAAUAAAGAAGCAUCUUCAAUACACACCCAUCCUUCGAUCCUAUUUCCUUCUGGUAUAUAUAUAUAUAUAUAUAUAUAUAUAUAUAUAUAUUGUGCAUAUUUUGCAACGUAUAGAUAAUUGUUAGUAUAUGGAGACAAGUCUUUUAAGGUAGGACCUAAGAAAAUUUAUAACUUACUACACUGUAGAGUUUUUAUUCCUUUUUAUAAUUGGCUCAUAUUGAUACAUUCUUACACAAAUAUUACCAUUGACAUAUUUUACUACAAUUAGUUUAGAACAUUUGUUAGGAAAAAAAAAAAAGAAAGAAACAUCCUUGGAUGUAGCUCUCCUGACUAUUUAAAUCUUUUAAGGAAAAAAAGAAAAAAGAAAAACUGACACAUUCAAAUCUUGAAGCAAUUACAUUAAAACCUCUCCAUAAUGAUAGGAAUAAUCUCCAUUUAGUAAUAAAAAAUUUUGUUCGCAAUUUAGGCAGAGUUAUAAAUAAGAAUAAAAUCCUCAUUGUAUAAGUUAUAUUUAUUAUGGAUCCCAUCCUAAGGAACUUGUCUCUAUAUAGUAAUAAUUAUUUGCAUAUUAUAAAUAUAUAUGUUGCAUUAAAUUAAAUGAACUUGUCUCCACAUACUACUUAGACAACGAGAGAAAGUUAUUAAAGAGAACACAAAUAUUUAGAGAUUUUUAAGAUGACUUUGCAUAUUUAUAACAAUAAUACAUUGAUAUAUUUAUAUAUUAGAUUUGACAUGCUCUAUUAAUAAAUUAUUAAACGAUGCAUACUUCAUCUCUAUAUCCUUGCAAUAAAAGUAACUAAGUUAUAACAAUAAUUAUUAAUAAAUUAUUAAUACGUUGCGUACUUCAUCUCUAUAUCCUUACAAUAAAAGUAACUAAGUUAUAACGAUAAUUUUUGUAACUACAUGCUUAUUAGGUUUUAACUACUUCAUAAUAAUAAAUUAGUUUCGUCCUACUAUUAUAAUUAUGUAGAGUUGUAGUGUAUAGACACACCCAAUUUAAAUAGUAUAUCAAAUAAAAUUGUCCCCACAAAAAAGAAAAAAGGGGUAAAGGAUUGUUAUUUCUUCAAACAUUAGGAUCACGUUUGUACAAGUGCGAUGCCUUUCUUUUGAAGGCAACGUCAGUGGGUACCCAAUAAGACGUGUGUAAAUCUUUCCAAAAUUUCUCCGGUAUAACGGACAGAGAUCAUUACUUUUCUCUUCCAUAGACCACAGCAGCCUCAGUUAAUCAGACUCAAUCAAUUUUCUUGGUUUCUUCGCGUAUCAAAAUUCCAAAAUAUGGGUAGCAUAUUUCAAAUCACAUGCGAUGGUGCUUUUUUCAAUCGUCGCUUGGAUUGCUUUCUUGGAAAAGUAGCAAACACAAGUAAGCUCCAAGAUAACCUUGUUGCCUUGGAGACUGAAUUGGGAAAACUAAUCGCAGCAAAGAACGAUGUGAUGAUGAGGGUUGUCAAUGCUGAACGGCAACAACUGAGAACGCUGGACCAAGUGCAAGUGUGGCUUUCGAGGGUGGAAGCUGUUGAAACUGAAGCUGAUGAAUUGAAAAGACACGGCUCUCAAGAAAUUGACAAAUUAUGUGUUGGAGGCUACUGUUCCAAGAACUGCGCGUCAAGCUACAAGUUCGGGAAACAAGUGGCUAAAAAGCUACGGGAUGUGCAGACUUUAAUCGACGAAGGAGUUUUUGCGGCGGUGGCUACCGAGGUGGUGCCUGAGAGAGCUCCAGAACCUGUAGCAGAUGAAAACCCACUGAGCCAACAAUAGUAGGCUUGCAAUCACAACUUGAACAAGUUUGGAGAUGUCUUGUAGAAGAAUCAGUGGGAAUCAUUGGCCUAUAUGGUAUGGGCGGUGUUGGUAAAACUACACUAUUGACCCAUAUCAACAAUAAAUUUCUUGAGAGUCCAACCAGUUUGAUUGUGUGAUUUGGGCCGUAGUUUCAAAGGACUUGCGACUCGAAAAAAUUCAAGAAGAUAUUGGGAAAAAGAUCGGUUUGGUUGAUGAUUCAUGGAAGAGUAAAAGUGUAGAGGAGAAAGCUCUCGACAUCUUCCGGAGUUUAAGAGAGAAGAGAAUUGUAUUGCUGUUAGAUGAUAUAUGGGAGCGGGUUGAUUUAACAAAAGUGGGCAUUCCACUUUCCGGACAAAAAAAUACUACAUCAAAAGUCGUAUUCACAACCCGUUUCGUCGAUGUUUGUGUAGCAUGGAAGCUGACAAGAAGUUCCAAGUGGCAUGCUUAUCAGAAGAGCAUGCUUGGGAACUGUUUCGAAAAAAAGUUGGGGAAGAAACUCUUGAGAGGGAUCAUGAUAUCGUUGAGCUAGCCCAAACUGUGGCCAAAGAGUGUGGUGGUUUGCCACUCGCACUUAUUACUAUUGGUCGAGCUAUGGCCUUCAAAAAGACAGCCGAGGAGUGGAGUCAUGCAAUUGAUGUGCUAAGAACAUCAGCUUCUGAGUUUGCAGGUUUGGGAGAAAAGGUGUAUCGUCUUUUAAAGUUUAGCUAUGAUAGUUUGCAGAAUGAGACGAUUAGAUCUUGUUUCUUAUAUUGUUGUUUAUAUCCCGAGGAUUAUGGCAUUCUUAAAUGGGACUUGAUUGAUUGUUGGAUUGGUGAGGAUUCUUAGAGGAAUCUGACAGGUUCAGUGCAGAAAACCAAGGAUACUACAUUGUGGGCACUCUUGUUCAUGCAUGUUUAUUAGAAGAGUUAGAAGAAGAUAAAGUAAAAAUGCAUGACGUUGUUCGUGAUAUGGCUCGAUGGAUAGCUUGUGAAAUUGAAAGGAGGAGAGAAAAUUUUUGGUUUGUGCAGGUGCUGGAGUAGGAGCGGUAUCAGAUGUUGAAGGAUGGGAAAAUGUGAGAAGAUUGUCAUUGAUGCAAAACCAAAUUGAAAUUCUGUCAGAGGUUCCCACAUGCCCUCAUCUCCUCACUUUAUUUCUUGACUUUAAUUAUAAAUUGGAGAUGAUGACCGAUGGCUUCUUCCAAUGUAUGCCUUCUCUCAAAGUUUUGAAGAUGUCAAACUGUGGGCAUGUCAAAGUUUUGAAAUUACCUUUUGGGAUGUCAAAGUUGGGUUCACUACAACUUCUUGAUAUUUCACAUACCGGCAUAAGAGAGUUACCAGAAGAGUUAAAGUUGUUGGUAAAUNUUUGCAAACAAUAUCUUGGCCCACGAGUUCUACCAAAAUUAAAAAGCAUCUAUUGGAAUCAGUAGCCCUCUCUACAUGUCAGGCGAAUUUUGUAUCUGAAUGCCCAAUUCUCAAGAAGCUUCCACUUGGUUUUAACAAUGCAAAGGAAUCUAAAACUAUCAUUAGGGGAGAAGAACAUUGGUCGAAUGAGCUGCAAUGGGAGGACAAAGUGACCCUCAAUGUUCUUCUUCCUUGUUUCGGAUCCAUUUGAGGGCAUCAACAUGGAUUGAUAUGAUGCAAUGGGAGGACUUCAUUUUUUGUUUCGGCCAGAAAUGUUUGUUUCGAUCGAAGACUUGAACCAUUUUCAUUGAACUGAUUAUGAUGCUUUACGUUAUGCAUGUUCCUCUUAAUCAAGAAAAGUUGAGGUGAUGAUUUUAUAUUUCUAUAUUGUAAGUUGAAAUAAUAAUUGGUCUGCUUGUUUCUGUAGCUUGAUAACAUGAAUUUUCCUUCUCAAGUUAAUUUAAUCAAUAAAGUAAUUCUUCAAAGAAAAUAUGCCCAUUCUAUAAUCAUUUUCUUAACUAACAUGUUUUUUUUCUUCACUCUUCAGAGCAUGUUGAAACUAAUUGAUCGCUCGGCAGAGACUUUGGGUGAGAAGACAAAAUUUCUUGGUAAAUCCUCUGAAAAGUUAUGCAUAAUUCCGGAGUAUUAAAUAACCAAUGGUCAUAAUUUUGUACAGGACUCUUUUCUUGUGGAGAUGAUUAAAAGUGGCUGAUGAUCCAGUUUGUAUAUCAUAGAGGUAGCAUCAAUUCCUUUUCUUUUCAGUGGCUAGGCAACACUUUCAGGGCAAAGUAAGGAAAUCUAUUUUAGGCAAUGUGAAAACCAAUGGUAGGAUGUAAUAGUUUAACAUGCACUGACAAUAACUUUUUGUAUAAUUGUCAGUUGAACGAAUACAAGAGGAACUCUGUUGACAAUUCAUCCAAGAUAGAUGCUAAAAUUCAUCCAGUUGCCUUAACUAAUUUUUCUUAACACUGGUAUUGAAGAGGAAAAUGAAUAUGCAAUUUGUAUAUUGUGCCAUGUGGAGAAUUUGGAUAUUCUUAUCUAAGUAACAAGGAGAGUAUUUGCCUCAUCUUUAGACAAUGAAUCUUUGAGAAAUUAGGAGUGGGUGAUUGGCAGUGUCUUCAUGUAAAUGUUCAUUUGUUUGUAUUUUGAGCUAUUAUGAGAAUCUUUUAUAUGCCAAAUUAGUAAUGCAAAUGUUCAGAUUAUUUUUUUCUGUUGAUCGUGCAUUUGUGUCUGCUCACAACCAUUGUAUAUCACUUCAUUCUGAUGCGCAAGUCUCUGUAGUUUAGAAGAAAAGAAAUAAUAAUGAUAUAUUAUUGCUUGAUUCAUGAUUAUUAAAUGAUUAUGGCUUUAAAAACCUACAAAUUCCUUCUGUUGAUAUAUGAAUGUACCAAGUUUGCUAUAUCUUAGAUUACCAUUUCCAAGAUAACAAGUUCAAUUUUUUUUCUUUAUCCUUUUCCAUCACAGUUGCAUUUUAAGUGUAAGAUUUGUUAUUAAUACCUGGUUUCUCGUCAUUAUGAUUUCAUAAACAGUGUAUGGGUAUGUGCUCUACUUUUGGAGGGCCUCCACGUGAAAGAAAAUUGCAACAAUUGAAUUCUUCCGGAUGGUAUGGUAUUUAAUUUAUUUUCUCAACCUCUUGUAAGACUAAUAUAUUUUCCUUCAGUAGAUACGGCAUGGUGGGAAGGGUUUUUUAUUGAAAGAAUUGAUAUUUCUUAGACUUUGUUUUGGAAGGGGGUGCAGGGGUUUCUCAUCCAUAUAUGGUUACUUGAUUAGCUUUUGACUGUAUUGCCUCAAACGUGCAAAGGAAGAUCCAAAUACAAAUGAAGGAGAAUUGUUUAGACACCCAGAAGAUGGAAAUGAACUACAGAAGGAAGUUUUUGCUGCUUUAUUUAGUGCUCCUGAGAAAUCUGAUGAAUUUCCUGAAAUUACGGUGAAGACCAAGUGUGAGGUCCAAAGCAUUAGGAAAGGUGGUGAGUGAACUGCCGGAGGAAUUGGUACAGAAUACAAGGCUAAUGUGGUGGACUUGCAGCAAGAUAACCGGAACAGUACGUGCUCUUAUAUUAACUAUAUUGACUGGAUUUGCUAGUGUGUGCAUUUUCGUGUGUAUACUUUUGUAUUUAUGCAUAUUAAUGUGUGUAGGAUUCUUGAUUUCUGCCACUUACUGGAGAACUAAUGGAAAGCUUUAUACUGGUAUAUCUGCAAUUAAUGGAAACUAUGAUAUUAAUAUUAUCUCUCGCUUGGAGAACUGCGUAACAGAUAUACUUUGUGGCUCUGGAAUACUAAAGAUUCUGCAAUAACUAAUGGAAACUAUGAUAUGAAUAUUUUCUCUCACCUGGAGAACUUUGUAACAGUUACACUUUGGGGCUUGGAAUGUCUAAAGAAUUUGUCUGCUUCAGUUAGAUCAAAUAUCUUUUAGUUACAUACAUUAUAGAAAAGAUAAAGUUCUCUGAAUCUGAAAGACUUAAAAUUUUGCAUAUUUCUUGAAAGGGAAUAUCUGUAGAUACUAGUUCAUGCAUUGUGGUAGCAUCAAUGUUAAAGAAAAACAGCAGUAAGUUAUUAUAUAGAAUUAGGUUCACUUGCUUUAAAUCCUGGUCUGGUCAACCAUAUGAACCUGUAAGUGGUUCUGUAGAAAUAUAUUAUACGGGGAGAAGGUAGCUAAAUUUUCCUUUCAUUUAUGGGUUUGGUCAUUUUUUCCCCUUAUUUAUGUUUUCUCACACAUUUUUUAUAUGCCCCAAACAUGCAAUUUUGUAUGUGUCAAUUGCCUUUUAAGUUUUAAAAACCAUAAGUAAGAAUACAGUUUCUUGUCAGGCUAUUGAUGCAUUUGCUCGGGGGGAUCAUGCUCGAGCAGGAAAACUUCUAGAACAGGUAAGGUUUCCAUCUACAGCCAUUUAUUGACAACAUAUAUAUUUUCAUUCAGCAAGCACUGUUAGCAUUCAAGAUGCUGGCAGAUUCACUUGAUUCUUAUUAGUUUGUUUAGUAGCAAAGCAUAUAACCUGUAUUUUAAAGCUAAGUUGUGCUAUUGAUUAUGUUAACUUUAUUGUUCACAUAAAGUGAUAUAGAGGAAAUAAUCAAUGUAGGAAAAUUAGGUGAAGAGAUGAUGUCAAAUCUUGAACCUCUUACAAAACUCCAAGUUCUUUACUGGAAGAAACUACCAAAUUCGAACAGCAUCUACUGGAAGGCCUUGCCAUUCCCUGAUGUAUGCAGAAUUUUUGUAUUUAAAUGCCCAGAGCUUAAGAAGCUGCCACUGGAUCUUGAAAGGGCAGGCCAAGGUAAAAUUCUUAUCAAGGGAAAGAAAGAUGGGUGGAAACAACUUCAAUGGGAGGAUCAAGUAACUCAGAAUGCAUUGCUUCCAUUUUUAAAAUCAACUCAGAAGUGAUUGAAGGGGGCGUCAUCAACAUGGAUGGAGAGAUUCUGGAGCAGAUCAGCGGGGUUUAGUACGACCUGUGGUGGUUUCUUUGUUGUGACUUUUUUCCCUUUCAUUUUUUUCACUUCCUGUCAUAUUAUCAUUUCUUUGUCUCUGUUUCUAUUGCUGGUGUUGCUGCAUGCUUGCCGUCCUUGACAAAGUUAGCUAGUUUUUUUUUUUGUUUAUUAAAUUUUGUAUGUUCGGUCGGGACAGUCACACAGUACUACUUGUUCUAUAUGGGGGUGAUGUGAAUCAACUUUUCAAUUAUAUAUUCUGUGGUAAUUGUGAAUUCAAUUUCAUUUGUCUCCUGCAAAUUAUGAAGAAAGUGCAGGGUAGAAUGUGGAACUUUUCACUGGCAAAUACUUUGUAAAAGCUUCGGAGUGAAACAGGAAAUGCACUUGCAACUAAGGACAAAUUGGUGGCCAGCUAAUGCAUUCAUUUUAUGUACAUUCAUCAUUUUAAUUAUUAAAGAUAAGUGGUUCGUUGCUUUUGUUGUAGAUAAAAUUCAGACGACCUCAAUUGUGAGAUGACAAUAUUUAAAAUAUCUCUUAAAUUAUUAUAAAUUUAAUUUAUCUUAAUUUUAUUUAAAAGAUAAAAGAAAAAUGUGGUAUAUGGAUAAAAAAAUUUUAUCUUAAUAAAAUGAAAUAAAUUAAAUUACAAUAAUUUAAAAUAUUUAAAAAUAUUAUUUGAUAAGAAUUAAUAUGAAAUUAAUCGUUUUUACUUUUUGAACGUGAAAGGACAAGAAAAAAGAAAGCAAGUGUCACUGCUUUUUAUUUUAUUUGAAAUUGGAGUUAUCCCAUAUACUUUACUACUUUAGCUCUAAGAUUACAAUGUUUUUAGGCAACACUUUUAUUUUUCUCUUUCCCCCUUUUUUUGUACAUGCAUGUGGAUUAUUUUUCUCUAAGCUCCUUAAUAUUUAAGACAAAUCAUAAAAGCGAUUGAAGUAUAACAGAUGAUCAAAUAUUUAACUAAAAAAAGAAAAAGAAAUAAAACACUGAAAAUGGAGACGUUGAUUAAUUUAGAAGAGAUCCAAGCAAAAGAUAUUCCCAAAAAGAAAAAAAAGAAGAAGCAAUGUAUCCCUUUAGAGGGCAAACUUAUUAGUUUUAAAAAAGUACACGCUUUGGAUUGAUGGUUGCAGGAUAUUUGUUUUUUGACACCUAUAUUAGUUGGAAAAGUCGACCGUAGUGGAGAAUGUUAUGAAAGAGAGCAAAGGAUAUUUUUAACAGUGCUCUAUUUGAUUAUACGCAUUCAUUGAAUGGAAGAUAUAUGACUGCGUUAGUUCAUCCAUGUCUGUCAAUUUCGUUUUUUAUGGUUUUUUUUUCCAGUUGUUUGUUGUAAUAGAUUGAUUGUAAAUUGAUAUUAACUUGAUGUUGUAAUAUGUUCGCUUUUGUGGAAUUAAAUUUGAAUAUUCAAGAUUAUUCAAGUCUUAUCUAGUAUGUUUUCAAUUGUGUUGUCGAUAAUUUUGCAUUCGAAUAAGUUUCACCUAAAAUAUUAGCAUGAGUAGUAGUCCUUGAGACUUUGGUCAAAAUUAUUGUUAUUGUUUGUUUUAGAGGAAAUUUUUUUAUUAAAGCCUCGUUAACACUAUUACUUAUUAAGAUUAUAAGUUAGUGUCGGUGCAGGAUUUGCAGCAACAAAUCUUGUCUAGCCACGUGUCAAAAGUAUAAAUAAAUCAAGGGAAAGCACAUGACAUGUUGAGCUGGCAAAACGGGUCAUCGAGUCAUGUUCGUGUCGUGUCAAAUUUAGGUCGACCCAAACCCGACCCAUUUAAUAAUCGUGUCAAAAUAUUGAGACCCAAACCUGACACGAAAAAUAAUCGGGUUACCCAAUAACCCGCUUAAUAUCUAUAUAUUAAACAAAAGUUACAUCAAAUAUUUACACUUUGUCAUACAUAUGUAUGCACAUACAUACAUACAUACAUACAUACAUACAUACAUACAUACAUACUUUAUCACUAUUAUAAAAUAUACAUAUCUACUAAAAUAUUACACACACUAUUAAGGUUUUAAUUAUAUAUAUGUAAAUAAUAUUGUAUAUCAAUAUUAUAAAUAUACAUGUCUACCAAUAUUUUAUACAUUUAAACUAUUAAAGCUCUAAAUGUAUUUAAAAUUUUAUAAAUAAAAUAUUGUGUCUAUAUUCAUCCUUUUAAAGAAAAAAAUUAUCUCUAAUAUUUGAGUUUUGAUGACAAGAAUCUGUAAAUUAUUUUAAAAUAAAAAAUAUAAUCGGGUCAUUAAUCGGGUAAAUGGGUCAAGAAUUUUAACCCUAACCCGACACGGAAAAAAAUCGUGUUGACCCGGACCCGACCCAUUUAAUAAUCAUGUUAAAUUCGACGACCCAUACCCAUUUGUUAGUGUUGUGUUCGUGUCGGAUAAUCGGGUCGUGUCAAAUUUUGCCAACUAUAAUGACAUGGAUUAGGAUCCAAUAAAAAGGAAAAGGAUAACUGUAUCCUAAAGUUUCAAUAAGAGAUACUAAGAUAUCUUUUGACUAAUGUUAUUUUUUGACUUUAUUAAUAAAGAUCAUAGUUUUUAUUAACAAAUAAAAAUUAGUAUUAAGCUAAAUGUGAUAAUUUACACAUUUUUACAUAAUUACAAUAAAAAAUAUAUUUUAAUGUUUUUACAUCUAUCAGACAUAUUUUUAUUAAAUUAAUAAGAUUUUCUUACAAAUAGCAACAUAAUAUUAAAAUAAAUUUAUAAAGAUUUAAUGUUAAAAUUAUUUUAGUAUAAUUAAUACGUGGGAUAUAUUUUGUAAAUUAUAAAAUUACUUUAACCCAAUGAUUUUUAAAAUCUUAAAAUAAUAAAAAUAAAUUAUUCACAUUUUGAUGUAAAUAUUUAAACAUUUUUAUACAUUUGUCCACAAUUAUUUAUGUUAUAUUUGUAUUUAUUAGAAAUUUUUGAAAGUCAAAUGUUUUUCACCUCUAUCUUAUUAGAAUUAUUGCACACAGAGAAAGAGCCAUAUAUGCUUUUAUAGCUUUAAAAUCGGUUUGUUUUAUAGCUGGGAACAGAGAUGAUCAUUUAUUAUAAGGAUUAAAAAAAGAUAAGAAUAUUAAUGAUUAACGAAUCUUUAUGGAAAUUGAAUUUAGUAAGAAAAAAAAUGAGCUGAUUUUAGUGGCUAUAGUAAUAUUUUAUAUAGAGAAAAAGUAAAAGUUUGCACCCCGAAUGUCAAAACUCUUUUUUAAUUAUAAUAUUAUUUUUCCUAGAUAACUUAAAAUUUGACUCUAAUAUUUAUAAUAAAUAAAAACAUAUAAUCCUAAAAUAAUUAAAAUAAUAUAUAUUUUAAAAUAAUCUCAAUAUUUAAAUAUAUUUUAACAUUUUAUAGUCUAUCAGAUAUUUAUUUUAUUUUUUAAAGUAAAUUUUAUAAUAAAUACAAACAUACUAUUAAAAUAGAUAAUAAAUUUUUAAAGUUAUUUUGAAUAUUAUAUAAAAUAACUUAAUAUUGUUAAUGCGUGAGAUGCAUUUUAUUAAUUAAAAAUUCUAUUUACCCAAAGAUUUAUUUAUAAUAAAUUAAUAAUCAUAUUUUUAAAAUUAUUUUAAAUAUUAAAAAUAUUUUAAUAUUACUAACUAUUAGACAGACUAAACUAUUUAUAUUAUUUUCUAUUUAUUAUAAAUUUCAAAGUUAAUCUUUUUUAACUAGUAUUCAAAAGAUAUUAUGAUCAAAACAGAAUUUUUGUGUUUUUAUGAAAAAUUUAGAGUUUACAUCUAUUUUUUCAAAUAUUCGGGGUGUAAAUGUUUUUCCCCUUUUAUAUAUACGAACCGGUGGUGAGAAAGCAUGAUUUACGUUAUUUAUUUAAAUAAAAUCUCAGUUAAAAAUGUAAAGAGAAGAAAUUUCUGUUGGUAUUUUAGUCUUUUACCAAUUAUCAUGAUUAGGCCUUGGCCUUGAAACAUUAAUUGUUUCACUUUUAGCGCUAGUGUCGUUGAAAGUUGUCAAGAAAAAGCAAGACCAUAUUCCACAAAAGCAAAAGUAACGUAGGCUCUUUUAUAAAAGGCAAAGAAAGUAUAAAGUAGUCAAGAAUCGAAUAUCCUGUCGUCUACUCUUUUUUAAAUUCUUCUUUUAUUAUCUUUUAGAAUAGUUUUUGGUAAUUACAAUCAUUAUUCAGAGUUAUUGUUAUCUUCCGGGGCAGUCUCUGUUCAUCGAAGUCGUUACCUUUUUUUUAUGGAUCAGUUCCAGUGCUAAGCAGUAAUUUUCUUAGAACUCGGAUCUUUUAAUUCGAGUUUAUGUGUGAAUUAAUAAUAAAAAAUUUUCAUUACACGCAAUUUAAGCUACGAAUUACUUUUUGCAAAGUUGAAUAUGAAAUUGGAGAAAUUAAGUAAUUUAGAAUGUUGGUAAAAUUGACAAACAUAUCUCUAAUUACAGUAAAAACCUCUCUAUAGUCAUAACAUUAUAACAAAAUUAAUUUUAUUACUAUGUUGAGGUAAUAUAGGUUUAGUUACAAAAUUAUUGUUUUAAUAUGGUUAGUGUCAAGUGAUAUAAAGGUUAAAUAUGCAGUACAAUGAUAAUUAAAUAAUGAAGCGUGUCAAUUCUAAUGUAUAUAUAUUAAUGAUAUAGAUAGACAUAGUUUCAAAAAACUAAUUAAUGUAUAUUUAUGUAGUGUUAUGAAUAUGGAAAGUCAAGCCUACACUUUACUUAUCCUUAGUUUUUUCUCUUAGUUAAAUUCUACAAAUAUUGUACAAUGAUUGGGCAAGAACUCUAAAUUAAGAAUAAAUUAUUGUCACAAAUAAUUUACAAAAUAUUUUAUUUCGUCUUAAACCUUUAAUAUAAGUAAACAUAUAUAUUAUAUAUAUAUAUAUAUAUAUACCAGAAGGAAAUAGGAUCGAAGGAUGGGUGUGUAUUGAAGAUGCUUCUUAUUGAUUGCUUUAAUGAAAUAAUUGGAUCGCGGUUGUUCAGAUUUUUAUAUAAGAUUACCAGCUUUAGAUUAAGUAGAUUUGUUUUAGAGCAUACAAUGAUCAAACAAAUUUGAACGCGGUUGGUCAAAUUUUUUAGAAUAUUUAAAGUACGUGGCGUUGUUAGACCAGAUCGAUCGCAGAAGUUAAUCUGCCUUUGGACCCAGAUCUGACUUAGAACAGAUCAAUAGUCCGCACGUUCGGGUUUCCAGCCUAUAUACUUUAAUAUAUUUACCAGAUAAAAUUAAGUUGCUUUAAACGUGGUUGUUUCUUUUUAUUGGGCUAAUUCCAGAUUUAAAUUAGAUUCUUUAAGGGGCUUGGGUACAUACACAGUACCAGAUCCGGAUCCCGGAAAUGGUGCUCUGAAGGAAUGGAGGAAGAAGAGAAGAUUUACAACUGAGGAUCGAGAUCCGGUCUCUUUGCCUCAGAGGAACGUACAAAUUUUAUGGCAGAUCUGAUAAAGACCAGUCUGCUUUGCAUGCUUUGAAAAGAAAAUUGCUUUAAAAAUAAAUUGCUUUAAUGUAAAUAUGCAUGAAAUUAAAUUGCAGAAAAGUAAAUUGCGAAAAUUUAAAUUACAUCGAAAUUAAAUAACUGAAAUUUAAACAUACAUCUUUGCUUUGAUAGUCUUGGUCUUUACAAUUUUCAAAUCUUUCCUGAAGGGAAGAUUGAAAGACGGGAAGAUUACAAGACAGGAAUGGUUUCCUUGAUGUCUUGAUCCAGACUUCCCAAGAGAGAGAGAGAGAGAGAGAGAGAUCUAGAGAGAAGGAGGAGAAGAAGAGAAAAAUGAAAAACCUGAGGAGUCUGAGUCUUCCUCUUGGUUUAUAUACAAAAUUUUGUAAACUGUUCACUGUAGCGGAGCUUUGAGUGCACAGUAAUCUUUGGAAUUUUGCACUGUUCACUGUAGCGGAGUUUUGAGUGCACAGUAAUCUUUGGAUCGUAGCUUUGAAUAGUAGGCUGACCGUAGCUUUGAACAGUAGACUACUUUGUACAAAAAUUGAAAUACAUAAUGAAAUACAACACGGGUGAAGAGACAUGUGCGCUCUCACUUGUGUCCAAGGGACCACCCGAGAGAAAAUUACUCUUUUCUUUUUUUUUUUUUUUUUUUUUUUUUUUUUAAGUAAAUAACCAAAUAAUUAUUUACAAUGCUUUAUAGGAGAAAAAAUGCCGAAACAAUCAUCUUCAUUUUCGUCUCCAAGAGAAAUGAAGGGCUCUUCAUCUUCAUCAUCGUCUUCGUCUUCAGAGGUGUCAGCUACUGAUGACUUUGAACGGGAGGCGAGGAGCUGUUCCAUUGCUUUGAAGUAUUCCUCUUCUGUCUUGGCACUUGCCAAAAGAGACUGGGCUUUGGAUUUUUGGGUUAAGAAGGUCUGUUGGGCUUUAGAGGCUUCUAGGGUUGGUUGGAGAAGGUUUUUAGAGGAGAGCCAAUCUUUGAUCAUGUUAACAGUCAGUUUGGACUGUUCAUCAAAUUUUGACCACCAUUUGACUUUAAAGGUUCUUUGAAGGAUGACUUGGGAAUCUUGAGUAUGAAAACGGAGGUUCCACAUCCAGACCCAUGGUAGGAAGAAGUUUGUACAAAAACAGAGAAAGGGGGGAAAUCUUUUCUCUGAGUCAGAGGGCAUAUAGUGGGCUUUAAAGAGGUUUAGGCAAUUUAUGGCAUUUGGAGUGAGGAUUUGAGGUAUUGGGCCAAAGAAAUUCCACCAAUGAUGGAACCAGUUUGGAAGGCUUUGGACGGUUAUUUUAGGGUUAAAGAAAAAUAACCAAGAAUGGGAUUUUUUAGGGUUUUGAAUAAAAAAGGUGUUAUACCAUGCUUGUUGGUAAUCCCAGUAGGAGAAAGUCCGACAAUGUGGUAAACGGGUUUCAAAGUUUAAAGGAAAGGUUUUGAAAUUGUGGAGUAGGUCGCCCCACUGGUUCGGGCUCAAAACUUUUAGAAUCGUGGCCGUGGAAUAGGCCGGUUCAGAAUGGGUUUUAUCAAGAAAGAAAUGUUUGAAUUUAACUGAUUCAGUUAUUUCUAAAAUGCUUUGAUAAUAAGACUGGGGUUUUGUCAAAUCCCAUGGUUUGAAAAACCAGCCUUUGGGAAAAAACUUUGAAAUGCUUUGAAAAGGAUCAGUAUGGUAAAAUCCAUCUUCCAUAGAAAGAAUAUUUUGAAAAUGGGUUUUAUCAAACCAAUCGGAGGUUUUCUUUGAAGGUGUUGGCUGAGAAAGCACAAUUUGGGAAGAUGAGCUUUCGGCAGAGACAACAACAUUUUGAGAGGAGGGUUUUGUAAUUUCUUUAGAUGUGGAUAUGCUCUUAAUUUCUUUUUGAGGAGAAUUUUGGCUCUGGGAAAGGUUUUGUAGAGCGAGCAUGAGCUCGGGAGAUUUUGUAAUGGAACUCAUCCAAUGCUUUACUUGAUCAUCAGAAGAGAUGGGUUUGUAUUGGGCUUCAUGUUCUUCAACCAAUUCAAUCCAUGAUUUGAUGGGUAGGGCAGAAGAAAGUAAUUUUUCUUUAGAAGGGGUUGACUGGGGUUCUUUGGAAGGUUCUUGAGAUCCGGAACUUUUGAGAACAGCUUUACCUUUGUCUUUCUUUAGCGGCAUUAUCUGUUUUGAAGAAAUUCUCUGGUUAGAAAAUCAGGAACAGAAUUUUUAUCACCUUUAAUGAAUUCUAUAUCAAAAUCAAAAACACUCAAAAUAGCUUGCCAACGUGCAAAAAUUUGUUUUGAUGCAAUGUUUUGAACAUCCUUUUCUAAAACAUGUUUUGCAGCUUUGCAAUCAAUUCUAAGUAAAAAUUUUUGAUUUAAUAAAUCACUUUGAAAUUUUGUAAUGCAUAAAACAAUGGAAAGAAUUUCUUUUUUAAUAGUAGAAUAAUUUUUCUGACAAUCAUUCCAAUGUGCAGAAACAUAUUGUACUAUCUGUUCUCUAUCAUUUUCUUUUUGUUUUAAUAUACCUCCAUAUCCUAAAUCAGAUGCAUCAGUUUCAACAAUUUUAGGGAAUGCAGGAUUUGCAAGAUAUAGACAUGGGAUGCUUUUAACAGAACUCUUUAUUAAUUUAACAGCUUUAGUAUGUUCAUCUGUCCAUGGAGCAGGUUUUUUCUUUAAACGAUCAUGCAAAGGUUUAGACAACCUAUUGAUAUUGGGACAGAAAUCAAGAACAUAAUUUAGGCUACCAAGAAAUCUUUGUAAUUGAGUUUUGUCAAGGAUUUUAUCAGGGAAUUUAUCAGCAAAUAAAAGUGAUCUUUCAAUAGGGGUGAUUGUUCCUUUUGAAAUAUAGUGACCAAGAAAUCUGAUUUUCGUUUGAAAUAAUGAAAUCUUUGAACUAGAAAGGGCUAGUCCAGCCUUUUUUGUAGCAAAAUAAAAAGUCUUUAAAUGUUUGAAAUGUUGAUCGAUUGAAUUUGAAAAUAUCAAAACAUCAUCAAUAUAAACAAUGCAAAAAUCAGAAUAAGGAUUAUAAAUAUCAUUCAUAAUUCUUUGAAAUUCUGAGGGUGCAUUCUUUAAACCAAAGGGCAUAACAGUCCAUUCGUAUUGUCCAAAUGGAACAGUGAAAGCGGUUUUGUAACGGUCAUUUGGAUGAAUUUGAAUUUGCCAAAAACCCGAUUUCAUGUCGAAUUUUGAAAAAAAUAAAGGCAGAACAGAGUUUUUGGAGUAAAUCUUUUUUAUUAGGUAUAGGAUACCUAAUCCAUUUUAAAGCUUUAUUCAAAGGUUUGUAGUUUAUAACUAGUCUUGGAGUGCCUCUUUCAAUUUCGGAGUUUUUGUUAACAUAAAAAGCAGCACAAGACCAAGGAGACCUGGAUUUUACAAUGAGUCCUUUAGACUCCAAGUCUUUGAUUUCAUUUUUACAAUGUUUUUCUAAAUCCAUAUUCAUUUGAAUUGGACGAGCUUUGGUCGGAAUCUGUUUUUCAUCAAAAGAAUUUUCAUAAGGCAGGUCUACUAAAUGUUGUUUUCUAUUCCAAAAAGCAGAAGGUAGAUCAGCACAAAUUUCUUUUUCAAUAAGAGUUUUGAAAUCAGAAAUUUUUCUUUUAAUGAAAUCACUUUGUAAUUGGCUUUCAACUCUUUGUAAGUUCAAAUCUUUUUGUAAAAACAUUAGAUCACACUGUUUUGAUUUAAGUAAAUUGUUUAUUCUAUUUUGAUAAAUAGAACAGGCUUUAACAAUAUUUAAAUUUCUUGUUUUAGGUUUUUCAAUAAAAGGGAAAACAAGUUUCUUGUUUUUUGCUUUGAAAGAUAUACUAUCAUAAUUGACAGUAUACGGAGUUAUGAGAUUUAUAAAAGGAGUUCCCAAAAUAAUGGCAUGAUGAAUAUCAUUUGUGAGAACAAAGGAAGUUUUAAAAUCAAAACCAUCAUUAUAGAUCGAGGCUUCAACCUUGGAACUGACAUUCAAUUUUGAAUUAUUGGCGGCAGAAAGCCUUUCUUUUGUUUUUUCAUGAAAUCUUUUGGGGACGAUAUCUUCUCUAAUGCAAUUUAAAUCGGCGCCAGUAUCAAAAAGGGCAAUGGCGUCCAUCGCAAAAUCAUCAGAAAAGAUUAGAGUGACUUUAAUCAAAUACUUUCUUGUGGUGAUUUGUUUUAGAACAAAUAGAAAAUCAUUGGGUACAGACUCAAUAUUUUCUACUUUAAUAUCAUCACCAUCAAUAUCAGGACUGGAUUCAUUGUCUGAAUUAUCCUGUAAUUGCUUUUGUAAAAGAAGUUGAAUAAUAUCAGAAUCACUUUUUUGUUUUUCUUUUAAAUCUCUGAUUUCACUUUUGAUUUCUUUUAUCUCUUUCUGAAGAUCUUGGAUAUUAGGAAUCAUCUUUUUUGUUUUCUUCUUAUCCAAAAUUUGAGUAAGAUCAUAAGAAUUCUUUUUAAUAAUUGGGACUCUAGAAGUCUCGGCUUUAUUAAAAUCCAAUGUUUUCAAAAGUUUAUCAAGGUAUUCCUUUUGAAGAUUUGGAUCAGAAAUAUGCUUUACAAGUUCAAGAAAAGUUUCUUGGUCUUUAGUCAAAACAUUGAUUUUCUUUAAAAAUGAAUCAGAUUCAGAAUCACUACUGCUAGAUGCAGAGUCAUCUGAGUCAAAAAGCUCAUCAACUUGGUAAGGGUCACUGUCUCCCGACAUGGAAGACUCAGAAUCAGAAGAUUCGACAAGAAGAGGGGCUAUUUUAGAAAGGAUGUCCUCAUUGAGGUCAAGUUCUUGGAGUCUUUUGUUCAUUCUGCAAAAUUUUGCAGUAUGACCUUUCAUACCACAUUUGAAACAUGUGGCCUCCUUGAAGUUGAAUGGGGUAUUAGGUUUGGCUUUGAAAUCUUUCUUUUUAGAGAAACUAUGUCUCUUAUAAGGCUUCGAAGGUUUCUUAUAAGGAAGUUUUCUAAAAUCACGGAAGGGUUUUCUAAAAUGUUUAGAUUUGUAAUGUUUCUUACGAGGUUUUGUAGAACACUCUCCAUUACAAUCUUUGGAAGUUUUAAAGGGGUCAUAAUUGAAUUGCUUACAGAAACCGCCUAAUUCCUGUUUAGACUUCUUAAGCUCCCACUUAAGACGUUUCUGUAAUUUCAAAUCUUGACAAAUCUUUAAACCUUCUUUGUUGACAAAACUGACUAGUUCACCAUAGGUGAGCUCGUCAUAAGGAAUACGGUUAUCGUAAAGGGCUUUGAUGGAAUUUCUUACCUUUUCACCUAAAAGGGUAGGUAAUCCAGCAAGAAAUUUUUCUUUCCAAGUAAUAUGAUUUGCAUCAUCCCUUAGAAAUAGUCUGGUAAGGAAAGAGGUUUUGUAACUCUGAAAUUCACUAAGUUUUCUACAUCUCAAAUUAUGUAGUAACUCAGCGUUUUUAUCACGAAGGUGAGAAGGGUCACCGAUGAAAUGGAGGGAAAUGGUUAGAAUAAGAGUAGCAACAGCAUCCUGGAUAGGGUUGUUGAACUCAUCAAGAAUAGAGGCUCCAUUUUCAUCUUUUUGGACGGAAUUUAGAAUGUCAAAUUGUUGCUGAUUAGUGAGAAGAUGAUCCCACCAACCUUUUAGUUGACCAGUAAAACCAGCAAUUAGGAUUUCCGAUAUGGCACGAUCAGAAGUUCCUGCUUGGGUUUUAUAAGCAUUAGCUGCCAUUGUCAUUUGUUGCAACAAUCCAAGGAUAUUGUACUCAGACAUGCCGUCAAUAUUCCACUCAUAGACUGAAGAUGCAUUAUAACGGGAUUGAUUUAAUGCACUAGGUCUAUUAUCUAUUGCUAGAUCUGGUGGGGUCUUGACAGUGGGAAGGGCUAAUUCCCAGUGGAUUUUGUUGGCUUUAGGAGUAGAAGGUUCUUCUUUGAAAGCUUCUAAGUCAGAAGAGGCUAUAGAACUCUGGUCAUCUAGAUCCAAUACUCCAAUCUUGCUAGAUUGGGGGGUAUCGGGGGCUAUCUGGAGUUUGCUAGACGAGGAAGAAGCAGCUUCUAUCCUCUCUAGUUGUUCUCUAAUGGCUUUAGCAAAAUCUGAUUUUGACUCUUGAACAAGCCUUUGGCUAGUUUUCGAAACCUGAAAAGGUUUGAAAAUAGGUUCCUUAAGCUUUUUGUCAGAAUCCGAUUUUGAAGGAAUAGACAUAGGAAUAGGAGAAACAGAUAUAGGAGAUUUUUGAAAUUGGUUUUCUAUACGAGCCAAUUGCUUUCCAAUUGUAUUUAAGUUAGUAUUACAGAAAUUAUUCUGUUGUAUAAUACUACUUAAAUUCGCAUCAGAAUCAUUUGGUCUUGGGAUUUUGUAAGGGGAUGCUUUAAUCUCAAUAGGAGGUUCACCAUGAUCUAUGGUUAUACUCCUAAGAGGUGGAUGAUCAGACUCUAUAAUCCUAUCAUUAUCAGAAAGUUUCCAUUCAGGAAUUUUCUUUCUAAUAGUUAUAGGGUUUGACUCUUUAAAAGGAUAAUCAAUAUUGUUCUCAGAAGAAUAUAUUUCGAACCAAUCAAAAAACAAUAUAUGAACUUUAUGAAAAUUCACAAAUUCAUAAUAAGUUUGUUGGAUUUCUUUUCUUUGGUUUAAAAAAUGUUUAAAAAACCAAGUUCUUUUUUCUUUAUUUAUUUCUGAAUAAAAAUCGUUAUGCAGAAAGGCUUUAUCUAAUUCAAAUUCUUUUUCAAUGACAUUAAUGACAUUUUCUGUGACAGCAGAAAACGUAGGAGAUGUUGGAGGAGAAGGUUCCUUCUCUUCCUGUCUUUGCACAUGUUGACUACUAGUGUAUAUAGGAUGAGGAACACUUGUGGCAUAGUCAACGGAACGGAUGGAGGAGCUAGGUAUAUCCGAAGUGGAAAACCUAGGUUGGCUCUGAUAUGGGAGAUUUAUAACAGAAGGUACUUUUGUAAACUUCCUUUCUAGUGAAGGAAUGCUUGGGCUCGAUUCUUUUUCAGAAAAUCUAUGUGAGGUAGACCUUCUGAAUGAUAGUUUGACUUUACCAUCGGAAUACUGGGUCACAUUUUGUAACUCUGUAUUUGGCUCAAGUUGUUUCGGAAUCGCCGGUGGGGCGGCUCCUUCGAGGAUCCAUUCAUCUGGAAGAUGGAUAUCUUUCCAUUGGAUCGAUUUUGGAAUGACCAUGUUGGCUUUAGACAAAUCAGUCUGCAAGAGAAGGGUCUCAUCUCUCUUCGACUGGUAUUUAUGCUGUGUGCUAAAUGCAGAAAUCAUGGCUUUAUAGGAAAUUUUAAAAAUUAAUGCAACUGGGAUGGAUCCCUUAAUCAUGUGAUAAUUAUGGGUUUGGAUUUGUAAAAUCAUGCUCUUUAAAAUAUUUUUGUCUUUAAGAGAAAUUGUUAUAUUGUUAAAGCAGUGCCAAGGGGAGGUUUUUGGCACUCCCCUUUUGGCUUAAGGCGCUUACCACUCGCCCUAAAAGCUUAAGCUGUUAGGGGAAGGCGCUACUUUAUACUUAAGCGCCACCCGGACCAAACCAGGUAACGUCUCCACGUUAUGCCACGACAUCGUGACCCCAUCUCGGCCCCACAAGCGCGGGGUAGGUGUAUAGGAGUCACCACAAGGGUGCGGGCCCCAGUUCCAGUACUGGGAUAAUAUAUUAAGCCCAUUCCUCCCCCCCGAGUUUCGAACCCUGGCUGGCUCUGAUACCAACUUAAGGCGCUUACCACUCGCCCUAAAAGCUUAAGCUGUUAGGGGAAGGCGCUACUUUAUACUUAAGCGCCACCCGGACCAAACCAGGUAACGUCUCCACGUUAUGCCACGACAUCGUGACCCCUUCAGAUUUUAUAUAAGAUUACCAGCUUUAGAUUAAGUAGAUUUGUUUUAGAGCAUACAAUGAUCAAACAAAUUUGAACGCGGUUGGUCAAAUUUUUAGAAUAUUUAAAGUACGUGGCGUUGUUAGACCAGAUCGAUCGCAGAAGUUAAUCUGCCUUUGGACCCAGAUCUGACUUAGAACAGAUCAAUAGUCCGCACGUUCGGGUUUCCAGCCUAUAUACUUUAAUAUAUUUACCAGAUAAAAUUAAGUUGCUUUAAACGUGGUUGUUUCUUUUUAUUGGGCUAAUUCCAGAUUUAAAUUAGAUUCUUUAAGGGGCUUGGGUACAUACACAGUACCAGAUCCGGAUCCCGGAAAUGGUGCUCUGAAGGAAUGGAGGAAGAAGAGAAGAUUUACAACUGAGGAUCGAGAUCCGGUCUCUUUGCCUCAGAGGAACGUACAAAUUUUAUGGCAGAUCUGAUAAAGACCAGUCUGCUUUGCAUGCUUUGAAAAGAAAAUUGCUUUAAAAAUAAAUUGCUUUAAUGUAAAUAUGCAUGAAAUUAAAUUGCAGAAAAGUAAAUUGCGAAAAUUUAAAUUACAUCGAAAUUAAAUAACUGAAAUUUAAACAUACAUCUUUGCUUUGAUAGUCUUGGUCUUUACAAUUUUCAAAUCUUUCCUGAAGGGAAGAUUGAAAGACGGGAAGAUUACAAGACAGGAAUGGUUUCCUUGAUGUCUUGAUCCAGACUUCCCAAGAGAGAGAGAGAGAGAGAGAGAGAUCUAGAGAGAAGGAGGAGAAGAAGAGAAAAAUGAAAAACCUGAGGAGUCUGAGUCUUCCUCUUGGUUUAUAUACAAAAUUUUGUAAACUGUUCACUGUAGCGGAGCUUUGAGUGCACAGUAAUCUUUGGAAUUUUGCACUGUUCACUGUAGCGGAGUUUUGAGUGCACAGUAAUCUUUGGAUCGUAGCUUUGAAUAGUAGGCUGACCGUAGCUUUGAACAGUAGACUACUUUGUACAAAAAUUGAAAUACAUAAUGAAAUACAACACGGGUGAAGAGACAUGUGCGCUCUCACUUGUGUCCAAGGGACCACCCGAGAGAAAAUUACUCUUUUCUUUUUUUUUUUUUUUUUUUUUUUUUUUUUUUAAAGUAAAUAACCAAAUAAUUAUUUACAAUGCUUUAUAGGAGAAAAAAUGCCGAAACAAUCAUCUUCAUUUUCGUCUCCAAGAGAAAUGAAGGGCUCUUCAUCUUCAUCAUCGUCUUCGUCUUCAGAGGUGUCAGCUACUGAUGACUUUGAACGGGAGGCGAGGAGCUGUUCCAUUGCUUUGAAGUAUUCCUCUUCUGUCUUGGCACUUGCCAAAAGAGACUGGGCUUUGGAUUUUUGGGUUAAGAAGGUCUGUUGGGCUUUAGAGGCUUUUAGGGUUGGUUGGAGAAGGUUUUUAGAGGAGAGCCAAUCUUUGAUCAUGUUAACAGUCAGUUUGGACUGUUCAUCAAAUUUUGACCACCAUUUGACUUUAAAGGUUCUUUGAAGGAUGACUUGGGAAUCUUGAGUAUGAAAACGGAGGUUCCACAUCCAGACCCAUGGUAGGAAGAAGUUUGUACAAAAACAGAGAAAGGGGGGAAAUCUUUUCUCUGAGUCAGAGGGCAUAUAGUGGGCUUUAAAGAGGUUUAGGCAAUUUAUGGCAUUUGGAGUGAGGAUUUGAGGUAUUGGGCCAAAGAAAUUCCACCAAUGAUGGAACCAGUUUGGAAGGCUUUGGACGGUUAUUUUAGGGUUAAAGAAAAAUAACCAAGAAUGGGAUUUUUUAGGGUUUUGAAUAAAAAAGGUGUUAUACCAUGCUUGUUGGUAAUCCCAGUAGGAGAAAGUCCGACAAUGUGGUAAACGGGUUUCAAAGUUUAAAGGAAAGGUUUUGAAAUUGUGGAGUAGGUCGCCCCACUGGUUCGGGCUCAAAACUUUUAGAAUCGUGGCCGUGGAAUAGGCCGGUUCAGAAUGGGUUUUAUCAAGAAAGAAAUGUUUGAAUUUAACUGAUUCAGUUAUUUCUAAAAUGCUUUGAUAAUAAGACUGGGGUUUUGUCAAAUCCCAUGGUUUGAAAAACCAGCCUUUGGGAAAAAACUUUGAAAUGCUUUGAAAAGGAUCAGUAUGGUAAAAUCCAUCUUCCAUAGAAAGAAUAUUUUGAAAAUGGGUUUUAUCAAACCAAUCGGAGGUUUUCUUUGAAGGUGUUGGCUGAGAAAGCACAAUUUGGGAAGAUGAGCUUUCGGCAGAGACAACAACAUUUUGAGAGGAGGGUUUUGUAAUUUCUUUAGAUGUGGAUAUGCUCUUAAUUUCUUUUUGAGGAGAAUUUUGGCUCUGGGAAAGGUUUUGUAGAGCGAGCAUGAGCUCGGGAGAUUUUGUAAUGGAACUCAUCCAAUGCUUUACUUGAUCAUCAGAAGAGAUGGGUUUGUAUUGGGCUUCAUGUUCUUCAACCAAUUCAAUCCAUGAUUUGAUGGGUAGGGCAGAAGAAAGUAAUUUUUCUUUAGAAGGGGUUGACUGGGGUUCUUUGGAAGGUUCUUGAGAUCCGGAACUUUUGAGAACAGCUUUACCUUUGUCUUUCUUUAGCGGCAUUAUCUGUUUUGAAGAAAUUCUCUGGUUAGAAAAUCAGGAACAGAAUUUUAUCACCUUUAAUGAAUUCUAUAUCAAAAUAAAAAACACUCAAAAUAGCUUGCCAACGUGCAAAAAUUUGUUUUGAUGCAAUGUUUUGAACAUCCUUUUCUAAAACAUGUUUUGCAGCUUUGCAAUCAAUUCUAAGUAAAAAUUUUUGAUUUAAUAAAUCACUUUGAAAUUUUGUAAUGCAUAAAACAAUGGAAAGAAUUUCUUUUUUAAUAGUAGAAUAAUUUUUCUGACAAUCAUUCCAAUGUGCAGAAACAUAUUGUACUAUCUGUUCUCUAUCAUUUUCUUUUUGUUUUAAUAUACCUCCAUAUCCUAAAUCAGAUGCAUCAGUUUCAACAAUUUUAGGGAAUGCAGGAUUUGCAAGAUAUAGACAUGGGAUGCUUUUAACAGAACUCUUUAUUAAUUUAACAGCUUUAGUAUGUUCAUCUGUCCAUGGAGCAGGUUUUUUCUUUAAACGAUCAUGCAAAGGUUUAGACAACCUAUUGAUAUUGGGACAGAAAUCAAGAACAUAAUUUAGGCUACCAAGAAAUCUUUGUAAUUGAGUUUUGUCAAGGAUUUUAUCAGGGAAUUUAUCAGCAAAUAAAAGUGAUCUUUCAAUAGGGGUGAUUGUUCCUUUUGAAAUAUAGUGACCAAGAAAUCUGAUUUUCGUUUGAAAUAAUGAAAUCUUUGAACUAGAAAGGGCUAGUCCAGCCUUUUUUGUAGCAAAAUAAAAAGUCUUUAAAUGUUUGAAAUGUUGAUCGAUUGAAUUUGAAAAUAUCAAAACAUCAUCAAUAUAAACAAUGCAAAAAUCAGAAUAAGGAUUAUAAAUAUCAUUCAUAAUUCUUUGAAAUUCUGAGGGUGCAUUCUUUAAACCAAAGGGCAUAACAGUCCAUUCGUAUUGUCCAAAUGGAACAGUGAAAGCGGUUUUGUAACGGUCAUUUGGAUGAAUUUGAAUUUGCCAAAAACCCGAUUUCAUGUCGAAUUUUGAAAAAAUAAAGGCAGAACAGAGUUUUUGGAGUAAAUCUUUUUAUUAGGUAUAGGAUACCUAAUCCAUUUUAAAGCUUUAUUCAAAGGUUUGUAGUUAUAACUAGUCUUGGAGUGCCUCUUUCAAUUUCGGAGUUUUUGUUAACAUAAAAAGCAGCACAAGACCAAGGAGACCUGGAUUUUACAAUGAGUCCUUUAGACUCCAAGUCUUUGAUUUCAUUUUUACAAUGUUUUUCUAAAUCCAUAUUCAUUUGAAUUGGACGAGCUUUGGUCGGAAUCUGUUUUUCAUCAAAAGAAUUUUCAUAAGGCAGGUCUACUAAAUGUUGUUUUCUAUUCCAAAAAGCAGAAGGUAGAUCAGCACAAAUUUCUUUUUCAAUAAGAGUUUUGAAAUCAGAAAUUUUUCUUUUAAUGAAAAUCACUUUGUAAUUGGCUUUCAACUCUUUGUAAGUUCAAAUCUUUUUGUAAAAACAUUAGAUCACACUGUUUUGAUUUAAGUAAAUUGUUUUAUUCUAUUUUGAUAAAUAGAACAGGCUUUAACAAUAUUUAAAUUUCUUGUUUUAGGUUUUUCAAUAAAAGGGAAAAACAAGUUUCUUGUUUUUGCUUUGAAAGAUAUACUAUCAUAAUUGACAGUAUACGGAGUUAUGAGAUUUAUAAAAGGAGUUCCCAAAAUAAUGGCAUGAUGAAUAUCAUUGUGAGAACAAAGGAAGUUUUAAAAUCAAAACCAUCAUUAUAGAUCGAGGCUUCAACCUUGGAACUGACAUUCAAUUUUGAAAUUAUUGGCGGCAGAAAGCCUUUCUUUUGUUUUUUCAUGAAAUCUUUUGGGACGAUAUCUUCUCUAAUGCAAUUUAAAUCGGCGCCAGUAUCAAAAAGGGCAAUGGCGUCCAUCGCAAAAUCAUCAGAAAAGAUUAGAGUGACUUUAAUCAAAUACUUUCUUGUGGUGAUUUGUUUUAGAACAAAUAGAAAAUCAUUGGGUACAGACUCAAUAUUUUCUACUUUAAUAUCAUCACCAUCAAUAUCAGGACUGGAUUCAUUGUCUGAAUUAUCCUGUAAUUGCUUUUGUAAAAGAAGUUGAAUAAUAUCAGAAUCACUUUUUUGUUUUUCUUUUAAAUCUCUGAUUUCACUUUUGAUUUCUUUUAUCUCUUUCUGAAGAUCUUGGAUAUUAGGAAUCAUCUUUUUUGUUUUCUUCUUAUCCAAAAUUUGAGUAAGAUCAUAAGAAUUCUUUUUAAUAAUUGGGACUCUAGAAGUCUCGGCUUUAUUAAAAUCCAAUGUUUCAAAAGUUUAUCAAAGGUAUUCCUUUUGAAGAUUUGGAUCAGAAAUAUGCUUUACAAGUUCAAGAAAAGUUUCUUGGUCUUUAGUCAAAACAUUGAUUUUCUUUAAAAAUGAAUCAGAUUCAGAAUCACUACUGCUAGAUGCAGAGUCAUCUGAGUCAAAAAGCUCAUCAACGUAAGGGUCACUGUCUCCGACAUGGAAGACUCAGAAUCAGAAGAUUCGACAAGAAGAGGGGCUAUUUUAGAAAGGAUGUCCUCAUUGAGGUCAAGUUCUUGGAGUCUUUUGUUCAUUCUGCAAAAUUUUGCAGUAUGACCUUUCAUACCACAUUUGAAACAUGUGGCCUCCUUGAAGUUGAAUGGGGUAUUAGGUUUGGCUUUGAAAUCUUUCUUUUUAGAGAAACUAUGUCUCUUAUAAGGCUUCGAAGGUUUCUUAUAAGGAAGUUUUCUAAAUCACGGAAGGGUUUUCUAAAAUGUUUAGAUUUGUAAUGUUUCUUACGAGGUUUUGUAGAACACUCUCCAUUACAAUCUUUGGAAGUUUUAAAGGGGUCAUAAUUGAAUUGCUUACAGAAACCGCCUAAUUCCUGUUUAGACUUCUUAAGCUCCCACUUAAGACGUUUCUGUAAUUUCAAAUCUUGACAAAUCUUUAAACCUCUUUGUUGACAAAACUGACUAGUUCACCAUAGGUGAGCUCGUCAUAAGGAAUACGGUUAUCGUAAAGGGCUUUGAUGGAAUUUCUUACCUUUUCACCUAAAAGGGUAGGUAAUCCAGCAAGAAAUUUUUCUUUCCAAGUAAUAUGAUUUGCAUCAUCCCUUAGAAAUAGUCUGGUAAGGAAAGAGGUUUUGUAACUCUGAAAUUCACUAAGUUUUCUACAUCUCAAAUUAUGUAGUAACUCAGCGUUUUUUAUCACGAAGGUGAGAAGGGUCACCGAUGAAAUGGAGGGAAAUGGUUAGAAUAAGAGUAGCAACAGCAUCCUGGAUAGGGUUGUUGAACUCAUCAAGAAUAGAGGCUCCAUUUUCAUCUUUUUGGACGGAAUUUAGAAUGUCAAAUUGUUGCUGAUUAGUGAGAAGAUGAUCCCACCAACCUUUUAGUUGACCAGUAAAACCAGCAAUUAGGAUUUCCGAUAUGGCACGAUCAGAAGUUCCUGCUUGGGUUUUAUAAGCAUUAGCUGCCAUUGUCAUUUGUUGCAACAAUCCAAGGAUAUUGUACUCAGACAUGCCGUCAAUAUUCCACUCAUAGACUGAAGAUGCAUUAUAACGGAUUGAUUUAAUGCACUAGGUCUAUUAUCUAUUGCUAGAUCUGGUGGGGUCUUGACAGUGGGAAGGGCUAAUUCCCAGUGGAUUUUGUUGGCUUUAGGAGUAGAAGGUUCUUCUUUGAAAGCUUCUAAGUCAGAAGAGGCUAUAGAACUCUGGUCAUCUAGAUCCAAUACUCCAAUCUUGCUAGAUUGGGGUAUCGGGGCUAUCUGGAGUUUGCUAGACGAGGAAGAAGCAGCUUCUAUCUCUCUAGUUGUUCUCUAAUGGCUUUAGCAAAAUCUGAUUUUGACUCUUGAACAAGCCUUUGGCUAGUUUUCGAAACCUGAAAAGGUUUGAAAAUAGGUUCCUUAAGCUUUUUGUCAGAAUCCGAUUUUGAAGGAAUAGACAUAGGAAUAGGAGAAACAGAUAUAGGAGAUUUUUGAAAUUGGUUUUCUAUACGAGCCAAUUGCUUUCCAAUUGUAUUUAAGUUAGUAUUACAGAAAUUAUUCUGUUGUAUAAUACUACUUAAAUUCGCAUCAGAAUCAUUUGGUCUUGGGAUUUUGUAAGGGGAUGCUUUAAUCUCAAUAGGAGGUUCACCAUGAUCUAUGGUUAUACUCCUAAGAGGUGGAUGAUCAGACUCUAUGAUCCUAUCAUUAUCAGAAAGUUUCCAUUCAGGAAUUUUCUUUCUAAUAGUUAUAGGGUUUGACUCUUUAAAAGGAUAAUCAAUAUUGUUCUCAGAAGAAUAUAUUUCGAACCAAUCAAAAAACAAUAUAUGAANNNNNNNNNNNNNNNNNNNNNNNNNNNNNNNNNNNNNNNNNNNNNNNNNNNNNNNNNNNNNNNNNNNNNNNNNNNNNNNNNNNNNNNNNNNNNNNNNNNNNNNNNNNNNNNNNNNNNNNNNNNNNNNNNNNNNNNNNNNNNNNNNNNNNNNNNNNNNNNNNNNNNNNNNNNNNNNNNNNNNNNNNNNNNNNNNNNNNNNNNNNNNNNNNNNNNNNNNNNNNNNNNNNNNNNNNNNNNNNNNNNNNNNNNNNNNNNNNNNNNNNNNNNNNNNNNNNNNNNNNNNNNNNNNNNNNNNNNNNNNNNNNNNNNNNNNNNNNNNNNNNNNNNNNNNNNNNNNNNNNNNNNNNNNNNNNNNNNNNNNNNNNNNNNNNNNNNNNNNNNNNNNNNNNNNNNNNNNNNNNNNNNNNNNNNNNNNNNNNNNNNNNNNNNNNNNNNNNNNNNNNNNNNNNNNNNNNNNNNNNNNNNNNNNNNNNNNNNNNNNNNNNNNNNNNNNNNNNNNNNNNNNNNNNNNNNNNNNNNNNNNNNNNNNNNNNNNNNNNNNNNNNNNNNNNNNNNNNNNNNNNNNNNNNNNNNNNNNNNNNNNNNNNNNNNNNNNNNNNNNNNNNNNNNNNNNNNNNNNNNNNNNNNNNNNNNNNNNNNNNNNNNNNNNNNNNNNNNNNNNNNNNNNNNNNNNNNNNNNNNNNNNNNNNNNNNNNNNNNNNNNNNNNNNNNNNNNNNNNNNNNNNNNNNNNNNNNNNNNNNNNNNNNNNNNNNNNNNNNNNNNNNNNNNNNNNNNNNNNNNNNNNNNNNNNNNNNNNNNNNNNNNNNNNNNNNNNNNNNNNNNNNNNNNNNNNNNNNNNNNNNNNNNNNNNNNNNNNNNNNNNNNNNNNNNNNNNNNNNNNNNNNNNNNNNNNNNNNNNNNNNNNNNNNNNNNNNNNNNNNNNNNNNNNNNNNNNNNNNNNNNNNNNNNNNNNNNNNNNNNNNNNNNNNNNNNNNNNNNNNNNNNNNNNNNNNNNNNNNNNNNNNNNNNNNNNNNNNNNNNNNNNNNNNNNNNNNNNNNNNNNNNNNNNNNNNNNNNNNNNNNNNNNNNNNNNNNNNNNNNNNNNNNNNNNNNNNNNNNNNNNNNNNNNNNNNNNNNNNNNNNNNNNNNNNNNNNNNNNNNNNNNNNNNNNNNNNNNNNNNNNNNNNNNNNNNNNNNNNNNNNNNNNNNNNNNNNNNNNNNNNNNNNNNNNNNNNNNNNNNNNNNNNNNNNNNNNNNNNNNNNNNNNNNNNNNNNNNNNNNNNNNNNNNNNNNNNNNNNNNNNNNNNNNNNNNNNNNNNNNNNNNNNNNNNNNNNNNNNNNNNNNNNNNNNNNNNNNNNNNNNNNNNNNNNNNNNNNNNNNNNNNNNNNNNNNNNNNNNNNNNNNNNNNNNNNNNNNNNNNNNNNNNNNNNNNNNNNNNNNNNNNNNNNNNNNNNNNNNNNNNNNNNNNNNNNNNNNNNNNNNNNNNNNNNNNNNNNNNNNNNNNNNNNNNNNNNNNNNNNNNNNNNNNNNNNNNNNNNNNNNNNNNNNNNNNNNNNNNNNNNNNNNNNNNNNNNNNNNNNNNNNNNNNNNNNNNNNNNNNNNNNNNNNNNNNNNNNNNNNNNNNNNNNNNNNNNNNNNNNNNNNNNNNNNNNNNNNNNNNNNNNNNNNNNNNNNNNNNNNNNNNNNNNNNNNNNNNNNNNNNNNNNNNNNNNNNNNNNNNNNNNNNNNNNNNNNNNNNNNNNNNNNNNNNNNNNNNNNNNNNNNNNNNNNNNNNNNNNNNNNNNNNNNNNNNNNNNNNNNNNNNNNNNNNNNNNNNNNNNNNNNNNNNNNNNNNNNNNNNNNNNNNNNNNNNNNNNNNNNNNNNNNNNNNNNNNNNNNNNNNNNNNNNNNNNNNNNNNNNNNNNNNNNNNNNNNNNNNNNNNNNNNNNNNNNNNNNNNNNNNNNNNNNNNNNNNNNNNNNNNNNNNNNNNNNNNNNNNNNNNNNNNNNNNNNNNNNNNNNNNNNNNNNNNNNNNNNNNNNNNNNNNNNNNNNNNNNNNNNNNNNNNNNNNNNNNNNNNNNNNNNNNNNNNNNNNNNNNNNNNNNNNNNNNNNNNNNNNNNNNNNNNNNNNNNNNNNNNNNNNNNNNNNNNNNNNNNNNNNNNNNNNNNNNNNNNNNNNNNNNNNNNNNNNNNNNNNNNNNNNNNNNNNNNNNNNNNNNNNNNNNNNNNNNNNNNNNNNNNNNNNNNNNNNNNNNNNNNNNNNNNNNNNNNNNNNNNNNNNNNNNNNNNNNNNNNNNNNNNNNNNNNNNNNNNNNNNNNNNNNNNNNNNNNNNNNNNNNNNNNNNNNNNNNNNNNNNNNNNNNNNNNNNNNNNNNNNNNNNNNNNNNNNNNNNNNNNNNNNNNNNNNNNNNNNNNNNNNNNNNNNNNNNNNNNNNNNNNNNNNNNNNNNNNNNNNNNNNNNNNNNNNNNNNNNNNNNNNNNNNNNNNNNNNNNNNNNNNNNNNNNNNNNNNNNNNNNNNNNNNNNNNNNNNNNNNNNNNNNNNNNNNNNNNNNNNNNNNUCAUGUCGAAUUUUGAAAAAUAAAGGCAGAACAGGUUUUUGGAGUAAAUCUUUUUUAUUAGGUAUAGGAUACCUAAUCCAUUUUAAAGCUUUAUUCAAAGGUUUGUAGUUUAUAACUAGUCUUGGAGUGCCUCUUUCAAUUUCGGAGUUUUUGUUAACAUAAAAAGCAGCACAAGACCAAGGAGACCUGGAUUUUACAAUGAGUCCUUUAGACUCCAAGUCUUUGAUUUCAUUUUUACAAUGUUUUUCUAAAUCCAUAUUCAUUUGAAUUGGACGAGCUUUGGUCGGAAUCUGUUUUUCAUCAAAAGAAUUUUCAUAAGGCAGAUCUACUAAAUGUUGUUUUCUAUUCCAAAAAGCAGAAGGUAGAUCAGCACAAAUUUCUUUUUCAAUAAGAGUUUUGAAAUCAGAAAAAUUUUUCUUUUAAUGAAAUCACUUUGUAAUUUGCUUUCAACUCUUUGUAAGUUCAAAUCUUUUUGUAAAAACAUUAGAUCACACUGUUUUGAUUUAAGUAAAUUGUUUAUUCUAUUUUGAUAAAUAGAACAGGCUUUAACAAUAUUUCAAAUUUCUUGUUUUAGGCUUUUCAAUAAAAGGGAAAACAAGUUUCUUGUUUUUUGCUUUGAAAGAUAUACUAUCAUAAUUGACAGUAUACGGAGUUAUGAGAUUUAUAAAAGGAGUUCCCAAAAUAAUGGCAUGAUGAAUAUCAUUUGUGAGAACAAAGGAAGUUUUAAAAUCAAAACCAUCAUUAUAGAUUGAGGCUUCAACCUUGGAACUGACAUUCAAUUUUGAAUUAUUGGCGGCAGAAAGCCUUUCUUUUGUUUUUUCAUGAAAUCUUUUGGGGACGAUAUCUUCUCUAAUGCAAUUUAAAUCGGCGCCAGUAUCAAAAAGGGCAAUGGCGUCCAUCGCAAAAUCAUCAGAAAAGAUUAGAGUGACUUUAAUCAAAUACUUUCUUGUGGUGAUUUGUUUUAGAACAAAUAGAAAAUCAUUGGGUACAGACUCAAUAUUUUCUACUUUAAUAUCAUCACCAUCAAUAUCAGGACUGGAUUCAUUGUCUGAAUUAUCCUGUAAUUGCUUUUGUAAAAGAAGUUGAAUAAUAUCAGAAUCACUUUUUUGUUUUUCUUUUAAAUCUCUGAUUUCACUUUUGAUUUCUUUUAUCUCUUUCUGAAGAUCUUGGAUAUUAGGAAUCAUUUUUUGUUUUCUUCUUAUCCAAAAUUUGAGUAAGAUCAUAAGAAUUCUUUUUAACAAUUGGGACUCUAGAAGUCUCGGCUUUAUUAAAAUCCAAUGUUUUCAAAAGUUUAUCAAGGUAUUCCUUUUGAAGAUUUGGAUCAGAAAUAUGUUUACAAGUUCAAGAAAAGUUUCUUGGUCUUUAGUCAAAACAUUGAUUUUCUUUAAAAAUGAAUCAGAUUCAGAAUCACUACUGCUAGAUGCAGAGUCAUCUGAGUCAAAAAGCUCAUCAACUUGGUAAGGGUCACUGUCUCCCGACAUGGAAGACUCAGAAUCAGAAGAUUCGACAAGAAGAGGGGCUAUUUUAGAAAGGAUGUCCUCAUUGAGGUCAAGUUCUUGGAGUCUUUUGUUCAUUCUGCAAAAUUUUGCAGUAUGACCUUUCAUACCACAUUUGAAACAUGUGGCCUCCUUGAAGUUGAAUGGGGUAUUAGGUUUGGCUUUGAAAUCUUUCUUUUUAGAGAAACUAUGUUCUUAUAAGGCUUCGAAGGUUUCUUAUAAGGAAGUUUUCUAAAAUCACGGAAGGGUUUUCUAAAAUGUUUAGAUUUGUAAUGUUUCUUACGAGGUUUUGUAGAACACUCUCCAUUACAAUCUUUGGAAGUUUUAAAGGGGUCAUAAUUGAAUUGCUUACAGAAACCGCCUAAUUCCUGUUUAGACUUCUUAAGCUCCCACUUAAGACGUUUCUGUAAUUUCAAAUCUUGACAAAUCUUUAAACCUUCUUGUUGACAAAACUGACUAGUUCACCAUAGGUGAGCUCGUCAUAAGGAAUACGGUUAUCGUAAAGGGCUUUGAUGGAAUUUCUUACCUUUUCACCUAAAAGGGUAGGUAAUCCAGCAAGAAAUUUUUCUUUCCAAGUAAUAUGAUUUGCAUCAUCCCUUAGAAAUAGUCUGGUAAGGAAAGAGGUUUUGUAACUCUGAAAUUCACUAAGUUUUCUACAUCUCAAAUUAUGUAGUAACUCAGCGUUUUUAUCACGAAGGUGAGAAGGGUCACCGAUGAAAUGGAGGGAAAUGGUUAGAAUAAGAGUAGCAACAGCAUCCUGGAUAGGGUUGUUGAACUCAUCAAGAAUAGAGGCUCCAUUUUCAUCUUUUUGGACGGAAUUUAGAAUGUCAAAUUGUUGCUGAUUAGUGAGAAGAUGAUCCCACCAACCUUUUAGUUGACCAGUAAAACCAGCAAUUAGGAUUUCCGAUAUGGCACGAUCAGAAGUUCCUGCUUGGGUUUUAUAAGCAUUAGCUGCCAUUGUCAUUUUGUUGCAACAAUCCAAGGAUAUUGUACUCAGACAUGCCGUCAAUAUUCCACUCAUAGACUGAAGAUGCAUUAUAACGGGAUUGAUUUAAUGCACUAGGUCUAUUAUCUAUUGCUAGAUCUGGUGGGGUCUUGACAGUGGGAAGGGCUAAUUCCCAGUGGAUUUUGUUGGCUUUAGGAGUAGAAGGUUCUUCUUUGAAAGCUUCUAAGUCAGAAGAGGCUAUAGAACUUGGUCAUCUAGAUCCAAUACUCCAAUCUUGCUAGAUUGGGGGUAUCGGGCUAUCUGGAGUUUGCUAGACGAGGAAGAAGCAGCUUCUAUCCUCUCUAGUUGUUCUCUAAUGGCUUUAGCAAAAUCUGAUUUUGACUCUUGAACAAGCCUUUGGCUAGUUUUCGAAACCUGAAAAGGUUUGAAAAUAGGUUCCUUAAGCUUUUUGUCAGAAUCCGAUUUUGAAGGAAUAGACAUGGAAUAGGAGAAACAGAUAUAGGAGAUUUUUGAAAUUGGUUUUCUAUACGAGCCAAUUGCUUUCCAAUUGUAUUUAAGUUAGUAUUACAGAAAUUAUUCUGUUGUAUAAUACUACUUAAAUUCGCAUCAGAAUCAUUUGGUCUUGGGAUUUUGUAAGGGGAUGCUUUAAUCUCAAUAGGAGGUUCACCAUGAUCUAUGGUUAUACUCCUAAGAGGUGGAUGAUCAGACUCUAUAAUCCUAUCAUUAUCAAAGUUUCCAUUCAGGAAUUUUCUUUCUAAUAGUUAUAGGGUUUGACUCUUUAAAAGGAUAAUCAAUAUUGUUCUCAGAAGAAUAUAUUUCGAACCAAUCAAAAAACAAUAUAUGAACUUUAUGAAAAUUCACAAAUUCAUAAUAAGUUUGUUGGAUUUCUUUUCUUUGGUUUAAAAAAUGUUUAAAAAACCAAGUUCUUUUUUCUUUAUUUAUUUCUGAAUAAAAAUCGUUAUGCAGAAAGGCUUUAUCUAAUUCAAAUUUUUUCAAUGACAUUAAUGACAUUUUCUGUGACAGCAGAAAACGUAGGAGAUGUUGGAGGAGAAGGUUCCUUCUCUUCCUGUCUUUGCACAUGUUGACUACUAGUGUAUAUAGGAUGAGGAACACUUGUGGCAUAGUCAACGGAACGGAUGGAGGAGCUAGGUAUAUCCGAAGUGGAAAACCUAGGUUGCUCUGAUAUGGGAGAUUUAUAACAGAAGGUACUUUUGUAAACUUCCUUUCUAGUGAAGGAAUGCUUGGGCUCGAUUCUUUUUCAGAAAAUCUAUGUGAGGUAGACCUUCUGAAUGAUAGUUUGACUUUACCAUCGGAAUACUGGGUCACAUUUUGUAACUCUGUAUUUGGCUCAAGUUGUUUCGGAUCGCCGGUGGGCGGCUCCUUCGAGGAUCCAUUCAUCUGGAAGAUGGAUAUCUUUCCAUUGGAUCGAUUUUGGAAUGACCAUGUUGGCUUUAGACAAAUCAGUCUGCAAGAGAAGGGUCUCAUCUCUCUUCGACUGUAUUUAUGCUGUGUGCUAAAUGCAGAAUCAUGGCUUUAUAGGAAAUUUUAAAAAUUAAUGCAACUGGGAUGGAUCCCUUAAUCAUGUGAUAAUUAUGGGUUUGGAUUUGUAAAAUCAUGCUCUUUAAAAUAUUUUUGUCUUUAAGAGAAAUUGUUAUAUUUGGAACAAUCAAAAGAUAUGGGACCUUUACAUAGACUAGAUUCGAUACUACUUAGUAAAGAAUCAUCAAAAGAGAUGAAUCGCCCAUCUCUAAGAACAGCAAGGAUAGAGGUAUCAAGCCUUCUUUGGUCAAAGGUUUUAUUCCUACUUGGAUUAAACCAAUGUGAAUAUAUUUGAAAUUCUUUUCUUUUAAUUUCUUUAAAGAUUUUUCUGAAAACAAAUAAAUUGUUUCAAAAGGCUCCGAAAGAGUUAUGUCUCUUUCUUCAGUUUUUAUAAUAUAAUCAUGUUUUAAAAGAUCAAGCAUUUUUGUUUUGUAAAUCUUUUCUUUGGAAAUUUUUGGAAGUUCCCAACAAUCAAUUGCUUUAUCAAAGUUUUCAAUAACGAAUUCUUCUGAACUCACAACAUGCUUUGAAUCACUAGUCUUCCCGGAAGAAGAGCUAGAAAAGGACGAUGUUCUACAGUGUAGAGGGUUCAUGGGUAAAAACCUAUGAUCUAUUUAGUGGUUUUGAAAGAAUGGCUACAGGUAUGGUUUUACAGCCCUAAACGGAAAACUUAUCCUUAGACGGGACUUACUACCAGUAAAAAUUCACCACAAAAACAAAACUUCAAAAUAAAACACAAGUUUUCAAAACACAAACUCUAACUGCUUUACACAAUCCUUUUGGCUUGAAAACUUGUGUUUUAUUUUGAAGUUUUGUUUUUUGGUGAAUUUUUACUGGUAGUAAGUCCCGUCUAAGGAUAAGUUUUCCGUUUAGGGCUGUAAAACCAUACCUGUAGCCAUUCUUUCAAAACCACUAAAUAGAUCAUAGGUUUUUACCCAUGAACCCUCUACACUGUAGAACAUCGUCCUUUUCUAGCUCUUCUUCCGGGAAGACUAGUGAUUCAAAGCAUGUUGUGAGUUCAGAAGAAUUCGUUAUUGAAACUUUGAUAAAGCAAUUGAUUGUUGGGAACUUCCAAAAAUUUCCAAAGAAAAGAUUUACAAAACAAAAAUGCUUGAUCUUUUAAAACAUGAUUAUAUUAUAAAAACUGAAGAAAGAGACAUAACUCUUUCGGAGCCUUUUGAAACAAUUUAUUUGUUUUCAGAAAAAUCUUUAAAGAAAUUAAAAGAAAAGAAUUUCAAAUAUAUUCACAUUGGUUUAAUCCAAGUAGGAAUAAAAAACCUUUGACCAAAGAAGGCUUGGAUACCUCUAUCCUUGCUGUUCUUAGAGAUGGGCGAUUCAUCUCUUUUGAUGAUUCUUUACUAAGUAGUAUCGAAUCUAGUCUAUGUAAAGGUCCCAUAUCUUUUGAUUGUUAUCCAAAUAUAACAAUUUCUCUUAAAGACAAAAAUAUUUUAAAGAGCAUGAUUUUACAAAUCCAAACCCAUAAUUAUCACAUGAUUAAGGGAUCCAUCCCAGUUGCAUUAAUUUUUAAAAUUUCCUAUAAAGCCAUGAUUUCUGCAUUUAGCACACAGCAUAAAUACCAGUCGAAGAGAGAUGAGACCCUUCUCUUGCAGACUGAUUUGUCUAAAGCCAACAUGGUCAUUCCAAAAUCGAUCCAAUGGAAAGAUAUCCAUCUUCCAGAUGAAUGGAUCCUCGAAGGAGCCGCCCCACCGGCGAUUCCGAAACAACUUGAGCCAAAUACAGAGUUACAAAAUGUGACCCAGUAUUCCGAUGGUAAAGUCAAACUAUCAUUCAGAAGGUCUACCUCACAUAGAUUUUCUGAAAAAGAAUCGAGCCCAAGCAUUCCUUCACUAGAAAGGAAGUUUACAAAAGUACCUUCUGUUAUAAAUCUCCCAUAUCAGAGCCAACCUAGGUUUUCCACUUCGGAUAUACCUAGCUCCUCCAUCCGUUCCGUUGACUAUGCCACAAGUGUUCCUCAUCCUAUAUACACUAGUAGUCAACAUGUGCAAAGACAGGAAGAGAAGGAACCUUCUCCUCCAACAUCUCCUACGUUUUCUGCUGUCACAGAAAAUGUCAUUAAUGUCAUUGAAAAAGAAUUUGAAUUAGAUAAAGCCUUUCUGCAUAACGAUUUUUAUUCAGAAAUAAAUAAAGAAAAAAGAACUUGGUUUUUUUAAACAUUUUUUAAACCAAAGAAAAGAAAUCCAACAAACUUAUUAUGAAUUUGUGAAUUUUCAUAAAGUUCAUAUAUUGUUUUUUGAUUGGUUCGAAAUAUAUUCUUCUGAGAACAAUAUUGAUUAUCCUUUUUAAAGAGUCAAACCCUAUAACUAUUAGAAAGAAAAUUCCUGAAUGGAAACUUUCUGAUAAUGAUAGGAUUAUAGAGUCUGAUCAUCCACCUCUUAGGAGUAUAACCAUAGAUCAUGGUGAACCUCCUAUUGAGAUUAAAGCAUCCCCUUACAAAAUCCCAAGACCAAAUGAUUCUGAUGCGAAUUUAAGUAGUAUUAUACAACAGAAUAAUUUCUGUAAUACUAACUUAAAUACAAUUGGAAAGCAAUUGGCUCGUAUAGAAAACCAAUUUCAAAAAUCUCCUAUAUCUGUUUCUCCUAUUCCUAUGUCUAUUCCUUCAAAAUCGGAUUCUGACAAAAAGCUUAAGGAACCUAUUUUCAAACCUUUUCAGGUUUCGAAAACUAGCCAAAGGCUUGUUCAAGAGUCAAAAUCAGAUUUUGCUAAAGCCAUUAGAGAACAACUAGAGAGGAUAGAAGCUGCUUCUUCCUCGUCUAGCAAACUCCAGAUAGCCCCCGAUACCCCCCAAUCUAGCAAGAUUGGAGUAUUGGAUCUAGAUGACCAGAGUUCUAUAGCCUCUUCUGACUUAGAAGCUUUCAAAGAAGAACCUUCUACUCCUAAAGCCAACAAAAUCCACUGGGAAUUAGCCCUUUCCCACUGUCAAGACCCCACCAGAUCUAGCAAUAGAUAAUAGACCUAGUGCAUUAAAUCAAUCCCGUUAUAAUGCAUCUUCAGUCUAUGAGUGGAAUAUUGACGGCAUGUCUGAGUACAAUAUCCUUGGAUUGUUGCAACAAAUGACAAUGGCAGCUAAUGCUUAUAAAACCCAAGCAGGAACUUCUGAUCGUGCCAUAUCGGAAAUCCUAAUUGCUGGUUUUACUGGUCAACUAAAAAGGUUGGUGGGAUCAUCUUCUCACUAAUCAGCAACAAUUUGACAUUCUAAAUUCCGUCCAAAAAGAUGAAAAUGGAGCCUCUAUUCUUGAUGAGUUCAACAACCCUAUCCAGGAUGCUGUUGCUACUCUUAUUCUAACCAUUUCCCUCCAUUUCAUCGGUGACCCUUCUCACCUUCGUGAUAAAAACGCUGAGUUACUACAUAAUUUGAGAUGUAGAAAACUUAGUGAAUUUCAGAGUUACAAAACCUCUUUCCUUACCAGACUAUUUCUAAGGGAUGAUGCAAAUCAUAUUACUUGGAAAGAAAAAUUUCUUGCUGGAUUACCUACCUUUUAGGUGAAAAGGUAAGAAAUUCCAUCAAAGCCCUUUACGAUAACCGUAUUCCUUAUGACGAGCUCACCUAUGGUGAACUAGUCAGUUUUGUCAACAAAGAAGGUUUAAAGAUUUGUCAAGAUUUGAAAUUACAGAAACGUCUUAAGUGGGAGCUUUAAGAAGUCUAAACAGGAAUUAGGCGGUUUCUGUAAGCAAUUCAAUUAUGACCCCUUUAAAACUUCCAAAGAUUGUAAUGGAGAGUGUUCUACAAAACCUCGUAAGAAACAUUACAAAUCUAAACAUUUUAGAAAACCCUUCCGUGAUUUUAGAAAACUUCCUUAUAAGAAACCUUCGAAGCCUUAUAAGAGACAUAGUUUCUCUUAAAAAGAAAGAUUUCAAAGCCAAACCUAAUACCCCAUUCAACUUCAAGGAGGCCACAUGUUUCAAAUGUGGUAUGAAAGGUCAUACUGCAAAAUUUUGCAGAAUGAACAAAAGACUCCAAGAACUUGACCUCAAUGAGGACAUCCUUUCUAAAAUAGCCCCUCUUCUUGUCGAAUCUUCUGAUUCUGAGUCUUCCAUGUCGGGAGACAGUGACCCUUACCAAGUUGAUGAGCUUUUUGACUCAGAUGACUCUGCAUCUAGCAGUAGUGAUUCUGAAUCUGAUUCAUUUUUAAAGAAAAUCAAUGUUUUGACUAAAGACCAAGAAACUUUUCUUGAACUUGUAAAGCAUAUUUCUGAUCCAAAUCUUCAAAAGGAAUACCUUGAUAAACUUUUGAAAACAUUGGAUUUUAAUAAAGCCGAGACUUCUAGAGUCCCAAUUAUUAAAAAGAAUUCUUAUGAUCUUACUCAAAUUUUGGAUAAGAAGAAAACAAAAAAGAUGAUUCCUAAUAUCCAAGAUCUUCAGAAAGAGAUAAAAGAAAUCAAAAGUGAAAUCAGAGAUUUAAAAGAAAAACAAAAAAGUGAUUCUGAUAUUAUUCAACUUCUUUACAAAAGCAAUUACAGGAUAAUUCAGACAAUGAAUCCAGUCCUGAUAUUGAUGGUGAUGAUAUUAAAGUAGAAAAUAUUGAGUCUGUACCCAAUGAUUUUCUAUUUGUUCUAAAACAAAUCACCACAAGAAAGUAUUUGAUUAAAGUCACUCUAAUCUUUUCUGAUGAUUUUGCGAUGGACGCCAUUGCCCUUUUUGAUACUGGCGCCGAUUUAAAUUGCAUUAGAGAAGAUAUCGUCCCCAAAAGAUUUCAUGAAAAAACAAAAGAAAGGCUUUCUGCCGCCAAUAAUUCAAAAUUGAAUGUCAGUUCCAAGGUUGAAGCCUCGAUCUAUAAUGAUGGUUUUGAUUUUAAAACUUCCUUUGUUCUCACAAAUGAUAUUCAUCAUGCCAUUAUUUUGGGAACUCCUUUUAUAAAUCUCAUAACUCCGUAUACUGUCAAUUAUGAUAGUAUAUCUUUCAAAGCAAAAAACAAGAAACUUGUUUUCCCUUUUAUUGAAAAACCUAAAACAAGAAAUUUAAAUAUUGUUAAAGCCUGUUCUAUUUAUCAAAAUAGAAUAAACAAUUUACUUAAAUCAAAACAGUGUGAUCUAAUGUUUUUACAAAAAGAUUUGAACUUACAAAGAGUUGAAAGCCAAUUACAAAGUGAUUUCAUUAAAAGAAAAUUUUCUGAUUUCAAAACUCUUAUUGAAAAAGAAAUUUGUGCUGAUCUACCUUCUGCUUUUUGGAAUAGAAAACAACAUUUAGUAGACCUGCCUUAUGAAAAUUCUUUUGAUGAAAAACAGAUUCCGACCAAAGCUCGUCCAAUUCAAAUGAAUAUGGAUUUAGAAAAACAUUGUAAAAAUGAAAUCAAAGACUUGGAGUCUAAAGGACUCAUUGUAAAAUCCAGGUCUCCUUGGUCUUGUGCUGCUUUUUAUGUUAACAAAAACUUCGAAAUUGAAAGAGGCACUCCAAGACUAGUUAUAAACUACAAACCUUUGAAUAAAGCUUUAAAAUGGAUUAGGUAUCCUAUACCUAAUAAAAAAGAUUUACUCCAAAAACUCUGUUCUGCCUUUAUUUUUUCAAAAUUCGACAUGAAAUCGGGUUUUUGGCAAAUUCAAAUUCAUCCAAAUGACCGUUACAAAACCGCUUUCACUGUUCCAUUUGGACAAUACGAAUGGACUGUUAUGCCCUUUGGUUUAAAGAAUGCACCCUCAGAAUUUCAAAGAAUUAUGAAUGAUAUUUAUAAUCCUUAUUCUGAUUUUUGCAUUGUUUAUAUUGAUGAUGUUUUGAUAUUUUCAAAUUCAAUCGAUCAACAUUUCAAACAUUUAAAGACUUUUUAUUUUGCUACAAAAAAGGCUGGACUAGCCCUUUCUAGUUCAAAGAUUUCAUUAUUUUCAAACGAAAAUCAGAUUUCUUGGUCACUAUAUUUCAAAAGGAACAAUCACCCCUAUUGAAAGAUCACUUUUAUUUGCUGAUAAAUUCCCUGAUAAAAUCCUUGACAAAACUCAAUUACAAAGAUUUCUUGGUAGCCUAAAUUAUGUUCUUGAUUUCUGUCCCAAUAUCAAUAGGUUGUCUAAACCUUUGCAUGAUCGUUUAAAGAAAAAACCUGCUCCAUGGACAGAUGAACAUACUAAAGCUGUUAAAUUAAUAAAGAGUUCUGUUAAAAGCAUCCCAUGUCUAUAUCUUGCAAAUCCUGCAUUCCCUAAAAUUGUUGAAACUGAUGCAUCUGAUUUAGGAUAUGGAGGUAUAUUAAAACAAAAAGAAAAUGAUAGAGAACAGAUAGUACAAUAUGUUUCUGCACAUUGGAAUGAUUGUCAGAAAAAUUAUUCUACUAUUAAAAAAGAAAUUCUUUCCAUUGUUUUAUGCAUUACAAAAUUUCAAAGUGAUUUAUUAAAUCAAAAAUUUUUACUUAGAAUUGAUUGCAAAGCUGCAAAACAUGUUUUAGAAAAGGAUGUUCAAAACAUUGCAUCAAAACAAAUUUUUGCACGUUGGCAAGCUAUUUUGAGUGUUUUUGAUUUUGAUAUAGAAUUCAUUAAAGGUGAUAAAAAUUCUGUUCCUGAUUUUCUAACCAGAGAAUUUCUUCAAAACAGAUAAUGCCGCUAAAGAAAGACAAAGGUAAAGCUGUUCUCAAAAGUUCCGGAUCUCAAGAACCUUCCAAAGAACCCCAGUCAACCCCUUCUAAAGAAAAAUUACUUUCUUCUGCCCUACCCAUCAAAUCAUGGAUUGAAUUGGUUGAAGAACAUGAAGCCCAAUACAAACCCAUCUCUUCUGAUGAUCAAGUAAAGCAUUGGAUGAGUUCCAUUACAAAAUCUCCCGAGCUCAUGCUCGCUCUACAAAACCUUUCCCAGAGCCAAAAUUCUCCUAAAAAAGAAAUUAAGAGCAUAUCCACAUCUAAAGAAAUUACAAAACCCUCCUCUCAAAAUGUUGUUGUCUCUGCCGAAAGCUCAUCUUCCCAAAUUGUGCUUUCUCAGCCAACACCUUCAAAGAAAACCUCCGAUUGGUUUGAUAAAACCCAUUUUCAAAAUAUUCUUUCUAUGGAAGAUGGAUUUUACCAUACUGAUCCUUUUCAAAGCAUUUCAAAGUUUUUUCCCAAAGGCUGGUUUUUCAAACCAUGGGAUUUGACAAAACCCCAGUCUUAUUAUCAAAGCAUUUUAGAAAUAACUGAAUCAGUUAAAUUCAAACAUUUCUUUCUUGAUAAAACCCAUUCUGAACCGGCCUAUUCCACGGCCACGAUUCUAAAAGUUUUGAGCCCGAACCAGUGGGGCGACCUACUCCACAAUUUCAAAAUCUUUCCUUUAAACUUUGAAACCCGUUUACCACAUUGUCGGACUUUCUCCUACUGGGAUUACCAACAAGCAUGGUAUAACACCUUUUUUAUUCAAAACCCUAAAAAAUCCCAUUCUUGGUUAUUUUUCUUUAACCCUAAAAUAACCGUCCAAAGCCUUCCAAACUGGUUCCAUCAUUGGUGGAAUUUCUUUGGCCCAAUACCUCAAAUCCUCACUCCAAAUGCCAUAAAUUGCCUAAACCUCUUUAAAGCCCACUAUAUGCCCUCUGACUCAGAGAAAAGAUUUCCCCCCUUUCUCUGUUUUUGUACAAACUUCUUCCUACCAUGGGUCUGGAUGUGGAACCUCCGUUUUCAUACUCAAGAUUCCCAAGUCAUCCUUCAAAGAACCUUUAAAGUCAAAUGGUGGUCAAAAUUUGAUGAACAGUCCAAGACAUCAAGGAAACCAUUCCUGUCUUGUAAUCUUCCCGUCUUUCAAUCUUCCCUUCAGGAAAGAUUUGAAAAUUGUAAAGACCAAGACUAUCAAAGCAAAGAUGUAUGUUUAAAUUUCAGUUAUUUAAUUUCGAUGUAAUUUAAAUUUUCGCAAUUUACUUUUCUGCAAUUUAAUUUCAUGCAUAUUUACAUUAAAGCAAUUUAUUUUUAAAGCAAUUUUCUUUUCAAAGCAUGCAAAGCAGACUGGUCUUUAUCAGAUCUGCCAUAAAAUUUGUACGUUCCUCUGAGGCAAAGAGACCGGAUCUCGAUCCUCAGUUGUAAAUCUUCUCUUCUUCCUCCAUUCCUUCAGAGCACCAUUUCCGGGAUCCGGAUCUGGUACUGUGUAUGUACCCAAGCCCCUUAAAGAAUCUAAUUUAAAUCUGGAAUUAGCCCAAUAAAAAGAAACAACCACGUUUAAAGCAACUUAAUUUUAUCUGGUAAAUAUAUUAAAGUAUAUAGGCUGGAAACCCGAACGUGCGGACUAUUGAUCUGUUCUAAGUCAGAUCUGGGUCCAAAGGCAGAUUAACUUCUGCGAUCGAUCUGGUCUAACAACGCCACGUACUUUAAAUAUUCUAAAAAUUUGACCAACCGCGUUCAAAUUUGUUUGAUCAUUGUAUGCUCUAAAACAAAUCUACUUAAUCUAAAGCUGGUAAUCUUAUAUAAAAUCUGAACAACCGCGAUCCAAUUAUUUCAUUAAAGCAAUCAAUAAAGAAGCAUCUUCAAUACACACCCAUCCUUCGAUCCUAUUUCCUUCUGGUAUCAGAGCCAAGGGGAGGAUUGUGUAAAGCAGUUUAGAGUUUUGUGUUUUGAAAACUUGUGUUUUAUUUUGAAGUUUUGUUUUUGUGGUGAAUUUUUACUGGUAGUAAGUCCCGUCUAAGGAUAAGUUUUCCGUUUAGGGCUGUAAAACCAUACCUGUAGCCAUUCUUUCAAAACCACUAAAUAGAUCAUAGGUUUUUACCCAUGAACCCUCUACACUGUAGAACAUCGUCUUUUUCUAGCUCUUCUUCCGGGAAGACUAGUGAUUCAAAGCAUGUUGUGAGUUCAGAAGAAUUCGUUAUUGAAAACUUUGAUAAAGCAAUUGAUUGUUGGGAACUUCCAAAAAUUUCCAAAGAAAAGAUUUACAAAACAAAAAUGCUUGAUCUUUUAAAACAUGAUUAUAUUAUAAAAACUGAAGAAAGAGACAUAACUCUUUCGGAGCCUUUUGAAACAAUUUAUUUGUUUUCAGAAAAAUCUUUAAAGAAAUUAAAAGAAAAGAAUUUCAAAUAUAUUCACAUUGGUUUAAUCCAAGUAGGAAUAAAACCUUUGACCAAAGAAGGCUUGGAUACCUCUAUCCUUGCUGUUCUUAGAGAUGGGCGAUUCAUCUCUUUUGAUGAUUCUUUACUAAGUAGUAUCGAAUCUAGUCUAUGUAAAGGUCCCAUAUCUUUUGAUUGUUAUCCAAAUAUAACAAUUUCUCUUAAAGACAAAAAUAUUUUAAAGAGCAUGAUUUUACAAAUCCAAACCCAUAAUUAUCACAUGAUUAAGGGAUCCAUCCCAGUUGCAUUAAUUUUUAAAAUUUCCUAUAAAGCCAUGAUUUCUGCAUUUAGCACACAGCAUAAAUACCAGUCGAAGAGAGAUGAGACCCUUCUCUUGCAGACUGAUUUGUCUAAAGCCAACAUGGUCAUUCCAAAAUCGAUCCAAUGGAAAGAUAUCCAUCUUCCAGAUGAAUGGAUCCUCGAAGGAGCCGCCCCACCAGCGAUUCCGAAACAACUUGAGCCAAAUACAGAGUUACAAAAUGUGACCCAGUAUUCCGAUGGUAAAGUCAAACUAUCAUUCAGAAGGUCUACCUCACAUAGAUUUUCUGAAAAAGAAUCGAGCCCAAGCAUUCCUUCACUAGAAAGGAAGUUUACAAAAGUACCUUCUGUUAUAAAUCUCCCAUAUCAGAGCCAACCUAGGUUUUCCACUUCGGAUAUACCUAGCUCCUCCAUCCGUUCCGUUGACUAUGCCACAAGUGUUCCUCAUCCUAUAUACACUAGUAGUCAACAUGUGCAAAGACAGGAAGAGAAGGAACCUUCUCCUCCAACAUCUCCUACGUUUUCUGCUGUCACAGAAAAUGUCAUUAAUGUCAUUGAAAAAGAAUUUGAAUUAGAUAAAGCCUUUCUGCAUAACGAUUUUUAUUCAGAAAUAAAUAAAGAAAAAAGAACUUGGUUUUUUAAACAUUUUUUAAACCAAAGAAAAGAAAUCCAACAAACUUAUUAUGAAUUUGUGAAUUUUCAUAAAGUUCAUAUAUUGUUUUUUGAUUGGUUCGAAAUAUAUUCUUCUGAGAACAAUAUUGAUUAUCCUUUUAAAGAGUCAAACCCUAUAACUAUUAGAAAGAAAAUUCCUGAAUGGAAACUUUCUGAUAAUGAUAGGAUUAUAGAGUCUGAUCAUCCACCUCUUAGGAGUAUAACCAUAGAUCAUGGUGAACCUCCUAUUGAGAUUAAAGCAUCCCCUUACAAAAUCCCAAGACCAAAUGAUUCUGAUGCGAAUUUAAGUAGUAUUAUACAACAGAAUAAUUUCUGUAAUACUAACUUAAAUACAAUUGGAAAGCAAUUGGCUCGUAUAGAAAACCAAUUUCAAAAAUCUCCUAUAUCUGUUUCUCCUAUUCCUAUGUCUAUUCCUUCAAAAUCGGAUUCUGACAAAAAGCUUAAGGAACCUAUUUCAAACCUUUUCAGGUUUCGAAAACUAGCCAAAGGCUUGUUCAAGAGUCAAAAUCAGAUUUUGCUAAAGCCAUUAGAGAACAACUAGAGAGGAUAGAAGCUGCUUCUUCCUCGUCUAGCAAACUCCAGAUAGCCCCCGAUACCCCCCAAUCUAGCAAGAUUGGAGUAUUGGAUCUAGAUGACCAGAGUUCUAUAGCCUCUUCUGACUUAGAAGCUUUCAAAGAAGAACCUUCUACUCCUAAAGCCAACAAAAUCCACUGGGAAUUAGCCCUUCCCACUGUCAAGACCCCACCAGAUCUAGCAAUAGAUAAUAGACCUAGUGCAUUAAAUCAAUCCCGUUAUAAUGCAUCUUCAGUCUAUGAGUGGAAUAUUGACGGCAUGUCUGAGUACAAUAUCCUUGGAUUGUUGCAACAAAUGACAAUGGCAGCUAAUGCUUAUAAAACCCAAGCAGGAACUUCUGAUCGUGCCAUAUCAGAAAUCCUAAUUGCUGGUUUUACUGGUCAACUAAAAGGUUGGUGGGAUCAUCUUCUCACUAAUCAGCAACAAUUUGACAUUCUAAAUUCCGUCCAAAAAGAUGAAAAUGGAGCCUCUAUUCUUGAUGAGUUCAACAACCCUAUCCAGGAUGCUGUUGCUACUCUUAUUCUAACCAUUUCCCUCCAUUUCAUCGGUGACCCUUCUCACCUUCGUGAUAAAAACGCUGAGUUACUACAUAAUUUGAGAUGUAGAAAACUUAGUGAAUUUCAGAGUUACAAAACCUCUUUCCUUACCAGACUAUUUCUAAGGGAUGAUGCAAAUCAUAUUACUUGGAAAGAAAAAUUUCUUGCUGGAUUACCUACCCUUUUAGGUGAAAAGGUAAGAAAUUCCAUCAAAGCCCUUUACGAUAACCGUAUUCCUUAUGACGAGCUCACCUAUGGUGAACUAGUCAGUUUUGUCAACAAAGAAGGUUUAAAGAUUUGUCAAGAUUUGAAAUUACAGAAACGUCUUAAGUGGGAGCUUAAGAAGUCUAAACAGGAAUUAGGCGGUUUCUGUAAGCAAUUCAAUUAUGACCCCUUUAAAACUUCCAAAGAUUGUAAUGGAGUGUGUUCUACAAAACCUCGUAAGAAACAUUACAAAUCUAAACAUUUUAGAAAACCCUUCCGUGAUUUUAGAAAACUUCCUUAUAAGAAACCUUCGAAGCCUUAUAAGAGACAUAGUUUCUCUAAAAAGAAAGAUUUCAAAGCCAAACCUAAUACCCCAUUCAACUUCAAGGAGGCCACAUGUUUCAAAUGUGGUAUGAAAGGUCAUACUGCAAAAUUUUGCAGAAUGAACAAAAGACUCCAAGAACUUGACCUCAAUGAGGACAUCCUUUCUAAAAUAGCCCCUCUUCUUGUCGAAUCUUCUGAUUCUGAGUCUUCCAUGUCGGGAGACAGUGACCCUUACCAAGUUGAUGAGCUUUUUGACUCAGAUGACUCUGCAUCUAGCAGUAGUGAUUCUGAAUCUGAUUCAUUUUUAAAGAAAAUCAAUGUUUUGACUAAAGACCAAGAAACUUUUCUUGAACUUGUAAAGCAUAUUUCUGAUCCAAAUCUUCAAAAGGAAUACCUUGAUAAACUUUUGAAAACAUUGGAUUUUAAUAAAGCCGAGACUUCUAGAGUCCCAAUUAUUAAAAAGAAUUCUUAUGAUCUUACUCAAAUUUUGGAUAAGAAGAAAACAAAAAAGAUGAUUCCUAAUAUCCAAGAUCUUCAGAAAGAGAUAAAAGAAAUCAAAAGUGAAAUCAGAGAUUUAAAAGAAAAACAAAAAAGUGAUUCUGAUAUUAUUCAACUUCUUUUACAAAAGCAAUUACAGGAUAAUUCAGACAAUGAAUCCAGUCCUGAUAUUGAUGGUGAUGAUAUUAAAGUAGAAAAUAUUGAGUCUGUACCCAAUGAUUUUCUAUUUGUUCUAAAACAAAUCACCACAAGAAAGUAUUUGAUUAAAGUCACUCUAAUCUUUUCUGAUGAUUUUGCGAUGGACGCCAUUGCCCUUUUUGAUACUGGCGCCGAUUUAAAUUGCAUUAGAGAAGAUAUCGUCCCCAAAAGAUUUCAUGAAAAAACAAAAGAAAGGCUUUCUGCCGCCAAUAAUUCAAAAUUGAAUGUCAGUUCCAAGGUUGAAGCCUCGAUCUAUAAUGAUGGUUUUGAUUUUAAAACUUCCUUUGUUCUCACAAAUGAUAUUCAUCAUGCCAUUAUUUUGGGAACUCCUUUUAUAAAUCUCAUAACUCCGUAUACUGUCAAUUAUGAUAGUAUAUCUUUCAAAGCAAAAAACAAGAAACUUGUUUUCCCUUUUAUUGAAAAACCUAAAACAAGAAAUUUAAAUAUUGUUAAAGCCUGUUCUAUUUAUCAAAAUAGAAUAAACAAUUUACUUAAAUCAAAACAGUGUGAUCUAAUGUUUUUACAAAAAGAUUUGAACUUACAAAGAGUUGAAAGCCAAUUACAAAGUGAUUUCAUUAAAAGAAAAAUUUCUGAUUUCAAAACUCUUAUUGAAAAAGAAAUUUGUGCUGAUCUACCUUCUGCUUUUUGGAAUAGAAAACAACAUUUAGUAGACCUGCCUUAUGAAAAUUCUUUUGAUGAAAAACAGAUUCCGACCAAAGCUCGUCCAAUUCAAAUGAAUAUGGAUUUAGAAAAACAUUGUAAAAAUGAAAUCAAAGACUUGGAGUCUAAAGGACUCAUUGUAAAAUCCAGGUCUCCUUGGUCUUGUGCUGCUUUUUAUGUUAACAAAAACUCCGAAAUUGAAAGAGGCACUCCAAGACUAGUUAUAAACUACAAACCUUUGAAUAAAGCUUUAAAAUGGAUUAGGUAUCCUAUACCUAAUAAAAAAGAUUUACUCCAAAAACUCUGUUCUGCCUUUAUUUUUUCAAAAUUCGACAUGAAAUCGGGUUUUUGGCAAAUUCAAAUUCAUCCAAAUGACCGUUACAAAACCGCUUUCACUGUUCCAUUUGGACAAUACGAAUGGACUGUUAUGCCCUUUGGUUUAAAGAAUGCACCCUCAGAAUUUCAAAGAAUUAUGAAUGAUAUUUAUAAUCCUUAUUCUGAUUUUUGCAUUGUUUAUAUUGAUGAUGUUUUGAUAUUUCAAAUUCAAUCGAUCAACAUUUCAAACAUUUAAAGACUUUUUAUUUUGCUACAAAAAAGGCUGGACUAGCCCUUUCUAGUUCAAAGAUUUCAUUAUUUCAAACGAAAAUCAGAUUUCUUGGUCACUAUAUUUCAAAAGGAACAAUCACCCCUAUUGAAAGAUCACUUUUAUUUGCUGAUAAAUUCCCUGAUAAAAUCCUUGACAAAACUCAAUUACAAAGAUUUCUUGGUAGCCUAAAUUAUGUUCUUGAUUUCUGUCCCAAUAUCAAUAGGUUGUCUAAACCUUUGCAUGAUCGUUUAAAGAAAAAAACCUGCUCCAUGGACAGAUGAACAUACUAAAGCUGUUAAAUUAAUAAAGAGUUCUGUUAAAAGCAUCCCAUGUCUAUAUCUUGCAAAUCCUGCAUUCCCUAAAAUUGUUGAAACUGAUGCAUCUGAUUUAGGAUAUGGAGGUAUAUUAAAACAAAAAGAAAAUGAUAGAGAACAGAUAGUACAAUAUGUUUCUGCACAUUGGAAUGAUUGUCAGAAAAAUUAUUCUACUAUUAAAAAAGAAAUUCUUUCCAUUGUUUUAUGCAUUACAAAAUUUCAAAGUGAUUUAUUAAAUCAAAAAUUUUUACUUAGAAUUGAUUGCAAAGCUGCAAAACAUGUUUUAGAAAAGGAUGUUCAAAACAUUGCAUCAAAACAAAUUUUUGCACGUUGGCAAGCUAUUUUGAGUGUUUUUGAUUUUGAUAUAGAAUUCAUUAAAGGUGAUAAAAAUUUUGUUCCUGAUUUUCUAACCAGAGAAUUUCUUCAAAACAGAUAAUGCCGCUAAAGAAAGACAAAGGUAAAGCUGUUCUCAAAAGUUCCGGAUCUCAAGAACCUUCCAAAGAACCCCAGUCAACCCCUUCUAAAGAAAAAUUACUUUCUUCUGCCCUACCCAUCAAAUCAUGGAUUGAAUUGGUUGAAGAACAUGAAGCCCAAUACAAACCCAUCUCUUCUGAUGAUCAAGUAAAGCAUUGGAUGAGUUCCAUUACAAAAUCUCCCGAGCUCAUGCUCGCUCUACAAAACCUUUCCCAGAGCCAAAAUUCUCCUCAAAAAGAAAUUAAGAGCAUAUCCACAUCUAAAGAAAUUACAAAACCCUCCUCUCAAAAUGUUGUUGUCUCUGCCGAAAGCUCAUCUUCCCAAAUUGUGCUUUCUCAGCCAACACCUUCAAAGAAAACCUCCGAUUGGUUUGAUAAAACCCAUUUUCAAAAUAUUCUUUCUAUGGAAGAUGGAUUUUACCAUACUGAUCCUUUUCAAAGCAUUUCAAAGUUUUUUCCCAAAGGCUGGUUUUUCAAACCAUGGGAUUUGACAAAACCCCAGUCUUAUUAUCAAAGCAUUUUAGAAAUAACUGAAUCAGUUAAAUUCAAACAUUUCUUUCUUGAUAAAACCCAUUCUGAACCGGCCUAUUCCACGGCCACGAUUCUAAAAGUUUUGAGCCCGAACCAGUGGGGCGACCUACUCCACAAUUUCAAAACCUUUCCUUUAAACUUUGAAACCCGUUUACCACAUUGUCGGACUUUCUCCUACUGGGAUUACCAACAAGCAUGGUAUAACACCUUUUUUAUUCAAAACCCUAAAAAAUCCCAUUCUUGGUUAUUUUUCUUUAACCCUAAAAUAACCGUCCAAAGCCUUCCAAACUGGUUCCAUCAUUGGUGGAAUUUCUUUGGCCCAAUACCUCAAAUCCUCACUCCAAAUGCCAUAAAUUGCCUAAACCUCUUUAAAGCCCACUAUAUGCCCUCUGACUCAGAGAAAAGAUUUCCCCCCUUUCUCUGUUUUUGUACAAACUUCUUCCUACCAUGGGUCUGGAUGUGGAACCUCCGUUUUCAUACUCAAGAUUCCCAAGUCAUCCUUCAAAGAACCUUUAAAGUCAAAUGGUGGUCAAAAUUUGAUGAACAGUCCAAGACAUCAAGGAAACCAUUCCUGUCUUGUAAUCUUCCCGUCUUUCAAUCUUCCCUUCAGGAAAGAUUUGAAAAUUGUAAAGACCAAGACUAUCAAAGCAAAGAUGUAUGUUUAAAUUUCAGUUAUUUAAUUUCGAUGUAAUUUAAAUUUUCGCAAUUUACUUUUCUGCAAUUUAAUUUCAUGCAUAUUUACAUUAAAGCAAUUUAUUUUUAAAGCAAUUUUCUUUUCAAAGCAUGCAAAGCAGACUGGUCUUUAUCAGAUCUGCCAUAAAAUUUGUACGUUCCUCUGAGGCAAAGAGACCGGAUCUCGAUCCUCAGUUGUAAAUCUUCUCUUCUUCCUCCAUUCCUUCAGAGCACCAUUUCCGGGAUCCGGAUCUGGUACUGUGUAUGUACCCAAGCCCCUUAAAGAAUCUAAUUUAAAUCUGGAAUUAGCCCAAUAAAAAGAAACAACCACGUUUAAAGCAACUUAAUUUUAUCUGGUAAAUAUAUUAAAGUAUAUAGGCUGGAAACCCGAACGUGCGGACUAUUGAUCUGUUCUAAGUCAGAUCUGGGUCCAAAGGCAGAUUAACUUCUGCGAUCGAUCUGGUCUAACAAACGCCAACGUACUUUAAAUAUUCUAAAAAUUUGACCAACCGCGUUCAAAUUUGUUUGAUCAUUGUAUGCUCUAAAACAAAUCUACUUAAUCUAAAGCUGGUAAUCUUAUAUAAAAUCUGAACAACCGCGAUCCAAUUAUUUCAUUAAAGCAAUCAAUAAAGAAGCAUCUUCAAUACACACCCAUCCUUCGAUUCUAUUUCCUUCUGGUAUCAGAGCCAAGGGGAGGAUUGUGUAAAGCAGUUUAGAGUUUUGUGUUUUGAAAACUUGUGUUUUAUUUUUGAAGUUUUGUUUUUUGUGGUGAAUUUUUACUGGUAGUAAGUCCCGUCUAAGGAUAAGUUUUCCGUUUAGGGCUGUAAAACCAUACCUGUAGCCAUUCUUUCAAAACCACUAAAUAGAUCAUAGGUUUUUACCCAUGAACCCUCUACACUGUAGAACAUCGUCCUUUUCUAGCUCUUCUUCCGGGAAGACUAGUGAUUCAAAGCAUGUUGUGAGUUCAGAAGAAUUCGUUAUUGAAAACUUUGAUAAAGCAAUUGAUUGUUGGGAACUUCCAAAAAUUCCAAAGAAAAGAUUACAAAACAAAAAUGCUUGAUCUUUUAAAACAUGAUUAUAUUAUAAAAACUGAAGAAAGAGGACAUAACUCUUUCGGAGCCUUUUGAAACAAUUUAUUUGUUUUCAGAAAAAUCUUUAAAGAAAUUAAAAGAAAAGAAUUUCAAAUAUAUUCACAUUGGUUUAAUCCAAGUAGGAAUAAAACCUUUGACCAAAGAAGGCUUGGAUACCUCUAUCCUUGCUGUUCUUAGAGAUGGGCGAUUCAUCUCUUUUGAUGAUUCUUUACUAAGUAGUAUCGAAUCUAGUCUAUGUAAAGGUCCAUAUCUUUUGAUUGUUAUCCAAAUAUAACAAUUUCUCUUAAAGACAAAAAUAUUUAAAGAGCAUGAUUUUACAAAUCCAAACCCAUAAUUAUCACAUGAUUAAGGGAUCCAUCCCAGUUGCAUUAAUUUUUAAAAUUUCCUAUAAAGCCAUGAUUUCUGCAUUUAGCACACAGCAUAAAUACCAGUCGAAGAGAGAUGAGACCCUUCUCUUGCAGACUGAUUUGUCUAAAGCCAACAUGGUCAUUCCAAAAUCGAUCCAAUGGAAAGAUAUCCAUCUUCCAGAUGAAUGGAUCCUCGAAGGAGCCGCCCCACCGGCGAUUCCGAAACAACUUGAGCCAAAUACAGAGUUACAAAAUGUGACCCAGUAUUCCGAUGGUAAAGUCAAACUAUCAUUCAGAAGGUCUACCUCACAUAGAUUUUCUGAAAAAGAAUCGAGCCCAAGCAUUCCUUCACUAGAAAGGAAGUUUACAAAAGUACCUUCUGUUAUAAAUCUCCCAUAUCAGAGCCAACCUAGGUUUUCCACUUCGGAUAUACCUAGCUCCUCCAUCCGUUCCGUUGACUAUGCCACAAGUGUUCCUCAUCCUAUAUACACUAGUAGUCAACAUGUGCAAAGACAGGAAGAGAAGGAACCUUCUCCUCCAACAUCUCCUACGUUUUCUGCUGUCACAGAAAAUGUCAUUAAUGUCAUUGAAAAAGAAUUUGAAUUAGAUAAAGCCUUUCUGCAUAACGAUUUUUAUUCAGAAAUAAAUAAAGAAAAAAGAACUUGGUUUUUUAAACAUUUUUUUAAACCAAAGAAAAGAAAUCCAACAAACUUAUUAUGAAUUUGUGAAUUUUCAUAAAGUUCAUAUAUUGUUUUUUGAUUGGUUCGAAAUAUAUUCUUCUGAGAACAAUAUUGAUUAUCCUUUUAAAGAGUCAAACCCUAUAACUAUUAGAAAGAAAAUUCCUGAAUGGAAACUUUCUUGAUAAUGAUAGGAUUAUAGAGUCUGAUCAUCCACCUCUUAGGAGUAUAACCAUAGAUCAUGGUGAAACCUCCUAUUGAGAUUAAAGCAUCCCCUUACAAAUCCCAAGACCAAAUGAUUCUGAUGCGAAUUUAAGUAGUAUUAUACAACAGAAUAAUUUCUGUAAUACUAACUUAAAUACAAUUGGAAAGCAAUUGGCUCGUAUAGAAAACCAAUUUCAAAAAUCUCCUAUAUCUGUUUCUCCUAUUCCUAUGUCUAUUCCUUCAAAAUCGGAUUCUGACAAAAAGCUUAAGGAACCUAUUUUCAAACCUUUUCAGGUUUCGAAAACUAGCCAAAGGCUUGUUCAAGAGUCAAAAUCAGAUUUUGCUAAAGCCAUUAGAGAACAACUAGAGAGGAUAGAAGCUGCUUCUUCCUCGUCUAGCAAACUCCAGAUAGCCCCGAUACCCCCCAAUCUAGCAAGAUUGGAGUAUUGGAUCUAGAUGACCAGAGUUCUAUAGCCUCUUCUGACUUAGAAAGCUUUCAAAGAAGAACCUUCUACUCCUAAAGCCAACAAAUCCACUGGGAAUUAGCCCUUCCCACUGUCAAGACCCCACCAGAUCUAGCAAUAGAUAAUAGACCUAGUGCAUUAAAUCAAUCCGUUAUAAUGCAUCUUCAGUCUAUGAGUGGAAUAUUGACGGCAUGUCUGAGUACAAUAUCCUUGGAUUGUUGCAACAAAAUGACAAUGGCAGCUAAUGCUUAUAAAACCCAAGCAGGAACUUCUGAUCGUGCCAUAUCGGAAAUCCUAAUUGCUGGUUUUACUGGUCAACUAAAAGGUUGGUGGGAUCAUCUUCUCACUAAUCAGCAACAAUUUGACAUUCUAAAUUCCGUCCAAAAAGAUGAAAAUGGAGCCUCUAUUCUUGAUGAGUUCAACAACCCUAUCCAGGAUGCUGUUGCUACUCUUAUUCUAACCAUUUCCCUCCAUUUCAUCGGUGACCCUUCUCACCUUCGUGAUAAAAACGCUGAGUUACAUAAUUUGAGAUGUAGAAAACUUAGUGAAUUUCAGAGUUACAAAACCUCUUUCCUUACCAGACUAUUUCUAAGGGAUGAUGCAAAUCAUAUUACUUGGAAAGAAAAAUUUCUUGCUGGAUUACCUACCUUUUAGGUGAAAAGGUAAGAAAUUCCAUCAAAGCCCUUUACGAUAACCGUAUUCCUUAUGACGAGCUCACCUAUGGUGAACUAGUCAGUUUUGUCAACAAAGAAGGUUUAAAGAUUUGUCAAGAUUUGAAAUUACAGAAACGUCUUAAGUGGGAGCUUAAGAAGUCUAAACAGGAAUUAGGCGGUUUCUGUAAGCAAUUCAAUUAUGACCCCUUUAAAACUUCCAAAGAUUGUAAUGGAGAGUGUUCUACAAACCUCGUAAGAAACAUUACAAAUCUAAACAUUUUAGAAAACCCUUCCGUGAUUUUAGAAAACUUCCUUAUAAGAAACCUUCGAAGCCUUAUAAGAGACAUAGUUUCUCUAAAAAGAAAGAUUUCAAAGCCAAACCUAAUACCCAUUCAACUUCAAGGAGGCCACAUGUUUCAAAUGUGGUAUGAAAGGUCAUACUGCAAAAUUUUGCAGAAUGAACAAAAGACUCCAAGAACUUGACCUCAAUGAGGACAUCCUUUCUAAAAUAGCCCCUCUUCUUGUCGAAUCUUCUGAUUCUGAGUCUUCCAUGUCGGGAGACAGUGACCCUUACCAAGUUGAUGAGCUUUUUGACUCAGAUGACUCUGCAUCUAGCAGUAGUGAUUCUGAAUCUGAUUCAUUUUUAAAGAAAAUCAAUGUUUUGACUAAAGACCAAGAAACUUUUCUUGAACUUGUAAAGCAUAUUUCUGAUCCAAAUCUUCAAAAGGAAUACCUUGAUAAACUUUUGAAAACAUUGGAUUUUAAUAAAGCCGAGACUUCUAGAGUCCCAAUUGUUAAAAAGAAUUCUUAUGAUCUUACUCAAAUUUUGGAUAAGAAGAAAACAAAAAAGAUGAUUCCUAAUAUCCAAGAUCUUCAGAAAGAGAUAAAAGAAAUCAAAAGUGAAAUCAGAGAUUUAAAAGAAAAACAAAAAAGUGAUUCUGAUAUUAUUCAACUUCUUUUACAAAAGCAAUUACAGGAUAAUUCAGACAAUGAAUCUAGUCCUGAUAUUGAUGGUGAUGAUAUUAAAGUAGAAAAUAUUGAGUCUGUACCCAAUGAUUUUCUAUUUGUUCUAAAACAAAUCACCACAAGAAAGUAUUUGAUUAAAGUCACUCUAAUCUUUUCUGAUGAUUUUGCNNNNNNNNNNNNNNNNNNNNNNNNNNNNNNNNNNNNNNNNNNNNNNNNNNNNNNNNNNNNNNNNNNNNNNNNNNNNNNNNNNNNNNNNNNNNNNNNNNNNNNNNNNNNNNNNNNNNNNNNNNNNNNNNNNNNNNNNNNNNNNNNNNNNNNNNNNNNNNNAAUAGCUUGCCAACGUGCAAAAAUCUGUUUUGAUGCAAUGUUUUGAACAUCCUUUUCUAAAACAUGUUUUGCAGCUUUGCAAUCAAUUCUAAGUAAAAAUUUUUGAUUUAAUAAAUCACUUUGAAAUUUUGUAAUGCAUAAAACAAUGGAAAGAAUUUCUUUUUUAAUAGUAGAAUAAUUUUUCUGACAAUCAUUCCAAUGUGCAGAAACAUAUUGUACUAUCUGUUCUCUAUCAUUUUCUUUUUGUUUUAAUAUACCUCCAUAUCCUAAAUCAGAUGCAUCAGUUUCAACAAUUUUAGGGAAUGCAGGAUUUGCAAGAUAUAGACAUGGGAUGCUUUUAACAGAACUCUUUAUUAAUUUAACAGCUUUAGUAUGUUCAUCUGUCCAUGGAGAGUUUUUUCUUUAAACGAUCAUGCAAAGGUUUAGACAACCUAUUGAUAUUGGGACAGAAAUCAAGAACAUAAUUUAGGCUACCAAGAAAUCUUUGUAAUUGAGUUUUGUCAAGAUUUUAUCAGGGAAUUAUCAGCAAAUAAAAGUGAUCUUUCAAUAGGGGUGAUUGUUCCUUUUGAAAUAUAGUGACCAAGAAAUCUGAUUUUCGUUUGAAAUAAUGAAAUCUUUGAACUAGAAAGGGCUAGUCCAGCCUUUUUUGUAGCAAAAUAAAAAGUCUUUAAAUGUUUGAAAUGUUGAUCGAUUGAAUUUGAAAUAUCAAAACAUCAUCAAUAUAAACAAUGCAAAAAUCAGAAUAAGGAUUAUAAAUAUCAUUCAUAAUUCUUUGAAAUUCUGAGGGUGCAUUCUUUAAACCAAAGGCAUAACAGUCCAUUCGUAUUGUCCAAAUGGAACAGUGAAAGCGGUUUUGUAACGGUCAUUUGGAUGAAUUUGAAUUUGCCAAAAACCCGAUUUCAUGUCGAAUUUUGAAAAAAUAAAGGCAGAACAGAGUUUUUGGAGUAAAUCUUUUUAUUAGGUAUAGGAUACCUAAUCCAUUUUAAAGCUUUAUUCAAAGGUUUGUAGUUUAUAACUAGUCUUGGAGUGCCUCUUUCAAUUUCGGAGUUUUUGUUAACAUAAAAAGCAGCACAAGACCAAGGAGACCUGGAUUUUACAAUGAGUCCUUUAGACUCCAAGUCUUUGAUUUCAUUUUACAAUGUUUUUUCUAAAUCCAUAUUCAUUUGAAUUGGACGAGCUUUGGUCGGAAUCUGUUUUUCAUCAAAAGAAUUUUCAUAAGGCAGAUCUACUAAAUGUUGUUUUCUAUUCCAAAAAGCAGAAGGUAGAUCAGCACAAAUUUCUUUUUCAAUAAGAGUUUUGAAAUCAGAAAUUUUUCUUUUAAUGAAAUCACUUUGUAAUUGGCUUUCAACUCUUUGUAAGUUCAAAUCUUUUUGUAAAAACAUUAGAUCACACUGUUUUGAUUUAAGUAAAUUGUUUAUUCUAUUUUGAUAAAUAGAACAGGCUUUAACAAUAUUCAAAUUUCUUGUUUUAGGUUUUCAAUAAAAGGGAAAACAAGUUUCUUGUUUUUUGCUUUGAAAGAUAUACUAUCAUAAUUGACAGUAUACGGUUAUGAGAUUUAUAAAAGGAGUUCCCAAAAUAAUGGCAUGAUGAAUAUCAUUUGUGAGAACAAAGGAAGUUUUAAAAAUCAAAAUCAUUAUAGAUUGAGGCUUCAACCUUGGAACUGACAUUCAAUUUUGAAUUAUUGGCGGCAGAAAGCCUUUCUUUUGUUUUUUCAUGAAAUCUUUUGGGGACGAUAUCUUCUCUAAUGCAAUUUAAAUCGGCGCCAGUAUCAAAAAGGGCAAUGGCGUCCAUCGCAAAAUCAUCAGAAAAGAUUAGAGUGACUUUAAUCAAAUACUUUCUUGUGGUGAUUUGUUUUAGAACAAAUAGAAAAUCAUUGGGUACAGACUCAAUAUUUUCUACUUUAAUAUCAUCACCAUCAAUAUCAGGACUGGAUUCAUUGUCUGAAUUAUCCUGUAAUUGCUUUUGUAAAAGAAGUUGAAUAAUAUCAGAAUCACUUUUUUGUUUUUCUUUUAAAUCUCUGAUUUCACUUUUGAUUUCUUUUAUCUCUUUCUGAAGAUCUUGGAUAUUAGGAAUCAUCUUUUUUGUUUUCUUCUUAUCCAAAAUUUGAGUAAGAUCAUAAGAAUUCUUUUUAAUAAUUGGGACUCUAGAAGUCUCGGCUUUAUUAAAAUCCAAUGUUUUCAAAAGUUUAUCAAGGUAUUCCUUUUGAAGAUUUGGAUCAGAAAUAUGCUUUACAAGUUCAAGAAAAGUUUCUUGGUCUUUAGUCAAAACACUUGAUUUUCUUUUAAAAAUGAAUCAGAUUCAGAAUCACUACUGCUAGAUGCAGAGUCAUUGAGUCAAAAAGCUCAUCAACUUGGUAAGGGUCACUGUCUCCGACAUGGAAGACUCAGAAUCAGAAGAUUCGACAAGAAGAGGGGCUAUUUUAGAAAGGAUGUCCUCAUUGAGGUCAAGUUCUUGGAGUCUUUUGUUCAUUCUGCAAAAUUUUGCAGUAUGACCUUUCAUACCACAUUUGAAACAUGUGGCCUCCUUGAAGUUGAAUGGGGUAUUAGGUUUGGCUUUGAAAUCUUUCUUUUUAGAGAAACUAUUGUCUCUUAUAAGGCUUCGAAGGUUUCUUAUAAGGAAGUUUUCUAAAAUCACGAAGGGUUUUCUAAAAUGUUUAGAUUUGUAAUGUUUCUUACGAGGUUUUUGUAGACACUCUCCAUUACAAUCUUUGGAAGUUUUAAAAGGGGUCAUAAUUGAAUUGCUUACAGAAACCGCCUAAUUCCUGUUUAGACUUCUUAAGCUCCCACUUAAGACGUUUCUGUUAAUUUCAAAUCUUGACAAAUCUUUAAACCUUCUUUGUUGACAAAAACUGACUAGUUCACCAUAGGUGAGCUCGUCAUAAGGAAUACGGUUAUCGUAAAGGGCUUUGAUGGAAUUUCUUACCUUUUCACCUAAAAGGGUAGGUAAUCCAGCAAGAAAUUUUUCUUUCCAAGUAAUAUGAUUUGCAUCAUCCCUUAGAAAUAGUCUGGUAAGGAAAGAGGUUUUGUAACUCUGAAAUUCACUAAGUUUUCUACAUCUCAAAUUAUGUAGUAACUCAGCGUUUUUAUCACGAAGGUGAGAAGGGUCACCGAUGAAAUGGAGGGAAAUGGUUAGAAUAAGAGUAGCAACAGCAUCCUGGAUAGGGUUGUUGAACUCAUCAAGAAUAGAGGCUCCAUUUUCAUCUUUUUGGACGGAAUUUAGAAUGUCAAAUUGUUGCUGAUUAGUGAGAAGAUGAUCCCACCAACCUUUUAGUUGACCAGUAAAACCAGCAAUUAGGAUUUCCGAUAUGGCACGAUCAGAAGUUCCUGCUUGGGUUUUAUAAGCAUUAGCUGCCAUUGUCAUUUGUUGCAACAAUCCAAGGAUAUUGUACUCAGACAUGCCGUCAAUAUUCCACUCAUAGACUGAAGAUGCAUUAUAACGGGAUUGAUUUAAUGCACUAGGUCUAUUAUCUAUUGCUAGAUCUGGUGGGGUCUUGACAGUGGGAAGGGCUAAUUCCCAGUGGAUUUUGUUGGCUUUAGGAGUAGAAGGUUCUUCUUUGAAAGCUUCUAAGUCAGAAGAGGCUAUAGAACUCUGGUCAUCUAGAUCCAAUACUCCAAUCUUGCUAGAUUGGGGGGUAUCGGGGGCUAUCUGGAGUUUGCUAGACGAGGAAGAAGCAGCUUCUAUCCUCUCUAGUUGUUCUCUAAUGGCUUUAGCAAAAUCUGAUUUUGACUCUUGAACAAGCCUUUGGCUAGUUUUCGAAACCUGAAAAGGUUUGAAAAUAGGUUCCUUAAGCUUUUUGUCAGAAUCCGAUUUUGAAGGAAUAGACAUAGGAAUAGGAGAAACAGAUAUAGGAGAUUUUUGAAAUUGGUUUUCUAUACGAGCCAAUUGCUUUCCAAUUGUAUUUAAGUUAGUAUUACAGAAAUUAUUCUGUUGUAUAAUACUACUUAAAUUCGCAUCAGAAUCAUUUGGUCUUGGGAUUUUGUAAGGGGAUGCUUUAAUCUCAAUAGGAGGUUCACCAUGAUCUAUGGUUAUACUCCUAAGAGGUGGAUGAUCAGACUCUAUAAUCCUAUCAUUAUCAGAAAGUUUCCAUUCAGGAAUUUUCUUUCUAAUAGUUAUAGGGUUUGACUCUUUAAAAGGAUAAUCAAUAUUGUUCUCAGAAGAAUAUAUUUCGAACCAAUCAAAAAACAAUAUAUGAACUUUAUGAAAUUCACAAAUUCAUAAUAAGUUUGUUGGAUUUCUUUUCUUUGGUUUAAAAAAUGUUUAAAAAACCAAGUUCUUUUUUCUUUAUUUAUUUCUGAAUAAAAAUCGUUAUGCAGAAAGGCUUUAUCUAAUUCAAAUUCUUUUUCAAUGACAUUAAUGACAUUUUCUGUGACAGCAGAAAACGUAGGAGAUGUUGGAGGAGAAGGUUCCUUCUCUUCCUGUCUUUGCACAUGUUGACUACUAGUGUAUAUAGGAUGAGGAACACUUGUGGCAUAGUCAACGGAACGGAUGGAGGAGCUAGGUAUAUCCGAAGUGGAAAACCUAGGUUGGCUCUGAUAUGGGAGAUUUAUAACAGAAGGUACUUUUGUAAACUUCCUUUCUAGUGAAGGAAUGCUUGGGCUCGAUUCUUUUUCAGAAAAUCUAUGUGAGGUAGACCUUCUGAAUGAUAGUUUGACUUUACCAUCGGAAUACUGGGUCACAUUUUGUAACUCUGUAUUUGGCUCAAGUUGUUUCGGAAUCGCCGGUGGGGCGGCUCCUUCGAGGAUCCAUUCAUCUGGAAGAUGGAUAUCUUUCCAUUGGAUCGAUUUUGGAAUGACCAUGUUGGCUUUAGACAAAUCAGUCUGCAAGAGAAGGGUCUCAUCUCUCUUCGACUGGUAUUUAUGCUGUGUGCUAAAUGCAGAAAUCAUGGCUUUAUAGGAAAUUUUAAAAAUUAAUGCAACUGGGAUGGAUCCCUUAAUCAUGUGAUAAUUAUGGGUUUGGAUUUGUAAAAUCAUGCUCUUUAAAAUAUUUUUGUCUUUAAGAGAAAUUGUUAUAUUUGGAUAACAAUCAAAAGAUAUGGGACCUUUACAUAGACUAGAUUCGAUACUACUUAGUAAAGAAUCAUCAAAAGAGAUGAAUCGCCCAUCUCUAAGAACAGCAAGGAUAGAGGUAUCCAAACCUUCUUUGGUCAAAGGUUUUAUUCCUACUUGGAUUAAACCAAUGUGAAUAUAUUUGAAAUUCUUUUCUUUUAAUUUCUUUAAAGAUUUUUCUGAAAACAAAUAAAUUGUUUCAAAAGGCUCCGAAAGAGUUAUGUCUCUUUCUUCAGUUUUUAUAAUAUAAUCAUGUUUUAAAAGAUCAAGCAUUUUUGUUUUGUAAAUCUUUUCUUUGGAAAUUUUUGGAAGUUCCCAACAAUCAAUUGCUUUAUCAAAGUUUUCAAUAACGAAUUCUUCUGAACUCACAACAUGCUUUGAAUCACUAGUCUUCCCGGAAGAAGAGCUAGAAAAGGACGAUGUUCUACAGUGUAGAGGGUUCAUGGGUAAAAACCUAUGAUCUAUUUAGUGGUUUUGAAAGAAUGGCUACAGGUAUGGUUUUACAGCCCUAAACGGAAAACUUAUCCUUAGACGGGACUUACUACCAGUAAAAAUUCACCACAAAAACAAAACUUCAAAAUAAAACACAAGUUUUCAAAGCCAAGGGGAGGAUUGUGUAAAGCAGUUUAGAGUUUUGUGUUUUGAAAACUUGUGUUUUAUUUUGAAGUUUUGUUUUUGUGGUGAAUUUUUACUGGUAGUAAGUCCCGUCUAAGGAUAAGUUUUCCGUUUAGGGCUGUAAAACCAUACCUGUAGCCAUUCUUUCAAAACCACUAAAUAGAUCAUAGGUUUUUACCCAUGAACCCUCUACACUGUAGAACAUCGUCCUUUUCUAGCUCUUCUUCCGGGAAGACUAGUGAUUCAAAGCAUGUUGUGAGUUCAGAAGAAUUCGUUAUUGAAAACUUUGAUAAAGCAAUUGAUUGUUGGGAACUUCCAAAAAUUUCCAAAGAAAAGAUUUACAAAACAAAAAUGCUUGAUCUUUUAAAACAUGAUUAUAUUAUAAAAACUGAAGAAAGAGACAUAACUCUUUCGGAGCCUUUUGAAACAAUUUAUUUGUUUUCAGAAAAAUCUUUAAAGAAAUUAAAAGAAAAGAAUUUCAAAUAUAUUCACAUUGGUUUAAUCCAAGUAGGAAUAAAACCUUUGACCAAAGAAGGCUUGGAUACCUCUAUCCUUGCUGUUCUUAGAGAUGGGCGAUUCAUCUCUUUUUGAUGAUUCUUUACUAAGUAGUAUCGAAUCUAGUCUAUGUAAAGGUCCCAUAUCUUUUGAUUGUUAUCCAAAUAUAACAAUUUCUCUUAAAGACAAAAAUAUUUUAAAGAGCAUGAUUUUACAAAUCCAAACCCAUAAUUAUCACAUGAUUAAGGGAUCCAUCCCAGUUGCAUUAAUUUUUAAAAUUUCCUAUAAAGCCAUGAUUUCUGCAUUUAGCACACAGCAUAAAUACCAGUCGAAGAGAGAUGAGACCCUUCUCUUGCAGACUGAUUUGUCUAAAGCCAACAUGGUCAUUCCAAAAUCGAUCCAAUGGAAAGAUAUCCAUCUUCCAGAUGAAUGGAUCCUCGAAGGAGCCGCCCCACCGGCGAUUCCGAAACAACUUGAGCCAAAUACAGAGUUACAAAAUGUGACCCAGUAUUCCGAUGGUAAAGUCAAACUAUCAUUCAGAAGGUCUACCUCACAUAGAUUUUCUGAAAAAGAAUCGAGCCCAAGCAUUCCUUCACUAGAAAGGAAGUUUACAAAAGUACCUUCUGUUAUAAAUCUCCCAUAUCAGAGCCAACCUAGGUUUUCCACUUCGGAUAUACCUAGCUCCUCCAUCCGUUCCGUUGACUAUGCCACAAGUGUUCCUCAUCCUAUAUACACUAGUAGUCAACAUGUGCAAAGACAGGAAGAGAAGGAACCUUCUCCUCCAACAUCUCCUACGUUUUCUGCUGUCACAGAAAAUGUCAUUAAUGUCAUUGAAAAAGAAUUUGAAUUAGAUAAAGCCUUUCUGCAUAACGAUUUUUAUUCAGAAAUAAAUAAAGAAAAAAGAACUUGGUUUUUUAAACAUUUUUUAAACCAAAGAAAAGAAAUCCAACAAACUUAUUAUGAAUUUGUGAAUUUUCAUAAAGUUCAUAUAUUGUUUUUUGAUUGGUUCGAAAUAUAUUCUUCUGAGAACAAUAUUGAUUAUCCUUUUAAAGAGUCAAACCCUAUAACUAUUAGAAAGAAAAUUCCUGAAUGGAAACUUUCUGAUAAUGAUAGGAUUAUAGAGUCUGAUCAUCCACCUCUUAGGAGUAUAACCAUAGAUCAUGGUGAACCUCCUAUUGAGAUUAAAGCAUCCCCUUACAAAAUCCCAAGACCAAAUGAUUCUGAUGCGAAUUUAAGUAGUAUUAUACAACAGAAUAAUUUCUGUAAUACUAACUUAAAUACAAUUGGAAAGCAAUUGGCUCGUAUAGAAAACCAAUUUCAAAAAUCUCCUAUAUCUGUUUCUCCUAUUCCUAUGUCUAUUCCUUCAAAAUCGGAUUCUGACAAAAAGCUUAAGGAACCUAUUUUCAAACCUUUUCAGGUUUCGAAAACUAGCCAAAGGCUUGUUCAAGAGUCAAAAUCAGAUUUUGCUAAAGCCAUUAGAGAACAACUAGAGAGGAUAGAAGCUGCUUCUUCCUCGUCUAGCAAACUCCAGAUAGCCCCCGAUACCCCCCAAUCUAGCAAGAUUGGAGUAUUGGAUCUAGAUGACCAGAGUUCUAUAGCCUCUUCUGACUUAGAAGCUUUCAAAGAAGAACCUUCUACUCCUAAAGCCAACAAAAUCCACUGGGAAUUAGCCCUUCCCACUGUCAAGACUCCACCAGAUCUAGCAAUAGAUAAUAGACCUAGUGCAUUAAAUCAAUCCCGUUAUAAUGCAUCUUCAGUCUAUGAGUGGAAUAUUGACGGCAUGUCUGAGUACAAUAUCCUUGGAUUGUUGCAACAAAUGACAAUGGCAGCUAAUGCUUAUAAAACCCAAGCAGGAACUUCUGAUCGUGCCAUAUCGGAAAUCCUAAUUGCUGGUUUUACUGGUCAACUAAAAGGUUGGUGGGAUCAUCUUCUCACUAAUCAGCAACAAUUUGACAUUCUAAAUUCCGUCCAAAAAGAUGAAAAUGGAGCCUCUAUUCUUGAUGAGUUCAACAACCCUAUCCAGGAUGCUGUUGCUACUCUUAUUCUAACCAUUUCCCUCCAUUUCAUCGGUGACCCUUCUCACCUUCGUGAUAAAAACGCUGAGUUACUACAUAAUUUGAGAUGUAGAAAACUUAGUGAAUUUCAGAGUUACAAAACCUCUUUCCUUACCAGACUAUUUCUAAGGGAUGAUGCAAAUCAUAUUACUUGGAAAGAAAAAUUUCUUGCUGGAUUACCUACCCUUUUAGGUGAAAAGGUAAGAAAUUCCAUCAAAGCCCUUUACGAUAACCGUAUUCCUUAUGACGAGCUCACCUAUGGUGAACUAGUCAGUUUUGUCAACAAAGAAGGUUUAAAGAUUUGUCAAGAUUUGAAAUUACAGAAACGUCUUAAGUGGGAGCUUAAGAAGUCUAAACAGGAAUUAGGCGGUUUCUGUAAGCAAUUCAAUUAUGACCCCUUUAAAACUUCCAAAGAUUGUAAUGGAGAGUGUUCUACAAAACCUCGUAAGAAACAUUACAAAUCUAAACAUUUUAGAAAACCCUUCCGUGAUUUUAGAAAACUUCCUUAUAAGAAACCUUCGAAGCCUUAUAAGAGACAUAGUUUCUCUAAAAAGAAAGAUUUCAAAGCCAAACCUAAUACCCCAUUCAACUUCAAGGAGGCCACAUGUUUCAAAUGUGGUAUGAAAGGUCAUACUGCAAAAUUUUGCAGAAUGAACAAAAGACUCCAAGAACUUGACCUCAAUGAGGACAUCCUUUCUAAAAUAGCCCCUCUUCUUGUCGAAUCUUCUGAUUCUGAGUCUUCCAUGUCGGGAGACAGUGACCCUUACCAAGUUGAUGAGCUUUUUGACUCAGAUGACUCUGCAUCUAGCAGUAGUGAUUCUGAAUCUGAUUCAUUUUUAAAGAAAAUCAAUGUUUUGACUAAAGACCAAGAAACUUUUCUUGAACUUGUAAAGCAUAUUUCUGAUCCAAAUCUUCAAAAGGAAUACCUUGAUAAACUUUUGAAAACAUUGGAUUUUAAUAAAGCCGAGACUUCUAGAGUCCCAAUUAUUAAAAAGAAUUCUUAUGAUCUUACUCAAAUUUUGGAUAAGAAGAAAACAAAAAAGAUGAUUCCUAAUAUCCAAGAUCUUCAGAAAGAGAUAAAAGAAAUCAAAAGUGAAAUCAGAGAUUUAAAAGAAAAACAAAAAAGUGAUUCUGAUAUUAUUCAACUUCUUUUACAAAAGCAAUUACAGGAUAAUUCAGACAAUGAAUCCAGUCCUGAUAUUGAUGGUGAUGAUAUUAAAGUAGAAAAUAUUGAGUCUGUACCCAAUGAUUUUCUAUUUGUUCUAAAACAAAUCACCACAAGAAAGUAUUUGAUUAAAGUCACUCUAAUCUUUUCUGAUGAUUUUGCGAUGGACGCCAUUGCCCUUUUUGAUACUGGCGCCGAUUUAAAUUGCAUUAGAGAAGAUAUCGUCCCCAAAAGAUUUCAUGAAAAAACAAAAGAAAGGCUUUCUGCCGCCAAUAAUUCAAAAUUGAAUGUCAGUUCCAAGGUUGAAGCCUCGAUCUAUAAUGAUGGUUUUGAUUUUAAAACUUCCUUUGUUCUCACAAAUGAUAUUCAUCAUGCCAUUAUUUUGGGAACUCCUUUUAUAAAUCUCAUAACUCCGUAUACUGUCAAUUAUGAUAGUAUAUCUUUCAAAGCAAAAAACAAGAAACUUGUUUUCCCUUUUAUUGAAAAACCUAAAACAAGAAAUUUAAAUAUUGUUAAAGCCUGUUCUAUUUAUCAAAAUAGAAUAAACAAUUUACUUAAAUCAAAACAGUGUGAUCUAAUGUUUUUACAAAAAGAUUUGAACUUACAAAGAGUUGAAAGCCAAUUACAAAGUGAUUUCAUUAAAAGAAAAAUUUCUGAUUUCAAAACUCUUAUUGAAAAAGAAAUUUGUGCUGAUCUACCUUCUGCUUUUUGGAAUAGAAAACAACAUUUAGUAGACCUGCCUUAUGAAAAUUCUUUUGAUGAAAAACAGAUUCCGACCAAAGCUCGUCCAAUUCAAAUGAAUAUGGAUUUAGAAAAACAUUGUAAAAAUGAAAUCAAAGACUUGGAGUCUAAAGGACUCAUUGUAAAAUCCAGGUCUCCUUGGUCUUGUGCUGCUUUUUAUGUUAACAAAAACUUCGAAAUUGAAAGAGGCACUCCAAGACUAGUUAUAAACUACAAACCUUUGAAUAAAGCUUUAAAAUGGAUUAGGUAUCCUAUAUCUAAUAAAAAAGAUUUACUCCAAAAACUCUGUUCUGCCUUUAUUUUUUCAAAAUUCGACAUGAAAUCGGGUUUUUGGCAAAUUCAAAUUCAUCCAAAUGACCGUUACAAAACCGCUUUCACUGUUCCAUUUGGACAAUACGAAUGGACUGUUAUGCCCUUUGGUUUAAAGAAUGCACCCUCAGAAUUUCAAAGAAUUAUGAAUGAUAUUUAUAAUCAUUAUUCUGAUUUUUGCAUUGUUUAUAUUGAUGAUGUUUUGAUAUUUUCAAAUUCAAUCGAUCAACAUUUCAAACAUUUAAAGACUUUUUAUUUUGCUACAAAAAAGGCUGGACUAGCCCUUUCUAGUUCAAAGAUUUCAUUAUUUCAAACGAAAAUCAGAUUUCUUGGUCACUAUAUUUCAAAAGGAACAAUCACCCCUAUUGAAAGAUCACUUUUAUUUGCUGAUAAAUUCCCUGAUAAAAUCCUUGACAAAACUCAAUUACAAAGAUUUCUUGGUAGCCUAAAUUAUGUUCUUGAUUUCUGUCCCAAUAUCAAUAGGUUGUCUAAACCUUUGCAUGAUCGUUUAAAGAAAAAACCUGCUCCAUGGACAGAUGAACAUACUAAAGCUGUUAAAUUAAUAAAGAGUUCUGUUAAAAGCAUCCCAUGUCUAUAUCUUGCAAACCCUGCAUUCCCUAAAAUUGUUGAAACUGAUGCAUCUGAUUUAGGAUAUGGAGGUAUAUUAAAACAAAAAGAAAAUGAUAGAGAACAGAUAGUACAAUAUGUUUCUGCACAUUGGAAUGAUUGUCAGAAAAAUUAUUCUACUAUUAAAAAAGAAAUUCUUUCCAUUGUUUUAUGCAUUACAAAAUUUCAAAGUGAUUUAUUAAAUCAAAAAUUUUUACUUAGAAUUGAUUGCAAAGCUGCAAAACAUGUUUUAGAAAAGGAUGUUCAAAACAUUGCAUCAAAACAAAUUUUUGCACGUUGGCAAGCUAUUUUGAGUGUUUUUGAUUUUGAUAUAGAAUUCAUUAAAGGUGAUAAAAAUUCUGUUCCUGAUUUUCUAACCAGAGAAUUUCUUCAAAACAGAUAAUGCCGCUAAAGAAAGACAAAGGUAAAGCUGUUCUCAAAAGUUCCGGAUCUCAAGAACCUUCCAAAGAACCCCAGUCAACCCCUUCUAAAGAAAAAUUACUUUCUUCUGCCCUACCCAUCAAAUCAUGGAUUGAAUUGGUUGAAGAACAUGAAGCCCAAUACAAACCCAUCUCUUCUGAUGAUCAAGUAAAGCAUUGGAUGAGUUCCAUUACAAAAUCUCCCGAGCUCAUGCUCGCUCUACAAAACCUUUCCCAGAGCCAAAAUUCUCCUCAAAAAGAAAUUAAGAGCAUAUCCACAUCUAAAGAAAUUACAAAACCCUCCUCUCAAAAUGUUGUUGUCUCUGCCGAAAGCUCAUCUUCCCAAAUUGUGCUUUCUCAGCCAACACCUUCAAAGAAAACCUCCGAUUGGUUUGAUAAAACCCAUUUUCAAAAUAUUCUUUCUAUGGAAGAUGGAUUUUACCAUACUGAUCCUUUUCAAAGCAUUUCAAAGUUUUUUCCCAAAGGCUGGUUUUUCAAACCAUGGGAUUUGACAAAACCCCAGUCUUAUUAUCAAAGCAUUUUAGAAAUAACUGAAUCAGUUAAAUUCAAACAUUUCUUUCUUGAUAAAACCCAUUCUGAACCGGCCUAUUCCACGGCCACGAUUCUAAAAGUUUUGAGCCCGAACCAGUGGGGCGACCUACUCCACAAUUUCAAAACCUUUCCUUUAAACUUUGAAACCCGUUUACCACAUUGUCGGACUUUCUCCUACUGGGAUUACCAACAAGCAUGGUAUAACACCUUUUUUAUUCAAAACCCUAAAAAAUCCCAUUCUUGGUUAUUUUUCUUUAACCCUAAAAUAACCGUCCAAAGCCUUCCAAACUGGUUCCAUCAUUGGUGGAAUUUCUUUGGCCCAAUACCUCAAAUCCUCACUCCAAAUGCCAUAAAUUGCCUAAACCUCUUUAAAGCCCACUAUAUGCCCUCUGACUCAGAGAAAAGAUUUCCCCCCUUUCUCUGUUUUUGUACAAACUUCUUCCUACCAUGGGUCUGGAUGUGGAACCUCCGUUUUCAUACUCAAGAUUCCCAAGUCAUCCUUCAAAGAACCUUUAAAGUCAAAUGGUGGUCAAAAUUUGAUGAACAGUCCAAACUGACUGUUAACAUGAUCAAAGAUUGGCUCUCCUCUAAAAACCUUCUCCAACCAACCCUAGAAGCCUCUAAAGCCCAACAGACCUUCUUAACCCAAAAAUCCAAAGCCCAGUCUCUUUUGGCAAGUGCCAAGACAGAAGAGGAAUACUUCAAAGCAAUGGAACAGCUCCUCGCCUCCCGUUCAAAGUCAUCAGUAGCUGACACCUCUGAAGACGAAGACGAUGAUGAAGAUGAAGAGCCCUUCAUUUCUCUUGGAGACGAAAAUGAAGAUGAUUGUUUCGGCAUUUUUUCUCCUAUAAAGCAUUGUAAAUAAUUAUUUGGUUAUUUACUUAAAAAAAAAAAAAAAAAAAAAAAAAAAAAAGAAAAGAGUAAUUUUCUCUCGGGUGGUCCCUUGGACACAAGUGAGAGCGCACAUGUCUCUUCACCCGUGUUGUAUUUCAUUAUGUAUUUCAAUUUUUGUACAAAGUAGUCUACUGUUCAAAGCUACGGUCAGCCUACUAUUCAAAGCUACGAUCCAAAGAUUACUGUGCACUCAAAACUCCGCUACAGUGAACAGUGCAAAAUUCCAAAGAUUACUGUGCACUCAAAGCUCCGCUACAGUGAACAGUUUACAAAAUUUUGUAUAUAAACCAAGAGGAAGACUCAGACUCCUCAGGUUUUUCAUUUUUCUCUUCUUCUCCUCCUUCUCUCUAGAUCUCUCUCUCUCUCUCUCUCUCUCUUGGGAAGUCUGGAUCAAGACAUCAAGGAAACCAUUCCUGUCUUGUAAUCUUCCCGUCUUUCAAUCUUCCCUUCAGGAAAGAUUUGAAAAUUGUAAAGACCAAGACUAUCAAAGCAAAGAUGUAUGUUUAAAUUUCAGUUAUUUAAUUUCGAUGUAAUUUAAAUUUUCGCAAUUUACUUUUCUGCAAUUUAAUUUCAUGCAUAUUUACAUUAAAGCAAUUUAUUUUUAAAGCAAUUUUCUUUUCAAAGCAUGCAAAGCAGACUGGUCUUUAUCAGAUCUGCCAUAAAAUUUGUACGUUCCUCUGAGGCAAAGAGACCGGAUCUCGAUCCUCAGUUGUAAAUCUUCUCUUCUUCCUCCAUUCCUUCAGAGCACCAUUUCCGGGAUCCGGAUCUGGUACUGUGUAUGUACCCAAGCCCCUUAAAGAAUCUAAUUUAAAUCUGGAAUUAGCCCAAUAAAAAGAAACAACCACGUUUAAAGCAACUUAAUUUUAUCUGGUAAAUAUAUUAAAGUAUAUAGGCUGGAAACCCGAACGUGCGGACUAUUGAUCUGUUCUAAGUCAGAUCUGGGUCCAAAGGCAGAUUAACUUCUGCGAUCGAUCUGGUCUAACAACGCCACGUACUUUAAAUAUUCUAAAAAUUUGACCAACCGCGUUCAAAUUUGUUUGAUCAUUGUAUGCUCUAAAACAAAUCUACUUAAUCUAAAGCUGGUAAUCUUAUAUAAAAUCUGAACAACCGCGAUCCAAUUAUUUCAUUAAAGCAAUCAAUAAAGAAGCAUCUUCAAUACACACCCAUCCUUCGAUCCUAUUUCCUUCUGGUAUAUAUAUAUAUAUAUAUAUAUAUAUAUAUAUAUAUAUGUGCAUAUUUUGCAACGUAUAGAUAAUUGUUAGUAUAUGGAGACAAGUCUUUUAAGGUAGGACCUAAGAAAAUUUAUAACUUACUACACUGUAGAGUUUUUAUUCCUUUUUAUAAUUGGCUCAUAUUGAUACAUUCUUACACAAAAUAUUACCAUUGACAUAUUUUACUACAAUUAGUUUAGAACAUUUGUUAGGAAAAAAAAGAAAAGAAAAGAAAACAUCCCUUGGAUGUAGCUCUCCUGACUAUUUAAAUCUUUUAAGGAAAAAAAGAAAAAAGAAAAACUGACACAUUCAAAUCUUGAAGCAAUUACAUUAAAACCUCUCCAUAAUGAUAGGAAUAAUCUCCAUUUAGUAAUAAAAAAUUUUGUUCGCAAUUUAGGCAGAGUUAUAAAUAAGAAUAAAAUCCUCAUUGUAUAAGUUAUAUUUAUUAUGGAUCCCAUCCUAAGGAACUUGUCUCUAUAUAGUAAUAAUUAUUUGCAUAUUAUAAAUAUAUAUGUUGCAUUAAAUUAAAUGAACUUGUCUCCACAUACUACUUAGACAACGAGAGAAAGUUAUUAAAGAGAACACAAAUAUUUAGAGAUUUUUAAGAUGACUUUGCAUAUUUAUAACAAUAAUACAUUGAUAUAUUUAUAUAUUAGAUUUGACAUGCUCUAUUAAUAAAUUAUUAAAACGAUGCAUACUUCAUCUCUAUAUCCUUGCAAUAAAAGUAACUAAGUUAUAACAAUAAUUAUUAAUAAAUUAUUAAUACGUUGCGUACUUCAUCUCUAUAUCCUUACAAUAAAAGUAACUAAGUUAUAACGAUAAUUUUUGUAACUACAUGCUUAUUAGGUUUUAACUACUUCAUAAUAAUAAAUUAGUUUCGUCCUACUAUUAUAAUUAUGUAGAGUUGUAGUGUAUAGACACACCCAAUUUAAAUAGUAUAUCAAAUAAAAUUGUCCCCACAAAAAAGAAAAAAGGGGUAAAGGAUUGUUAUUUCUUCAAACAUUAGGAUCACGUUUGUACAAGUGCGAUGCCUUUCUUUUGAAGGCAACGUCAGUGGGUACCCAAUAAGACGUGUGUAAAUCUUUCCAAAAUUUCUCCGGUAUAACGGACAGAGAUCAUUACUUUUCUCUUCCAUAGACCACAGCAGCCUCAGUUAAUCAGACUCAAUCAAUUUUCUUGGUUUCUUCGCGUAUCAAAAUUCCAAAAUAUGGGUAGCAUAUUUCAAAUCACAUGCGAUGGUGCUUUUUUCAAUCGUCGCUUGGAUUGCUUUCUUGGAAAAGUAGCAAACACAAGUAAGCUCCAAGAUAACCUUGUUGCCUUGGAGACUGAAUUGGGAAAACUAAUCGCAGCAAAGAACGAUGUGAUGAUGAGGGUUGUCAAUGCUGAACGGCAACAACUGAGAACGCUGGACCAAGUGCAAGUGUGGCUUUCGAGGGUGGAAGCUGUUGAAACUGAAGCUGAUGAAUUGAAAAGACACGGCUCUCAAGAAAUUGACAAAUUAUGUGUUGGAGGCUACUGUUCCAAGAACUGCGCGUCAAGCUACAAGUUCGGGAAACAAGUGGCUAAAAAGCUACGGGAUGUGCAGACUUUAAUCGACGAAGGAGUUUUUGCGGCGGUGGCUACCGAGGUGGUGCCUGAGAGAGCUCCAGAACCUGUAGCAGAUGAAAGACCCACUGAGCCAACAAUAGUAGGCUUGCAAUCACAACUUGAACAAGUUUGGAGAUGUCUUGUAGAAGAAUCAGUGGGAAUCAUUGGCCUAUAUGGUAUGGGCGGUGUUGGUAAAACUACACUAUUGACCCAUAUCAACAAUAAAUUUCUUGAGAGUCCAACCAGUUUUGAUUGUGUGAUUUGGGCCGUAGUUUCAAAGGACUUGCGACUCGAAAAAAUUCAAGAAGAUAUUGGGAAAAAGAUCGGUUUGGUUGAUGAUUCAUGGAAGAGUAAAAGUGUAGAGGAGAAAGCUCUCGACAUCUUCCGGAGUUUAAGAGAGAAGAGAAUUGUAUUGCUGUUAGAUGAUAUAUGGGAGCGGGUUGAUUUAACAAAAGUGGGCAUUCCACUUUCCGGACAAAAAAAUACUACAUCAAAAGUCGUAUUCACAACCCGUUUCGUCGAUGUUUGUGGUAGCAUGGAAGCUGACAAGAAGUUCCAAGUGGCAUGCUUAUCAGAAGAGCAUGCUUGGGAACUGUUUCGAAAAAAAGUUGGGGAAGAAACUCUUGAGAGGGAUCAUGAUAUCGUUGAGCUAGCCCAAACUGUGGCCAAAGAGUGUGGUGGUUUGCCACUCGCACUUAUUACUAUUGGUCGAGCUAUGGCCUUCAAAAAGACAGCCGAGGAGUGGAGUCAUGCAAUUGAUGUGCUAAGAACAUCAGCUUCUGAGUUUGCAGGUUUGGGAGAAAAGGUGUAUCGUCUUUUAAAGUUUAGCUAUGAUAGUUUGCAGAAUGAGACGAUUAGAUCUUGUUUCUUAUAUUGUUGUUUAUAUCCCGAGGAUUAUGGCAUUCUUAAAUGGGACUUGAUUGAUUGUUGGAUUGGUGAGGGAUUCUUAGAGGAAUCUGACAGGUUCAGUGCAGAAAACCAAGGAUACUACAUUGUGGGCACUCUUGUUCAUGCAUGUUUAUUAGAAGAGUUAGAAGAAGAUAAAGUAAAAAUGCAUGACGUUGUUCGUGAUAUGGCUCGAUGGAUAGCUUGUGAAAUUGAGAAGGAGGAGAGAAAAUUUUUGGUUUGUGCAGGUGCUGGAGUAGGAGCGGUAUCAGAUGUUGAAGGAUGGGAAAAUGUGAGAAGAUUGUCAUUGAUGCAAAACCAAAUUGAAAUUCUGUCAGAGGUUCCCACAUGCCCUCAUCUCCUCACUUUAUUUCUUGACUUUAAUUAUAAAUUGGAGAUGAUGACCGAUGGCUUCUUCCAAUGUAUGCCUUCUCUCAAAGUUUUGAAGAUGUCAAACUGUGGGCAUGUCAAAGUUUUGAAAUUACCUUUUGGGAUGUCAAAGUUGGGUUCACUACAACUUCUUGAUAUUUCACAUACCGGCAUAAGAGAGUUACCAGAAGAGUUAAAGUUGUUGGUAAAUCUGAAAUGUUUGAAUUUGAGGUGGACACAUAUGUUAAAUAAAAUUCCACGGCAGCUAAUAUCAAAUUCUUCAUGGUUACGUGUGUUGAGAAUGUUCGCUAUUGGCUUUGAAAAUUCUAAAGAACCAUCAGAAGACAGCGUUUUAAUUGGUGGGGGUGAAGUUUUAGUACAUGAAUUGCUCGGUUUGAAAUAUUUAGAGGUGUUGGAGUUGACCUUGCGCAGCUAUGAUGCUCUCCAAUUUUUUUUGAGCUCAAAUAAGUUAAAAAAUUGUAUUCGAUCUCUUUUCCUCAAUAAGCUGGGAGACACAAAGUCGAUUCAUGCUACGGCUUUCGCAGAUCUAAAGCAUCUCAAUGAACUAUGCAUUCGUUCGGCAGUAGAGUUGGAAGAAUUGAAGGUUGCUUAUACAGAGAUGGCGCCAAAAGGGUCGGAACCUUUUGCUUUCCGCAGCCUUCACCGUGUUACUAUGGAGCGGUGCCAUAAAUUGAAAGAUUUGACAUUCCUCGUUUUUGCUCCAAGCCUCAAGUCUCUUUCGCUAUACGGAUGCAAUGCUAUGGAAGAAAUAAUCAGCGUUGGAAAAUUUGCUGAGACUCCUGAGGUGAUGGGACAUAUAAGCCCUUUUGGAAAUCUCCAAACGCUUUAUUUAACUGAUUUGCCAGAGUUGAAGAGCAUCUACUGGAAGCCAUUGCCUUUCACUCAUCUCAAAGAAAUGACGGUACAUGGGUGUAAUCAGCUUAAAAAGCUUCCACUCGAUUCCAACAGUGCAACAGAGCGUAAAUUCGUUAUUCGUGGAUACACACUCUGGUGGAACCGUCUUCAAUGGGAGGAUGAAGCCACUCAAAUUGCUUUUCGUUCCUGUUUCCAAUCUCAUGAAAUAUAAAUUCCUGAGCGGUGGUUGCAAAAUUUGAUUCUAGUGAGUGCUUUUUUCUUAAACUCUUUCAUAUAUUCUCGUCAUUUGCUUCGUGCAACAGACUAGGUUUUUAUUUCAGAUUCGUUUUUUGUCUCCUGCAAAUCACAAUUAAAUGUUGAAUUAUAUGGAGUCAAUGCUUUAGAAAAUUUUCAAGGCACUGCCAUUUCCUUUUUCUUUUUUAUUUUUGGGUCGAAUUGAUGCUCUGGCUUUUUACUUUUUGUUGGCAAAUUUUGCUCUGUUUUUUCAAGUUGAUGCUUGAAUAGUUGAAUUCAAUUAAUGCUCACAUAAAUUUGUUUAGUUUCCGUAAAAGGAUAUAAUUAGACUGAAGUACACACUUCUAGAAUGAAUACAAAAUGUUAAGUAUACUAGGCCUCUUUACAGAAAAUCAAAUGAAAAUCAAUUUUUUGGGGCUUUGAUUUUCUAUGGUCUAUUAUAUACUCUUUUUAAUAUCUUCUGUUCUAACUAUAACCAAAUCCUUUGUUCAAGGAUUUUUAUUUGGGGUAUUGAUAACUGUCCACCAAAAGAGUGAACACCUGGAUGCUGCUCAAGGAUCUCUAAUCAAUAGCUGGAAGCAACUGAGAAGGCGGUCGCUACUGUUUACAAAGCGAUGCAGUAUUUGCCAUUCAUCUUAACAAUUAUGAAGCUUUGGUAAAAUUUUCAAACAAAGUUGAACAUGUUGUUUUGAGAUUUGGUUCAUGAUUUUGGAUGAAUAUCGUUGUUCCGUUGAGUUGGAUGUGAAUUCAAAAUCUAUAUAUUCUUUGGUUUUCAAUUCUGAACUCAAUUUCUUUUUCUCAAGCAUGUUAUGCAGAAAUGAUUUUUACUAAAUCAUUUUUGAUGAAUUAUUUAAAUUAAACAAUUGGAAUAAGAAUUGUAAAGGAUUAUCAUAAGCAUGCUAAUAUGAUAAGUUGUUUUAUGAACGAUUAAUUAAUUAAUCAAUUAAUAUUAAAUUAUCUAUUAGUCAAUUAGAUAUGCGUUACAUGUCAUGUUUAAAAGCUAUUUAUUUAUAUUUCAAACAAAUUUGACUGGAUGUUGUGUAGGUAAUACUACAUAAUUUCAAAACAAAAAAAGUAAUAAAAACACCUUAACUUUCGUUUUUGUCAAAUAAGGUGGCCAUCUAGAUGGUAUAAAGCAACCAUCUAGAUGGUCAGCAUAAUGUUGUUCAAAGAAGAAGAAAGUUGGCAGCAGCAGCAGCAUUUCUUGAAGAAGGAACUUUGACAUUCAAUGGCGGUGAAAAAAAAAAAAAUAUUUUAAUAGCCAAUUUUGGCUAUAAAAGGGGAGAGCACCCAUUUUGAUUUGUGCAUCCAAAUUUGUGAAAGGCAUUUUGAGAGAGAGUUUAGAGAGCUUAAAAUUAUAAGCUCUUGUUAUAGUGAUUUGAGAGUUUUGGUGUAUUGGGGUUUUGGGUAGUGAGCUAAAAUACUACAAUACUUGUAACUCCUUUUUACUAGUAAAAUAUUUCCUUCUGUCUUCGCCUGUGGACGUAGGCUAAAAGCCGAACCAUGUAAUUUCUUGUGUCUAAUUUUUGUGCUUGUUCUUUAUUUUCUUACGAUUUCAUCUUAGCUGCGGUCCUGCUUCACCCACCAAUUUCCUAACAGUGAUAUCAGAGCUAUUGGUUGUAUUUUUUGGAGUCAGGAACUGUUCACGUAAGGGGUACUAUUCACGUAAGGGGUACUAUUCACGUAUACGGCACUAUACACGUUUACAAUACUAUUCACGUAUACGGUUUUGUUCACAUAUACGGUACUAUUCACGUGAAACGGUGGAAGCGAUCCAAGAAUUUUGCGGUGCAAAGCAGGGAAUAGUGGUGUGAGUAAAACAACUGUGUGGUUUUGUACAUGUCUAGGAAAGUUCUGUCACAAAGACGAUAAGAGCUUAAGGAGUCUGAGUUUUAAGUGGGACCAUUGUGACCCCUCCAGUCUUUCCUGGGAACUUUCCUGGUGUGCAUUCUCACACAUACUCACAACUAUUCAAGGUAGUAUACUAGCUUGUGUGCAGUAUUUAUCAACAAAAUGGUGGCAAAGUAUGAAAUUGAGAAGUUUAACGGAAAUAAUUUUUCGUUGUGGAAAAUGAAGAUGAAAGCAAUAUUGAGGAAAAAUAAUUGCUUGGCAGCAAUUGGAGAAAGGCCCAUGGAGAUAACUGAUGACAAGUGGAACGAGGUAGACGGCAACGCCAUUUCUGAUCUACACUUGGCACUUGCAGACGGAGUAUUAUCCAGUGUGGUAGAGAAAAAUAUAGCGAAGGAAAUAUGGGAUACUCUCACAAAAUUGUACGAGGCCAAGUCACUACACAACAAAAUCUUCUUGAAGAGGAAACUCUAUACUCUUCGAAUGGCGGAAUCUACAAUGGUGACCGACCACAUCAACACCUUGAAGACUCUAUUUUCACAACUCACAAUGUUGGGUCAUAAUAUAGAGGAAAAUGAACGUGCAGAACUUCUACUUCAAAGUCUACCAGAUUCGUAUGAUCAACUCAUCAUCAACCUGACAAACAACAAUCCAGCGGACAGUCUAGUUUUCGACGAUGUUGCAGCCUCCGUAUUAAAUGAGGAGAGCAGGCGGAAAAAUAAGGAAAACAGACAAGCAAGUUCGCAAGCGGAGGCGCUAUCGGUGACAAGAGGGAGAUCAACGGAACGUGGCCCCAGUGGGAGUCAAAAUCAUGGUAGAUCAAAAUCCAGAAGUAAGAAGAAUGUUAAGUGCUACAACUGUGGCAAAAAAGGGCACGUCAAGAAAGAGUGUUGGAGUAACCAGAAGAGAAAAGAGGGCAAAGAACCUGAGUCAUCAAAUGCUCAGGGGUGUGUAGCAAGUACCUCGGAUGAUGGCGAAAUUCUGUACAGCGAGGCAACAAUUGUUUCAGAAGGCAGAAAACGACUAUAUGAUGUCUGGCUUAUAGACUCAGGAGCUACCUGGCACAUGACCUCUCGGAGAGAAUGGUUCCACACAUAUGAACCUAUCUCAGGAGGAUCUAUAUAUAUGGGUAAUGAUCAUGCCUUGGAGAUCGCUGGUAUUGGUACGAUCAAAAUAAAAAUGUUUGAUGGUACAAUUCGUACAAUUGGGGAGGUACGACAUGUCAACGGCUUGAAGAAAAAUCUUUUGUCUUUGGGACAAAUGGAUAGUCAUGGGUACAAAACUCAUGUGGAGAAUGGAAUUAUGAAGAUCGUUAAGGGCGCGCUUGUAUUGAUGAAGGCAGAAAAGAUCGGUGCUAAUCUAUUCAUGCUUAAAGGAGAAACACUACAGGAGGCUGAUGUGUGUGUCGCAUCAAAUGGAGAAGAGUCAACGAUGAUGUGGCAUCUCAAACUUGGCCACAUGUCAGAACAAGGUUUGAAGAUUCUCUCUGAGCGAAAAUUACUUCCGGGGCUCAAAUCGGUAAGUUUACCAUUUUACGAGCAUUGUGUUACAAGUAAGCAGCAUAGAUUAAAAUUCAGUAGAUCUAUUGCUAGAAGUAAAUGCAUUCUAGACUUGAUUCAUUUUGAUGUUUGGGAAUCACCGGAUAUAUCCAUGGGAGGUGCAAAGUACAUGGUGACUUUCAUUGAUGAUUAUUCCAGAAGAUGUUGGGUGUAUCCAAUUAAGAAAAAGUCAGAUGUAUUUCUAGUGUUUAAAGAAUACAAAGCGCGGGUGGAACUUGAAUCUGGUAAAAAGAUCAAGUGCUUGAGGACAGAUAAUGGUGGAGAGUAUACAGACGGCGAGUUUCUUAGUUUCUGUAAGCAAGAAGGUAUUCAGAGGCAGUUCAUGGUGGCAUACACUCCUCAACAAAAUGGAGUGGCGGAGCGGAUGAACAGAACUCUUACAGAAAGAAUAAGAACUAUGUUGAGGACUGCUGGUCUACCCAAUUCAUUCUGGGCAGAAGCAGCCAAAACUGCCUAUUAUAUAGUAAAUCGAUCGCCAUCUACAGCUAUUGGGCUGAAGACAGCGAUGGAGAUGUGGACUGGAAAGCCAGCUGAUUAUUCCUACCUACAUGCAUUUGGAGGUCCUGUGUAUGUGAUGUACAAUGCCCAAGAAAGAACAAAGCUGGAUCCAAAAUCUAGAAGAUGUAUCUUCUUAGGGUAUGCUGAUAGAGUAAAGGGGUAUCGUCUGUGGGACCCCACUGCCCAUAAGAUCGUCAUCAGCAGAGAUGUUAUCUUUAUAGAAGAUCAACUGCAAAGGAAAGAUGAGGAAGAUGAGGAUGAUAGCACUGUAAAAGAAAAGUCAGAGACUGUACCGGUAUAUGUAGAAAAUAAUCUAAAAGAUUCAGAUUCUUCUGAAGCAGCACCAGAGCACGAGGAACAAGAACCAGUCGACUCUGAGGCUCUAGAAGUUCGUCGGUCAACUCAUUAGAGACGACCGCCAACGUGGCACUCGGAGUAUGUCACAGAGAUCAAUGUUGCAUAUUGUCUUCUAACAGAGGAUGGAGAGCCUUCAACUUUCCAUGAAGCUUUAAACAGCUCAGAAGUUGCUUUGUGGAUGACAGCAAUGCAGGAAGAAAUUGAGGCUCUACACAAGAACAAGACAUGGGAACUUGUACCACUACCACGUGGAAGAAAAGUCAUUGGAAACAAAUGGGUCUACAAGAUCAAACGCGAUGGCAAUGACCAAGUGGAGCGGUAUCGUGCGAGAUUGGUGGUGAAAGGAUAUGAUCAGAAAGAAGGUAUUGACUUCAACGAGAUAUUUUCUCCGGUGGUUCGACUUACAACAAUCAGAGUAGUCUUGGCGAUGUGUGCUACAUUUGACUUACAUCUAGAGCAGUUAGAUGUGAAAACUGCAUUUCUUCAUGGAGAACUUGAAGAAGAAAUAUAUAUGCUCCAACCAGAAGGUUUUGCAGAAACAGGAAAGGAGAACUUGGUUUGCAGGUUGAACAAAUCUCUAUACGGUCUCAAACAGGCGCCGAGGUGUUGGUAUAAGAGAUUUGAUUCCUUCAUCAUGAGCCUUGGAUACAACAGACUCAGUUCAGACCAUUGUGCAUAUUACAAGAGGUUUGAAGAUAAUGAUUUCAUCAUUUUGCUGUUGUAUGUGGAUGACAUGUUGGUAGCAGGCCCCAACAAAGAUCGAGUCCAAGAAUUAAAGGCACAGUUGGCUAGGGAGUUUGAAAUGAAGGACUCGGGACCAGCAAACAAGAUUCUGGGGAUGCAAAUUCACCGAGACAGAAAUAACAGGAAGAUUUGGCUUUCACAGAAGAAUUACUUGAAGAAAAUCUUGCGGCGCUUCAACAUGCAAGAUUGUAAGUCAAUUUCUACCCCACUUCCUGUUAAUUUCAAAUUAUCCUCAAGUAUGUGUCCUAACAAUGAAGCAGAGAGGAAUGAGAUGUCUCGAGUACUGUAUGCAUCAGCAGUGGGAAGUUUGAUGUUCGCUAUGAUAUGUACAAGACCAGACAUUGCACAAGCAGUGGGAGCAGUAAGUCGAUACAUGGCGAAUCCUGGUGAAAAGCAUUGGAUAGCUGUAAAGAGAAUUCUGAGAUACAAUAGAGGAACCUCAGAUGUUGCAUUAUGUUAUAGAGGAUCAGAGUUUACUGUCAGGGGUUAUGUGGAUUCAGAUUUUGCAGGAGACCUUGAUAAAAGGAAAUCCACUACUGGUUAUGUGUUUACACUUGCGGGAGCAGCUGUAAGCUGGGUUUCGAAACUGCAGACCGUUGUGGCUUUAUCUACAACAGAAGCAGAGUACAUGGCAGCUACACAAACUUGCAAGGAAGCUAUUUGGAUACAAAGGUUAUUGGAGGAGCUCGGGCAUAAACAACAGAAAAUUCCUGUAUUUUGUGACAGUUAGAGUGCCUUGCACAUUGCAAGGAAUCCAUCCUUUCAUUCCAGGACAAAGCACAUAGGAGUUCAGUAUCACUUCGUUCGUGAAGUAGUGGAAGAUGGAAGUGUGGAUUUACAGAAAAUCCAUACCAAAGAGAACCUAGCAGAUGUUUUGACCAAGCCGAUAAAUACUGAUAAAUUUGUCUGGAGUAGAUCCUCUUGUGGCCUAGCAGCAACGUAGGCAACAUGACUACGGCGAAGCAGAAAGGAUGAUGUGGAGAUUGAUUGAUUCUCAAUCUAAUCUCCAAGUGGGAGAAAUGUCAAAUAAGGUGGCCAUCUAGAUGGUAUAAAGCAGCCAUCUAGAUGGUCAGCAUAAUGUUGUUCAAAGAAGAAGAAAGUUGGCAGCAGCAGCAGCAUUUCUUGAAGAAGGAACUUUGACAUUCAAUGGCGGUGAAAAAAAAAAAUAUAUAUUUUAAUAGCCAAUUUUGGCUAUAAAAGGGGAGAGCACCCAUUUUGAUUUGUGCAUCCAAAUUUGUGAAAGGCAUUUUAAGAGAGAGUUUAGAGAGCUUAAAAUUAUAAGCUGUUGUUAUAGUGAUUUGAGAGUUUUGGUGUAUUGGGGUUUUGGGUAGUGAGCUAAAAUACUACAAUACUUGUAACUCCUUUUCACUAGUAAAAUAUUUCCUUCUGUCUUCGCCCGUGGACGUAGGCUAAAAGCCGAACCACGUAAUUUCUUGCGUCUAAUUUUUGUGCUUGUUCUUUAUUUUCUUACGAUUUCAUCUUAGCUGCGGUCCUGCUUCACCCACCAAUUUCCUAACAGUUUUUAUGAAGAAAAAUUUAAAAUUUUAUUAAAUAGGUGAAAAUAAUAAAUGGAUUCGUGUAUGGUUUGAGAUUCUUGACAUAAUUAUAAAAUAAGCCGGAUUCGACUUAGUUCAAUUUUGACGCGAUAAGAAGACGAUACCACACAAACACACGAUAAGAACCGUUACCUGAGAAGAUUGCCAUCAGGAAUUUUGAAAUUCAUUUCACUACAAUACCUUAAUCUUUCAGAUACUCCCAUCACUGAGCUGCCAGAAGAGCUAAAAGCCUUGGUAAAUCUUAAGUGUUUGAACUGUACACAAAUUAUCUCUCUACAAUUCAAAAACAACUGAUUUGUUACUUUUCAAUGCUACAUGUUCUACGAAUAUUGAGUUGUGGUUAUCUUGUUGAAAGAUCAGAAAAUAGAGUUCUAUUUGGUGGUAGUGAAUUGUUGGUUGGGGAGUUGCUUAGUUUAUAACGUUUAAAUGUAUUAAGCAUCAUACAAGGUUUUUCUGCUGUCCAAAAACUUAUGAGCUCUCAAAAGUUUCAAAGCUGUACAAAAUGUUUGGAGCUUAUAGACUGUGAUGAUUCAAAGUCUUUUGCCUUGGCAGAGUUGAAGCAUCUCGAAAAACUAGUUUUUCGAAUUGUGGAAGAGUUUAAGUUCUGCUGUGUUGAAGUUGGAAAAGCUCAAGAAUGUUUUCGUUUGAACAGCUUUCACCGAGUUAAUAUAAAGGCUUGUCAUAAAUUGAGGGACGUGACAUGGCUUGUAUUUGCUCCAAAUCAUACGGUUAUUCAAAUAGAAAAAUGUAUGCAGACGGAAGUAAUAAUCAGCGCAAGGAAAUUGGGUGAAGUUCCAGAGAUGAUGGCAGAUCUAAACCCUUUUGCGAAACUCCAAUAUCUUCGCCUGCGAGUUCUACCAAAAUUAAAAAGCGUCUAUUCGAAUGAGUCACCCUUUCCGCAUGUCAGGGAAAUUAUUGUAUCUGAAUGCCCAAUUCUCAAGAAGCUUUCACUCGGUUUUAACAAUGCAAAGGAAUCUAAAAUUGUCAUUUAUUACAUGUUUAUAUCUAACUUUUGUUCUCCUUUAUGGUUAAAUUUUACUAUAUAUAUGUUGUUAUACGGUGACAUUCUCGCAUCAAUUAUUAGCUUUUUAAUUCUCUUCUCGCAUUAAUUAAGAGUAGUAAAUUGGGAUACAAAUGUAAGAAUUAGCCAGAUGACAUGUUGUUUUGAAGCUUUCGAAGGACUAAUUAUGUCAUUCAAAGCAUCCAAUUUCGCUACUUUUUUUUUUUUUCAUUUGUUGCUUUUUCUAUUUUUAGAUAGCUUGAUUGUCAGUUGUCGUAAUGUAAUGUUUUAGUGUAGAAAAAUGAUAUUCGGCCAAGACAUCGAUAGGAGGGCACAUUGUGCAUGCGCACUCGUGGAUGAUUUCGGCAUGCCGAAUCCAAUUAGUGUGAAUAACCCUUUAUAAACAUUAGGCUUCUCUCAUACCAGAUAGAGGUGGCAAAAAUAUCCGCUCGGUCCGGAUCCGGACCAUACCCGGGCAUUGUGGGUCGGGUAUUACCUAAUCUGGGUAUAAAGUCGAGUCGGUCUUGGGCAUCACUUGAUAAACUCGGAACCCAGAUUUUAUUAAAAAAAUAUUAUAAAAUAUAUAUUAUUUUAAAUAUUUAUAUUUAUUUGACUCAUUUAUUAUACAUAUAUAAAGUUUUAAACACGUAAAGUUUAUAUUUUCAUGUCAAAUUUUAUUAAAAUAAAUUUAACACUUAUAAAAUUACCUAAAAAUAAAAAAAAUAUAUACAUAUAAUAUUAAAAAAUAUACAAUUCGGGUACCCAGAUUAAAAUCUGACCCGGACUCGGACCCAGACCGAUUGCAUCCGGGCAGGAUCCAGUCAUUGCAAUAAUCGGACCUGGCCCGGGGUUUCGCCAUCUCCAAUACCAGAGCAAUGUAGAAUAUGUUUAUAAACUGUGAAUUACCCUUUAAAAGUAUUAGGCUUCUUUUAUACUCGAGCGAUGUGGAAUACCUUUAUAAGCAUUAAGCUUCUCCCAUACACUUUAUGUUAAAAAUAAUAAUAAUAAAAUAAAUCCAUUUUAAAAUAGGCUUUUUUUUUUCUUUUUCUAUAUAAACAAAAUGCAUUCUUCAAAUCAAUAGUGGGUGGAAGAAGUGAGUAGAGAAGAACUAGGCCCCUUUCAUUCCCCUAAAACCUCACCGAAACCUCUCUUGUGAACUUCUCAGAUUCUCUCUCAAUAUUUCUUAUGAUCUCGUUUUUGAUAGAAUCACUUCUUUUGCAUGCUGCAUUUUGUGAGUCGUUUUUGGGUAAUAUCUUAUCUGGAAUGCUGUUAUGAUCAAUAGAACAAGUAAUCAAUUUUUGGUUCGACGGAAGUCGAUUUAUUUAUUUACUAUUAUUUUUUAUUUGAAAUUUUGUACAAUUGUGUUUCAUUCAUUUCUUUCCUUCUUUUUUUAUUUUAUAUUUAUUAUGUAUAAUUGUGUUUCAUUUGAUAUUGAUCAUACUCUAGAUAACUAUAUGAUUGUAGCUGGGGAUUUUAAGUUUUGUGAAUUCAAGAAACUGUCAAAAUGCUAGUGAAAUUGGCACCUUUAUUCAUAAGCUUGUGGUUUUGAAAAGUAGCCCGGUUCAACUGAUGAAGUUCCUUUUUGGGAUUCUUUUUUUUCUAGGCUGCAAUUCGGAUAUGUACCUGAUAGACAAUCUUUUGUGGGUUUAGCAUAUCUUCUCCGAUUUUGUCUUUUAUUCCCCAAUUUUACAGCUACACACCAUGAAUGUUGGGUGAUUGUACAGAAAAUUUGUGUUAGAACAAAAGCAUUGUGAAGGAGUUUCUGUGCUAUAAGUUAUUGGCAUUAAUUGGGUAGAUUAUGUGUUACAGUGAUUCAAUUUGUGAUCCACACUUUAAUUUUCUCUUUUCCCCAAUUAUUUAUGUCAAAUUCAAAUCCAGAAGCAUGUGCUGAUUUUUUCAUUUUGUAUUAAUCUGUGAAGUUUAUUUGGAAAGGAAGUAUCUGGGUCUAAUGGAUUAAAUUAUGACAUUGAGGAAAGGCACUAAAGGUUUUACUUGACACAUUUGGUCUGUGUUUACUCUGCAAUAAAUAGCCUCGCUUAUCGGAAAUCCCGAUUUGGCUGGUGAAUUUCUCUGUGACAGACAGGCAAACACCUAAACCGCUUCUAUCCAUCUUUCUGCUGGUGAGGCAAGGGGUAAAAAGUCUUCAAAAUCAUCAAAUAGUAACAUAUCCGAGAAUUCGUUUUAGAAAAAUGGAAAAUCUAGACCUACUAGGACAAAAUGGCGUCCGGUAUCAGGAGGUACCGUUUCAAGUUUUCUUGGUAAAGAAUAUAUUAAACCUGCGCAACCAGCUAAUGGCACUUUUCUGGCAUCAAAGCCAUUGAAGUUGGAUCUAAAGGAGUUUUCCCAUGUCUGCACUGUGCAGAGAAGAAACUAAACCAAAACAAUCAAAGAAUGACAUUUGCAGAAGGAUACGGAAGAUUUUCUAUUUAAAUUGUUAGGAGAAGGGUUCCAGCUGAACAGGGAUGUGAUUCAGGAGGUUCUCGGUAAUGUCUUAAAUAUACUGAUGCCAAUUUAAUACAUAUUGUCCUUUUCAAUGUUCUUUCUUUUUUAAAAAAAUUCAAAGUCAAGUGAUUGUUAUAUAAUAUCAUAUUAUGUUCUUUCUUUGUGAUUGUUAUAUAAUAUCAAAGUCAAGUCUUAAAUACUGCUGUCAUAUAUUAAGGUUCAACUUGCAUUUUGAUUAACAUCCAUUUGCUGCUGCUUCCAAAAGUGAGAAUGAGAUACUUUGGUUAAUUUCAGUGGUUGAACCCAAUAGAGAACUUUAUUUAGAUCUUCAUGGUUCAAAGGCCUGAAAAAACUUGCCCGUAAUUGUAAAAUGACAUUCUGUGCUUUUUAUGCAAUAGGGAACAGGGAAGUAGAGCUUUGGAAAAGCCUGGAUUGAUAACUAUGGAGAGACUUAUUAUUUAAGUGAUGAAAAUUCCCAUCACCCGCGGUGAGGAAAAUUUUAGAUAGUUAAAGACUCCAUUUUGCUCCAGCCAAAAAUGUUUGUUUCAUGUAAAGACUUGAACCAUUUUCAUUGAACCUGAUUGUGAUCCUUUACGUUAUGCAUGUUCCUCUCAAUCAAGAAAAGUUGAGGGCAUGAUUCUAUAUUUCUAUAUUGUAACUUGAAAUAAUAAUUGGUCUACUUGUUUCUGUAUCUUGAUAAGAUGAAUUUUCCUUCUCAAGUUAAUUUGAUCAAUAAAGUAAUUCUUCAAAGAAAAUAUGCCCAUUCUAUAAUCAUUUUCUUAGCUAAGAUGUUUUUUCUUCACUCUUCAGAGCAUGUUAAAACUAAUUGAUCGCUUGGCAGAGACUUUGGGUGAGAAGACAAACUUUCUUGGUAAAUCCUCGGAAAAGGUAUGCAUAAUUCCCGAGUAUUAAAUAACCAAUAGUCAUAAUUUUUGUACAUGACUCUUUUUUCUCUUUUUUGUGGAGAUCAUUAAAAUUGGUUCAUGAUCCAUUUUGUAAUAUCAUAGAGGGAUCAUCAAUUCCUUCUCUUUUCUGUGGCUAGGCAACACUUUCAGGCCAAAGUAAGAAAAUCUAUUUUUGGUAAUGUGAAAACCAACGGUAGGAUGUAAUAGUCUAUUAUGCACUGACAAUAACUUUUUGUAUGAUUGGCAGUUUAAUGAAUACAAGAGGAACUGAGUUGACAAAUUCAUCCAAGAUAGAUGCUAAAAUUAUUUAUGCAUGCCAGUUGCCUUAACUAACUUUUCUUAACACUUGUAUUGAACAGGAAAAUGAAUAAGCAAUUUGUAUAUUGUGCCAUUGUGGAGUAUUUGGAUAUUCUGAUUUAAGUAACAAGGAGAAUACUUGCCUCAUCUUUAAACAAUGAAUAUUUGAGAAAUGAGGAGUGGGGGAUUGGAAGUGUCUUCAUGUAAAUGUUCAUUUAUUUGUAUUUUGAACUAUUAGGAGAAUCUAAUAUGCCAAAUCAGUAAUACAAAUGUUCAGAUGAUUUUUCCUGUUGAUCAUGCAUUUGUGUCUGCACACAACCAUUGUAUAUCACUUUAUUCUGAUGUGCAGGUGUGUGUAGCUUAGAAGAAACGGAAUAAUAAUCAUCUAUUAUUGCUUGGUUCAUGAUUAUUAAAUGAUUAUGGCUUUAAAAAGUCUACUAAUUCCUUACUGUUCAUAUAUGAAUGUGUCAAGUUUGCUAUAUCUUAGAUUAUCUUCUUCCAAGAUAACAAGUUCAUAUUCUUUUUAAUCUUUUCCAUCACAGUUGACUUUUAGGUGUUAAGAUUUGUUAUUAAUAUCUGGUCCCCUGUUAUUAUGAUUUCAUAAACAGUGUACGGAUAUGUGCUCUAACUUUGGAGGACCUCCACGUGAAAGAAAAUUGCAACAAUUGAAUUCUUCCUGAGGGUAUGGUCUUUAAUUUAUUUUCUCAACUUCUUGUAAGAUUAAUAUAUUUCUUUCAGUAGGCACAGCACGGGGGGAAGGGUUUUUAUUGAAAGAAUUAUGAUAUUUCUUAGACUUUGUUUUGGAAAGGGGGUGGAGGGAUUUCUCAUCCAUAUAUGGUUACUUGAUGAGCUUUUGACUGUAUUUCCUCAGUCGUGUAAAGGAAGAUCGAAAUACCCGAAAGACAGAAAUGAGCUACAGAAGCAAGUUUUAGCUGCUUUUGACUAUAUUGACUGGAUUUGUAAGUGUGUGCAUUUUUUUGUGUAUACUCUUGUAUUUAUGCAUAUUAAUGUGUGUAGGAAUUUCUGCCACUUACUGGAGAACUAGUGGAAAGCUUUAUACCGAUAUAUCUGCAAUAACUAAUUGGAAACUAUGAUAUUAAUAUUUUCUCUCACCUGAGGAACUGUGUAACAGUUAUACUUUGUGGCUCUGGAAUACUAGAGAUUCUGCAAUAACUAAUGGAAAUUAUGAUAUGAAUAUUUUAUCUCAACUGGAGAACUUUGUAACUUGUAGCUCUGGAAUGUCUAAGGAAUUUUGUCUGCUUCAGUUAGAUCAAAUAUCUUUUAGUUGCAUACAUUAUAGAAAAAGAUAAAGUUCUCUGAAUCUGAAAGACUGAAACAUUUUGUAUAUUUUGUGAAAGGGAAAUAUCUGUAGAUACUAGUUCAUGCAUUGAGGUAACAUCAAUGUUAAAGAAAAACAGCAAUAAGUUAUUAUGUGGAACUAGGUUCACUUGCUUUAAAUGCUGGUCUGGUCAACCAUAUGAACCUGUAAGUUCUGCAGAAAUAUAUAUACGGGGAGAAACUAGCUAAAUUUUCCGUUCAUUGAUGGCUUUGGUCAUUUUUUUCCCCUUAUUUUUCAGCUUUCCUUCUCCUGAAGUAUGUUAACAACUGCAGAUAAUGACAAAGAGGACAGCUUGCAGACUCUUCUUAGAGCCAUGAUGGAAUAUAGGGUCACAAUGAAGGAACAUUGUAAAGCUGUAGGUUCUUUUUCUCCUGUCAUUUAUGUUUUCUCACACAUUUUUUAUAUGCUCCAAGCAUGCAAUUUUGUAUGUGUCAACUGCUUUCUAAGUUUUAAAAGCCAUAAUGUAAGAAUACAGUUCUUUGUCAGGUUAUUGAUGCAUUUGCUCAGGGGGAUCAUAUUCGAGCAGGAAAACUUCUAGAACAGACAAGGUUUUCCAUCUACAGCCAUCUAUUGACAACAGAUACAUUUUCAUUCAGCAAACACUGUUAGCAUUCAAGAUACUGGCAGAUUCACUUGAUUCUUAUUAGUUUGAUUAGUAGCAAAGCAUAUAACCUGUAUUUCUAAGCCAAGUUGUGCUAUUGAUUAUGUUAACUUUAUUGUUCUCAUAAAGUGAUAUGGAGGAAAUAAUCAAUGUAGGAAAAUUAGGUGAAGAGAUGAUGUCAAAUCUUGAACCUCUUACAAAAUUCCAAGUUCUUUACUUGAAGAAGCUACCAAAUUUGAACAGGGUCCACUGGAAGGCCUUGCCAUUCCCUGAUGCAUGCAGAAUUUUUGUAUUUAAAUGCCCAGAGCUUAAGAAGCUGCCGCUGGAUCUUGAAAGGGAGGCCAAGGUAAAAUUCUUAUCAAGGGAAAGGAAGAUUGGUGGAAACAACUUCAAUGGGAGGAUCAAGUAACUCCGAAAGCAUUGCUUCCAUUUUUAAAAUCAACCAACAAGUGAUUGAGGGGGCAUCAUCAACAUCAUCAACAUGGAUGGAGAGAUUUUGGAGCAGAUCAGCCGGGUUUAGUACGACCUGUGGUGGUUUCUUUUUUGUGACUUUUUUCCCUUUCAUUUUUUCACUUCCUGUCAUAUUAUCAUUUCUUUGUCUCUGUUUCUAUUGCUGGUGUUGCUGCAUGCUUGCAGCCCUUGACAAAGUUAGCUAGUUUUUUUGUUUAUUAAAUUUUGUAUGUUCGGUCGGGACAGUCACAAAGUACUACUUGUUCUAUAUGGGGGUGAUGUGAAUCAACUUUUCAAUUAAAUAUUCUGUGGUAAUUGUGAAUUCAAUUUCAUUUGUCUCCUGCAAAUUAUGAAGAAAGUGCAGAGUUACAAUAUGGAAAAGUUCACUGGCAAAUACUUUGUAAAAGCUUCGGAGUGAAACAGGGAAUGCACUUGCAACUAAGGACAAAUUGGUGGCCAGCUAAUUCAUUCAUUUUAUGUACAUUCAUCUUUUUAAUUAUUGAAGAUAAGUGGUUCGUUGCUUUUGUUGUAGAUAAAAUCCAGACGACCUCAAUUGUGAGAUUGAAAAUAUUUAAAAUAUCUCUUAAAUUAUUAUAAACUUUAAUUUAUCUUAAUUUUAUUUAAAAGAUAAAAGAAAAAUGUGGUUUAUGGAUAAAUUUUUUUUUUAUCUUGUUAAUAAAAUGAAAUAAAUUAAAAUUUACAAUAAUUUAAAGUAUUUUAAAAAUUAUUAUUUCAUAAGAGAUUAAUAUGAAAUUAAUCCUUUUUACUUUUUGAAUGUGAAAGGACAAGAAAAGAGAAAGCAAGUGUCACUGCUUUUUAUUUUAUUUGAAAUCGGAGUUAUCCCAUAUACUUUACUACUUUAGCUCUCUCCUCAAGGUGAGAUGCGUGAGUUGGGUGAAGAUUUGGUGAGUCACCCGUAUAUAUAUAUAUAUAUAUAUAUAUUAUCUGCUCGGUGAAAUUUUUUUUAAUCUGAGCUUAGAAUCUAGGAUUAAAAUUAUGGAAAAAUUUAAGUAUUACACACACGCACACUAUUCGGUCAAUUUUUUUUUAAUCUGAGUUUAGAUGUAGAAUUAAAGUUCAAAAUGAAUUUACUGUGUGAUAAAUCAAUUUUUACAAUGUUGUAAACUGAUUUAUGGUAUUAUAAAUCCAUCUUAAAUUUUAAUCUCAGAUUCUAAGUUCGGAUCUAAUAAACACUCUCUCCAAUUAUGUUGUCUAUAAUUUUGCAUUCAAAGAAACUUCACGAAAAAUAUAAUAUCAUGUGUAGCCCCAGAAAAUUUAAUAACAAUAAAAAAGAUAUCAUAAGAAAAGAAAACUCAUAAUUGUUCAGAUAUUUAUAAAUUAGUGGCCGUUGGAAAUUUAACUGCAAGUGCCAAUCCGAGUGCACAAAAGACUUUUAGCCAUACUUUUAGCCAUAUGUCAUUCAUUGUUUGUUUGCUGCAUUCCCUCUCAUUUUCUUAAUUAUUGAAGACAGGUUGCUCAUAGCAUGUAAUUUUCAAAUGUGGAACCGCAGCUAAUGUCACUAUUUUAAUUUGGAAUUAAAUUAGGGCCCAUGUAUAAAAUUUAUAACAGUAUAUUGCAGCGUGAACUAACUUUUAUGUUUAUCUAAACACCUUAAAUUUAAGGCAAAUUAUGGCAUAAAUAAGAAUUAUAACAGAACAUUUAUGAUGUAUAGCAAAAGAGUUGUGAUGAAGAUCUUGAAGACAUAAUAUUAGCGCCGAAUUAAGUAACUAAGAACACCCCUGAACUGAAUAUUGGUUAUCAAAAUUGUGUUACUUGCACUCCUAUUAACUAAAAGUUUGGUUCUGUUCCAUUUGAGUUUUUAUCUUCAAAUUUCAAAAUCUUGCUAAGUUUUGACAAUCACAAAGGCUCAGUUUGCUUGUUCUAUAUUUGUAUGAUACGAAUCCAAAUUUUUGUGUUCUAUUUUCUCAAUUUUGAAUACAGAUUCUUUUCUUCUCCCGCAAACCAGAAAGAAAUGUUGUAUUAAAAAAAAUGGAAAUAACUUCAUGACAACAAAAAUUAGGAAAAAUAAUAUAAACCAAAUUAAGAUAAAUAAUAUCAUUUUCUAGACAAACAGGCAAAAAUGGAAAAGGAUAUUUCAAUUUCUAAAUUUUCUUUCAUGUUUGCUUCUCGCAUAGAAUCAUUUGGUAUUAACAAAUUUUUUACUUAUUAAACAAAAGUUUUUAAGAUUUUUUUGUUUCCUGCUGUUAAUCUAUGAAUGGUUUCAUUGUUGGAGUUUCUUUCAGAAGACAAGAAUACUUUGGUUAAGUGUUUGGCUAAGUACUAAAUUAAAGGUUGUUAGAUAGAAGAAAUUAAAAAAAAAAUUCCUAACCCUUUAUUCAGUGUUUAAUCAGCAAAUAUUCAACUCAACAUGAAUCUUAAUCAUCUUUAAAAAAAAAUUAUUCAAUUUUCUAAUAAUAUUUAUGCAGGUACUAGAAAUUAAAACCCUAUUUACAUGGAUGCGUGCCCAUCGGUCCAAUUUAAAAAAAAAAAGAGAAAAAAUAAAUGUAAUCCAUGAAUUUGGUUAAUUUUCCUUUGUUUGUUUCUUUCUGUUCUCCUCCCCCCCCCCCCCCCCCCCCCCUCAAUAUCAUUCCUUUUUGGCCGCCCAAGGACAUUUUCACAAAUACCUUUUGUGCAGAAGUCUUUUAAACCAUCAAUCGGAAGAAACAUGCUUCCAGUGAUACCUCCAAUUAUCAUUGAUGACUUUUCUUACUCUAAUGCUAUGUCAAUUCCAACAUUUGUAUGUUAAUAUAACAUAAUCAAUGAUUUGGAUAAUUGAUUACUUUUACGGAUUGUGGACUUUUGCGGAUUUUCAAUCUAAUCCAAUCCACCAAUUCACAAAUUCAGAUUUUUACUGAUUAGAUUUCUACAUAUCAAAUGAAUUGAGCAGACUAGAUUGGAUUUUGAACAUUGCUAAUUUGUAUGUUAAUUAUAAGAUAAUCAAUUAUUUGGAUAAUCCCUUGUGUUUUAUCUCUAAUUAGAACAUCAAUCUUCACAAUAUCUACAAUGCUACAAUGGCUAUAAAACAAAACCUGCUUGCAAAUUGUCAAGGAUACUUAUCCUUUCGCUUGACAAGUCAUUUGGAAAAAUAUUGUCCCUUGGCGGCUCCAUGUCUUCUCUGCCCCUCCUUUUGGUCUUAAUGUACGGUUGCAUAGUGAUAGUUUAGGCCCUUAGGGACUACUUUCCCUGGUGUUGUUAAGUCUUAGCUUGUGCUAGGCUUGUGUUUCUUACCAAAAGAAAAGGAAUACUUCUCCGAAAUAAUCUCUAUAUAUAGGAUGGUUGGAUUCACUUGUUUAUAUAACAGAUCAAUUAGUUCUCUGUAAGUAGAGAGUUUCUAGUAUGAGAGAAACGGUAGGUCUAUUGAGAUAUUAUGUGUUAUUAGGAUUUUGGUUGUGAAGAAAAAUACUAGAGUGAUUGUGUUAAUUUUCUAUGUAGUGGAUUUUUCUAUCGUCAUCUUUGUGGCUGUGAUUUUUCUUUCAUAUAGAAGUUUCCCACGUAAAUUCUUAUGUUGUGUGAUUAGUUUUAUUCUCUAUCUAUUUUUUUGUUUAUUAUUUGUUUGAUAUUUUAUUUGUAAGAUGUUGGAUGGGAUAAAAUUCCUUAACAAAUAACGGAUUAAAAAUCUUGAAGAAAAAGCUCAAGAGAUCUUCAAGAUUUGAAGUGUGAACAAGUUCAUAUUACUGCUAGAUGAUAUAUGGGAGCGGGUUGAUUUAGUAAAAAUGGGUGUCCCUCUUCCUAGAUCAGAAAACAGCACAUCCAAAGUGAUAUUUACAAACCCGUUCUGAGGAAGUUUGCAGCUUAAUGGAAGCUCGUAGGAGUUUUAAAGUGGCGUGCUUAUCAAAUAAAGAUGCUUGGGAAUUGUUUCGAUACAAAGUUGGGGAAGAAACUUUGAACAAUCAUCCGUUAAGGGGUGUGGUGGUUUGCCACUUGCACUUUUUACCAUCGGCCGAUCUAUGGCAUGCAAGAAGACACAGCCGAAGAAUGGAGAUAUGCUAUUCAAGUGUUCACUUCGUCCGCUUCCCGUUUCCAGGUCUGGAAGAAGGGAUAUAUACUCUUGUAAAAUUUAGUUAUGAUAGUUUACCCAAUGACACAAUGACACCUUGUUUGUUAUAUUGUAGUUUAUAUCCAGAAGAUUGUUGCAUUUCUAAAGAGAAUUUGGUAGAUUGUGAGAUCAGUGGAGGAUUUUUGAAUGAAUUGAAAGUGACUGGUUUGGAGAAAAAAAUCAAGCAUACGUCAUUUUGGGCAUUCUUCUUCAUGUUUUUUUUUUUUUUUUUUUAUGGAAAAUGGAGGAGAUUGUGAAGUGAAAAAUGCAUGCAUGACGUUAUUCGUGAUAUGGCUUUGUGGAUCGCAUGCGACUAUGAGAAGGAGAAGGAGAACUUUUUGGUUUAAGUUGGUGUUGGUUUAACUAAGGCACCAGAUAUUAGAGAUUGGGAAAAGGUGAGGAGAUUGUCAUUGAUGAAAAAUAAAAAUGAGAAUCUAACUGAGGCUCAUACAUGCUGUAACGCCACAAAUUUCCAUAAUAUUAAAUUAUAGAAAUUGGGCUUUCAUUGAGAAUUAUGGGUGGCCUAUAACCCUUAUUAAGAAAGGGAUAUUAAAUUAUAAAUAGAGGUUAUUUAUGAGAUAGUUUUGAAAAAGGGUUAUUUUUCCUAAUUAAAUAGGGUUUCUUAAGACUCCCUAUAAAUUCAUACUUUUUCCUUUCCAUAACCCUAAGUUCACGACGUUUAUUCUUCUUCUCUGCUGCUCUUUACGCUCCUAACGCUCCUACCCAAAUCUUAGGAUUCAAACCUUUGUUUAGGAGAGAAUCAAAACGACGGGUAAGUUAUUCUCUCUAUUCUCAAAAGAUUUCUAAUCAUUCUAUCUAGGGUUUAUAUUGGCACGAUUCUAGAUGGUUAUAGAUCAUAAUGCAUUAUUUAGAAUGUAUUUAGGCUUUGUUUAGAGUUUUGACUUAUUAUGAGUUUAGUUAAUCAAUCCUUGACGUAUUAAGCACAUAGGAUAAUUCUGGACAGCAUGAGUAUCUCGAAUUUAAACCUAUAUUUUCUGAACGAGCUUUCUUAUGAAAUUUAUAUUUCUGGAAACUAGACAUGUAGGGCUUCUUGAAUAAAUUUUAUUUCAUUAAAUUCGACUUCUUUUUCAAUUUUACAUGUAUUUUCGAAAUAGAAACCACUGCACUGGAAAACUGCGAUUCCAGCAUUGCAAUCGGAUUCACAAGAUUAUUUGUACCACCAAAUGAACUCUGAAAAUUAUGAAAUUUUAUAUGUAGGUUAAUAUAUAUGUCUAGGAUUCCCAGUUUUAAUUUCAUAAUUUUCUAAUUUUUAUUUUAUUUUAUAAAAAUCACAGAACCCGUUCUGUUUGGUUUAGGUUAUGCGAAAACAGUUUCGAAUUUGUUGAGAAAUAAAUAGUUUUGAAAAUGUUUUUGAUUUCGGAUCCUCUUGAAAAUUUUACAUGGGGUACUCAUGGAUAUCCAGAAUAGUUUCAUAGAACAUUAUGUCAUUAUGAGUUUUAGAUUAAGAGUCAAAAUUCUGAGAAUCAGACCUGUACGGUUAUGAAUUAGAAAAUCAGAUUCUUAGAAUAAGUUAUUAAUUGUCAUAUCUUGUACUUCUUUAAGGUGUUGGAGGUGAUUGAGACUCUUAGAGGCUUAGAGGCGUGUUAAUUCAAAUUCUUUAGUCGAGGUAAGUAACUUCAUUCCUAAUAUACUGUAUAUGUAUAAGUAUUUUGAUAUUAUUAUUAUAAGUAUAAAUGUUUUCAUACUACUUAGAAGAUUAAUGGAUUUUCAUAACAAAAUUAGCAUAUGAAAUGUUUUCAAAACCUAAAUUCUUUUUAACAAAGCAUUUUAUAAAUACUUUUUAAAUAUGUAAGUUAUUUUGUUACAUGCCUACUUUUAUGAUUUUAUUUAUAAAAUAUUUUGCAAGCCUAAAUUAUUGUUAUGGACUUUUAUGAAUCUGAUACGAAGGUUUUGUGCCUAUAUAUGAUUUCAAUUAUAUAUGAUUGUACGGGGGCCACCUCCUGGGACUAUAUGGGCGCCACCACUUGAAGGCCACAGCGUCGCAAAGUGCCACGUAUAAAUCAUUAUGUUUUGGCUCAUUGUCCGUAGUCAUUUUGAUUCUGAUUCUGAUUGUAUAAUACGAUAUAUGUCUGUUCUAGACCAGUACUGGGUUUCUGUUCUGAGUGUGCACACGAUAUUCUGAUUCUGUUCUGGCUGGGUCACCGGGACUAUAGGUGACACUAUGUGACAUAAGCUAACAUUGAAACGACUCGUCCCGAAUCCCCCCAAGCGAGUCUAUCUAGUCUCAUCAAAACGGACUUGAUAAUAAUUCUAUUCGUAAAGAUUCUGCCGAAAAUUUGGCAGAGUCUCCUUUAUAUAUAUAACACUCCCAAUCUACAAAUAUGAAUAUAACACUCCCAAUACAAUUCAAUAUACAACAAACUCCAGUGCUCAACAUCCUCGACAAAAAUGCUGAGUUUUAUUUCUCUAGAGUCUUAAAAGAUAAUAUUAUAACGAAUAUUAAUAUCUCAAUUUAUUCUUAAUCUCAAAAGAAUAAUAUAACAAAAUUAUACAAUCCCAAAAGAACAAGAUGACUAAGAUGUCCUAACAAAAACAUUUAUAUCUUCUAACACCAUCACGUGGCCAAGACUCAAAAUAUAUUUACAGUCGCUGGGUCGGUCUGGUGUACCUGCAACCUCUUGGUGAGGGGGAGAAAAUAUAAUAAAAACGGGGUGAGUUUAAAACUCAGUGAGAUCAGUGAGUGGAUAGUAGUUUUGAAAAUUAAUUCUUACUUUAAAAGAAAUAAUCAUAUCAUUUCCAAACAUGAUUUCAUUAAACCAUAAGCGAGAAACCAGUAAUAAAUCAUUAAACAUUUAAAUCAGAUUACUAACCAUAGAAAUCAUCUUACAAUAUCAUAUAGAAUUCACAAAUUUGAAAAUCAUCACCAAACAAGUACCCAGGGAAAUAAUCUCGUCAUAUCCGGACCUCAACGAACGGGCAAUGAUGUACUAUCUGGGUAACGUCACUCCCCGGAGCUACACGGAUAGACAGGGAAAUACCAUAUCAUAUCUCAUCAUAUCUGUGCAUGCAUAAUCUAGUCCCCAAGGGAUAAAAGCGCCCAAGCACACGGCCCAAAGCCUCUGUGUGUACUUAGACGGGCCCCAAAGGCCUGUAUCUCAUCUGUAUCAUAUGUAUCAUUUGUAUCUCAAUAUUUGUCUGUAUCUCAUAUUUGUAUCUCUCUAAUCAUCAUACCGCAUGCAUAUGCCCCCAAAAGACAAAAACGCCCAAACACACGGCCCAAAGCCUCUAUGUGUGUUCAGACGGGCCCCAAAGGCCUCUCAUCUCAUAUCAUCUGUAUCACUGUAUUUGGAGGGGAAGGGUACUAGCUAAUGAUUUCAAAAACAAUCAUUAUACUCAUAUUCACAUACCUCUUAACCAUAUUUUAAAUCAUACCAUAUUUGAAUUGUCUUUUCUUAUCUUUAAAGUAUUAUCAUGCUUUAUUCAAAAUCGAUACGCAAAAUCAUCAACCAAACAUUUCGAGAAAUCAUUAAAUCAGAACAUUUAAAAUACUUAUUUCGCAAACAUGCUUUACUAUCAUAAUUAACUAUGAAAAUAGGUUUUGUAUAUUCCACUCACAGUGACGGUGUUCACGGUCGGUUAUCGUCCACGUCCGCGGACCGAUUCUCGCUCGCGGAUUCUCCUAAAUCAAGGAAACGACAUAAUUAUUUUUUGUAAAUCGGAAUUAUGACUAAAUUUAUGCAAUAAACUCGAAACGAACAUUUAUCCAUAAUUUACAACUCCCGUGUCGAUAAAAUUACUAAAAUGCCCUUUUGUUAUUGUUAUGUUUUGGAAGAGAUUAUUUAGUGUUAGACGUUGGAAUUUGUGGAUUUGUUUGAAUAAGAAUUUAAGGUAUUUCAGUUAGGAAUUUAUGAGUCAGGAUUACGAUUUAUAAGUAACAUCCUUCUUCACGUGCUCCGCACGUGUUAGUUUUGCGGUGUUACACAUGCCCUCAUCUCCUCACUUUCUUUCUUGACGAUAAUGAGUUUCGGAAGAUCCCCAGUGACUUCUUCCAGUUUAUGCCUUCUCUCACUGUUUUAAACUUGUCAUGUAUUAAACUAAAGUCAGUUCCUUUAGGGACUUCAAGGUUGGUUCCACUACAACAACUCGAUCAUUCAUAUUGAAGCAUAAAAGAGUUGCAAGAAGAGUUAAAUGCCCUGAUUAAACUUAAAUGCUUGAGUAUAGAUCAUGUAGAAGAGCUAAUUACAGUUCCACAACAACGGAUAUUUAAUUUUUAAGGUUACAUGUGUUGAGAAUGUUCGAUACUAUUAGUUUAAAUUUUCAAGAAGCAUUAAAUAAAGACAGCAUUUUAUUUGGUGGGGAGGAAGUUUUAGCAGAGGAGUUGCUCGGUUUGAAAUAUUUGGAGGUAUUGAGCUUCACUUGAGAAGUGUUCGUGCUCUCCAAUUUAUUUCGAGCUCACAUAAGCUACGAAGUUGUACUCAAGCGCUGUUCCUCCAAUCCUUCAAUGAUUCGACAUGGCUUGAUGUUUCACUUUUGGCAGAGUUAAAAGCACCACUACAGAUUUAAGUAUUUUUGGGUGUAGAAAAUUGGAGGACUUGAAGAUGGAAUAUACUGGGGGAGCGAAAAGCAAGCGGCAACCUUGUGUUUUCUAAGGCCUACAUACAGUUCACAGAGAGGUUUGUUCUAAAUUGAAGGACUUUGACAUUCCUUGUUUUUGCUCCAAAUCUCAAGAACUUGUAAAUACAAAAUUGCCCUGCUGUGGAAGCAAUCAUCGGUGUGGGAGAAUUUGCGGAAGCUCUAGAGGCGGUGGAAAAUCUAAACCCAUUUGCAAAACUCAGUAUCUUGGACUAGAAAAUCAGCCAAAUGUGGAGAGCAUCUAUUGCAAGUCUCUGCCCUUUCAGAAAUGACUGUGGAUAGUUGCCGUUGUCUUAAAAAGCUUCCUCUCUACUCCAACAGUGUAAAAGAGUGGACAAUUGUUAUUUCAUCAUUCGGAGAAUUAAUGGUGCAAUGAGAUUUAGCAGUUAACUCUCGUGGGAAGAGCUUGAAUGGGAAGACGAAGCCGCUCCAAUUGCUUUUCAUUCCUGUUUCAAAUCUCUGAUCGGAUUGGAGAUUGCAUUUCGCCUCAGGUUCGUGCUUUUCUUGAAUUUUUCUCGUUAACUUCAUUUGUUCAUUUAUCCAUUUUUUUUAAGGAAUCAGAAGGGUUAAUAUUUUUGGUUGUGUUAGGUCGACUUCUAAUCACGAGGCAGAAGGAGUUGAGAUGAAGUUUAAUUUUGGUGGAGAAAUUGUUUGAUUUAAAAAAUUUAAAUGAGUUGACCAUCAUUCUUUAGCAUAUUUGUAUGAACAGGAGUGUGAAAAUAUGCAAACUGUCCAGCUGUAUGUGUAUAACGUAAUAAUUUUGAGGAGUUAAAACAUUGAAGAAUAUUGAUGUUUCCAUUGUCAGACCAAAUAUACUUAAUUACUUGAGGAUAACGAUUACUGCUAAUACGUUUGCAAAGAAAAAACAUGCCUAUUGAAAAACUCAUCUUAUUAGCAACAGUAUUAUAAGUAGUAUCCAAUCAUAGUUUCAUGCAAGAUUUUGAGAUUUUUCAAAUGCUGAUUCCGGGAAUGGAGAUUAAUAGAUAAUGGAGACAGGUUGACUGCAAUGGCUAAUUGCAAGAGGGAAUUUUAGUCGUAAAAAAAGACCAACUAGCAAAGCAAAUUCCAAAUCUCGGAAUGAAGUAGCAAAAAAAAGAAACAAACAAAUGGCAAGAGGAAGUGACUAUACAAUAAUAACAUCGACUUGCAAUUCAACAUUUAUACAGUUUUACACACCAAGAAAGGAAAAAAUUACAAUAGAAAUUUGGCCACUAAAAGAUGCUCGUUCAUGCUUAUGCCUGUCAUAUGGAUUUGAAACAUGGAGUAAAAGCAUUUAGAGUGGCUUCAUCCUUCCACUGCAGCUCAUUCCACCAGUGUUGCUCUCCCCUAAUAACAAGUUUUUGUUCCUUGGCACUGUUGUAAUCGAGUGGAAGCUUCUUGAGAUUCGGGCAGCCAGAUACAAACAAUUCCAAGAGAUUUGGAAAGGGCAAUGCAUUCAAACAGAUCUUCUUCAAAUUUCUUAGAACUUGCAACCGAAGAUAUUGGAGUUUCGCAAAAGGUUUUAGCCCGGGAACUUCUUCCACUUUCCAAACACUGAUUAUUUCUUCCAUCCCAUAACAACGUUCUAUAUGGACCACCUUGAGAUUUGGAGCAAAAACAAGCCAUGUCAUCUCCCUCAAUUUACUGCAACCGUCUAUGGUAACACUUUGAAGGCUGUUGAAACCCUACGGUUCUCUUGUUGUUUGAACUUCUGCAUAGUCAACCUUUAGCUCUUCCAAACUUGUACAAUGCACAAAAUCUAGUUUGUCAAGAUACUUGAGAUCUGCUAUGGACAAAAUAUUCCAUGACCUUGAAUCCUCACAGCGGCGAAGCUCUAAAGCAUAUUUACAACUCUUAUACUGUUGGCGGCUCAAAAGUCUUCGUAGAGCAUAAAAACUUCUUAACGUGACGCUUAAUACAUUUAAAUGUUCCAAAGUAAUCAACUCCUCUACCAAAAUUUCACUACCACCAAAUAGAACGCUAUCUUCUGGAACUGUAUCGGCAGAGCCACAAUCUAGCAUCCUCAACACCUUUAACCCAGAAAAAUUACAAAGCAGUUGCCGUGGAAUCGUAUGGAGAUAACGCAUGUACUCCAAGUUCAAACACUUUAGAUUUUUCAAGGCCUUUAGUUCAUGUGGCAACUCUUUGAUGAAAGUUUCUGAAAGAUUAAGAUAUUGUAGUGAAACCAAUUUUGAAAUUCCUGAAGGCAAUUGACUCAAGGAGCGAUUCUUUGAUAGGUUUAAAACUUUAAGAGAAGGCAUAAAAUCGAAGAAAUCACUAGGGAUAGUAUCUAACAUAUUAAUUCCGAGGAACAAAGUUAUAAGAUGAGGGCAUAUUGGAGUUAUUGGUAAAAUCACAAUUUUAUUUCUCAUCAACGGUAUCCUUCUCUUAUCUUCCCAUUUUUUAACCUCGGGUGGUUCAGUUAAUUCAAUACCGGCAGAAACCAAAAAGUUUUCAUUCUCCACUUCACAGGCUAUCCACAAGGUCAUAUCACGAAUCACAUCAUGCAGUUUUACAUAAUCUGAUCCUGCUUCUUCCAAUAGGCAUGCAUGAACAAGAACACCAAUAAUGCAGUAUCCUUGGUUAUGUACUCCAUUAAUUCCUUCAUUUUCCUUCAGAAAACCCUCACCAAUCCAACACUUUAUCAAUUCAGUUUUGCUAAUUUGAUAAUCCUCAGGAAAUAAACUACAGUAUAACAGACAAGAUCUAAGGACGUCACUAGACAAACUAUCAUAACUGAAUUUUAAAAGACGAAACACCUCUUUCUCCAUACCUGGAAAUUCAUAAGCUGAUCUCCUUAACAUCUGAAUUGCAUAGCUCCGUUCUUCGGGUCUCUUCUUGCUGCUCAUGGCACGACUAGUGGUAAUAAGUGCAAGUGGCAAACCACUACACUCCUUUGCCACAGUUUGGGCUAACUCCGGAAUAUCGGGAUGACUUUCAAGAGUCUCUUGUCCGACCUUCUUUAGGAACAAUUCCCAAGCAUCUUGAUCUGCGAAACACUCCACCUUGAACGUUUUUUGAGCUUCCAUGAGGCCACAGACGUCCACAAGACGAGUCGUAAAGACUAUCUUUGAUGCAUUUCUUGAACUCGCAGGAAAAGGGACACCCACUUUGGCUAAAUCAAUUCUUUCCCAUAUAUCAUCUAACAAUAGCAGAAAUUUCAUUUUGCUCAAUAAAUUGAAUAUACCUGAUGCUUUCUCUUCAAAGCUUCAAUUCUGAAGCCAUCCUAUUCUUUCUCCGAUUUUUUGUUGAAUUCUCUCAAGUUGCAUGUCUUUUGACACCACCACCCAAAUCACAAUAUCAAAAUAAUAGUGUAGUCUUGCCGACUCCCCCCAUGCCAUAAAGUCCGAUGAUUCCAAAUUGUCCUUCUACAAGACAUCUCCAAACUUUAUCAAAUGUUGAUUCUAGGCCGAUUAUUGUUGGCUGAAGAGGCCUUUUAUCCACUGCUGGUUGUGGUACCUUUUCAGCUACCACAGCAAAAUCCCCAUCGUCUAUUAAAGUAGCCACAAGCUGCAGCUUUUUGGACACCUUUUUCCCAAACUUGUAGCUUGACUUGCAGUUCUUGGAGCAGUAGCCUCCAAGGCAUAGUUUUUCAAUUUCUUGAGAGGUGUCCCUUGUCAAUUCACCUACUUCAGCUUCCACAGCCUCCACCCUUGAAAGCCAACCUUGCACUCUGUUCAGCCGUCUUAGUUAUUGUUGCUCAGCAUUAGCGACCCUCAUCAUCACAUCGUUCUUUGUUUCAAUUAGUUUCUGCAAUUCGGUCUGGACGGCAACCAGGUUAUUUUCAAGCUGGCUUAGAUAUGCUGCUUUUCUGCGGAUACAAUUUAUGAAGCCAGUGGAAAGGGCAUCACAUGUAAGUUGGAUUCCCAAAAUAUUACCCAUAGUUUGUAUGAGAUUCAGAGUACAAUAGAAGGAAUGCAACACAGUAUGUAUUCGGUUGUGGUGUCUAUGAUUUUACAGUCGCAGAAGCUUAUUCACCUUGUGAGAGCUGAUCAGGUGGGCACCAUCACUCUCCUUACGCUUUAUAGAGAGCGAUAGUCCAUGUGGUCAGAUCUCAUUCAGAUAACUAGCCAAGUGGGCAAUCGCUCCACCUUAUCAAAAUUCUUCAUCUAUAAUAAUAUCAUGAGUAGGCCUUGAAUUUUUCUUUUAAUUUUAACAUUUAAAAGGUAGAGGUGAAAAAGUCUAAAUAGUAUUUUUGUCCUCGUACUUUAAUAACAUUUCUUGAAAGUCACUCGAUCUCAAAAUUUAAUUAAGAAGAUAUUAUAGAUUUAUAAGCAAGCCUUUAAAAUUUAUUUGCAAGUAAGCCCAUAAGACUUACUAAAAGUCGUCAACUCGUCAUGACCAAAAUUGAAAAUUCUUCCGCGUGUGAAAUACGGCAUGCACAGACGUAUUAAAAACAAAGGCCAGCUAUGAUAUUCUUCGUAUAUUUGCAUUCCCUAUUAUCUUAUUAAUAAUUUCAGACACGUAGUUCGUUGCUUGUGAUUUUUCAUAUGCAAAAGCACAGUCAGUGUUACAAUUUACAAUUACAAUUGAGUGCCACCUAUAUACUCCUUCAUUCUUUUCAAAAUAUGUUGUAGGAUGGGUAAUCGUGACAAAAGUGAUUUUUAAAAAGAUUUGUUAUAAUAUUAAAAUUAACUUUUAAUUUUUUUUAAAUUACUUUUGAGAUUUGUGAAAAAAAUCCUAAACGGGUCUCAGAAGUAUAAUUAGAACCACGAAUUUAUAAAAUGAUCAAAGGAAUCCAUUGCCUAAUAUUAUAGUACGCAAUUGAUUGCUAUAAACUAAACUUCUAUGAUCUCACUUCAUAAUAAUUUAUUUUCAAUCUCCAUCAUGGUAGAAAAAUUUCAUCAAUCAACAUACCCUACCACCACCCAGUAGUCGACCAUUUAUCAUCUUCUAUCCGUAAAAAAAAGGAAAAAAAAAAAAGAAAGGAAAAAUUUAGUCCAGAAAAGAAAAUAUCGCAAGACCAAACAGAGAGAGAAAAUAGAAAAAGCAAAGAGCUGUACUGAAUACCGGCAGUGAUGGCUCCGUACUUGACCAUUUAGGUUUGAUUCUGCAUUAACAUAAUAUUUUUUCUGCACUGCAUUCACAUCACAACCAUUGAAUAGUCGUGAUCUAUUUUUCUAAAGCGAAUAAUACUAUCUUCUCGUGUCGGUGGCUUGAUCAUAUAACAAAAUAGACUAAUAAUGUUUCAAUAGACAUUUUGGUAAAUGGAAGAAGUUAUGAUCUGUCCAUUUUUAUGUUACUUUAUUUUAAUUUGUUAAUUACUAUUAAUAUCUUUGAGUGUGGCAGAAUCUUGACCUAAGAUAUGACUAGGCUCCACAUGUUAUAUAUUAAUUUGAUUAAGCCUAGCUAAUUGUUAAUUAUUAAUUUGAUUGCGGCUUUUUAUUUUACCCACAUUUUUUACGCGUGAAAUCUUUCUUAGUGAAAAACUACACGUAUGUGCAAAUAUUCGGAAUGGACAUUUUAGAAAGAAAAAAAAGUAAAAGAAAAUGUUUGAGGGAAAAAUAGGAAAGGCAAUAGAGCGCCACGUGUCAACCAAUGGAAUGAUUUCAGCACAAUCGGAGGUACCCUACACAAUCCGAGGUGCCCGGCAUGACUUGAGGUACCCCGUAUAAAUAGAGGUAUCCCACACAAAUAGAGGUACCUCAUAUAAUAUGAGGUACCCCAUAUGAAUAGAGGUACCCCAUACAAAUAGGGGUACUCCGCGUAAUAGGGGGUACCCCACGUAACUCGAGGUACCCGGCAAAGCGGAUGCAAGAGAAUCCACCGAAAAUACCCGCCAUGAGAAACGUCUCCGCCUCCUAAAAGAUAUCAUUUGAUUUUGUCAGAAUUAGGAAUCAAAAGCGACGUGCUAAAAGGAGGGACAGCCGCCUGCUACCUCUGCCAAAAGUGAAGGACACUGUCCCAAGGACAGUGGUCCCUAGCCGCCUACCCGACAGCUACUGCAGAGGUACCCUGGACCACUCUCCAGCGCGCGCCACGUUUUCAAAAGAUGAGAUACGCCGCGAACAUGCAAAUAACGGCCCAAAAAAUUAUAAAAAGGUAAAAGGACGUUAGCCAAAAAGGGUACGCCACGUGGUAGCUGAGGUACUCCAUAUAUAAAGGCGCCUAGGUUUCAUCCUCCAAGAGGCUCUCAUUCGCCCAAAAACACUCACACUCCAGAAAAUAGGUUUUCUUCAACCUUAAACCCUAAUUUACAAAGGGCUAGCUAGCUCUCUUUACCAUAAAAGCUUGAGUUUGCUAACUUGAGCGUCGGAGUGUGAACGCCGGGGUACCCCGGCUUCACCUCUAACCUCCAUUUCACUGUUUUGCAGGUGUGGAGCCCAUCUCGAAGGAUACCUCUCUUAGUUCUAAACCUUUCACCAUUGAUACCACUCUCUCUCCCUUUCUCACCUCCCCCAAAUCUUAGAUACACCGCACCGCACACAAUAAACUAGUGAGGUACCCCAUCUCCCCCAAAAAUAUAAAUUUAUUGUUCUAGAUUGGUUUGACUUUUCCUACCCCAAAAUCAGUUGAAAACAGAAAAUGACUAAAAAGUAAAAGAAAAUAGACACCCAAUUGUAAUUACGAGUACAAUAGAAGGAAUGCAACACAAUACCGAUUUUGCAGUCGCUGAAGCUUAUUCACCCUAUGAGGGCUGAUCAGGUGGGGGCCGUCGCUCUCCUUACACUCUUAUAGAGAGUUAUAGUCCAUGAUCUCAUUGGGAGAACUAGCCAAGUGGGCAAUCGCUCCACCUGAUCAAAAUUCUUCAUCUUAUAAUAAUAUCUUGAGUAGGCCUUCAAUUUUAAUCUUUAAAAGGUAGAAGAGGUGAAAAAGUUAAAUAAUAUUUUUGUCCUCCUAUAUAACAUUUUUUGAAAAUCACUCGAUCUUAAAAAUUAAUUAAGAAAAUAUUAUAGAUUUUUAAGUUAGUGGCCCUUAAAAUUUAUUUGCAAGUAACAAUUAGAGAAAAGUCGUCAUGCCCAAAUGACUUACUAAAAGUCUGCAACUCGUCAUGACCAAAAUUCUUCCGAGUGUGAAAUACGGCAUGCGCAGAUGCAUUAAAAACAAAGGCCAGCUAUGAUAAUCUUUGUAUACUUGCCUUCCCUAUUAUCUUAUUAAUAAUUUCAGACGCGUCGUUCGUUGCCUGUGACUUUUCAUAUGCAAAAGCGGAGUCAGUGUUACUUGCAUUCCCUGUCACCUUAUUAAUAAUUUCAGACACAUCGUUGGUUGCCUGUGAUUUUCAUAUGCAAAAGCACAGUCAGAAUUACAAUUUACAUUUGGAAUUGAGUGCCAUCUAUUUAUUCUAGCUGGAUCUAAAAUGAUAUUGCAUUAUUGCACUGACUUUUUAGUCACAGCGUUUCUCUAUGAAUUCCUUAAACUUUAAACACAUCAUGGAAUAAUUAUUUUCUUAAAGACCAAAUUAACAUAAUUCUUAAAUCAUUUAUAAAACAACAUUUAUCAUAUAACAAAUCGUACAUGAAUAAAUUUACCUUGAACCGUAGCAAACAAACAAGAAUCUCAACCACAUCAAUAUCAUAAUCCCUUCUGACCUUAACAGUAAUUUUAUUCGUCCUUAAUUCAUAGGUAUAAGUAUCCCAAUAUAUACUUGAUGUCAACCUUUACAAUUCUUUACAGAAUUGCAGCAGACCAAAUUUGUAUACAAAACUGAAAUCAUACAGUAAUUGAUGUUUUCGAUAGAUUUUAGGGUAGGAAAAGCCAAACCAAUCUAGAACAAUGAAUUUGUAUUUUUGGGGGAGACGGCGUACCUCACUAGUUUGUUGUGUGCAGUGUGGUGUAUCUGAAAUUCGGGGGAGGUGAGAAGGGGAGAGGGAGUAGCAACAAUGGAGAAAGGUCAAAACCAAGAGAGAUAUCCUUAAAAAUGAGCUUCACGCCUGCAAAACAGUGAAAUAGAGGUUAGAGGUGAAGCCGGGGUACCCUGGCGUUCACACUCCGACACUCAAGUUAGCAAACUCAAGCUUUUAUGAUAAAGAGAGUUGGCUAACCCUCUGUAAAUUAGGGUUUAUGGUUGAAGAAAACCUAUUUUUUAGAGUGUGAGUGAGAGCAUCCAUGGAGAAUAAAAUAUAGGCACAUUUAUAUAUGGAGUACCUUAGUUGCCAUGUGGCAUACCCUUUUUGGCUAACGUCUUUUUACCUUUUAUGAUUUUGGGGCCGUUAUGUGCAUGUUCGCGGCGUAUCUCAUCCUUUGGAGACGUGGCGCACGCUGUGGUCCAAGGUACCUCUGCAGUAGCUGUCGGGUAGGCGACUGAGGACCACUGUCCUUGGGACAAUGUCCUUCACUUUUGGCAGAGGUAGUAGGCGGUUGUCCCCCCCUUUUGGUACUACGUUUUUUAUUCCUAAUUCUGACAAAAUCAAAUAUUAUCCUUCAAGAUAUGGAGAUAUUUCCUAUAGUGGACUUUUUCAGAGGAUUCUCCUGAGACAGACCUAUCGGGUACCUCAAGUUAUAUGGGGUACCUCGAUCCAUGUGGGGUACCUCGAGUUAAUCUGGAGUGAAGUGGGGUAUCUCUGAUUAUGCUGGGUACCUUUAAUUAUGUGGGAUACCUCUAAUCAAGCCGGUACUUCUAAUUACGCCGGGUACCUCUAAUUGCGCGGGGUACCUCUAAUCAAGCCGCGUACCUCUAAUUACGUCGGGUACCUCUAAUCAUGCAGGGUACCUCUAAAUCAGGCAGGGUACCUCUAAUCACGUCGGGUACCUCUAAUCAUGUUGGGCACCUCAAGUUAUUCCGAGUACCUUAAAUUAUGUUGAAGUUAUUCUGGGUACCUUGAAUUAUGCUGGAGUUAUUCCGAGUACCUCGAAUUAUACGGGGUACCCCAGUCUAUGUGGGGUACCUCUGACCGUGCCAGGUACCUCAAAUCAUGGCAUGUACCUCUAAUCGUGCGGGGUACCUCUAAUCAUGUCGGGUACCUCAGAUUGCACUAAAGUUAUUCCAUUUGUCGACACGUGGCGUUCUGCUAUCUUUCUUAUUUUUCCCCCAAACAAUUGAAUACAGUGAAAAUAGACAUGAUGGGAAUUAGUAUAUAUAAAUAUCUUAAUAAUUUAAAAGUUUCUUAAACUGAUUUUACAUAUCUGAAAAAUUAUAGAAAUCGGAACUGCUGCAGAAAUCAUAAUUUUCCAGCGAAUGUGUUACAACUUCAGAAACUCAUAAGAAAUUAAAUUCUUGGGAUCACAAAAUAAUUCAAUAGAAAGCUUAAGAUGUCUAGUUCAUAAAAUCUGAAUUUUUUUUUUAAUAAGAUCUUUGGAAUUUAAGAGAUUCAGCAGUACUUUUAUUACAUCAAUUCUUCAAACAAUCACCAAUCUAACAUUCAUCAAAAUUAAGUCAUAAAAGUCAUGUGGUUUAUAAAAAGAAUUACCUGAAAAAGAUUAGCCUUCCCCUUUCAAAAGCAACGUGAAACUCCAAAAACUCUUCUUCCAUUACCUAUUCAAACAUGAAAAAAAAAAAAAAAUUUGGUGUCUCUUCUUUAAAUGCGUGAUGAGUGUGCUCUGUUUUCUCUGUUUUCUCUGUUCUUCUCUUUCUUUUUUAGAUUUCGAAAACCUAAAGAGUGUUGGAGUCUUUAUUUUCUAAAAACAAGACUUUUCCAUGUAUUCAGUUAAAUUAAAUUACGUCCAAAUGCUAUGUCAGUUCCAUCAUUAGCAUUUUUUUUUCCUUUUAACACCAACAUUAGCGUAUGUUAAGUGUCAUAAUCCAUAGUUGGACAAUUUGAAAUCUCUUCGUGUUUUAUCUCAAAGUAGAGCUUCAAACAAUUUGUACCUCACAAAUUUACAAUAUCUAUGAGGGCUAAUAAGACCAAACUCAGGCAUAUUGUCAAAUGUGCUUAUACUUUCGCUUGACAAGUCAUUUUAAAAUUGUCUUUCAAUGCCAAAAAACCACAUAAACUAAUGGUCCACUACUUUAAUUUGAAAGCAUGCAUGCGAUCGCCAUUAAUCAAGGAUGUUAGGGUCAUGCUGCAGAGUAUAGAACUUGAUUUUAUGGGAUAGCCUUCUUUCUUUAUAAUUUUUAAGUUUAAUACUGUUACGCAAGUAGCACAUAAGUUGGAAAACAUAACAUAAAUUUUGAAAAAUGUAUAGUUUUCGUUCCCUUUUUUCCCCUCUAAAAAUGGGAAAAAAGAACGUAAUUUUGAUUUAUUUAAAUUACUGUUGUGAUAACAAUUUUUAUUUUAUUGAUUAUUUACCCAUACAUGUGGCAAAUUUUUUAAGAUAAGGUGAAGGAUGAAGCUCAAAAAUAUAAAUUAUAGAAUUAAUUACCCUCUGUAGUAAGUUUAAAGUUUAUUAUUUUUAACUACAUAUUUAUAAUUUAUUUUUAUUAUGUGUUAAUCUAUAGAUCUAAAUUCACUUCGGAACCAUAUACAUAUUUAGACAUAAUGUGCAUGUUAAUCUAUAGAUCUAAAUUCACUUUAGAUCUAUAUGAGUAUUUAGACAUAACGUAUUGCAACCAUAUUGGCAUGUUCUCACUAUAGUAUUGGUGUAUUGACAUUAUAUCUAAUUGUCCCUAUAAAUCCAAAAAUAAUCUAGAUAUACAAAUUAACAUAAAAUAAAGAUAAUUGGUAGAAAAUGCAAAUUAUAAACAUAUAAUUGAAAACGAUAAAUUUAAAUUUACUUAAGAAAGUAAUUAAUCACUUAUUUCUUUUUUAUAAUAUGACAAAUAUUAUAAUAAAUAUUAAUUAAUAAUAAUUAGAAUAACAAAUUAAGGAUAUUUUAAUAACUUAAAAUAAUUUAUUUUGAUUUCGAGACAAAAUAAACACAUGAAUCGCAAUACAACUCAUUCUGAUUCCACUCAUUUAGAUUUCAACAUAUUUUAAUUAAUUCAAGUGCUCUCCAUUAUAAUUGAAGCCGCUGCCCCACUCGUGAUUCCAAACUUUAUCUUUUUCCUUUUUAAAAUUAAUGCAAGCAGCCGCUGUCCUUUUUAUUAAUUAAUUAAUUAAUUCGGCCGCCCACAUUUCUUUUCCUAAUGUCUUCGGCUUUCGAUUUUCUUUUGUUUUCUCUUUAUUCUUAAAACUGUGAAAAUAAUAUAUAAAUUAUGAGCGUAUCAAUCAAUAAAUUAAAAAUAAUAAUUUUUAUUUUUAUUAAAUAUAUAUUUUUCAGUAUUAAUCAGUUAUCUAAGUAACUAAAAUCAGUUAAAAAUAAAUAAAUAAAUUAUUCUUAAAAAAAAAACUUUUUAUACCACUCACUAUGCUGGCUGUCAAGGGUAGAAGCUUUGGGGACUGAAGUUGGUAACUUCUACAAGUAGUCUUAAGUUGACUGGCAACAACUAUAUUGGCAUUUAGACAUAAUGUUCGGCAACCAUAUUGGCAUGUUCAAAUGUUCUUCCUAUUGUAUUGGUGUGUCGCUCUAACUGCCUUAUAGAUCCAAAAAUGAUCUAAAUUUACAAUUUAACAUAAAAUAAAAUAAUUGGUAGAAAACAAUUAUGGUUCAUUUACUUAUUAGUAAUUAGAAUAGACUGAACUUAGCAUGAGUUGUAUUGCCGUUAAUAUGUUUAUGUUGUCCUCAAAUCGGAAUGAAUUAUUUUAAGUUACUAAAAUACCCUUGGUUUGUUACUCUAAUUAUUAUUAUUUAAUAUUUAUUUUAGUAUUGUCAUAUUAUUAAAAAGAAAUAAUAAUGAUGAUAAUAUUAUCAUUAUUGUUUGUUAUAUUAUUAUUAUUAAAAAAAUUAUUGUUAAUAACAAUAAUAACUUUAUUUCAAUAAUAAAAAUGAUAAAAUUAAUAAUAACAAUCAUGACAACAACAAUAAUUAUUUAUUAUGCCAAAAAUAACAAUAAUAAUAAGAAUAAUAAUCAUCAUCCUUUUUUCCCAAAGAAGCAUUAUCAUCAUCAUUUCAAAAAAAAAAAAAAAUCAUCAUCAUCAUCAUUUUUGUAGUGGCUGCCUAUCGGCUGCUGCUUUCAUGCAAGAUUGACUUGCGACGCUUCAACUGCUAUUAUUUCUGGCAAUGUCAGGUGUUGUUGUUUCAAUGUGGGGAGAAGCUGUUUCGGUGCGCUAACGAUGGGAAGUGUUGUGGCUGCGAUUCGGGGAGCUACUGGUUCAGUGCACUAAUGACGGCAGGUGUUGCUGCUCAAUGCGAGGUCCAUGGCCAGUUGUCUUGUUUUACAGCCAGCUCUUGUAGGAAAUUCUUCAUCCAAAAUAUUUUUUUGUAACCUUCAAUAAUUGUAAUAUCAUUUGCUUCCGUGGUAGAAAAGACAACUCAUUGCUAAAGUCUAGAUUGUGAUGAGACUGCUCUCCCAGCAAAAGUGAGCAAAUAUCCUAGUAGGAAUUUUUCAAAAUCAAUAUCUCCUGUCAUAUCUACACACGUUUGUCACCACCAAAAUAUAAACAUAUUCUGGAAAUGCCUCUAAGAUAUCUGAGAGUUCAUUUCACUGUUGUCCAGUGCUCUUUGCCGAGAUUGAAGAGAAACCGACUGACUACACUAACUGCAUAGGCAAUAGCUGGUCUUGUACAAAAAAUGGUGUACGCCAAACUGCCAAUUGCCAAACACUGAGAAAUGGGUUUUGCUCUUGAGAUUUUUGGGAACAUGAAGAAUAAAGAUGUAAUUUCUUGGACUACCAUUGUUUCGGGGUAUAUAAAUAGAGGACAAGUCGAUAUAGCUCGACAGUAUUUUGCUCAGAUGCCAGAACGAGAUUAUGUCUUAUGGACUGCCAUGAUUGAUGGGUACCUUCGAGUGAAUAGGUUCAGAGAGGCUUUGACACUUUUCCGGGAGAUGCAAACUUCAAAUAUAAGGCGAGACGAGUUUACCACUGUUAGGAUUCUUACAACUUGUGCGAAUCUGGGGGCACUAGAACUGGGAGAAUGGAUAAAGACUUACAUUGAAAAAAAAAAGUCAACAAUGAUAUAUUUGUGGGGAUUGCUUUGAUAGACAUGUACUGUAAAUGCGGAGAUGUUGAGAAAGCUCAAAGGGUAUUCUGGAAGAUGCUUCGAAAGGACAAAUUCACAUGGACGGCCAUGAUUGUUGGCCUUGCCAUCAGUGGCCAUGGUGAUACAGCUCUUGAUAUGUUUUCCCAAAUGCUUAGGGCUUCGAUCAGACUAGAUGAGGUAACUUAUGUUGGUGUUCUGUCUGCCUGUACUCACAAUGGUAACGAAAAUUUUGUGAUAAAUAGAUGCAACUUAAGGUGAGAAUUGGAGGAAACGAAAUAGACUGAAGUUGUUCAAUCAUCGGUGGUUGCUAUAUGAUUUUAAGUUGUUCAAUCAUCGGUCGUCUCUAUUUGGUUUUCUCCAAUAUCUCAUCUCCAGUUUUGACUCAGAUUCUGUCUUACCGCUAGUAAUUACAUAGACUUGCUGCCAAAGGUAAGAAUGGGAAUAAAUUAAAUAGAUUAUGUCGAUAACGAAAUAGAUUUACUAUUGCUAUGUGCAUUCUAUUUGGUUCCUGCAAAAUAUUUUCUCCUGCCUAAAAUUUUUUGAAUAAGUAAGUUUUUACCUUACGCAAGAAUUGUGCUAAGAGUAAUUCCAGUCUCUCUAUGUUUCAAUGAAGACGUAAAACUUGUGUUUUAGAGCACCAAUGUUAUGCUUCUUACAAUUGGAUUUUAAUUUACUUCGUAAAACUUUUGUCAAAAUGUACUACGGGUGUAUUUGAAAAUGAGGUACUGUAGCUUUUAAGCUACAGCUGCUAUGGAAAAAAAAAACUAACUAUGAAAUAAAAGUUAAUAAUAUAUAGUAAAUAUAAAUUUUAAAUAAUAAUUUUGAUAAAAUUAUUAAAGAUAUAAUAGUUUUUUUAUUAUACAAGUGAAAAAUUAUAUAAACAUAGUUUUCAAGUUACAGCAGCUAGUGUUUACCAAACACUUUAGUACUGUACUUUUUAAGUUACAGCUGCCCAACAUCAAUCUCAAACGCACCUUAAGGAGUAGUGCGCCAAACACCAACUUUAUUACAGAGAGGACUUUGGUUAAACUUUAAGAAAAACACCGAUGGUUGUCGAAGCCAACAAAUAUAAAUUCCUACUCUAAAUAAAUUGUAUAUAGUGAUUGAGCAGGGUCGUGUCCACAGAAAUCGGUAAUUAUUUAAAUCCUUUUAAAACGUAAAACAUAAAAUGGGGGUUUUGUUGACAAUAAUAAAAAUCAAAUUAAAAUAAUAAGAAUGCAAAUUAAAGUUGUAAUUCAAAUUAGAGAAAGCUCUGGUUGAAGGAAUUAACUCAGCUUGAUUCGACUACUGAUCAUUGAUUCAAAUAUAGAUUAUUAUUACUCAUGAAUAGACCGGUUAUAGCUACUGAGACCCUCUAAUAGCCAAUCUCUCCUUAACUAGUCGAUAACCAAGGUACGACCGUUGGUUAUUUCCCUAAUCAAUAGACAACCCUAGAUACGAUCAUAGGAUUUAAUCAAUUGACAGCCUGAAAAACCAGAGAGACCCAAAUCCUAAUCAACACAUAUGAUGAUUCAUUUAAAUUAGAUUGUUUAUUCUCACAACACAACUCUCUGCUAUGUUAUUUGUCACAAACAUUAAAUUCUUCAUACGAUGAAUCCUUUAAUUGACAAUAGAUUAAGUUGAUAAUUAAAUAGUGGCCAAUUACCUAAUUAACAAACAUAAUCAUGAAAAUAAUUCAGAGAAUAAACAAAUACCCAAAAAUUAAUAAAACAAUUAAAGCACAAGAAAAAUCUCACAGUAGUGAUGAAUCAAAGCUUCAUUAACCUUCAACCAGAAAAAUAGGUUUAGUUCCUCAUAGAGAGAAGAGAAAAAUUAGAUCUAGGGUUUCUUUCUUUUUCUCCAAUCCAAAUCUCCCAUUUUCAAAAUAGAUUCCUCCCUUAAAUACUCUCUCUCUCUUCUCCUCUAGAAUUCUAUUUAAAAUAAAAUACUAGUAUCUGAAAUAUUAAAUUCGUAAUUACAAAAAUAACCAAAAAUACAAAACACGUUAAACUAAAAACUGCAGGUCCGCAGUUGACAGCACGCGCCCACGCCUUAUCAACAAAGUUCUUCUGCCGCUCAUAAUUUCUCCAAGAGAACAAUCAUCCUUAAACAUCAUCUUGUAACUCAAUUUUAUCACCAAUAAAUAGAAUUGCACCUACAAAAGUAAAUCACAAGUAAAUCACUAUUAUUAAGUGCAAAACAUCGAUAUUAAGGGAAGUAAACAAUGCAAAACUAGUGCAUAAAUUGCACUCUAACAAACACUCAAAGGAAGAGUUAUAAAUUAUUAUAGAAAUAUUUCACAUAAAUAAAAGCCAUUCCACAAUGCGAAGAUCGUGCUAUCAUCACCAGAAACCAUCGGGAGCAUUCAGGGUUUCCAUGAAAACGCCAUUUCAUUCCAAGAGUCAAUGGUGAGUAGAAAGUGGUGCAAACGAUAAUCAUUCUUAAUGCUAUAAGUUUUUGCUAAAUUAUGUCUUACCCAAAAUGAUGAUUUAAUUUCCAUUCUCAAUUAAUUUUCAAGUUUCAACACUUUUCUUUGUAGCAUGACAUUGGAAAGAUCUUGUACUACUAAAAGCUAGCACCACACGUUAAUUAUUGUUAAGUUCUUUUUCAACGUGAAAUAAAGGAAGUAGUCCUUCGUUAAAACCAUUAUAGCCAAAUUUCAUGUAAUUGGACACUUACAGACUUUCAUUUCAAGCUGGAAUUUGGUCCAACGUUUCAAAGUUGACCCAACUAAUUGUCUGAUCAAGUCCUACACAACUAAGACCCUCAAUGAAUGAGGGUGAGACUGCUAAAAAUUACGACAGUUGAUAUUAUUAUUAUUAUUUUGGGAUAAAUCCUUACCAAGGUGAGUGAGGAGAUUUUAUCAAAAUAAAAAUAAAAUAUAACAAGAAAACUAGCUAAAUUAAAAUAUUACAAAAGCUAGAUGAACUGAAAGGCAGCCUAAAAACAACCUUAUGCAAAAGAGAAGCAACAUGCUAGUAUUCCAAGCUUCUUGUUAUAAAAGUGUAGAAUGAAGUAGGUGACGUAGUUUUAAGUUACACCUCCAUGCCCAAUCACAAUAUCAAAUAAUGCUUAAAGUAGUUAUAUUAACUCUUAAAUUUAUAAAUAAUUAAAUUUUUAAAAGUAUGGAUUUAUAUUAAAAAAUUUCUAUAUAAAUAAAUAAUAUAUGCAUUUUUACAACAUAGUCUUUAAAUUUAAACUUUUCUAGAAAAAUCUUCUGGAUAUCUUUUCUAUUAAAAAAGAGUUUCUCAAAAUUUAUAAAAGUAACUUAAAGUUUUGUCUUCCCUUUUCUUUUAGCUUAUACAUAUGUGUGUGUAUUCUUUUAUAGCAAUAACUAACGUUAUUUAUUUUUAAAUCAUAAAAAAAUUAUGAAAAAAAAAAUGUACCAAAUUUAAUUGGACACAGCACAAUGCACAUGCAUAGAACACAUUCUGAAAAGCCAUGCUAUUCGGAAAUUGACGAAUGGAAAGUGAAGAGGCAGCAGUCAAUGCCAUUUCGGCUUGGCCCAAAAUUUCACCAGUUUGUUAAUCAGUGUUCUGCAGCUCUUGCUGCUUUCCUAGAGAUUCUGCAUCUUUUGCAAUUUGAUUGAUUAAAAAAAAAAAAUUAGUGGCCAUUUGGAAUGGAGGAGAGAUUUGUGUGAAUGGUAUAGGUGAAAAAUUGGAUGAAAAUAAACAGGCAACCGUCCGUAUAAAACAACAAUAACAAUAUACAAAAAGAUAAGUAAUUCACGAAAGGAAAUUUACGGUUGUUUCUAAAAAACAUACACAUUAAUUUCACUUAUACUCUAAGAUUUGCCAUCAUGACUGGACUUGUGAGGAAUUUGGAAACAUGUAUGAUGUAGAAAUGCUGAAGUAGCUUGAACCAGAUGGUGAAAUCGUCUAGCGGUCAGCGGGACAUGAAGCUAUAGGGGUUGUUAGUUGUGUUUUGGAUAUUUACAGACAUGCUGAGUUUGAGUUUAUAUCUUAACUUAAAAUUUGUAGUUUUCACUUGAAAAGAUUCAGUUAAAAAUUGAUUGGUGGAAUUGUUAAAAAGUCUAAAUUUUUAGUUCAAACCUAUUGCAUAUUUAAGAACAUCUCAAAUGAAUUGCUUACUGCUAUCGUCGUCAUCAUUGCCCAUAUAAUAAUAAUAAUUAUUAUUAUUAUGCCUUUAUAAUUAUUAGUAUCGCUGUUAUUAUUUUUAUGGGUAAAUGGUUUUUCUAUCCUGGCAAUUUAAGCCAAUUACCUAACUAAUCCAUGUAAGUUUAAAAAUGUUUCAAAAGAUCUUUAUUUUAUAUAUGUUUCCACUAAAAUUUAUUUAAUUAUUCUUUAUUUUUCAAUUAUUGCAUGUUCGAUUUUUUUGAGUUCUAAGCUAUAUCAAUAGAAAUGUUAUCUUAUCCAUAAAAAGUUAGAUCCAACAAUUAUGAAAAUUACUAUGGAGCUGCUUUGAAUAAUUUUUAAAAAAUACCACAAGUAAAUAAUAAUUAGUUUAAAUAGUGGAGACUAAAAAGCAUUCACCCUUAUUCUUUAUCUGUUAUUUGUUUUUUUUUUCCGUUAAUGCACAUGUUAUACAUUUGAAACAUUCCGUUAAUUGCCAAUUAUGUAAGCGAGAUAGUAAUUUAAUUUUUUUUUUAAAAAAGUGAAAAUUAAUCCUAUGCAAUGUGAAUAAAUUUCUUUCCAUUUUCCUUCUCUCUUUUUAUUUGAUAAUUAAGUUUCAACCUAUGUACCCAAAAUUUCUGCAACAGGUAAAAAACAUAAAAAUAUAUGAUUGUUAAUGUAAACACGCGGAAGUUCAUCAUUUCAAUGUUCAGUAUUUCCAAUUUUGGCAUACGAAUAUAUUCCACUCAGAAAGCCAAAUAUUAAAAUUCUGAUUUUAAUUCAUUCAUCAUAUCUCAUUUCAAUCCCAAAAUAUUCAAGAGGAUCCAAGUUACCAUAAGACUUCAGAGGCUCGAGCCUUAGCCAGAGACGGUUAAUUGAUAGACUAUGUGCACUGGAAGCCUGCAAUGCAGACUGAUUGAUUUAUCAGUUUGAAGUGUGCCAGGAAUGAAGAACUGGAAUAUCACCGUCAAGCAAGCACCCAGUGAAGCAAUACCAUGGAAUGCACAAUCCGGCCUUGCUAGGUGACACUGGAGGCUUUUUGAAAAGUGCUUCAUGCUCACUUGCACAGAUUGAGCAUCCCCUCUGGAUAUUGCCCUCUCUGAUCGAGUCUGAGCACUCAAAUUUCGGUCCUCAGAUGGAGCUACAGCUUUCUCUCCAAUAACCAACAAUUUUCUAAACUCAGCACCUAGUGUGAUCAGAGUUGUUGAUAUUUGUAAAUGGAGAUCCCCAUAUUUGCAAAUGGAGACAUUUAACAAAUCACCAACAUGCUUCAUCCGGUCUACGAAAUUCUGCAGCUGAUUCAAAUCCGGAACCUGAACCAGAGUCGAAGGUAAAUCUUGAGCCAUAUCUAAAGCAGUUUGAAGUUCAAGUACUUGAGCCCUUGACAGUGGUUUUGAAAUUGGAACAUCUUGAAUUACUGCAGACUUGUACCCUUUGGUUUCAAAGGUAAGGAAAGGCAUUGCUUGAGUACAAUUUGGAGGCAGCUUCUUCACCAAUUUUAUUUGGAGGCGAUUGGCAGUGGAUCCAGCUGCACCAAUUUCAGAGCAAAUACUGACACUACUUCAAACAGCACACUGAAGAAGCACUAUGUCUAUGGCAAAGGCAAUGCAGUCCUCAUUUUGGCUUGAGAUGCGGUAAUCAUCGAAGAGAGUUUCCUUAUGAAACUGGGCAACACAUUGAAUCCCUUCACCACUGAGAAGGUUGUGGAGGAAGUACGCUUUCUCUCUAGUGAGGAAGAGGUGGCAUACCUUCCCCAUUUUGUCUAGGGCAGUUAGGAAUCUUUUUUCUAAGAGAUUUACUCCAUUCUCUGUGAGAAAUGCUUUGAACUUCAUCCCUCUGUCUCUAUCCUCACUUAUCAGUAAAACAGUUGAAAGUGAUACAAGGAGAGAAAAGGAGAGUACUAAGAUAUAUAGACAAGAAAAACAUUAGGUGUCGAUCUUACAUGUUAAUACUUCAAACAGUAUCCUAGAAAGCUAAAAACUGCAGAAUGGCUUGAAAUUUGAAAAGAACACAUGCUUUUCCUCCUUAACUUGAGAAAAUGUUUAACAUAGCGCGCCUUACAGAAGCAAGCAAUUAGAACUUUGCACAAAAACAUUCAAGAAGACCAAUAUUUCAACUAUUUUACUGAUGAAAAUCUCAAAGCACAAAUGGCAUUGCAUUUUGUCCUCAACUGUAAUAUUUCUUGAUGAAAAUCAGUACAGGUCCCUCAUUUGUUAUGGAAAGCUUUCUUGUAGUCUGACCGGUUAAUUCACGGGUCUAUAAUCAUCUUGCAAAGUUACGGACAUUUCUUUCGAUUUAAAGUCUUUGCAUCACCACCUCAUCACACACCAAGCCAAUAUUCUGUCUACCUCUACAACAAAAAGUUUUAAGUAAACGAUCCUAAUGCACGCAGCCAAAUAAAAUGCAGUAAGAAUAUUCAACUUAAAAAUCUGAAAGUCAUCUUGGUGAAUUACCUUCUUAGGGGAAGUUCCAUGAUUUACUAUACUAGACAGAACUGAGCAAAAGCUUCCAUUCGACAGAUUUUGACAAUAAUGAUGCCAACAGAUCCUCAUUAAAUCCAUUAAAACUCCUAAGGUUCAUUGUUCAUGGAUGUUUACAGAGUUUUGGUCAUCAAAUAGCUCAGACCACAAUCCCAAACAAAAGACGAGUGAAAGUUAGAUAACGAGCAGCUAAUUGUAAAUUCUAACUUAACUCUUCAUCUCCAUUGUAAAAAGGAAACAAAAUGGAGACGCGCAAAAUGAAUAAGGAGAACAUUUGAACUCAAAUGAAAUGAGGGCGCGAAAGCAAACAAAUGGCAUGCACAAACAAACCAAGCCUCAAUCAAAAACUAAUUGACCAUUAAAAAAAAUAAAAAUUGGUCAGAGAAUGAACUCCAAAUUCGGGAGUGAAGCAAGAAGCUUUCACUAUUUCAGAAGCUCCUGUACAAAUUAAUAAGUUAUGCUCUUUGGAGACAAUCCUAAAUUCCAAGAGAAACAGAGCUCAAAAAAAUUUUGCAAUUAUGAGCAAAGGAAGUGAAGCACAGCAUUCUACCACACACAGGAAUUGUAUAACAUGAGAUCGAUAUAUCGAAUUGGAAGAACUCAAUUCUAAUUUGUGUCAAAAAUCAAAAUUAGAAGAUUUCAUAUUUCGACAGGAACAAGCAACAGGGGAGGUUCAAAAUUUCAGCCAUAACAUGCUAAAAUUGCUACAUUUAACGGUUUAUUUUCAUGGAUUUUCUCCGGAAACAAACAGAAAAUUACGGUUUAGAGAGCUGACUGACCCUUUGGCUUUUAGAAUUGAGAAGAUCGCGCGCCAAAUUGGAAGAGGGGAAGUGAAAGUGCGAGUUUUAAACUUUUAAUAUGGGUAUUAGAUAAGGAAAUUUCAUUAGGUUGCGAGGGUAAAAAAGGAAAGAGAUAUCAUUAUUUUAUUAUCGAUAAUUAUUAACUUUUUUUUCCCCAAAAAAAAGAACAAGCAAGGAUAUUUUAUUGUCAUUUGCAACCUUUAAUUUUUUUAAAUGCUAUUAGAAACACAAGACAACAAAGAAAUGCUUAUUUUUUCCAAAAAUUAAAAUCAAUUGUUUAACUUGUUAUUUCAUAAUCCAACUCCACCACUAAGUUAAAGAAAAUUGUUUUAAAAUUACUCGAGUCAUAUCCUAUGGACCAACAAAAUACUUAUUUUUGUUUUUAUUUAUUUUUGCAGGAAAUUAAUAACUUAAAAAUACUGAAAGCUAUUGUAAAAAUUUUUAUUGUUUUUAUUUUUACUGGAAAUUAAUAACUUAAAAAUAUUGAAAGCUAUUGUAAAAAUUUUUAUUAUCAACCUCAUAAUUUUUUUUUUUUUUGGGGGGAGGAGAAUUCAAACAUUUUUUUAAAAAAUUUCCAAGAAUUCUUGACACCCAUCUUAAUUAAAAGCUAUAUUUUUAUUCAAGAGUCAUGCUAUUCAUUCACUCACAGACCAAAGGCUUUCCGCAGCAAUAUUAUUAUUUAAAUUACAACAAAGGGGAAAUCGAAUACGUCAUACAGAAACUUAAAGCUCAAUCUACAAAAUCUAGAGCUCUGAGCUACAUAAAUUACACUUGAUGAUCCUCUACAAGAUGAAGCUUGUUCAAUAUCUCGUCCAAAGCUUGCAAAGUAACCUUGUAACGAUCUUGAGAUUGCCGGCCUUCCUCAACGACCUGCACGAUGCGUUUGUACAAUCAUCAUACCUGUGCACCGGAUUUUUAAUAUCAAUGGCACUGCAGCUGUGAUCAAGAACAUACGAGUGUUUAACAUCUUUUCUCCAUCGAGAAAGAAUGUAGUGAGAUGGGAUCUCCUGCAUGCCACUCUGGUUUAGAACACAAAGAAUGUGCCUGCAUAAAUAUCCCCUGAAAUUGAACAACCCACAAACACAAAGCACCUCCAAGUCGGAGGCAUUGUACAAAACAUCGAAAGCCCUUGAAUCCUUCUUGUUGCCACCAACCUCGAAUUCUUCCUUCACUAUGUAUGUUAUAGGUCCAUCAGAACUAAUAUGUUUUGUGCUAUAGCAAGAGUACAUAGCCUCCACCUCCGUCUGAAACUUCCUUAACAUUUCAUUUGUGUACAGUUUUGAGAGUUGAAAUUCAUAGUAACAUCUUGGUUUCCGGAUACAACUUGAAUUUCUUGAAUCCAUAUCUGCCAAGGCUUCCAGUUGAUAAUUCGCCUGCAGUGCUUGAUCAUACUUGUCUAAGAAUUCUUUCAAAGGAGUAUUCUUAUCAAGAUAUCCUUCAAAGUAUGAAGUAGAAACCUCAUUCUGCAGGAAUGAAAACACUCCUGAUAAAAAUGCUUCCUUCAAAUAAACAGGAGCCCACCCUUUACGAUCUUCAUAUAAAGUUUGAAUCCAUCCAUGAUCCUUCAUUCCAUGACGUUGAAUCGUGUCCUCCCAAGCUGUCUCAAAUUCCUCAGGCCUAAGAGAGUGAUAAAUUGCCCUAUGCAAUGCAGCUCUAAUAGCUUCAUAUUCAAAAUGUCCUUGGAGAUUCUCUGGAAUUUUUUGCGUGACACAUGACAAUGAAAAACAAUGAUAAGCUCUUGGGAAAACAUCGCCGACAGCAGUUUGCAAGAUUCUACAUUGGUCAGUGAUGAUUGUUUGUGGAAAGCGUCCUAACAUACAUGUAAGCCACACCCUAAACAACCAUGUAUAUGAUUCUAUAGUCUCACUGGCAAGUAAACCACAGCCCAACAGCACUGAUUGUCCAUGAUGAUUCACCCCAAUGAACGAAACCAGCGGUACAUCAUAUCUUUCUGCCAAGCAUGUAGUAUCAAUUAAGACUACAUCACCAAAGUACCUAUAGGCAACUCUUGACCUGGUAUCAGUCCAGAAGAGGUUUCUCAGGCAUACCUUUUCAUUUAGAUCCACCACAUUAAAAAAGUUUGGAUGUGUCAACUGCAAACGACAAAAGAAACUCUGGACAGCUUGUGCAUCUCCUGGUUUAAGCUUCAAUUGAUUUGAGCUAUUAACAUCAUUUCCAAAUACUCCAUUGGCAUCUACAUUACCAUUUCCCUCGGCAUCAAUGAUAAGAGUUCGAAACAGUAAUUUUUUGAACUUCUUGAGCACCAUCUAAGAGCAAUGUUCUUUUGGUUCCAAUACCCAUGUGCUUAUGAGACUUGUAAAACUUCCCGCUUCUUGGGCUUAACAAGUGGUUAUGCUCAAGCUCGACUUCAAUGAUUCUCCAUCUUUUGGUUUCCAUCAACCUAAACUUUAUCAUUGCUGGACAGCCAGUUCUUGUUUCUGGUCUUGGGUGGUUUGCCUCGCUUUUCUUCUUGAAGCCUGCAUUACUACAGCUGAGCUUUCCUCUAUACUUUUCUCUACUCUUUCGGUACCAUGUAUUGCUAACUCUAACACCAAAACCCUGUUCCUUGGCAUAGCAAUUAUAAAAGUAAUAUACGUCAUCAUACGUCUCAAACUCCAUUCCAACAGCAGGAGGCAAUGGAUUUUGGAUUAUCCCAGUUUGUCCAACAUAUUCAGUCAUCGCACAAUCUCCUACGACCUCAAAAUCAUCAGCUUCAUCAUCACCUACUGGUUUAGUAUUCAGAGAAACUUCAUCCACCUACAAUAGAUGUUUAAUGAAGUGCGCUUUAAGGAGAAAAAGCAAAAUCAGUUCAAGGAAUGAUAAUAUAGCCAUACAGUUACUUUCAUAAAGCUGCGUAUUUCAUCAAUACUUUAACAACAUACAACUGCCUGAGAACAUAUAGACAUGUCAUAGACGCUUGAAUUAAGUAUUGGUACAAAUUAGCACACAUCAUGUGGGACAAAAUUUCAGUCACUAAACCCAAUGCCCUUUUUUUUCACAUCAUACCAAGGAACGGAUUAAACCCAAUACCUUCUUUUACACCAUACCAAAGAACAGAUUAAAUCAUCAAUGAAAAUUAAUCACAUAAUAAUUUAACUAGACAAUUGAAGAGCUUGAAACAGCACAAAACUUGAAUCUGAUUAUGAUAAUUGUUGAGUCCUGGUAUCGACAGCUUUCCCUCAAUGAUAAGACAAUGAACAUAAACUUCACACAAAAAAAUUAUUUAAACUGACAGCCCAUGAUAUAAAUCAAUCAAAAUUAACUCCUUUUACAAAUUACAUCUUGUAUUCAUUUACAUCGAAACACAAAAAGGAAGCAGGAGCCAGAAAAAAACAACAGCAGAGAAACUUAUUUCCAUAAGGUUUACGAAAUAAGGAAUUUAUUAAGACACAAAAUUUGAGGUCACCAAUAAGAAUUUGGUUCUCAUUCUCUUUUUCUUCAUUUUUCACUUAUUGAUGGAGUUAGCGUACAAUCCUAAAUGAUAAAACCCCAUCUCCAUCUUUUUCAACUAGAGCUAAAGCAAAGCUUUUUAAGAUGUUUUUCCCUAAAAAACUCAAUCGUACAAUGUUUUUCAAUAUUAAAUACACAACUCAAUCUUCUCCUAACUAACUCUAAUAAUCUCUUAACUAAGGAAGAUUAAGCUCCACUUGUAAGCUAAAACAAGUUUCUUAAAUCAAGCCCCAAUGCUCUAUACUAUUCAACAAGGCCUCAUAAAUGAUAAAACUACCUCUACAAAGAUACCCAUUUUAAUUUCGCAAACUAAAAUCAAACUCCUGAAACGUAACGAGCAUUAAAACAAACAAGUCCGAACAAGAACUGAAAAAUGAUACGUAAACCCGUUUCGACAAACAGUUUCCAAUCAAUGAGCAAAAAAGUUAAUGGAAAACAUGAAAUUCAAACGAAACAUACCUUAGGUUGAUAAAUUAGUAGGGCAAAAGAAAUUUUAGCGAGAUAUGGGAUCAGGGAUUUUGCCACGGUGAUGUUAAUUGCGACAUUCGGGUGGCUCAGCAGCCUUCGAGGCUGAAACUUUGAUUGACCAAAAGCUUCCCGUUCGUUGAUUCUCUAAUUGCAGAAACGAAACUGGCAGUGUACAGAAGAAGUACGCUGAUUUGAUAAUUCUGUGAAAAUCAUUGUUUUUUUUUCAGAUUUUUAAUGUGUUCGAUAAAAUAUCAAAAUCUCAAAAACUUUUGUCUUUCAUUUUGGGGGGGAAAAACCCAUUGAGAUCCUUAUUUUUUUUUCUUAUAUAAUCUGGGUUAAUAAUUUGCAAAGUCUAUUACUUUGCACCCAUGCAUGCUGCGUUUCAAUUUACAAAAUUGUACGUGAGUGCAUCGAGCUAAAAUUUGUAAAAAGAAAAUAAUAAUAACAUGUUAAAAAUGUGAUUAUUAUGAAGAAAUUUUAAUUUAGUUAAAUAGGUGACGAUGGAUAGGUAUAAAAUCUGAGAUCUUUUAUGAGAUUAAUAAAUAUGUUGAGUUUGGAUUAGUUCAAUUUUGCAUAAUACAGAAUAAACACAACCUACUAAUCUAAGUUACCAUCUUUUCCCGUCAUCAGUAGGGAUGGCAAUGGGCACCGCCCGCAGCGGGUUUGCCAUUACCAAAUUCAAACCCGCACAAAAUUUAAAUUACCAAACCCACCCGCAACCCGCAGCGGGUUUUAAUUUUUUUAUAAAAACCCACCCGCAGCGGGUUUUAACAAUUACCAAACCCGCAAUGGUAUCCGGCGGAUUUUUUGCGGGUUUCCGUAUUUAAAAUCACAAAUGUUUAAUAUAUAAAUUUAUAAUAAUAACCUCAAAUUCCAUAUAACAUACUCAAUUUUAUAUUUAAAUAAUGUAAAUGAAAAAUUAAAAUUUCCACAUCAAUUCAACACAAAUUCUCAAAUUUAAGUAUAAAUUACACAAAUCCAUUUAAAAAACACAAACUAGUAUCUAAAAAUAAUAAUUACAUUUCAUAUUAUCAUUUAAAACAAGCUCCAAGAGAAGAUAUUCAUUUCAUUCACCACCAUAAGCACCCAUCCAACACAAUGCCUAUAAUAAUAAUUAAGAUUAAUAUUUUCAAAUACUAAUUCGAAGGAAAAUGCCUCUAGUUUUCUUUAGAUUAUGACUUUAGAAUAGGAGAUAGGUCACAUACACACAUACACAACUUUGAGCCUUUGGCUAUUUGGUAAUUUGAUUAAUGACAUUAUUUUCUUUAUACAUUUUUAGAUUAAAAUUAAAUUAAAAAUAUUUGGAAAAAAUAUUGCGGGUUUGGUGGAUAUCCAUGCGGGUAUCCACCGGAUAUAAGGUUAAUACCAAACCCACCCGCAUCCAUGUGCGGGUUUUAAUUUAUAAUACUAAAUCCGCCCGCAACGGGCGGGUUUUGGCGGGUGGGUUUGGGCGGGUUUGCGGGUUUGCGGGUACAAUUGCCAUCCCUAGUCAUCAGGUACCUGUUUGAAAAAUAAUUAUAUACAAUUUUAUUUGCGUCUUCUCUCUAAAAAUUUGGGACUCAAAUGUUAUUUCUAAUUGUUAAAAUUACAAAAAUGCCACCUUUCUCUUCAGCUAAAGGAGUGCAAGGUCAUCUGUAUAAUUGAAUCUGCAUCAUCAACAUCAAUUUCUAUUGCCGGUGUUACUGCAUGCUUACAGUUGCUUGACAAAGUGAGCCAGUUUUUUGUUUAUUAAUUUUUUUUCUUGUCGAGACAGUCACAAAGUAUUACUUGUUCCAUAUGAGAAUGAUGUGAAUCAAUUUUUCAAUUAUACAUUCUGUGGUAAUUAUUGUGAAUUUAGUUUCAUUUGUCUUGUCUCCCGCAAAUUAUGAAGAAAAUGCAGACAUACAAACUUACAAUAUGUAUUUGCGUUAGUAUAAAAACAAUUGUUAGAUGAUUAAAGCGAUUUUUUUUUUUACAGCAUUUGAUUGUAUUAGUUAAAAUCAUUUUUUAAGGAUAAAAAUAAGUAGAAAAUUAUUCUCAUGUAGUGUGGAAAUCUUUUCUAAUUUCUUGUUGACUUGUACAUUUAUUUCAGAAUUUCCAUUCAUUAGUUCUACUGUUUUAAUCUUUGACUUAGCUACCGUAGUUGACUUUUUAUAUCAAAGGCUUAAACAGCAUGCAUUUUUGAAUUGACUGAGAAUAAUUUGGUGGACAAAUUACUCUUUAAAUGGCUUAAAGAGUAAUUUAAAUGGCUUAAACAGCAUGCAUUUUCAUGCCCAAGUCACUCGUCACGUCCUUUCAUCGAAACAAAGUGCCCGGUGCAAAUGGUGUGAUGUAAAACACUUUUUUAAAUUGUCAUUUUUUUCCUUUGCUUUUGCUUUAAGUUUCUAAAUGCUCAACGCCAUAAAUCCAUGCAUUCUUAAUUUUCGUUUGCUGUAUUGAUUCCCAACCCUCUAUGUCACAAGGUUUUGAAUGCCAGUAAUUAAGUUAAAUUAAACAUAUUUUAAGUCCUACUUUAAAUUAUUGAAAAAUGUAUUAUGGUUGAACUGAAUUUUAACUAAAAAAUAUAUACAAAAUAAAAGAUUAAUCAUAUCUUUUUAUGAGGAAGGUUCUGACCACAGCCACUUAAAAUUAAUUGAGUGGAAUAUUGCAAAAUAUAUAUAAACCAUGCCAAAACUAGAUGUUUGAGUAAUGAAAACGAGAAUUCAUAUGACUCAGAAAUAUGGUUGCUUUCCUUUUUCUGAAAGGAAAAAAAAAAGGGGGACCAAAAAGGACCAAAAUGAACAAAAAUGGAAGGCGAAGGUAAGCAGACAUGUUAUUUGUUUUACCUAAGAUGCCAGAUGCAACUCCCCAUUGAUGGUGAUCGAACAUUAUGGCCAUUUUCUUAGUAAACAAAAAAUGAAUUUUGAACACUCAACAACGAAAUUUGAGCAGAAGAUCAAGCAAGGGCCUCGAUCUCAAAGAAGAUACUAUGAAACCCUACUUAAUGGUUAAAUAACUGAUACACCUCUCUGCAACCAAGGCUGUAUCGAUAAAUUGGCACUCUUCGAGUGAGGGCUGACUCCAAAAGAAAUUCACAAAGAUGAGCAAGAGUGGGGAGAGAGAUGGAGAGUGAGAGAAGAAUAGAGAAAAGUUAAAAAGAAAUGAUUCAUUCUGGAUUCCUUUUGCACGAAUUAGUUAUGCUAUACAUAUACUCCUCUGUCUUUUGGCCUUUAAAAGAAUACAGCUCAGCAUAACUUUGUAACAGAAAAUAUGACAGCAACAUAAACCAGCAAAAUAUAAAGCUCUAUCAAUUUCACUAUACGACAUAAUCUUUAAACCACACAGGGGGUCUUCUCACUCUUGUGCCGGUAUACCCUUCCUCACGAGCUACUUCUACUUCAACUUGUGAUGAGGCUUCCUUCAUGGGCUGCACACAAUUAGACUCAUCGAUGAGCUGCCCUUCUCGUAAAUAAUCCGGUUGAUCCAGCUGAAUGUGGAAGGUUGUAUCAUCCCCUCCAGCUUCAAAAUUCACCUUGUCCUCAAGGUGAAAAUCGGGAUAAAGUUUACAGAAGGUGUCGAACUCUUCCCAAGUAGAAUCUUCAGGCGAACUGGCCAGCCAUUGAACCAGAAUUUGGCGACAUCUCAUUCCUUGUUUAAGCACGGUUCUAAUAGCGCAAACUGCAGCAGGGAGAUAUAAUGGCUGAUUGUCCACACUAGUUAAUGGCAAGGAAUGGUGAUCAGGUGUAUGAGAACCAAGAAAGGGUUUGAGAAGUGAAAUGUGAAACACUGGAUGGAUCUUGGAACCACUGGGCAAGGCAAGCUUAUAAGCUACAGGGCCAACUCGAGCGAGUACAGGAAAGGGGCCAUAAUACCGUUUAGCUAGCUUUUGACAAGAACGAGAUGCCACUGUAUUUUGGCGGUAUGGCUGAAUCCUCACUAGAACCUGGUCCCCAACAGCAAACUGAGCUUCGCGUCUAUGUGCAUUAACCUUUUGAAUCAUGCGAUGUUGAGCUUGACGCAAAUUCUCUUUCAAGGUACGAAGUAAUGCAUCCCGUUCACUUAAUGCUUCAUCAAGAGCUUGGAUUGAAGUAGAGCCCUUCGAGUAAGGAGGAAUUGCUAGAGGUGGUCGCCCAAAAAGAGCUUGAAAAGGAGACAUUUUGAUGCUGCUGUGAUAAGUAGAAUUGUAGGAAAACUCAGCCCACCCAAGUAGAGAUACCCAUGAGUGUGGUUUGUCUUGGGUGAAAGUGCGAAGAUAUUGCUCCAAGCCGCGAUUGACAACCUCCGAUUGCCCAUCUGUUUGUGGGUGAUAGGCUGUACUGUGUCGAAGGGUAGUGCCACUUAACUCAAAUAACUUCUUCCAAAAAUUGCUCAAGAACACAGGGUCGCGAUCAGAAAUAAUAGAAGUCGAAAACCCAUGAAGCUUUAUUACCAUAUCCACGAAUAAUUUGGCAGUCUUCACUGCUGUAAAUUGAGUGGGAAGGGAUCCGAAGUGUGCUGAUUUCGUAAGGUGAUCAACCACUACUAAUAUCACCGUGAAACCUCGCGAAACUGGAAGGCCAGUAAUGAAAUCCAUAGUGAGUUCGUCCCAAACUAAAGUGGGGAUAGGAAGCGGCUGCAGUGGACCUGCUGGUGCUUGAGUAGAAUAUUUAGUCUGUUGGCACACAAGGCAUUCGGCCACGAAUCGCUCAACGUCCAUACGCAUUUUAGGCCAAAAAAAAUUAGAUGCCAAGCGGACCAGCGUGCGUUUGAUGCCUACAUGCCCUGCAAGUGGAGUAGAGUGGAAUUCAGCCAAUAGAACUGCUUUCAAGGAUGAUGAUGGGCUGAUAUAGUAACGAUUGCGAUAAAAAAGGACCCCAUUAUGCAGCGAAUAAUCCCGUGAAAGAGACCCCACAGCAAACUGCUGAUGAAGAUCAAUCAUUUCCGGAAGUGUGGAAUUCUCUAGUGUUAGAGUUGCUAACAACUCAAACGACGGGCGACUAAGGAGGGGCAAACAAGAAGCAGUCACUGUUGGUGUUACCUCACCAGCCUCGUCAUGAAUUCGUGAUAAGGCGUCGGCUGCAAGAUUGGUACAGCCCGGUUUAUACUCAAUGCGGAAGUGAUAGCCUAGUAAUUUUCUGAUGUAGACUUGCUGAUCCGGAGUUUGAACUACCUGCUGGAGAAGUUCCUUAAUGCUCUUAUGGUCAGUUCGGAUUACAAAAAAUCUACCCAAUAAGUAUUGUCGCCAUUUAUGCACCGCUUCAACAAUAGCGGUUAAUUCCUUGAUGUAGGUAAAAGAAGCCCGAAGUCGAGGACCUAAUUUCUUACUGAAAUAAGAUAUGGGGUGCCCCAAUUGCAUAAGCACAGCCCCGAUACCCACAUUAGAGGCGUCAGUCUCAAGAAUGAAGUCGGAGUCAAAAUCUAGUAGCCGUAACACAGGGGCUUCCACCAUUGCUCUCUUAAGAGCUUCAAAUGCGUCAGCUGCUGCUGGUGUCCACUGGAAGGCAUCUUUACAAAGCAAAUCAGUAAGUGGGGCUGCUAAAGACGCAUAUCUGCGAAUAAACCGCCGAUAAUAACCCGUCAAACCCAAAAAACCUCGAAGUUUUUUAGUAGUAUGAGGAGUUGGCCAACAAACCAUAGCUGCAAUUUUCUGAGGAUCGGCUCACACACCAAAGGCCGAAACAAUGUGGCCCAGGUAAUCGAUAGCGUCUUGGCAAAACAAGCAUUUGGAUAGCUUGACAAAGAACUGGUGAAAAUGAAGGCACCACAAGACUUGCUGAAGGUGACGCAAAUGUUCCUCUGCUGUAGCACUAUAAACCAAAAUGUCAUAAAAAAAAAUAAUCACAAAUUUACGCAAAAAGAAAGCGAAAAUCUGGUUCAUAGUAGCUUGGAAGGUAGAAGGCGCGUUUGUUAACCCAAACGGCAUGACGAGGAACUCGUAAUGGCCCUCAUGAGUGCGAAAAGCCGUUUUAUAAAUGUCUCGGUGGUGCACGCGAAUCUAAUGGUAACCAGCCCGUAAAUCCAACUUGCUAAAGAUUGCUGCCCCGCCUAAUUCAUCGAAUAAUUCGUCGAUAGUUGGAAUGGGGAAUUUAUCUUUAAUGGUGGCGGCAUUCAAAGCCCUGUAAUCAACACAGAAACGAUAGGUCCCAUCUUUUUUUUUUUACCAACAAGACCGGUGACGAAAAUGGACUUUGACUCGGUUGAAUGAUGCCUUGUUCUAACAUUUCACGGAUUAGUUCUUCCAUCUCAUUUUUUUUGGAAAUGGGGGUGGCGAUAUGGGCGCACAUUUAUGGGAGUAGUGUUGGGGAGGAGGUGGAUUCUGUGAUCAAUUGUGCGAUGUGGCGGCAGGGUAGUAGGUGGAAGAAAUAAGUUGCGGUAAGUGUGUAGAAGAUCAACAAAUGGUGUGGUUAAAUGUGGAGGUAAUUCGAAGGAAGAACUCUCGGGAUUGCUUUCCGAUUCCUCCCCGGGUAUAGGUACCUGUUGCAGAGCAUACAAACUAUAAAUAUCAGCACUGUGGACUAGAGAUUGCAACUGAUGAAAGGUGAUUAGGGAGGGAGUAAUGGAUAGUUCGCCGCGAAGAGUCACUGGUGCCCAACAAAAUUCCAUAGAGAGGGCAGAGUAAUCAUGAGAGACACGACCCAAGAGUUGCAGCCAUUGUAUUCCCAACACCACAUCAGGCCCCUCAAUGGGCAGAACAAAGAGGUCCAAAGUGAAGAUUGUUCCCUGCAUCGUGAGAGCAACUUGAGGGCAAACAUAUUUGCACACUAGAAAAUCCCCAUUGCCAAUAUAAACACGGAAAUUUGUUGUUGGUUGUAUCGGUAAGCCCAAACACUCUGCCACUGCUGGUUUGAUAAAGUUGUGGGUACUUCCGCUAUCGAUCAAUACUUGAAAGCUGUGAGAACCAACUUUGCCAACCAAACGGAGUGAGCGGGGAUUGAUUUGACCCGCCAAAGCAUUCAAACUAGAAAUAUCCCCUGUUAUGACCUCUUCGACAGGAUCCAGUGGCAACUCUUGUUCACAAGAAGCAAGUUCAUUAUCAUCAGUACCCAUGAGAAGCAAAAACUUACUGCGACAGCGAUGAUUAGCACUAUAUUUUUUAUCGCAGUUAUAACACAAUCCCUUCUCACGCUUGUCACGUAGCUCUGCUGGAGUAAGGCGGCGAAUCGUUAAGUUGGGUGUGGGUAGAAGUGGUGGUAAUGUGUUUGGUUUCGGGGGUGGGGAAGUAUUGUGGGAGUGAGAUAUGGUUUGGGCCAUACCAGUGGAAUGGUGCGGCUGGGUUGAAGCAAUGGGAUAUGUGUUAAGCUGAAAUUUGGGUGACGGGAAGGUUGUGGUAUGAGUAGGUGACAUGGUGUUCCAUUUUGGUAAAAAACGGUGUCCUUGUUUGGCUUCCUCAGCAUGGGCUUCAUAGGCACGAGCUAGUGCAAAUGCUUCCAUUAGAGAAGAAGGCCGAGCAAAAAGCAGCUCACGACGAAUAUCGGAUUUCAAUCCCGUGAUAAAAAAACUUAUCAGAAGCGGUUCUGAAAUUCCAGUCACGUGAUUCAUUAAAUCUUCAAAAGAGGUCUGAAAUUCUGCCACUGUUGUAGUUUGGGAUAACUUAGACAAAUUUCCUUGAGGAUCUUCAUAGAGGGAGGCACCAAAACGAUGUUUAAGGUUCUGCAAAAAUUCUUUCCAUGUUGUAAGCAAGCUGUUCAUUUUCAUCCAUUGAUACCACGCUGCCGCGCGUCCUUCCAUAUGAAAAGAAACAAUUCGCAAACGAAGAGUUUUUGGUGUACCGUGGAAAUCAAAGAACUCCUCAAUUCGAAAAACCCACCCGUUUGGGUCAGAUCCAUCAAACUUAGGAACCUCCAUCUUCAUAGAACGGAGCACAGGGGACAGCUCAAUACCACUGGAAUUUACCUCAGUCGAAGAAGAGGUUAGGUGUGGUGGAUUAGGAACCCGACCCGAGUGAUUGGAAGACUCAUGGAUCUGUGAACGCAAAUCAUCAAGGCGAGAAUCCACCGUGGCCAUAUACUGUUGCAGCGUUUGAUGUAAGGACAAUGUUUGGCUCUCGAACUGUUCUUGGAUCGUCUUUAAAAGGUCAGAAUCCGUCAUAACGAUAGCAAUGAAAGCACCACUGAUACACCUCUCUGCAACCAAGGCUGUAUCGAUAAAUUGGCACUCUUAGAGUGAGGGCUGACUCCAAAAGAAAUUCACAAAGAUGAGCAAGAGUGGGGAGAGAGAUGGAGAGUGAGGGAAGAAUAGAGAAAAGUUAAAAAAAAAUGAUUCAUUCUGGAUUCCUUUUGCACGAAUUAGUUAUGCUAUACAUAUACUCCUCUGUCUUUUGGCCUUUAAAAGAAUACAGCUCAGCAUAACUUUGUAACAGAAAAUAUGACAGCAACAUAAACCAGUAAAAUAUAAAGCUCUAUCAAUUUCACUAUAUGACAUAAUCUUUAAACCACCCAGGGGGUCUUCUCACUCUUGUAUCGGUAUACCCUUCCUCACGAGCUACUUCGACUUCAACUUGUGAUGAGGCUUCCUUCAUGGGCUGCACACAAUUAGACUCAUCGAUGGGCUGCCCUUCUCGUAAAUAAUCCGGUUGAUCCAGCUGAAUGUGGAAGGUUGUAUCAAUAACUUUCAUUCAGCUUUGGACCUUAUUUCGUGAUACGGAAAGACAAACCUUUCUUGGCCAGCAGUGUCCCAAAUCUGAGCUUUGAUGAUGAUCUUGCCGUUGAUGGUGACAGUUCUGGUUUGGAACUCGACGCCAAUGGUUUAUUUCGAUUCAAAGCAAAACUCAUUCUUGGUGAAUCUCGAAAGAAUCUGAGACUUGCCCACGGCCGAGUCACCGAUCACCACUACCUUGAAUACAAAGUCUAUUUUGUCAGGAAUCAUAUUCUCUCGUUGUUGAUGACGAUGAUCGGUGCCAUCACCACUCAUUUCUUCGUUCAUUCAUUCUAUGUCCAUUGAUCUUUUUGAAUUAUUGAAGACAAGUGGCUCACCGCUUUUAGUAUUGGUAAAAUUCAGAUAAUCUCUAUUCCGAAAUAAUAAUAUUCAAAAUAUAUCUUAAAUCAUUAUAAACCUCAAAUCUAUUUUAAUUUUAUUUAAAAGAUAAAAGAAAAAUAGGUUAUGUUGGUGAUUUUUUAUUAUCUUUUUAAUAAAAAUGGAAUAAAUUGAUGUUUAUAAUUAUUUAAAGUAUUUUAAAGAUUGCUAUUUUAUGAGAGAAUAAUAUUUCACUUUUUUUUAGUGUGAAAGACCGAAAAAGGACAAAGCAAGUUUCCCUAAUUUUUAUUUUAUUUGAAAUUGGUCAUCUCAUAUACUUCACCCUUCAACACUAUAAUUUUUUUUGUUAUAAUUUUAUUAUUUUUUUCUCUUUUACACAUGCAUGUGAAUUACUUUUCUUUAAGCUCCUGAAUAUUUAAGACAAAUCAUGGAAGAGAUGAGAGUAUAACAAGAUGAUCAAAAUAUGUAACAAAAAAAUUUUAGAAGUGAAAAAUAUGUUAGAGUCGAAGUAAAACUCUGAGGUGAUGUUUGAUUUGAAGAAAAUGGAGGAGAGGAAAAGAGUGAAAUGGAGAGUAAAAGAGAGAAAAGGAGAGGAGAGGAGAGUGAAAUUUUUUUCUAAUGUUUGGUUUGUCACAUAAUUAUACAAAGAAAGGAAAUCUCUAAUUUUUUAUUUAGACAAUUUUAACCUUAAUAAGUAUUAAGCUUUCAAUAUUUAUCAUGUGUAUAAUUUAAAAAAAGUAAAUGGUAGAAAGCGGUUUCUGAUUCCGGCCACAUCGCCGGCAAUGGAAGGUACUUAUCAGAACAUCAAGAGCCGGCCAUCAUUCCCUAGCCAUCACUGCUGUCGGAACACUGCCAGAAAGCUACCGAUUGAACCGCGAAAAGUUGUGGAAAUCGCUGCCUCAAAUCGGUGAGUUUCGCCUUUUUCUGGUCACGUCGUCGCCUUGGCUUUGUCCAUCAAGGCUGCCACUUCCAUUUUCAACCAUCCAUAGCCACUAUUAACCGCCAAAUCACCGCCGAUCAGCGGGAUCUGUGGAAGUUAAAAAGUUUCUAAAAUUUUUUAAUUGGAUUUGAACAACAUACAACCAUUUUUUGAUCUUGAUAACGAUGUAGUAAUGUUGAUCGUUGGUCGGCAAGUCGAAUGGUAGUGGCAGUGAGUAACACGCGCCAAUGACAUCGGCGGCGGCGGCGGCACUAUCCGGCAACUGUUAAAAUUAAUAUUUUAUAUUUGUAGAUUAAAUAAAUUUAUUUUAUUAAACUUUUUAAAUCAUUAUUUAAAUUUAAUUAAUUUAAAUUAUCUAUAAUGUUGAAUUGAUAAAAUAAAUUUAUAAAUAGUAAUUAUGUGAUUACAUUAAAUAAGUUAAAAAGUUGAAGGGUUAUUUUUGGAAGAUUUAGUUUCCAACACAAAGGGAAUUUGAAUUCUUCACUUCUUAGUGUGGAAUUCAAAUUCUAUAUUGUAAUGGAUAUUAAAUUCCAAUAGAAAUUAAAUUCUUAUAAGUUAUGUCAAACCAAACAACGGAAAUAAAAAAAAAAGAAUUUAAAUUAUUUUCCUUUCCUCCACCCUCUCCUUCCAACCAAAUACAUCCUGAAAAUAGAGAUAUUGAUUAAUUUAGAAGAGAUGCAAGCAAAAGAUAUUCCACAAAAAAAAAAAAGCAAUAUGUCCCUUUGGAGGGCAAACUUGUCAGUUUUAAAAAAGUACAUGCUUUGGAUUGAUAGUUGUAGGAUAUUUGUUUUGUCACUAUGUAUUAGUUGGAGAAGUCAAGCCUUGUGAAGAAUGUUAUGAAAGAGCAAAGGAUAUUCCUGAUAGCUGAUAGAGCUCUAUUUGAUUAUGUAUCCAGUGAAUGGAUGUGUUGUUGGAAGAUAUUUGAGUGCAUUAGUUCAUAUGUGUCUGUCAAUGUGAUUUUAAUGAUUUUUCCACUUGUUUGUUGUAAAAGAUUAUUGUAAAUUGAAAUGAACUUGAUGUUGUAAUAUUUUCUCCUUAGUAGAAUUUCACCUAGUAUGUAUUCAGUUGUGUUGUCUAUAAUUUUGCAUUUGAAUAAGUUUCACCUAAAAUAUUAGCAUGAGUAGUGGCCCUUGAAACUUUGGUCAAAAUUAUUGUUAUUAUUUCCGACUAGAUGUAAAUUUUUUAUUAAAUCUCGUUAACACAAUUCUUAAUUAAAAGUAUAGGUUAGUGUUGGUGCAAGAUUUGCCACACCAAAUUCUGCCUAGCUGUCAAAAGUGCAAAACAAAUGAAGAGAAAGCACAAAUACAAGACUUGAAUAAGGAUACAACGAAACUUAAAUUCAAGAGAAAAUGAUAGCUAUAUCUCAAGAUUUGAAAAAAUGGCCAUGUAGAUUUUUAAGAUUUCAAUAAGCGACUGAGAUUCAAAUAAUAUCCUUUAAUUCUAUUAACAAAAAACAAAGACUCAAAUAUUUUAUGAUAAAUAAAAAUAUAAUAUUAAAAUAUAUGUGAUAAUAUACACAUUUUAAAUACUUUCAAUCCAAAAAAAUAGUUAUGUUUUACAAUCUAUUAGACAUAUUUUAUUAAAUUAAUAUAAAUUUUCUAUAAAAUAAGAAUAUAAUAUUAAAAUAAAUUUACAAAAAUUUAAAGAAUUUUGAAUGUAAAAUAAUUUUAAUAUAUUAAUACGUGAGUUUUUUUAUUAAUAUAAAAAUUAUUUAACUUUAAGAUUUUUAAAAUCUUUACAAUAAGUAUAACUAUAUUAUUUACAUUUAAAAAUAUUUAAAUAUUAUUAACCUACAAUUAUAUUUGCAUUUGUUAGAAAUUUUUUAAGUCAAAUAUUUUGCACUUCUAUAUUAUUAGAAUUAUUGCACACAAAGAAAGAAACAUAUACCUUUAGAAAUUGUUUUAUUUUAAAAUAGAGAUGAUGAUUAGUAUAAGGAUGAAAAAAAGGAUAAAGAAUAUUAAUGAUUAACGAAAUCUCUAUACAAAUUGAUUUUAGUAGGAAAAGAAUGAGAUGAAUGAAUUCUUUUACAGUUAGAAACAUAGAUGAUGAUUAUUAUAACGAAGAAAAAAGAUAAAGAAUAUUAAUUAUUAAUGGAAUCUCUAUGCAAAUUGAUUUUAGUAGGAAAAAAAUGAGUUAAAUGAUUUAGAGUGCGUUUGGAAUUGAGAUUGGGCAGCCAUAGAUUUUAAGUUACAACACUGAAGUGUUUGGUAAAUACUAGCUGCUGCAGAUUGAAAGUUAUGUUGAUAUGAUUUUUCACAUGUAUCAUAGAAAAUAUAUUACAUCUUUAAUAAUUUUUUUAAAAUUUAUAUUUGCUAUAUAUUAUUAAUUUUUUUAUAGUUAUAAUUUUUUUUCCACAGCAGCUGUAGCUUAAAAGUCACAGCACCUCAAUCUCAAACAAAUCCUUAGACAUUCAUAGUGUGUUUAUUUUUUGGAUUGGUGAAUCAAAAUUAUUGACAACGCUAACUUCAUCUUCAUUGUUCGCAAUCCAACAGCAGCAAUUGUCACAAAUAAUGAUAUCUCCAAUGAUGAUGACAAUUAUUAUUAUUAUUAUUAUUAUUAUUAUUAUUAUUAUUAUUAUUAUUAUUAUUAUUAUUAUUAUUAUUAUUAUUAUUAUUUAUUAAUUAAUUAAUUAAUAUAUUAAUGUUAAUAUUAUUAUUAUUAUUAAGAUUAACAAUAAUUAUUAGUAAUACAAUUUUUUGAAUAAAAAUAAUCACAAUAAUUAAAAUACAAAUGAAUAAUUAUGACAAUAGUUAAUUAAUAUCUUUUUAGUAAUUUGUAAUAAUCUAACUCAUUUUGAUUCUGAUUAUUAUAGUUUAAGUAAAUAAAUUAUUAUGAUUUUUAUUCUCCUUUCCCAUUUUAACUCACUUCGAUUCCAGUCUAUUCCGAUUUCUAUCUAAUAAAUGCACCAUUAGUGCUAAAGUAAUAUUUCAUACAUAGAAAAAUAAAAACUACACCUAAGGUUAAGGGAAAGGACUUCAAAACUCUCUUUUGAUCAUAAUACAUUUUGUCCUAAUUAACUUAAAGAUUUUGAAUCUAAUAUUUUAUAAUAAAUAAAAAUAUAUUCCUAAAAUAAAUAUAAUAUCAAUAUUUAAAAUAUGUUUUAAUAUUUUACAAUCUAUCAUACACAUUUUAUUAUAUUAAAGUAGAUUUUAUAAUAAAUAUAUAAAAAAUUUAGAAAAUUUAGAAUAUUAUAUAAAAUAAUUUUAAUAUAAUGCGUGAGAUAUAUUUUAUUAAUUUAAAAUGUUAUUUUACCUAAAAAAUAUGAUAAAUUAAUAAUUACAUAUUUGAAGCUAUUUCAAAUAUUAAAAAAAUUUAAUAUUAUUAAUCUUUUAGAUAGAUUAAAUUAUUUUUUAUAAGAGAGAUUAAAUUAUUUUAAAAUGCCUUAAUUGUUUUUACUUUUAACGUUACCGGCCUUUCUUUUAUUUUAUUGCAAAUUAAUGCUAACAAGAAAAAGCUAGAUCAUAUUCCACAAAAGUAAAAGUGACAAACACAACCAGCUGGAAUCUUUUAUAAAACUACAAAUUAAAAUGGAUUUUUUUUUUGUUGAUAAAGUACACGUGAAAGUGGAUUCUUUUAUUUUUUUUUAAUGUGUAGACUCUUUUAUUGAGCACAAAUAUAGAGUAGUCGAGACGAUUAGGGUCUUUUAUUAAACUACAAAUUGUAUAGUCUUUUUCAAAUUGUUCAGAUAUUUCUAAAUUGGUGGCCCCUACAAUCCUCGAUAAUUGUACCGAUAUUCACAAGUUGGUGGCCCCUACAAUUAUCAACUGUGCAAGUGCUCAUUCACAAUCUUCCAGGUCAUGCUCUUAAUAAUUGUUUUUUUUUUUUCCUGCAUUCCCUUUCAUGCUCUUAAUAAUUGAAGAGCAUACUUUUCAAAUGUGGAGCCGCGGCUAAUGUCGCUAAUUUAAUUUGGGAUUAAAUCAAGGGACCAUUAUAUUGCAGUGUGCAUUAAUUUUUGUGUUUAUCUAAACUCCUUAAAUUUAAGACAUAUUAUGGCAUAAAUAAGAAUAUAACAAUAGCAAAAGAGUUAGAAAGUGUAGAGAAGAUCUUGCAGAAAUAUAAAUAAUAUCUAUUUUUAAAAUAAUAUCAAUUUUUAAAAUAAUUUUUAAUAUUUUAUGAUCCAUUAGGUAUAUUUUAUUAUAUUAAAGUAAAUUUUAUAAUAAAUAAAAAUAUUCUUAAUUAUGUAAAUCAUAAUUUUUUUAUUAAUUUUAAUUUAAAUUAUGUGAAUAAAAAUUAUUAAUAAUAGCAACACAAAUGAAACAUUAUUAUUAAUAAUAUAGUACAAAAUUAAUAUUUUUUUACAAUAAAAUAUUUAUUAUUAUUAAUUAAAUAAAUAAUUAAUAUUUAUUAAAAUUAAUGUUUAAUAUUAUUAAUUUAAAUAUAAUAUUUAUUUAUUUUUAUUUUAUUAAAUUUAAUAAAAUAAAUAUGUUAUAAUUAUUAUUUUUAAUAAAUAUGAUAUUAUUUAUUUUAUUAAAUAUUAUUUAUUUAUUUUAAUUAUGAGGGUAAAAAGGAAAGAGGGGGGAGUGGAUUUCCACUCCCACCUCCUCCCAUGGGAGUGAGAAUCCCACUCCCCACUCCAAAAUUAGGUGGGAUCCAUGGAGUGGGAAUCCCACUCUCUCCUUAAAAAUGGUAAGUAAACACUAGAAUGUGAGGAAUCCACAUUUUACACUUUCAUUCCAAAAAAUAAACACUACCUAACUAGUUUUUAUUAAAGGCAAGUACAAACUAGUCAAGAAUCGAAUAGUCUUUUUCAAAUUCUUGUUUUAUUAUUUUUCAAAAUUAGUUUUUAGUAAUUACAAUCGGGUCAUUCAUUAAUCAUUAUUCAGAAGUUAGUGUGGGUAAAGGAUAAUUACUAACUGUUUUUCCUUCAAAAGUUAGUGUGGCUCAUGUUUGCAGGUGCGAAUGUGCGAUGCUCUCUUUUUAAAGGCAAUUACAGUGGGUCCCGAAUCAUUACUAAAAUUUGUCUUCCACAGCCCACCGCAGCUUCAGUUAAUCAAACUCCAUCAAUUUUCUUUCUUAACAAAAUUCUAAAGAUGUGUAGCAUUUUUCAGAUCACAUGCGAUGGUGCUUUUUUCAAUCGUUGCUUGGAUUGCUUUCUUGGAAAAGCAGCAUACAUACGUAACCUCCAAGAUAAUCUUGUAGCCUUGCAGACUGAAUUGGGAAAUCUGAUCGCUAAAAAGAACGAUGUGAUGAGGAGGGUUGACAAUGCUGAACGGCAACAAAUGAUAAGGCUGGAAGGAGUGCAAGUGUGGGUUUCGAGAGUAGAAGCUGUUAAAACUGAAGCUGAUCAAUUUAUAAGAGACGGCUCUCGAGAAAUUGAAAAAUUAUGUGUUGGAGGCUACUGUUCCAAGAAUUGCAUGUCAAGCUACAAGUUCGGGAAAAAAGUGGCUAAAAAGCUACGGGAUGUGCGGACUUUAAUCAGUGAAGGAGUUUUUGAGGUGGUGGCUGACAGAGCUCCAGAGUCUGUAGCAGAUGAAAGACCUACUGAGCGAACAGUAGUAGGCUUGCAAUCACAACUUGAACAAGUCUGGAGAUGUCUUGUAGAAGAAUCAGCGGGAAUCAUUGGCCUAUAUGGUAUGGGCGGUGUUGGUAAAACUACACUACUGACCCAUAUCAACAAUAAAUUUCUCGAGAGUCCAACCAACUUUGAUUGUGUGAUUUGGGUUGUAGUUUCAAAAGACCUGCGACUCGAAAAAAUUCAAGAAGAUAUUGGGAAAAAGAUAGGUUUGGUUGGUGAUUCAUGGAAGAGUAAAAGUGUAGAGGAGAAAGCUGUCGACAUCUUCCGGAGUUUAAGAGAGAAGCGAUUUGUAUUGUUGUUAGAUGAUAUAUGGGAGCGGGUUGAUUUAACAAAGGUGGGCGUUACACUUCCCAGACCAAAAAAUACUACCUCAAAAGUCGUAUUCACAACCCGUUUCAUCGAUGUUUGUGGUAGCAUGGAAGUUGACAGGAAGUUUCAAGUAGCAUGCUUAUCAGAAAAGGAUGCUUGGGAACUGUUUCGAGAAAAAGUUGGGGAAGAAACUCUUCAGAGUCAUCAUGAUAUCGUUGAGCUAGCCCAAACUGUGGCCAGAGAGUGUGAUGGUUUGCCACUCGCACUUAUUACUAUUGGUCGAGCUAUGGCCUGCAAAAGGACAGCCGAGGAGUGGAGACACGCAGUUGAAGAGUUAAGGAGAUCAGCUUCUGAGUUUGCAGGUUUGGGAGAAAAGGUGUACUCUCUUUUAAAAUUCAGCUAUGAUAGUUUGCAGAAUGAGACGAUUAAAUCUUGUUUCUUAUAUUGUUGUUUAUAUCCCGAAGAUUAUGGAAUUCUUAAAUGGGACUUGAUUGAUUGUUGGAUUGGCGAGGGAUUUUUGGGGGAAUCUGACAGGUCUGGUGCAGAAAACCAAGGAUAUGACAUUUUGGACACUCUUGUUCGUGCAUGUUUAUUAGAAGAGGUGGAAGAUAGAGUAAAAAUGCAUGACGUUAUUCGUGAUAUGGCUCUAUGGAUAACUUGUGAAAUUGAGAAGGAGAAGAGAAACUUUUUGGUUCGUGCAGGUGCUGGAUUAAAAGAGGCACCGGGUGUUAAAGGAUGGGAAAAUGUGAGAAGAUUGUCAUUGAUGCAAAACCAAAUUGAAACUCUGUCAGAGGUUCCCACAUGCCCUCAUCUCCUCACUUUAUUUCUUGACUUUAAUCAGGAGUUGGAGAUGAUCGCGGAUGGCUUCUUCCAACUUAUGCCUUCUCUCAAAGUUUUGAAGAUGUCAAACUGUUCGAAUUUGAAAUUACCUGUUGGGAUGUCAGAGUUGGGUUCAUCACUAGAACUUCUCGAUAUUUCAGAAAACAGCAUAACAGAGUUACCGGAAGAGUUAAAGAAGUUGGUAAAUCUGAAAUGUUUGAAUUUGAGGUGGACACAGCAUUUAAAUAAAAUUCCACGGCAACUAAUAUCAAAUUCUUCAAGGUUACGUGUGUUGAGAAUGUUCGCUACUGGCCGGUUCAAUUUUCAUGAAGCACCAGAAGACAGCGUUUUAUUUGGUGGGGGUGAAGUUUUGAUACAGGAAUUGCUCGGUUUGAAAUAUUUAGAGGUAUUGGAGUUGACCUUGGGAAGUUAUCAUGCUCUCCAAAUUCUUUUGAGCUCAAAUAAGUUAAAAAGUUGUAUUCGAUCUCUUUACCUCCAGUUGACCGGAGAUACAACGUCAAUUAUUGAUGCUACGGCUUUCGCAGAUCUAAACCACCUCAAUGAAUUAUAUAUUUAUAAAGGUAUUGAGUUGGAAGAAUUGAAGAUUGAUUAUACGGAGAUAGUACGAAAAAGGCGGGAACCUUUUGUUUUCCGUAGCCUUCACUGUGUUACUAUGAUUUCGUGCCGUAAAUUGAAAGAUGUGACAUUCCUCGUUUUUGCUCCAAACCUCAAGUCUCUUCGGCUAUUCGAUUGCGGUGCUAUGGAAGAAAUAAUCAGCGUCGGAAAAAUUGCUGAGACUCCUGAGAUGAUGGGACAUAUAAGCCCUUUUGAAAAUCUCCAAAUGCUUCAUCUAUCGUUAUUGCGAAAUUUUAAGAGCAUCUACUGGAAGCCAUUGCCUUUCGCUCAUCUAAAAGAAAUGAUGGUGCAUCGGUGCGAUCAGCUUGAAAAGCUUCCACUCGAUUCCAACAGUGCAAAGGAGCGUAAAUUUGUUAUUCGUGGAGACACACAGUGGUGGAACCGACUUCAAUGGGAGGAUGAAGCCACUCAAAUUGCUUUUCGUUCCUGUUUCCAACCUCAGUCCUGAGCGGUGGUCGCAAAAUUUGAUUUCUGGUGAGUGCGGUUGUCUUUUAAAAGAAGAAUUUAAAAGAAAUUUAUUCUUGUCGUUUUCUUCUCUGUUUUUAUUUCAGUUUCUUUCUCUCUCUCUCUCUUUUUGUCUUCUGCAAAUCACAAUUAAAUGUUGAAUUAAUGGAAUUAAUGCUUCAUAAAUUUGCCGGCACUGCCAUUACUUUUUUUUUUUUAAUACAAAUUGAUACUUUAUUUAUAUCUUCUUAGCGAUAUAAUUUCCUGUCAAUUGACGAACGAGAAGAACAUAUGACUUAAACCAAUUCUCGCAUAAACUUGCUGUAAAAAGAUAUAAUCUCACUGAAAUGCACACGUCUAGAAUGAAUAGAAUUAAAACAGGGAAAAUAUUAGGUAUAUUAGCCUUCUUUACUGAAAAUCAAAUGACAAUAAAUUUUUUGAAGUUUUGAUUUUCUAUGGUCAAUUCCACCUUUUGCAAUUUCUUCUGUUCUAACAAAAACCAAUUUCUUUGUUCAAGUAUUUUCGUUUGGGUAUUAAUAAUUCUCCACCGAAAGAGUGAACUCUUGGAUGCUGCUCUUUUGUUCUCUGUUUUUAUUUCCCCUUUUUUCUUUUGGUCUUCUGCAAAUCACAAUCAAAUGUUGAAUUUGUUGAAAAAAUAGCAUAACAUGCUAUUUUGAGAGCACAUUUUGAGUGGGUCCCACUUAACAAAAGUGAAAAAUAUUGUGAGGUUCGGAUUCUACUCCGUUGAUACUUCAAUAGUAUAAUUUUAUUUUCUCAAAAUGGUGCUUGGGUGAAUGAGAAAUUGUCUCUCAAAGUUCACCCUUGAAGUUGAAAAUUCGAAAGGAAAUGAGUCUUAUCCCACAUGGGAAAAAGAAGCCUAGGAAUUAGUGUUUAAAUAUAAAUACUUAACCAUACAUGAGUAAGAAUUAUAAGGAUAGAGGCUCUCUCCACACGCGUGCGUGCGCAGGGGGGGUGCGAAUCCAAGCUUGAUUUGGUUGAACUCGUGUGCGUCCUGCGUACACGAAUGUCAGCCCAAAAUCAUCCAUGCAAGCUAGGCACCUUUUGAAUUCAAAUAAAUUGGUGACAGCUUUUUAGCUGUUAUUCACGUUUUUUUUAAAUUGAUUUGGCUGUUAUAACAAGGCACCUUCACUUCUGUUUUUUCCACUUGCAAAAACGAGCACAAAGCACACUUGUUUUCCCUUCAUUCUUCUUCGUCUUUCUCUGAUCGAGUUCGCUGUUGUGGUUCGCCGGAAAUUCUAGCCUGUGCUUGACUGGAAGUUCGUACCCGUUGCAUCCUGGGAAACAAAUACCAAUAAACCUUAAGCACUCCGAAUAGGUGGUAAAUCUGUUUUAAGGAGACUGUUUUGUGCAGGCCUCGGGUUCCUUUCUUUUUAUUUCAAUUCGGUUUCUUCCUCUUCUGUUCUUCAUUUAUUGUUUCCGAUUGCUAGUUUACACUAGCUAACAUAUAAUUUGUUAUCUCACUGUUUUAUUUUCUUACAGAAUUAAAUGGAAUUAAUUCUUUAUAAAUUUGCCUGCAUUGCUUUUUUUUUUUGGGGUCGGGGGGGGGGGGGGGGGGGGGGGGGGGGGGGGGGGGCGAAUUGAUGCUCUGGUUUUUGACUUUUUGUUGUCAAAUUUUACUCUGUUUUUUCAAAUUGAUGCUUCAAUAUUUGAAUCAAAUUAAUGCUCACGUAAAUUUGUCUAGUUGCCGUAAAAGAUAUAAUUAGACUGAAAUACACACUUUUAGAAUCAAUAGAAUUAAACAGAGAAAACAUUAAGUAUAAUAGCCAUCUUCACAUAAAAUCAUGUCAUAAACACAUGAUUAACAUUAAGUUAAAAUUUUGAAGUUUUGAUUUUCGAUGGUCAAUCAUACCCUUUAUAAUUUCUUCUGUUCUAACCACAAUAAAAUUUUUGGUUCCAGGAUUUUUAUUUGGGGUAUUAAUAAUAGUCCACCAAAAGAGUGAACAGUUGGAUGCUGCUCUAAGGGUCUCUAAUGUAAUCAAUAGCUGGAAGCAAUUGAGAAGGCGGUCGCUACUGUGUGCAAAGCCAUGCAGUAUUUGUUAUUCAUCUUAGUAAUUAUGAAGCUUCGGUAAAAUUUUCAUGAAUUUGUAUGAAUAUCGUUGUUCCAUUGAGUUGUAUAUGAAUUCAAAUGUAAAAUAUUCUUUGGUUUUCAAUUUUGAAUUCAAUUUCUUUUUCUUAAGCAUGUUGUGCAGAAAUGAUUUCUAUUAAAUCAUUUUUGAUAAACUAUUUAAAUUAAACAACUGGAAUAAGAACUGUAAGGAUUUAUCGUAAGCAGUCUAAUAUGAUAAUUCUGAAACUAUUAAUUAUUUUUUUCAAUUUGUUGCAGGGAAAGCCAAAUUUUGCGUUUUUCAGUUUUAUCUGAUAUGGAAUUUAUUUCCUCUACACUAGCUACCUAAAGAUUUAUCAAAUUGCUUCUCUUCCCUGCUUCAAAUAUCUUCAUGGCAUCAUAGGAAAAGAGAGUUUGGGUUGUAUUUAUUAGAGUUUUUAUUUUUUUCGUUAUAAGCAAAUUUAUUUUAAAUACUUUAGUAGUAACAGUUUUUAUUGAAUAAUAAUGGGGGAUGGUUAUUAUAGGUUCAAAUAGUUGUUAGAACAUUAUAAAAAGUCUAUUUACUAUCAAAUGUUUUAAAUUGAUGCAACGUGAUAAUUGUCUCAUAUAAUUUUUUUAUAAUAUAUAUGUCCCAUAAUCUUAACAUGAAUAAAUGAAUUUCAACGGUUAAAUUUGACACGAUUAUUAAAUAGAUCAUAUCUAUAUUAAUUCGAUUUAAAAUUUGGCCACAUUUGGAUUUAGAGUUUCUAACAUGAUAACUUGUUUUAUAACAUGAUUUACUAAUCAAUUAAUAAUAAAUCAAAUGUUAGUCAAUUAAAUAUGUGGUACAUUUGUCAUAUUUUAAAAUUAUUUAUUUAUGUUUGAAAUAAAUUUGACUAGACUUUGUGCAGGUAAUAUUGCAUAAUUUCUAAAAAAAAUGUAAUAAAAACAUGUUAAAAUGUUAUUUUUAUGAAGAAAAAUUGAAAUUUUAUUAAAUAGGUGACACAAUAAUAAAUGGAUGCUUGUAAAAAUUGAAAUUAUUGAUAUAAUUAUUAAAUAGAUUGGAUUGAAGUUAGUUUAAUUUUGACAAGAUAAUAAGACGACGCGACACAAAUACAGCCAACCGGUCAACCCAAAUUGCCACCUUUUAUUUUCUUCUUUGUGUUACUUCUCUAAAAAUUUGUGCCAUCGCUUACACUUUUAAAUCUAUCAAAGAACCGUUACUUGGGAAGAUUGCCAUCAGGAAUUUCGAAAUUGAUUUCACUACAAUACGUUAGUCUUUCAGAUACUUCCAUCACUGAGUUGCCAAAAGAGCUAAAAGCCUUGGUAAAUCUUAGGGCAUGUUUGGCACGCGGUAAUAUAUAGGAUAAGGACUCCGCAUUGCAUUAGAAUUAUACAAUCUCGUGUUUGGCAGUUACAGCUCAUUGCAUUAACUAAAAUUUAUAAUGCGGUAACACCCGCAUAAACUACACCCGACCACCCCCCCCCCCCCCCCCCCCCACGGGUUUAUACGGGUUUGCAAUAGAUCUUUCUCCUUCCCUCAACUUUCUCCUUCUUUAUGCUCUCUCACGAACACAGCGCUCCACACCAGGCCAUCGUCCUUCGCCGCGCAACACCCAGCUCCACCACCACCCCAUCCCGCAACACCACUGCCUUCUCUUUUAACUUGCUGACGCACGACACUCGACCACCAUGCAAUCUUCUAUCUCUGCGUGACAGCCAGCUCCGUCACCACCCCACUGUGCAAUACCACCGCCAUGCUUGCCUUCGCCUCCUGAAUCAACGAACUACAACUUUGAUUUUUGAAAAGGUCUUUCUCUUUAUUUCUUCUCACGAUUUCUGUAACAAAACAGAGGCUAAAUAUCACAUGUCUCUUUCUCAUACUAUUCCAAGCUAAAUAGCAAAAGCAAUAGAUUCUCAGACUCAUAUAUGAUCUUCAAGAAGCCGGAGGUUCUCGAUUUAUUUAAUUUCUCUUUAUAUAUAUUUUUUCCAACUGUUAACUUUAAUUUUUUAUGUAAAUGCUUCACAACAUGUUGGAAUUGCUAUUUCUUUGAUAAUUUGGGGAAAUUGAACCCUAACGAAGCAAAGUGAGGGGAAAUUUUCUAUUGGGUCUUGUCUGAGGAGUGUGUAGGGAUUCUUGUGUUGCUGUUGGCUUUCGCUUUGAAUUUGAUGACUGUGGGUUUUUGUUUUGGUUUUUUGGUUUCGUGAGUGGAGGGGAUUGUAAAGCAAAAACAGAAAGCGCGAUAGGAAAUGGAGGGAAGGUGUUUCAUGGUUGUUCUCACUGACAUUUUGUUGUUCUGUUCAUGCUUUAAUUUUCGUUUGAUUUUCGAACAUGCUGCAGUUUGAACUUUGAUGAACUGAGCUUUGCAAGUUAGACACAUGUCUCGUCAUCGGUUCAACGGCGUUCUUUACCAUAGAAAUUUGUGUUUUAUUGUUGUUGUUGUUGUAAGCUUUUCUUGAUUUUGCAGUGAGGCUUGAGGAAAAGAAAAGGAAAAGCAAUGUUGAUUUCAUUCAAUGGCAUUAUUCUAAGACGUAAAAACAAAUAAUCUGGACCAAAUUGAAACGAUCAUAUCACUAUAUUUUCAUUAAACAUAGGCUUUUUGGUUACCAAAUUGAAACAAUAAAAGAAUGAAAAAGAUUUUAAGUUUAUGGAUUAAGCAAUCCUAGAAUUUGAAUUUAUGAAAUUAGAAGACCAAAAAUUGUAAAAAUAUUGUCAGUAUAAAAUUAAUGUUGUAAAAAUAAAUGUUAUACUGACAAAAAUUUAAAGUUAUAAAGUUUGAUUUUUAUGAAGAAUUAUGAUAUUAAAAAAUAAUGUUAAAUUUCUCAAUUUUAAAAUUUUUGAUAUUUAGUAUUUUUUUAAGUAUUAAUAAAUAUUAUUUUUUAAAAUAUGUAAUCAAAAUUAAUCAUUAAAAAAUUAAUACAGUACAAUGCGGCACCAAACAUAGUAUAACUAAAAAUUAAUACAAUACAGUGUAAUACCAAAUAUUGUACAACAUUAUUAUAAUACAAUGCUAAUGCAAUACCGCAUAAUACAAUACACCUGCAUUAAAAUAAUGUAAUAUAACAUAAUACAAUACAGUGUGCCAAACGCACCCUUAAGUGUUUGAACUGGAGUAAAUGUAUAUCGAACCAUCGGUGCGAAAGCUACGAUCAAAGACGACCAACGGUCGAUCGAACUCAUCAGCGCUGGGGAGUCUAAGUGGGGUCUCAACAUCAUGAUGGCGGAUAAUGUAGGCCCCAACUAAGCCAGCCAAAAGGUUGAUCCUAGUCAAGCCCAUGGCAUGAUCAUGGUACCACAAAUUCCCCGGCUGUUGCAUGUUGUGAAAGUGGUAAGUUUUCUUAGUCCAAGUGGGUCCCUUUUCUUUAAAUCCAGCGGUGAACCAUGAAUUUGAGUUUCCAUCACUCUCGGGUUCAUCAAUGCCUCCAUGGAGGUGCACUACAGUAGGAAUUCCCUUCUUGCGUGGAAUGGCAGUUGGAAUUGUGGGGUCCCAUGGAAGUAUGUGUUUUGAAGGGAGAUGAUUUUGCCACGUCACGUAGGUGUCAAUCCCAUGGAGGGCCUCGAUGGUUGGACCAGGGACGGUUGCUGUGUGCUUCGAUGUACCGUAGGCAUACACUGGGGUUUGGAGGUAUAGGUCUCUGUGGAAUUUCUGCACUAGAAAGAAAAAAGAUAAGCCAGAAAUCGUUGAUUAAGAAUAGAAUAAUAAUGAAUUGGAAGAAUUAACUAUAUUUUUUAGAAUAGAAAAUAUUUUGAGUGGUGGGCUAUCAUUAUUUUUAAUUAAAAUAUAAGUUUUUAUAUUUUUUAAAAGUUAAAUUUAAAUUUUAUAGGGAUUUAUAUUUUAUAGCAACUAUUUUAAUAAAUUUAAUAGGAAUUAGUUAGAAAAUUAAAAUAUUUUUCCCUUUUAUUUAUUUAUUUUUUUUUGGCCAGUGCAUCCGUCCCUGUCUGGGUCCCCCACAUUGACUAAACAAAAUCAAUGUACAGAGAAAACUAAGGCAAAAAAAUUAAGGACAUGUGUGAUGUGGGCUUGUGGCCUAAAUAAAAUGCUUGUAGAUAAAGUACCCCUUUUUUUUUUUUUUUUAUUAAGGUGAUUUUUCUCAUGAACACGAAUGCAUCCUAAUUCUACUGUGUACAAAGCAAAUAAAAUGAUUUUUCUCAUGAGCAAGAUCGUAGAUUUCCAAAACAACCAAUUUGUUGCUUGGUAAAUCUUAAUCAAUGGCAGGAAGCAAUUGAGAAGGUGGUAGCUACUGUGUACAAAGCCAUGCAGUAUUUGCUAUUCAUCUUAAUAAUUGUUAAGCUUUGGUAAAAUUUUCAAAAUAAGUUGACAUAUUAUUUUGAGAUUUGGUUCAUGAUUUUGUAUGAAUAUUGUUGUUCCGUUUGAGUUGGAUGUGAAUUCAAACCUAAAUAUUCUUUGGUUUUCAAUUUUGAAUUCAAUUUCUUUUUCUCAAGAAUGUUAUGCAGAAAUGAUUUUUACAAAAUCAUUUUUGAUCAAUUAUUUAAAUUAAACAAUUGGAAUAAGAAUUGUAACGGUUUAUCAUAAGCAUGCUAAUAUGAUAACUUGUUUUACGAACGAUUAAUUAAUCAAUUAAUAUUAAAUUAUAUAUUAGUCAAUUAGAUAUGUGUUAUAUUUGUCAUAUUGUAAAAACUAUUUAUUUAUAUUUCAAAUAAAUUUGACCAGAGGUUACGUAGGUAAUACUACAUAAUUUCUAAAGGAAUGUAAAAAUUUAAAAUUUUAUUAAAUAGGUGACUCAACCAUAAAUGGAUUUCUGCAAGAAUUGAGAUUCUCGAGAUAAUUAUUACAUAGGGGGAAUUUUGGUUGGUUCAAUUUUGACAUGAUAAGAAGACAACACAGCGCAGAAAACCCAAAUUGCCACUUCUACAGUUGUAAUAAAAGAUACCUGUUUGAAAAGUAAUUAUAAACUAUCUUCUUUGUGUUAUUUCUCAAAACUUUUGUGGCACAAAUGUUAUUUCCCUAGUGAAAAGUACGAAAUACCCUCUUUCACGUCGGCAGAAGCAAAGCAAAGCUAUGAGCUAUCUCUGUAUACUUGAAACGCCAUUGCUAAACGAUUCUCGAUGAUGGGUGCCACUGGGCCAGUGUUGUCGCUGAUUUGCAUGAUUUAUUAGUUGUCCACAUGCCAGAGAAACCAUGGUGGCAUUGAAGUUGCCCAGUUGGUUAGUUUUCUGAUCAUUUUUUUAUUCAAUUAUUUAUUUUUUUAGAAAAAUGUAAGAAAUAUGUAGAAAUGUUGACAGCUAUGAUUUUGAAACUUUGCCUAAAAUUGUUAUCAUCACUUAUUUAAAGAGAAAUCCUAGAAACAUGACAUGAUUAGUAGCCUAAUUCAAAAUUAGACGUGAUUACAACAAGAGAAAAGUGGAGAGAACUUGAUAAUCGAGUGCAUUUAGAAUUUAAUUUUUCUUUUAGCUGCCGAUCAUUAAAUUUUUUAUUUCAGAAAAUUAUACCUAGAAUAUUUCAAGGAUAUACUAUGAAGAUUAUGAAGGUUUGAUUACAUGUCACUAUCAAUUGCCCCAAUCAUUUGUAGUAAAUUAAUUGAUCAUUUUGAUGCAAAUGAUUCCCUACUAAAAAAUUCAAGUCAAAGCUGAAUUGCACAGUAGUUAGUCGAGCUUGCACUUCAAAUUAAGUAUUGUAUUUUCUGCCUGGUUUGGUUGAUUAAAGUGUGUGCAUUUGCUUAUGAACGUUGUAGUAUAGAAAUCGAAACAUUUGUUUUUCGCUAAGCCCAGAAGCAAAGUUCUUUGUACUGUACUCAUCACUUCUCUUCGUUCUCUUUGUUGAAAUUUUAUCCAAACAGCGGUUUCUUCGAAUUUGUGCCUUCUCUUACACUUUUAAAUCUAUCAAAGAACCGUUACCUGAGAAGAUUGCCAUCAGGAAUUUCUAAAUUGAUUUCACUAUAAUACCUUAAUCUUUCAGAUACUCCUGUCACUGGGUUGCCAAAAGUGCUAAAAGCCUUGGUAAAUCCUACGUGUUUGAACUGGAGUGCAAAAGUUAUCUCUCCACAAUUCCAAAACAACUGAUUUGUUACUUUUCAAUGCUACACGUUCUGCGAACGUUCAGUUGUGGUUAUCUUGCUGAAAUACCAGAAAAUAGGGUUCUAUUUGGCGGUAGUGGAUUCUUGGUUGGGGAGUUGCUUAGUUUAAAACGUUUAGAUGUAUUAAGCAUCACCUUAAAAGGUUUUUCUUCUGUCCAAAAACUUAUGAGCUCCCAACAGUUUCAAAGCUGUACAAAAUGUUUGGAGCUUAUAGACUGUGAUGAUUCAAAGUUGUUUGCCUUGGCAGAGUUGAAGCAUCUUGAAAAACUAGGUUUUUCAAAUUGUGGAAAUUUGGAAGAUAAAUUACAUUUAUAAACUGUGGAUCGCCCUUUAUAAGUAUUAGGCUUAUCCCAUACUCGAGCAAUGUGGAAUACCUUUAUAAGCAUUAAGCCUCUCCCAUACAAUUUCUGUACAUGACUCUUCUUUUUUUUUUUUUUUUUUUUUUUUGAAGAUCGUUAAAAGUGGUUGAUGAUCCGUUUUGUAAUAUCAUAGAGGGAUCAUGAAUUCCUUUUCUUUUCUGUGGCUAGGCAACACUUUUGGCCAAAGUAAGGAAAUCUAUUUUAGGGAAUGUAAAAACCAGUUGUGGGAUGUAAUAGUUUAUUAUGCACUGACAAUAACUUUUUGUAUAAUUGUCAGUUUAAUGAAUACGAGAGGAACUCUGUUGGCAAAUUCAUCCAUGAUAGAUGCUAAAAUUAUACCAGCUGCCUUAACUAAUUUUUCUCAACACUGGUAUUGAACAGGAAAAUGAAUAUGCAAUUUGUAUUUGUGCCAUUGUGGAGAAUUUGGAUAUUCUUAUUCUUACUAACAAGGAGAGUAUUUGCCUCAUCUUUAAACAAUGAAUCUUUGAGAAAUGAGGAGUGGGUCAUUGGUAGUGUCAGAGUGUCUUCAUGUAAAUGUUCAUUUAUUUGUAUUUUGAACUAUUAUUAGAAUCUUUAUAUGCCAAAUUAGUAAUACAAAUGUUGAGAUGAUUUUCCCUGUUGAUCAUUUCAUUCUUGAGAGCCAUGUACAAUACUAGGAUACCAGAGAAACCAAGGUAGCAUUGAAGUUGCCCCAGUGGCUAGUUUUCCGAACAUUUUUUAUUCAAAUUUUUAUGUUUUAGAAAAAUGUAAGAAAUAUUUAGAAAUGUUGAUAGCUAUGAUUUUGAAACUUUGCCUAAAAUUGUUAUCAUCACUUAUUGUUUCUUAUUUAAAGAGAAAUCCUAGAAACGUGACAUGAUUAUUCCAUACUUGUUUUAAUAUUAUUUAUUAGCAGCCUAAUUCAAAAUUAGACGUGAUUAUUUGUUACUUUUAAUGGUACAUGUUCUGGGAAUAUUCAGUUGUGGUUAUCUUGUUGAAAUACCAGAAAAUAGCGUUCUAUUUGGUGGUAGUGGAUUCUUGGUUGGUUUAAAUGUAUUAAGCAUCACCUUAAAAGGUUUUUCUGCUGUCCAAAAACUUACGAGCUCCCAAAAGUUUCAAAGCUGUGCACAACCUUUGGAGCUUAUAGACUGUAGUGAUUCAAAGUUGUUUGCCUUCGCAGAGUUGAAGCAUCUUGAAAAACUAGGUUUUUCAAAUUGUGGAAAUUGGAAGAGUUUAAGUUCUGCUGUGUCGAGGAUGGAAAGGCUCGAGAAUGUUUUCGUGUGAACAGCCUCCAACGAGUUAAGAUAAAGGCUUGUCAUAAAUUGAGGGAAGUGACAUGGCUUGUAUUUGCUCCGUAUCUUGAGGUUAUUCAAAUAGACAAAUGUAUGGGGAUGGAAGUAAUAAUCAGUGCAAGGAAAUUGGGUGAAGUUCCAGAGAUGAUGGCAGAUCUAAACCCUUUUGCUAAACUCCAAUAUCUUGGCCCACGAGUUCUACCAAAACUAAAAAGCAUCUAUUGGAAUCAGUUGCCCUCUCUACAUGUCAGGCGAAUUUUGUAUCUGAAUGCCCAAUUCUCAAGAAGCUUCCACUUGGUUUUAACAAUGCAAAGGAAUCUAAAACUAUCAUUAGGGGAGAAGAACACUGGUCGAAUGAGCUGCAAUGGGAGGACAAAGUGACCCUUAAUGUUCUUCUUCCUUGUUUCGGAUCCAUUUGAGGGCAUCAACAUGGAUUGAUACUUUGCAGUGGAGAAAUUCGAAUAAAACCUAUGGUAAGCGCUUUUCCAUUUAUUGCAUAUUUGUAUCUAACUUUUGUUUUCCUUUGUGGUUAAAUUUUGCUCUAUAUACGUUGUUGUACGGUGACAUUCUCAUAUCAAUUAUUAGCUUUUUAAUUAUCUUCUCACAUUAACUGCCCCUUUUGAUCAUGUAGGAUAUGCUGAUGUCAAAGAGUCGUAAUUUGGGAUGCAAAUGUAAGAAUUAGACAGAUGACCAGUUGUUUUGAAGCGCUCGAAGAAGGAUUAAUUACGUCAUUGAAAGCCUCCAAUUUUGUGACUUUUUUUUUUAAUUUGUUGUUUUUUCUAUUUUUAGAUAGCUUGAUUGUUAGUUGUCGUGAUGUAAUGCUUUAGUGUAGAAAAAUGAUAUUCGGCCAAGGCAACAUUAGGAGGGCACCUUGUGCAUGCAUACUAGUGGAUAAUUUCGGCAUGCUAAAUCCAAUUAGGGUGGAUGACCCUUUAUAAGCAUUAGGCUUCUCUCAUACCCGAAAACAAUGUAGAAUACGCUUAUAAGCUGCGGAUCACCCAUUAUAAGUUUUAGGCUUCUCCUACACUCGAGCGAUGUGGAAUACCUUUAUAAGCAUUAAGCUUCUCCCAGUAUCUUUAUGUUAAAAAUAAUAAUAAUAAAAGAAAUCCAUUUUAAAAUAGACUCUUUUUUCUUUUUCUAUAUAAACAAAUGCAUUCUUCAAAUCAAUUGUGGGCAGAAGAAGUUAGUAGAAAAGAACUAGUCCCCUUUCAUUCCCCCUUAAACCUCACCAAAGCCUCUUUUGUAAGCUUUUCGGAUUUUCUUUCUAUAUUGCUUACGAUCUCAUUUUUGAUUGAAUCACUUCUUUUGCAUGCUGCAUUUUUUGUUUGUUGUAUUUGGAUAUUAUCGUAUCUGGAAUGCUGUUAUGAUUGAUGGAACAAGUAAUCGAUUUUUGGUCUGAUGGAAGUUGACUUAUUUAUUUAUUGUUAUUUUUAUUUGAAAUUAUGUACAAUUGCAUUUCAUUCAUUUCUUUCUCCCCCCCCCCCCCCCCCCCCCCCCCACACAUAUAUUUGUUAUGUAUAAUUGCGUUUCAUUUGAUAUUGAUCAUGCUGUAGAUAAACCAUGUGAUUGUAGAUGGGGAUUUCAAGUUUGUUGAAUAUUCAAGUAAGUGAAGUAACUGUCAAAAUACUAGUGAAAUUGGGAGCUUUAUUCAUGAGCUUGUGGUUUUGAAAAUUACCACAGUUCAACCGAUGAAGGUUCCUUUUUGGGGUUCUUCUUUUUCUAGGCUGCAAUUAGGAUAUGUACAUGUUAGACAAUCUUUUGUGAGUUUAGCAUAUCUGCUCUGAUUUUGUCUUUUAUUCCCCAAUCUUAUAAUUACACAGCAUGAAUGUUGAGUGAUUGUAUAGAAAAUUUGUGUUAUAACCAAAGCAUUGUGAAGGAGUUAAGUUAGUGGCUUCUGUUUUAUUGGCAUUGAUUGGGUAGAUUAUGAGUUACAGUGAUUCAAUUUGUGAUCCAAACUUUGCUUUAAUUUCUGUUUUCCCUAAUUAUUUAUGUCAAAUUUAAAUCCAGAAGCAUGUACUGAUUUUUUCUUUUUGUAUUAAUCUGUGAAGUUUAUUUGGAAUGGAAGUAUCUGGGUUGGGUCUAACGGAUUAAAUUAUGACAUUGGGGGGAAGGCAGUAAAGGGUUUGCUUGACACAUUUGGUUCUGUGUUUACUUUGCGAGAAAUAGCUUUUGGUUAUCACAAUGCCGGGGGAAAUCCCGAUUUGGCUGGUGAAUUUCUUUGUGACAAAUAGGCAAACACAUCAACCUCUUCUAUCCAUCCUUCUACUGGUAAGGCAAGGGGUAAAGAGUCUUCAAAAUCAUCAAAUAGUAACAUCUCUGAGAAUUCAUUUUAUGCAAAUGGAAAAUCUAGACCUUCUAAGACAAAAUGGCGUCCUGUAUCAGGAGGUACCGUUUCAAGUUUUCUUGGUAAAAAUUAUGUUAAACCUGCACAGCCAGCUAAUGGCACAUUUCUAGCAUCAAAGCCAUUGAAGUUGGAUCCAAAGGGGUUUCCCAUGUCUCCACUUUUGCGGAGAAGAUACUAAACUGAAACAAUCAAAGGAUGACCAUUUGCAGAAGGAUAUGGAAGAUUUUCUGUUUAAAUUGCUAGGAGAAGUGUUCCAAUUUAAUACAUAUUGUCCUUUUCAAUGUUCUUUCUUUCUUUCUCUUCUUUUCUUCUUCUUCUUCUUUUUUCUUUUUGUGUGCGUGUGAUCACUAAUUUGGUAUUGUAGUUAAGUUGCAGAUAGUUGUGGAUAUGAUAUGCAAAAGGUAAGGACUAUAUCUUCCUGAUGGAGGCCUCUGCUUUUUCCUUUAUGCAUAAUUUAAUAAAUCGCAUCUUCCUUUGUGAUCGUUAUAUCAUAUCAAAGACAAGUCUUAAAUACUGCUGUCAUAUGUUAAGGUUCAACUUGCAGUUUGAUUAACAUUCAUGGCUCAAAGUCCUGAAAAAACUUGCCAGUAAUUGUAAAAUGACAUUCUUUGCUUUUAAUGCAAUAGAGGGAACAGGGAAGUAUAGCUUUGGAAGCCUGGAUUGGUAACUAUAGAGAGACUUAGUAUUUCAUUGAUAAAAAUUCCCAUAACCCAAGGUCAAGAAAAUUUUAGAUCGUUAAAGACUUCAUUUUGUUUCGGCCAGAAAUGUUUGUUUCGAUCGAAGACUUGAACCAUUUUCAUUGAACCUGAUUAUGAUGCUUUACGUUAUGCAUGUUCCUCUUAAUCAAGAAAAGUUGAGGUGAUGAUUUUAUAUUUCUAUAUUGUAAGUUGAAAUAAUAAUUGGUCUGCUUGUUUCUGUAGCUUGAUAACAUGAAUUUUCCUUCUCAAGUUAAUUUAAUCAAUAAAGUAAUUCUUCAAAGAAAGUAUGCCCAUUCUAUAAUCAUUUUCUUAACUAACAUGUUUUUUUCUUCACUUUUCAGAGCAUGUUGAAACUAAUUGAUCGCUCGGCAGAGACUUUGGGUGAGAAGACAAAAUUUCUUGGUAAAUCCUCUGAAAAGGUAUGCAUAAUUCCGGAGUAUUAAAUAACCAAUGGUCAUAAUUUUUUUACAGGACUCUUUUCUUGUGGAGAUGAUUAAAAGUGGCUGAUGAUCCAGUUUGUAUAUCAUAGAGGGAGCAUCAAUUCCUUUUCUUUUCAGUGGCUAGGCAACACUUUCAGGGCAAAGUAAGGAAAUCUAUUUUAGGCAAUGUAAAACCCAAUGGUAGGAUGUAAUAGUUUAACAUGCACUGACAAUAACUUUUUGUAUAAUUGUCAGUUGAACGAAUACAAGAGGAACUCUGUUGACAAUUCAUCCAAGAUAGAUGCUAAAAUUAUUUAUGCAUGCCAGUUGCCUUAACUAAUUUUUCUUAACACUGGUAUUGAAGAGGAAAAUGAAUAUGCAAUUUGUAUAUUGUGCCAUGUGGAGAAUUUGGAUAUUCUUAUCUAAGUAACAAGGAGAGUAUUUGCCUCAUCUUUAGACAAUGAAUCUUUGAGAAAUUAGGAGUGGGUGAUUGGCAGUGUCUUCAUGUAAAUGUUCAUUUGUUUGUAUUUUGAACUAUUAUGAGAAUCUUUUAUAUGCCAAAUUAGUAAUGCAAAUGUUCAGAUUAUUUUUUCUGUUGAUCGUGCAUUUGUGUCCGCACACAACCAUUGUAUAUCACUUCAUUCUGAUGCGCAAGUCUCUGUAGUUUAGAAGAAAAGAAAUAAUAAUGAUAUAUUAUUGCUUGAUUCAUGAUUAUUAAAUGAUUAUGGCUUUAAAAAACCUACAAAUUCCUUCUGUUGAUAGAUGAAUGUACCAAGUUUGCUAUAUCUUAGAUUACCAUUUCCAAGAUAAGUUCAAAUUUUUUCUUUAUCCUUUUCCAUCACAGUUGCAUUUUAAGUGUAAGAUUUGUUAUUAAUACCUGGUUUCCUGUCAUUAUGAUUUCAUAAACAGUGUAUGGGUAUGUGCUCUACUUUUGGAGGGCCUCCACGUGAAAGAAAAUUGCAACAAUUGAAUUCUUCCGGAUGGUAUGGUAUUUAAUUUAUUUUCUCAACCUCUUGUAAGACUAAUAUAUUUUCCUUCAGUAGACACGGCAUGGUGGGAAGGGUUUUUUAUUGAAAGAAUUCUGAUAUUUCUUAGACUUUGUUUUGGAAGGGGGUGCAGGGGUUUCUCAUCCAUAUAUGGUUACUUGAUUAGCUUUUGACUGUAUUGCCUCAAUCGUGCAAAGGAAGAUCCAAAUACAAACGAAGGAGAAUUGUUUAGACACCCAGAAGAUGGAAAUGAACUACAGAAGGAAGUUUUUGCUGCUUUAUUUAGUGCUCCUGAGAAAUCUGAUGAAUUUCCUGAAAUUACGGUGAAGACCAAGUGUGAGGUCCAAAGCAUUAGGAAAGGUGGUGAGUGAACUGCUGGAGGAAUUGGUACAGAAUACAAGGCUAAUGUGGUGUACUUGCAGCAAGAUAACCGGAACAGUACGUGCUCUUAUAUUAACUAUAUUGACUGGAUUUGCUAGUGUGUGCAUUUUCGUGUGUAUACUUUUGUAUUUAUGCAUAUUAAUGUGUGUAGGAUUCUUGAUUUCUGCCACUUACUGGAGAACUAAUGGAAAGCUUUAUACUGGUAUAUCUGCAAUAACUAAUGGAAACUAUGAUAUUAAUAUUUUCUCUCGCUUGGAGAACUGCAUAACAGAUAUACUUUGUGGCUCUGGAAUACUAAAGAUUCUGCAAUAACUAAUGGAAACUAUGAUAUGAAUAUUUUCUCUCACCUAGAGAACUUUGUAACAGUUACACUUUGGGGCUUGGAAUGUCUAAAGAAUUUUGUCUGCUUCAGUUAGAUCAAAUAUCUUUUAGUUACAUACAUUAUAGAAAAGAUAAAGUUCUCUGAAUCUGAAAGACUUAAAAUUUUGCAUAUUUCUUGAAAGGGAAAUAUCUGUAGAUACUAGUUCAUGCAUUGUGGUAGCAUCAGUGUUAAAGAAAAACAGCAGUAAGUUAUUAUAUAGAAUUAGGUUCACUUGCUUUAAAUCCUGGUCUGGUCAACCAUAUGAACCUGUAAGUGGUUCUGUAGAAAUAUAUAUAUAUGGGGAGAAAGUAGCUAAAUUUUCCUUUCAUUUAUGGGUUUGGUCAUUUUUUCCCCUUAUUUAUGUUUUCUCACACAUUUUUUAUAUGCCCCAAACAUGCAAUUUUGUAUGUGUCAAUUGCCUUUUAAGUUUUAAAAACCAUAAAGUAAGAAUACAGUUUCUUGUCAGGCUAUUGAUGCAUUUGCUCGGGGGGAUCAUGCUCGAGCAGGAAAACUUCUAGGACAGGUAAGGUUUCCAUCUACAGCCAUUUAUUGACAACAUAUAUAUUUUCAUUCAGCAAGCACUGUUAGCAUUCAAGAUGCUGGCAGAUUCACUUGAUUCUUAUUAGUUUGUUUAGUAGCGAAGCAAAUAACCUGUAUUUCAAAGCUAAGUUGUGCUAUUGAUUAUGUUAACUUUAUUGUUCACAUAAAGUGAUAUAGAGGAAAUAAUCAAUGUAGGAAAAUUAGGUGAAGAGAUGAUGUCAAAUCUUGAACCUCUUACAAAACUCUAAGUUCUUUACUUGAAGAAGCUACCAAAUUCGAACAGCAUCUACUGGAAGGCCUUGCCAUUCCCUGAUGUAUGCAGAAUUUUUGUAUUUAAAUGCCCAGAGCUUAAGAAGCUGCCCCUGGAUCUUGAAAGGGCAGGCCAAGGUAAAAUUCUUAUCAAGGGAAAGAAAGAUUGGUGGAAACAACUUCAAUGGUAGGAUCAAGUAACUCAGAAUGCAUUGCUUCCAUUUUUAAAAUCAACUGACAAGUGAUUGAAGGGGGCAUCAUCAACAUGGAUGGAGAGAUUCAGGAGCAGAUCAGCAGGGUUUAGUACGACCUGUGGUGGUAGCUUUUUUGUGACUUUUUUCCCUUUCAUUUUUUCACUUCCUGUCAUAUUAUCAUUUCUUUGUCUCUGUUUCUAUUGCUGGUGUUGCUGCAUGCUUGCUGCCCUUGACAAAGUUAGCUAGUUUUUUUGUUUAUUAAAUUUUGUAUGUUCGGGACAGUCACAAAGUAGUACUUGUUCUAUAUGGGGGUGAUGUGAAUCAACUUUUCAAUUAUAUAUUCUGUGGUAAUUGUGAAUUCAAUUUCAUUUGUCUCCUGCAAAUUAUGAAGAAAGUACAGAGUUAGAAUAUGGAAAAGUUCACUGGCAAAUACUUUGUAAAAGCUUCGGAGUGAAACAGGGAAUGCACUUGCAACUAAGGACAAAUUGGUGGCCAGCUAAUGCAUUCAUUUUAUGUACAUUCAUCUUUUUAAUUAUUGAAGAUAAGUGGUUCGUUGCUUUUGUUGUAGAUAAAAUUCAGGCGACCUCAAUUGUGAGAUGAAAAUAUUUAAAAUAUCUCUUAAAUUAUUAUAAACUUUAAUUUAUCUUAAUUUUAUUUAAAAGAUAAAAGAAAAAUGUAGUAUAUGGAUAAAAAAAUUUUUAUCUUCUUAAUAAAAUGAAAUAAAUUAAAAUUUACAAUAAUUUAAAGUAUUUUUAAAAUUAUUAUUUCAUAAGAGAUUAAUAUGAAAUUAAUCCUUUUUACUUUUUGAAUGUGAAAGGACAAGAAAAGAGAAAGCAAGUUUCACUGCUUUUUAUUUUAUUUGAAAUCGGAGUUAUCCCAUAUACUUUACUACUUUAGCUCUAACAUUACAAUGUUUUUAGGCUACACUUUUAUUUUUCUUUUUUCCCCUUUUUUUAUACAUGCAUGUGGAUUACUUUUCUCUAAGCUCCUUAAUAUUUAAGACAAAUCAUAAAAGCGAUUGAAGUAUAACAAGAUGAUCAAAACAUUUAACCAAAAAUAAAUAAAUAAAUAAAACAUUGAAAAUGGAGAUGUUGAUUAAUGUAGAAGAGAUGCAAGCAAAAGAUAUUCCCAAAAAAAUGAAAAAAAGAAAAAAGCAACGUUAGUUCAUCCAUGUCUGUCAAUGCGUUUUUUAUGGUUUUUUUUCCAGUUGUUUGUUGUAAUAGAUUGAUUGCAAAUUGAUAUGAACUUGAUGUUGUAAUAUGUUCGCUUUUGUGGAAUUAAAUUUGAAUAUUCAAGAUUAUUCAAGUCUUAUUUAGUAUGUGUUUAGUUGUGUUGUCGAUAACUUUGCAUUCGAAUAAGUUUUCACCUAAAAUAUUAGCAUGAGUAGUAGUCCUUGAAACUUUGGUCAAAAUUAUUGUUAUUGUUUCUUUUAGAGGAAAUUUUUUUAUUAAAGCCUCGUUAACACUAUUUCUUAUUAAGAUUAUAAGUUAGUGUCGGUGUAGGAUUUGCAGCGACAAAUCCUGUCUAGCCACGUGUCAAAAGUACAAAUAAAUCAAGGGAAAAGCACAUGUCGCGGAUUAGGAUCCAAUAAAAUUUAAAUCCCAAGGAAAAGGACAAUUGUAUCCUAAAGUUUCAAUAAGAGAUACUGAUAUAUCUUUUGACUAAUGUUAUUUUUUGGCUUCAUUAAUAAAAAGAUCCAAUAGUUUAUAACAAAUAAAAAUAUAGUAUUAAGCUAAAUGUGAUAAUAUAUACAUUUUACAUAAUUUCAAUAAAAAACAUUUUAAUGUUUUACAAUCUAUCAGACAUAUUUUAUUAAAUUAAUAAGAAUUUUCUUAUAAAUAGCAACAUAAUAUUAAAAUAAAUUUAUAAAGAUUAAAAUGUAAAAUAAUUUUAGUAUAAUUAAUACGUGGGAUAUAUUUUGUAAAUUAUAAAAUUACUUAACCCAAUGAUUUUUAAAAUAAAUAAAAAUAAAUUAUUCACAUUUUGAUGUAAAUAUUUAAAACAUUUUUAUACAUUAGUCCACAAUUAUUUAUGUUAUAUUUGUAUUUAUUAGAAAUUUUGAAAGUCAAAAUGUUUUUCACCUCUAUCUUAUUAGAAUUAUUGCACACAGAGAAAGAGCCAUAUAUGCUUUAUAGCUUUAAAAUCGGUUUGUUUUAUAGCUGGGAACAGAGAUGAUCAUUAUUAUAAGGAUUAAAAAAAGAUAAAGAAUAUUAAUGAUUAACGAAAUCUUUAUGGAAAUUGAAUUUAGUAAGAAAAAAUUGAGCUGAUUUUAGUGGUAUAGUAAUAUUUUAUAUAGAGAAAAGUAAAAGUUGCACCCCCAAAUGUUCAAAACUCUUUUUUAAUCAUAAUAUUCUUUUUCCUAGAUAACUUAAAAAUUUGACUCUAAUAUUUUAUAAUAAAUAAAAACAUAUAAUCCUAAAAUAAAUAAAAUAAUAUAUAUUUUAAAAUAAUCUCAAUAUUUAAAAUAUAUUUUAACAUUUUAUAGUCUAUCAGAUAUAUUUUAUUUUUUUAAAGUAAAUUUUAUAAUAAAUACAAACAUACUAUUAAAAUAGAUAUAUAAAAUUUUUAAAGUAUUUUGAAUAUUAUAUAAAAUAACUUUAAUAUUGUUAAUGCGUGAGAUGAAUUUUAUUAACUAUUAGAUAGACUAAACUAUUUAUAUUAUUUUCUAUUUAUUAUAAAAUUUCAAAGUUAAUCUUUUUAACUACUAUUCAAAAGAUGUUAUGAUAAAAACAGAAUUUUUGUGUUUUUAUUGAAAAUUUGGAGUUUACAUCUAUUUUUUCAAAAAUUCGGGGUGUAACUGUUUUUUCCCUUUUAUAUAUACGAACGGUGGUGAGAAAGCUUGAUUUAACGUUAUUUAUUUAAAUAAAAUCUCAGUUAAAAAUGUACAGAGAAGAAAUUUCUGUUGGUAUUUUAGUCUUUUACCAAUUAAUUGUUUCACUUUUAGCGCUAGUGGCGUUGAAAGUUGUCAAGAAAAAGCAAGACCAUAUUCCACAAAAGCAAAAGUAACGUAGGCUCUUUUAUUAAAGGCAAAGUAUAAAGUAGUCAAGAAUCGAAUAUCCUGUCGUCUACUCUUUUUUUAAAUUCUUCUUUUAUUAUCUUUUAGAAUAGUUUUUGGUAAUUACAAUCAUUAUUCAGAGUUAUUGUUAUCUUCCGGGGCAGUCUCUGUUCAUCGAAGUCGUUACCUUUUUUUUAUGGAUCAGUUCCAGUGGUCAGCAGUAAUUUUCUUAGAACUCGGAUCUUUAAUUCGAGUUUCUGUGUGAAUUAAUAAUAAAAAAUUUUCAUUACACGCAAUUUAAGCUACGAAUUACUUUUUGCAAAGUUGAAUAUGAAAUUGGAGAAAUUAAGUAAUUUAGAAUGUUGGUAAAAAUUGACGAACAUAUCUCCAAUUACAGUAAAACCUCUCUACAGUCAUAACAUUAUAACAAAAUUAAUUUUAUUACUAUGUUGAGGUAAUAUAGGUUUAGUUACAAAAUUAUUGUUUUAAUAUGGUUGGUGUCAAGUGAUAUAAAGGUUAAAUAUGCAGUACAAUGAUAAUUAAAUAAUGAAGCGUGUCAAUUCUAAUGUAUAUAUAUUAAUGAUAUAGAUAGACAUAGUUUUAAAAAACUAAUUAAUGUAUAUUUAUGUAGUGUUAUGAAUAUGGAAAGUCAAGCCUACACUUGACAUUAUCCUUAGUUUUUUCUCUCAGUUAAAUUCUACAAAUAUUGUACAAUGAUUGGGCAAGAACUCUAAAUUAAGAAUAAAUUAUUGUCACAAAUAAUUUUAGAAAAUAUUUUAUUUCGUCUUAAACCUUUAAUGUAAGUAAACAUAUAUAUAUAUAUAUAUGUGUGUGUGUGUGUGUGUGUGUGUGUGUGUUUGUGUGUGUGUGUGUGCAUAUUUUGCAACGUAUAGAUAAUUGUUAGUAUAUGGAGACAAGUCUUUUAAGGUAGGACCUAGAAAAAUUUAUAACUUACUACACUGGGGAGUUUUUAUUCCUUUUUAUAAUUGGCUCAUAUUGAUACAUUCUUACACAAAAAUAUUACCAUUGACAUAUUUUACUACAAUUAGUUUAGAUUCUUUAGAACAUUUGUUAGGAAAAAAAAAAAAAAGAAAAGAAAACAUCCCUUGGAUGUAGCUCUCCUGACUAUUUAAAUCUUUUAAGGAAAAAAAGAAAAAAAGAAAAACUGACACAUUCAAAUCUUGAAGCAAUUACAUUAAAACCUCUCCAUAAUGAUAGGAAUAAUCUCCAUUUAGUAAUAAAAAAUUUUGUUCGCAAUUUAGGCAGAGUUAUAAAUAAGAAUAAAAUCCUCAUUGUAAUAAGUUAUAUUUAUUAUGGAUCCCAUCCUAAGGAACUUGUCUCUAUAUAGUAAUAAUUAUUUGCAUAUUAUAAAUAUAUAUGUUGCAUUAGAUUAAACGAACUUGUCUCCACAUACUACUAAGACAACAAGAGAAAGUUAUUAAAGAGAACACAAAUAUUUAGAGAUUUUUAAGAUUACUUUGCAUAUUUAUAACAAUAAUACAUUGAUAUAUGUAUUAGUUUUUUGAUAUAUUAGAUUUGACAUGCUCUAUUAAUAAAUUAUUAAUAUGAUGCAUACUUCAUCUCCAUAUCCUUGCAGUAAAAGUAACUAAGUUGUAACAAUAAUUAUUAAUACGAUGCGUACUUCAUCUCUAUAUCCUUGCAAUAAAAGUAACUAAGUGAUAACAAUAAUUUUUGUAACUACAUGUUUAUUAGGUUUUAACUGCUUCAUAAUAAUAAAUUAGUUUCGUCCUAAUAUUAUAAUUAUGUAGAGUUGUAGUGUAUAGACACACCCAAUUUAAAUAGUAUCUCAAAUAAAAUUGUCCCCACAAAAAAGAAAAAAGGGUAAAGGAUUGUUAUUUCUUCAAACAUCAGGAGCACGUUUGUACAAGUGCGAUGCCUUUCUUUUUUUUUUUGAAGGCAACGUCAGUGGGUACUAAAUAGGACGUGCGUAAAUCUUUCUAAAAUUUCUCCGGUAUAACUCACAGAGAUCAUUACUUUUCUCUUCCACAGACCACAGCAGCUUCAGUUAAUCCGACUCAAUCAAUUUUCUUGGUUUCUUCGCUUAUCAAAAUUCCAAAAUAUGGGUAGCAUAUUUCAAAUCACAUGCGAUGGUGCUUUUUUCAAUCGUUGUUUGGAUUGCUUUCUUGGAAAAGUAGCAAACACAAGUAAGCUCCAAGAUAACCUUGUUGCCUUGGAGACUGAAUUGGGAAAACUAAUCGCAGCAAAGAACGAUGUGAUGAUGAGGGUUGUCAAUGCUGAACGGCAACAACUGAGAACGCUGGACCAAGUGCAAGUGUGGCUUUCGAGGGUGGAAGCUGUUAAAACUGAAGCUGAUGAAUUGAUAAGACACGGCUCUCAAGAAAUUGACAAAUUAUGUGUUGGAGGCUACUGUUCCAAGCACUGCGCGUCAAGCUACAAGUUCGGGAAACAAGUGGCUAAAAAGCUACGGGAUGUGCAGACUUUAAUCGGCGAAGGAGUUUUUGCGGCGGUGGCUACUGAGGUGGUGCCUGAGAGAGCUCCAGAACCUGUAGCAGAUGAAAGACCCACUGAGCCAACAAUAGUAGGCUUGCAAUCACAACUUGAACAAGUUUGGAGAUGUCUUGUAGAAGAAUCAGUGGGAAUCAUUGGCCUAUAUGGUAUGGGCGGUGUUGGUAAAACUACACUAUUGACCCAUAUCAACAAUAAAUUUCUUGAGAGUCCAACCAGUUUUGAUUGUGUGAUUUGGGCCGUAGUUUCAAAGGACUUGCAACUCGAAAAAAUUCAAGAAGAUAUUGGGAAAAAGAUCGGUUUGGUUGAUGAUUCAUGGAAGAGUAAAAGUGUAGAGGAGAAAGCUCUCGACAUCUUCCGGAGUUUAAGAGAGAAGAGAAUUGUAUUGUUGUUAGAUGAUAUAUGGGAGCGGGUUGAUUUAACAAAAGUGGGCAUUCCACUUUCCGGACCAAAGAAUACUACCUCAAAAGUCGUAUUCACAACCCGUUUCGUCGAUGUUUGUGGUAGCAUGGAAGCUGACAAGAAGUUCCAAGUGGCAUGCUUAUCAGAAGAGCAUGCUUGGGAACUGUUUCGAAAAAAAGUUGGGGAAGAAACUCUUGAGAGUGAUCAUGAUAUCGUUGAGCUAGCCCAAACUGUGGCCAAAGAGUGUGGUGGUUUGCCACUCGCACUUAUUACUAUUGGUCGAGCUAUGGCCUGCAAAAGGACAGCCGAGGAGUGGAGACACGCAGUUGAAGUGCUAAGAAGAUCAGCUUCUGAGUUUGCAGGUUUGGGAAAAGAGGUGUAUCCUCUUUUAAAGUUUAGCUAUGAUAGUUUGCAGAAUGAGACGAUUAAAUCUUGUUUCUUAUAUUGUUGUUUAUAUCCCGAGGAUUAUGGCAUUCUUAAAUGGGACUUGAUUGAUUGUUGGAUUGGUGAGGGAUUCUUAGAGGAAUCUGACAGGUUUGGUGCAGAAAACCAAGGAUACUACAUUGUGGGCACUCUUGUUCAUGCGUGUUUACUAGAAGAGAUAGAAGAUGAUAAAGUAAAAAUGCAUGACGUUGUUCGUGAUAUGGCUUUAUGGAUAGCUUGUGAAAUUGAGAAGGAGAAGAGAAACUUUUUGGUUUGUGCAGGUGCUGGAGUAGGAGCGGUACCAGAUGUUGAAGGAUGGGAAAAUGUGAGAAGAUUGUCAUUGAUGCAAAACCAAAUUGAAAUUCUGUCAGAGGUUCCCACAUGCCCUCAUCUCCUCACUUUAUUUCUUGACUUUAAUUAUAAAUUGGAGAUGAUCACCGAUGGCUUCUUCCAAUGUAUGCCUUCUCUCAAAGUUUUGAAGAUGUCAAACUGUGGGCAUGUCAAAGUUUUGAAAUUACCUUUUGGGAUGUCAAAGUUGGGUUCACUACAACUUCUUGAUAUUUCACAUACCGGCAUAAGAGAGUUACCAGAAGAGUUAAAGUUGUUGGUAAAUCUGAAAUGUUUGAAUUUGAGGUGGACACAUAUGUUAAAUAAAAUUCCACGGCAGCUAAUAUCAAAUUCUUCAUGGUUACGUGUGUUGAGAAUGUUCGCUAUUGGCUUUGAAAAUUCCAAAGAACCAUCAGAAGACAGUGUUUUAAUUGGUGGGGGUGAAGUUUUAGUACAGGAAUUGCUCGGUUUGAAAUAUUUAGAGGUAUUGGAGUUGACCUUGCGAAGUUAUCAUGCUCUCCAUUCUUUUUUGAGCUCAAAUAAGUUAAAAAGUUGUAUUCGAUCUCUUUUCCUCAAUAAGCUGGGAGAUACAAAGUCGAUUGAUGCUACGGUUUUGGCAGAUCUAAAGCAUCUCAAUGAACUAUGCAUUCGUUCGGCUGUGGAGUUGGAAGAAUUGAAGGUUGAUUAUACAGAGAUAGCGCCAAAAUGGUCGGAACAUUUUGUUUUCCGCAGCCUUCACAGUGUUACUAUGGAGCGGUGCCAUAAAUUAAAAGAUUUGACAUUCCUCGUUUUUGCUCCAAGCCUCAAGUCUCUUUCGCUAUACGGUUGUAAUGCUGUGGAAGAAAUAAUCAGCGUUGGGAAAUUUGCUGAGGUUCCUGAGAUGAUGGGACAUAUAAGCCCUUUUCAGAAUCUCCAAAAGCUUGAUUUAUCACAUUUGCCAGCUUUGAAGAGCAUCUACUGGAAGCCAUUGCCUUUCGCUCAUCUGAAAGAAAUGGUGGUGCAUUGGUGUGAUCGGCUUAAAAAGCUUCCGCUCGAUUCCAACAGUGCAAAAGAGCGUAAAUUUGUUAUUCGUGGAAGAGCAGACUGGUGGAACCAUCUUCAAUGGGAGGAUGAAGCCACUCAAAUUGCUUUCCAUUCCUGCUUCCACUCUAAUGAAAUAUAAAUUCCUUAGCGGUGGUUGCAAAAUUUGAUUUGUGCUUUUUCUUAAACUCUUACAUUUAUUUCAGAUUCGUUUUUUGUCUCCUGCAAAUCACAAUUAAAUGCUCAAUUAUAUGGAGUCAAUGCUUUAGAAAAUUUUCAAGGCACUGCCAUUUCCUUUUUUUCAUUUUUUUUUUGGGUCGAAUUGAUGCUCUGGCUUUUUACUUUUUGUUGUCAAAUUUUGCUCUGUUUUUUCAAGUUGAUGCUUGAAUAGUUGAAUUCAAUUAAUGCUCACAUAAAUUUGUUUAGUUGCCGUGAAAGGAUAUAAUUAGACUGAAGUACACACUUCUAGAAUGAAUACAAAAUGUGAAGUAUACUAGCCCUCUUUACAGAAAAUCAAAUGAAAAUCAAUUUUUUGGGGCGUUGAUUUUCUAUGGUCUAUUAUAUACUCUUUUUAAUAUCUUCUGUUCUAACUAUAACCAAAUCCUUUGUUCAAGGAUUUUUAUUUGGGGUAUUGAUAACUGUCCACCAAAAGAGUGAACACUUGGAUGCUGCUCAAGGAUCUCUAAUCAAUAGCUGGAAGCAACUGAGAAGGCGGUCGCUACUGUUUACAAAGCGAAUCAGUAUUUGCCAUUCAUCUUAAUAAUUAUGAAGCUUUGGUAAAAUUUUCAAACAAAGUUGAACAUGUUGUUUUGAGAUUUGGUUCAUGAUUUUGGAUGAAUAUCGUUGUUCCGUUUGAGUUGGAUGUGAAUUCAAAAUCUAUAUAUUCUUUGGUUUUCAAUUCUGAACUCAAUUUCUUUUUCUCAAGCAUGUUAUGCAGAAAUGAAUUUUACUAAAUCAUUUUUGAUGAAUUGUUCAAAUUAAACAAUUGGAAUAAGAAUUGUAAAGGUUUAUCAUAAGCAUGCUAAUAUGAUAAGUUGUUUUAUGAACGAUUAAUUAAUUAAUCAAUUAAUAUUAAAGAAUAUAUUAGGCAAUUAGAUAUGCGUUACAUGUCAUGUUUAAAAACUAUUUAUUUAUAUUUCAAACAAAUUUGACUGGAUGUUGUGUAGGUAAUACUCAUAAUUAAUUUCAAAACAAAAAAAGUAAUAAAAACACGUUAAAUUUUGUUUUUAUGAAGAAAAAUUUAAAAUUUUGUUAAAUAGGUGAAAAUAAUAAAUGGAUUCGUGUAUGGUUUGAGAUUCUUGACAUAAUUAUGAAAUAAGCCGGAUUCGACUUAGUUCAAUUUUGACGCGAUAAGAAGACGACACCACACAAACACACGAUAAGAACCGGUACCUGAGAAGAUUGCCAUCAGGAAUUUUGAAAUUGAUUUCACUACAAUACCUUAAUCUUUCAGAUACUCCCAUCACUGAGCUGCCAGAGGAGCUAAAAGCCUUGGUAAGUCUUAAGUGUUUGAACUGUACACAAAUUAUCUCUCUACAAUUCAAAAACAACUGAUUUGUUACUUUUCAAUGCUACAUGUUCUGCGAAUAUUGAGUUGUGGUUAUCUUGUUGAAAGAUCAGAAAAUAGAGUUCUAUUUGGUGGUAGUGAAUUGUUGGUUGGGGAGUUGCUUAGUUUAAAACGUUUAAAUGUAUUAAGCAUCACCUUACAAGGUUUUUCUGCUGUCCAAAAACUUACGAGCUCUCAAAAGUUUCAAAGCUGUACAAAAUGUUUGGAGCUUAUAGACUGUGAUGAUUCAAAGUCUUUUGCCUUGGCAGAGUUGAAGCAUCUCGAAAAACUAGUUUUUCGAAUUGUGGAAGAGUUUAAGUUCUGCUGUGUUGAAGUUGGAAAAGCUCAAGAAUGUUUUCGUUUGAACAGCUUUCACCGAGUUAAUAUAAAGGCUUGUCAUAAAUUGAGGGACGUGACAUGGCUUGUAUUUGCUCCAAAUCAUACGGUUAUUCAAAUAGAAAAAUGUAUGCAGAUGGAAGUAAUAAUCAGCGCAAGGAAAUUGGGUGAAGUUCCAGAGAUGAUGGCAGAUCUAAACCCUUUUGCAAAACUCCAAUAUCUUCGCCUGCGAGUUCUACCAAAAUUAAAAAGCGUCUAUUGGAAUGAGUCACCCUUUCCGCAUGUCAGGGAAAUUAUUGUAUCUGAAUGCCCAAUUCUCAAGAAGCUUUCACUCGGUUUUAACAAUGCAAAGGAAUCUAAAAUUGUCAUUUAUUACAUGUUUAUAUCUAACUUUUGUUCUCCUUUAUGGUUAAAUUUUACUAUAUAUAUGUUGUUAUACGGUGACAUUCUCGCAUCAAUUAUUAGCUUUUUAAUUCUCUUCUCGUAUUAAUUGCCCUUCUGAUCAUGUAGGAUAUGCCGAUGUCAAAGAGUAGUAAAUUGGGAUACAAAUGUAAGAAUUAGCCAGAUGACAUGUUGUUUUGAAGCUUUCGAAGGACUAAUUAUGUCAUUCAAAGCAUCCAAUUUCGCUACUUUUUUUUUUUUUUCAUUUGUUGCUUUUUCUAUUUUUAGAUAGCUUGAUUGUCAGUUGUCGUAAUGUAAUGUUUUAGUAUAGAAAAAUGAUAUUCGGCCAAGACAUCGAUAGGAGGGCACAUUGUGCAUGCAUACUCGUGGAUGAUUUUGGCAUGCCGAAUCCAAUUAGUGUGAAUAACCCUUUAUAAACAUCAGGCUUCUCUCAUACCAGAUAGAGGUGGCAAAAAUACCCGCUCGGUCCGGAUCCAGACCAUACCCGGGCGUUGUGGGUCGGGUAUUACUUAAUCUGGGUAUAAAGUCGAGUCGGUCUUGGGCAUCACUUGAUAAACCCGGAACCCAGAUUUUAUUAAAAAAAUAUUAUAAAAUAUAUAUUAUUUUAAAUAUUUAUAUUUAUUUGACUCAUUUAUUAUACAUAUAUAAAGUUUUAAACACGUAAAGUUUAUAUUUUCAUGUCAAAUUUUAUUAAAAUAAAUUUAACACUUAUAAAAUUACCUAAAAAUAAAAAAUAUAUAUACAUAUAAUAUUAAAAAAUAUACAAUUCGGGUACCCAGAUUAAAAUCUAGCCUGGACUCGGACCCAGACCGAUUGCAUCCAAGCAGGAUCCAGUCAUUGCAAUAAUCGGACCUGGCCUGGGGUUUCGCCAUCUCCAAUACCAGAGCAAUGUAGAAUAUGUUUAUAAACUGUGAAUUACCCUUUAUAAGUAUUAGGCUUCUUUUAUACUCGAGCGAUGUGGAAUACCUUUAUAAGCAUUAAGCUUCUCCCAUACACUUUAUGUUAAAAAUAAUAAUAAUAAAAUAAAUCCAUUUUAAAAUAGGCUUUUUUUUUUCUUUUUCUAUAUAAACAAAAUGCAUUCUUCAAAUCAAUAGUGGGUGGAAGAAGUGAGUAGAGAAGAACUAGGCCCCUUUCAUUCCCCUAAAACCUCACCGAAACCUCUCUUGUGAACUUCUCAGAUUCUCUCUCAAUAUUUCUUAUGAUCUCGUUUUUGAUAGAAUCACUUCUUUUGCAUGCUGCAUUUUGUGAGUUGUUUUUGGGUAAUAUCUUAUCUGGAAUGCUGUUAUGAUCAAUAGAACAAGUAAUCAAUUUUUGGUUCGACGGAAGUCGAUUUAUUUAUUUACUAUUAUUUUUAUUUGAAAUUUUGUACAAUUGUGUUUCAUUCAUUUCUUUUCUUCUUUUUUUUUUUUAUAUUUAUUAUGUAGAAUUGUGUUUCAUUUGAUAUUGAUCAUACUGUAGAUAACUAUGUGAUUGUAGCUGGGGAUUUUAAGUUUUGUGAAUUCAAGAAACUGUCAAAAUGCUAGUGAAAUUGGGACCUUUAUUCAUAAGCUUGUGGUUUUGAAAAGUAGCCCGGUUCAACUGAUGAAGUUCCUUUUUGGGAUUCUUUUUUUUCUAGGCUGCAAUUCGGAUAUGUACGUGAUAGACAAUCUUUUGUGGGUUUAGCAUAUCUUCUUCGAUUUUGUCUUUUAUUCCCCAAUUUUACAGCUACACACCAUGAAUGCUGGGUGAUUGUACAGAAAAUUUGUGUUAGAACAAAAGCAUUGUGAAGGAGUUUCUGUGCUAUAAGUUAUUGGCUUCAGUUUUAUUGGCAUUAAUUGGGUAGAUUAUGUGUUACAGUGAUUCAAUUUGUGAUCCACACUUUAAUUUUCUCUUUUCCCCAAUUAUUUAUGUCAAAUUCAAAUCCAGAAGCAUGUGCUGAUUUUUUUUUUUUUGUGUUAAUCUGUGAAGUUUAUUUGGAAAGGAUGUAUCUGGGUCUAAUGGAUUAAAUUAUGACAUUGAGGAAAAGGCACUAAAGGUUUUGCUUGACACAUUUGGUCUGUGUUUACUCUGCAAUAAAUAGCUUCGCUUAUCGGAAAUCCCGAUUUGGCUGGUGAAUUUCUCAGUGACAGACAGGCAAACACCUAAACCGCUUCUAUCCAUUUUUCUGCUGGUGAGGUAAGGGGUAAAAAGUCUUCAAAAUCAUCAAAUAGUAACAUCUCUCAGAAUUCAUUUUAGAAAAAUGGAAAAUCUAGACCUGCUAGGACAAAAUGGCGUCCAGUAUCAGGAGGUACCGUUUCAAGUUUUCUUGGUAAAGAAUAUAAUAAACCUGCGCAACCAGCUAAUGGCACUUUUCUGGCAUCAAAGCCAUUGAAGUUGGAUCUAAAGGAGUUUUCCCAUGCCUGCACUGUGCAGAGAAGAAACUAAACCAAAACAAUCAAAGAAUGACCAUUUGCAGAAGGAUACGGAAGAUUUUCUAUUUAAAUUGUUAGUAGAAGGGUCCCAGCUGAACAGGGAUGUGAUUCAGGAGGUUCUCGGUAAUGUCUUAAAUAUACUGAUGCCAAUUUAAUACAUAUUGUCCUUUUCAAUGUUCUUUCUUUCUUUUUUUUUUCCCUUCUUCUUCUUUUUUCUUUUUGUGUGCAUGUGAUCACUGAUUUGGUAUUACGCUUAAGUUGCAGAUAGUUGUGGAUUUGAUAUGCAAAAGGUAAGGACUAUAUCUUCCUGAUGUAGGCCUCUGCUUUUUCCCCUUCUAUGUAAUUUAGUAAAUCACAUCUUCCUUUGUGAUUGUUAUACCAUAUCAAAGUCAAGUCUUAAAUACUGCUGUCAUAUGUUAAGGUUCAACUUGUAUUUUGAUUAACAUCCAUUUGCUGCUGCUUCCAAAAGUGAGAAUGAGAUACUUUGGUUAAUUUCAGUGGUUGAACCCAAUAGAGAACUUUAUUUAGAUCUUCAUGGUUCAAAGGCCUGAAAAAACUUCCUGUAAUUGUAAAAUGCCAUUCUGUGCUUUUUAUGCAAUAGGGAACAGGGAAGUAGAGCUUUGGAAAAGCCUGGAUUGAUAACUAUGGAGAGACUUAUUAUUUAAGUGAUGAAAAAUUCCCAUCACCCGCGGUCAAGAAAAUUUCAGAUAGUUAAAGACUCCAUUUUGCUUCAGCCAAAAAUGUUUGUUGCAAUGAAAGACUUGAACCAUUUUCAUUGAACCUGAUUGUGAUCCUUUACGUUAUGCAUGUUCCUCUCAAUCAAGAAAAGUUGAGGUCAUGAUUCUAUAUUUCUAUAUUGUAACUUGAAAUAAUAAUUGGUCUACUUGUUUCUGUAUCUUGAUAAGAUGAAUUUUCCUUCUCAAGUUAAUUUGAUCAAUAAAGUAAUUCUUCAAAGAAAAUAUGCCCAUUCUAUAAUCAUUUUCUUAGCUAAGAUGUUUUUUCUUCACUCUUCAGAGCAUGUCAAAACUAAUUGAUCGCUUGGCAGAUACUUUGGGUGAGAAGACAAAAUUUCUUGGUAAAUCCUCGGAAAAGGUAUGCAUAAUUCCCGAGUAUUAAAUAACCAAUAGUCAUAAUUUUUGUACAUGACUCUUUUUUCUCUUUUUUGUGGAGAUCAUUAAAAUUGGUUGAUGAUCCAUUUUGUAAUAUCAUAGAGGGAUCAUCAAUUCCUUCUCUUUUCUGUGGCUAGGCAACACUUUCUGGCCAAAGUAAGAAAAUCUAUUUAGGUAAUGUGAAAACCAACGGUAGGAUGUAAUAGUUUAUUAUGCACUGACAAUAACUUUUUGUAUGAUUGGCAGUUUAAUGAAUACAAGAGGAACUUUGUUGACAAAUUCAUCCAAGAUAGAUGCUAAAAUUAUUUAUGCAUGCCAGUUGCCUUAACUAAUUUUUCUUAACACUUGUAUUGAACAGGAAAAUGAAUAAACAAUCUGUAUAUUGUGCCAUUGUGGAGUAUUUGGAUAUUCUGAUUUAAGUAACAAGGAGAAUACUUGUCUCAUCUUUAAACAAUGAAUCUUUGAGAAAUGAGGAGUGGGGGAUUGGAAGUGUCUUCAUGUAAAUGUUCAUUUAUUUGUAUUUUGAACUAUUAUGAGAAUCUUAUAUGCCAAAUCAGUAAUACAAAUGUUCAGAUGAUUUUUGCUGUUGAUCAUGCAUUUGUGUCUGCACACAACCAUUGUAUAUCACUUUAUUCUGAUGUGCAGGUAUGUGUAGCUUAGAAGAAACGGAAUAAUAAUCAUCUAUUAUUGCUUGGUUCAUGAUUAUUAAACGAUUAUGGCUUUAAAAAGUCUACAAAUUCCUUCUGUUCAUAUGUGAAUGUGUGAUGGGUGUCGAAGCCAACAAAAAUAAAUUCCUACUCUAAAUAAAUUGUGUAUAGUGAUUGAGCAGGGUCGUGUCCACAGAGAUCGGUAAUUAUUUAAAUCCUUUUGAAACGUAAAACGUAAAAUGGGGGAAUUGUUGACAAUAAUAAAAAUCAAAUUAAAAUAACAAGAAUGCAAAUUAAAGUUGUAAUUCAAAUUGGAGAAAGCUCUGGUUGAAGGAAUUAACUCAGCUUGAUUCGACUACUGAUCAUUGAUUCAAAUAUAGAUUAUUAUUACUCAUGAAUAGACCGGUUAUAGCUACUGAGACCCUCGAAUAGCCAAUCUCUCCUUAACUAGUCGAUAACCAAGGUACGACCGUUGGUUAUUUCCCUAAUCAAUAGACAACCCUAGAUACGAUCAUAGGAUUUAAUCAAUUGACAGCCUGAAAAAUCAGAGAGACCCAAAUCCUAAUCAACACAUAUGAUGAUUCAUUUAAAUUAGAUUGUUUAUUCUCACAACACAACUCUCUGCUAUGUUAUUUGUCACAAACAUUAAAUUCUUCAUACGAUGAAUCCUUUAAUUGACAAUAGAUUAAGUUGAUAAUUAAAUAGUGGCCAAUUACCUAAUUAACAAACAUAAUCAUGAAACUAAUUCAGAGAAUAAACAAAUACCCAAAAAGUAAUAAAACAAUUAAAGCAUAAGAAAGAUCUCACAGUAGUGAUGAAUCAAAGCUUCAUUAUCCUUCAACCAGAAAAAUAAGUUUAGUUCUUCAUAGAGAGAAGAGAAAAAUUAGAUCUAGGGUUUCUUUCUUUGUCUCCAAUCCAAAAAUCCCCCUUUUUCACAAUAGAUUCCUCCCUUAAAUACUCUCUCUCUCUUCUCUUUUAGAAUUCUAUUUAAAAUAAAAUACUAAUAUCUUAAAUAUUAAAUUCGUAAUUACAAAAAUAGCCAAAAAUACAAAACACGUUAAACUAAAAACUGCAGGUCCGCAGUUGACAGCACGCGCCCACGCCUUAUCAACAAAGUUCUUCUGACGCUCAUAAUUUCUCCAAGAGAACAAUCCUCCUUAAACAUCAUCUUUUAGCUCAAUUUUAUCACCAAUCAAUAGAAUUGCACCUACAAAAGUAAAACACAAGUAAAAUAUUAUUAUUAAGUGCAAAACAUCGAUAUUAAGGGAAGUAAAUAAUGCAAAACUAGUGCAUAAAUUGCACUCUAACAAAUUCCCCCACACCAAGACGAUGCUUGUCCUCAAGCAUAUAACUCAAGAUUAAUCCCAAAUCUCCACUCAAUUCUCAUCUCAACUCAUCCAAAAAUAAUUUUAAGCAAGCAUACCUCAAGAAAUUAAGUCGAUCAACAUUCGAGAGACAAGGAUUUUAAAGCAUAGAAUUUCAUAAGAUAGAAUAAGAACAUUCAACCACCAAGAAGAUCCAUUCAAAAUUCAAGUGCAACAAGAUUUAAUAGCCCUCUCAAUAACUUCACUCCAUGCACUCAAAGUGUUUAGGGUGUCAUUUAUUCACUCAAAUCAAAUCAAAGAAUGCUAUUACCAUAAGCUUGCUCAUAUAUCACAUCUCAAUCCACAAAACAUGAAUAAAAUGCAAAAAUCUAAGGGUCUUAAAAGGGUUGUAAUGGGGUUAAAUGGGUUAAAUGAAAAAGAAAGGUUUACGAAAGAAAACAAAAAUCAAAAUGAGAAGAAUGAACUCAUUGAAUGAACUUAUGAUAUCAAAAUGCUUAUUUCUACUCAAGUCACCAAGAAUGUAAACAUUUUUUUUUUCAAUUUUUUUUUUCGAUUUUUUUUUUCUUUUUUUUUUCUCUUUUUCCUUUUCUUUUCUUUUUUUUUUUUUUUUGAAUCAAACAAAAGAAAUGAACCUUGCACAAUUUAAUUCAAGCAUAAUGCUUGUUGAUCUAAUUGAGAAACUUUAAUACAAGGUAGAAAAAGCAACAAAAUAUAUCCACACAAUGAGUCCAAAAAUCUCCUUAAAUUGAGGCUCAAAAAGAAGAAAAAUGGUUAAGUAGACGGAGAGAAUUAGAUGGGUAAUGGUUAAGGCUCAAACAAAGGUAGCAAAUAAAGGUCUUCGGGUAGAGAAAAAGGAAAAAGCGAGAAUAGAAAAAUGGUAAAUUGUUUGCCCUUAUUAUUUUAAUGCCUAAAAUCCCGUAAUGUGGCUUCAACAUGCAUAACAAAGCAAGUUCUAGAAUAAACAAACUAGGAUUGAUAUUCACAUAACAAAAAUAAUUAGAGCAAAGUGGUUGCUCAUAGGCUCAAAUCCUCACAAAGUUGGUAAAUUUGCCAUCAAAUCAUGUACACUCUUCAAAUGAAUCAACCAUCAAUAGUGGUGUAGAAUGGGAAGAAGGUAUGAGUGAAGGAAAGGUAAAAAUGAUAAGAAGUGAGAAAGAUGUAUGUAGUAAUAUGAAAAGUGAAAGAUAAAAUGUGAGUGAUGAAAGAGUAUGAUAGAAUAAAAAUAGAUGUAAAUAAUUUGAGAUAGAUGGGAAAAAAGUAGUGAGAAAGAAAAGAAAAGAAAAAUAAUAAUAUAUGAAGCAUACUAACUCCAAAAUCAUUUAAGGAUGAGUAGAGUGAAAACAAUAAUUCCAGACAUCAAUAAUGCAAAAAUCCCUCCCCCACACCAAGAACUUACAUUGUCCCCAAUGUAAGAUAAUUAAAGCUCACAUAAAAAUUAAAGCGCAAGGAUAAAAGAUUAAAGGCAAAAAAAACUUCCCUGAAUUGUGAGCUUUGAUCCACAUAACGUCUAUGGUUGCGUUGCGAUUGCUGCUCGGCUGGAGCUUGCUUGAUGGGCGCGGGAUGGAGCUGAUUGUGUUACGCGCGCGCGCUGGGGCUGCUGGAUCUGCGCGCUGCGUGGGCUGUGUUGCGCGCGAGAGCAGGGCUGACGCUGGUUUUGCGCGCUGCUGGGCGAAGGCUGGAUCUACGCGCGCGGUUUGCUGCUUGCUAGACGCGGGAUGCUGGUGCUGCUGGUUGCGUUGCAGGUGGGACUGAUGCGGUUGCUGCUGGUUCUGCGCGCUGGAGCUGAGGGUUGCUGCGGGAAAACGAUAAUCAACAGUGAAUUUUUUUGAAUUAGGGAUUUGUGAACAGUGAUUUGUGAUUUUUGUGUUUUUUUUUGUGUUUUUUUUUUAAAUAAAUAAAGAAAAUAUAUAUAUAUAUAUAUAUAAGAAAGAAAAGAAGGAAAAAAAACUUUUUUUUUUCGUUUUUUUUAUAAAUAAAUAAAAAAUAUAUAUAUAAGAAAAGAAAAUAAGGAAAAAAAAACUCUUUUUUUUUUUUUUUGAAUCACUUUGAGACACUAAAAAUUUCAGAAGUACUUUUCUAAUAAGCACGUAGGCACGCCUUAAAACUAUUUUACUUUAAAAAUUACAGAAGUACUUAUUAGUUAAGACGUGGGCACGCCUUAUCAAAAAUUUUCUUCUGACCAAAAUAAGCAAACACAUUAUUUAAAAAAAAAAAUAUGAAUCAAAAUUAAAAGAAGAUAUAACAAAAACCAAAAUAAAUAAAUCAUUUGGGUUGCCUCCCAAAAAGCGCCUUUGUUUUAUGUCUUUGGCUAGACACAUUUAUGCAUCAAUCUCCAUAAUUAGGACUCUCGAGAGCCACAUCCUCCACAAUAUUCACCGAAAAACCUUCAUAAAAAGGUUUUAAGCGAUGACCAUUAACCUUAAAAACUUUGUCAGAGGUCGGACUCCGAAUUUCAACUGCACCAUGAGGAAAAACAUUAGUAACAAUAAAAGGUCCAACCCAGCAAGAACGUAAUUUACCCGGAAAAAGUUUAAGCUUAGAAUGAAAAAGAAGAACUUUUUGACCAACAGAGAACUCCUUUCUCAAAAUCAUUCUAUCAUGAAAUGUCUUCGUCUUUUCCUUGUAAAAAAUUUCCUGCGCUAUAGGGUUAAUAACAUCCACAGAAAAUACCGAAUGUUCCUCACUAGGAUAUUUCAUGGCAUCAUUCAUAUUGAAUUCUAUAACCUCUCCAUCAAACUCCAUAGUGAGAGUCCCUUUAUGUACAUCCAUUUUAGUCCUAGCAGUCUUAAGAAAAGGUCUUCCUAGCAAAAUUGGGACAGAAUUAGAGGAGUUAUCCUCUUCCAUAUCAAGUACAUAAAAAUCAGCAGGAAAAACCAACUCAUUAACUUGUACUAAGACAUCUUCUAAUACCCCAUCAGGAUAUGCAUUAGACCUAUCAGCUAGUUGAAUUAUCACGCCAGUUUCUUUUAAUGGACCAACAUUCAAAGAUGAAUAAAUGGAACGAGGCAUGACAUUAAUAGAAGCUCCUAGAUCUAACAUAGCCUUUUCAACUCUAACACUACCAAUUUUACAAGGGAUAGUAAACAUACCUGGAUCCUUGCACUUACGAGGUAGUUUCUUUUGGAGAACUGCUGAAACAUUCUCCCCCAUGUGAACUUUUUCAUCUCCUCUUAAUUUUCUCUUGGAGGUGCACAGUUCCUUAAGGACUUUAGCAUAUCGAGGUAUUUGUUUUAUAGCAUCUAAUAAAGGAAUAUUUACCUCAACCUUGCGAAAUGUCUCAAGGAUGUCUUUCUCUUGUUCCUCCUUCUUGGAUUUUGCAAAUCGGCUUGGAAAAGGAGGAGGUAUCACAAUAGGUAGGGGUUUAGCUCUGGUGGGUUCCGCAUCAUGAGAUUGAGGCAUCAAUUCAUUCUUCUCAAGUUCAUCUUCUACAUGCUUUGUCACUUUCUUACUAGGCUCUUGCAACUCCGUCCCACUUCUAAGAAUGACAGCACUAACGUUUUCCUUUGGAUUCACCUCAGAUUGUGAAGGCAAUCUCCCCAAUACUUGAGACUCCAGACGGCUCACUGUAGUCGCCAAUUGACUCAUUUGGUUCUCCAAGUUCUGAAUGCUUGCUGUAGUUGCCUGCUGAAAUUGUUGAGUGUUAGUCGCAAGUGAUUUAACAAUUUCUUCAAGAGAUAUACCUGACUUGGAGUUUGACUGUGGAAGUGCUGGUUGUCUUGGUGGAUACUGUUGUGGGAAUCCUGAUUGCCUAACUCCAUAGCUGAAGUUGGGAUGAUCCUUCCAUCCCGGAUUGUAUGUUUGUGCAUAAGGAUCAUACCUCCUCUGAGGCAUGCCUGGAAAUCCUCCAAUUGCAUUGGCUUGUUCAACGGGUUCUUCUUGAAGUGUAGGACACAUAUCAGUUGAAUGACCCAUAUUGUAACAAAUGCCACAAGUCUUCACCUGUUGCACAUUACCUACAACAAACUUUUCCACAAGAGAAGUAAGUUUAUCUAAACGUUGUUCAACAGAAGAAAUAUUUACCUCAUUCACCGUUCUUGAAGUGGCAUCUUGUCUGCUGCCAAAUUGUUGUGCAUUGGCAGCCAUAUUUGAGAUCAACUCCCUUGCUUGAGUAGGGGUCUUGUUCACCAACACACCUCCACUAGCAGCAUCUAUCAUACUCCUAUCCAUCAAUGAUAGUCCUUCGUAAAAAUAUUGAAUAAGAAGUUGAUCAGAGAUCUGAUGCUGAGGACAACUGGCACACAAUUGUUUGAAUCGCUCCCAAUACUCAUACAAAGUCUCCCCAGGAAGUUGUCUGAUCCCACAAAUAUAUUUUCUGAUGUUGGCAGCUCUUGAAGCAGGAAAGUACUUCUCAAGGAACUGCUUCUUCAAACCAUUCCACGUUGUAAUCGAUCCAGGAGGCAAGUAGUACAACCAAUCUUUAGCUAGCCCAUCUACAGAGAACGGAAAAGCACGCAGCUUAAUCUGCUCUUCAGUCACGCCUUGUGGUCUCAUACUUGAACACACAACAUGAAACUCCUUAAGAUGUUUAUGAGGAUCUUCACCUGCAAAACCAUGAAACUUGGGUAAUAAAUGAAUAAGACCAGACUUUAAUUCAAAAUUUACCUCCAAAUCUACAUAUUGAAUGCAGAGUGGUUGCUGAUUCAAGUCUGGUUCAGCUAACUCUCUAAGAGUUCUUUCUACAGGUGCAGGUCUAUUCAUCACUUGUUCUUCCGAAUCACUAGAUGAUUCAACUAAAUCAGGCACUGUAUCUGUUUCAGAAAGCAAAGGCGACGAGGAUCGUUGCUUAGCUCGCUUCGUCUGCUGUCUCAGCUGGCGAGCUGUCUUCUCAAUUUCGGGAUCAAACGAAAGUGUACCUGUACGAGAAGAACGAACCAUACACAAAGUAAAACGUAAAAAGGAUUAAAUAAAUGACACCAAUCCCCGGCAACGGCGCCAAAAUUUGAUGGGUGUCGAAGCCAACAAAAAUAAAUUCCUACUCUAAAUAAAUUGUGUAUAGUGAUUGAGCAGGGUCGUGUCCACAGAGAUCGGUAAUUAUUUAAAUCCUUUUGAAACGUAAAACGUAAAAUGGGGGAAUUGUUGACAAUAAUAAAAAUCAAAUUAAAAUAACAAGAAUGCAAAUUAAAGUUGUAAUUCAAAUUGGAGAAAGCUCUGGUUGAAGGAAUUAACUCAGCUUGAUUCGACUACUGAUCAUUGAUUCAAAUAUAGAUUAUUAUUACUCAUGAAUAGACCGGUUAUAGCUACUGAGACCCUCGAAUAGCCAAUCUCUCCUUAACUAGUCGAUAACCAAGGUACGACCGUUGGUUAUUUCCCUAAUCAAUAGACAACCCUAGAUACGAUCAUAGGAUUUAAUCAAUUGACAGCCUGAAAAAUCAGAGAGACCCAAAUCCUAAUCAACACAUAUGAUGAUUCAUUUAAAUUAGAUUGUUUAUUCUCACAACACAACUCUCUGCUAUGUUAUUUGUCACAAACAUUAAAUUCUUCAUACGAUGAAUCCUUUAAUUGACAAUAGAUUAAGUUGAUAAUUAAAUAGUGGCCAAUUACCUAAUUAACAAACAUAAUCAUGAAACUAAUUCAGAGAAUAAACAAAUACCCAAAAAGUAAUAAAACAAUUAAAGCAUAAGAAAGAUCUCACAGUAGUGAUGAAUCAAAGCUUCAUUAUCCUUCAACCAGAAAAAUAGGUUUAGUUCUUCAUAGAGAGAAGAGAAAAAUUAGAUCUAGGGUUUCUUUCUUUGUCUCCAAUCCAAAAAUCCCCCUUUUUCACAAUAGAUUCCUCCCUUAAAUACUCUCUCUCUCUUCUCUUUUAGAAUUCUAUUUAAAAUAAAAUACUAAUAUCUUAAAUAUUAAAUUCGUAAUUACAAAAAUAGCCAAAAAUACAAAACACGUUAAACUAAAAACUGCAGGUCCGCAGUUGACAGCACGCGCCCACGCCUUAUCAACAAAGUUCUUCUGACGCUCAUAAUUUCUCCAAGAGAACAAUCCUCCUUAAACAUCAUCUUUUAGCUCAAUUUUAUCACCAAUCAAUAGAAUUGCACCUACAAAAGUAAAACACAAGUAAAAUAUUAUUAUUAAGUGCAAAACAUCGAUAUUAAGGGAAGUAAAUAAUGCAAAACUAGUGCAUAAAUUGCACUCUAACAAUGUGCCAAGUUUGCUAUAUCUUAGAUUAUCUUCUUCCAAGAUAACAAGUUCAUAUUCUUUUUAAUCUUUUUCCAUCACAGUUGACUUUUAGGUGUUAAGAUUUGUUAUUAGUCCCCUGUUAUUAUGAUUUCAUAAACAGUGUACGGAUAUGUGCUCUAACUUUGGAGGACCUCCACGUGAAAGAAAAUUGCAACAAUUGAAUUCUUCCGGAGGGUAUGGUCUUUAAUUUAUUUUCUCAACUUCUCGUAAGAUUAAUAUAUUUCAUUCAGUAGGCACAGCAUGGGGGGAAGGGUUUUUAUUGAAAGAAUUCUGAUAUUUCUUAGACUUCGUUUUGGAAUGGGGUGGAGGGAUUUCUCAUCCAUGUAUGGUUACUUGAUUAGCUUUUGACUGUAUUUCCUCAGUCAUGUAAAGGAAGAUCCAAAUACCAACGAAGGAAAAUUGCCUAGACACCCGAAAGACAGAAAUGAGCUACAGAAGCAAGUUUUAGCUACUUUAUUUAGUGCUCCUGAGAAAUCUGAUGGAGACCGAAUGGAGGUCCAAAGCACUGGGAAAGGUAGUGAGUGAACCGCCGGAGGAGUUGGCACCGGAAUGCAAGGCUAAUGUGGUGCACUUGCAGCAAGAUAACCAAACCGGUAUGUGCUCUUAUAUUAACUAUACUGACAGGAUUUGUGAGUGUGUGCAUUUUUUUGUGUAUACUCUUGUAUUUAUGCAUAUUAAUGUGUGUAGGAAUUUCUGCCACUUACUGGAGAACUAGUGGAAAGCUUUAUACCGAUAUAUCUGCAAUAACUAAUUGGAAACUAUGAUAUUAAUAUUUUCUCUCACCUGAGGAACUGUGUAACAGAUAUACUUUGUGGCUCUGGAAUACUAGAGAUUCUGCAAUAACUAAUGGAAACUAUGAUAUGAAUAUUUUAUCUCAACUGGAGAACUUUGUAACUUGUAGCUCUGGAAUGUCUAAGGAAUUUUGUCUGCUUCAGUUAGAUCAAAUAUCUUUUAGUUGCAUACAUUAUAGAAAAAGAUAAAGUUCUCUGAAUCUGAAAGACUGAAACAUUUUGUAUAUUUUGUGAAAGGGAAAUAUCUGUAUAUACUAGUUCAUGCAUUGAGGUAACAUCAAUGUUAAAGAAAAACAGCAAUAAGUUAUUAUGUGGAACAAGGUUCACUUGCUUUAAAUGCUGGUCUGGUCAACCAUAUGAACCUGUAAGUUCUGCAGAAAUAUAUAUAUGGGGAGAAACUAGCUAAAUUUUCCGUUCAUUGAUGGCUUUGGUCAUUUUUUUCCCCUUAUUUUUCAGCUUUCCUUCUCCUGAAGUAUGUCAACAACUGCAGAUAAUGAUGAAGAGGACAGCUUGCAGGCUCUUCUUAGAGCCAUGAUGGAAUAUAGGGGCACAAUGAAGGAACAUUGCAAAGCUGUAGGUUCUUUUUCUCCUGUCAUUUAUGUUUUCUCACACAUUUUUUAUAUGCUCCAAGCAUGCAAUUUUGUAUGUGUCAACUGCUUCCUAAGUUUUAAAAACCAUAAUGUAAGAAUACAGUUCUUUGUCAGGUUAUUGAUGCAUUUGCUCAGGGGGAUCAUGUUCGAGCAGGAAAACUUCUAGAGCUGACAAGGUUUUCCAUCUACAGCCAUCUAUUGACAACAGAUACAUUUUCAUUCAGCAAACACUGUUAGCAUUCAAGAUACUGGCAGAUUCACUUGAUUCUUAUUAGUUUGUUUAGUAGCAAAGCAUAUAACCUGUAUUUCAAAGCCAAGUUGUGCUAUUGAUUAUGUUAACUUUAUUGUUCACAUAAAGUGAUAUGGAGGAAAUAAUCAAUGUAGGAAAAUUAGGUGAAGAGAUGAUGUCACAUCUUGAACCUCUUACAAAGCUCCAAGUUCUUUACUUGAAGAAGCCGCCAAAUUUGAAGAGCGUCUACUGGAAGGCAUUUCCAUUCCCAGAUGUAUGCAGAAUUUUUGUAUUAAUGCCCAGUUCUUAAGAAGCUGCCACUGGACUUUCAAAGGCGGGCCAAGGUAAAAUUCUUAUCGAGGGAAAGGAAGAUUGGUGGAAACAACUUCAAUCGGAGGAUCAAGUAACUCAGAAUGCAUUGCUUCCAUUUUUAAAAUCAACUGACAAGUGAUUGAAGGGGGCAUCAUCAACAUCAUCAACAUGGAUGGAGAGAUUCAGGAGCAGAUCAGCAGGGUUUAGUACGACCUGUGGUGGUUUCUUUUUUGUGACUUUUUUCCCUUUCAUUUUUUCACUUCCUGUCAUAUUAUCAUUUCUGUCUCUGUUUCUAUUGCUGUUGUUGCUGCAUGCUUGCUGUCCUUGACAAAGUUAGCUAGUUUUUUUGUUUAUUAAAUUUUUUAUGUUCGGGACAUCCUUGACAAAGUUAGCUAGUUUUUUUGUUUAUUAAAUUUUUUAUGUUCGGGACAGUCACAAAGUACUACUUGUUCUAUAAGGGGGUGAUGUGAAUCAACUUUUCAAUUAUAUAUUCUGUGGUAAUUGUGAAUUCAAUUUCAUUUGUCUCCUGCAAAUUAUGAAGAAAGUGCAGAGUUACAAUAUGGAAAAGUUCACUGGCAAAUACUUUGUAAAAGCUUCGGAGUGAAACAGGGAAUGCACUUGCAACUAAGGACAAAUUGGUGGCCAGCUAAUGCAUUCAUUUUAUGUACAUUCAUCUUUUUAAUUAUUGAAGAUAAGUGGUUCGUCGCUUUUGUUGUAGAUAAAAUUCAGACGAUCUCCAUUGUGAAAUGAUAAUAUUUAAAAUAUCUCUUAAAUUAUAAUAAACUUUAAUUUAUCUUAAUUUUAUUUAAAAGAUAAAAGAAAAAUGUGGUAUAUCGAUAAUUUUUUUAUCUUCUUAAUAAAACGAAGUAAAUUAAAAUUUAUAAUAAUUUAAAAUAUUUUAAAGAUUAUUAUUUCAUAAGAGAGUAAUAUGAAAUUAAUCCUUUUUACUUUUUGAAUGUGAAAGAUCAAGAAAAGAGAAAGUAAGUGUCCUUGCUUUUUAUUUUAAUUGAAAUCGGAGUCAUCCCAUAUACUUUACUCCUUUAGCUCUCUCCUCAAGGUGAGAUGCGUGAGUUGGGUGAAGAUUUGGUGAGUGUUGUGAUAUGCGUGCUACUUUGAGAAUUUAUAGAUAGCACAAAACGCAGCGUUCUGUGUUAAUUGUGGUUCUUACUGUGGUAAGAAUCUCAUUUUCUUAUUUCAACAGGUUUACCAGAAGAAAAAUCCCUCAGAUCACAUCACUGCCUUUUCUCUCAUUUUCUCUCUCUAUAUUUUCUAAUACAUUCUACAUAUUUUUCAUGUCCUCACAUACUUGUAUUUCAAAUGCAAUAGAUGUGUUUAUAUAGAGGCUAAUGAGAGUGAUUAAAGUUAACUAAAAAACUUCUAUGUAAAAUAAACUUCUAUGUGUUUAAAACCAAUAAAAUAGUAAGUAUAGCAGCCCUUUUUACAAUAAUGAAGUGAAAAUUAAUUUAGCAAGAUAUUUUCUUAAUUUAUACUUUCUUUUUUGAAGUUUUUAUUUUCUAUGGUCAAUUAUACCGUUUACAAUUUCUUUUGAUCUAACUACAACUAAAUUUUUGGUUUAAGGAUUCUUAUUUGGGAGUAUUAAUAUGUGAGCGAACGCUUGGAUACUGCUCAAUGAUAUCUAAUCAAUAGCUGGAAACAAUCGAGAAGGCGGUCGCAGCUGUGCACAAACAGCUUUGGUAAAAUUUUUAAACAGAGUUGACAUGCUAUUCUGAGAUUUGGUUCAUUACUUUGUAUGAUUUUUUCUCAAGCAUGUUAUGCCGAAAUGAACAAUUAAAAAAGAAGAAGGAAAAGUUAGGGUAAAAUUUUUACUAAAUCAUUUUUUAUUAACUAUUUAUAUUAAACAAAUGGAACAAGAAUUGUAGUCAUUCGUCAUAAGCGUGCUAAUAUGAUAAUUCUCUGACUACCAUUUUCUAUUUACCCCUUUUGCAGCAGGGAAUCCAAAUUUUGAAUUGUCCAAUGAUCCACAAUCAAUCCAAUGGUCCAAAACUUUUGGUCGUUAUGCGAAAAAUUUUCCCAAUUUUGGGCCAAUAUUCUAACAAGUUUUAUUGAAGGGCUGGACUAUUGGCACCCCUCUAAAAUUUCCUUAAAACCCCUUUUCUAUUACAAUUACAUUUAAAGAUAAAAAUAAUUACCAAUUCAUCUAUUUUAAUAUUUUAUCCCUCUUCAAACUUUUCUAUUUUCUUCUCAUCAAAAUUUUUCCCUCAAAUUCUCUGUAUUUUUUUGUUUUAUUCAUUUAUUAACAUAUUCUUUUUAUUAUAACAAAUCCAAAUUUUCAAGCAAAAUUAUAGUACAAUAUUGAUUGUUGUUUGCUUUAUUAGAAGGGACUUUUUAGCUGAGGAAAUAAAAACUGUAUAUUUGGUUUCUUCUAACUGCUCGUUGACGAUAGUCACGGCAUCCUGCACAUUUCUAAUGACUUCCUUUAGUAUGUUCUGCUUCUACCUCAUUAGUUCCAAAUAGCUUCUGUUAUCCCAUGCGUACUUCUUAAAAAUAACUUCUGCUAUUUUUUUAAUUAAUUAUUUGAAUCUUGGAGUUUUCUUUUUUAUCUUUUCCACAAUUUUUCAUUCGGAUUUAUUCAUAAUCAUACUAAAACUUUUUACAUUAUAAUUCUAAAGAUAUUGAAUCUAAUUCACUAAUUUGUAUUAAGAAGUUUAUCGCAUAAAUUUUGUGUGGAGAUUGAUAUAAUAAGACUCUAAAAUAAUUUUAGAAAUAAGAAAAUAUUAAGAAAUCGAAAGAUUAACAAAUUAGAAAUAAGGGUAAUUCUGACAUUAAAUGAAAUAUUAGGGACAAAGGAGUUUUUAGAGGAUUUUAACGGGUGCCAAUAGUUCAACUCUUUAUUGAAAUAAAAGGGAGAGGAUCGUUAAAUUGAAAAGUCCAUUUUAUUAUCAAGUGUUUUAAAUUAGUGCAACGUGACAAUUUUUACUGAUGAUAUCUUCUAUUUUUUUCAUAUAAAAUUAAUGUUAUUUUACUUACAAAUAUAAACUCCUAAAUAUUUGUAGUAGAUUUGAAGUUGAGCCCAUGAAACGGUAAUGAGGAAUUAAUGAGACUGAGGAUCUGCAAUUUAGUCAUGAAAAAUUUGUAAUUAAGCACGACUAAAUUUCAAUUUUCUCUUUGUAAUUUCUUUGGGUGCCUGAAAUUUUUUCUCCCUUAAUUUUCUGAUUACAAGUGCAUAAUUGUAAGUGCAACCGAUUUUAUUUUCAGGGAAUACUAUCGGACGGUGUGGAUAUAUAUAUAUAUAUAUAUAUAUAUAUACGAGAAAUGUUCCAAUUCAGAAUUUUAAAGUGUAGGAACGUCUGGGAAAACGCAUAAACCGUGCAGUUUAAACGCUUUAAGUUUUAAGCCUUUAAAACCCCGCAGUUUUAAAGUUUUCCUAGAUGUUUUCCGCACUUUAUGAUCCCGGACUAGAAAACUACUAUAUAUAUAUAUAUUAUCUGCUCGGUGAAAAGUUUUUUAAUCCGAGCUUAGAAUCUAGGAUUAAAAUUAUGAAAAAAAUUUAAGUAUUACACACACACACACACACUAUUCGGUCAUUUUUUUUUAAAAUCUGAGUUUAGAUGUAGAAUUAAAGUUCGAAAUGAAUUUACUGUGUUAUAAAUCAAUUUUUACAAUGUUGUAAAUUGAUUUAUGAUAUUAAAAAUCCAUCUUAAAUUUUAAUCUCAGAUUCUGAGUUUGGAUCUAAUAAACACUCUCUCCGAUUAUGUUGUCUAUAAUUUUGCAUUCAAAGAAACUUCACGAAAAAUAUAAUAUCAUGUGUAGCCCUAGAAACUUUAAUAACAAUAAAAAAGAUAUCAUAAGAAAAGAAAACUCAUAAUUGUUCAGAUAUUUAUAAAUUGGUGGCCGUUGGAAAUUUAACUGCAAGUGCCAAUCCGAGAAAAGUCUUCGUGCAGGAAAGACUUUUAGCCAUACGUUCUUCCAAGUCAAAUGAAACAGUGGAUGUACAAAGAAUAAGACAUGUCAUUCAGCUGCAGAUUUCAUGGCCAGUAUGACUCAUUCAGUCCCUUAUGGGUUACAUGUUUUUGAUAGCCCGCCUGUGGGUAUUUAUUCAAUUAUUUUACAAGACAUAUUUGGGGUUGCUAAACCCCGUAUGGUUCUGUCUUAGCUCGUUUUAUUGAGCCCAUUUUAAUCAAAAAAAAAAAAAUAAUAAGACAUGUCAUUCAUUGUUUGUUUGCUGCAUUCCCUCUCAUUUUCUUAAUUAUUGAAGACAGGUUGCUCAUAGCAUGUACUUUUCAAAUGUGGAACCGCAGCUAAUGUCACUAUUUUAAUUUGGAAUUAAAUUAGGGCCCAUCUAUAAAAUUUAUAACAUUAUAUUGCAGUGUGAACUAACUUUUAUGUUUAUCUAAACACCUUAAAUUUAAGGCAAAUUAUGGCAUAAAUAAGAAUUAAAACAGAACACUUAUGAUGUAUAGCAAAAGAGUUGUGAUGAAGAUCUUGAAGAAAUAUAAUAUUAGCGCCGAAUUAAGUAACUAAGAACACCCCUGAACUGAAUAAUGGUUAUCAAAAUUGUGUUACUUGCACUCCUAUUUACUAAAAGUCUGGUUCUGUUCCAUUUGAGUUUUUAUCUUCAAAUUUCAAAAUCUUGCUAAGUUUUGACAACAAAAAGGCUCAGUUUGCUUGUUCUAUAUUUGUAUUAUAUGAAUCCAAAUUUUUGUGUUCUAUUUUCUCAAUUUUGAAUACAAAUUCUUUUCUUCUCCCACAAACCAGAAAGAAAUGCUGUAUUAAAAAAAAUGGAAAUAAAUUCAUUACAACAAAAAUUAGGAAAAAUAAUACAAACCAAAUUAGGAUAAAUAACAUCACUUUCUAGAGAAGCAGGCAAAAAUGGAAAAUGAUAUUUCAAUUCUUCAAGAUCCCAAAUCUCUGUUUCUAAAUUUUCUUUCAUGUUGCUUCUCGCAUAGAAUCAUUUGGUAUUAAUAAAAUUUUUACUUAUUAAACAAAAGUUUUUAAAAUUUUUUUUAUUCCUGCUGUUAAUCUAUGAAUGGUUUCAUUGUUGGAGUUUCUUUCAGAAGACAAGAAUACUUUGGUUAAGUGUUUGGCUAAGUACUAAAUUAAAGGUUGUUAGAUAGAAGAAAUUAAAAAAAAAAAAAUCCUAACCCUUUUAUUCAGUGUUUAAUCAGCAAAUAUUCAACUCAACAUGAAUCUUAAUCAUCUUUAAAAAAAAAUUAUUCAAUUUUCUAAUAAUAUUUAUUCAGGUACUAGAAGUUAAAACCCUACUUACAUGGAUGCGUGGCCAUCGGUCCAAUUUAAAAAAAAAGAGAGAAAAAAUAAAUGUAAUCCAUGAAUUUGGUUAAUUUUCCUUUGUUUGUUUGUUUCUGUUCUCCCCCCCCCCCCCCCCCCCACCCCCUUUUCAAUAUCAUUCCUUUUUGGCCGCCCAAGGACAUUUUCACAAAUACCUUUUGUGCAUAAGUCUUUUAAACCAUCAAUCGGAAGAAACAUGCUUCCAGUGAUACCUCCAAUUAUCAUUGAUGACUUUUCUUACUCUAAUGCUAUGUCAAUUCCAACAUUUGUAUGUUAAUAUAACAUAAUCAAUGAUUUGGAUAAUUGAUGACUUUUACAGAUUGUGGAUUCUUGCGGAUUUUCAAUCUAAUCCAAUCCACCAAUUCACAAAUUCAGAUUUUUACGGAUUAAAUUUUUACAGAUCAGACGAAUUGAGCAGACUAGAUUGGAUUUUGAACAUUGCUAAUUUGUAUGUUAAUUAUAAGAUAAUCAAUUAUUUGGAUAAUCCCUUGUGUUUUAUCUCUAAUUAGAACAUCAAUCUUCACAAUAUUUACAAUGCUACAAUGGCUAUAAACAAAACCUGCUUGCAAAUUGUCAAGGAUACUUAUCCUUUCGCUUGACAAGUCAUUUGGAAAAAUAUUGUCCCUUGGCGGCUCCAUGUCUUCCCCGCCCUUCCUUUUGGUCUUAAUGUACGGUUGCUUAAUGAUAGUUUAGGCCCUUUAGGGACUACUUUCCCUGGUGUUGUUAAGUCUUAGCUUGUGCUAGGCUCGUUUUUCUUACCAAAAGAAAAGGAAUACUUCUCCUAUAAGAAAUAAUCUCUAUAUAUAGGGUGGUUGGAUUCACUUGUUUACAUAACAGAUCAAUUAGUUCUCUGUAAAUAGAGAGUUUCAAGUAUGAAAGAAACGGUAGGUCUAUUGAGAGAUUAUGUGUUAUUAGGAUUUUGGUUGUGAAGAAAAGUACUAGAGUGAUUGUGUUAAUUUUCUACGUAGUUGAUUUUUCUAUCGUCAUCUUUGUGGCUGUGAUUUUUCUUUCAUAUAGAAGUUUCCCACGUAAAUUGUUAUGUUAUGUGAUUAGUUUUGAUAUUUUAUUUGUAAGAUGUUGGAUGGGAUUAAAAGUUCAUAUUACUGCUAGAUGAUAUAUGGGAGCGGGUUGAUUUAGUAAAAAUGGGUGUCCCUCUUCCUAGAUCAGAAAACAACACAUCUAAAGUGAUAUUUACAAACCCGUUCUAAGGAAGUUUGCAGCUUAAUGGAAGCUCGUAGGAGUUUUAAAGUGGCGUGCUUAUCAAAUAAAGAUGCUUAGGAAUUGUUUCGAUACAAAGUUGGGGAAGAAACUUUGAACAAUCAUCCUGAUAUCCUUGAGCAAGCACAAUAGUUGUUAAGGAGUGUGGUGGUUUGCCACUUGCACUUUUUACCAUCGGCCGAUCUAUGGUGUGCAAGAAGACAUAGCCGAAGAAUGGAGAUAUGCUAUUCAAGUGUUCACUUCGUCCGCUUCCCAUUUCCAGGUCUGGAAGAAGGGAUAUAUACUCUUGUAAAUUCAGUUAUGAUAGUUUACCCAAUGACACAAUUACACCUUGUAUGUUAUAUUGUAGUUUAUAUCCAGAAGAUUGUUGCAUUUCUAAAGAGAAUUUCGUAUAUUGUUAGAUUAGUGAAGGAUUUUUGAAUGAAAGUGAUUGGUUUGGAGAAAAAAAUCAAGGAUAUUUCAUUUUGGGCAUUCUUCUUCAUGGUUUUUUUUUUUUUGGAAAAGGGAGGAGAUUGUGAAGUGAAAAAUGCAUGCAUGACGUUAUUCGUGAUAUGGCUUUGUGGAUCGCAUGCGACCAUGAGAAGGAGAAGGAGAACUUUUUGGUUUAAGCUAGUGUUGGUUUAACUAAGGUACCAGAUAUUAGAGAUUGGGAAAAGGUGAGGAGAUUGUCAUUGAUGAAAAAUAAAAUUGAGAAUCUAACUGAGGCUCAUACAUGCCCUCAUCUCCUCACUUUCUUUCUUGAUGAUAAUGAGUUUCGAAAGAUCCCCGAUGACUUCUUCCAGUUUAUGCCUUCUCUCACUGUUUUAAACUUGUCACAUAUUAAACUAAAGUCAGUUCCUUUAGGGACUUCAAGGUUGGUUCCACUACAACAACUCGAUCAUUCAUAUUCAAGCAUAAAAGAGUUGCAAGAAGAGUUAAAUGCCUUGAUUAAAGUUAAAUGCUUGAAUAUAGAUCAUGUAGAAGAGCUAAUUACAAUUCCACAACAACGAAUAUUUAAUUUUUAAGGUUAUAUGUGUUGAGAAUGUUCGAUACUAUUAGUUUAAAUUUUCAAGAAGCAUUAAAUAAAGACAGUAUUUUAUUUGGUGGGAGUUAAAGAAACAGAAAAUAAGUGUUUGGCUAAUAAAAAAAUAAAAUGAGAUCUGGAAACUUUUAAUCCUUUUAUUUUCUCAAGCUUAAGUUGCUACUGAACGAUUACAAACAUAUAUAUACAAGUGUAGCUGCUCAGCUGAAGAUUACUAAACUAACUAACUGAUUACAAAUUGAUUAACAAACGCAUCACGUGUAUGAGUACAAGCAGCUACAUAACCACCUGGUGCCAGCUGGCAGUACAUGUCAUCAACUUGUAACUGAUUAUAGAAGCUUCUGUGAUCCUCUGCUCUGUGGUCCUCAGCUUGACUACAAAUAUGAGUUUCCUUAAGAUCCCCCCCAAGCUCAAAGGUCUACUAAUGACAUGGAGUUUGGACCUGAAGUAGCUGAAUUUUGGAAGAGAUGAAGCCUUCGUGAGAACAUCAGCAACUUGUUCAUCUGUAAGAAUGUAUCUCACUUCUAAUUGCUUUUGAAGUACCUUAUCUCGGAUGUAAUGGAUGUCCAACUCGAUAUGCUUAGACCUGGAGUGAAACACAUGAUUUUUGGCUAAUUUCCCAGCACUCUGAUUAUCACACCAAAGCACUGGUGUUGGCAGUUUUACAAUGUUGAGCUCAUAAAAUAAAGAUUCCAGCCAAGAGAUUUCUGAACUUGCUGAUGACAGUGCUCUGUACUCAUUUUCAGUGCUGGAUUUUGCCACUAUGGCUUGUUUCUUAGAGGACCAUGAAAUCAAAUCGUUGCCAAGAUAGAUGCAAUAUGCUCCAAUAGACUUUCUAUCAUCUAUAUCACAAGCCCAAUCUACAUCUGAGUACCCAUUCAAACCUGUAACUUCAAGCUCCCCUUCUUUCUGAAUAUAUAUUCUAUAAGUAACAGUUGCUUGAAGAUAUCUAAGUACAUUUUUACAAGCAAGCCAGUGCUGAAGUGUAGGAGCACUUAGAUACUGACUUAGCUUAUGAACUGAGUAUGCAAUAUCAGGCCUGGUGAGUAUCAAGUAUUGGAGCCCUCCAACAAUGCUUCUAUAGAGAGUUGGAUCUUCAAAUUCUUUCCCCAAACAACCCUUUGCUACCUUUUCUAAUUUCUAACUUUGUGCUGAGAGGUGUAUCAGAACCUUUACAGUUCUGCAUUGAAGCUCUACUUAAGAGGUCUUCGAUAUAUUUUGUUUGUGAUAAAUGUAUCCCACUAUCUGUAUAACACACCUCAACACCAAGAAAGUAGGAUACCGAUCCCAAAUCUUUUAAGGCAAAAACCUUACUAAACUUAAUGAUGAAGGUUUCCAACAGGGAAAAAUCUGGUCCUGUAAUGAGAAUAUCGUCCACAUAGAUAAGAACAAGAAUGAUACCUCUUCUGUCAUGUUUGAUGAACAGGGAUGUAUCAGCCUUGGAGUUGAAGGAAUUCUAGCUUGUAAGACACCCUUUGAGUUUGUCAUACCAAGCUCUAGGAACUUGCUUCAAGGCACAAAGAGCUUUGCUAAGUUUACAGACAUAGCCCUCUUUGGUUAUGAAGCCCUCUGGUUGUGUCAUGUAUAUAUCCUCUAAAAUAUCUCAAUUAAGAAAAGAAUUAUUUAUAUUGUAGAAAAUAUGGAAAGAUUAGAUUAGUUGACAUUCCUGAUUUCUAGGAUUAGUUGUCUAAUUUGUCUGAUUUGUACAGCUAUUACUAAUUUGUAUAUUUUCAGAAAUUAGAAAGUUAAAUUUGGAAUAUGUUGUCCUAUAAAUUAACCCUAUUGUACUGGCUGUUAGAGGUACUUAAAAAUAAGAAAAGAUAUUUAUUCUUCUCCUCUGUUAACAUGGUAUCAAAGCUAUGGCAGAAUUAAGCCUAGCUUGACUCCCAUACGGAUCAGUUCAUUGCCUUGUUGUAAUGGCGCAAAACACCAUGCCUGGGGUUACAGUAAUUGGUGAUACUAAUUCCACUGCUACAUCUAUUGGAAUUGGUACAGGGGAGUUUCUUCCGUCGGGAUUUGGAAACUUGAACGGAAGUGAGAGUUUUCCCAUGCAAUUAACCGGUCACAAAUUGAACGGUAAAAACUAUCUAGAAUGGGCGCAAUCCAUUAAGUUGGUGGUCGAUGGCAAGGGUAGACUUGGCUACAUCACCGGUGAGACGAAGGAGCCGGAAAAAACUGAUCCAACAUGGAAGACUUGGAAGUCAGAAAAUUCCCUAGUUAUGUCCUGGUUGAUCAAUUCCAUGGAGGUUUCUAUUGGGAGGACGUAUUUGUUUCUUCCCACCGCAAAUGAUGUAUGGGAUGCAGUCCGAGAAACGUAUUCUGAUCUAAAAAAUUCAUCAUAGAUUUUUGAAUUGAAAACAAGACUAUGGCAGACUAGGCAAGGUGAUCAUGCUGUUUCUGAGUAUUACAACGAGAUGAAGGCUUUAUGGCAGGAGCUUGAUAUCUGCUAUAAAGAUGAUUGGGCCUAUAUGACAGAUAGUGUUCGUUAUUUAAAAAGAAUUGAAGAUGAUCGUGUUUAUGAAUUUUUGGCAGGUUUGAAUAAGAGCCUUGAUGAAGUGAGAGGCCGGAUUCUUGGCAGAAUUCCUUUGCCAUCAAUCCAGGAAGUAUUUUCAGAAGUACGACGAGAGGAAGGUCGACGCAAAGUGAUGUUAGGAGAAAAAACUGUAUCUGCUCCAGAAGUUUCAGCCCUAAUGACAGGGACUAAUCACAAUAAUUCCCCAUACCAAGCACGAUAGAACAAGAAAGGAGAAAAGGUGUGGUGUGAUCACUGCCACAAACCACGUCACACUAGGGAGACUUGCUGGGAUUUACACGAAAAACCUCCUAAUUGGAAGCCACGAAAUUUUAGUCAGUCAAACCGUGACUCAAAGGCCUUCCACUCAACCACUGAGGAGAAUGGAAACACUGCAACUACAACUACGACACCUUCAUUCAGUAAGAAAUAGUUAGAACAACUGUACUUUUUCUGUCCAGAUAAGUGACCAAUCCAGUAUCUUCUUCUUAUUCCUUAGCCCAGAAAGGUACUUAUCAAUUUGCUAUCUUCAAUGUGUCCACUAUUCCUCUUUGUCCAUGGAUAAUAUAUUCAGGUGCCACCGAUUAUAUGACUGGAUGCUCUAAAUUAUUUUCUUUCUAUAGUCCUUGUACAGGCAAUCAAAAAAUUAAGAUUGCUGAUGGCUCCCUCUCGGCAAUUGCUGGGAAAGGGUCAAUUGUUAUAUCUAAUACUCUCGUUCUUCACGAUGUCCUUCAUGUUCCAAAUCUCUCUUGUAAUCUUUUUUCUGUAAGUAAAAUAACUCGUGGUUUAAAGUGUUGUGCUAAAUUUCUUCCAAAUUGUUGUGAAUUUCAGGAACUGGAUACGGGGAGGAUGAUUGGCAAUGCUAGAGAGUAUGGCGGUCUCUAUUACUUUGAUGAUGGGAACUCUAUGUGUCAGCAACAGAAAAUUUUGAAUCUUGGAGCAUGCUUUAGUUCUACUGAUGAUAAAAUAAUGCUAUGGCACCGUAUGUUAGGCUAUCCUAAAUUUUUAUAUUUAAAACAUUUGUUUCCAACCUUAUUUCGUAAUAAACUUUUAUUGUCUUUUCAAUGCGAUAUUUGUCAGUUAGCUAAACACCAUCGUGCAUCUUUUCCUAUUCAACCAUAUAAAGCAUCCAAGCCUUUUACCCUUAUUCAUAGUGAUGUGUGGGGUGCCUCUAGGACAUCCACCAAUUCUGGAAAAAGAUGGUUUAUAACAUUUAUUGAUGACCAUACACGCCUAAGUUGGGUCUAUCUACUCAAAGAAAAAUCUGAAGCAGAACAUGUUUUUAAAAACUUUUAUAAUAUAGUUGAAACACAAUUUCAAACAAAAAUUCAAGUGUUCCGAAGUGACAAUGGGAAGGAAUACUUUAAUCAAAUAAUGGGGUCAUUUUUCUUAGAAAAAGGAAUUGUUCAUCACAGCUCUUGUAAUGACACUCCUCAACAAAACAUAAUAGCAGAACGGAAAAAUAAGCACCUCCUAGAAGUAGCUAGGUCUUUAAUGUUCACCACUAAAGUUCUUAAAUACUUAUGGGGAAAAGCAAUUCUUACUGCUACAUAUCUUAUUAAUAGGAUGCCAUCAAGAGUUUUGAACUUUCAGCCACCAUUGACAGUUUUUAAAAAAUUCUUUCCAAUGACACGUUUGACUUCAGAUUUACCUUUAAAGGUCUUUGGAUGUGUUGCCUUUGUACAUAUACACAAUCAUAAUAGGGAUAAACUAGAUCCAAGGGCUGUAAAAUGUGUUUUUCUGGGCUAUUCUCCUACUCAGAAAAGGUAUAAAUUUUUUUAUCCUAACAAACAAAAAUAUUUUGUCACGAUGGAUGUUACCUUCUUUGAGUCUCAAAGUUUUUUUAAUCCUCCUCUUCAAGGGGGGAAAGGAAAUGAAGACUCAGUGUUUGAGCUUGACAUGAAUACUAAUGGUGAGGCAAAUAUUGAAACUGAAAUUUUUAAUCCUAAUACCUUGAAUAAGGAGGAUAUGAGGAUUACCUUAGUGCCUGAACAUAAAACUGACACUACGAUAAUAGACGAGACAUGCUUCAAUGAUGAGAGAUUGUUCGGGAAAACUUACACUAGGGAGAAACGGAUUCAAAGUAAGAAAAAUGCAGCGAUACUUCCUCAACGCCAUGAAUCUGAUCCAAUUCCAGAUUCGAAAAACAUUGAUUCUGAAAAUCCAGGUACAAUCUCUAAAUUUAUAGAGUAUGAGUCUUUAUCUAUCCCACAAGUACAUUCUGACCCUCUAGAUCUUCCCAUUGCUCUUAGGAAAAGAAAUAGAUCAUGUACUCAACAUCCCCUUUUCAAUUUUGUGUCUUAUAAGAACCUGCCAUUAUUUUAUCAUACUUUUGUCUCACAAUUUUCAAGUGUGGAUAUACCUAAGUCUAUACAGGAAGCGCUAAAGGUUCCUAAAUGGAAGAAGGUUGUUCGUGAAGAAAUGGAGGCUCUAGAAAAAAAACAGAACGUGGGAGAUGGUUUUACUUGCCUGAAGGAAAAUUGAUUAUUGGUUGCAAGUGGAUUUUCACUGUGAAAUACAACUCAGAUGGAUCCUUGGAACGCUAUAAAGCAAGGUUAGUAGCAAAAGGAUUCACACAGACCUACGGAGUUGAUGAUCAAGAGACAUUUGCUCCCGUAGCCAAACUAAAUACCAUUCGAAUACUACUCUCUGUAGCUGUUAAUUUGGAGUGGCCAUUGUUUCAAUUGGAUGUUAAAAAUGCGUUCCUCAAUGGAGAAUUGGAAGAGGAAGUAUAUAUGGGUGCACCCCCUGGUUUUGAAGACAAGUUUGGAGGAAAGGUGUGUAAAUUGAAGAAAUCCUUUUAUGGACUGAAGCAGUCUCCUCGUGCUUGGUUCGAGAGAUUUACUAGGUUUGUUAAAAAAGAAGGAUAUAGUCAAGGACAAUCUGAUCAUAUAAUGUUCGUGAAACACACAGAUGGUGGAAAGAUGGUUGUCCUAAUUGUAUGCGUAGACGACAUAAUACUUACUGGAAGCGAUAAUGAUGAAAUGAAUAAGCUGAAGAAGCACCUGGCAUCGGAAUUUGAAAUUAAGGAUUUGGGUCCCUUACGCUAUUUCCUGGGUAUGGAAGUUGCAAGAUCUAGAAUGGGAAUUUCUCUGUCACAAAGAAAGUAUGUUUUGGACUUGCUAGAGGAGACAUGAAUGAGUGGUUGCAGACCAAGUGAUAACCCCGUGGAUCCUAAUCAGAAGUUAGGAGAGGUUUCCGAUGGAGUUCGAGUUAAUAAAGGUAGAUAUCAACGUCUCGUAGGGAAACUCAUUUAUUUAUCUCACACAAGACCUGAUAUUGCCUUUGCCGUUAGUGCUGUAAGUCAAUAUAUGCACUCACCCUAUGUGGAACAUUUGGAGGCAGUUCACAAGAUUCUCAGGUACUUAAAGAGGACACCUGGAAGAAGGUUAUUAUUUAAGAAGAGUGAUCAAAAGAGUGUAGAAGUCUUCACAGAUGCAGACUAGGCAGGCUCAAUUUCAGAUAGAAGAUCAACAUCUGGUUACUGUACAUUCUUAUGGGGAAAUUUAAUUACUUGGCGAAGCAAAAAACAAAACGCGGUUGCCAGGAGUAGUACUGAAGCUAAGUUUAGUGCCAUGGCAAAUGGAGUUUACAAGGUAUUAUGGAUUAAAAGAGUCCUUGGAGAACUGAAAUUAGAUAUUGAAGCACCUAUGAGACUGUUCUGUGAUAAUAAAUCAGCAAUAAGCAUUGCAAAUAAUCUUGUUCAGCAUGAUCGUACAAAGCACAUUGAGAUUGAUAGACAUUUUAUUAAACAAAAGCUGGAGAAUGGAGUUAUAUGUAUGCCAUUCAUCCAUUCAGAGUAAUAAACAGCAGAUGUUCUUACCAAGGGACACUUCAGGCCAAAGUUUGAAUCUUUCAUUGACAAGUUGGGCAUGAUUAAUAUCUAUGCACCAACUUAAGGGGGUGUAGAAAAUAUGGAAAGAUUAGAUUAGUUGACAUUCCUGAUUUCUAAGAUUAGUUGUCUAAUUUGUCUGAUUUGUACAACUAUUACUACUUUGUAUAUUUUCAGAAAUUAGGAAGUUAAAUUAGGAAUGUGUAGUCCUAUAAAUUAACCCUAUUGUACUGGCUGUUAGAGGUACUUAAAAAUAAGAAAAGAUAUAUAUUCUUCUCCUUUGUUAACAUAUAUCAAUUUGCCUGACUUUCCAACACUUCAUCACUGCCAAACUCAGUAUAGUUCUAAUUGUAAAAGACUUUACCACAGGACUGAAAGUUUCCUUAUAAUCCACUCCUGCUGUCUGGUGAAAGCCCUUGGCCACCAAUCUUGCUUUGUGUUUAGAAACUGUACCAUUUGUAUUGUACUUGGUUCUAAAAACCUAUUUACAUCCAACCAACUUGUGCUAAGAUGUCACAGGUACUAGAGUCCAUGUGUUAUUGUUGGUUAGAGCAUCAAAUUCUAAUUGCAUUGCAGCUUUCCACUUAGGAUCAGAUAAAGCUUCAUCAACAGUGGAUGGUUCCAGGCUGUUAUGUGAUGUUAAGAAUGCUUUAGGCUUGAAUAUACCAGCUUUUACUCUGGUAAUCAUAGGAUGAUUUGGCAGAGAAUGUUGGGAUGGUUGUGUGGAUUGAGUAUGAGAUGAUGAUGGCUGUUGUGUAUGUGAAGCAUCUAUGAUAGAGGGUUGAAAAUGUAUUUGAGAAGGUGAAACAACAAAGGUUGUAUUGUGAUUGUCAGAUGAGGAGUGAUCACUGAAAUGAUGAGAUUGAGCUUUAUCUUCUGCAGAGCCAGCUUCAAAGGUUUCUUGAUUGCUAUUGGGAAGUGAAAUAGUAUAAGAUUGAAGAAGACUGUAAUGAAAAUCAGAGAGUUUAGAUGGUGAAGUUAAAAAUUGUGAAUUUGAUGUGUAAGGAAAAGAGGUUUCAUCAAAUAAAACAUGACUGGGUAUAAAAUUCUUUCCAGAAGAAUGAAUACACUUGUAACCAUUGUGUAAAGGGCUGUAACCAAGAAAUACACAUUUUGAGGUAUGAAAAUGGAAUUUGUGAGUAUUAUAAUCCCUUAGGAAUGGAAAACAUGAACAACCAAAGACCUUGAGAAAUUUGUAAUCAGGUUUGGUUUUGAAAACACAUUCAUAAGGUGACUGCAUAGAUAGUAUGGGUGUGGGAAGUCUAUUGAUAAUAUAGGUGGCUGUAUGGAAGGAAUCCCACCAAAAUUUUAUAGGUAAAGUGGCUUGAGCAAGUAAGGUGAGACCUAGCUUGGUUAUGUGUCUAUGUUUUCUCUCAAUUAAGCCAUUCUGAUUGUGAGUAUAGGGACAUGAGUUCCUAAAUUGAAUACCUUCCUCAUGAAGAAAAUUAACAAAUGAUCUAUACUCUCCACCCCAAUCUGAUUGAAUACACUUGAUGGAUCUAUCUAGCUGUUUCUAAAUUUGCUUUUUAAAGAUUUUAAAAACAACUAGUGUUUCAUCCUUGGUUUUUAAUGGGAAUAUCCAUGUGAACCUCGAAAAAUCAUCCACAAAACUCACAUAGUAUCUGUAACCUUGAACUGAAAGCACAGGGGCAGGUCCCCAUAAAUCAGUGUGCAAAACCUUUAAUACAUGCUUUGUUUUGGUAGUAGAAACUGGAAAAUGUAAUCUAUGCAUUUUUCUCAUUUUACAUGCAUCACAUGAAUCAAGAAAUUUACUUCCAUUUAAAUUCUUGAAAGCUGAACAAGAGUUUAUUACAUGACUUAAAACUUUGGAAUUAGGAUGACCAAGUUUCUGAUGCAAUACAGAAACACUCAGCAUAUAAUUUGGACUGAUACAAGGUUCUGCUGCAGUAUGCAAGCAGGUGCUUGUUUGAUUAUUGACAACUGAUUGAACAACUGAAAACAUAAACAGGGGAACAUCUGGAAUUUUGGAUUGAGUGGCGUCAAGAGACCUUUGAAAUGAUUGAGAAGAGACUUUAUUAGAGGGAAACAAUAGCAAUCUGUAUAAACCUUUUUCAGCUUUGCCCUGCAGUAUGAUCAAAUUCCUUACCUUGUCCUUCACAUAAUAGGAUUGAUCAGUAAAUUCAAUAACAAUAUUGUUAUCUUUGGUUAGCUGAGAUAUGCUAAUAAGGUUCUUGGAUAUUUGUGGAACAAAUAGCAUGUUGUUUAAUUUGAGUGUGUUAUGAUCAGAAGAGUUAUGCAUUCUUAACACAGCAUUUCCAACAUGUGUUAUGUGCAAACCAGUACCAUUUCCAAUUAUGAGUUUAGAGUUACCUGCAAAAGGUUCUGUCAUAGUCGUAUUUCUCAUGUCAUUGGUAAGAUGGUGUGUAGCUCCACUAUCCAGAUACCAGUUGACAUCAGCUGCACCAUCCAUAUCAGCUAGAUAUGCAGCUUUGGGAUUUCUAUUUGGAGGAGGUCUGUAAGCACCAGAGGUAAAGAAUUCUUCAAGUUUCUAGCAGACAUUUGCAGUAUGACCAGUUUUGAAGCAGUUUUAGAAGCAUUCCACUGAGGUUUAGGAUUCAUUUGGGGCCUAAUAGAGUUAUUGUUACCACCCCCACCAUUGUUCCAAUUUCCUGAGCCUAAUCCCCUUUGAUUAUCACUUUGAAAUCCUCUGAACUGGUUAUUUGAAUUAUUUCCAGAACCAUUUCCAAUGAAACCAGAUCUUCCAUAGCCACCUCUGUAAUUAUUUCCAAAAUUUCCAGCAUUAUCUAAACCAGAAAAAUAGUUAUGAUUUCCAGAUCCUCUACCACCUGAGAAGUUUCCUUUCUUAAAACCUCUGUUCUAAGCUAAAUUAGCUUCAAAAUUAUGCUUAACAUCCAUUCCAGAAAGCAUAUGUGCUUGUUGCUCAAUUCUAGCCUCUUAAGUCAACAACAUAGCAUAAGCCUCAUUCAAAUUCAUUUUAUCACCACUUAUUUGACCAGUAAUAUAAGUAGCAACAACAUUAUAAUCUGGUCCUAGUCCUGAGAGUACAUGCAAAAUUAAAUCAUCACUGCUUAAGGCACUUCCUGCCGCAACCAUGUUAUCAACAAUAUUCUUCAUUUUAAUGAAAUACUCAUUGAUUUUCAAAUCAUCUUUCCUAGUUGAAUUUAUCAAAUAUCUCAAAUGUAAGAGUCUGGAUUUUGAUUGUGAUCCAAAUUGGGUUUCAAUAGCUUUCCAUACCUCAAGAGAAGUUUCCAGAUUAAACACCAGGCUUAUAAUACCUUCACUCAUCGAUGAUAGCAACCAGCCAAGGAGUACUUGAUCUUGUGCUUUCCAGCUUGACAAAUCUGGAUUCUCAAUAGAUCUAAGUUCAUCGUCAAUCCUCUGAGCAAUAUGAGAUGGAGGAGGAGUGACAGUUUCAUCAAUGAAUUUUUCUAACCUAUUGCCGCAUAUGGAAGCUAAAACUUGGGACCUCCAGAUCAGAUAGUUUGCCUGAUCCAGUUUCACAGGAGUAUUGAAAGUGAAUGAGAAGUUUGUUGAGUUUGCAUGAACAUUUGAAGUGUGGUUUGAUGAGGCAAUAUUCAGAGACGCCAUGACUAGCUCUGAUACCAAGUUAAAGAAACAGAAAAUAAGUGUUUGGCUAAUAAGAAAAUAAAAUGAGAUUUGGCAACUUUUAAUCCUUUUAUUUUCUCAAGCUUAAGUUGCUACUGAACGAUUACAAGCAUAUAUAUACAAGUGUAGCUGCUCAGCUGAAGAUUACCAAAUUAACUAACUAAUUACAAAUUGAUUAACAAACUCAUCACGUGUAUAAGUACAAGCAGCUACAUAACCACCUGGUGCCAACUAGCAGUACAUGUCAUCAACUUGUAACUGAUUAUAGAAGCUUCUGUGAUCCUCUGCUCUGUGAUCCUCUGCUUGACUACAAAUAUGAGCUUCCUUAACAGUGGGGAGGAAGUUUAAGCAGAGGAGUUGCUCGGUUUGGAAUAUUUGGAGGUAUUGAGCUUCACUUGAGAAGUGUUCGUGCUCUCCAAUUUAUUUUGAGCUCACAUAAGCUACGAAGUUGUACUCAAGCGGUGUUCCUCCAAUCCUUCAAUGAUUCGAUAUGGCUUGAUAUUUCACUUUUGGCAGAGUUAAAAGCACCACUACAGAUUUAAGUAUUUUUGGGUGUAGAAAAUUGGAGGACUUGAAGAUGGAAUAUACAGGGGGAGCGAAAAACAAGCGGCAACCUUGUGUUUUCUAAGGCCUACAUACAGUUCACAUAGAGGUUUGUUCUAAAUUGAAGGACUUAACAUUCCUUGUUUUUGCUCCAAAUCUCAAGAACUUGUAAAUACAAAAUUGCCCUGCUGUGGAAGCAAUCAUCGGUGUGGAAGAAUUUGCGGAAGCUCUAGAGGUGGUGGAAAAUCUAAACCCAUUUGCAAAACUCCAGUAUCUUGGACUAGAAAAUCUGCUAAAUGUGGAGAGCAUCUAUUGCAAGCCUCUGCCCUUUCCAUGUUUGAAAAGAAAUGACUGUGGAUGGUUGCCGUUGUCUUAAAAAGCUUCCACUCUACUCCAACAGUGUAAAAGAGUGUACAAUUGUUAUUUCAUCAUUCGGAGAGUUAAUGGUGCAAUGAGAUUUGGCAGUUAACUCUCGUGGGAAGAGCUUGAAUGGGAAGACGAAGCUGCUCGAAUUGCUUUUCAUUCCUGUUUCAAAUCUCUGAUUGGAUUGGAGAUUGCAUUUCGCCUCAGGUUCGUACUUUUCUUGAAUUUUUCUUGUUAACUUCAUUUGUUCAUUUAUCCAUUUUUUUUUAAAGGAAUCAGAAGGGUUAAUAUUUUUGGUUGUGUUAGGUCGACUUCUAAUCACGAGGCAGAAGGAGUUGAGAUGAAGUUUAAUUUUGGUGGAGAAAUUGUUUGAUUUAAAAAAUUUAAAUGAGUUGAUCAUCAUUCUUUAGCAUAUUUGUAUGAACAGGAGUGUGUAAAUAUGCAAACUGUCCAGCUGUAUGUGUGUAACGUAAUAAUUUUGAGGAGUUAAACAUUGAAGAGUAUUGAUGUUUCCAUUGUCAAACCAAAUAUACUUAAUUACUUGAGGAUAAUGAUUACUGCUAAUACAUUUGCAAAGAAAAAACAUGCCUAUUGAAAAACUCAUCUUAUUAGCAACAGCAUUAUAAGUAGUAUCCAAUCAUAGUUUCAUGCAAGAUUUUGAGAUUUUUCAAAUGCUGAUUCCGGGAAUGGAGAUUAAUAGAAAAUGGAGACAGGUUGACUGCAAUGGCUAAUUGCAAGAGGGAAUUUUAGUCGUAAAAACAGACCAACUAGCAAAGCAAAUUCCAAAUCUUGGAAUGAAGUGGCAAAAAAACGAAACAAACAAAUGGCAAGAGGAAGUGACUAUACAAUAAUAACAUCGACUUGCAAUUCAACAUUUAUACAGUUUUACACACCAAGAAAAGAGAAAAUUACAAUAGCAAUUUGGCUACUAGAAGAUGGUCAUUCAUGCUUAUGCCUGUCAUAUGGAUUUGAAACAAGGAGUAAAAGCAUUUAGAGUGGCUUCAUCCUUCCACUGCAGCUCAUUCCACCAGUGUUGCUCUCCCCUAAUAACAAGUUUUCGUUCCUUGGCGCUGUUGUAAUCGAGUGGAAGCUUCUUGAGGUUCGGGCAUCCAGAUACAAACAAUUCCAAGAGAUUUGGAAAGGGCAAUGCAUUCAAACAGAUCUUCUUCAAAUUUCUUAGAACUUGCAACCGAAGAUAUUGGAGUUUCGCAAAAGGUUUUAGCCCUGGAACUUCUUCCACUUUCCAAACACUGAUUAUUUCUUCCAUCUCAUAACAACGUUCUACAUGGACCAUCUUCAGAUUUGGGGCAAAAACAAGCCAUGUCAUCUCCCUCAAUUUACUGCAAUAGUCUAUGGUAACACUUUGAAGGCUGUUGAAACCAUAAAGUUCUCUUGUUGUUUGAACUUCUGCAUAGUCAACCUUUAGCUCUUCCAAACUUGUACAAUACACAAAAUCUAGUUUGUCAAGAUACUUGAGAUCUGCUAUGGACAAAAUAUUCCAUGACCUUGAAUCCUCACAGCGGCGAAGCUCUAAAGCAUAUUUACAACUCUUGUACUGUUGGCAGCUCAAAAGUCUUCGUAGAGCAUAAAAACUUCUUAACGUGACGCUUAAUACAUUUAAAUGUUCCAAAGUAAUCAACUCUACCAAAAUUUCACUACCACCAAAUAGAACGCUAUCUUCUGGUACUGUAUUAGCAGAGCCACAAUCUAGCAUCCUCAACACCUUUAACCCAGAAAAAUUACAAAGCAGUUGCCGUGGAAUCGUAUGGAGAUAACGCAUGUACUCCAAGUUCAAACACUUUAGAUUUUUCAAGGCUUUUAAUUCAUGUGGCAACUCUUUGAUGAAAGUUUCUGAAAGAUUAAGAUAUUGUAGUGAAACCAAUUUUGAAAUUCCUGAAGGCAAUUGACUCAAGGAGCGAUUCUUUGAUAGGUUUAAAACUUUAAGAGAAGGCAUAAAAUCGAAGAAAUCACUAGGGAUAGUAUCUAACAUAUUAAUGCCGAGGAACAAAGUUAUAAGAUGAGGGCAUAUUGGAGUUAUUGGUAAAAUCACAAUUUUAUUUCUCAUCAACGAUAUCCUUCUCUUAUCUUCCCAUUGUUUAACCUCGGGUGGUUCAGUUAAUUCAAUACCGGAAGAAACCAAAAAGUUUUCAUUCUCCACUUCACAGGCUAUCCACAAGGUCAUAUCACGAAUCACAUCAUACAGUUUUACAUAAUCUGAUCCUGCUUCUUCCAAUAGGCAUGCAUGAACAAGAACACCAAUAAUGUAGUAUCCUUGGUUAUGUACUCCGUUAAUUCCUUCAUUUUCCUUCAGAAAACCCUCACCAAUCCAACACCCGAUCAAUUCAAUUUUGCUAAUUUGAUAAUCCUCAGGAAAUAAACCACAGUAUAACAGACAAGAUCUAAGGACGUCACUAGACAAACUAUCAUAACUGAAUUUUAAAAGACGAAACACCUCUUUCUCCAUACUUGGAAAUUCAUAAGCUGAUCUCCUUAACAUCUGAAUUGCAUAGCUCCAUUCUUCGGGUGUCUUCUUGCUGCUCAUGGCACGACCGGUGGUAAUAAGUGCAAGUGGCAAACCACUAGACUCCUUUGCCACAGUUUGGGCUAACUCCGGAAUAUCGGGAUGACUUUCAAGAGUCUCUUCUCCGACCUUCUUUAGGAACAAUUCCCAAGCAUCUUGAUCUGCCAAACACUCCACCUUGAACUUUUUUUGAGCUUCCAUGAGGCCACAGACGUCCACAAGACGAGUCGUAAAGACUAUCUUUGAUGCAUUUCUUGAACUCGCAGGAAAAGGGACACCCACUUUGGCUAAAUCAAUUCUUUCCCACAUAUCAUCUAACAAUAGCAGAAAUUUCAUUUUGCUCAAUAAAUUGAAUAUGCCUGAUGCUUUCUCUUCAAAGCUUCUAUUCUGAAGCCAUCCUAUUCUUUCUCCGAUUUUCUGUUGAAUUCUCUCAAGCUGCAUGCCUUUUGACACCACCACCCAAAUCACAAUAUCAAAAUAAUUUGGUGUUUUAAGGAACUUGUUGUUGAUUUGGGUUAAUAGUGUAGUCUUGCCGACUCCCCCCAUGCCAUAAAGUCCGAUGAUUCCAAAUUGUCCUUCUACAAGACAUCUCCAAACUUUAUCAAAUGAUGAUUCUAGGCCGAUUAUUGUUGGCUGAAGAGGCCUUUCAUCCACUGCUGGUUGUGGUACCUUUUCAGCUACCACUGCAAAAGCUCCAUCAUCUAUUAAAGUAGCCACAAGCUGCAGCUUUUUAGACACCUUUUUCCCAAACUUGUAGCUUGACUUGCAGUUCUUGGAGCAGUAGCCUCCAAGACAUAGUUUUUCAAUUUCUUGAGAGCUGUCCCUUGUCAAUUCACCUACUUCAGCUUCCACAGCCUCCACCCUUGAAAGCCAACCUUGCACUCUGUUCAGCCGUCUUAGUUGUUGUUGCUCAGCAUUAGAGACCCUCAUCAUCACAUCGUUCUUUGUUUCAAUUAGUUUCUGCAAUUCGGUCUGGACGGCAACCAGGUUAUUUUCAAGCUGGCUUAGAUAUGCUGCUUUUCUGCGGGUACAAUUUAUGAAGCCAGUGGAAAGGGCAUCACAUGUAAGUUGGAUUCCCAAAAUAUUACCCAUAGUUUGUAUGAGAUUCAGAGUACAAUAGAAGGAAUGCAACACAGUAUGUAUUCGGUUGUGGUGUCUAUGAUUUUACAGUCGCAGAAGCUUUUUCACCUUGUGAGGGCUGAUCAGGUGGGCACCAUCACUCUCUUUACGCUUUAUAGAGAGCGAUAGUCCAUGUGGUCAGAUCUCAUUCAGAUAACUAGCCAAGUGGGCAAUCGCUCCACCUUAUCAAAAUUCUUCAUCUUAUAAUAAUAUCAUGAGUAGGCCUUGAAUUUUUCUUUUAAUUUUAACAUUUAAAAGGUAGAGGUGAAAAAGUCUAAAUAGUAUUUUUGUCCUCGUACUUUAACUAAAUAACAUUUCUUGAAAAUCACUCAAUCUUAAAAUUUAAUUAAGAAGAUAUUAUAGAUUUAUAAGCCCUUAAAAUUUAUUUGCAAGUAACAAUUAGAGAAAAGUCGUCAGGCCCAAAAGACUUACUAAAAGUCGUCAACUCGUCAUGACCAAAAUUCUUCCGCGUGUGAAAUACGGCAUGCGCAGAUGCAUUAAAAACAAAGGCCAGCUAUGAUAAUCUUUGUAGUAUUAAUAAUUUCAGACGCGUCGUUCGUUGCCUGUGACUUUUCAUAUGCAAAAGCGGAGUCAGUGUUACUUGCAUUCCCUGUCACCUUAUUAAUAAUUUCAGACACCAUCGUUGGUUGCCUGUGAUUUUCAUAUGCAAAAGCACAGUCAGAAUUACAAUUUUACAUUUGGAAUUGAGUGCCAUCUAUUUAUUCUAGCUGGAUCUAAAAUGAUAUUGCAGUAUUGCACUGACUUUUUAGUCACAGCGUUUCUCUAUGAAUUCCUUAAAGUUUAAACACAUCAUGGAAUAAUUAUUUUCUUAAAGACCAAAUUAACAUAAUUCUUAAAUCAUUUAUAAAACAACAUUUAUCAUAUAACAGAUCGUACAUGAAUAAAUUUACCUUGAACCGUAGCAAACAAACAAGAAUCUCAACCACAUCAAUAUCAUAACCCCUUCUGACCUUAACAAUAAUUUUAUUCGUCCUUAAUUCAUAGGUAUAAGUAUCCCAAUAUAUACUUGAUGUCAACCUUUACAAUUCUUUACAGAAUUGCAGCAGACCAAAUUUGUAUGCAAAACUGAAAUCAUACAGUAAUUGAAUACAGUGAAAAUAGACAUGAUGGGAAUUAGUAUAUAUAAAUAUCUUAAUAAUUUAAAAGUUUCUUAAACUGAUUUUACAUAUCUGAAAAAUUAUAGAAAUCGGAACUGCUGCAGAAAUCAUAAUUUUCCAGCGAAUGUGUUACAACUUCAGAAACUCAUAAGAAAUUAAAUUCUUGGGAUCACAAAAUAAUUCAAUAGAAAGCUUAAGAUGUCUAGUUCAUAAAAUCUGAUUUUUUUUUUUAAUAAGAUCUUUGGAAUUUAAGAGAUUCAGCAGUACUUUUAUUACAUCAAUUCUUCAAACAAUCACCAAUCUAACAUUCAUCAAAAUUAAGUCAUAAAAAUCAUGUGGUUUAUAAAAAAGAAUUACCUGAAAAAGAUUAGCCUUCCCCUUUCAAAAGCAACGUGAAACUCCAAAAACUCUUCUUCCAUUACCUAUUCAAACAUGAAAAAAAAAAAAAAAAAAAUUGGUAUCUCCUCUUUAAACGCGUGAUGAGUGUGCUCUGUUUUCUCUGUUCUUCUUUUUCUUUUUUAGAUUUCGAAAACGUAAAGAGUGUUGGAGUCUUUAUUUUCUAAAAACAAGACUUUUCCAUGUAUUCAAUUAAAUUAAAUUAUGUCCUAAUGCUAUGUCAGUUCCAUCAUUAACAUUUUUUUUUUUCCUUUUAACACCAACAUUAGCGUAUCUUAAGUAUCAUAAUCCAUAGUUGGACAAUUUGAAAUCUCUUCGUGUUUUAUCUCAAAGUAGAGCUUCAAACAAUUUGUACCUCACAAAUUUACAAUAUCUAUGAGGGCUAAUAAGACCAAACUCAGGCAUAUUGUCAAAUGUGCUUAUACUUUCGCUUGACAAGUCAUUUUAAAAUUGUCUUUCAAUGCCAAAAAACCACAUAAACUAAUGGUCCACUACUUUAAUUUGAAAGCAUGCAUGCGAUCGCCAAUAAUCAAGGAUGUUAGGGUCAUGCUACAGAGUAUAGAACAUGAUUUGAUGGUAUAGCCUUUUUUCUUUAUAAUUUUUAAGUUUAAUACUGUUACGUAUGUAGCACAUAAGUUGGAAAACAUAACAUAAAAUUUGAAAAAUGUGUAGUUUUCGUUCCCUUUUUUCCCCUCUAAAAAUGGGAAAAAAGAACGUAAUUUUGAUUUAUUUAAAUUACUGUUGUGAUAACAAUUUUUAUUUUAUUGAUUAGUUACCCAUACAUGUGGCAAAUUUUUUAAGAUAAGGUGAAGGAUGAAGCUCAAAUAUAUAAAUUAUAUAAUUAAUUACCCUCUGUAGUAAGUUUAAAGUUUAUUAUUUUUAACUACAUGUUUAUAAUUUAUUUUUAUUAUGUGUUAAUCUAUAGAUCUAAAUUCACUUCGGAACCAUAUACAUAUUUAGACAUAAUGUGCAUGUUAAUCUAUAGAUCUAAAUUCACUUUAGAUCUAUAUGAGUAUUUAGACAUAACGUAUUGCAACCAUAUUGGCAUGUUCUCACUAUAGUAUUGGUGUAUUGAGUAUUGACAUUAUAUCUAAUUGUCCUUAUAAAUCCAAAAAUAAUCUAGAUAUACAAAUUAACAUAAAAUAAAUAUAAUUGGUAGAAAAUGCAAAUUAUAAACAUAUAAUUGAAAAUGAUAAAUUUAAAUUUACUUAAGAAAGUAAUUAAUCACUUAUUUCUUUUUUAUAAUAUGACAAAUAUUAUAAUAAAUAUUAAUUAAUAAUAAUUAGAAUAACAAAUUAAGGAUAUUUUAGUAACUUAAAAUAAUUCAUUUUGAUUUCGAGACAAAAUAAACACAUCAAUCACAAUACAACUCAUUCUGAUUCCACUCAUUCAGAUUUCAACAUAUUUUAAUUAAUUCAAGUGCUCUCCAUUAUAAUUGAAGCCGCUGCCCCACUCGUGAUUCCAAACUUUAUCUUUUUCCUUUUUUAAAUUAAUGCAAGCAGCCGCUGUCCUUUUUAUUAAUUAAUUAAUUAAUUCGGCCUCCCACAUUUCUUUUCCUAAUGUCUUCGGCUUUCGAUUUUCUUUUAUUUUCUCUUUAUUCUUAAAAUAGACUUAUAAUAAUAAAAUAUAAAAAUAUAAAAAAAAUUAACAUAAUCAAAAUAUAAUUUAACAGAAAAUUAAGAUAAAAAAUGUGAAAAUAAUAUAUAAAUUAUGAGCGUAUCAAUCAAUAAAUGAAAAAUAAUAAUUUUUAUUUUUAUUAAAUAUAUAUUUUUCAGUAUGAAUCAGUUAUCUAAAUAACUAAAAUCAGUUAAAAAUAAAUAAAUAAAUUAUUCUUAAAAAAAAAAUUUUAUACCACUCACUAUGCUGGCUGUCAAGGGUAGAAGCUUUGGGGACUGAAGUUGGUAACUUCUACAAGUAGUCUUAAGUUGACUGGCAACAACUACAUUGGCAUGUUCAAAUGUUCUCACUAUUGUAUUGGUGUGUUGAUAUUAUCUCUAACUGCCCUAUAGAUCCAAAAAUAAUCUAAAUUUACAAUUUAACAUAAAAUAAAAUAAUUGGUAGAAAACAAUUAUGGUUCAUUUACUUAUCAGUAAUUAGAAUAAACUAAAAUCAGAAUGAGUUGUAUUGCCGUUAAUGUGUUUAUGUUGUAUCGGAAUGAAUUAUUUUAAGUUACUAAAAUACCCUUGGUUUGUUAUUCUAAUUAUUAUUAUUAUUUAAUAUUUAUUAUAAUAUUUGUCAUAUUAUUAAAAAGAAAUAAUAAUGAUGAUAAUAUUAUCAUUAUUGUUUGUUAUAUUAUUAUUAUUAAAAAAAUUAUUGUUAAUAACAAUAAUAACUUUAUUUCAAUAAUAAAAAUGAUAAAAUUAAUAAUAACAAUCAUGACAACAACAACAAUUAUUUAUUAUGCCAAAAAAUAACAAUAAUAAUAAGAAUAAUAAUCAUCAUCAUUUUUUCCCAAAGAAGCAUUAUCAUCAUCAUUUCAAAAAAAAAAAAAAAUCAUCAUCAUCAUCAUUUUUGUAGUGGCUGCCUAUCGGCUGCUGCUUUCAUGCGAGAUUGACUUGCGACGCUUCAACUGCUAUUAUUUCUGGCAAUGUCAGGUGUUGUUGUUUCAAUGGGGGGAGAAGUUGUUUCGGUGCGCUAACGAUGGGAGGUAAUGACGGUAGGUGUUGCUGCUCAAUGCGAGGUCCAUGGCCAGUUGUCUUGUUUUACAACCAGCUCUUGUAGGAAAUUCUUCAUCCAAAAUAUUUUUUUGUAACCUUCAAUAAUUGUAAUAUCAUUUGCUUCCGUGGUAGAAAAGACAACUCAUUACUAAAGUCUAGAUUGUGAUGAGACUGCUCUCCCUGCAAAAGUGAGCAAAUAUCCUAGUAGGGAUUUUUCAGAAUCAACAUCUCCUGUCAUAUCUACACACUUGUAACACAGGUUUGUCACCACCAAAAUAUAAACAUAUUCUGGAAAUGCCUCUAAGAUAUCUGAGAAUUCAUUUCACUGUUGUCCAGUGCUCUUUGCCAAGAUUGAAGAGAAACCGACUGACUACACUAAUUGCAUAGGCAAUAGCUGGUCUUGUACAAAUCAUGGCAUACACCAAACUGCCAAUUGCUGAAGCAUAAGGAACUCCUCUCACUAAGAAAUGGGUUUUGCUCUUGAGAUUUUUGGGAACAUGAAGAAUAAAGAUGUAAUUUCUUGGACUACCAUUGUUUCGGGGUAUAUAAAUAGAGGACAAGUCGAUAUAGCUCGACAGUAUUUUGCUCAGAUGCCAGAACGAGAUUAUGUCUUAUGGACUGCCAUGAUUGAUGGGUACCUUCAAGUGAAUAGGUUCAGAGAGGCUUUGACACUUUUCCGGGAGAUGCAAACUUCAAAUAUAAGGCGAGACGAGUUUACCAUUGUUAGGAUUCUUACAGCUUGUGCGAAUCUGGGGGCACUAGAACCGGGAGAAUGGAUAAAGACUUAAAUUGACAAAAACAAGGUCAAGAAUGAUAUAUUUGUGGGGAAUGCUUUGAUAGACAUGUACUGUAAAUGCGGAGAUGUUGAGAAAGCUCAAAGGGUAUUCAGGAAGAUGCUUCGAAAGGACAAAUUCACAUGGACGGCCAUGAUUGUUGGCCUUGCCAUCAGUGGCCAUGGUGAUAAAGCUCUUGAUAUGUUUUCCCAAAUGCUUAGGGCUUCGAUUAGACCAGAUGAGGUAACUUAUGUUGGUGUUCUGUCUGCCUGUACUCACAAUGGUAACGAAAUUUUUUUGAUAAAUAGUUGCAACUUAAGGUGAGAAUUGGAGGAAACGAAAUAGACUGAAGUUGUUCAAUCAUCGGUGGUUGCUAUUUGAUUUUAAGUUGUUCAAUCAUCGGUCGUCUCUAUUUGGUUUUCUCCAAUAUCUCAUCUCCAGUUUUGACUCAGAUUCUGUCUUACCACUAGUAAUUACAUAGACUUGCUGCCAAAGGUAAGAAUGGUAAUAAAUUAAAUAGAUUAUGUCGAUAACGAAAUAGAUUUACUAUUGCUAUGUGCAUUAUAUUUGGUUCCUGCAAAAUAUUUUCUCCUGCCUAAAAUUUUUUGAAUCAGUAAGUUUUUACCUUACGCAAGAAUUGUGCUAAGAGUAAUUCCAGUCUCUCUAUGUUUCAAUGAAGACGUAAAACUUGUGUUUUAGAGCACCAAUGUUAUGCUUCUUACAAUUGGAUUUUAAUUUACUUCGUAAAACUUUUGUCAAGAAGUACUAAGCGUGUAUUUGAAAUUGAGGUACUGUAGUUUUUAAGCUACAACUGCUGUGGAAAAAAAAUUGUAAUUAUGAAAUAAAAAUUAAUAAUAUAUAGUAAAUAUAAAUUUUAAAUAAUAGUUUUGAUAAAAUUAUUAAAGAUAUAAUAGUUUUUUUUAUUAUACAAGUGAAAAAUUAUAUAAACAUAGUUUUCAAGUUACAGCAGUUAGUGUUUACCAAACACUUUAGUGCUGUACUUUUUAAGUUGCAGCUGCCCAACAUCAAUCUCAAACGCACCUUAAGGAGUAGUGCGCCAAACACCAACUUUAUUACAGAGAGGACUUUGGUUAAACUUUAAGAAAAACACUCAAAGGAAGAGUUAUAAAUUAUUAUAGAAAUAUUUCACAUAAAUAAAAGCCAUUCCACAAUGCGAAGAUCUUGCUAUCAUCACCAGAAACCAUCGGGAGCUUUCAGGGUUUCCAUGAAAACGCCAUUUCAUUCCAAGAGUCAAUGGUGGGUAGAAAGUGGUGCAAACGAUACUCAUUGUUAAUGCUAUAAGUUUUUGCUAAAUUAUGUCUUACCCAAAAUGAUGAUUUAAUUUCCAUUCUCAAUUAAUUUUCAAGUUUCAACACUUUUCUUUGUAGCAUGACAUUGGAAAGGUCUUGUACUACUAAAAGCUAGCACCACACGUUAAUUAUUGUUAAGUUCUUUUUCAACGUGAAAUAAAGGAAGUAGUCCUUCGUUAAAACCAUUAUAGCCAAAUUUCAUGUAAUUGGACACUUACAGACUUUCAUUUCAAGCUGGAAUUUGGUCCAACGUUUCAAAGUUGACCCAACUAAUUGUCUGAUCAAGUCCUACACAGCUAAGACCCUCAAUGAAUGAGGGUGAGACUGCUAAAAAUUACGACAGUUGAUAUUAUUAUUAUUAUUAUUAUUUUGGGAUAAAUCCUCACCAAGGUGAGUGAGGAGAUUUUAUCAAAAUAAAAUAAAAAUAUAACAAGAAAACUAGCUAAAUUAAAAUAUUACAAAAGCUAGAUGAACUGAAAGGCAGCCUAAAAACAACCUUAUGGAAAAGAGAAGCAACAUGCUAGUAUUCCAAGCUUCUUGUUAUAAAAGUGUAGAAUGAAGUAGGUGACGUAGUUUUAAGUUACACCUCCAUGCCCAAUCACAAUAUCAAAUAAUGCUUAAAGUAGUUAUAUUAACUCUUAAAUUUAUAAAUAAUUAAAUUUGUAAAAGUAUGGAUUUAUAUUAAAAAAUUUAUAUAUAAAUAAAUAAUAUAUGCAUUUUUACAACAUAGUCUUUAAAUUUAAACUUUUCUAGAAAAAUCUUCUGGAUAUCUUUUCUAUUAAAAAAGAGUUUCUCAAAAUUUAUAAAAGUAACUUAAAGUUUUGUCUUCCCUUUUCUUUUAGCUUAUACAUAUGUGUGUGUAUUCUUUUAUAGCAAUAACUAACGUUAUUUAUUUUUAAAUCAUAAAAAAAUUAUGAAAAAAAAAUGUACCAAAUUUAAUUGGACCCAGCACAAUGCACAUGCAUAGAACACAUUCUGAAAAGCCAUGCUAUUCGGAAAUUGACGAAUGGAAAGUGAAGAGGCAGCAGUCAAUGCUAUUUCGGCUUGGCCCAAAAUUUCACCAGUUUGUUAAUCAGUGUUCUGCAGCUCUUGCUGCUUUCCUAGAGAUUCUGCAUGUUUUGCAAUCUGAUAGAAUUAAAAAAAAAAAAAAAUUAGUGGCCAUUUGGAAUGGAGGAGAGAUUUGUGUGAAUGGUAUAGGUGAAAAAUUGGAUGAAAAUAAACAGGCAACCGUCCGUAUAAAACAACAAUAACAAUAUACAAAAAGAUAAGUAAUUCACGAAAGGAAAUUUACGGUUGUUUCUGAAAAACAUACAUAUUAAUUUCACUUAUACUCUAAGAUUUGCCAUCAUGACUGGGCUUGUGAGGAAUUUGGAAACAUGUAUGAUGUAGAAAUGCUGAAGUAGCUUGAACCAGAUGGUGAAAUCGUCUAGCGGUCAGCGGGACAUGAAGCUAUAGGGGUUGUUAGUUGUGUUUUGGAUAUUUACAGACAUGCUGAGUUUGAGUUUAUAUCUUAACUUAAAAUUUGUAGUUUUCACUUGAAAAGAUUCAGUUAAAAAUUGAUUGGUAGAAUUGUUAAAAAGUCUAAAUUUUUAGUUCAAACCUAUUGCAUAUUUAAGAACAUCUCAAAUGAAUUGUUUAUUGCUAUCGUCAUCAUCAUUGCCCGUAUAAUUAUUAUUAUGUCUUUAUAAUUAUUAGUAUCGCUGUUAUUAUUUUUAUGGGUAAAUGGGCUUUCUAUCCUGGCAAUUUAAGCCAAUUACCUAACUAAUCCAUGUAAGUUUAAAAAUGUUUCAAAAGAUCUUUAUUUUAUAUAUGUUUCCACUAAAAUUUAUUUAAUUAUUCUUUAUUUUUCAAUUAUUGCAUGUUGGAUUUUUUUGAGUUCUAAGCUAUAUCAAUAGAAAUGUUAUCUUAUAUAUCCACAAAAAGUUAGAUCCAACAAUUAUGAAAAUUACUAUAGAGCUGCUUUGAAUAAUUUUUAAAAAAUACCACAAGUAAAUAAUAAUUAGUUUAAAUAGUGGAGACUAAAAAGCAUUCACCCUUAUUUUUUAUCUGUUAUUUGUAUUUUUUCCCGUUAAUGCACAUGUUAUACAUUUGAAACAUUCCGUUAAUUGCCAAUUAUGUAAGCGAGAUAGUAAUUUAAAUUUUUUUUUAAAAAAGUGAAAAUUAAUCCUAUGCAAUGUGAAUAAAUUUCUUUCCUUUUUCCUUCACUCUUUUUAUUUGAUAAUUAAGUUUCAAUCUAUGUACGCAAAAUUUCUGCAACAGGUGCAAAACAUAAAAAUAUAUGAUUGUUAAGGGAAACACGCGGAAGCUCAUCAUUUCAAUGUUCAGUAUUUCCAAUUUUGGCAUACGAAUAUAUUUCACUUAGAAAGCCAAAUAUUAGAUUUGUGAUUUUAAUUCAUUCAUCAUAUCUCAUUUCAAUCCCAAAAUAUUCAAGAGGAUCCAAGUUACCAUAAGACUUCAGAGGCUCGAGCCUUAGCCAGAGACGGUUAAUUGAUAGACUAUGUGCCCGGGUCGAGCACUGGAAGCGUGCAAUGCAGACUGAUUGAUUUAUCAGUUUGAUGUGUGCCAGGAAUGAAGAACUGGAAUAUCACCGUCAAGCAAGCACCCAGUGAAGCAAUACCAUAGAAUGCACAAUCCGGCCUUGCUAGGUGACACUGGGGGCUUUUUGAAAAGUGCUUCAUGCUCACUUGCACAGAUUGAGCAUCCCCUCUGGAUAUUGCCCUCUCUGAUCGAGUCAGAGCACUCAAAUUUCGGUCCUCAGAUGGAGCUACAGCUUUCUCUCCAAUAACCAACAAUUUUCUAAACUCAGCACCUAGUGUGAUCAGAGUUGUUGAUAUUUGUAAAUGGAGAUCCCCAUAUUUGCAAAUGGAGACAUUUAACAAAUCACCAACAUGCUUCAUCCGGUCUACGAAAUUCUGCAGCUGAUUCAAAUCCGGAACCUGAACCAGAGUCGGAGGUAAAUCUUGAGCCAUAUCUAAAGCAGUUUGAAGUUCAAGUACUUGAGCCCUCGACAGUGGUUUUGAAAUUGGAACAUCUUGAAUUACUGCAGACUUGUACCCUUUGGUUUCAAAGGUAAGGAAAGGCAUUGCUUGAGUACAAUUUGGAGGCAGCUUCUUCACCAAUUUUAUUUGGAGGCGAUUGGCAGCAGAUCCAGCUGCACCAUUUUCAGAGCAAAUACUGACACUACUUCAAACAGCACGCUGAAGAAGCGCUAUGUCUACGGCAAAGGCAAUGCAGUCCUCAUUUUGGCUUGAGAUGCGGUAAUCAUCGAAGAGAGUUUCCUUAUGAAACUGGGCAACACAUUGAAUCCCUUCACCACUGAGAAGGUUGUGGAGGAAGUACGCUUUCUCUCUAGUGAGGAAGAGGUGGCAUACCUUCCCCAUUUUGUCUAGGGCAGUUAGGAAUCUUUUUUCUAAGAGAUUUACUCCAUUCUCUGUGAGAAAUGCUUUGAACUUCAUCCCUCUGUCUCUAUCCUCACUUAUCAGUAAAACAGUUGAAAGUGAUACAAGGAGAGAAAAGGAGAGUACUAAGAUAUAUAGACAAGAAAAACAUUAGGUGUCGAUCUUACAUGUUAAUACUUCAAACAGUAUCCUAGAAAGCUAAAAACUGCAGAAUGGCUUGAAAUUUGAAAAGAACACAUGCUUUUCCUCCUUAACUUGAGAAAAUGUUUAACAUAGCGCGCCUUACAGAAGCAAGCAAUUAGAACUUUGCACAAAAACAUUCAAGAAGACCAAUAUUUCAACUAUUUUACUGAUGAAAAUCUCAAAGCACAAAUGGCAUUGCAUUUUGUCCUCAACUGUAAUAUUUAUUGAUGAAAAUCAGUACAGGUCCCUCAUUUGUUAUGGAAAGCUUUCUUGCAAAGUGACGGACAUUUCUUUCGAUUUAAAGUCUUUGCAUCACCACUUCAUCACACACCAAGCCAAUAUUCUGUCUACCUCUACAACAAAAAGUUUUAAGUAAACGAUCCUAAUGCACGCAGCCAAAUAAAAUGCAGUAAGAAUAUUCAACUUAAAAAUCUGAAAGUCAACUUGGUGAAUUGCCUUCUUAGGGGAAGUUCCAUGAUUUACUAUACUAGACAGAACUGAGCAAAAGCUUCCAUACGACAGAUUUUGACAAUAAUGAUGCCAACAGAUCCUCAUUAAAUCCAUUAAAACUCCUAAGGUUCAUUGUUCAUGGAUGUUUACAGAGUGAAAAUUAGAUCACCAGCAGCUAAUUGUAAAUUCAAACUUAACUCUUCAUCUCCUUUGUAAACAGGAAACAAAAUGGAGACACGCAAAAUGAAUAAGGAGAACAUUUGAACUCAAAUGAAAUGAGGGCACGAAAGCAAACAAAUGGCAUGCACAAACAAACCAAGCCUCAAUAAAAAACUAAUUAACCAUUAAAAAAAAAAAAAACUGGUCAGAGAAUGAACUCCAAAUUCGGUUCGGGAGUGAAGCAAGAAGCUUUAUUAUUUCAGAAGCUCCUGUACAAAUUAAUAAGUUAUGCUCUUUGGAAACAAACCUAAAUUCCAUGAGAAACAGAACUCAAAAAAUUUGCAAUUAUACGCCAAGGAAGUGAAGCACAGCAUUCUAUCACACGUACGAAUUGUAUAACAAGAGAUCGACACAUCGAAUCAGAAGAACUCAAUUCAAAUUUGUCUCAAAAAUCAAAAUUAGAAGAUUUCACAUUUCGAGAGGAACAAGGGACAGGUCAGAUGCAAAAUUUUCAGCCACAACAUGCCACAAUUAACGGUUUAUUUCCAUGGAUUUAGAGAGCUAACUGACCUUUUGGCUUUUGGAAUUGAGAAGAUCGCGCGCCAAAAUGGAAGAGGGAAAGCGAAAGUGCGGGUUUUAAUAGGGUAUUGGAUUAGCAAAUUUUAUUAGUUUGCGGGGGUAAAAUAGGAAAGAGAUAUCACUAUUAACCUUUUUUUUAUAAGAAAAAAGAAUAAUAAAGAAUAUUUUAUUGUCAUUUGCAGCCUUUAAUUUUUUUUUAAAUGCUAUUAGAAAAAUACGACGACAAAGAAAUGCUAUUUUUUUAUUUUUUUCUUGAAGGUGAAAUCAAUUAUUUAGCUCCUUAUAUGUAAUCAAACUCCAUUUCUUACUUUAAGUCAUAUCCAACGGACCAACAAAAUAAUUAUUUUUUUUUCAUUCAUUUUUGCAGAAAAUUAAUAACUUAAAAAUAUUGAAAGCUAUUGUAAAAUUUUUUAUUAUCAACCUCAUAAUUUAAUUUUUUUGGGGAAGAAUUGAAUUUUUUUUUUUAAUUUCCAAGAAUUUCAUUCUCUAGUUUUUCCAUUAAUAUUACUUAUCUUCAUACCCAUCUUAAUUAAAAUCUGUAGUUUUAUUCAAGAGUCAUGCUAUUCAUUCACUCGGACCAAAGGCUUUCCGCAGCAAUAUUAUUAUUUAAAUUACAACAAAGGGGAAAUCAAAUACGUCAUACAGAGGCUUAAAGCUCAAUCUACAAAAUCUAGAGUUCUCAACUACAUAAAUUACACUUGAUGAUCCUCUACAAGAUGAAUCUUGUUCAAUAUCUCAUCCAAAGCUUAUAAAGUAACCUUGUAACGAUCUUGAGAUUGCCUGCCUUCCUCGACGACCUGCACCAUGCGUUUGUACAAAUCAUCUGUGAUCAAGAACAUAAGAGCGUUUAACAUCUUUUCUCCAUCGAGAAAGAAUGUAGUGAGAUGGGAUCUCCUCCAUACCACUCUGGUUUAGAACACAAAGAAUGUGUCUGCAUAAAUAUCCUCUGAAAUUGAACAACCCACAAACACAAAGCACCUCCAAGUCGGAGGCAUUGUACAAAACAUCGAAAGCCCUUGAAUCUUUCUCGUUGCUACCAACCUCAAAUUCUUCCUUCACUAUGUAUGUUAUAGGUCCAUCAGCACUGACAUGUUUUGUGCUAUAGCAAGAGUACAUAGCCUCCACCUCCAUCUGAAACUUCCUUAACAUUUCAUUUGUGUACAGUUUUGAGAGUUGAAAUUCAUAGGAACAUCUUGGUUUCUGGAUACAACUUGAAUUUCUUGAAUCCAUAUCUGCCAAGGCUUCCAGUUGAUAAUUCGCCUGCAGUGCUUGAUCAUAUUUGUCUAAGUAUUCUUUCAAAGGAGUAUUCUUAUCAAGAUAUCCUUCAAAGUAUGAAGUAGAAACCUCACUCUGCAGGAAUGAAAACACUCCUGAUAAAAAUGUUUCCUUCAAAUAAACAGGAGCCCAACUUUUACGAUCCUCAUAUAAAGUUUGAAUCCAUCCAUGAUCCCUUAUUCCAUGACGUUGAAUCGUGUCCUCCCAAGCUGUCUCAAAUUCCUCAGGCCUAAGAGAGUGACAAAUUGCUCUAUGCAAUGCAGCUCUAAUAGCUUCAUAUUCAAAAUAUCCUUGGAGAUUCUCUGGAAUUUUUUGCAUGACGCAUGACAAUGAAAAACAAUGAUAAGCUCUUGGGAAAACAUCGCCGACAGCAGUUUGCAAGAUCUACAUUGGUCAGUGAUGAUUGUUUGUGGAGAGCGUCCUAACAUACAUGUAAGCCACACCCUAAACAACCAUGUAUAUGAUUCUAUAGUCUCACCGGCAAGUAAACCACAGCCCAACAGCACUGAUUGUCCAUGAUGAUUCACCCCAAUGAACGAAACCAGCGUUGCAUCAUAUCUUUCUGUCAAGCAUGUAGUAUCAAUUGAUUUGAGCUAUUAACAUCAUUUCCAAAUACUCCAUUGGCAUCUACAUUACCAUUUCCCUCGGCAUCAAUGAUAAGAGUUCGAAACAGUCUAAUCUUUUGAACUUCUUCAGCACCAUCUAAGAGCAAUGUUCUUUUGGUUCCAAUACCCAUGUGCUUAUGAGACUUGUAAAACUUCCCGCUUCUUGGGCUUAACAAGUGGUUAUGCUCAAGCUCGACUUCAAUGAUUCUCCACCUUUUGGUUUCCAUCAACCUAAACUUUAUCAUUGCUGGACAGCCCGUUCUUGUUUCUGGUCUUGGGCGGUUUGCCUCGCUUUUCUUCUUGAAGCCUGCAUUACUACAGCUGAGCUUUCCUUUAUACUUUUCUCUACUCUUUUGGUACCAUGUAUUGCUAACUCCAACACCAAAACCCUGUUCCUUGGCAUAGCAAUUAUAAAAGUAAUAUACGUCAUCAUACGUCUCAAACUCCAUUCCAACAGCAGGAGGCAAUGGAUUUUGGAUUAUCCCAGUUUGUCCAACAUAUUCAGUCAUCGCACAAUCUCCUACGACCUCAAAAUCAUCAGCUUCAUCAUCACCUACUGGUUCAGUAUUCAGAGAAACUUCAUCCAUCUACAAUAGAUGUUUAAUGAAGUGAGCUUUAAGGAGAAAAAGCAAAAUCAGUUCAAGGAAAGAUAAUAUAACCAUACAGUUACUUUCACAAAGCUGCGUAUUUCAUCAAUACUUUAACAACAUACAACUGCCUGAGAACAUAUAGACAUGUCAUAGACGUUUGAAUUAAGUAUUGGUACAAAUUAGCACACAUCAUGUGGGACACAAUUUCAGUCACUAAACCCAAUGCCUUUUUUUUUUCACAUCAUACCAAGGAACGGAUUAAACCCAAUACCUUCUUUUACGCCAUACCAAAGAACAGAUUAAAUCAUCAAUGAAAAUUUAAUCAAAUAAUAAUUUAACUAGACAAUUGAAGAGCUUGAAACAGCACAAAACUUGAAUCUGAUUAUGAUAAUUGUUGAGUCCUUGUAUCCACAGCUUUCCUUCAAUGAGAAGAUUAUGAACAUAAACUACACAUAAAAAAAUUAUUUAAACUGACAGCCCAUGAUAUAAAUCAAACAAAAUUAACUCCUUUUACAAAUCACAUCUCGUAUUCAGUUACAUUGAAACACAAAAAAGGAAGCAGGAGCCGGAGAAAAACAACAACAGAGAAACUUAUUUCCAGAAGGUUUACGAAAUAAGGAAUUUAUUAAGACACAAAAUUUGAGGUCAACAAUAAGAAUUUGGUUCUCAUUCUCUUUUUCUUCAUUUUUCACUUAUUGAUGGAGUUAGCGUACAAUCCUAUAUGAUAAAACCCCAUCUCCAUCUUUUUGAACUAGAGCUAAAGCAAAGCAUUUUAAGAUGUUUUUCCCUAAAAGACUCAAUAGUACAAUGCUUUUCAAUAUUAAAUACACAACUCAAUCUUCCCCUAAUUUACUCUAAUAAUCUCUUAACUAAGGAAGAUUAAGCUCCACUUGUAAGCUAAAACAAGUUUCUUAAAUCAAGCCCCAAUGCUCUAUACUAUUCAACAAGGCCUCAUAAAUGAUAAAACUACCUCUGCAAAGAUACCCAUUUUAAUUUCGCAAACUAAAAUCAAACUUCUGAAACGUAACGAGCAUUAAAACAAACAAGUCCGAACAAGAACUGAAAAAUGAUACGUAAACCCGUUUACACGUUUCGACAAACACUUUCCAAUCAAUGAGCAAAAAGGUUAAUGGAAAACAUGAAAUUCAAACAAAACAUACCUUAGGUUGAUAAAUUAGUAGGGCAAAAGAAAUUUUAGCGAGAUAUGGGAUCAGGGAUUUUGCCACGGUGAUGUUAAUUGCGACAUUCGGGUGACUCAGCAGCCUUCGAGGCUGAAACUUUGAUUGACCAAAAGGUUCCCGUUCGUUGAUUCUCUAAUUGCAGAAACGAAACUGGCAGUGUACAGAAAAAGUACGCUGAUUUGAUAAUUCUGUGAAAAUCAUUGUUUUUUUCAGAUUUUAAUGUGUUCGAUAAAAUAUCAAAAUCUCAAAAACUUUUGUCUUUCAUUUUGGGGGGAAAAACACACUGAGAUCCUUAUGUUUUUUCUUAUAUAAUCUGGCUUAAUAAUUUGCAAAGUCUAUUACUUUGCACCCAUGCAUGCUGCGUUACAAUUUACAAAAUUGUACGUGAGUGCAUCCAGCUAAAAUUUGUAAAAAGAAAAUAACAAUAACAUGUUAAAAAUGUGAUUAUUAUGAAGAAAUUUUAAUUUAGUUAAAUAGGUGACGAUGGAUAGGUAUAAAAUCUGAGAUCUUUUAUGAGAUUAAUAAAUAUGUUGAGUUUGGAUUAGUUCAAUUUUGACAUAAUACAGAAUAAACACAACCUGCUAAUCUAAGUUACCAUCUUUUCCCGUCAUCAGGUACCUGUUUGAAAAAUAAUUAUAUACAAUUUUAUUUGCGUUGUCUCUCUAAAAAUUUGGGACUCAAAUGUUAUUUCUAAUUGCUAAAAGUACGAAAAUGCCCCAUUUCUCUUCAGCUAAAGGAGUGCAAAGUCAUCUGUAUAAUUGAAGCUGCAUCAUCAGUUUCUAUUGCUGGUGUUUACUGCAUGCUUACAGUUGCUUGACAAAGUGAGCCAGUUUUUUGUUUAUUAAUUUUUUUUCUUGUCGAGAUAGUCACAAAGUAUUACUUGUUCUAUAUAAGAAUGAUGUGAAUCAAUUUUUCAAUUAUGCAUUCUGUGGUAAUUGUGAAUUUAGUUUCAUUUGUCUUGUCUCCUGCAAAUUUUGAAGAAAAUGCAGACAUACAAACUUACAAUACGGAAGAGUUCACAGGCAAAAACUUUGUGAAAGCUUCCAAGUGAAACAGGGAAUGCGCUUACUAGUAAAGAACAAAUUGGUGGCCAGCUAAUGCAUUCAUUCUAUGUCCAUUGAUCUUUUUGAGUUAUUGAAGACAAGUGGCUCACCGCUUUUAGUAUUGGUAAAAUUCAGAUAAUCUCUAUUCCGAAAUAAUAAUAUUCAAAAUAUCUCUUAAAUCAUUAUAAACCUCAAAUUUAUUUUAAUUUUAUUUAAAAGAUAAAAGAAAAAUAGGUUAUGUUGGUGAUUUUUUAUUAUCUUUUUAAUAAAAAUGAAAUAAAUUGAUGUUUAUAAUUAAUUAAAGUAUUUUAAAGAUUGCCAUUUUAUGAGAGAAUAAUAUUUCACUUUUUUUAGUGUGAAAGACCGAAAAAGGACAAAGCAAGUUUCCCUAAUUUUUAUUUUAUUCGAAAUUGGUCAUCUCAUAUACUUCACCCUUCAACAUUAUAAUUUUUUUGGUUAUAAUUUUAUUAUUUUUUUUUCUUUUACACAUGCAUGUGAAUUACUUUUCUUUAAGCUCCUGAAUAUUUAAGACAAAUCAUGGAAGAGAUGAGAGUAUAACAAGAUGAUCAAAAUAUGUAACAAAAAAAUUUUAGAAGUGAAAAAUAUGUUAGAGUCGAAGUAAAACUCUGAGGUGAUGUUUGAUUUGAAGAAAAUGGAGGAGAGGAAAUGAGUGGAAUGGAGAGGAAAAGAGAGAAAAGGAGAGGAGAGGAGAGUGAAAUUUUUUUCUAAUGUUUGGUUUGUCACAUAAUUAUACAAAGAAAAGAAAUCUCUAAUUUUUUAUUUAGACAAUUUUAACCUUAAUAAGUAUUAAGCUUUCAAUAUUUAUCAUGUGUAUAAUUUAAAAAAAGUAAAUGGUAGAAAGCGGUUUCUGAUUCCGGCCACAUCGCCGGCAAUGGAAGGUACUUAUCAGAACAUCAAGAGCCGACCAUCAUUCCCUAGCCAUCACUGCUGUCGGAACACUGCCAGAAAGCUGCCGAUUGAACCGCAAAAAGUCGUGGAAAUCGCUGCCUCAAAUCGGUGAGUUUCGCCUUUUUCUGGUCACGCCGUCACCUUGGCUUUGUCCAUCAAGGCUGCCACUUCCAUUUUCAACCAUCCAUAGCCACUAUUAACGGCCAAAUCGCCGCCGAUCAGCGGGAUAUGUGGAAGUUAAAAAGUUUCUAAAUUUUUUUUAACUGGAUUUGAACAACAUACGACCAUUUUUUGAUCUCGAUAACGACGUAGUAAUGUUGAUCAUUGGUCGGCAAGUCGAAUGGUAGUGGCGGUGAGUAACACGCGCCAAUGACAUCGGCGGCGGCACUAUCCGGCGACUGUUAAAAUUAAUAUUUUAUAUUUUUAGAUUAAAUAAAUUUAUUUUAUUAAACUUUUUAAAUCAUUAUUUAAAUUUAAUUAAUUUAAAAUUAUCUAUAAUGUUGAAUUGAUAAAAUAAAUUUAUAAAUAAUAAUUAUGUGAUUACAUUAAAUAAGUUAAAAAGUUGAAAGGUUAUUUUUGGAAGAUUUAGUUUCCAACACAAAGGGAAUUUGAAUUCUUCACUUCUUAGUGUGGAAUUCAAAUUCUAUAUUGUAAUGGAUAUUAAAUUCCAAUAGAAAUUAAAUUCUUAUAAGUUAUGUCAAACCAAACAACGGAAAUAAAAAAGGAAUUUAAAUUACUUUCCUUUCCUCCACCCUCUCCUUCCAACCAAAUACAUCCUGAAAAUAGAGAUAUUGAUUAAUUUAGAAGAGAUGCAAGCAAAAGAUAUUCCAAAAAAAAAAAGCAAUAUGUCCCUUUGGAGGGCAAACUUGUCAGUUUUAAAAAAGUACAUGCUUUGGAUUGAUAGUUGUAGGAUAUUUGUUUUGUCACUAUGUAUUAGUUGGAGAAGUCAAGCCUUGUGAAGAAUGUUAUGAAAGAGCAAAUGUUAGAGUACAAUUUAUGCACUAGUUUUGCAUUGUUUACUUCCAUUAAUAUCGAUGUUUUGCACUUAAUAAUAGUGAUUUACUUGUGUUUUACUUUUGUAGGUGCAAUUCUAUUGAUUGGUGAUAAAAUUGAGCUAUAAGAUGAUGUUUAAGGAUGAUUGUUCUCUUGGAGAAAUUUAGAACGUCAGAAGAACUUUGUUGAUAAGGCAUGGGCGCGUGCUGUCAACUGCGGACCUGCAGUUUUUAGUUUAACGUGUUUUGUAUUUUUGGUUAUUUUUGUAAUUACGAAUUUAAUAUUUCAGAUAUUAGUAUUUUAUUUUAAAUAGAAUUCUAAAAGAGAGGAGAGAGAGAGUAUUUAAGGGAGGAAUCUAUUGUGAAAAAUGGGGAUUUUGGAUUGGAGAAAGAAAGAAACCCUAGAUCUAAUUUUUCUCUUCUCUCUAUGAAGAACUAAACUUAUUUUUCUGGUUGAAGGUUAAUGAAGCUUUGAUUCAUCACUACUGUGAGAUCUUUCUUGUGCUUUAAUUGUUUUAUUGCUUUUUGGGUAUUUGUUUAUUCUCUGAAUUAUUUUCAUGAUUAUGUUUGUUAAUUAGAUAAUUGGCCACUAUUUAAUUAUCAACUUAAUCUAUUGUCAAUUAAAGGAUUCAUCGUAUGAAGAAUUUAAUGUUUGUGACAAAUAACAUAGCAGAGAGUUGUGUUGUGAGAAUAAACAAUCUAAUUUAAAUGAAUCAUCAUAUGUGUUGAUUAGGAUUUGGGUCUCUCUGGUUUUUCAGGCUGACAUUGAUUAAAUCCUAUGAUCGUAUCUAGGGUUGUCUAUUGAUUAGGGAAAUAACCAACGGUCGUACCUUGGUUAUCGACUAGUUAAGGAGAGAUUGGCUAUUAGAGGUUCUCAAUAGUUAUAACCGAUCUAUUCAUAAGUAAUAAUAAUCUAUAUUUGAAUCAAUGAUCAGUAGUCGAAUCAAGCUGAGUUAAUUCCUUCAACCAGAGCUUUCUCCAAUUUGAAUUACAACUUUAAUUUGCAUUCUUGUUAUUUUGAUUUGAUUUUUAUUAUUGUCAACAAUUCCCUCAUUUUACGUUUUACGUUUCAAAAGGAUUUAAAUAAUUACCGAUCUCUGUGGACACGACCCUGCUCAAUCACUAUACACAAUUUAUUUAGAGUAUGAAUUUAUUUUUAUUGGCUUCGACACCCAUCAGCAAAGGAUAUUCCUGAUAGCUGAUAGAGCUCUAUUUGAUUAUGUAUCCAAUGAAUGGAUGUGUUGUUGGAAGAUAUCUGAGUGCAUUAGUUCAUAUGUGUCUGUCAAUGUGCUUUUAAUGAUUUUUCCACUUGUUUGUUGUAAAAGAUUAUUGUAAAUUGAAAUGAGCUUGAUGUUGUAAUAUUUUUUCCUUAGUGGAAUUUCACCUAGUAUGUAUUCAGUUGUGUUCUCUAUAAUUUUGCAUUCGAAUAAGUUUCACCUAAAAUAUUAGCAUGAGUAGUGGCCUUUGAAACUUUGGUCAAAAUUAUUGUUAUUAUUUCCGACUAGAUGUAAAUUUUUUAUUAAAUCUCGUUAACACAAUUCUUAAUUAAAAGUAUAGGUUAGUGUUGGUGCAAGAUUUGCCACACCAAAUUCUGCCUAGCUGUCAAAAGUGCAAAAUAAAUGAAGAGAAAGCACAAAUACACGACUUGAAUAAGGAUACAACGAAACUUAAUUUCAAGAGAAAAUGAUAGCUAUAUCUCAAGAUUUGAAAAAAUGGUCAUGUAGAUUUUUAAGAUUUCAAUAAGCGACUGAGAUUCAAAUAAUAUCCUUUAAUUCUAUUAACAAAAAACAAAGACUCAAAUAUUUUAUGAUAAAGAAAAAUAUAAUAUUAAAAUAUAUGUGAUAAUAUACACAUUUUAAAUACUUUUAAUCCAAAAAAAUAGUUAUGUUUUACAAUCUAUUAGACAUAUUUUAUUAAAUUAAUAUAAAUUUUCUAUAAAAUAAUAAUAUAAUAUUAAAAUAAAUUCACAAAAAUUUAAAGAAUUUUGAAUGUAAAAUAAUUUUAAUAUAUUAAUACGUGAGUUUUUUAUUAAUAUAAAAAUUAUUUAACUUUAAGAUUUUUUAAAAUCUUUACAAUAAGUAUAACUAUAUUAUUUACAUUUAAAAAUAUUUAAAUAUUAUUAACCUACAAUUAUAUUUGCAUUUGUUAGAAAUUUUUUAAGUCAAAUAUUUUGCACUUCUAUAUUAUUAGAAUUAUUGCACACAAAGAAAGAAACAUAUACCUUUAGAAAUUGUUUUCUUUUAAAAUAGAGAUGAUGAUUAGUAUAAGGAUGAAAAAAAGGAUAUUAACGAAAUCUCUAUACAAAUUGAUUUUAGUAGGAAAAAAAUGAGUUAAAUGAUUUAGAGUGCGUUUGGAAUUGAGAUUGGGCAGUCAUAGAUUUUAAGUUACAACACUGAAGUGUUUGGUAAAUACUAGCUACUGCAGAUUGAAAGUUAUGUUGAUAUGAUUUUUCACAUGUAUCAUAGAAAAUAUAUUACAUCUUUAAUAAUUUUUUUAAAAUUUAUAUUUGCUAUAUAUUAUUAUUAUUUUUUUUUAUAGUUAUAACUUUUUUUCCAUAGCAGCUGUAGCUUAAAAGCCACAGCACCUCAAUCUCAAACAAGUCCUUAGACAUUCAUAGUGUGUUUAUUUUUUGGAUUGGUGAAUCAAAAUUAUUGACAACGCUAACUUCAUCUUCACCGUUCGCAAUCCAACAGCAGCAAUUGUCACCAAUAAUGAUAUCUCCAAUGAUGAUGACAAUUAUUAUUAUUAUUAUUAUUAAUUAAUUAAUUAAUUAAUUAAUUAAUUAAUAUAUUAAUGUUAAUAUUAUUAUUGUUAAGAUUAACAAUAAUUAUUAGUAAUACAAUUUUUUGAAUAAAAAUAAUCACAAUAAUUAAAAUACAAAUUAAUAAUUAUGACAAUAGUUAAUUAAUUUCUUUUUAGUAAUUUGUAACAAUCUAACUCAUUUUAAUUCUGAUUAUUACAGCUUAAGUAAACAAAUUAUUAUGAUUCCUAUUCUCCUUUCCCAUUUUAGCUCACUUCGAUUCCAGUCUAUUCCGAUUUCUAUCUAAUAAAUGCACCAUUAGUGCUAAAGUAAUAUUUCAUACAUAGAAAAGUAAAAACUACACCUAAGGUUAAGGGAAAGGACUUCAAAACUCUCUUUUGAUCAUAAUACAUUUUGUCCUAAUUAACUUAAAGAUUUUGAAUCUAAUAUUUUAUAAUAAAUAAAAAUAUAUUCCUAAAAUAAAUAUAAUAUCAAUAUUUAAAAUAUGUUUUAAUAUUUUACAAUCUAUCAUACACAUUUUAUUAUAUUAAAGUAGAUUUAUAAUAAAUAUAUAAAAAAUUUAGAAUAUUUAGAAUAUUAUAUAAAAUAAUUUUAAUAUAAUGCGUGAGAUAUAUUUUAUUAAUUUAAAAUGUCAUUUUACCUAAAAAAUAUGAUAAAUUAAUAAUUACAUAUUUGAAGUUAUUUCAAAUAUUAAAAAAAUUUAAUAUUAUUAAUCUUUUAGAUAGAUUAAAUUAUUUUUCAUAAGAGAGAUUAAUCUUUUACUAAAAUUUCUCUUCCACAGCCCACCGCAGCUUCAGUUAAUCAAACUCCAUCAAUUUUCUUUCUUAACAAAAUUCUAAAGAUGUGUAGCAUUUUUCAGAUCACAUGCGAUGGUGCUUUUUUCAAUCGUUGCUUGGAUUGCUUUCUUGGAAAAGCAGCAUACAUACGUAACCUCCAAGAUAAUCUUGAUGCCUUGGAGACUGAAUUGGGAAAUCUGAUCGCUAGAAAGAACGAUGUGAUGAGGAGGGUUGUCGAUGCUGAACGGCAACAAAUGAGAAGGCUGGACGGAGUGCAAGUGUGGGCUUCGAGGGUGGAUUCUGUUAAAACUGAAGCUGAUCAAUUUAUAAGAGACGGCUCUCGAGAAAUUGAAAAAUUAUGUGUUGGAGGCUACUGUUCCAAGAAUUGCAUGUCAAGCUACAAGUUCGGGAAAAAAGUGGCUAAAAAGCUACGGGAUGUGCGGUCUUUAAUCAGUGAAGGAGUUUUUGAAGUGGUGGCUGACAGAGCUCCAGAGUCUGUAGCAGAUGAAAGACCUACUGAGCGAACAGUAGUAGGCUUGCAAUCACAACUUGAACAAGUCUGGAGAUGUCUUGUAGAAGAAUCAGCGGGAAUCAUUGGCCUAUAUGGUAUGGGCGGUGUUGGUAAAACUACACUACUGACCCAUAUCAACAAUAAAUUUCUCGAGAGUCCAACCAACUUUGAUUGUGUGAUUUGGGUUGUAGUUUCAAAAGACCUGCGACUCGAAAAAAUUCAAGAAGAUAUUGGGAAAAAGAUAGGUUUGGUUGGUGAUUCAUGGAAGAGUAAAAGUGUAGAGGAGAAAGCUGUCGACAUCUUCCGGAGUUUAAGAGAGAAGAGAUUUGUAUUGUUGUUAGAUGAUAUAUGGGAGCGGGUUGAUUUAACAAAGGUGGGCAUUCCACUUCCCGGACCAAAAAAUACUACCUCAAAAGUCGUAUUCACAACCCGUUUCAUCGAUGUUUGUGGUAGCAUGGAAGUUGACAGGAAGUUUCAAGUAGCAUGCUUAUCAGAAAAGGAUGCUUGGGAACUGUUUCGAGAAAAAGUUGGGGAAGAAACUCUUCAGAGUCAUCAUGAUAUCGAUGAGCUAGCCCAAAUUGUGGUCAAAGAGUGUGGUGGUUUGCCACUCGCACUUAUUACUAUUGGUCGAGCUAUGGCCUACAGAAAGAAAGCGGAGCAGUGGAGACGUGCAAUUGAAGAGUUAAGGAGAUCAGCUUCAGAGUUUGCAGGUUUGGGAAAAGAGGUGUAUCCUCUUUUAAAAUUCAGCUAUGAUAGUUUGCAGAAUGAUACGGUUAGAUCUUGUUUCUUGUACUGUUGUUUAUAUCCUGAAGAUUAUGGCAUUCUUAAAUGGGACUUGAUUGAUUGUUGGUUUGGCGAGGGAUUUUUUGGGGAAUCUGACAGGUCUGGUGCAGAAAACCAAGGAUAUGACAUUUUGGAAACUCUUGUUCGUGCAUGUUUAUUAGAAGAGGUGGAAGAUGAUGAAGUAAAAAUGCAUGACGUUAUUCGUGAUAUGGCUAUAUGGAUAACUUGUGAAAUUGAGAAGGAGAAGAGAAACUUUUUGGUUCGUGCAGGUGCUGGAUUAAAAGAGGCACCGGGUGUUAAAGGAUGGGAAAAUGUGAGAAGAUUGUCAUUGAUGCAAAACCAAAUUGAAACUCUGGCAGAGGUUCCCACAUGCCCUCAUCUCCUCACUUUAUUUUUUGACUUUAAUAAGGAGUUAAAGAUGAUCGCGGAUGGCUUCUUCCAAUUUACGCCUUCUCUCAAAGUUUUGAAGAUGUCAAACUGUUUGAAUUUGAAAUUACCUAUUGGGAUGUCAGAGUUGGGUUCAUCACUAGAACUUCUCGAUAUUUCAUAUACCGGCAUAAGAGAGUAACCGGAAGAGUUAAAGUUGUUGGUAAAUCUGAAAUGUUUGAAUUUGAGGUGGACAAUUUGGUUAAAUAAAAUUCCACGGCAACUAAUAUCAAAUUAUUCAAGGUUACGUGUGUUGAGAAUGUUCGCUACUGGCUUGGGCAUUUUUCAUGAAGCACCAGAAGACAGCGUUUUAUUUGGUGGGGGUGAAGUUUUAGUACAGGAAUUGCUCGGUUUGAAAUAUUUAGAGGUAUUGGAGUUGACCUUGGGAAGUUAUCAUGCUCUCCAAAUUCUUUUGAGCUCAAAUAAGUUAAAAAGUUGUAUUCGAUCUCUUUACCUCGAGUUGACCGGAGAUACAGCGUCAAUUAUUGAUGCUACGGCUUUCGCAGAUCUAAACCACCUCAAUGAAUUAUAUAUUUUUAAAGGUAUUGAGUUGGAAGAAUUGAAGAUUGAUUAUACGGAGAUAGUACGAAAAAGGCGGGAACCUUUUGUUUUCCGCAGCCUUCACUGUGUUAUUAUGGUUUCGUGCCGUAAAUUGAAAGAUGUGACAUUCCUCGUUUUUGCUCCAAACCUCAAGUCUCUUUUGGUAGACGGUUGCGAUGCUAUGGAAGAAAUAAUCAGCGUCGGAAAAUUUGCUGAGACUCCUGAGAUGAUGGGACAUAUAAGCCCUUUUGAAAAUCUCCAAAUGCUUGAUUUAACGGCAUUGCCGGAGUUGAAGAGCAUCUACUGGAAGCCAUUGCCUUUCACUCAUCUGAAAGAAAUGGAGGUACUUAGGUGCGAUCGGCUUGAAAAGCUUCCACUCGAUUCCAACAGUUCAAAGGAGCGUAAAUUUGUUAUUUGUGGAUACACAAAGUGGUGGAACCGACUUCAAUGGGAGGAUGAAGCCACUCAAAUUGCUUUUCGUUCCUGUUUCCAACCAAUGGGAGUACUGAGCGGUGGUCGCAAAAUUUGAUUUCUGGUGAGUGCGUUUUUGUUAACGCUUAUGUUUUUAUUCCAGUGUGUUUUUCUUCUGUCUUCUGCAAAUCAAUGCUUUAUAAAUUUUCCUUUUCCCUUUUUUUUUGGGGGGGGGGGGGGGGGCGUGGGUCGAAUUGAUGCUCUGGUUUUUUACUUUUUGUUGUCAAAUUUGGCCUUUUUUUUUUUUUUUUUUUUUUACAAGUUGAUACUUUAUUUAUAUCUUCUUAGCGAUUUAAUUUCCUGUCAAAAGACGAGCGAGAAGAACAUAUGACUUAAAGCAAUUGAUACUUUAUUUAUGUGCAUUGUAUGUAAUAAAUAUUAAGUAUACUUUAUUUUGCCCUGUUCUCUGUUUUUAUUUCAGUCUCUCUCUCGCUCUCUCUCUUUCCUGUCUUCUGCAAGUCAUAAUUAAAUGUUGAAUUAUAUGGAAUUAAUGCUUUAUAAAUCUGCCUGCGCUGGCUUUUUUUUUUUUUUUUGUGGGGUCGAAUUGAUGCUCUGGUUUUCGACUACUUUUUGUUGUCAAAAUUUUCUCUGUUUUUUCAAAUUUAUAUCUUAUUCGUGAAAAGUGAUUUAAUUUCCUGCCAAAAGACGAACGAGAAGAACAUUAGAGUCAAACUAAUGCUCACAUAAAUUUCCCGUAAGAAUAUAUAAUUAGACUGGAAUGCACACCUCUAGAUUGAACAGAAUUAAAGCUGAGAAAAUAUUGAGUAUAGUAGCCCUCUUUACAGAAAAUGACGCGAAAGUUAAUUUAGAAAGAUAUAUUCUCGAUUAAUCCAUUUUCUGAAUUUUUUUUUUAUUUUGUAUGGUCAAUUUUUUUUUUAAAUUACAACCUCAUAGUCAUGCUAUUCAUUCACUCACAGACCAAAGGCUUUCCGCAGCAAUAUUAUUAUUUAAAUUACAACAAAGGGGGAAUCAAAUACGUCAUACAGAAGCUUAAAGCUGAAUCUACAAGAUCUAGAGCUCUCAAGAUGAAGCUUGUUCAAUAUCUCAUCCAAAGCUUGUAAAGUAACCUUGUAACGAUCUUGAGAUUGCCUGCCUUCCUCGACGACCUGCACGAUGCGUUUGUACAAAUCAUCAUACUUGUGCACUGGAUUUUUAAUAUCAACGCCACUGCAGCUGUGAUCAAGAACAUGAGAGCGUUUAACAUCUUUUCUCCAUCAAGAAAGAACGUAGUGAGAUGGGAUCUCCUGCAUGCCACUCUGGUUUAGAACACAAAGAAUGUGUCUGCAUAAAUAUCCUCUGAAAUUGAACAACCCACAAACACAAAGCAUCUCCAAGUCAGAGGCAUUGUACAAAACAUCGAAAGCCCUUGAAUCUUUCUCGUUGCUACCAACCUCAAAUUCUUCCUUCACUAUGUAUGUUAUAGGUCCAUCAGCACUGACAUGUUUUGUGCUAUAGCAAAGAGUACAUAGCCUCCACCUCCAUCUGAAACUUCCUUAACAUUUCAUUUGUGUACAGUUUUGAGAGUUGAAAUUCAUAGUAACAUAUUGGUUUCUGGAUACAACUUGAAUUUCUUGAAUCCAUAUCUGCCAAGGCUUGCAGUUGAUAAUUGGCCCGCAGUGCUUGAUCAUACUUGUCUAAGAAUUCUUUCAAAGGAGUAUUCUUAUCAAGAUAUCCUUCAAAGUAUGAAGUAGAAACCUCAUUCUGCAGUAACGAAAACACUCCUGAUAAAAAAGCUUCCUUCAAAUAAAUAGGAGCCCACCUUUUACGAUCUUCAUAUAAAGUUUGAAUCCAUCCGUGAUCCUUUAUUCCAUGACGUUGAAUCAUGUCUUCCCAAGCUGCUUCAAAUUUCUCAGGCCUGAGAGAGUGAUAAAUUGCUCUAUGUAAUGCAGCUUUAAUAGCUUCAUAUUCAAACAAUCCUUGGAGUUUCUCUGGAAUUUUUUGCAUGACGCUUUCCUUCAAUGAUAAGACAAUGAACAUAAACGAGACACAAAAAAAAUUAUUUUAAACUGACAGCCCAUGAUAUAAAUCAAACAAAAUCAACUCCUUUUUUUACACAUCACAUCUCAUAUUCAUUUGCAUUGAAGCACAAAAAGGAAGCAGGAGUGGGAAAAAAAAAACAACAGCAGAGGAACUUAUUUCCAUAAGGUUUAGGAAAUAAGGAAUUUAUUAAGACACAAAAUUUGAGGUUACCAAUAAGAAUUUGGUUCUCAUUAUUUUUUUCUUCAUUUUUCACCAAUUGAUGAACUUAAAAUACAAUCAUCAAUGAUAAAACCCCAUCUCCAUCUUUUUGAACUAGAGCUAAAGCAAAGCAUUUUAAGAUGUUUCAUCAUUUUUUUUAAUAAAAAAAAACCUCAAUAGUACAAUGUUUUUCAAUGUUAAAUGCACAACUCAAUCCUCUCCUAAUUUACUCUAAUAAUCUCUUAAUUAAGGAAGAUUAAGCUUCAGUUGUAAGCUAAAACAAAUUUCUUAAAUCAAGCCCCAAUGCUUUAUGCUAUUCAACAAGGGCUCAUAAAUGAUAAAACUACUUCUACAAAGAUACCCAUUUUCUAAAUUAAUUUCAAAAACUGAAAUCAAACUCCUGAAACGUAACGAGCAUUAAUAUAAUCAAACCCGAACAGGAAUUGAAAAAUGACACAUAAACUCGUUUACACAUUUCGACAGACACUUUGCAAUCAAUGAGCAAAAAAUUAAUGGAGAAGAUAAAAUUCAAACGAAACAUGCCUUACAUUGAUAAAUUAGAAGGGCAAAAGAAAUUUUAGUACGAUAUGGGAUCAGGGUCUUGCCACGGUGAUGUUAUUUGUGAUGUUCGAGCGACUCAGCAGCCUUCGAGGUUGAAAAUUUGAUUGACCGAAAGCUUCCCGUUCGUUGAUUCUCUAAUAGCAGAAACGAGACUGGCAGUAUACACAAGAAGUUCGCUGAUUUUAAAUUCCGUUGUUUGAGAUGGAAAUUUUUUUGAAAAAAUUAAUGUGUUCGAUGAAUAUCAAAAUCUCAAAAACUUUUUGUUUCUCAUAGCACCCAUGCAUGAUGUGUUGUUUCUCUAAAAGUUUGAGACACAAAUGUUAUUUCAAAUUGAAACGCCAUGCACUAGUAGUAGACUAGUAGGUAGGAGAAACCAAGGUUGAAGUUACUGUUCAUUUAUUUUUAUUUAUGAUUUUUUGUAAAAUGUAAGAAAUAUGUAGAAAUGUUGCCAGCAAUGAUUUUGGAACUUUGCAUAAAAUUUUUAUCAUUAUUGUUUUUGGUAUUAAGAAAUCCGAGGCGGUGAUUAGACGUAUGUUGCAACAAUUAAGAAAUUUCUUAUUGGAGAUAAUUUGGUAGGUUGCAACAAUUAGAGAAUCAUUUUCCUGUCAGUUAAUCAAUCAAUAAUAAAUUUCAAAUUGCAGAAAAUAAAAUAAUACUGUCACACUUAGAAUCAUCUUUUCUAUCUCUUUCAAUUGUGGCAAUCAUUUGUAACAAAUAAAUCAAUUUGAUGCACAUCAUUUCCCCAAUUCAAAGUUCAAGUCACUGCUCAAUUGCAGAGUAGUUAGUAGACAUGCAUGCAUGUUUAAUUAAGUACUGCAUUGUAGUAUCGAAAAUCAUAAUAUCUCACCAAGCCCGGAAGCAUAGCUCUUUAUCUUGUAAACGUUGAAAUCUUAUGCAAACUAUGGGAAACAUGAUCUCACUCUCAGUGUCACUUGAUUCCAUUUUCUGUUCUUGCCUUGAUUUCGAUGUUGGGAAUGUGACGUCUGAGUCCAAGGUUGAAGAUAAUCUCGAUGCCUUGCGGACUGCAAUGGAAAAAUAAGCGGAAACGAGAAAUGAUGUGAUAAGAAGAGUUACUGUUGCUGAAGGACAACAUCAAAUGCAACGAAUGGAUCGAGUGCAGGGCUGGCUUUCAAGGGUAAAAGCUGUGGAAAAUAAAGCUGAUGAUUUGAUGAGACACAGCUCUCAAGAGAUUGAGAAGUUAUGCCUUGGAGGCUUCUGUUCCAAGAACUGCAAAUGAAGCCACAGCCGUGGGAUAGAAGCUGCUACAAUGCUACGAGUUGUGGAGACUUUAAUGGGUGAAGGAUCAUUUGAAUUGGUGGCUGAGAGGGUGCCAGAAGAUGCAGCAGACUGAGCAGAGGAGAUAAAUUGUGAGUCAACAAUAAUGGGCAUGGUGUCGACUUUUGAGAAAGCCUGGAGAUGCCUUGAAGAAGAAUCAGUUGGAAUUAUUGGCCUAUAUGUCAAUGGGAGAGUUGGAAAUAUUUACUCAAAUCAACAACAAGUUCCUUGAUAGUCCAAAUAAUUUUGAUGUUGCAAUCUGGGUAGUGGUCUGCCAAGAUUUGCAACCCCAGAAGUUUCGGGAAAAGAUUGGGAAAAAGAAAGGCUUGUUCGAUGAGUCAUGGAAGAACUGAAGUUUUGAAGAGAAAGCACUCGAUAUAUUCAAGAAUUUAAGCAAGAUGAAGUUUGUAUUACUGCUGGAUGAUAUAUGGGAGCAGGUUGAUUUAAUUAAAAUUGGUGUCCCUCUUCCAAGCACAAAAAUUACAUUCAAGAUAGUCUUCACAACUCCUUCUAUUACAUUUGUGGCCUCAUGGAAGCUCACAACAAGAUUAAAGUGAAGUGUUUAAAUGACGAAGAAGCAUGGGAAUUAUUCUGCAAGAAGGUUGGAGAAGAUGUGGCGACUCUGUACAAGUGCUAAGGAGCUCAGCCUCAGAAUUUCUAGGUAUGUAAAAACAAGUAUAUCCUCUUUUGAAAUUCAGUUAUGAUAAUUUACCUAGCGAUAAAAUUAGAUCGAGUCUGUUAUACUGUAGUUUGUUCCCAGAAGACUUUCCAAUUAGCAAAAUGGAAUUGAUACUGAGAUACGAAAUCAAGGAUACUACAUUAUUGGUGUUCUUGUUCCUUUAUGUUUAUUGGAAGAAGAGGCUCCACUGUUUGUAAAAGUGCAUGAGGUGAUACGCGAUAUGCUUCUGUGGAUAGCAUGUGAAAUUUUAUUUUUAUUUUUUUAUAGGGAUAUCAUGUGAAGUUGAGAAGGAGAGAGAGAAUUUUUUGGUUCGUGCAGGUGCAAGGAUUAACUGAAGUACUAGACAUUUGGAAAUGGGAAGGGUUGAGAAGGGUGUCUUUGAUGAUCAACAAAACUGAGAAGGUAUCAGAAAUUCCUUCAUCUCACGAUCCACUAACUUUGUUGCUUCAACAUAAUUAUUUAGAGGUGAUCAAUAAUGACUUCUUCCAAUCUAUGCAUUCCCUUAGAGUUUUGAACUUAUCAUGUAAUCAUUCUCUAACUGAUCAUUUCAAAGUUAGUUUCCCUACAUACGAGAGUUGCCGAAUGAGUUAACGUUCGUAGUGAAUCUUAAGUUUUUGAAUGUGGAGUCUGCACGGUUUCUUCAUUCAAUUCCAGGGCAAGUGAUAUCCAGUUUUACGAUGUUACAAGUUUUGAAGAUGUUUGGUUGUGGCAGGUCAUCUUCUGAUCGUGAGCCACACCAGAAGAUAGCGUUUUAUUUGGAGGCAGUGAACUUUUGAUUGCGGAGUUGUUUGGUUUGAGAGACAUUUAGAUGUGUUGACCAUCAUCCUAAGAAGCUCCCAUGCUCUGAAAAGAUUUUUGAGCUCCAACAAACUUCAAAGUUGUACUCAAUCUCUCUAUCCUAAAUGCUUUGAUUCGAAGUCAGUUGAUGUUUUUUGCCUGGCUGAUCUGAAGCAUCUCAAUAGGCUAUAGAUAUUGCGAGUUGUAAGCUUUUGGAAGAAGUGAAGAUUGACUUUGUUGGGAAAGCACAAAUGAACUCAUGGUUUUCACAGCCUUAUGUCACGGAAGUUGUGUAAACACUGCACGGGUUGCUGCGCAAAGUAACCAUCCUAUGACAUUGAGCCAUGUUGAAAUAUCAUUUUGCUGUAAACUGAGGGAUUUGACAUAGCUUGCUUUUGCUCCAGACCUUCUUGUUGUUUCCAGAAAGCAUUGCCAUGAUAUAGAGGAAAUACUCGGUGUUGGAAAAUUAGGUAAAGAGAUGAUGUCAAACCUGGAACCCCCUAUAAAACUCCUAAGGUUAUGUCUGGCAUGUAGGAUUGGAUUGAACUAAAUUAUUAGGACUGGAUUAAAUUGGGUUAUAUUUAUAUUCUUAUGUUUGGUACAGUACUGGAUUGAACUAUAUUAGAUUAUAUUUAAAUAAUAUUAAAUAGUAUUUAAGUUGGUAUUUUAAUAUAAAUAUCAAUUAUCCAUGAAAUUUUAUAAUCAUAAUUAAAAUAAAUUUAAAAAGCAAUUACUAGAAAAAUUAAAUAUAUUACAAAAAGUUAUUGGGUAGUCAUAAUAUAAUAAGCAAAUAAAAUUAAAUAAAACAAAUUAAAUAUUUAAUUAAUUUUUAUCAAAUAUUUAAAAAUAUUAUAUAAAAUCAAUUAAUUAAUGGUUUUAUUAAUUUUCAUGAUUAUUUUUAAUAUUACAUUAGUAAUUAUUAAAUUUAAUACAAUCAAAUAAUGCAAUAAAUAAUUAAACGUUUAAUUUUAUCGAUUAAUUAUUAAAUAUACAAGUAAUGAAAAUUUAAUCUCAGGAGUUGGCAGAAGCAAAAGUACUAAUUUAAUUAGAUCAUAGAUAAUAAAUAAAAAUUAAUUUUAAGUAAAUCAUAAUAAAAAAAUUAAUUAAUUGAUUCAAUCAAUCAAUAUUAGGUGUAAAUAAAAAAAGAGUAAUGAUAUAGCCACAAAUUCUUGUACAAACUUAUUUUGUACAAACUCAUGUGUCAUGAUAAGAUUAGUUGAAUUAAAUAUCACUUGGCCCACAUGAUUUGUUUUUAUUAUUUUAUAUUUUUAUUCAACCAAUGAAUUAACGCCACGUCAGUUUGUACAAGAGUUUGUGGUUGUAUCAUCACUCAUAAAAAAAAAGAUACAAAUAAAAAUCUCAUAAAUGGACAACUUUUAUCUUUAAUCUUAUCCCAACUAAACACAUGUGUGAAUUAAGAUUAUUAAUCCCAUGAUUUUAGGAUUAAAUUCAAAUUAAUUCCCCCUUAAUCCAAUCCAACUAAACUUGUCAAACAUGGGAUAAAAGUUUAAUUCUAAAAUUAGUCCAAUUCCAUACUUAAUCCUAGCAUCCACAUAUAGCCCAAGUUGUUUGCUUAAAGAAGCUACCAAAUUUGAAGAGCGUUUACGGGAAGGCCUUGCGUUUCCCAGAUGUAUGCAGAAUUUUUGUAUCCAAAUGCCCAGAACUUAAGAAGCUGACGCUGGAUUUUGAAAGGGCGGGCCAAGGUAAAAUUCUUAUCAAGUGAAAGGAAAAUCGGUGGAAACAACUUCAAUGGAAGGAUCAAGCAACUCAGGAUGCAUUGCUUCUGUUUUUCAAAUCAACUGACAAGUGAUUGAAGGGGGCAUCAUCAGCCUGGAUGGGGAGAUCCUGGAGCAGAUCAGCAGGGUUUGAAUCUGCAUCAUCAACAUCAUCAGGAUCUCUAUUUCUAUUGCUGGUCGUAAUGCCUGCCUACUGUUACUUGAAAAAGUGAUUAAGUGAGCCAGUUUUUUGUUUAUUAAAUUUUGUCUUGUAGAGACAGUCACAAAGUAUUUUUCUUAGUUGUUCUAUAUGAGAGUGAUGUGAAUCAAUUUUUCAAUUAUAUAUUCUGUGGGAAAUUGCAAGUAUUUUUAAAAUAUGAUCGUUAUUAAAGGAAACAAAGGAAUCAACACAGCAUACUGAACCUCAGCAGUAUGAAGCUAAUGAUUAAACUCCUCACACAAUUCAUAACAUGCAAAACCAUUCACAAAAUCAUCCCCAGCAACCAUAAUUGGCGUCCAAUAGAAAUUUACAAGAAUUACUUUUCUGUUCAUGCAAUCGGCGUCCGAAUGCGGCUGAUCGGUCACCGGUGUUGGCGUUUACUGUGAUUAGACAAAUUGUAGGAAUUCAAAAAUAACUUCUAUAGGGGUAAUUUCGAUUUCACAUAAUUAAUUUUAUUUACAAUAUUUUAUUCCUGCUAGAUCAAUUGAGAUUCUUUCCACCGGGCACACCCUUCAUGUUCUUUUAUUUUCUGUCUUUUAUUAGCCGUAGGAUUUUACUACUCUUAUAUCCAACGGCUUGCCACAACAAGACAAAUGAGGUGGUACCUUCCAACCGCUGAAAGGUCGUUUUGGCCCCAGGUGAAAGAGGGAAAUAGGGAAUUGAUGCUAUAUUUUAUAUUUUCUAUUUUACUACUCUUGUAUCCACCGGCCUUUCUUAUAUUUUAUUGCAAAUUGAUGCUAACAAGAAAAAGCUACAUCAUAUUCCACAAAAAACAAAAGUGACAAAACAACCAGUUGGAUUCUUUUAUUAAACUACAAAUUAAAUGGACUUUUUUUUAAUAAACUAUAUAUGAAAGUAGAAUCUUUUGAAUAUAAGUGGGGUAGACUUCCUUUCCAAAACAAAAAAUGCGGGGUAGGCUCUUUUAUUAAAGACAAGUCACAAGACGAUUAGAGUCUUUUAUUAAACUGCAAAUUGUAUAGUCUUUUUCAAAUUGUACAGACAUUUAUAAAUUGGUGGCCCCUUGGAAAUUUAAUGCCAAGCAGAGAAAAGUCAUCAUGCACAAUCCUCAAUAAUUGUUUCGAUAUUUAUAAAUUGGUGGCCCCAACGAAUAAUUGGGAUCGGUUAUGGUGCAAUUAUAGAACCAUGGCACAGUUGCAUCCAGCCGUUAAAUGCACUUAGAUUGGUGAGGUUUAUUGGCAUCUAAUGGCUGAAUGUAACUAUAAUACGGUACUACAGUUACAACACAAGUUUCCACCAAUAAUUGUUCCGAUAAUUAUAAAUUGGUGGCCCCUUGAUAAUUUAACAGCAGCCUGCAAGUGCCAACCAGUGAAAAGUCAUCAUUCACAAUCUUCCAAGUGAAAUAGGAGAUAUACAAAAUAAUAAAAAAAAAACAUGUCAAUUCUUUUUUUUUUUAUUCAUUCCCUUUCAUGUUCUUGAUAAGGGAGGGAGGACGUGACAUGUAAUGUAACUUACACCCAAAUACAUAAAUAAUAUAAAAUGAAUGGAUAGAUGCCCGAGCAGAUCGGCAGGGUUCGAAUAUGACCUUUGGUGCUUGCUUUUUUUUUUUGUGAUUUUGUUUUUCAUUUUUUCCUUCCUGUCAUUUUAUCAUUUCUUUGGCUUUGUCUCUAUUGCGGGUGUUACUGCAUGCUUACUGUUGCUUGACAAAGUUUGCUAGCUGAAAGAAACUUAGUUCUAUAUUGUUUGGUAGGCUAGAAAAUGAAAGGAAAUAAAAGAAAAGCUUUGCAAAGAAAUCUGUUGGAUCUUUUAUUAUUCCAAACUUACAGUUUAAUGACUACUAAUUGAUAUUUAUAUUGAGCUACAAUCUCUUAACAUACACACGAGAUUGUUGCAACACAUAACCAUUUGCUGUAUAACUAACUUGACACAUCAGCUCAACCAGCUAACUAACUUUGACAGGUCAGCUUAAUGAUUUGAUCUGCUACAACCAGCUACACAACACAUCAUGCUCUGCUCCAGCUACACAGCAACAUCAUGCUCUGCUCCAGCUUCAUCUAAUUCACUAACAUCCCCCUUCAAGCUGAAAUGUUUAGGAUGAACAUUCAGCUUGCUGCGGAAGUAACUAAAUUGUUUGAAAGUAAGAGCUUUAGUCAACACAUCUGCAGUUUGAUCUUGACUAGGCACAUAACAGACUGCAACUUCUUUAGCAGUAACUUUAUCUCGGAUGAAAUGGAUAUCCAAUUCAACAUGCUUAGUUUUAGCAUGAUAGACUGGAUUAUAAGCUAAAGCAAUGGCUCCUUGAUUAUCACACCACAUCAUAGGAGUAGAGCUCAAUUUGAUGCUAAGUUCACCAAGUAAAGACUUGAUCCAGGUAACCUCUGAAGCAGCAUGAGCAAGAGAUCUAUACUCAGCCUCUGUGCUGAAUCUGGAAACAACAGCUUGCUUCUUGGACGACCAAGAGACAAGAUUAGGACCUAGAUAAACAGCAAAGCCAGCUACUGACUUCCUAUCAUCAUGAUCACAAGCCCAAUCAGAGUCUGAAAAACAAUGGAGUUGCAGAGCUCCUUGGUUGUAGAAUUGCAGCCUAAGAUGGAUAGUACCUUUUAAGUACCUCAAUAACCUUUUACAUGCUUCCCAAUGUUGAGUCCUAGGAUUGGAAAGGAACUGACUCAACUUAUUGACAUAAAAAGCAAUGUCAGGUCUGGUAAGAGUAACAUACUGAAGAGCUCCUAUAACACUUCUGUAUUGAGAAACAUUGUCAAUUGGCUCCCAUGAGUCUUUGGUGAGAUAAUAACCUGUAGACAUUGGAGUUGGCACAGGACUGCAAUCAAUCAUGCCAUGUUUGUCCAGAACAUCAGCAAUAUACUUUGCUUGUGUCAAGGAAACCCCUUUUGAAGACUUGCUGACUUCAAUCCCCAAAAAAUAGUGAAGUUCCCCUAAAUCCUUUAAAGCAAAAGUCUGAUGCAUAUUCUGAAUAGCUUGCUGAAUCAAUGAUGGACUGGAACCAGUGAUGAUAAUAUCAUCAACAUAGACUAAAACAAUAGUUAUAUGACCACUGUUCCAGGCAUAAAAAAGAGAGUUAUCAGACCUUGAAUGCUGAAAAUGCCACUGGGAGAUCAUUGCAUCCUUAAAUCUAUCAAACCAGGCUCUAGGAGCCUGUUUUAAACCAUACAAAGCCUUAUUCAGCUUGCAAACAUGAUUAAGUUUAGUUGAAUCAACAAAACCUUGAGGUUGAGCCAUGUACACAUCUUCAAUUAAAAUGCCAUUGAGGAAUGCAUUAUUAACAUCCACCUGCCUAAUAACCCAGUGGUUCAAUAUUGCUAAGCUAAGAAUAACUCUGAUAGUUGAAGAUUUAACCACUGGACUGAAGGUUUCUGUGUAGUCAACCCCAUGUGUCUAAUGAAACCCCUUAGCAACAAGCCUGGCUUUAUACCUUGAAACCGAGCCAUCUGAGUUAUACUUAAUUCGAAACACCCACUUGUUACCAACUAUCUUCACUGGAGUAGCAGGUAAAACCAAAUCCCAGGUGUGAUUAGUUUUAAGUGCUAGAUACUCUUCUUGCAUAGCUUUAUACCACAUAGGAUCAGAGAGUGCUUUGGAAACAGAAGUUGGUUCUGAUUGCUGGGCUAACAAGGCUGACAAAUAAACUUUUGGCUUAAAAAUACCUGCUUUUGAUCUGGUUACCAUUGGAUGACCAGAUGGUGCAUGUUGUGGUAAUGUAUGUGGAGGUGAGGAAUGGGAAGAUGAGAAAGGAGAAACUGAGUUGGAAUUAUCAGAAAAAUAAACUGGAGUAGAGUUUGGGAAUGAAAUAGAAGCAUUAGACUGAUGAUCAGUAGGUUGAGGUGCUGAUGAUGCUGCUAAAGGUGCUUGUAACUGAGUAACAGAAGAAGUAGAAGACUUAAAAGAAGACUCAGAGUGUGAUGUAGACUGACAGCUUAAAGAGGUUGAAGAAAACUCUACCCCAGACUCAUAAGGAAAGGAAUUUUCAUCAAAGGUGACAUAAUUGGAAAUAUACACCCUUCCAGAAGAGUGAAGACACAUAUAUCCCUUGUGUUGUGAACUGUAGCCAAUGAAUAUACAUCUAGCAGUUCUGAAAUCAAACUUAUAUCUAUUGUAUGGUCUGAGUGUUGGAUAACAAGCACAGCCGAAAGUUUUAAGUGUUGAAUAAUCUGGUUGAUAAUGAAACAACUUUUGGAAAGGAGAAAUGUUAUUUAGAACUGGAGUUGGAAGUCUGUUUAUCAAAUAGACAGCUGUGUGGAAUGCAUUCCACCAAAAUUUGAGUGGUAAAUGUGCUUGAGCUAAUAAAGUCAGACCUACAUCAACUAUGUGUCUAUGCUUCCUCUCAAUUCUUCCAUUUUGGUGAUGAAUAUGUGGGCAAGGGUGUCUAAAAUGGAUACCAGAAGUAGUGAGUAAUGAGGAAAAAGAUCUGAACUCCCCUCCCCAGUCAGUUUGGACAGUUUUGAUGGAAAGUUGAAGAUGCUUUUCAAUGAAUGUUUUGAAAUUUUUAAAAACUUCAAGAGCAUCAGAUUUUGCUGAUAAAGGGAAUAUCCAGGUAAACCUACUAUAAUCAUCUAGGAUUCACAGGUAGUAGUUAUAUCCUUGGGUAGAACAAACAUGAGAAGGACCCCACAGAUCUGCAUAUAUUAGUUGUAAAGGUUCUGAAGUUUUUGUUUCAACUGAAUCAAAAUGCAGCAUAUGAUUUUUCCCAUAUUGACAUGCAUAACAAAAUUUCAAACUUUCAACUUUAUUAAGAGCAGUAAAGUUGUUACAAGCUUUGAGUAUGGUUUUGAGAGUAUAAGGAGCUGGGUGUCCUAAUCUUCUAUGUAGAAGAUUUACAUAAGUUAAACCCUUUGCAACAACUGACAGACAUGACUUUUUAUUCAGCUCAUAAGAACUAACAGCAGAAGGCUUAUCAGAAGUAAAAACAGGAGAACAAGCAAAAAGAGACUGAAUUUUUUUUUUACCAACUGAACUGAGAAAAACUGAGUGAGCAGCAGCUUGUGAAGAGACUCUAUACAAGCCACCUUUAGCAACACCUUCAUGUAAAAUUUUCCCUGUGUUCCUGGCCUUUAUAAAACAGAAAUCACCAAGAAAUUCAACAGUAACUGGAUUGUCAGCCAAUAAUUUGGAAAUGCUAAGUAAAUUCUUAGUAAUAAAGGGAAUAUGAAGAACAUGGUUAAGAAAUAAAGAUUGAGAAUUUGAAGUGUUCAGCACAACUGAUCCUAUAUGUGUAACAGCUAAUGCAUUUCCAUCCCCAACAAAUAACUUCUCAGUACCAGUAUAAGCUUGUGAAUCUAGAAGUUUACCUAGAUCAUUAGUAAUGUGAUUUGUGGCUCCACUGUCAAUGUACCAGGAAAGAUCUUCAAUGUGUUCUGGAAGUGAAGAAGACAUAGUUGAGGAAGAUGAAGCACUUGACUGUCCAGGAUUAUUGUUUCCUUGACCAGCAACAAAAUUAGAUGAUCCAGGAGUGAAAGAGUAAUAGGCAGAAGGAUUGUUAUCUGGAUACACUAUAUUUCCUUGAUAACCAAAACCCCUGGGUGCAUGACCAAAACUAGCAUUUUGUCCAAAACCAGCAUUUGAACCAAAACUUCUUCCACUAUUACCAUUAUAGACUCUUCCUCUACCAUAUUGCCCUUGAUUAAAACCUCUGUCACCAUUCAUAUUGCCUCUACCAUGAUUCCUCUGUGGAACAUAAGAUGAGUUGUACCUAUUCCUGCAUCUAUUUGCUGCAUGACCAGGUAUGAAGCAAAUUUGACAAACAACUUCAGAGGAAUUACUACCAGUAUUAAACUGACCAUAUCCAUAUCCAUUAAAACCUCCAUAUCCAGAAUUAUUACCACCUCCAUAGUUAUUUCCAUAAUUUUUCUGAAAAUUUCCAUUAUUCUUUCUAGCAUAUGAGUUCUUCUGAGCAAUAUUUGCUGUCAUGUUAUGCAUCACAUCACCAGCAAUUUUCCCUUUCUUUUGCUCAACUCUAUUUUCAUGAUUCAACAACAAAGAAUAUAGUUCAUCUAAUGUGAUCUUUUCACCUCGAGCUAACACAGCUGUGACUAAAGACUCAUAGUCUGAUGAAUCAAGACCAGUUAAUAUAUGCAUCACAAGAUCAUUUAACUCAAUAGGUUUUCCAGCUAGAGCUAAAGUAUCAGCUAUGCGUUUUACUUUUACAAAAUAAUCAGACAUAUGCAUUGCACCUUUCUUAAUAGUUUGAAUCUGCAUUCUAAGUGUUUGAAUUCUAGCUUGUGAUUGAGAGAUAAACAUACUAGCAAGAGUCUCCCAAAGCUGUUUUGAAGUUGUAGAAUCAAUCACAGUAGCAAGCAGAUUUUGCUGUAUCGAUGACAUCAUCCAACUCAGUAAGAGUUGGUCAGUCUUCAUCCAAGCUACGAAUUCUGGAUUAAUAGAUCUGGAUCCAGAUUCAGUUAAAACUUCAGCUCCAUUGUUGUUUCCAGAAGAAAGAAACUGCUCAGGACAUUCUCGAUCGCCAUUGAUAAAUCCUUCCAAACCGUUUCCUUUGAUUGAAGUUAAAAUUUGUGUGCGCAACAGAAUGAAGUUGUUUUGAUCUAGCUUUACUGGCGUAACAAAACUGAAAGAGUUGUUGUUUUGAACUAUAUUUGCCAUUUAUGGCUCUGAUACCAUGAAAGAAACUUAGUUCUAUAUUGUUUGGUAGGCUAGAAAAUGAAAGGAAAUAAAAGAAAAGCUUUGCAAAGAAAUCUGUUAGAUCUUUUAUUAUUCCAAACUUACAGUUUAAUGACUACUAAUUGAUAUUUAUAUUGAGCUACAAUCUCUUAACAUACACACGAGAUUGUUGUAACACAACCAUUGCUGUAUAACUAACUUGACACAUCAGCUCAACCAGCUAACUAACUUUGACAGGCCAGCUUAAUGAUUUGAUCUGCUACAACCAGCUACACAGCACAUCAUGCUCUGCUCCAGCUACACAGCAACAACAUGCUCUGCUCCAGCUUCAUCUAAUUCACUAACACUAGCUUUUCCUUUUGUUUAUUAAAUUUUUUUAUGGUCACAAAGUAUUACUCGUUCUAUUUGACAAUGAUGUGAAUCAAUUUUUCAAUUUUAUAUUUUGUGGUCAACGUGAAUUCAAUUUCAUUUGUCUCCUGCAAUUAUGAAAAAAUUACAGUCAUAAUAUGGGGAAACCUGUGGUGCAACUGUGGUACCAUGUCACAGUUGCAUCCAGCCGUUGGAUGCCAAUAGAUCCCACCAAUUUAAGUGCAUCCAACAGCUGGAUAUAACUAUAGCACGGUACCACAAUUACACCGUAACUUGAUCCCAUAAUAUGGAAAAGUACACCGGCAGAAACUUUGUAAAAGCUUCGGAGUGAUACGGGGAAUUCACUUACUACUAAAGACAGUUGGUGGCAACCUAAUGUCCAUCCAUCUAUUUAGUUAUUGAAGAUUAGUGGUCCAUUUGUAAAUUUCAGAUUGUCUCUCUCUCUCUCCCUCUUGAAAUAACAAUAUUUAAUAUAUCUAUUAAAUUAUUAUAAAUUUUAAUUUACUCUCGAUUUAAAAUGGAGCAUGUCGAUAAAUUUUUUUUCUUCUUAAUAAAAUUGACGUAAGUUGUGUUUACAGUAGUUUGAAGUUUGAAAUAUUUUAAAGAUUAUUAUUCUAUAAGGGAGUAAUAUGAACUGAAAUUUACUUUUCAUGUGUGAAAUGAAAAACGACGAAGCAAGUGUCCCUGCUUUUAUUUUAUUUCAAGGAGGAGUCAUCUCACAUACUUUAGCUCUUAACAUUACAUUUUUUCUGGUUACAUUUUUAUUUUUUAUUUUUUUUAACACAUGCGUGUGGGAUGCUUUUCUGUAAGCUCCUUAAUAUAUAUUUAAGACAAAUCAUGGAAGAGAUGGGAUUAUAUCAAGAUGAUCAAAGCAUGUAAAAAAAGAAAAAAGAAAAAAAAAUUAAGAAGUAAGACACUGAAAAUGGAGAAGAGAUGGAAGCAAAAGAUAUUCCAAACAAAGCAAUCUAUCCCCUUUCGAGGGCAGACUUAUCAGGUUUAAAAAAGUACAUGCUUUGGAUUGGUAGUUACAAUCAAGGGAAAAUAAAUAGGAUCCAAUGAAAUUUAAAUCUUGGAGAAAAUAAAUAAUCAUGCAGAUUUUCAAGAUUUUAAUAAGGGAUACUAAUAUCUUAUUUUGAUUAAUAACAUUCUUUCACUGUGUUAACUCAAAAAAAAUAUUAUAAUGCUUUACAAUAAAUACAAAUGUCCUAUUAAAUGAAUAUAUAAAAAAUUUAGAAUAUUAUAUAAAAUAAUUUUAAUAUAAUGCGUGAGAUAUAUUUUAUUAAUUUAAAAUGUCAUUUUACCUAAAAAAUAUGAUAAAUUGAUAAUUACAUAUUUGAAGUUAUUUCAAAUAUUAAAAAAAUUUAAUAUUAUUAGUCUUUUAGAUAGAUUAAAUUAUUUUUUAAAGAGAUAGAUUAAAUUAUUUUAAAAUACCUUAAUUGUUUUUACUUUAAACAUUACCGGCCUUUCUUUUAUUUUAUUGCAAAUUAAUGCUAACAAGAAAAAGCUAGAUCAUAUUCCACAAAAGCAAAAGUGACAAACACAGCCAGCUGGAAUCUUUUAUAAAACUACAAAUUAAAAUGGAUUUUUUUUUUUGAUAAAUUACACAUGAAAGUGGAUUCUUUUGAAUAUAAGUGGGGUAGGCUCUUUUAUUUUAUUUUUGAAUAUUGUAUAACGGGACUGUAGACUCUUUUAUUAAACUACAAAUUGUAUAGUCUUUUUAAAAUUGUUAUAAAUUAGUGGCCCCUAAAAUCCUCAACAAUUGUACCGAUAUUCACAAGUUGGUGGCCCCUACAAUUCUGUUCAGUUAAUUUAACUGUGCAAGUGCUCAUUCACAAUCUUCCAGGUCAUGCUCUUAAUAAUUUUUUUUUUUUUUUCUGCAUUCCCUUUCAUGCUCUUAAUAAUUGAAGAGCAUACUUUUCAUUUUCAAAUGUGGAGCCGCAGCUAAUGUCGUUAAUUUAAUUUGGGAUUAAAUUAGGGGACCAUUAUAUUGCAGUGUGCACUAAUUUUUGUGUUUAUCUAAACUCCUUAAAUUUAAGACAUAUUAUGGCAUAAAUAAGAAUAUAACAAUAACAAAAGAGUUAGAAAGUGUAGAGAAGAUCUUGCAGAAAUAUAAAUAAUAUCUAUUUUAAAAUAAUUUUUAAUAUUUUAUGAUCCAUUAGAUAUAUUUUAUUAUAUUAAAGUAAAUUUUAUAAUAAAUGAAAACAUACUAUUAAAAUGAAUAUAUAGAAAAUUUAGAGUAUUUUAAAUAUUAUAUAAAAUAAUUUUAAUAAAAUAUGUGAGAUAUUCAUAUUUUAUUAAUUUAAAAUACCAUUUAACCUAAAGAUUUAUUUAUGAUAAAUUAAUAAUUAUAUUUUUGAAAUUACUUCAAAUAUUAAAAAAAUUAAUAUUACUAAUCUAUUAGAUAGAUUAAAUUAUAUAUAUUAUUUUCUAUUUAUUAAAAAAUUAAAAUUAUUUUUAAUUACUAUUCAAAAAAUAUAAUGAUAAAAAAAAAUCUUAACAUCUUUAUUAAAAAUUUAAAAUUUACAUGAUCAAUUCUCUAAAUAUUUAGGGUAUAUGUGAACAUCGGUGGAGAAGCUUUAUUUAAUAUUAUUGAUUUAAAUAAUAUGUCAAUUAAAAAUGUGCGGAGAAGAAAUUUCGGUGGGUAUUUUAGUCUUUUCAGCAAUUAUCAUGAUCAGAUCAGCCUUUAGCCUUGAAACGUCGGUCAGAAAGUUUUAAAAUUAACGCUAACAAGAAAAAGCUAGGUCAUAUUCCACAAAAGCAAAAGUGACAAAACAACCAGUUGGUUUCUUUUACUAAACUACAAAUUAAAAGUGGAUUCUUUUGAAUACAAGUGGGACAGACGAUUAGGCUCUUUUUAUUAAAGGCAAGUAAAAAGUAGUCGAAUAGUCUUUUUCAAAUUCUUGUUUUAAUAUUUUUCAAAACUAGUUUUUGGUAAUUACAAUCGGGUCAUUCAUUAAUCAUUAUUCAGAGUAAUUAUGAAUUUCCCAAUUAUAAUUACUAACUGUUUUUCCUUAACCACUCGGCUCAGCCCGAGUGGCCAGGGCUGCUGCCCUCCAAGUUCGAACCCCCACAAAAGUAUUGUGGGGGUAUUUUCUUUCUCAAUUAAUUUGAGUGAAGGUAGUCUUUUCCUUUAUCCAUGAGUGAGGAGUAGACAUCCCUCGAAUAUUUGUGAGGGUUAAAAUCUGAGUAGAGCUCUAUUAGCAUUGAUGUAAGUUGAUCCCAGUAAUUGUCUGAUCUGUAAAUAUCAGGUUAAAAUCUGGGCAAAGCUCCAUUAGCAUUGAUGUAAGUUGAUCCCAGUAAUUGUCUGAUCUAUAAAUAUCAGUUAUAGUCUCAUGUAAUAUGAGUUGUAAUCUGAGCAAUAGUCUCGUGUAAUAAAAAAAAAAAAAAACUAUUUUUCCUUCAAAAGUUAGAGACUCGUGUUUGCAACUUGCAAGUGUGAAUGUGCAAUGCUCUUUGUCUAAAGGCUAGUGUUUCUAGUGGGUCCCGACUCGAGCGUGCCUAAAUCAUUUUAAAAUUUUUCCCGUAUAAUGGACAGAGGUCAUUACUAAAAUUUCUCUUCCACAGGCAAUUACAGCAGCUCCAGUUUAUCAAACUCAACCAAUUUUCUUUCUUAACAAAAUUCCAAAGAUGUGUAGCUUUUUUCAGAUCACAUGCGAUGGUGCUCUUUUCAAUCGUUGCUUGGAUUGCUUUCUUGGAAAAGCAGCAUACAUACGUAACCUCCAAGAUAAUCUUGAUGCCUUGGAGACUGAAUUGGGAAAUCUGAUCGCUAAAAAGAACGAUGUGAUGAGGAGGGUUGUCGAUGCUGAACGGCAACAAAUGAGAAGGCUGGACGGAGUGCAAGUGUGGGUUUCGAGGGUGGAUGCUUUUAAAACUGGAGCCGAUGAACUUAUCAUAGACGGCUCUGAAGAAAUUGGCAAAUUAUGUGUUGGAGGCUACUGUUCCAAGAACUGCAGGUCAAGCUACAAAUUCGGAAAACAAGUGGCUAGAAAGCUACGAGAUGUGGAGACUUUAAUCGCCGAGGGAGUUUUUGAGGCGGUGGCUACUGAGGUGGUGCCUGAGAGAGCUCCAGAGCCUGUAGCAGAUAAAAGACCCAUUGAGCCAACAAUAGUAGGCUUGCAAUCACAGCUUGAACAAGUUUGGAGAUGUCUUGUAGAAGAAUCAGUGGGAAUCAUUGGCCUAUAUGGUAUGGGCGGUGUUGGUAAAACCACACUAUUGACCCAUAUCAACAAUAAAUUUCUUGAGAGUCCCACAAACUUUGAUUGUGUGAUUUGGGUCCUAGUUUCAAAAGACCUGCGACUUGAAAAAAUUCAAGAAGAUAUUGGGAAGAAGAUAGGUUUGGUUGAUGAUUCAUGGAAGAAUAAAAGUUUUGAAGAGAAAGCUGUGGACAUCCUGCGGAGAUUAGGAGAGAAGAGAUUUGUAUUGUUGUUAGAUGAUUUAUGGGAGCGGGUUGAUUUAACAGAAGUGGGCGUUCCACUUCCCAGCGCACAAAAUACUACCUCAAAAGUCGUAUUCACAACCCGUUCCAUUGGUGUUUGUGGCAGCAUGAGAGCUAGGCCGGUUAAAGUGGCAUGCCUAUCAGAAAAGCAAGCUUGGGAACUGUUCCGCGAAAAUGUUGGGGAAGAAACUCUUGAGAGUGAUCAUGAGAUCGUUGAGCUAGCCCAAACUGUAGCCAAAGAGUGUGGUGGUUUGCCACUCGCACUUAUUACUAUUGGUCGAGCUAUGGCCAACAGAAAUACAGCUGAGGAGUGGAGACAUGCAAUUGAAGUAUUAAAAAGGUCAGCUUCGGAGUUUGCGGGUUUGGAAAAAGAUGUAUAUCCUCUUUUAAAGUUUAGUUAUGAUAGUUUGCAGAAUGAGACGAUUAGAACUUGUUUCUUAUAUUGCUGUUUGUAUGCGGAAGAUUAUGUCAUUCCUAAAUGGGACUUGAUUGAUUGUUGGAUUGGUGAGGGAUUCUUAGAGGAAUCUCACGGUUUUGGUGCAGAAAACCAAGGAUACUACAUUGUGGGCACUCUUGUUCGUGCAUGUUUAUUAGAAGAGGUGGAAGAUGAUGAAGUAAAAAUGCAUGACGUUAUUCGUGAUAUGGCUAUAUGGAUAACCUGUGAAAUUGAGAAGGAGAAGAGAAACUUUUUGGUUCGUGCAGGUGCUGGAUUAAAAGAGGCACCGGAUGUUAAAAGAUGGGAAAAUGUGAGAAGAUUGUCAUUGAUGCAAAACCAAAUUGAAACUCUGUCAGAGGUUCCCACAUGCCCUCAUCUCCAUACUCUAUUUCUUGCCUCUAAUAAUAGUUUGCAGAGGAUCACCGAUGGCUUCUUCCAACUUAUGCCUUCUCUCAAAGUUUUGAAGAUGUCAAACUGCUGGAAUUUUACUUUGAAAUUACCUUUGGCGAUGUCAGAGUUGGGUUCGUCACUAGAACUUCUUGAUAUUUCAUAUGCCAGCAUAACAGAGUUACCAGAAGAGUUAAAGUUGUUGGUAAAUCUGAAAUGUUUGAAUUUGAGGUGGACAGAUACGUUAAAUAAAAUUCCACGGCAACUAAUAUCAAUUCUUUCAUGGUUACGUGUGUUGAGAAUGUUGGGUACUGGCUGGUUCAAUUUUCUUGAAGCACCAGAAGACAGCGUUUUAUUUGGUGGGGGUGAAGUUUUGAUACAGGAAUUGCUCGGUUUGAAAUAUUUAGAGGUAUUGGAGUUGACCUUGGGAAGUUAUCAUGCUCUCCAAAUUCUUUUGAGCUCAAAUAAGUUAAAAAGUUGUAUUCGAUCUCUUUACCUCCAUUUGACCGGAGAUACAGCGUCAAUUAUUGAUGCUACGGUUUUCGCAGAUCUAAACCAACUCAAUCAAUUAUGGAUUGAUGAAGGUAUUGAGUUGGAAGAAUUGAAGAUUGAUUAUACGGAGAUAGUACGAAAAAGGCGGGAACCUUUUGUUUUCCGCAGCCUUCACUGUGUUCGUAUAGAGCAGUGCCAUAAAUUGAAAGAUGUGACAUUCCUCAUUUUUGCUCCAAACCUCAAGUCUCUUGACCUAUCCUACUGCUCUUCUAUGGAAGAAGUAAUCAGCGUCGGAAAAUUUGCUGAGACUCCUGAGAUGAUGGGACAUAUAAGCCCUUUUGAAAAUCUCCAAAGUCUUCAUUUAUCGCAAUUGCCAGCUUUGAAGAGCAUCUACUGGAAGCCAUUGCCUUUCACUCAUCUCAAAGAAAUAUCUGUGGGUUAUUGCCGUAAUCUUAAAAAGCUUCCACUCGAUUCCAACAGUGCAAAGGAGCGUAAAUUUGUAAUUCGUGGAGAAGAAGACUGGUGGAACCGACUUCAAUGGGAGGAUGAAGCCACUCAAAUUGCUUUUCGUUCCUGUUUCCAACCAAUGGGAGUACUGAGCGGUGGUCGCAAAAUUUGAUUUCUGGUGAGUGCGUUUGUCUUUUAAAAGCAGAAUUUAAAAGAAAUUUAUUCUUGUCGUUUUCUUCUCUGUUUUUAUUUGAUUUCUGGUUAGUUUCUCUCUCGCACUGCCAUUACUGUUUUAAUUUCCUGUCAAAAGACGAGCGAGAAGAACAUAUAUAUGACGUAAACCAAUUGAUAAAUAUUAAUUGCCUGUUCUCUGUUUUUAUUAAGUAUACUUUAUUUUGCCCUGUUCUCUGUUUUUAUUUCAUUCUCUCUCUCUCCCUCUCUUUCCUGUCUUCUGCAAGUCAUAAUUAAAUGUUGAAUUAUAUGGAAUUAAUGCUUUAUAAAUCUGCCUACGCUGGCUUUUUUUUUUUUUUUUGUGGGGUCGAAUUGAUGCUCUGGUUUUCGACUACUUUUUGUUGUCAAAAUUUUCUCUGUUUUUUCAAAUUGAUGCUUUAUUUAUAUCUUCUUCGUGAAAAGUGAUUUAAUUUCCUGCCAAAAGACGAACGAGAAGAACAUUAGAGUCUAACUAAUGCUCACAUAAAUUUCCCGUAAGAAUAUAUAUAUAAUUAGACUGGAAUGCACACCUCUAGAUUGAACAGAAUUAAAGCUGAGAAAAUAUUGAGUAUAGUAGCCCUCUUUACAGAAAAUGACGCGAAAGUUAAUUUAGAAAAAGAUAUAUUCUUGAUUAAUCCAUUUUCUGAAGUUUUUUAUUUUGUAUGGUCAAUUAUACCUUCAUACUAAAAAUUUCUGAAGUUAUGGGGUUGUUGGAUGUGUUUUGGAUAUUUGCAGCUAAGUUUGAGUUUAUAUCUCAACUUAAAAUUUGUAGUUUUCACUUGAAAAAAUUCAGUUAAAAAUUUAUUGGUAGAAUUGUGAAAAAAGUUAAAAUUUUUAGUUCAACCCGAUUGCAUAUUUAAGAACAUCUCAAAUGAAUUGCUUACUGCUAUCAUCAUCAUUAUUGUCCAUAUAAUAAUGGAUCUUUAUUAUAUAUAUAUAUGUUUCCACUAAAAUAUAUUUAAUUAUUCUUUAUUUUUCCAUUGUUGCGUGUAAGAUUUAUUUGAGUUCUAAGUUAUAUCAAUACAAAUGUUAUCUUAUCCAUAAAAAAGUUAGAUCCAACAAUUAUGAAAAUUACCAUAGAGUUGCUUUCAAUUAUUUUUUAAAAAUACCAGGAGUAAAUAAUAAUUAGUUCAAGUGGUGUAGACUAAAAAGUGUUCACCUUUAUUUUUUAUCUGUUAUUUAUUUAUUUCAUUAAUGCACAUGCUAUACAUUUGAGACACUCCAUCCUAUGCAAUGUGAAUAAAUUUCUUUCCUUUUUCCUUUACUCUUUUUAUUUGACAAUAAAGUUUCCAUCUAUCAUCUAUCAUCUAUCAUCUAUGUACGCAAAAUUUCUGCAACAAGUACAAAACAUAAAAAUAUAUAUGAUUGUUAAGGGAAACACGCAGAAGUUCAUCAUUUCAAUGUUCAGUAUUACCAAUUUUGGCAUUAAGCUUGUACGAAUAUAUUCCACUUAGAAAGCAAAAUAUUAGACUCAUGAUUUUAAUUCAUUCAUUAUCUCUCAUUUUAAUCCCAAAAUAUUCAAGAGUAUCCAAGUUACCAUAAGACUUCAGAGGCUCGAGCCUUAGCCAGAGAUGGUUAAUUGAUAGACUAUGUGCCUGGGUCGAGCACUGGAAGCCUGCAAUGCAGACUGAUUGAUUUAUCAGUUUGACGUGUGCCAGGAAUGAAGAACUGGAAUAUCACCGUCAAGCACGCACCCUGUGGAGCAAUACCAAAGAAUGCACAAUCUGGCUUUGCUAGGUGACACUGGAGGCUUUUUGAAAAGUGCUUCACGCUCACUUGCACAGAUUGAGCAUCCCCUCCGGAUAUUGCCCUCUCUGAUCGAGUCCGAGCACUCAAAUUUCAAUCCUCAGAUGGAGCUACAGCUUUCUCUCCAAUAACCAACAAUUUUCUAAACUCAGCUCCUAGUGUGAUGAGAGUUGUUGAUAUUUGUAAAUGGAGAUCCCCAUAUUUGCAAAUGGAGACAUUUAACAAAUCACCAACAUGCUUCAUUCGGUCUACGAAAUUCUGCAGCUGAUUCAAAUCCGGAACCUGAACCAGAGUCGGAGGUAAAUCUUGAGCCAUAUCUAAAGCAGUCUGAAGUUCAAGUACUUGAGCCCUUGACAAUGGUUUUGAAAUAGGAACAUCUUGGAUUACUGCAGACUUGUACCCCUUGGUUUCAAAGGUAAGGAAAGGCAUUGCUUGAGUACAAUUUGGAGGCAGCUUCUUCACCAAUUUUAUUUGGAGGCGAUUGGCAGCGGAUCCAGCUGCACCAAUUUCAGAGCAAAUACUGACACUACUUCGAACAGCACACUGAAGAAGUGAUAUGUCUACGGCAAAGGCAAUGCAGUCCUCAUUUUGGCUUGAGAUGCAGUAAUCAUCGAAGAGAGUUUCCUUGUGAAACUGGGCAACACAUUGAAUCCCUUCGCCACUGAGAAGGUUGUGGAGGAAGUAAGCUUUCUCUCUAGUGAGGAAGAGGUGGCAUACCUUCCCCAUUUUGUCUAGGGCAGGUAGGAAUCAUUUUUCUAAGAGAUUUACUUCAUUCUCUGUGAGAAAUGAAUUGAACUUCAUCCCUCUGUCUCUAUCCUCACUUAUCAGAAAAUAAGUUGAAAGCACUUCGGAGAGAGAGAGAGAGAGAAUUAAGAUAUAUAGACAAGAAAAAUAUUAGACGUUGAUCUUACAAACUAAUACUUCAAGCAGUAUCCUAGAAAGCUAAAAACUGCAAGAUGGCUUGAAAUUUGAAAAGAGCACGUGCUUUUCCUCCUUAACUUGAGAAAAUGUUUAAUAUAGUGCACCUACAGAAGCAUUUAAGCAAUUAGAACUUUGCACAAAAACAUCAAGAAGACUAAACAAAUCAGAUGCAGUGUAUUUGUCCAAGCACAAAUUGCAUUUUGUCCUCAACUUUAAUAUUUAUUGAUGAGAAUCAAUACAGGUCCCUCAUUUGAUAUAGAAAGCUUUCUUUCUUGUAGUCUCACCAGUUAAUUCACAGGUCUAUAAUCAUCUUGCAAAGUUAAGGGCAUUUCUUUCGAUCUAAAGUCUUUGCAUCACCACCUCAUCACACGCCAAGCCAAUAUUCCAUUUACCUCUACAACAAAAAGUUUUAAGUAAACAAUCCUAAUGCACGCAGCCAAAUAAAAUGCAGUAAGAAUAUUCAACUUAAAAAUCUGAAAGCCGACUUGGUGAAUUGCCUCCUUAGGUGAAGUUCCAUGCUUUACUAUAGUUGACAGAACUCAGCAAAAGCUUCCAUACAACAGAUUUUGAAAAUGAUGAUGCCAAUAGAUACUCAUUCAAUCCAUUGAAAAUCCAAAGGUUCAUUGUUAAUAGAAGUUUACAGAGUUUUGGUCAUCAAAUAGCUCAGACCUAAUCCCAAACAAAAAACGAGUGAAAAUUAGAUCACGAGCAGCUGAUUGUAAAUUCUAACUUAACUCUUCAUCUCCUUUGUAAACAAGAAACAAAAUGGAGACACGCAAAAUGAAUAUGGAGAAAAUUUGAACUCAAAUGAAAUGAGGGCACGAAAGCAAACAAAUGGCAUGCACAAAAAAACCAAGCCUCAAUCAAAAACUAAUUAACCAUUAAGAAAAAAAUUGGUCAGAUAAUGAACUACAAAUUCAGGAGUCAAGCAAGAAGCUUUCAUUAUUUCAGAAGCUCCUGUACAAAUUAAUAAGUUAUGCUCUUUGGAAGCAAACCUAAAUUCCAAGAGAAACAGAACCCAAAAAAUUUGCAAUUAUACGCAAAGGGAGUGAAGCACAGGAUUCUAUCACACAUAGGAAUUGUAUAACAAGAGAUCGAUAUAUCGAAUUAGAAAACUCAAUUCGAAUUUGUGUCAAAAAUCAAAAUUAGAAGAUUUCACAUUUCGAGAGGAACAAGCAACAGAUGAAGUUCAAAAUUUCAGCCAUAACAUGCUAAAAAUGCUACACUUAACGGUUCAUUUUCAUGGAUUUUCUCGGGAAACAAACAGAAAAUUACGGUUUAGAGAUUUGACUGACCUUUUGGCUUUUGAAAUUGAGAAGAUCGCACGCCAAAUUGGAAGAGGGAAAGUGAAAGUGCGAGUUUUAAUAUGGGUAUUAGAUAAGGAAAUUUUAUUAGGUUGCGAGGGUAAAAAAGGAAAGAGAUAUCAUUGUUUUAUUAUCGAUAAUUAUUAAAUUUUUUUCCAAAAAAAAAGAACAAGCAAGGAUAUUUUAUUGUCAUUUGCAACCUUUAAUUUUUUAAAUGCUAUUAGAAACACAAGACAAUAAAGAAAUACUUAUUUUUUUCUAAAACUAAAAUCAAUUGUUUAAAAAAAAUUGUUUCAAAAUUACUUGAGUCAUAUCCAAUGGACCAACAAAGUAAUCGUUUUUAUUUUUAUUGAUUUUUGCAGGAAAUUAAUAACUUAAAAAUACUGAAAGCUAUUGUAAAAAUUUUUAUUAUCAACCUCAUAGUUUUUUUUUUUUUUUUUGGGAAGAGAAUUCAAACUUUUUUUUUUAUGAAUAUCGCUGUUUCGUUUGAGUUGGAUGUGAAUUCAAAUACAAAUAUUCUUUGUUUUUCAAUUCUGAACUCAAUUUCUUUUUUUCAAGAAUGUUAUGCAGAAAUGAUUUUUACUGAACGGCAACAAAUGAAAAGGCUGGGCCAAGUGGAAUGGUGGGUUUCGAGGGUGGAUGCUGUUAAAAUUGAAGCUGAUGAACUUAUCAGAGACGGCUCUCAAGAAAUUGACAAAUUGUGUGUUGGAGGCUACUGUUCUAAGAACUGCACGUCAAGCUACAAGUUCGGGAAACAAGUGGCUAAAAAGCUACGAGAUGUGGAGACUUUAAUCGCUGAAGGAGUUUUUGAGGCGGUGGCUACCGAGGUGGUGCCUGAGAGAGCAGAGCCUGUAGCAGAUGAAAGACCUACCGAGCGAACAGUAGUAGGCUUGCAAUCACAACUUGAACAAGUCUGGAGAUGUCUUGCAGAAGAAUCAGAGGGAAUCAUUGGCCUAUAUGGUAUGGGCGGUGUUGGUAAAACUACAUUACUGACCCAUAUCAACAAUAAAUUUCUCGAGAGUCCAACCAACUUUGAUUGUGUGAUUUGGGUAGUAGUUUCAAAAGACCUGCGACUUGAAAAAAUUCAAGAAGAUAUUGGGAAAAAGAUAGGUUUGGUUGGUGAUUCAUGGAAGAGUAAAAGUGUAGAGGAGAAAGCUGUCGACAUCUUCCGGAGUUUAAGAGAGAAGAGAUUUGUAUUGUUGUUAGAUGAUAUAUGGGAGCGGGUUGAUUUAACAAAGGUGGGCGUUCCACUUCCCGGACCCCAAAAUACUACCUCAAAAGUCGUAUUCACAACCCGUUUCAUCGAUGUUUGUGGUAGCAUGGAAGCUGACAGGAAGUUCCAAGUGGCGUGCUUAUCAGAAAAGGAUGCUUGGGAACUGUUUCGAGAAAAAGUUGGGGAAGAAACUCUUCAGAGUCAUCAUGAUAUCGUUGAGCUAGCCCAAAUUGUGGCCAAAGAGUGUGGUGGUUUGCCACUCGCACUUAUUACUAUUGGUCGAGCUAUGGCCUGCAAAAGGACAGCCGAGGAGUGGAGACACGCAGUUGAAGUGCUAAGAAGAUCAGCUUUUGAGUUUGCAGGUUUGGGAAAAGAGGUAUAUCCUCUAUUAAAGUUUAGCUAUGAUAGUUUGCAGAAUGAGACGAUUAGAUCUUGUUUCUUAUAUUGUUGUUUAUAUCCCGAAGAUUAUGGAAUUCUUAAAUGGGACUUGAUUGAUUGUUGGAUUGGUGAGGGAUUCUUAGAGGAAUCUGACAGGUUUAGUGCAGAAAACCAAGGAUACUACAUUGUGGGCACUCUUGUUCAUGCAUGUUUAUUAGAAGAGUUAGAAGAUGAUAAAGUAAAAAUGCAUGACGUUAUUCGUGAUAUGGCUCUAUGGAUAACCAAUGAAAUUGAGAAGGAGAAGAGAAACUUUUUGGUUCGUGCAGGUGCUGGAUUAAAAGAGGCACCGGAUAUUAAAGGAUGGGAAAAUGUGAGAAGAUUGUCAUUGAUGCAAAACCAAAUUAAAACUCUGUCAGAGGUUCCUUCAUGCCCUCAUCUCCAUACUCUAUUUCUUGCCUCUAAUGAUAAUUUGAGGAUGAUCACAGAUGGCUUCUUUCAAUUUAUGCCUUCUCUCAAAGUUUUGAAGAUGUCAAACUGUGUGGAUUGGCCAGUUUCGAAAUUACCUUUGGCGAUGUCAAAGUUGGGUUCACUACAACUUCUUGAUAUUUCACAUACCGGCAUAGAAGAGUUACCAGAAGAGUUGAAGUUGUUGGUAAAUCUGAAAUGUUUGAAUUUGAGGUGGACAUUUGAGUUAAAUAAAAUUCCAUGGCAACUAAUAUCAAAAUUUUCAAGGUUACGUGUGUUGAGAAUGUUCGCUACUGGCUUUGCCCGUUUUGAUGAAGCAUCAGAAGACAGCGUUUUAUUUGGUGGGGGUGAAGUUUUAGUACAGGAAUUGGUCGGUCUGAAAUAUUUAGAGGUAUUGGAGUUGACCUUGGGAUGUCAUCAUGCUCUCCAAAUUUUUUUGAGAUCAAAUAAGUUAAAAAGUUGUAUUCGAUCUCUUCUCCUCCACUUGGCCGGAGAUACAACGUCGAUUAUCGAUGCUACGGCUUUCGCAGAUCUAAACCACCUCAAUGAAUUAUGGAUUGAUAGGGCUAAGGAGUUGGAAGAAUUGAAGAUUGAUUAUACAGAGAUAGUUCGAAAAAGGCGGGAACCUUUUGUUUUCCGCAGCCUUCACCGUGUUACUAUACAUAGCUGCCAGAAGUUGAAAGAUACGACAUUCCUCGUUUUUGCUCCAAACCUCAAGUCUCUCGAUCUAGACCGUUGCGAUGCUAUGGAAGAAAUAAUCAGCGUCGGAAAAUUUGCUGAGACUCCUGAGAUGAUGGGACAGAUAAGCCCUUUUGAAAAUCUCCAAAUGCUUGAUUUAGAAGAUUUGCCACAUUUGAAGAGCAUCUUCUGGAAGCCAUUGACUUUCACUCAUCUGAAAGAAAUAUCUGUGGGUUAUUGCCGUAAUCUUAAAAAGCUUCCACUCGAUUCCAACAGUGCAAAGGAGCGUAAAUUUGUUAUUCGUGGAGAAGAAGACUGGUGGAACCGACUUCAAUGGGAGAAUGAAGCCACUCAAAUUGCUUUUCGUUCCUGUUUCCAAUCUCUUUUUGAUUAACUCUUAUACAUUUUCUCGUCGUUUGCUUCGUGCAAAAAAGACUACGUCUUUUGUUCUCUGUUUUUAUUUCAGUUUCGUUUGUUGUCUCCUGCAAAUCACAAUUAAAUGUUGAAUUAUAUGGAAGUAACGCUUUAUAAAUUUUCCGGCACUGCCAUUUCUUUUUCCUCUUUUUUUUUUUGGGUCGAAUUGAUGCUCUGGCUUUUUUACUUUUUGUCAUCGAAUUUUGCUCUGUUUUUCAAAUUGAUGCUUGAAUAUGUGAAUUCAAUUAAUGCUCACAUAAUUUUGUUUAGUUGCCGUAAAAAGAAUAUAAUUAGACUGCAAUUCGCACUCCCAGAAUGAAUAGAAUCACAACAGAGAAAAUAUUAAGUAUGCUAGCCCUCUUUACAGAAAAUCAAAUGAAAAUAAAAUUUUUUGGAUAUUUGAUUUUCUAUGGUCUACUAUAUACAGUUUAUAAAUUCUUCUGUUCUAAGGAUAACCAAAUCCUUUGUUCAAGGAUUUUUAUUUGGGGUAUUGAUAAUAGUCCACCAAAAUAGUGAAUGCUUGGAUGCUGCUUAAGGAUCUGUAAUCAAUAAGCUGGAAGCAAACGAGAAGGCGGUCGCUACUCUGUACAAAGCCAUGCAGCAAUUGCUAUUCAUCUUAAAUUCUUAAUAAUUACGAAGCUUUGGUAAAAUUUCCGAACAAAGUUGACAUGUUAUUUUGAGAUUUGGUUCCUGAUUUUGUAUGAAUAUCGCUGUUUCGUUUGAGUUGGAUGUGAAUUCAAAUCCAAAUAUUCUUUGUUUUUCAAUUCUGAAAUCAAUUUCUUUUUCUCAAGAAUGUUAUUCAGAAAUGAUUUUUACUAAAUCAUUUUUGAUGAAUUGUUUAAAUUAAACAAUUGGAAUAAGAAUUGUAACGAUUUAUCAUAAGCGUGCUAAUAUGAUAACUUAUUUUACGAACGAUUAAUUAAUUAAUCAAUUAAUGUUAAAUUAUAUAUUAAUCAAUUAGCUAUGUGUUGCAUUUAUCAUGUUUUGUAGGUGAUUCUACAUAAUUUCUAAAAGAAUAUAGUAAAAACACGUUAAAAAUUAUUUAAUGAAGAAAAUUUUAUUAAAUAGGUGACACAAUAAUAAAUGGAUUUCUGUAAGAAUUGAGAUUCUUGAGAUAAUUAUUACAUAAGGAGAAGUUUAGUUGGUUCAAUUUUGACAUGAUAAGAAGACAACACAGCACAGAAAACCCAAAUUGCCACUUCCACUAAUAAAAGAUACCUGUUUGAAAAGUAAUUAUAAACUAUCUUCUUUGUGUUAUUUCUCAAAACUUUUGUGGCACAAAUGUUAUUUCCAUUGACAACAGUACGAAAUACCACCCCUUUCACUUGAGCAGGAGCAAAGCAAAGGUAUGAUGAGCUAUCUCUGUAUAAUUGAAACGCCAUUACUAAACGAUUCUUGAUGAUGGGAGCCACCGUGCCAGCUUUGUCGCUGAUUUGCAUGAUUUAUUAGUUGUCCAGAUGGCGGAUUUUGUACUGUUACCUUCGUUUCAUUCUUCAGAGCCAUGUACAGUUCUAGGAUACCAGAGAAACCAAGGUGGCAUUGAAGUUGCCCCAGUGGUUAGUUUUCCGAUCAUUUUUUUUAUUCAAUUAUUUAUGUUUGUAGAAAAAUGUAGGAAAUAUGUAGAAAUGUUGACAGCUAUGAUUUUGAAACUUUUGCCUAAAAUUGUUAUCAUUACUUCUUGUUUCUUAUUUAAAGAGAAAUUCUAGAAACAUGAAAUGAUUAUUCUACGCUUGUUUUAAUAUUAUGCUAUGAAGAUUAUGAAGGUUUGAUUAUAUGUCACUAUCAAUUGCCUUAAUCGUUUGUCGUAAAUCAAUUAAGCAUUUUGAUGCAAAUGAUUCCCUAUUAAAAAAUUCAAGUCAGAGCUGAAUUGCAAAUUAGUUAGUCGUGCUUGCCAUUCAAAUUAAGUAUUGUAUUUUCUCCCUGAUUUGGUUGAUUCAACUAUGUGCAUUUGCUUAUGAACGUUGUAGUACAGAAAUUGAAACAUCUUGUCUUUUGCUAAGCCCAGAAGCAAAUUCUUUGUAUUCUACUCAUCAGUUUUCUUCAUUCUCUUCGUUGAAAUUUUAUCCAAACAGCGGUUUCGAAAUUGUUUUCACCACAAUACCUUAGUCUUUCAGAUGCUCCCGUCACUGAGUUGCCAGAAGAGCUAAAAGCCUUGGUAAAUCUUAAGUGUUUGAACCGGAGUACACAAAUUAUCUCUCUACAAUUCCAAAACAACUGAUUUGUUACUUUUCGAUGCUACAUGUUCUGCGAAUAUUCAGUUGUGAUUAUCUUGUUCAAAUACCAGAAAAUAGCGUUCUAUUUAGUGGUAAUGAAUUCUUGGUUUGGGAGUUGCUUAGUUUAAAACGUUUAAAUGUAUUAAGCAUCAUCUUGAAAAGUUUUUCUGCCGUCCAAAAACUUAUGAGCUCCCAAAAGUUUCAAAGCUGUACACAAUGCUUGGAGCAUAUAGGCUGUGAUGAUCCAAAGUCAUUUGCCUUGGCAGAGUUGAAACAUCUUGAAAAACUAGGUUUUUCGAGUUGUGGAAAUUUGGAAGAGUUAAAGUUCUGCUGUGUCGAAGUUGCAAAGGCUCGAGAAUGUUUUCGUUUGAACGGCCCUUGCUGAGUUAAGAUGAAGGCUUGUCAUAAAUUGUGGGAAGCGACAGGUUAUUCAAAUAGAAAAAUGUAUGGAGAUGGAUGUUAAUCUUAAGGUUAUUCAAGCAGACAAAUUCGAAUAAAACUUAUGGUAAGUGCUUUUCCAUUUAUUGCAUAUUUAUAUCUAAUUUUUAUUUUCCUUUAUUGUUAAAUUUUGCUCUAUAUUUGUUGUUGUAUGGUGGCAUUCUUGUACAAUUAUUAGCUUUUCAUUUCUCUUCUCACAUUAACUGCCCUUCUGAUCAUGUAGGAUUUGCUGAUGCAAAGAGUCAUAAUUUGGGAUACAAAUGUAAGAAUUAGACAGAUGACGUGUUGUUUUGAAGCUCUCGAAGAAGAAGGACUAAUUAUGUCAUUGAAAGCCUCCAAUUUUGUGAUUGGUUUCUUUUUAUUUUAUUUGUUGUUUUCUCUAUUUUCAGAUCGCUUAAUUGUUAGUUGUUGUAAUGUAAUGUUUUAGUAUAGAAAAUUAUAUUCGGCCAAGACAGCGAUAGGAAGGCACAUUGUGCAUGCACACUAGUGGAUUUGGCAUGCCAACUCCAAUUAGGAUGGAUAACACUUUAUAAGCAUUAGGCUUCUCUCGUACUUGAGUAAUAUAGAAUAUGUUUAUAAGUUGUGAAUCACCCUUUAUAAGUGUUAGGCUUCUGCUAUACUCAGUGAUGUGAAAUAUAUUUAUAAGCACUAAACUUCUCCCAUACACUUUAUGUUAAAAAUAAUAAUAAUAAUAAUAAUAAUAAUAAAAUAAACCCAUUUUAACAGACUCUUUUUUCUUUUUCUAUAUGAACAAAUGCAUUCUUCAAAGCAAUUGUGGGUAGAAGAAGUGAGUAGAGAAGAACUGGGCCCCUUUCAUUCCCCUAAAACCUCACCAAAACCUCUCUUGUAAGCUUUUCGGAUUUUCUUUCUAUAUUUCUUAGGAACUCAUUUUUUAUUGAAUCACUUCUUUUGCAUGCUGCAUUUUUUGUUUGUCGUAUUUGGGUAUUAUCUUAUCUGGAAUACUGUUAUGAUUGAUGGAACAAGUAAUCGAUUUUUGGUCUAAUGGAAGUUGAUUUAUUUAUUUAUUGUUAUUUUUAUUUGAAAUUAUGUACAAUUGCAUUUCAUUCAUUUCUCUCUCUCUUUUUCUUUUUUUCCCCCCAUAUAUUUGUUAUGUAUAAUUGCGUUUCAUUUAAUAUUGAUCAUACUGUAGGUAACCAUGUGAUUGUAGAUUGGGAUUUCAAGUUUGUUGAAUAUUCAUGUAAGUGAAGUAACCGUCACAAUACUAGUGAAAUUGGGAGCUUUAUUCAUGAGUUUGUGGUUUUGAAAAGAACCACAGUUCAACUGAUGAAGGCUCCUUUUUGGGAUUCUUCUUUUUCUAGGCUGCAAUUAGGAUAUGUACAUGAUAGACAAUCUUUUGUUGGCUUGGCAUAUCUUCGCUGAUUUUUUCUUUUAUUCCCCAAUUUUAUAAUUACACACCAUGAAUGUUGGGUGAUUGUAUAGAAAAUUUGUGUUAUAACAAAAACAUUGUGAAGGAGUUUCCGUGCUAAUAGUUAGUGGCUUCUGUUUUAUUGGCAUUGAUUGGGUAGAUUACGUGUUACAGUGAUUCAAUUUGUGUUCCAAACUUUGCUUUAAUUUUCUGUUUUCCCCAACUAUUUAUGUCAAAUUUAAAUCCAGAAGCAUGUACUGAUUUUUUCUUUUUGUAUUAAUCUGUGAAGUUUAUUUGGAAUGGAAGUAACUGGGUCGGGUCUAAUGGAUUAAAUUAUGACAUUGAGGGGAAGGCACUAAAAGGGUUUGCUUGACACAUUUGGUUCUGUGUUUACUCUGCAAGAAAUAGCUUUUGCUUAUUGCAAUGCAGGGGGAAAUCCCGAUUUGGCUGGUGAAUUUCUCUGCAACAAACAGGCAAACACCUCAACCUCUUCUGUCCAUACUUCUGCUGGGGAGGCAAGGGGUAAAGAGUCUUCAAAAUCAUCAAAUAGUAACAUCUCUGAGAAUUCAUUUUAUGGAAAUGGAAAAUCUAGAGCUUCUAAUACAAAAUGGCAUCUGGUAUCAGGACGUACCGUUUCAAGUUUUCUUGGUAAAGAUUAUGUUAAACCUGCACAGCCAGCUAAUGGCACUUUUCUGGCAUCAAAGCCAUUGAAGUUGGAUCCAAAGGAGUUUCCCAUGUCUGCACUUUGCAGAGAAGAAUCUAAACCGAAACAAUCAAAGGAUGACCAUUUGCAGAAGGACAUGGAAGAUUUUCUGUUUAAAUUUCCAGGAGAAGGGUUCCAGCUGAACAGGGAUGUGAUUCAGGAGGUUCUCGGUAAUGUCUUAAAUAUAUUGAUGCCAAUUUAAUACAUAUUGUCCUUUUCAAUGUUCUUUCUUUCUUUCUUUCUCUUCUUUUAUUCUUCUUCUUCUUCUUUUUUCUUUUCGUGUGCAUGUGAUUGCUAAUUUUGUAUUAUUUUUAACUUGCAGAUAGUUGUGGAUAUGAUAUGCAAAAGGUAAGGACUAUAUCCUCCUGAUAGAGGCCUCUGCUUUUUCCCUUCUAUGUACGUAAUUUAGUAAAUCGCAUAUUCUAUAUAUCAUACCAAAAUCCUGUCUUAAAUGCUGCUGGCAUAUGUUAAGGUUCAACUUGCAUUUUGAUUAACGUCCAUUUGCUACGGCUUCCAAAAUUGAGAAUGAGAUACUUUGGUUAAUUUCAGUAGUUGAACCCAAUAGGGUACUUUAUUUAGAUCUUCAUGGUUCAAAGGCCCGAAAAAACUUGCAGGUAUUUGCAAAAUGACAUUCUGUGCUUUUAUUUAUACUUAUUAUUUAAGUGAUAAAAAUUCCCCAAACCUGCGGUCAAGAAAAUUUCAGACAGUUAAAGACUCCAUUUUGUUUCAGCCAAAAAUGUUUAUUUCAAUUAAAGAUUUGAACCAUUUUCAUUUAACCUGAUUGUGAUGCUUUACAUUGUGCACGUUCCUUUCGAUCAAUAAACGUUGAGGUCAUGAUUUUAUAUUCCUAUAUUGUAACCUAAAAUAAUAGUUGGUUUGCCUGUUUCUGUAGCUUGAUAACAUGAAUUUUCCUUCUGAAGUUACUUUGAUCAAUAAAGUUAUUCUUCGGAGAAGAUAUGCCCAUUCUAUAAUCAUUUUCUUAGCUAAUAUGUUUUUUUCACUCUUCUGAGCAUGUCUAAACUAAUUGAUCGCUCGGCAGAGACUGUGGGUAAGAAAACAAAAUUUCAUGGUAAAUCCUCUUAAAAGGUAUGCAUAAUUGAAAUGACCCGCCCCGAAUUCCCCUCAGGCGAGUCUAUCUAGUCUCAUCAAAACGGACUUGAUAAUAAUUCUAUUAGUAAAGACUCUGCCAAAAAUUCGGCAGAAUUUUUUUUUUUUUAUAUAUAACACUCCCAAUCUACAAAUAUGAAUAUAACACUCCCAAUACAAUUCAGUAUACAACAAACUCCAGUGAUCAACAUCUUCAACCAAAAUGCUGAGCUUUAUAUCUCCAGAGUCUCAAAAGAUAAUAUUAUAACUAAUAUUAAUAUCUUAGUUUAUUCUUAAUCCCAAAAGAAUAAUAUAACAAAAUUAUACAAUCCCAACAGGACGAGAUAACCAAGAUGUCCUAACAAAAAUAUUUAUAUCUUCUAACACCAUCACGUGGCCGAGAUUCAAAAUAUAUUUACAGUCGCUAGGUCGGUCUGGUGUACCUGCAACCUCCUGGUGAGGGGGGAAAAAUAUAAUAAAAACGGGGUGAGUUUAAAACUCAGUGAGAUCAGUGAGUGAAUAGUAGUUUUGAAAAUUAAUUCUUACUUUAAAAAAAAUAAUCGUAUCAUUUCCAAACACAAUUUCAUUAAACCAUAAGCGAGAAACCAAUAAUAAAUCAUUAAACAUUUAAAUCAUAUUACUAACCAUAGAAAUCAUAUCACAAUAUCAUAUAGAAUACACAAAUCUAAAAAUCAUCACCAAACAAGUACCCAGAGAAAUAAUCUCGUCAUAUCCGAACCUCAACAGACGGGCAAUGACGUACUAUCUAGGUAACGUCACACCCCGGAGCUACACGGAUAGACAGGGAAAUACCAUCUCAUAUCUCAUCAUAUAUGUGCAUGCAUAAUCUAGUCCCCAAGGGACAAAAGCGCCCAAGCACACGGCCCAAAGCCUCUGUGUAUACUCAGAGGGACCCCAAAGGCCUAUAUCUCAUAUGUAUCAUAUGUAUCAUUUGUAUCUCAAUUAUCUCAUAUCCGUAUAUCUGUAAUCAUCAUACCGCAUGCAUAUGCCCCCAAAAGGAAAAAGCGUCCAAACACACGGCCCAAAGCCUUUAUAUAUAUUCAGACGGGUCCUAAAAGCCUCUCAUCUCAUCUUAUCUGUAUCACUGUAUCUGAAGGGAAUGGUACUGUCUAAUGAUUUCAAAAACAAUCAUUAUACUCAUAUUCACAUACCUCUUAAUCAUAUUUUAAAUCAUACCACAUUUGAAUCCACUUUUCUUAUCUUUAAAAUACUAUCAUGCUUUAUUCAAAGUCGAUACGCAAAAUCAAUAACCAAACAUUUUAAUAAAAUACCAAUGCGUAAAUAAAAUCCAUUUCGAGAAAUCAUUAAAUCAGAACAUUUAAAAUACUUAUUUCGCAAACAUGCUUUACUAUCAUCGCUAACUAUGAAAAUAAGUUUUGUAUAUUCCACUCACAGUGACGGUGUUCACGGUCGGUUCUCGCUCGCGGAUCCUCCUAAAUCAACGAAACGACAUAAUUAUUUUCCGUAAAUCGGAAUUAUGACUAAAUUUUAUGCAAUAAAUUUAAAACGAACAUAUAUUCAUAAUUGACAACUCCUGUGUCCAUAAAAUUACUAAAAUGCCCUUGAGUCUGUAAAUCAUUAACAUGCUUCGAAAUCGUAAAUUACUGAAUUACUCUCGGAAUCGUAAUUACACUCAAUCCUCAAUUCUAGGAAUUACUAACAUAUCCACGGGCUCAGAAAUUACAAAUUUGCCCUCAUAGUGUGAAAUUACCAAAAACUGGAAUUUGGUCAACACUGGCUAGGAAGCUCAAAUCGUAAAGUUCCAAUCACGCUGAGUUCAAUGGUACCGGCGAUGAUCUCCAACGCGCGGCAACGACGCCGGAAUCUAGCUCGGCAGCCGUGAAUUCCACCAAUCGACCGGCGGCAAAACAGUGACUCUCGGUGCCUAUGGAUGGUCGGAAAUGGAAGAGGGAGUCGUGGGGAACAAAAUUCAACCGGUGGUGUAGCCAAAACCGGCGAAAAUCCCGGCGGAGCAAAGUGAAACAGUCGCGGGUUUCAAGCUUCGAUCGCCGGUGUUCCGAUUGGUUUUUGGCGAGGAGGAUGGCAAGGGAACGACGGCCGGCUUCUAAGCUUCAGAUUGGUACCAAGCUCGGCCGAAACGGUGGCCGGAAAUGGGAGAUAUGGCCGGGUCAAGGUCGCGGGUUCCGGGUCGGGUUUUCGGGUCUGUAGUUGGGUCGGUUUGGCAGCUUCUCUCUCACUCUCUGUUACACGUGCAUAUGUUUCCUCUGUUUCUAGCUUAUUCUUUUGCUUUUACUAACUUCUUAACCGCCUCAUACUUAUUCAUUUUUAAUUCACAUAUGUUACAAUAAUUCCCGAGUAUUAAAUAACCAGUGGUCAUAAUUUUUGUACACGACUCUUUUUUUUUUUGGAGAUCGUUAAAAGUGAUUGACGAUCCAUUUUGUAAUAUCAUAGAGGGAUCAUCAAUUCCUUUUCUUUUCUGUGGCUAGGCAACACUUUUUGGCCAAAGUAAGGAAAUCUAUUUUAGGUAAUGUAAAAACCAGUUGUAGGAUGUAAUAGUUUAUUAUGCACUGACAAUAACUUUUUGUAUAAUUGUCAGUUUAAUGAAUACAAGAGGAACUCUGUUGGCAAAUUCAUCCAAGAUAGAUGCUAAAAUUAUUUAUGCAUGCCAGUUGCCUUAACUAAGUUUUCUCAGCACUGGUUUUGAACAGGAAAAUGAAUAUGCAAUUUGUAGAUUGUGCCAUAGUGGAGAAUUUGUAUAUUCUUAUUUAAGUAACAAGGAGAUUAUUUACCUCAUCUUUAAACAAUGAAUCUUUGAGAGAUGAGGAGUGGGUGAUUGGCUGUGUCUUCAUGUAAUUGUUCAUUUAUUUGUAUUUUGAACUGUUAUGAAAAUCUUUAUAUGCCAAAUUAGUAAUACAAGUAUUCAGAUGAUUUUUCCUAUUGAUCAUGCAUUUGUAUCUGCCCACAACCAUUGUAUAUCACUUUAUUCUGAUGCGCAAGCAUCUGUAAUUUAGAAGAAAAGAAAUAAUAAUCAUAUUUUAUUGCUUGGUUCAUGAUUAUUAACGAUUAUGGCUUUAAAAAUCUACAAAUUUCUUGUGUUCAUGUAUGAAUGUGCCAAGUUUGCUGUAUCUUAGAUUACCUUCUUCCAAGAUAACAAGUUCAUAUAUAUUUUUUUUUAAAAUCCUUUUCCAUUACAGUUGAAUUUCAAGUGUUAGUUUUGUUAUUAGUACCUGGUUUCCUGUUAUUAGGAUCUAAUAAACAGUGUACGGAUAUGUGCUCUACUUUUGGAGGGCCUCCACGUGAAAGAAAAUUGCAACAAUUGAAUUCUUCCGGAGGGUAUGGUAAUUAAUUUAUUUUCUCAACUUGUUGUAAGACUAAUAUAUUUCCUUCAGUAGGCACGGCAUGGUGGGAAGGGUUUUUAUUGAAAGAAUUCUGAUAUUUCUUAGACUUUGUUUUGGAAGGGGGUGGAGGGAUUUCUCAUCCAUAUAUGGUUACUUGAUUAGCUUUUGACUGUAUUGUCUCCGUCGUGCAAAGGAAAAUCUAAAUACUAACGAUGGGGAAUUGCUUAGGCACCCAAAAGGCAGAAAUGAAUUACAGAAGGAAGUUUUUGCUGCUUUAUUUAGUGCUGCUGAGAAAUCUGAUGAAUUUCCUGAAAUUACGGUGAAGACCGAGUGGAGGUCCAAAGCAUUAGGAAAGGUGGUGAGUGAACUGCCGGAGGAAUUAGUACCAGAAUACAAGGCUAAUGUGGUGCACUUGCAGCAAGAUAACCAGACCGGUAUGUGCUCUUAUAUUAACUAUAUUGACUGGAUUUGUUAGUGUGUGCAUUUUUUUGUGUAUACUCACUUUUGUAUUUAUGCAUAUUAACAUGUGUAGGAUUCUUGAUUUCUGCCACUUACUGGAGAACUAGUGGAAAGCUUUAUACUGAUAUAUCUGCAAUAACUAAUGGAAACUAUGAUAUGAAUAUUUUCUCUCACCUGGGGAGCUGUGUAACAGAUAUACUUUGUGGCUCUGGAAUGCUGAAGAUUCUGCAAUAACUAAUGGAAAAUAUGAUAUGAAUAUUUUGUCUCACCUGGAGAACUUUGUUACAGAUACCCUUUGUGGCUCUGGAGUGUCUAAAGAAUGCUUCCGUUAGAUCAAAUAUCUUUUAGUUAGAAAAGAUAAAAUUCUCUGAGUCUGAAAGACUGAAACAUUUUGCAUAUUUUGUGAAAGGGAAAUAUCUGUUGAUACUAGCUCAUGCAUUGAGGUAAUAUCGAUGUUAAAGAAAAACAGCAAUGAUUUAUGAUAUAGAAUUGGGUUCACUUGCUUUAAAUGCUGGUCUGAUCAACCAUAUCAACCUGUAAUGAUUCUGCAGAAAUAUAUAUACAAGGAGAAAGUAGCUAAAUUUUUCUUUCAUUUAUGGGUUCGGUCUUUUUUCCCCUUAUUUUUCAGCUUUCCUUCUCCUGAAGUAUGUUAACAAUUGCAGAUAAUGAUGAAGAGGACAGCUUCCAGGCUCUCCUUGGAGCCAUGAUGGAAUAUAGGGGCACAAUGAAGGAAUAUUGUAAAGCUGUAGGUACUUUUUCUCCUGUCAUUUAUGUUUUCUCACACAUUUUGUAUAUGCCCUGAACAUGCACCUUUGUAUGUAUCAAUUGACUUUUAAAUUUUAAAAGCCAUAAAGUAAGAAUACGGUUCCUUGUCAGGCUACUGAUGACAUUCGCUCAGGGGGAUCAUGUUCGAGCAGGAAAAUUUCUAGAACAGGUAAGGUUUCCAUCUACAGCCAUCCAUUGACAGCAGAUAAAUUUUCAUUCAGCAGACUCUGUUAGCAUUCAAGAUGCUGGCAGAUUCACUUGAUUCUUAUUAGCUUGUUUAGUGGCAAAGCCUAUAACCUGUAUUUCAAAGCCAAGUUGUGCUAUUGAUUAUGUUAACUUUUUUGUUAACAUAAAAUGAUAUGGAGGAAAUAAUCAGUGUUGGAAAAUUAGGUGAAAAGAUGAUGUCAAAUCUUGAACCUCUUGCGAAACUCUAAGUUCUUUACUUGAAGAGGCUACCAAAUUUGAACAGCGUCUACUCGAAGGCCUUGCCAUUCCCUGAUGCAUGCAGAAUUUUUGUAUUUAAAUGCCCAGAGCUUAAGAAGCUGGCACUGGAUCUUGAAGGGGCAGACCAAGGUAAAAUUCUUAUCAAGGGAAAGGAAGAUUGGUGGAAACAACUUAAUGGGAGGAUCAAGUAACUCAGAAUACAUUGCUUCCAUUUUUUAAAUCGACUGACAAGUGAUUGAACGGGGCAUCAUCAAUAUCAUCAACAGGGAUGGAGAGAUGCCGGAGCAGAUCAGCAGGGUUUGAAUAUGACCUUCGGCGGUUGCUUUUUUUUUUUGUGAUUUUUUUUCAUUUUUUCCUUCCUGUCAUUUUAUCAUUUCUUUGGCUCUGUUUCUAUUGCGGGUGUUACUGCAUGCUUACUGUUGCUUGACAAAGUUUGCUAGCUUUUUGUUUGCAGCGCUGCUAUACGCCCCGAGUCAAGCCCCGAAAAUUUAUUAAACGACGCCGUUUCGACAGUAACAAUUCUUUUCUUUUCCCUUUGCCUGUUUCUUUCAUCUGCUGUUUCUCUAUCACUUUUCAUUUUUGAUUUCCGUGCUUCCCAGCUGCCCCUAAAUUGUUAUUCUAGCAAUAUACUUUCUCAUCUUUGAAUUUUCAUCCUUGAGUACUCCCACAGCCGUAAUUUCAUCAUUAUAGACUUCACUUGGAAUGCUAGAUUUUUUCGAUUCUUGAGCUACUUCAAUUACAUCUUAGUAUAGGAUCCUCAUCUUCCUUUAUUUCUUCAUCUUAUGAGGUAACAAAUGGAUUUCACAACUCAUCUACUUUUAAGCAAUUACAUAUUAUACCCUGAAUGAUUCAACUGUUCCGACAGUUAAAGAUUUUAUGCUCAACCUGCAGUGCUACGAACAUUGUCCAUGAAAGAUGAGUUUCAGCAUAUAAAAUGAAAUAUAGAUGUUUAAUCUAAAAUAACCCUUCACUGCCAGAAACCUAGGUCACAAAAUUCACAGAUAAUGAUAAAGAACUAAAAAAUUUGAAAAACUCUACAGAUCACACAUCAAGCAAGAUAUCAUGUUUUUUUCCCUCAUUCGGUGGUGAUUGAUUCGCUUUUUGAUGAUGGAUAUGGUAUAAAAGUUUUGACCCAAUUUCAAGCAAACACAAAUAGAAACACAAACACAAUCAGGACUAGAGUUGUGGGCGAUUAUCUCAGGUGUACAAGUGAAACGGUGGUGGCUGUCGAUGGUGGUAGUGGGGUGGUUGGGUAUGCGUGAUGGCUAGAUUUUAGGACAAUAAUGGUUGGAGUUGACCUCAAUCAACGAAGGAAAGUGACAACAAUUUUGACAUCAAAUGGUGCAUUUUUUAGCUUAGUAAAAUGGAACCGUUUUGAAUUUGGGGUUUAAUCCGGGGUUUGACUCGGUGCAAGUAUCAUUUUCCUUUUGUUUAUUAAAUUUUUUAUGGUCACAAAGUAUUACUCGUUCUAUUUGAGAGUGAUGUGAAUCAAUUUUUCAAUUUUAUAUUUUGUGGUCAAUGUGAAUUCAAUUUCAUUUGUCUCCUGCAAUUAUGAAAAAAUUGCAGUCAUAAUAUGGAAAAGUACACCGGCAAAGACUUUGUAAAACCUUCGGAGUGAUACGGGGAAUUCACUUACAACUAAGGACAAUUGGUGGCAAGUUAUUCCAUUCAUUUUAUGUCCAUGCAUCUAUUUAGUUAUUGAAGAUUAGUGGUCCAUUUGUAAAUUUCAGAUUGUCUCUCUCUCUCUCUCCCACUUGAAAUAACAAUAUUUAAUAUAUCUCUUAAAUUAUUAUAAAUUUUAAUUUACUCUCGAUUUAAAAUGGAGCAUGUCGAUAAAUUUUUUUUCUUCUUAAUAAAAUUGACGUAAUUUGUGUUUACAGUAGUUUGAAGUUUGAAAUAUUUUAAAGAUUAUUAUUCUAUAAGGGAGUAAUAUGAAAUGAAAUUUACUUUUCAUGUGUGAACUGAAAAAGGACGAAGCAAGUGUCCCUGCUUUUAUUUUAUUUCAAGGAGGAGUCAUCUCGCAUACUUUGGCUCUUAACAUUACAUUUUUUCUGGUUACAUUUUUUAUUUUUUUUUACACAUGCGUGUGGGUUGCUUUUCUGUAAGCUCCUUAAUAUAUAUUUAAGACAAAUCAUGGAAGAGAUGGGAUUAUAUCAAGAUGAUCAAAGCAUGUAAAAAAAGAAAAAAGAAAAAAAAAAUUAAGAAGUAAGACACUGAAAAUGGAGAAGAGAUGGAAGCAAAAGAUAUUCCAAAACAAAGCAAUCUAUCCCCCUUCGAGGGCAGACUUAUCAGGUUUAAAAAAGUACAUGCUUUGGAUUGGUAGUUGCAAUCAAGGGAAAAUAAAUAGGAUCCAAUGAAAUUUAAAUCUCGGAGAAAAUAAAUAAUCAUGCAGAUUUUCAAGAUUUUAAUAAGGGAUACUAAUAUCUUAUUUUGAUUAAUAACAUUCUUUUACUGUGUUAACUCAAAAAAAAUAUUAUAAUGCUUUACAAUAAAUACAAAUGUCCUAUUAAAUGAAUAUAUAAAAAAUUUAGAAAAUUAUAUAAAAUAAUUUUAAUAUAAUGCGUGAGAUAUAUUUUAUUAAUUUAAAAUGUCAUUUUACCUAAAAAAUAUGAUAAAUUAAUAAUUACAUAUUUGAAGUUAUUUCAAAUAUUAAAAAAAUUUAAUAUUAUUAAUCUUUUAGAUAGAUUAAAUUAUUUUUUAAAGAGAUAGAUUAAAUUAUUUUAAAAUACCUUAAUUGUUUUUACUUUAAACAUUACCGGCCUUUCUUUUAUUUUAUUACAAAUUAAUGCUAACAAGAAAAAGUUAGAUCAUAUUCCACAAAAGCAAAAGUGACAAACACAACCAGCUGGAAUCUUUUAUAAAACUACAAAUUAAAAUGGAUUUUUUUUUUAAAAAUUGUUAUAAAUUGGUGGCCCCUACAAUCCUCAAUAAUUGCACCGAUAUUCACAAGUUGGUGGCCCCUACAAUUCUGUUCCGAUAAUUUAACUGUGCAAGUGCUUAAUAAUUGUUUUGUUUUUUUCUGCAUUCCCUUUCAUGCUCUUAAUAAUUGAAGAGCAUACUUUUCAAAUGUGGAGCCGCAGCUAAUGUCGCUAAUUUAAUUUUGGAUUAAAUUAGGGGACCAUUAUAUUGUAGUGUGCACUAAUGAAUAUGUGAGAUAUUCAUAUUUUAUUAAUUUAAAAUACCAUUUAACCUAAAGAUUUAUUUAUGAUAAAUUAAUAAUUAUAUUUUUGAAAUUACUUCAAAUAUUAAAAAAUUAAUAUUACUAAUCUGUUAGAUAGAUUAAAUUAUAUAUAUUAUUUUCUAUUUAUUAAAAAAUUAAAAUUAUUUUUAAUUACUAUUCAAAAAAUAUAAUGAUAAAAAAAAUCUUAACAUCUUUAUUAAAAAUUUAAAAAUUUACAUGAUCAAUUCUCUAAAUAUUUAGGGUAUAUGUGAACCACGGUGGAGAAGCUUUAUUUAAUAUUAUUGAUUUAAAUAAUAUGUCAAUUAAAAAUGUACAGAGAAGGAAAUUUCGGUGGGUAUUUUAGUCUUUUCAGCAAUUAUCAUGAUCAGAUCAGCCUUUAGCCUUGAAACGUCGAUCAGAAAAGUUUUAAAAUGCUUAAUUGUUUUUCACUUUUAAAAAUUAAUGCUAACAAGAAAAAGCUAGGUCAUAUUCCACAAAAUCAAAAGUGACAAAACAACCAGCUGGUUUCUUUUACUAAACUACAAAUUAAAAUAGAUUUUUUCGAUAAAUUAUAAAUUAAAGUGGAUUCUUUUGAAUACAAGUGAGACAGACGAUUAGGCUCUUUUUAUUAAAGGCAAGUAAAAACUAGUCAAGAAUCGAAUAGUCUUUUUCAAAUUCUUGUUUUAUUAUUUUUCAAAACUAGUUUUUGGUAAUUACAAUCGGGUCAUUCAUUAAUCAUUAUUCAAAGUUACUGUUAUCUUCGGGGGCAGUGGGUAAAAGAUAAUUACUAACUGUUUUUCCUUCAAAAGUUACCGGCUCAUGUUUGCAAGUGUGAAUGUGCGAUGCUCUUUUCUUAAAGGCAAUUACAGUGGGGCCCGAAUCAGAGGUGCCUAAAUCUUUUUAAAAUUAAUAAUAAUAUGAGUAAUAAUUAAUAAUUACAGUGGGUCAACUUUUGAAAUUAGAGUCUAGUAUCUCUCUCCCUGUCAUUACUAAAUUUUCUCUUCCACAGCCUACAGCAGCUUCAGUUUAUCAAACUCAAUCAAUUUUCUUUCUUAACAAAAUUCCAAAGAUGUGUAGUAUUUUUCAGAUCACAUGCGAUGGUGCUCUUUUCAAUCGUUGCUUGGAUUGCUUUCUUGGAAAAGCAGCAUACAUACGUAACCUCCAAGAUAAUCUUGUAGCCUUGGAGACUGAACUGGGAAGACUAAUCGCAGCAAAGAACGAUGUGAUGAUGAGGGUUGUCCAUGCUGAACGGCAACAAAUGAGAAGGCUGGACGGAGUGCAAGUGUGGGUUUCGAGGGUGGAUUCUGUUAAAACUGGAGCCGACGAACUUAUCACAGACGGCUCUGAAGAAAUUGGCAAAUUAUGUGUUGGAGGCUACUGUUCCAAGAACUGCAGGUCAAGCUACAAAUUCGGAAAACAAGUGGCUAGAAAGCUACGACAUGUGGAGACUUUAAUCGCCGAGGGAGUUUUUGAGGCGGUGGCUACUGAGGUGGUGCCCGAGAGAGCUCCGGAACCUGUAGCAGAUAAAAGACCCAUUGAGCCAACAAUAGUAGGCUUGCAAUCACAACUUGAACAAGUCUGGAGAUGUCUUGCAGAAGAAUCAGCGGGAAUCAUUGGCUUAUAUGGUAUGGGCGGUGUUGGUAAAACCACACUAUUGACCCGUAUCAACAAUAAAUUUCUUGAGAAUCAAAACAACUUUGAUUGUGUGAUUUGGGUCGUAGUUUCAAAAGACCUGCGGCUUGAAAAAAUUCAAGAAGAUAUUGGGAAGAAGAUAGGUCUGUUUGAUGAUUCAUGGAAGAAUAAAAGUUUUGAAGAGAAAGCUGUGGACAUCCUGCGGAGAUUAGGAGAGAAGAGAUUUGUAUUGUUGUUAGAUGAUAUAUGGGAGCGGGUUGAUUUAACAGAAGUGGGCGUUCCACUUCCCAGCCCACAAAAUACUACAUCAAAAGUCGUAUUCACGACCCGUUUCAUUGAUGUUUGUGGUAGCAUGGAAAGUCACAGGAAGUUUAAAGUGGCAUGCUUAUCAGAAGAGGAUGCUUGGGGGCUGUUUCGAGAAAAAGUACGGCAAGAAACUCUUGAGAGUGAUCAUGAGAUCGUUGAGCUAGCCCAAACUGUGGCCAAAGAGUGUGAUGGUUUGCCACUCGCACUUAUUACUAUUGGUCGAGCUAUGGCCUACAGAAAGAAAGCGGAGCAGUGGAGACGCGCAAUUGAAGCGUUAAGAAGAUCAGCUUCAGAGUUUGCAGGUUUGGGAAAAGAGGUGUAUCCUCUUUUAAAAUUCAGCUAUGAUAGUUUGCAGAAUGAUACGGUUAGAUCUUGUUUCUUGUAUUGUUGUUUAUAUCCUGAAGAUUAUGGCAUUCUUAAACGGGACUUGAUUGACUGUUGGAUUGGUGAGGGAUUUUUGGGGGAAUCUGACAGGUUUGGUGCAGAAAACCGAGGAUAUGACAUUUUGGACACUCUUGUUCGUGCAUGUUUAUUAGAAGAGUUAGAAGAUGAUAAAGUAAAAAUGCAUGACGUUAUUCGUGAUAUGGCUAUAUGGAUAACCUGUGAAAUUGAGAAGGAGAAGAGAAAAUUUUUGGUUUGUGCAGGUGCUGGAUUAAAAGAGGCACCGGAUGUUAAAGGAUGGGAAAAUGUGAGAAGAUUGUCAUUGAUGCAAAACCAAAUUGAAACUCUGUCAGAGAUUCCUACAUGCCCUCAUCUCCUCACUUUAUUUCUUGACUUUAAUGAGAAGUUGGAGAUGAUCGCGGAUGGCUUCUUCCAAUUUAUGCCUUCUCUCAAAGUGUUGAGGAUAUCACACUGUGGGCAAUUAGAAGGUUUUCAAUUACCUAUUGGGAUGUCAGAGUUGGGUUCGUCACUAGAACUUCUUGAUAUUUCAUAUACCAGCAUAAGAGAGUUACCAGAAGAGUUAAAGUUGUUGGUAAAUCUGAAAUGUUUGAAUUUGAGUUGGGCACAUAGGUUAUAUAAAAUUCCACGGCAACUAAUAUCAAAUUCUUCAAGGUUACGUGUGUUGAGAAUGUUCGCUACUGGCUAUGUGUGUCUUCAUGAAGCAUCAGAAGACAGCGUUUUAUUUGGUGGGGGUGAAGUUUUAGUACAGGAAUUGCUCGGUUUGAAAUAUUUAGAGGUAUUGGAGUUGACCUUGGGAAGUUAUCAUGCUCUCCAAAUUCUUUUGAGCUCAAAUAAGUUGAAAAGUUGUAUUCGAUCUCUUUUCCUACAGUUGUUCAGAGAUACAACGUCGAUUAUUGAUGCUACGGCUUUCGCAGAUCUAAACCACCUCAAUGAAUUAUGGAUUUAUAGAGGUAGUGAGUUGGAAGAAUUGAAGAUUGAUUAUACGGAGAUAGUACAAAAAAGGAGGGAACCUUUUGUUUUCCGCAGCCUUCACCAUGUUACCAUAUAUAGUUGCACUAAAUUGAAAGAUUCGACAUUCCUCGUUUUUGCUCCAAACCUCAAGUCUCUUCAGCUACUCGAUUGCUAUGCUAUGGAAGAAAUAAUCA
rnacentral:lncRNA from 1 species